AAAGAGAACUGGGAAUGGAACGGAGUGAAGAUGCUAACAACGUUAGUAAUGAGAAUAGAGAAGAUGAACAGGUUGUUAUGGAUGAUAACGUGGACAGUAAUUCAUCUAUAAUUGAACCGUCUGCCUCAUCCAAUAUUAUUUCUAGCAAUGGGAUGUCUGGGAGUUCAUCUGAUCCAGUAGCCUCUGAGAAUAUUCCCUGUGAACAGGUGCCUCAAAUCUUAGGCAAAUCUUCUGACCCUGAUCGUACAUCAAAUACUGGUUUAUGCAUAAGUGAGGAAAUCUGUAAUGGCUCACAAGCGGAAUUUGUCAUCAGUGAUCCAUCACCAUCCUCUGGCUCCACAGUUUCUGAUAUGCAUGAUCCAGCCGGUGAUAGGAUCAUGAACAGUGUUAAUGACUCUCAAAACUCCCAGACUGAAUCUUCUUCUGUGCAUUCAGUUGGGUUCUGGACAAAUGGUGGCCUUUUGGGACUUCAGCCAUCAAAACCUCCUGAUUUUGCUGUAUCAACUGUAGGUCAGGGUUCUGCAGCUACAACUAGUGAAGUAUUUGGUCCUCCAAAUCAAAUACUUAUGUCUUUGCAAGAUGGACUCAAAGGAAAUGCAGGCACUGUGGUUGAGAAUGCUAAUUUAGAUGCAAACCUUGGAAGACCUGUUAAUUCUCAUUUUAAUGAUAAUCUUGAUAAUUUAAAUGGUGUUGGCUCUAGCCUAAAUACCUCCUUGCCACAUGGAAACAAGAACCCGGUCAAUCCUAACAUCAAAGCUACAUCUAUUGAAUCUGAUGAGGAGGAGGAUGACAAGUCAUCUAGGAUGUUUGGACUUGGCCAUAAAUUACUUGUAAAUGGUUUUCGCAGAAAGGUGUCAAUUGGCAAUGAUGAUGAUUCUGAACCAGCCACUUCUAGAAAAACUGGGGUAUUGGAGCCUAGGAAUGAGCAGCAGCGCAUAUCGUAUCAGAAAAUUCCUCAGACGACCGUUAAUGAACAGAUCGGAAAUGGAUCUCCCAUAAAUUCACUUACUUCUUCUCCACCACUUGAACAUAUGAAAAUAUCCUUCAACCCUUUAGAUGGAUUUGGGACUUCCAAACUCAAAUUGCAAUUUCCUGACGGGAAUCAUUAUCAUGAAAACAUUAGAGACAUGUUUCCUUCAUUUCAGUUGGUCCCAGUGCCUGCUAUUUCAGCGCAUGGUGUUGCUUCAGACUCUGAUGAUGAUACUUUCUGCAGAUCAUCCCCUUAUAUGUCUGAUGACUGCCUUAGUCAUUGCUCUGAGUCAAAUUCUGAGCGGUGGGAAUCUGGUGAAGCACCUGAAAGCAAUGAUCCUGCGCUGCAUGAUGCAUUAAGCAGAUUGUCAUCGAUGGAAUCUGUUUCAAGCUGUUUACAAGUUAGGGGAGCAGCCAAUAAUGGCAUCUGUGUUAAUAGGGGAAAUAAAAAACCUAUAGCACCGGGGUCUAGUGCAGCAGAACCAUCUCUAUCUAUGCCACUCGAUCUCCCAGGUUUUGAUGUCAUUAACCCUGUACUACAUGAUGAAACCAAAAGUAAUUCUGAUCAAAAGAAUCAGGUAAAAUUGCAAAAUGCAAUGCAGCUCAAACCAUUGCCUCCACCUCCCCCCCCUGCACAAUGGCGGGUUUCAAAACCCUGCUUCAACGAGGCAGAAGAAAGACAACAUGCUUUAUCAGAGUCACUGAGACAUGAGCUUGAUCUGAAACUUCUUAGUUCUUUCGUCUCUCAGAAGCCUGAGCCAGCUUUAGUUAAUCAACAGAAAAUAAAUGAUAAGGCAAAUGCAUUGAAACCAGAGAAGAAGGUACUUCAGCAAUGUUGUCAAUCUGUAUUAUUAUUAUUGUUAGUAUUACUAUUUUGAAAUGAAUGUUGUGAAAUGGGAACUGGUUGUAUAUAAAUGGUAAAAAUUUGAUGAAUGCGGUAGGUGGACGAAGAGAAAAAUAAUGGACAGAAAGGCGUAAGCCUGCUCAGUGGUGGCCGAGGGAUGGAUGAAAAGGAAGAUUUCUUGCAUCAGAUCAGAACUAAAGUGAGUAUUCAUUUAUUUUCUUUUAUGUCACUUGUCAUCGUCCAAAUGAAUAAUGAGCCCCUAAUUUAGAUGUACAUAUACAAAUGUGAAUUUCACUGUUUGAAGAAACAAUUUAUUUGAUCAAAUUCUGAAAAAGAAGGAAAACAAAAGCAGUAGAUAGCUAUGUAAAUACUAAAAUAUCAUUGAUCAUUUUAAUGGCUUAUUUGUCAGUACUUUUUGAAUUUGACAACAAUAAUUGCAUAUGCCUUACAGAUGUAUUUUUCAGAUAAGAAUUUCCCACUGCUCUUCCCUCUUUUUCUCCUAUAGAAGAGAAAAUAAGAGAAAGAAGUUCCUUUGUUAUAGAGCGGGAGUUAGUCUGUGUAGUUUGAGCAUGUUUUAUGCAUGGACGCAUGUAUCUCGUAGAGAGUUGAUGGCUAUUGUGAUAAAAUGGAGUAUAUUUCAUUCACUUGCCUUUGUUCAUUGUCAUUUCAGUCUUUCAACCUAAGACCCACAGCCACUGCAAGACCAACUGUUAUUUCUGGUCCCACUGCAAAUGUCCAGGUCACUGCAAUUUUGCAGAAAGCAAAUGCAAUUCGCCAGGUUUGUAAUUCCUCCUCUUUUACUUUUCCCCCCUCUCAUCUCAGUUCUCUUAUGAAUGAGGCAACCAGAUUAACACUUACGAAACUUGUUCAGGCUGUUGGGAGUGAUGACGAUGAUAACUGGAGUGACAAUUAAUUAUUUUGGAAUACGAAUGCAAAAGACAAUCAGAAGUUCUCCCAGUCUUGGGUUUUCAAAUUUGGGUGAGGUUGUUUGAAAUGUGUAUAAUCCUUGUUUCUUCUUGUAAUUAGUUACUUGGGCUCAUCUUGUAUCGUAUAGUGAUUAUUUGCAUUCGUUUCUUAAAUAGUUAAUGUUUUGAACAGGUAUUUAGGUGGAUCAUGAUGCAUAAUGCAUGAGAAUAUGAUAGUCUAUUAAGUUGUGUAUUCCCCCCCUUUUUUUUUAGUUUAUAUUUAACGGACUCUACCAUGCUCGCAAUUUUCUGUUGUUUUGCCUCAUAGGGAAUUGUUAUUUCCUCUUAGGACUGAGGACGCGAGGUUAUUGCUACCGAAAAUUGCUUUACUAUUUUGGCACGUCAACUAGGAGUCAGAAAUUAUAAUGCAACUUGAUAUGGAUGAAUUGUGUGUAAGAAAGCAUUUCAGUUUGGCCGUUGAAUAUAAGGAAAGCUGGAUGUUGUGUCGUCGUUAGAACAUGGAUGUUGCCAAUUUAUGCAGCAAAUAAAGAAUGAUUACAAUUGCCCGUUUCUCCGUCUUGCUUGAAAGUGUAAUUUUCAGCGGCAACAAAAACAGGGAUUAGCAGUGCCGGUUAAUUGCGUGCACAGUAGCCACUAACUUGGUUUUGAAUCAUCAUUACUUUGUUUUUCUUGUGUUUUGCAUUCAAAUAUUUAGUUUAAUUAAACCGUUUCGGGAGUGUUUCAAUACAGAAGGUAAAUGAUUAGAAUAUUGAGUUUUUUCUGAUUUUGUUUAAUGUGACAUAGGGCACUGGCAGUAUAUGUUUUUAAUUAAUCAAUUUAAUUUGCUGUUCUUUUUUCUGCCAAGAAUCAAGGGAUAAGAACCCAUCAUCAAAUAAAUAAUAAAGAAAAAGGCUCAAAGGAGUUGACAAAAUUGACGCUAGCCAGCAAGUUUAGAUUAAUUUUAAACGGAAUAGGUUUCAGAAACUCCCAUCAACUGGGUGAAUUAAUUAAGCACCCACGUUUAUUUUGCAACUUGCACGCAGCAGCAGCAGCAGCAUAGAAAACUAAUCGAGUCAAGCUCAUCCCAACAUUCACCGCCCAAACAUCAAUAUAAAUUUGCCAAGACAGUUUGUGUUUUAGAUCCAGUCAUUGUUUUUUCAGUGAAUUUAUAACAGCGGAGUGUAAUUGUAUUCGAAAGUCAACAUAUGUUUUUCCUGUUUACAAAACAAAUUUAGUAUCAACAUCGCAGUUGCAAUUUGUUGCCUAAUUUUGUUCAUUGAGGGCCUUUAUCAAAUAAUUAAAAUUAAUUUAAUUAAAUUGAUUCAUAUAAUCACUUUUCACAUAACCUAUUAGCAAGUGUAAUAUUUUAAUCCUAAUAUUUGCAGCAACCUGUUUUAUUAUUCUUAGAGUGCGGUCCUUUUUAUUAUUAAAUAGUAUUAUAUUCAGAUAUGGAUAGCAUUAGCCCCACGCUAUAAAACCAACUGACACUCCAAAUCCAGCUGCAAAUUUGGGAGAAGAAAGAAACUUAAGAACCAAGGCACUAACUUCAUUAGUUUUUUCUUUCUUUCUAGAAGACGAGUUUCAUUUCCAAAAUACUAACAUAAUGGUGACUUAUUUUAAUAAUAGAAAAGAAUGAACAAAGUUAAUUAUUUUUGACUAAUAAUUUAUUAAUUGCUAAUUUAAUAAUUGUCCCACUACGUAAAGGAACUUUCCCUCUAAAACAAAGUAGAUUAACAUUAUUAUACGUGUCAUUUCAGUGCAAAUUAAAAGGAAUUAGCACGAGCUUGAGAAGAAAAGAUUAGAGAGAAUACUUUCUUUUAAAAGUGUCUGCUUUUGAAUAUUGGUGAUGGUCAAAGAAAAGUAAAAAGAUUUAUGAUCGAUAUCAAACUUUUUAAACACACAAGUUGCCCUAAAAACAUGCAUGCAUCUUUUGCGAUUUCUCCAUCUCCUACUGUUCAAAAGCUGUCCGUAACAAAAAAGUUUUUGGAGCUCUCCAAAACCUUUUGCCUUCCAACCAAAUUAACACUCAUGCUAUACCCCCUUUUUAUUUUCUCACCCUUUGCCUUUGCCAUGCCUCCGAUGCUGAGAGAUGGGUUCCAUCAGGCUUUGCCUCCACUAUGGACCGCCAUGGAUUUCAUUAGGUGGAUAAAAUCCGAUUUGAUAUAAAAAAUUUAAAUUUUUAAUUAAUUAAUUCGUGUUAUUUGAGUUAAUCAAGUUAUUCGAAUCAAUUCGAAUAAAAAAUCAAGUUUUUCUGUUUAACUCGAAUAUGAAUUACACAAUCUGAGUUAUCCGAAAAUCCGAAUAAGAGAAGGCAAAACUACGUCGUUUUGAUAAAUGUUUACCUUUCUAAAAUUAAAAGUCAAAACAAUUCAAUUCAAAGGUAAAAUUACGUCAUUUUGAUAAAUGUUUACUCAUUAAGUUAAAAGGCAAAAUCAUUAUAUUGUUUACGUAGUUAAUUAAAUAAUCAGUUCAUGUAAACGCAAUAUUGAGUAUAAAUAAUAGGAUUCGUUAACUCGACUCGAAAUUUUUUAACUCGAUUUAAAAAAAAAAUUCAAAUUGAGUUUGGUUGCUAAAAUAAGAUUCGCUAAUUCGACUAACUUAAAAUUUUUUGACUCGAUUCGACUCGACUCGAUCCGAUCGAAUACUCACCCCUAAAUUUUAUAGAUGGACAUCCGCUCUUUUUAGUAUUUAAAUGGGUUUGUAGUAAAUUCAUUUUACUUUUGCCAAUAAUAAAUUUAGAUUUAGAUAUUCAAAUCUUUUUUUUUUUUUUACAUUUUAAAAUUUUUAUUUAAAAGAUUAUGGCUAAUUCAAAUAAGACUCAAAUUGGAUACAAAUAAUAAAUUGAUUCAAAAUUUAAAACAAUUCUAUAAAUUCAAUUUCUACAAAAAUUACAAACAUCAAGCUCACUACUAUUAUGACUUGUAAGUACCAUUGUAAUAAUAAAUUUAGACAUGAAUAUCCCCCUUCCAAACUACCCAGACAUGAAUUGAUAAAAAGAAAAAAAGAAAAACUUUUAAGUGAUUAAACAGAGAAAUAAAGUAAUGGAGAGAAACUUUCUUAACUAAAGCAACUUGACAUUAUAUAAUCAACAACCGCAAGAAGAAGCAGCAAUAUGUUAAUCUUCGUCCUACACCGAAAACUUGUUAAAAAACUUGAUGAGGGGUACACUUUUUUGGAAAAUCAACUGAAUCCCCGUGAUGAAAUAAAGAGUUUUCAUUUUUAGCUUUACUAGUGUGUUAUAAUCUAAAACACCAUAUUUUUAUUUAAAAAAGAAAAGGCAUCAAGAAAAAAUGCAUCUUUUUCCAACUAAAAGAAACAAAAAUAUUUGUUUGUCUGCAUUAUAGAAUUGGAAAAAGUGAUGUUAAUGAUUAAUGAUUGCUUUAUUAAAGGGAAGGAUUAAAACAAAGUUAUCACUGAAAUUUCAAAAUCCGCAUGGAAAAGCAAAAAAGGAAUUGCUGCAAUUCCAUAUGCUUAAUUCAACUUUAUUUCAAGAUAUGUAUAGUGAAAAGGUACUAUCAAUUUUUUAACUUGUAUUAUAUUAAUAUUCAGCAUUCACAAAUUUUUUAGACUUUAAUUAUCAUCUUCUAAAAUGGAAUGAGAAACUAGACUCUGCUUACAACAUUGGAAUGAGAAACCCACAAUAAUGGUAGUACUCUUUUUUUUUUAAUAAAAAAAAUUGAAGAAGUCAAUACAUCUUUUACUAUAUACAAAAUAUAAUUUUUUCCAAGUUUUAUUUUCAUCACUUUAAUUUUGAAUUUUUUUUUUUUAUAAUUUUGUUGUACUAAAAACAUGAUAAAAAUGUUUAAAGAAAAAAUAAUUAUUUUGGACCAUGAAUUAUGAUUAUAAAUUGUUCUAUAAAUUUAUAAAGUUAAUAAAUGUGAAGUGAUGAAGCUGGGAAGCAAGGUAGCUUAUUGGUGGGAUCUGAUUGGACAUACCACACUAAUUAAUUUAAAUUAUCAAUGCCAAUGUAUAGCUUUUGGAAGGGGAAAUUUUUAUCAUUAUUUCCAUUGAUUUGGAAAUCGAAUUUCACAACAGUUGGUAUGUCACCCAAAAAAUAAAAAUAAAUAAUUUCUUCAAGAGAACCAAGUUCUUAUUCUUUAUUAAAUCACCAUUUUUUUUCUCCUGAGCAAUGCAUCCAUCAUUUCAUGCAACUAGUAGUGGGAAUUCUCUCUUUUUCUUCUUUACCAUGCAUUACACACUCUUUUCUUUUUCCUUGGAUUUAUAGUAUAUAUAAUAUAACCUUAGAAACCAUAUCUAUGAAAAGAAAGAAAUUUUAUAGAUUUUUAAAGGCAAAGUAGGAAGGUUUUACCUUUAUCUCUCUAUCUCUUUAUACAAAAUAGAAUAUUGUAAUAUUGGGAAAUAAACCCAUUGGCCAUUUCCAUUAGAACCAAACUUUAUCUCUUUUAUUUAUGCUCCAAUUCUCCAUCACUUUGAUACUCUGUACGCAAACCUACUAGGAUCGGACCCACUUUUGCAUUUUUUUCAUGGGAAUUACAAAUCAUGAGUGUAUGUAGUCAUUAGCUAAAAUCCAUCUCUUUAUUACUCUAUUUUUGUGAAAAAUUUUAAAUAUUAUAUUUAAGCAAAUUAAGAAAAAUAUUAUGUAUUAAUUAUAAAUAUUGAUGACUUGGAGUAAUGAUUUGGAUAAAAAGCUCAUCAUCAGCUUUUCCACGCCACUUGGUUCUUUGGCGUUGGCGGCGGCUACUUCCCUCACAUGCCAUCUUCUUCUUUUUUAUUUCCUUUCAAUUCCACCCACUUUUCCUGUGCGUUUCCCCCUCACUCCCUUCCCCAUAUAUAUAACCAUAAUUCCCAGACACCCUUUCGCCCCAAACCAAAGAAACACUCGUCAUAUUUUGUCGUCCGCUAUUUCUGUCUCUAUCUUUGUCUCUAAAUGGUCAUGGCUAGCCAUGAAGGCCAAGGGAUCAAGCUAUUUGGGGCAACAAUUACGUUGCAUUCAGGAAGACAAGUGAAAGAAGAACACAAAGAAGACGACCAUUCAAAAGCCGACAAGAGGCCUGACAAGAUCAUACCUUGCCCUAGAUGUAAGAGCAUGGAGACCAAAUUUUGUUACUUCAAUAACUACAACGUGAAUCAGCCCAGACAUUUCUGUAAAGGUUGCCAGAGGUACUGGACUGCAGGUGGUGCCCUUCGGAACGUUCCGGUAGGGGCUGGUCGCCGGAAAGCGAAGCCAGUACCGGGUCGUGGUCUUGCUGGGUUUCAGGAGGGGUACUUGUUUGACGGCUCUAGUGGGGUGCACGUGCACCAGUUUGAGUUGGAGGGGAUGGUGUUGGACGAGUGGCACUCGGCGGCAGCGAAUGGUGGUUUCCGGCAAGUUUUCCCAAUGAAGCGGAGGCGAAUAAGCUGCUCAGGAGGUCAACUUAAUUGAUCUUCUUCUUUUUUUUAUUUUAUUUUAUUUUCUUCUUUCGCGUGCUGAAGUUUCAACACGGAUUAGAAAAUUGUAGGGAUUAUAUUAUGAUAAUAGACUAAUGUAAAUACAGGCUGGUUUUUGAAGAAUUAAUAAAUCCAUCCUUCUACUGCUACUAUUUAUUAUUUUAAAAUCUGUAAAAAAAAUCAAUAAGUCUGGAUUGAACUUAGAUGGUUUCCAAAGGGAGAAUCAAAUCUUGGAUUGAAUAAAUUAACAAGGAGAAAUGUGGUAUUCGCAGAUCAUGGGGACUCAUGUGGCCUCUCAGUAGACCAAAAUCAACCCACUAGUGAGGAGUCCAUGAUCCAAUUCCAUUAAUCCAAACCAGCCGCAAAAUUUAUCAAGCGAUAUGGAUGGGAUGGGAUGGGAUGGGAAAGCGAAAGCAAAACCAUGAUCAGCACCAGCAUCCUCUUUGGUUAUGCACCUGCUAAAUUUUGACGGAUAAGAUGGGACAGGUUGGUCGGACAAUAGCAAAGAUUCUUCGGACAAAAGGUUGAUUGCUUGAAACAGUUAAAGCUAAUGUAAAUGGAUAACAUCUAGAUUUCGGAGCCAGGCCCAGAAGAACUUUAAUCUCAUCAAAUCAUAUUCAUCUGAGAUUUUGAUAUAAAAAAGCAAACCGACAUGAUUAUAAUAUAAGCAUGUACAGAUGUUGCAGUAGGGAAAACAGAUGCCUUGAGGUUAUAGGAUUAGGCAUCUUAUCAACUACCAUGAAGUAAAUUUCCUACUCAGAUUAGUCGAAACUUGUUCUUGUAUCUUUAGAGAUUAAACAAGUGCAUUUGACUGAGUAUGUAGCUUCACAAAGAAUAAGAGUAAUAUUCCAUUGUAAGACUUUCUACACAGUUCCUUUUUUACUUUUUCCUUGUAUCUGUUCUGUUAAAUAGAGUUCUUUCCAGAAGGAAUUCGUGACAUGAUUCCUGCCAAGUGCAUGGCUCUAAUCCUACCUUCGUUUUAAUGUUUCAUUAAUAUUCUUGUUGUUGUUAUCAAGUAUCUGUAGCUAAAUACAAGUGAACACUAAGAAGCGUGAGAAUUGUAGAUUCAAGUGACCAAUGAAUGCCAUCAGCCCACAAAGUUUUCAUGUUUUAGACAAAGCAGCUGAAGAACACAAUAAGCAACAAAGAAACAGAAUGGGUUUUCACAUCUCACUAACAUAGAAUGACUUAACAGUCAAAUGCUACUGCAGACUAAUAUCUAAGCUAAUCAAAGUUAGCCCCAAUUUGUUCCCUCAUGUUUGCUUAGUUGCCAGGAUCUGCAGGUUGAUCCCCUCGCGCUGAUCUGUUUUCUUGGCUGCUUUCGGAUCUGAUAAAACGAAUCAACCCAGAUAAAUUAGAUUCAAUACUCACAGUCCUCGUACAUCAUUGUAGUGGAAACAAAGUGCUUAUGAAUAAAAAUAUUAAUUACAUAUUUAAGUCAUAGACAUCUGAAAUAAAGAACAUAAAAAGCACUACAUUCUGGCAGCUAAUUUUCAGUACUUAAUUUACAGGUAAAUGUGGCCGCAUGUCUAAGUUCUACAUUCAGCGGAGGAGACUAGCAAUUGGCCUGGCUAAAACAUGGAUAUUAGCUUCUGAGAGGUGUAGAUCCAGAAUGCUGUAACAUUUGGGUUGGGCUAGACAAGAAAUUAAACAGGAUGUUCCAUCCCAGAAGUUGACAGUAUUAGUCCAAGAAAUAAAGGGCAAGGCCUGGUUGAUAUAGGGGUGGUUGGUGCAUCGUUGGAAUGGGUGCAUUUUCUCAUACAAGAUGCCAAACGUACUAAAGAAUUCCCACCUAUAAGCUUGCAAACAAUGGAAUCCAAUGCUGGAAAUGGAAAGCCAAUGCUCUUAGUUGACCUGUUGACCACAGUAGUAGACUGAAAGAAGCUCAAGUCUUGCUUUAGAAAUCAAUAACUUUCAGGACCAAAAUAUUAGUACAGGUAGUACUAAAGUAUCUUGUUACCUAAACUUAAACUUUGCACCCUGGAUCAGCAAGAAGUCUAAUCAAAGCAGAAUAUGAAACGCAAAAAAUAUUUGAAAUAAGAAUGUUAAUAUUGCAUUUGGAACAAAAAAUUAUAGGAAAAAGUUGGCAGAAACUCCCCAAGAUUCUAAACCAAUUAGCUAGAAAUACCAAGUAAAAAGAAAAAAAGUCACGAUAAUAGAUGCAAAACAGCAACUAUUUGAAUCACUAACAUAUAAGACUAGCAAGAAUAAUAAGUGCUUAAAACAGAAAAAGUUAAUCAAGAAGGACCAAGAAGCAGAAGACUUUGGCAGAUGACUCUGGACAAAAAACCCAAUAGCAAGAAGAUAAGGAAAGCAAGAUUACCCAGUUGCAGGAGAGAGCCAAGUCCCAUUUUGCCAUUCAAGAUGACGCCUAACUUUAAAGAAAGGACAGUGAUGUUCCUUGCCAUUGCAAUCCAACUUGACAUAGUAGUUGGGGUCAACUUUUCUAAUGACAGUUCCAACCCUCCAAGCAAAGUCGACGAAGGCUUCAACCCUUUCAGCCAUGGCGAAAUUGUAGCCAGAAGGUUGUGGGGGAGAAGGCCUGAUUUCAUCGGAGUCAACAGCUUCAGUGAGGAACCUUGAUCCGUCCUCGUUGAAACGAUUCUCAUACCGUACCAAGUAUCUCUUUCUUCCUACCGCGGCUAGAAGAAUGGCUGUGUAAUAGACGCCAGAGAACCCCUCUUCCUUCUUGCAUAUCUCCACCAGGUCAUUUAGUUUGAAAGCCAUUGUCUUGUAUUGCCGCCUUGACGAAAGAGAGAAAAAGGGAUGGCGCAGGCCAGGGCUCAAGAGGGGUUAAGGCCUUGAAAAAGUGCCUUGUUAACUGGAUUCCUGAAAUGGGAUGAUCAUCAACCACAGUAAUUAAACAAACUUAUGACGGAAGUUGGAAUCCUGCUUCGGUAAGCUUUAUAUGGCGAACUUAAACCAACGGUCUUGGGCAUUCAACACUUCUUGAGGACUUAUAUCAGCCGUUGGAUUUUACUUCUGUCCUGCAUGAUUCUGAAUCACUUCUAAAAAGAGCAUAUAAAAAUUUUAUGACGCUAGCAGCUGGUAAAGCAGUAUUCCACAAAUUCUAUAUCCAAAGUUUCAAUUUAGAAAGAAGAGAAAUUUAUAAAAUUUCGAGAUUUAUAAAUGAAGGGGAUUAGGAAUUUGGCAUCCAUUUCCCUUUUGUUUUAUGGUAAAUGUUGCAGAAUUUGCAGUUAAAUUGCUACAAGAAUACAUUUAAUCAAAGGUUUAGAACAAUUACCAGAUCCGAACCAUCACAAAUUUGUCACUUCAUGAAAAUAGUAAUGUUUGAACAUGUCAAAAAGGUUCACUGCAAGAUGGAAGAUCCAUGUUACUCAUGAAUAUCUUGUAAAAUCAAUUGUUCUGAUCAAUAAGCACAUUGAAGAUCAAAUAUAUUUAUUACACAUAUAUCAGGGAGGACAGUAGAUUUUCGGGAACUAUUCUUGUAAAACUUACCAUGAUAAAUAAAACUAAGAACUAGCUUGUUUCAUAUUAUAUCUCUGGCAAGAUUGGCAAGUGAAAUUGUUAAGAAAAAUAAACCGACCUCUGUUUAUUGAAUAUAUCAACUUUCACUUUGUUUUGCCAUUAACGAAGGAAUGGCCUUUAUUCAAUAUCAACUCCAAUCAGUCCGACUUCUUUGAGGAUUUUCGAGCACUAGGGCACGGAUAUUUUGUCAUGAAGCUGAGAGGGUUGACAAGACUAAUGGUGUUGGUGAAUCUGGUGACCUUGAUGAGGCUAACCUCAGCAGUCUUCUUAAGGUGAGAUGCAGUGUUGAUCUCAACGCAUUUAGGAUAGCUUGUUUCUGCCGGUGAUACCUCACGUACAUCUUCCUCAUGGUAUCUGCCCAUGCUAAGACGGUAGGUCCACAACUCAUGGUCUCACCUUAUGAAGAGUGGGAUGCCUGUCCAUCUUCAUGACUGCAACCGCACUUUUGCACUUGUUUAUAGAGCACACCCAACGUUACCUUGUGCCAUAAGAAACCUGACAACAUAGGAGAAAUGUGUCUCAAAUGUUGGUUGAAACUUCAAAUGUUUAUCAAAUACAUGACAGGCAAGAUUACCUGCCAUGUACUUGCUGAUUCAAGUUACGAACUGGAAACAGGAGUUGCCGCAGAGAACUUUUCUCUCCACUGCGAAUUUGAGGGAAGGUCCAUUAGCAUGAGCAAGACAGAGGGAUCAGAUGCAAAGGGCCGAGGGAAAGAAUAAGAUGGCUUUGAUAGAUGAUGUCAUUGUAUCUUUUCUCCUCGUUUGUAGAACAAAUAUUUACAUCCGUUCAUCUAUCUCUUUCCUUGCGAAAAAAGUGGUUCACAUUGAUCAACUCAUACUUUAACCGACUUAAGUCUUAAACGACCUAAUCAAUCUGACAUAAAAUGGAUCCAUUAAAAAUUGAUUAAACCAAACUGAAUUGGGCUGUUUUUUUAUUUUUGGUUAAAUUAUAUUUUAAAAGAUAAACAUAUAAAUAUCAAAAGACCAUUAAGUCCAUUAAAUUGAUCUAUUCGAUUAUGGAUAUUCAUUAUCAACAAAUGAUCGACAUAACUUAUUUUAAUGGCCUACAAAACCACCUUAACCAUAGUUACAAACUUAACCAAACCCACUUGACUAAAAGCUAUCGAUCAUAUAUAUUUGAACCGUCCUUUAGUCACCCCUAGUACAAGAUCCGAUGACAAAUUUAACUUCUUUCUAAAAAACAUUAUAAAAGAGAUUUUAUCAAUUUGGAGAUAAUAACCUGAAUUUCCUUCCAAAAACUAACAAUUUCCAUGGAAUCUAUGAACUCAGCUAGCUGCAAAGUAGAUUUGGGUCUUCGUUUUCGAGUCAAGAAUCCAAAUGGGAUUUGAAAUUUCAAUGAACAAAGCUGCACAUAAAGCAGGAAAAAUCCUGAAAAUAGUUUUUAUUUGAUCACAGAGGGAAGGAUGUAAAAAAGAGACAGACAAAAACGUAAAAUGCCAUUGACACUCCACAGUCCAAACAUCAAACAAUAGCUCAUAAAAAGUCAUAACAAUUGAAUCUCUCUUGACAACAGGGCAUUUCCAACAGUUUCAGAUUGUACUAUUUCCUUUCAUGAUACAGGUCCCAAUCCACUGCAACAUAACAAACUCAAAUACAUAAACAAAUACAAAUAUAGUAAAAAGAAAAUAUUAGCUAUGGCCACAAUUUACAAAAAAGGAUUUUCUUAAUGAAGAUAAGAACUGACUUUAAGUAGCUUCAUUCAUCUCCUUCACCCACUUUAGCAGCACCAAGCUUUGCGGCUUCUUCUGUAAUGAGACAAAUACAUGGACGCAGAAACUUAUGUAUCAAAUGGCAGAACUAGGUAAGAAGUAUUAAAUGUAAUAAUAAAGAGGCAAAUCCUAGCUAAGGAAUAUUCAGUCGUGCAAAAUCUGAAAAGUUACCUCCAUCCUCUGGGAUGUCAGAAGUCCAUAAAGUAAGGUUGUCCCUUAAAAGCUGCAUAAUCAAUGUGCUAUCUUUGUAUGACUCCUCGCUUAAAGUAUCCAACUCUGAGAUAGCUUCAUCAAAAGCUUGUUUAGCAAGGUGACAGGCCCUGGUUUACAAGUUUAACGUGUAACACGGCUUUCCAAAAUUAUGCAGAAGUAGCUCGACAAGAAAGUUAAGACAUAGAGAGGAAACAACAUGCAUGCAUACCUUUCAGGAGAGUUCAUAAUUUCAUAAUAAAAGACAGAGAAGUUCAAGGCCAAACCCAACCGGAUUGGAUGCGUAGGAGGCAACUCAGCUUCUGCUGUAGUUGUUGCAGACUGCAAACAAAUAAUAUCCACAGGCUCGGAAAAUGUUUGGCAUUAUAAGAAUACAGACAUUCCAAAAGUAUUUACAGGCAUCUUAGGAUUUUCUAAGACAAGGUAGACAACUUAUAUCCACAAGCUCAGCACAAGGGAUCAAGCAAAUGUCAUGGAAGUAGCCAUAAUUAAAAAGCAUAGCAAUAGGGGCAAAAUUUUCUUCUUACAUCGCUUCGAAUAUUUUUUUUUUCGGCCUAUGACAUUUGAUUUAUAAAUACAGGGUGAAAAGAGAACAUAUGUUAAAAAUGGGAAAACCAUUGGUACAAUUCCGCAUGCAAAGGCCAUGAAGUUCUUUAAUAAAAUCAUUCCAUGUAAUAAAUUGCAGACUAAACAAUAGGAGCUAAAGUCCAAAAACUUAGGAUGCCUGUUGUUGUGAAAUAAAUAAUUCUUGCCCACCUAUAUUUUCUCCCAAGAAUAGGGAGAGAGAAACAGGUGCAGCAAAGAUGAAAACAGACAAAGCAUUUUCCAACUUCUAUUGUCCCUUCACUUCUCAUCAACCAACCAACAAAUUCAUAAGCAAAAAAUGUACAUUUAGCUACCAACAUUUUAUAAACCAAAUUUCUUCUUUUAAGCCAAUUUAAACAUAAUUGAACUUGCCUGAUAUGCUUUCAUGGACUGAUCAGCGGCCUCUUUCCUCUCAUCACCCAUCUUAAACUCCGCCAAGUACCUAUAAUAAUCUCCUUUCCUGCAACCAAACAAUCCCCAAGAAUAUGAGAAAAAAAAAAAGAAAAAAAGAACCCAGGGUCAAUAAACAAAGAAAACCCAAAAAUAGUUCUCACAUUUUAUAAUAAAACACAGUAGACUCUCCACCCGAGCAAGAAGGAAUGAGAUGCUCAUUAAUGACACCCAUAAUAUCUUUACAAAUAUUGGACAACUCCGAUUCUACUUUCUGCCUAGACGUUUUGAUUUUCUUAACAUUUUGCUCAUUCCCUUUGCUCUCUUCCUUUUGCUCAAUCGAAGACAGGAUCCUCCACGAUGCUCUUCGAGCACCGAUCACGUUUUUGUACCCAACAGAGAGCAGGUUCCGCUCUUCUACGGUCAGUUCCACAUCAAGCUCCGCUAGCUUUUUCAUGGAAGUCACCAUAUCUGGAAAACAAAACAAAAAAUCCCACAAUUUUAAAAGCUUAAAUGAAGAAAAGAACCAAAGUUUAUGACCUUGUCAAUUAGAUCGGACCAUCAAAGCGUUCUGCUUGCUCAGCGAGCUUGGCGAUGUAAACGAAUCUUUCACGUUCUUCGGAGAAAUCCAUGGCCGAUUACAAGCUUUUUCUUUUGUAGGAGAAAUGAAAAAACAAGGAGAAGGGACUCGGAGAGGAAGAAGAUGGUCCUUCUUUUUCAGGGGUUUUAUUUUUUUUGGUGGGGGGUGGGGUUGGUUGAGGAGGACCAAUCAGGGAGAACUAAGAUGGGCAAAAGUGGAGGAAGCGGGGACAAGACAUGACUGGCCGGCCUCGAUUUGGAAUGUCAAUGACCCACGCGAGAUUGGGGCUGUGGCCUACACUCCUUGUUAAAUAAGGCAGUGUUACGAGGUCGUUUUAAGGAGUUUGGGACGUAAUCGUUGGUUUUGAGAGUGUUGCUUUCUUUGAAGUUUGAAUGGAAAAGGAAAUGAUGGAGAUAGGUCAGCAUUUAAGUGAAAUUAAGUUUUACCUUAAGAAAACUGAAAUUGUUUAACAGAGUUAGAAAGAUUCAGACCCCCAAAUCUACCAGUCGGUUCUUUUUGUUGUAUACAUGAAAAUGGCUCCACCAACCCCAAACUCUGCCGAGGGAAAGAAUUGGGCUUUCACUAAUCCGAAUUAAGGACAAGGGAAAUGGGCUUCUAUAUCAAUACAAUAAUAGACCAUUUAACUUAAUUCCAUCAUGCAGUACAAAUACACAACAGUGCUUGGGCAGAUGGGCAUGCAAUCCAAGGCAAGAAGAUUGCCUUAAAGUAUUUGACCAACUAAAAUUCAAACCCCAUUUGUCAUUUAAGCACCUACUACCUAGUUAAUAAGAUAUGCGAUGAACAAGAGGAAGGUGGCGAGGGAUGUCACAAAGUUCCUCUAGUGGGGGCAUGGGUGAUGAAGCCACUCCUUGCUUCUGCUCAAAGGCCUUGAUGAUGCAUGGUAUUCUUCCCAAUUAGUAUUUACAGGCUUAAGAAAAUGAAUCAGAGAAGCCGCUGUGUUGCCAUUUCUUUCUAUGUUUGCAUCAUUAUCCUUAUCGUUAUCCAUCCCCUGACCGCAAGUUUCCGCAUUAGCAUUCCCUUGUCUAAUUUAACUUUGGAUAAAAUUAGAUGGGUUUAUAUACAAUACAUUAAAUAUUAUUUCGUUAUCUAAUUUUUGAUAAGGGGACAUAAAAAAGGAUUGGAGAAAACAACUUUUAAAUAGAUCUAUUUAAUAGUUAAGUUUUUUGUUCAAGUUAGAAGGACUCUUCAAAAUUUAAGAGAGUGUAAAUAAAAUUAUUAGACAAAAAAUAAAGUUUGACAAAAAAUAUACUCAAUUAAAAUAUGGCCCAUACUUAGGUUUCAAUAUUUAAAACUCGAGCUUAGUUCGUUUAUGAUAUGUUUUUUUAUAUUUUGUUUUAUAUAGUAUGUAAUUUAUAUUAUAAUGUAAAUAAAAAAACAUGUUAAGUUGUGUAUAUUUAGAUUUAAUUAAAAAACAUAAUAAUAAAAUAUAUAACUACUAAGUAAUUAUAUUUUUAAAAAUAUUGGCAAGCUUAAAUGGACUUGAAUUAGCCAUUUACAAAUAUUCGAGUUUAAGCAAAAUUUGAAACUCAUACUUCAAGUCCGACUAAAUUUGGACAAUUAUAUAUAAUAUUAAUACCAUGUAUAGGCCCGAUUGAACUAGACUCAUGAUCAUCUCUGUCUUUUAGUUAUGUCGAAUGAUGACUUGUCUUUUGUGGGUUAAUCAAUUAAAUGGCUACAUUUUUUUAGAGAAAUUUAGGAGUUGAAUUACAAAUAUAAUUAUAAAUGAUAAAUAAUACAUGUUCAAUCAACUAGAAUUAGAAUAACUCAAUACAAAACAAAAUAGUUCGAAAAAUGAAAUAUAUUCGAAUCUAAACCAAAAUAAAUCCUAACAUGACACACAUGAUGGAACUUAUACUCAAAAUAAUCUCAAGGAUAAUAUACAUAACAUUUAUACAUGAUGUAACUUAAAUUACACUCAAAAUUCCAACUAGAUUGAUAAAUAUUUACAUACCUUUUUCUUUAUUUAAUUUUAUUAAAAAAAUAUUUUAUGUUGAUGUAAAUUUUUUAAAACAAAUUGGGAAUGAGAAAUAGAAUUUAUGUUUAUAACAUAAUAUUAUUUGUUAAUAAUAUUACGUUAAGAAGUUAUCGGAGUUUAUGUAUUUUUAUGUGAUGGUAUUGUCGUAGUAAAAAUUAUAUUUGUUUCUACAAUGUGCCAUUAGAAAGAGAUGUAGAUCGAAGUGCCAAGUAAGCGACCCUAAACAAAUACUAACAGAAUGCACUAGAAAAUUCUUCAUCUUCAACGCACAAAAUUACAACAGUUCUUAGGCUUACUAGGGAAAUUCAGCUCACAAAUACUAGUAGCUUUUAUUUACACAGUCAUUCAUAUAUAUAUAUAUCUCACAUUAUGGAGCAAGCGUGUGGAUUUUCAUCGCUGAAGAUAGAGUUGGCUUGUUCAUCAACAAGAGUUGAAUAAGGUGGUGGCUGAUAGUAACCAUGAUCAUGGCCAUCAUUCCCAUGCUUGUAGUAGUUGUAGGACGAUGAAUGGCCGGUUGCAUGGUACGUAAUCGUGGGUUCUCUUUCAUAGUAUUCGUAGUAAAAUUGGUUGUAAGGUUUGUAUGGAUACGGCCACAGCUCUGCUCUUUUUCCACUUUUUCUCACUCUUUCCAACAUCUUCUUCUGGUCUGACGCAGCCCACCCCAUGACCGUUACCUUUUGCAUCCUCAUAUCUACAUCUACACUGUCCACUCCUGAAACAAAACACCCAAAUUAAGUCAUUAACAUUAAUAUCGUUUUAGAGCUUCAAGAGAAAGCUUGCAUCAUAUGCAAGUUGAUGAUGGACUACAUAUUUUUUUUUCAAUGAUGGACGGACACGAAAGUUGAACAUACCUUUGAGUUUUCCAAGAGCCUUCUUUAUCUUGACCGCGCAGCGCCGCAGCCCUCACAGUCCAUAUGUACUCUCAUCUCUAAUAUCUGCAGAGGAAGAACAAACAAAAAAUACAAUCAGUAAUUAAUUAGCCAAUAUUUGUCUAAUAUGACGAUGGCAGAUACACUACAGUUUGAUGCAAAACUGAUUUUUCUCUGGUAAUUUGUUACAUAUAAAAACGAUAGAAAACAAAACUAACCGCCAUUUUGAGUAUCUGUAAUCUUGGGCUUUAAAAAGAAAAAUGAUGGAUGAGAAUUGAUAACCAUGGGGACGUACUUAUAUAUAGGAAACGUCAAGACUCAAGAUAGUCCUCACUAAGGGUUUUUGUUUUUCUUCAAGUUGCUUCUUGGGGACAAAGCAGUACUCAAAGGAUUCUAGGGAAAAAGCUUGGCAGCUGCUUCGAAAUUAAAUAAAGGAGCUCGCAAACGUAACAAUACAAUAUACAAAUAAUUAAUUAGAUUACUUACAUAACCCGCCCGACUUUAAAACACUAGUCAAAUACAGUAUGGGGGAAUUUCUCUGUUUUUGCCUUUUGUUUUACCCAGUGAAGAAAUUAUUGAUUUGUUGGUAAUACAGUAAUUCAAGCUGCAACCUUUGUCAUAACCCUCCUGAAUCGAGUAAUUCAGAUGAUUAAGGAUGCUAAUUGCUGGUCGACUAUAUUACAAGCCUGCAUGCAAGUUUUGUGAAAUUAACCAUUGGUAUACGCGUGGGAGAACAAGUCAAAAAUUAAUUGGUGGUGGUGAGAUUUCGGUGAAAGUUCCUGUAAUUAUUAGGAGUCGGUAAGGUCAACCUCAUCACUCGCGAUGGUUAAUGAAACUCCAACUCCACGAGUUUCAAUUAGACUUGGGUUUUGGGUGAGUUUAAUUUUAAAAUUAGUUGAAUGAAGUUUAAAAAGAAUUUGUUCUGUUUUGUUUGGAUAUAAUUAUCUACAAUUAUUUGAAGUGGGAUCAUAAUAAGCAAAGUGUAUCUUAAAAAUCUAUUUUAUUUGCUUGAUAAAAAUAUUAAAAAUAAAAAAUUAGUAUAUCAAGGUUGGUUAGAGCCAACCAUAUGAUGUACCUUUAAUUUUUGGCUCAGUAAAAAAAUUAAUACUUAAUUUAAUAUUGAUGUGGAUUGGAUUAAAUUGGGAUAUAUUAAAUCAAGUUGGGGUAAGUGGAAUAUCGUUCUAUCUCGCCAUGUUGCCAUCUCUAUGUAGGCUUGAUCUAUAUUUAGGGCCAGUUCUUUAUUGCUUUUGAAAAAUUUGAGUGUUUGACAUUGCUGUUAAAAAGUGCUUUUGAAAAAUAAAAUGUCAAUUUUAGACAUGAUAUUAUAAAGUAACAAAUAUGUAUUUAAAUAAUGUUCAAAUUAGUUAAUAUUAUGAUAUUUUAGCAAAAAUAUAAAAAAAAUAAUUUAUUAUAACUUAUUGUUAAUAUUUUAAUAUAUAAUGUUAAUUUUAAAUAUUUCUAAGUAAUUAAUAUUAAUUAUUUAUAAAAUUUAAUUAGAAUAUAUAAAUUAUAUUUAAAUAUUUAAAUAUAAAAAUUAAAUAUUUGUAAUUAGAUAUUGACACGAUUGUAUUAUUAUAAAAAUCAUUUUUUAUUUUUAAUUAAUGCUUUUAACACAUCUGUAUUAUUUUAUUUUAAAAUGUAUUUGAAUAUGUAACUCAUAUUAUUUUAAAAUAAACACUUCAUAAAAAUAGUUAUACAUUAUUUUAAAAUUUUAUUUUAUUUAGUACUUAAAUAAAGUGAAGAGUCCAUAUAAAUUUGUUUAAAUGUUGUGAUUCUCGUGUUCAAUUUCAUCUAAAUUUUAGUGCAUUAUUUUCAAUCAGUGUCCGUCAACAGAAAUAAAAGAAAUUGGUUUGCAGUUCAUGCAUUUAUCAUGUGUUUUAACUAAUUUUAUAUUUACGAUUGAGAAAGUCCCAAAUUCAUCAUUAAGACCAUAAGCAAUGUGAAAACGGCAAAGUUUGGCUUCCGAAAGAGAAACACUGCAUAAUUCACAACUCAAUAGACCAGAUCACAACGCCUGAAGAUUUCUAAGACCUUGUAGUACAUUUACUUACAAUAUCAACAUUAGAUUUAACGUCCCCUUUCAAUGAGCUGUAUGGAGAAUACUGUUUAGUGUGCGGUGUGAUUGGACUGCACAAGCUCAAUGCACGGACGUUAAGUUCAAGCAGCCUUUCAUGACGAGGGAAUGCCUUCCAGAGCAGGUGUGAAGAGCAGGGAACGUGUCACAUAAUGCCUAAACAGCUGAAGGAGUCAGUGCAGUACACUGGCUUAUAUUCAAACUUCUAAGACCUUCCUCAUCAUAUCUACCCUUCAUCGGCUGCCAGAUUGAAGCCUUGUUCUUCACUCGGCUGUAAGCCAGUGAGUACAUUGCCCUGUCUAUGAUAUUUCGGCAAUAGUACAGACCAAUCGACCUCAAAUGGAGACAUCCACUCGCCAAAGCAAUCAAGCUAUCAUCUGCAAUACAAUGUAAAAGCUAAUCAGUCCUCAUCUUCAAAGCAUACAAUGUUUGCCUUCCGUUCUUGAAAGUGAAAAUGGUAAACAAGCUUAGUUAUUCAAAGACUGAACAUCAACCUGCUUUAGAAGCUAGAAAUGACGGUAAAAGUUUCUUGAUAUUGUAGUCCACUCUCAUGCAAACUUCACAUAUGUUUUAAACUAGAUUAUAGGGAAGCCAAUUUAAAGUCAAUAAAUAGAUGAUAUCCACAUUUGAGAAUACGAAUGCAUAAUUUUAAAUUGUGUCUACCGACAACCAUUAGCACUAGGUGCUGCCAAACUUCACUAGAUAUAAGUGGAAGCAAAAUGCCAUGUCAAAUUUCAAAGGGGGAUGAAUUAGGCUAGAGUGUUGGAAUUUGGAACUGAAACAAUAUGUUGAAUUUCAAUGUCAAAGCAGUAAGUUAUACUACAUUGAAAAUACCAAAUCUGAACCCAAUGAAAGCAAUACCUGUUAUGCGGACACAGCCACACAAGUCAAGGCAUCUGAGAUCAGGGCAUCCAUAUGCUAGACUCGUAACUCCUAGAUCACCAACAUUGUCACACCAUCCCAGAUUUAAAGAGUGCAACAUAUUGUUGUUCUGUCCAAUAGCCUAUACCAAUAUUUCUGACUCAAGUAAGUCAAUUUUCUAAUCAGCAAGUAAAUAAUAGUAUUUGUAACGACCCAAAAUCCGUGGGCACCGAAAAAGUGUGUGUAUUAUCGGGCCUCUGUCUUAGUGAAUUGAGUUCGAAAAUAAUUAUUAGAAGUAUUUACGAGACUAGUUGUGUGAUUAAUUAGGUAUUAAUUAAGUGAAUUUAGUCUAAUUAAGAAUAAUUAGGAAAAAGGAUUAAAUUGCAAUAAAAGUGAAAGUUUAAUUAUAGAUUAAAAGAAAAUAAUAGGGACUAAAAUGGAAAUUAAGCCAUUUACAUGGAAAGAGGCGUCAUAUAUGCAUUAAAUCCAAGAUUUUGUUUAAGUUAUAUAUAAAUAUUAUAUGUGUAUAAUUAUUAUAAUUAUUAUUAUAAUUAUUUAUUCAAAUGGUAAUUUAUAUUAAUUAUAUUAUUUUAUUAUGGAAUAAAUUAAAAUUAAGACAAAUGUAUGGCGAAAAGAUGGUACAAGUGUAAUAAGAUAUAUCUAUAUAUAUACACUUGUAUUAUAAUUAUUAUUUACUUAAAAUUUAAGUAAAAAAUAUUAAUUAAUUAAAUAAUUAUAUUAUGAGAUUUUUGUUUGAUAAACAAAAUAAAUAAAGACAAGUGUAUGAUGAUGAUUUAAUACAAGUGUAUUAAUAAAAUACAUAUAGUUGUAAUACUUAUAAUUAAUUAAUUAAACAUAAAGUAAAAUAAAACAAAGAAAAGAAAGAAACAGAAUAGAAGGAGACGAAACAGAGAAGAAACAGGGGAGAAAGAAAGAAAGAAAAAGAAAAAGAGAAAGAAAGGAAAAAUUUGGGUUUAAGGCUUUAAAGCUUUAAAGGUAAGUUUAAUCAAGUCCUUUCCUUUUAAAUUUGAUAUUUUUGGAAUCCUAGAGUGAAAUACUCUUGGAUUUAAGUUGAAAUUUUGAAAGUUGAUAGAUUUUUUUUUGAGUAGGGUUUAUGUUGAAUAAAUGAUAGAAUUGAGGGUUUAUUUGAUAGAAAUUUUAAUUGGAAUUGAAUAAAGGAUUGAAUUGUAAACUAAACUAUAAGUUUUGAAUUUUAGGGAUUAAAUUGAAAUAAAUUCGAAAUUAUGAAAAUAUGAUAAAAAUUAGAUAGUUAAAUGUUAGUUUGAUAGGAAAUUAAGUAGUAAAAAGGUAUGAAUUGAGAAAGAAAAAUAUAUAGGUUUAGUUAGGAUUAAAUUAGAAUUAAAGUAAAUGUUAGAUAAAAAUUUCAGCAGUUAAAUUAUAUUGUAUUAAUGGUUAUGAAAAUUAUCUUAAUUUUUUUCGUAGCUAAUAUCGCACCCGAGGCAUCCACGAAGAAAGGAAAAGAAAAAGUGGACGAGGAAUAGACACGAGAACCACGGUUUGUAUCACUAUAAUUCAAACUUUAUUAUUAUUAAGUGUUUAAUUUGAUAAUUAUGUGUGGUAAGUAUUUUAAGGUAAGUGUUUAAUAAAUGAUAAAUUUAUAAUGUGAUAAUGAAAUUGAAACUGAUACUGAACUGAAUUAUGGAAUACUGGAUAUUGUUUUGAGUACUGAGUGAAUUGUGAAAAUACUGAAUAUUGUAUGUAUAAUGCAUUGAAUUGUGAAAUUACUGAAAUAAUGAAUUACUGCAAUACUGUGAAACUGAUUGAAAUAAGGAAUUUAUAAUUGAUACUGAACUAAGAAGGAAAAUUGUACUGAAAAGUGAAUUAAAUACCCUAUUAACUAGUCGGGCUAGUCGGAUAUAGUUGGCAUGCCAUAGGAUAUGGAAGAGAACGGGGUAUUUGCCGGCUUACUGAUCAGGCACUUAUGUGCCGACUAUUGUUACUGUUACCGAUUCGGCACUUUGUGUGUCGAAUACUGUUACCGUUACUGAUUACUGCUACUGGUGUGUUUGGUUGAAAUCCGUGUAUCCGCCAAGUCCGAGUCAAGUUAAUAGGGAUAAAUGAAAUAAAUUUACUAAUAAAACUAAUCUCGAAUGAUAUAGUAUAGGUGAAAAGUGAAAUUUGAAAUAAAGAAAUAAGAAUGAUAUUUAUAUAUAUAAUUAAUUGAUAAUAUAAAAAUAUUGAAUUGUUUAUUAGUAGUGAUAAUUGUAAUAAAAAGUAUGUGUGUGAUUUAAUGUAAUUAAUUAUAAAUUGAAUUAUAGUGAUAACACUGAGUAUAUGCAUACUCAGCGUACGGUUGUUUCAGUGCGCAGGUUGUAGAAGUCAAGUACUGAACCAGCAUCCAAAGCCAGACCCGACUUCAGCAAACUUUUGGUGAUGUAUAUUUUCUUUUGGUAAUGUGGCAUGUACAUAGGAUGUGUAUAAAUGUUAUUAUGUUUUUAAUAUAAAUGGUUAAAAAAAAUGUUAGUAUUAUAAGUUUAUGCAUUAAAAUGAAAGAAGUUUAAUUAUUUUUAUUUAAUUUAAUAUAUUGUUAAAUUUAAAUUGAUAUUAUGUUGAUUAAGUUGAUUAGAAUGUAUUUGGAAUAGAAAUUGAGAAUGUUAAAUGAAUUGGUUGUGAUUGGAAAUGAUAUGGUUUUUAAUUGCAGGGGGUUUUAUGUGAAAAUAAACAAAAAUGCUGCCGAAAUUUGGUAAAAAAAAAUUAAAGUACUUGAACGAGUUUCAUUUCACUUUUAAUUCACGUUUUGGAUUUCAAAAGUUUAUUACAGGGACUUAGUUAUACAAUUAUAUUACGAAUGUUAUUUUAUUAUGAAUUAUCCGUAAAUUGUUUGAUAUGUCUGGUAAUGCCUCGUAACCCUGUUCCGGUGACGGUUUGGGGUUAGGGGGUGUUACAGUAUCGUUCAUACCUGCAAUGCAAUGCGCAAUCAGUUGCAGCUUUAACGCAUCCACAGAGAUUUAAUAUUUUUAGUUUUCGACAAAAUUUAGUCAAAUAUUCAAGACCUUCAUCACUGAAUGAUGUGCAGCCACUAAUGUUAAGUUUUGCAAGAUUACGGCAACCAUAGGCCAAAGCAUACAAUGAGCGAUCACCAAGCUUGAAACUUUUGCUGAGGUCCAGAUCCUGCAGACCAUGACAAAAUUUCGCAAUCGUCUCCACAGCAGUGUCCUAAAGCUGCGGAUUUUCUUAGCCUAGUACGAGAGUUAGCAAUUUGGUAAAUUUAGGAGCAAGGGAUAAAACCAAGUUGUUCAUGUUCUUCCAGCACCUGCAGCAAGAUACCAUACAACCCAAUUUUAGCGAGGAAGUAAACUACCACAAACAAAAUGACAAAUCUAAAUGCAGCCAAGCAUAACAUGAAAAAGUUUCCAACCAAUAAGGUAGAUAUAAGAUAUUUCAACAUCUCCACAUCAAACAAGCUUUAACCAUUACUACUAAGAUUAAAUGUUAAGCAAGUUAAUAAGCAUCAGGGGGGCACAAAAAUACUACCAUAACCACCAAUAUACAUUGAUAAAUAUAUUUAAGAAUUGAUAAACCCGACUAGGAGAGUGUUUUCAAGUCAUGCAUUAUUUUAUCCUACCUAUCAGAAACUAACGUACUAGGUGCUACAAAUUUGGAGAACACUGAAUACAUCUUCCUAAAUCAACCAAAUACUUUCUUCAAGAUUCAUAAAAGGGAACAAUGGCAAAUAUAUUAUUUGUAAACUCGUAUCAUUUAUGAAGGUUCAAAAAUCAAAAGCAUAGCCAAAUGAAUGGUACUUCAACAAAAAAUCAUGCAAGUUUGCUGGAUAAUUAUAGUUAAAACAGAAAGUGACACGGGCAAUUGUAAAGGCAAUAAUCAAGGGCUAACUGAAAAUGGAACUUUAUGAGGUUAACCUAGACAUCUCAAGAUGGGUAGGAAAUGCAGGUUCAAUCAAAGGGAAUUACAUAUUAAAGAAAAAGAAGAUGAAGCUUCGCUAGUCAUAAUUUCAAACAAUAAAAACGCAAACACUAAAUUAAAUCGGCAAAACACGAUCUUAAUCUUAGACAUAAAUUAUGCAACAAAUCGCCGAAAACAUUGAAGAGCUAGGCAGGUCACGUUUACAUCUAAAAAUAUCCAACUCUAAGAGCUCAAAUAAUUGAAAUCAAUGAGUCGACCAAGAAAGGUCAACGAAUAAAGAAGAUGAGGAAAAAAGCGAAAGAAAUAUUUAAAGCGAUAAAAAUUAUGAGCCAAAACAAUCAAUGAAAUGAAAUGAAUUUUCAAAAAAAAAAAGAUCAAGCAAUUUCGUAAAUUCAUAAAUAGGAUACAAAAAGGUUUUACAAAUUUAGGUUAGACUGUAGCGUUUCCAGCAGAACUGGGGAGCACAGGUUUUACAAAUUGGGGAGCAUCAAAAACAGCUAUGUAUUUAAACAAACCAACGUACCUUCUCCUGGGUAUCUUUUAAGCUUUUAAGCACUGGAGGGUUGCCUCAAAGCAGUAGCAGUUAUCCUGAAUGAGAAAUCAAAUUUCUGUUCUUUUCGGCCAAAAGCACGUUUGUGGGAGAAGACAGUUCCAAAGAACCAGCAGAUGAGGGAAAAGAAAGUUUGUGGGAGAAGACGACAAGUUAAUUUGGUCAAUUUUCAGCCAAAAGCACUUUAAGCUGAAGAAAAUGAGAAAUUUUUAGCUUUUCAUCUGGAGAGAAGUCCUUUUCCGAUGGUGAAAUUUUCUGAAGAAAAGGAGGCUGUUUUUCAUUCCUUUUAAGGGAAAAAGACUUUUUCAGCCAAAAGUCCUUCUAAAACGUGCAGAAGAACAGGGCCUUAAUAUAACUGCUUUUUUCAGAACUAAACGGUUGGUUGCUAAAAGAAAAGUGACCAUAUUUGUCAAAGUUUAAAUAAAGAGGGAAUAAAAAUAUAGAUUAUAUUUAAAUCAUUUAAAUGAUUGAAUCCUAUGAGAUGAUGUGAUGGUUAAUAUUAUUUAUCGCUCUAGGUGUAGCCUAGAUUUGAGUCAUGCUAAUUAUAUUAGUUGUUCGGGCUUUAUUAUGUUAUUGUAAUAUAUUUAAAAAUUAUUAAUAAUAUUAUUUCAUUUUGAACUUGAUUUAAUUUAUAAUGCCUCUAGAAAUAACAAGCGCAUGCAAAUUACCAAGCUAUAUAUUGUUGGAUUAUAAAUAUAUUUAAUUUUUUAAUAUUUCUACUUAUUAAAAGUUAGAAAAAACAAAGACAACAACAUCAUUUCAAUGCAACAUUGAAAGAGAUGAAAGUAGUAUUCACCAUUGACUUCAAGCAAAGUGCCAAAAAUGGAGAUGAUAUUCUUAAAAGAUUACUAGCAAAGAAAGGGAAACUUACGUGCUCUAAAUGUGAACUUCAGACCAGUUAACUAAUACCCAUUUUCACGGUAAAAAAAGAAACCACUUCCAAUACUGAAAACAUCAGCAGAAAGUUGCCUCUUUAUGUGCAUCUAUUGUAACAUCUUCGAAAAUUCAUUGGUCUUAAUAGUAUUAUUUUCAGUAAUUAUGAAUCCAACUUUUCGAAAUAAAUUAAAUGUGAUUUGUAAGUAUUAGUGGAGAAGGUAGUAGGAGAACAUAAAAAAUUCAAAAGAUUAUGUAUUAAAAAAUGUUAAUUCGAAGUAUAGACUAAAUUGUAAGGUUUUACAAAGUGAGAACUUUAAAUUAUAAAAAAAUUAAAUUGAAUUAGUGGUGAAAUGUGUGAGAACAUGGUGAGCAAUUUUUACCAAAAUUAAGUGGAUAAGGAUGAUGAAUAUAUUUAUAUUAUUAAGUUAUAAUGUAUUAAGUUUUUAUUAAAAUAAAUAUAUAGCAUGAUGGAAAAGAUGUAGGGAUUUCUUCAUCUUUCUUUUCAUCCUCUUACUCAUGUCACCCACCAUUGUUGGACAGAAAAUUCUUUUUCCUUCCAAUUUGGUCCUUAUCAUCAACAAAUACCCCUCCAAGCCAAAAACUAUUAAACUUUACAACUUAGCAAGCUUAGUGUUAAUGUUUGAAGAGAGAGAAAAUCUAGAUAAUAUGACAAACUAAGACUUUAAGGUAAGAUUUUCAUGAUUUAGUAGUAGUAUUAUAUUUAUUAUAAUUAUUUCAACACGAAAAUGUUAUGAAAUAAGUAUAUUGAUUUCUCAUGUUUUACGGAAUUACCAUGAAAUGAAGAGAAAGAUAAGAAAGAAGAUGGAAGGAGUGUAGGCAAGAGGAAACAAGUAAAUAAAGUUUGAAGAAAACAUAACCUAGUACUUUAGACAUCUUUCUUAACUAAUUAGAUUUUUGAAAAUAAUAAAUUAAUGAACAUGUUAAUGUCAUGAAUUUAAGUCAUUGUAACUUAAUAAAUGUGUGAAUAAUUCAAGAAAGUAGUAAAUGAUUGUAGUUAUUGUUGAUGUAAUUAAAUGUGUAGAAAAAAGGACUAAAUUAUAAAAUAUUGAAAAGUUAUGUGUGAUUAUGAAAUUAUGAAACUUGAUUGUGCUUGUGAUGAAUAUUGAUUUUAUAUUAAUGUUAAAGCUAUUGUAAACAAGUUUUGAACUUGUGGGAUAUAGAUGACAUGUCAUUGGAAAUUCUAUAGCGGGCUCGUGUAUUUAGCACUUUGAUACUUGUGUUUAAACACUUUUAGUGUUCGUGAUAAUCUAACACUUGCGUGCUCAUCUACUUCUAAAUGAUGAAAGUAUGGUAAGUGAAAUUGUGUUAAUUAUCUUUAGUUUAAUUCUUGUAAUCAUGUUAAAUAUGUUUAUUCAUUAAAUUAGCUAAUUAAAUUAAUUGUAAGAUUUGAAUUUAUGAGUAAGCUUUCAUAAGCUUAACGCAUUGUUUUGGACGCGUAGGUAAAGAUCGUUUUGAAGUGGUCAUCCUUAUCUCAUCAUCAAGCAAAGUUUGAAGUGUAUGGAAAUUGUAUUCUGAUAAUUGCAUGCCAUGUACAUAGGAUUAGAACCAUUGAAAUAUUUGUAGUAAAUUAUUAGGUAAGUGGUUUCAAAACUAUGUUAUGCAUGUUUAACGUUAUUUUGUACCUUAGGAUGAUCUUUAUUGGGUGGAUAUUUACAUGUGUUAUAUGUGAUUUUUAAAUGAUAUUUUGAUAUAUUUAAAUUUUAAAAAAGUUUAGAAAUGUUGUGGAGUGAUUGAAGAUAGUUUUGACUUAGUUUUAGGUGUUCAAGUCAUGUUGUGGCCGACAUUUAAUAUUUAGUGUUGCAACGUUGGACUAUGUUGCGACAUCACGAGUUAGUGUCGCAGCAUUGGAAUAUUCUACCCUCAGUGUCGCGACACUCAUUUUUUAAUAUUACGUCAUUGACUUUGUUUUGACCCAAAAAACCCCCCAAAUAGUUCUCAUUUGUGACCAAACUCUAAAGGAAGAAUAGAAAUUAUUUGAAAAACUUCAAAUAAUCUUAAAUAUAUUAAAAUAAAGUGUUUAAAUAAAUAUUCAAAUUAAACGAUUGUGGUGUUUAAAUAUAAUAUUUCUUACUGGAAAUACAGGUUGAAUCCGGAUAAAGGAUAUUAGAUGUAUAGUAUGAUAUGUAUAGGUUUUUGUGCUCCUGUUUUCCAUAGAGUACACAGUCUCGCAUUAAGAUAGUGCUAAAAAUAUUAAUAAACAAAUUGGUUUGGACACCUCGUAAGGCGCUGCAUCUCGACAAUGAUCGUUGGUUGUCUCCGAUUGUCGAAUUCAAUAAAAAUCACUAUUCAAGAAUAUGUCAUCUCCACCUCAACCUUGAUUAAUCAUAUCUACAAAGUUUGUAUAAGUUGGCCCAUAAAAGCAAGCAAUAGUAGUAAAAUAAAAUGAUUUGGUUUAUAUGGUUAAGGUUAUAGUUUGACCAAUAAAAGGUGACACUUUCGAUUUUUAGAAGUAGGCUUUUGGAUAAAAUGACAUUUUAAUUUCUUAUGAAACUUUUAACUGUAUUGUCAAACUCCUGUAUGGGAUAAAUUUGGCGCAGAUUAUUAGACGCCCAUAAAAAAAGUAAUAUAUUAGUUGCCAAGCUCAUUUCUUUGCAUGACCAAAAGAUAUUUCCUGCUCGUCUCCCCUCGCCUUGUUUUGGUACAGGGUGCAGGCCAUACAGUUUUUCCUUAUAAGAAGGCUAAACAACAAGAGAACCCGGACAAUAACAGCAGAAACAAUGCAGAUCAAGCGAUAGAAACAACUGAAACAGGCUAUUCAGUAAUUUACUAAUGCAAAAAAUACAGAAAAAACCUUGAAUCCAUUUUCGACCCCAAAAAUAUAGAUUUAAAAUGCCAGUUAUUAUUUCAGCUUACAAAUCAAACAUGGGAUAACAAUGUAAGUUUUUAUGGGAUUAACGCGUACAACAGAACAGUAAUGCAGUGAGUGAUAACAGGUCUCCCACUCCCUUUUCUUUUUUCUAUGAUGUUACUUGUUAAAUACAUCACGGGAAAAAAUUUUAUGGACUUUGUUUAGAGAUUUAAAAAACGUUAAUGGACUGUUUUAUGUGAAAAACCCCUUGUGGUGGCUCACACAAUGUAAUUAACCUCGAUUUCUCAUUUCAUUUUUUGUCGUAAGCGUGGCUGCGAGCAGUAUAAGUAAUCUCCUUACUUCAUGUUUAAGGUCACACACAACUGCAAGCAAUUGCAACAAAGUGAAAAAAAAGUUGAGAAAUAUUCUAAAUUCAAUGGCAGAGAAGGAGGGAGAGAUUGUGAAGGAAGGGCAUGAUGAGGGAAUGAAUAUGGCUAUUGGUCUUCUGGAAGAGUUUGGGCUCCCAUUGGGACUUCUCCCUCUUGCAGAUGUGAUUGAAGUUGGUUUCGUAAGGAAUACAGGUUACAUGUGGAUUGUGCAGAAAAAGAAGGUUGAACACAAAUUUCAGAUGAUCAGCAAACUGGUGAGUUAUGACACUGAAAUUACCGGUUUUGUUGACAAGAAGCGGAUCAAGAAGCUGAAGGGAGUUAAGGCUAGAGAACUCAUGUUAUGGCCUCCAGUAAAUGAGAUUGUAGUGGACGAUCCACCCACUGGAAAAAUUCACUUCAAGAGCCUUGCUGGUGUAACCAAGACCUUUCCCGUUGACGCAUUCGCUGCCGGGAAGUAAAAAUAGGCACCGUCUUGUUCUUUGGGAGCCACCAGAGUCCAGAAGCUAUGGGGGUUUUUUGUGCUGCUUUAUGUUCUACUUGUAUGCAAUUUGUGUUGAUACGGAUUAAUGAUGCAUUAAUCAUGCCAAUAUUCAACCAAACAAAUAUAUAUACAAAUGUAAAUAAAACCAAGUGACUUCAUUAUUCAGUGCAGUGGUCACUUCAAAUCCAAUUUCAACAACAACGGUGAUGACAUCCUUUGUCCUCUGAUUAUCAGAUGUUGCCGUCAGAAACAAAAGCAGCAUUAAUAAAAAAUAAAAUAACCAUUAAUUCCAACAGGCAAGCAUUUGUUAAUCUCCUAGUAUAAAGGAACAAUAGUAGGGCUACUCCAUUCACAUAUGACACACAUCUAACGAGCUUUUGUGCGAUUGAAAAGCAGAAAAGGAAUAACUCAAGCUGCACAAUUGCAUUCCAUCAGCCCAAAUACAAUGAACCCAAUCGAGCUUUGCAGCCGAGGCAUUGAAGUUUCUCCUUCUUGAACUGGUUCAAGGCCUUCACGGAUAUGGUGGAACACUGGGUCAGCUGCUUAACCUCGCCAAGGUAGAUUUUAUUAGAUUUCUUUUUUUCUCGUUACUGGUACAUGGCCUCCGGCCCCACAUUAGAGGUUUAAAUUGGAUCUCUGAACAUAAAUUUUUUGAUAAUUUAUCAACCCAACCAUUGGUUAAUUAGUAAAGGAGAUUUUCUCCUCCCUUAUUAAAGAAAAAAAUAACAUAAUUUGAAUUAGUAUUUAAUAUUUAAAUUGGAAAUUGAUCCGAUUUGAUGAUUACAGAAUUGAUAAUCCGAAAAUGUAAUUAAAAUUUUUAAAAUUCAGGACAAAUAUAAUAUCUCAACCAUAGUUUAACGAUGUUUAGUGAGAUUAACCUUUAUUUUAAUUUAUAUUAUUAUUUAAUAAGAUUAAUAUAAUUUUUAAAUAAUAAAAUGACUUGAGCAAUUUUGUAAUAAUACUAUGACGUCAAGUUCGUUUUUAUUAAUUUUAUAUAAAAAUAUAAAAACCAAAUAAUAUCAUAAUAAUAUAAUUUACGAUUUUUAAUUAUUUCUCUGAGUAAAUUUAAAUUUUAUUGAUGAGUGAGGCUAAUUCAAUUAGACAUUUAAAUGAUAAUAUAAAUUAUUAUACUCAUAUUUUACAAAAUAACUAACAAUUAUGAUAAUUCUUUUAUAUUUUUACUGUAGACUUUUAAUUUAUACUUACAAAUCAAUAUUUGGGUGGGUUUGUAAAGUAUUUAAAAAUUAUAUUUAGAUGUAAUUGUAUCUCAUGCAUGAGUAAUUAUUGAAUACCUCAAUUAUUGCUACCAAAUAUAAUAUAAUUACAUUUUAUCACUCAAACAUAUCUAAAUUCUAAAAGUUAAAAAGUAAAAUAAUUCAAGGAUUUUUACUGGAUUGUUGGUUAUGGGUGAUUAGAGAUUAAGCCCCAGCCACAUCUUCUUUCAAAACAAAAUAUACCUCGCAGUAACUAAUAUUAUUUGAGCGAAUUCAAUAUACAUAAGUCGAGAUGGCAAGGAUGCAGGAGAAGGAGAUUUUUUUGCUCGCCUCAACCUUCAUCAGAUGUACUUCUAAAAUCCGAUUCCAAAUUAAAUGUUUUUUUUUUUGUUUUAAUGAAAAAUUAAAGUUAUACUUAAUUCUAAUCGAGAUCUGAUUCAAUAUGUUAUAAUCUUUAUUUUUAUUUACUUUUAUCUAAUAAAACAAUAAAAUUUAAUGUUUUUAUUAUUAGCGUGCUUCUAUUUUGGUCACUUAGGUUUAAAGUUUUUCAUUUUAGUCACUAACGCUUCCGUUAAAUCACCAAUUGUGACCUUUUUUCUAUUGCAAUAAAAACAAAUUUAGCCCUCAACUUUACACAUUUUGUCAAUUUAGUCUUGAUUCUUAUAAUUUUAAAAAUUAGAAAAUAUUUAAAAUUUUAUUUUUGAUAAAAGUACAUAAGAUUUUAUAAAAAUUACAUACAAAUUUAUCAAAAUAUUUAUAAAUUAAUAUCUCUUUUUUCUCAUUUUCUAACAUAAAAUUUAUUUAUUAAAAUAAUAAUUUUAUAAAAAUAAUAAUCUUAUAAAUAAAACAAAUUAAUGGGGAAAACCAUGAAGAAGAUUUACAUAGAUUCAACUUUGCCCUUUUUUCAACAUCAACGAUCAUCAUGUCCAAGUUGGGUGAAAAAUUAUAGCCUAAGGUCAAAAAGGGAGAGAAUUAAUGUCUUUAAAGUUGUUUCUCAAAACGGGUUUGUUACGUUUGAGGUUGUGCUCGAAGGUAAGCAUGUUUGGGGAUGUAUAGGUUAGGAUAGCGUCUUAGAGACCCGAUAGGUGGAAGGCUAUGCCAACAACUCUAAAACUAAUUUCUAGUUCAAUGGCGCAAUGAUGGAGGAUGUGGAGACUAAGGAGUUCAGAGUAAAUGUUAUAUUAGUGUCAAUGGUUGUGGGUGAAGAUAGUGCAAAUUUGCGCAAAUUUGACAAGGACUAAAGAGUAAGGCCACACAUAUAAUAGAAUUUAUUAUUUAUAAAAUAAACUAAAAAAUUUGAAUUUGGUUUAGAUCUUGUUUGUGGGUUUUUAAAAAAAUAUUUUAUCAAAAAGGGAGAGAAUUAAUGUUUUUAAAGUUGUUUCUCAGAACAGGUUUGUUACGUUUGAGGUUGUACUUGAGGGUGAGCAUAAUUGGGGAUGUAUAGGUUAAGAUAAGGUCUUAGAGACCCGAUAGGUGGAAGAUUAUGCAACAACUCUAAAACUAAUUUCUAGUUUAAUGGCGCAAUGAUGGAGGAUGUGGAGACUAGAGGUGCUCAUGGGCCGGGCCGGGUUCGGGCCGGGCCUAGAAAAAAAUUUCAGCCUGGCCCGAAAUAUGGGCGUAGAAUUUUGCCCAGGCCCAACCCGGGAAAAAAGUCAUAAGCCCGGGCCCGGCCGUUUUUUAAAUAAAUACCAAAAAUUUAUUUUAAAAAUUAAAACAAAAAUUAAAAAAAGUAUUUUAAAAAUAUUUUAAAAUUAAAAAAAUUAAAAAAGUAUUUUAAAAAAAUUUUAAAAUUUAAAAAUUUUAAAAAAAGUAUUUUAAAAGUAUUUUAAAAUUUAAAACAUAAAAAAAUAAAAAUAUUUAUUAUAUUCGGGCUGGGCCAGGCCGGGCCCGGGCCAAAAAAGUGUUGCCCGAUGCCCAGCCCAUUUUUUAAUCGGGCCUCGUUUUUUUGCCCAAGCCCAUAUUUCGGGCCUAUAUUUUUACCCAAACUCUCUCAUAUUUCGGGCCGGGCGGCCCAUGAGCACCUCUAGUUGAGACUAAGGAGUUCAGAGUAAAUGUUAUAUUGGUGUCCGUGGUUGUGGGUGAAGAUAGUGCCUAGUACUCCGCAAAUUUGACAAGGACUAAAGAGUAAGGCCACACAUAUAAUAGAAUUUAUUAUUUAUAAAAUAAACUAAAAAAAUUUGAAUUUGGUUUAGAUCUUGUGGGUUUUUUUUAAAUAUUUUAUUUUAAAAUAUAAUUUUAAUAAGUAAAUUUCAUGUCAAAAAAAGAGAAAAAUGAGUAUUCAUUUAUUUAUAAUUGUGUAUGUAUUAUUUUAUAAAAUCUUAUUUAUUUUUAUAAAAAAUGAAACUUUAAAUGUUAUUUUUUUAUUUUUUUUAUUUUUCAAUUUUUAAGAAGUGAGACUAAAUUGAUAGAAUGUGUAAAGUUGAGGGUUGAAUUUGUUGAAUUUUUAGAAUUAACACUAAAUUGAUAGAAUUUGUAAACAUUGGAGGGCUAAAUUUGUUAUUAUUCCUAUAAAAAAAUGCCACUAUUAGUUAUUUAACAGAUGAAUGACCAAAAUAUUAAAAUUUGAACAUGUUAGUUACUAAAACAAAAAAAUUUAAACAUGGAUGACUAAAACAAAAAUACAAUAAUAAUUGGGUGAUUAUUUUUAGAAUUUACCCUAUUGUUUUUUUGGUAUAAGUAUGCUAAAGCAAAUAUUAAUAAAAUUUUAUUAUUAUAUUUAUAUAUAAAAGUAUUUUGGUAAUUAUAUUAAUCUCGACUUCAAUAAUUGAAAAAUUAAAUCCAACCUAAAAAAAAAACCUUGAUGGGGUCAUAUUGGAAGCGUUGGGUCAGGGUUUUUAUGCCCUCCAAUGGUUUAAAGCUGCAGGUUAAAAAGAUCCAAACAAGAAAAAAGCAAAGGCUGCUGCAAUGAAGAAAAAGGAAAACUUUUUCCAUAAAAUAGAUUGAGUGGGAGCUUGCUUAACGUAACAAAGUUUGCUUUCCCAGGUUGAAUGUGAUUGACAUACACAUUCUGUUAUGAGAAAGGAGUGGAGGGAUCUGACUACCACGCCAAGCUAGUAUUUCAAAGCUGGUUUUCAUGUGGUCCACCUCACUUCAUCCCAAGCAUAAACUAUUACAAAGAUGGUUUUUUCAUAUGGAUUCCAAAAUGAAAGGAAUCUUGGAAUCUGCAUGAUGUUGAUUUCAAGUAGUGAGCGUCAGUACGUUAUAAUGAUUGAUAGGUAAGGUUAGUGAUUUUGGUUCAAGGAUUGAUUUUUGUGGACCUAUCGAUUGAAAUUGCGGCUUGGGUGUUUCACAAAAAUGGUAAUGCAGUUCUCAUUUUGUUCUCUGUCCUGUGAAUUCUGUGAUGGGAAAAUAUUUCAAAGUUUUAAUUUAUUUCCCUUCUCUCAUUAUUUAUCUUAUACGGAUUACGAUCAUGUUGAUGAAGAGUAAUUACAUCUGCUAUAAAUCAGAUUAAAAACGGCGUAGUGUACCAUAAUUAAUUUGGUCAUAAUCUUAUGCCUUGUCAAAGAUAACAUAAUGAAAGCCAACUAACUGCUGUCUUGUUUUGAUAUAUCUGUUGCUUGUUAAACAUGAUCUCAUGUGUUGUAAUGAUGCUUAAUCCUACUGCUGUCUUGUUUUGAUAUAUGUUGCUUGUUAAACAUGACUUCAUGUGUUGCAAUGAUGCUUAAUCCUACCUUUGAAUCUCAUCACACCAAUGGUGAAAUGGAACCUGAGGAGUAUAUCCUCAUGUAUUCUUUUUCACCGAGGAUAACUAAUGGUGAGAUCAACCAAAACCAUCACAACCCUUAAUUCUCACUGGAGCAACAAACUACAGUUGGUAAAAGCAAUGCCCAACCAGGUUGUGCUUUUACUUUUAACUCCUACAUUCCUUUUAUAUAAUUGCAACUUUUUCCUUUCAAUUAAAAUUAUACAUAAACAACUUCUUUUUGUUAUUAUAUGAAACAUGUAUAAUUUUGAUUUGUAUACUAAUUUAAUAAAUAUAUAAAAUUUAUUAUUACAAAAUUGAUAAGAUUAAAAAAUAAUCUUAAUGAUUAAUUACUUUUAUAUGAAUAAAAAUCUUUUACAAAUUUUUUAUAUAAUAAAAAAAUAUAGAAAUGAUUUAUGUUUUUUUAUAAAAUUUUAAUUAUUUAAUACUAAAAUUAUUAUUAACAUAAAUAGAAUUUUAAUAUAUAUUUUAUAAUUUAGUAUAAAAUUAAUUUUAAUUAUUCAUUGUUUUUUUUAAUUAAUUAGUAUUUAUAAUAAAUUUAAUUAUUAUUUAACAUAUUUUAUUUUUAAAAUAUUUUUAAUUAAUUAUUCUAUAUAUACAUAAAAUUUAACUUAAUGUCAUUAAUAAUCAUUUUCCAUUCUUACCACAUAUCUCACCUCUUAUUUUAAUCUCACUGUUAUAGUAACUAAUUUCAUUAAUAUUAUUUUUAAUCUCAUCGUCUAUCCAAAAAGUGUAACACCCCUUACCCGAGACCGUUGCCGGAGUCGAGCACGAGGCAUUACCUAACUUACUAGUUCGGAGCAUAAAAAUUUGCUUUUAAAAAAUUUAAUUCACUCACGUUCAUUCAAUAUGUCCCUAAAAAGAAAUCUCGAGACCCUAAAUCAUGCAAUAGAAACAGUUCGAGUCCAAACCGGGAACAUUAAUAAUUUUUCAAAUACUAAAACAAAUUAAAACAAUUCAUUUCAUUAUUCACAAUAAAACUGUCCACAUGCGUAACAGUCACUAAUUUAAUUAUAACUCGAGUUUUCAAAACUAAAAAUUUAGAUCCGUAAAUUUUUCCUGAAACUAGACUCAUAUAUCUUCUUACCAUAAAAUUUUCAGAAUUUUUGGUUUAUCCAAUUAGUACAGUUUAUUCUUUAAAAUCUCCUCUGUUUCACUAUUCGACAGCUCUGACCCCUCUUAACUAAAAAUUAAUCAUCUCAAUGAACAGAAUUCGGAUAAUAUUCUCGUUUGUUUCUAUUGAAAAUAGACUCACUAAUGAAUCUAAACAUAUAAAUUAUAACUCCAAAUUAUUUUUGUACAAUUCUUAAUGAUUUUCUAAAUUCAGAACAGAGAAUUUCAAAAGCUAUUCUGAUCCCAUCUCACUAAAAUUCAAAUAUCUAAAAAUAUACAACUCUUUUGCUUACUCUAUUUCUUUUAUGUGAAAGUAGACUCAUUCAGCUUUAAUUUCAUAUCUCAUUCAGCUUCUAAUUCAACUUCUACUAUUUUUGGUAAUUUUUCAAAUUCAUGUCAAUGCUGCUGUCUAAAAACUGUUCCAUUGCAAAUUCUUACUCUUUUAUCAUUUCUUUGUAUUAACUAUCAUUUAAACACACAAAACACCAAAACACGUUCCUACAUAGCCAUUUCAAUAACUAAUCAUUAUCGAAUAUUUACUUGCUACUCCUUAGACAUAUCAUAAGGAUACACACAAAAUGACCAAGUCCCUAUACAUGCCAUAUAAAUCAAAAAGUUGUUUAACAAAAUCUACCGGAGUAAAUCUGGAUGGUGUGGUUGUUGAUGUAGAUCCGAUCCUCCAAACAUAUAUAUAUAUAUAUAUAUAUAUAUAUAUCAAUCUACAAGAAACAAUAAUCACACACAAGUAAGCUUACAGAAAGCUUAGUAAGUUCAUAGGCUCAUAAUAAAAUCUUACCAAAAUUUCACUAACAAUAUUAAUAAACAAUAAAAAUUUAACAUUUCUUGCCAACCAUAAUCUCAAACAGUGAAUCUAUCCAAUCGAGCUCAAUAUCAGAUGUCAACUUAUAUUCCGACAUUUAGCUUCAUUUGCACUUACAAAUACCUGCCAAAUUAAGGAUCGUCUUACGGAUUUAAGUACAUCGUUUGCCCGGUGCUAUGAUUUGCUUGAAUAUUUCACAUUGCUAUAACUCAGUAUGGUUUUCUUCACGGAGAUACCAUACCUACUUUUCACAACUCAGUAUGGUUUUCUUCACUGAAACACCAUAUCUACUUUUCACAACUCAGUAUGGUUUUCUUCACUGAAAUACCAUACCUACGUUUCACACUUUGCCAUGGAUCCACCAUGGACUUAUUCGUAAAUUCAUCACUGGUUACCGAACGUAUGUACUCAAUCCUGCGUAUCCCUUAAUUUGAACUAACAAUCUCAUUUUAUUCUUAUUUUUACCAUAAUCAUAAUUCAACAAAAAUAUACGAAUUGAUACAUUAUAUCAAUCCCACAUUAACAAUUAAUCAUAAAAGUUCAACCAUAUGAACUUACUUGGGCCAAUUUGUAGAAGUUGUAAAAGUUUAGAGACUAAUUUGAUACUUUCUCUUUUCCACGUUUAUCUUCGGAUUCCCGAUCUAUAAUAUAAAUUUUUCCAUUCAUUAGCAUCUAAUUCAAUACUAAUUCACUUCACAAUUUAUGCCCUUCAAUUUUCGAAAUUAUACUUUUACCCUAAAAUUUACAAUUUAGUCCCUACUCAAUUAACACUUUAAUUGAUCUAAUUUUUCUCAAUUUACACCUUGUCCAACCAUUUUAGACUACUAUAUUACCUUUGAUAUUCAAAACCACAACACCAAACCCUAAUUCUAAACUUUUUUACAAUUAAGUCCCUAAAAUCAAUUUCUAUCAAAAUUACUUAAUAAGAUCAUCAUAUAAUAAAAUUAAAGCUUUAAUUCCAUAUUCACUCAUCAUAAAAAUCCAGCACUCAUCAAUGGUAACUUUAAAAAUCAGCCAUGAAAUCAAUAACUAAUGAAAUAAUUAGUUGGACCUAAUUGUAAAAGUGUCAAAAUCAUAAAAAUUACAAGAAAUAAUCAAGAAUUAAAUUUACAUGGUUCAAAUAUAUAAAAAAUCAGCUUGGAGGGACUCUUCAAUGGCGUUUUUGGCUGAGAAAUAUGAAGAAUUGCCUAGAAACUCUUUUAAUUAAGAUUUUUAUUUGUUAACUUUUACAAAAUUUCCAAUUUUGCCCUUAUUACAUCACUUUUACAGAUUUUUCUUUUCUUAUGCCGUCUCAACUAUCCUUUAUUGGCAUAUUUAUGCCUUAAGUCCCUCCUUAUAUAUCACUUAAGCUAUUUAAUCACAAUUUAACAAAUUUUGCACUAUUUUCAAUUUAGUUUUUUUAAUUAAUUGACUAUCCAAACGUUAAAAUUUUCUAACGAAACUUUUAUACUAACUCAAUGACGCUCCAUAAAUAUUUAUAAAAAGAUUUAUGGCUCGGUUUAUGAACUUAAGGUCUCGAUACCUCAUUUUAGACCCAAUUUACCUAUUAAAUUCUUUUUAAAUCACAAAAUUCAAUAAAUCACAAAAUUCACUAAUUCAAAAAUUCUUCUAAAUUCACACUUGACCCAUAAUUAUUAGUUUAUUAAAUUUUAAGACUCAUUGGUCGGAUUUAGUGAUCUCGAAUCACUGUUUCUGACACCACUGAAAAUUAGGUUGUUACAAAAAGAGCCUCCAUUUGGAUGGGCAAUGAGAUUGGCUUCGGUGAGAUUGAAAAUGUCAGUGGCGAUGAGAUCGAAAAUCACAGUGGCAGACUCAAUGUCGAGAUAGGAGUUUGGAUUCAAAUGUUGUGAUAGUGAUGAGAUAAAAAUAGAGAAUAACCAUUAGAGAUAUUAAAUUAAAAGUUGUUAAAAAUAAUUAUCAAUAUAUAAUAAUUAAAUUAAAUUAAUAUUAAUUAAUAAUUAUUAAUAUAUAAUAAUAAAAAUCUAGGUUAAAUGAUAAAUCUAUAUUAUAUUUAUAUUUAUGUUAACUAAUAAUAAUUAAGAAUUACAUAAAUAACAUUUAUAUUAAAAUUUUAAAAUAAUAAUAAAAUAAAAUAUAGAUAAGAGGGGCAAAAUAGAAAAUUUUCCUCUCACUGGAAGUCCAGUACCUCAAUUGGAGCCCUCCCCUUCAGUGAAAAUAGAAGGGUGCAGUAAGUUUGAAAUUCUCACGGAGAUCAUCCAAAGGCAGACCAAUCUCUACUGCAAUUGAAUUUUCCAUCAUUUUAAACAGCAGAUGCCAACGCACUGAAAGCUUUGUAACAUCAAAGGGACCCUUAGUUUGCCACUUCAUUCGAUGUUAUGUUAGAGUAAGCACUCUAAAUACAUAAAACUUCUUUUCAUUACAAACCACAAGGACAAGAUUCAUUGAACAGGCUUCUAAAUGCACACAACUUCCUAGGAGAUUGAUUUUGACAUUUUUCUAAUGUUUAAGGGCUUAUUCCACUUCUUUUGCUUGCAUAUAAGGUAUAUUCAUGGUGUGGUUUUAUGUACUUUGUAUGAUCAUCAACGUCAAUUUAAAUGCCUUCAAUUAUUACUAGCUUACCAGAAUAUCGCAUUCCAAUUUGGUGCGUUAGUCUAAACAUAUUGUAAGGCACACAGAAUAGUAGCGAGUCUAAUCAAAGCACUACUGAAGUGGGGAUAUAGGAUGAUAACUGGAGAAAAUGAUGUCUAUAAAACCCUCAUAGCUCUUUUGAUGUCAGUGCACCCAUUGCAAAUAGAUUCAUAUUCAGUUAUUUACUUCCAUAAUCAUCGAUAAUCUUAGUGCAAUGGCUACAAAUGUAUGCCAAAAAAUGUGCUUGGCCUAUCUCCUUGUUUUGUCCAUCUGGAUUUCACAUGCCCGCUGUCGCCUCUCAAUGAGGAACAUAUGCUGAAGAGGCAUGAGGAAUGGAUGGCUAUGCAUGGCCGCGUCUACACAGACUCAGCCGAGCACGAGAAACUCUUUGCAAUAUUUAAGGAAAACGUUGAACGUAUCGAUGCUUUUAAUAACGGUGUGGAGAAAGGAUAUAAGCUAGGUGUAAACAAAUUUGCAGACUUAACUAAUGAGGAAUUCCGUUCCCCACACAUUAGUUACAGAUGCCAGUCUUUUGAAUUGAUGUCAAAUUCAAAACCCGUAAAUUUCUACCAUGGAAAUGUAACCGCUGCGCCUGCUAUUGUGGACUGGAGGAAAAAGGGUGUCGUGACCUCUGUCAAGGAUCAAAGCUCAUGCGGUGAGUGAGAAUUCAUGGAUUAUAAGCUAGUCAUUUGUUUUAUUAUCUUUUACUUCAUGGCAGGUCAAUAUAUGGUACUUGUUAUAUCUUGCGUCAAAAUACAGGAUGUUGUUGGGCGUUUUCAGCAGUAGCGGCUAUAGAAGGCAUAACAGCACUCAAGAAAGGGAAGUUAAUUUCAUUGUCAGAGCAGCAACUUGUAGACUAUGAUAUCAAUGGUGAAAAUGAAGGAUGUGAAGGUGGCUUUAUGGACACUGCCUUUCAGUUCAUCAAAAGUAACCAUGGCCUAACAUCAGAAGCCAACUACCCUUACCAGGGAUCGGAAGGAGCUUGCAGAAAGGAGGAAGCAAAUCCUGCAGCAACUAUAACCGGCUACGAAGAUGUACCGCCUAAUAACGAAAAGGCCUUGUUACAAGCAGUGGCCAACCAACUAGUUUCUAUUGCUAUAGAAGGAAGUGGAUGGUCUUUCCAGUUUUACAAGAGCGGGGUCUUCUUAUGGGAGUGUAACACUUACCUUGACCAUGCUGUCACGUUGGUUGGGUACAGAACCAACUCGGAUGGUACCAAGUACUGGUUCGCGAAGAAUUCGUGGGGCACUAACUGGGGUGAGAAAGGGUAUAUGAGGCUAGAGAGGGAUGUUGCUGCCAAGGAAGGCCUUUGUGGCGUUGCCAUGAAAGCUUCUUACCCACUUGCAUGAAAGAAGAAAAUAUUAUUGGAAUACUGUUAUAUUAAGCUGCAACCUGUCAAUACCAAUAUCAUGUUAUUUGUCUGAAGGUGUAAAACUAUUGUAAAAUUUGUGUUAUGGUAGCUACGCUUGUGAUAGCCCGAAAUAGGGCCUAAUUGGAAUAGUGGUUUCGUAACCACAAAUCCGAAGUGAAAUAGUUUUAUUUUAUAAAUUUUUAUUAGUUACUGAUUGAUUGAAAUAUUGUGUGAAAAUAUGGAUAAAAAAUUUUAAUGAUUUAGUGCCUAAUUGAAUUUUUAGGACUAAAUCGAGAAAAAUGCAAAGUGUGUCUAAUUAGUGAUUAAAUGACUUAAUUGAAUUAUUGCAUGAAAUUGGAAGUGUUUAUGUGGCAAUUAGACCAUAAAUUAGUGUUAUGGACACAAAAGGGUAUUUCUAGAAAAAUAUUUAAGUAAUGGGUCAAGGGCAUUUUUGUCCAAAUUGAAUAAAAGACAAAAUAAAGAUGAAAACAAGUGUUCAUCUUCUUAAAAAGUUGAAGCUUGCUGCCGAAAUUUUCAUGUUAUCAUAGCUAGGGUUCUUGGUUUUUCUAAACUCAAUUGUAAGUGAUUUAUUGCCCCGUUUUUAAUUAUUUUCGUAUUUCUAUGCUUAUUGAUGCUUGAAUUUCAUGUUUCUACUAUUUAAUUUAAAUGAAAUUAAAGUUUAAAAAUUGACCCAUUCAUGAUAUAAUUGUAAAUUGAUUAGUGAUGUUAGAUAAUGAAUGUUUGAAGUGUUAAUUACAAGUUUUACUAGAUGAAUUUCAAUGAAAAUGUUGAAAAAUGGCUAAAUUGUGAAAGAUGGUAAAGUGUGCAUAAAGUUGUGAUUUUGUGAAAUUGAAGGCUGUUAUGAGCAUGAAAUAUGAUUUAGUGAAGUUUGAAAUUUAAGAAUUUAGUGAAUUUUAUUUUUACGAGCUUAGGGACAAAAGUGAAAUUUUUGAAAAGUUUUGGGGAAAAUGUAAAUUUUCCAAAAUGUUGUGUAUGAAUUGUAUUUGAAUGAAAUGUUGAUAAAAUGUAUUAAAUUGUGUUAAUAUAGAUCAAGAAAGAAGAAAUAGUGCAAGUGAUCGGGGAAAAGAGAAAGUUAUCGACUAAAUUACAAAAAUAGUCGUUUUGCAUCUGAGGUAAGUUAUGUGUAAAUAAUAGUAAUAUAUUUUAUAAAUUGUGAAUUUUAUUUGAUAUGUGAAUCAAUAUUGAAUGUGGAAGGAAAAUUGUUCAUGAAUUAUUCAAGUGAUAAAGUGUUUAAAAUAAAGUGUUAAGUGUAAAUUCCCGAUUAAACUUAGGAAUAGAAGUGGAUACAAGUGACAUGUCACUAGAGAUCAGUGUUACAGUGUUACAGUGUUACAGUGAGUACCGGGUGCUAGGUGAUCUAGCAUGUGUUGCAGACACCUGACAGCUUGUGUGAGCAGGCCCGUGGACGUUUCCAGUGUUAUUGAUCGGUGGUAGCUUCGGCUACGUUUCAGUGGUAGCUUCUCUACAUAACAGUGGUACCUUCGACUACAUUUCAGUGGUAGGUUCGGCUACAUAACAGUGGUAGCUUCGGCUACAUAUCAGUGUUGCACUUAUGUGCUAAAUCUCUACCUAUCUGUGUAUAUUCCGAGUGUUCAACGGGAUUAAUAAUGAGUUAAAGUGAAUAUGAAAUGAAGUGUGUAUGCAGGUACAUUUGAAAAGAAUGAGCAUAGUGAUAAAGGUUAAGUGUGAAAAUGUAUAUGCAAGUGAAUUGGUAAGAUUGUGCAUGUAUAAGUGAUUGAAAUUGCUAAGAAAUGUUUUGAUUAUUUAUAUGUUAAAAGUGUUAAUUAUUAAAUGAGUAAUUAUUGUUUACAUGUAACUUACUAAGCUAUUAGUAGCUUACACCUUUCUUCUUUUCCUUUGUUUUAUAGUGAUUUGAACUUGAUCGAAUUGGGGAUCGUCGAAGCUCGUAUCACACUAUCAUAAUCAUCUCGGUAUUAUGUGCUUUUCAAAAUGUUUAAACUAUGGCAUGUAUAGAGUCUUAAUCAUUUUGAGCAUGUUCAAAUGAUAUGGCUGAGAUUAGCUAUUGAAAUAGGUAGUAAAGAUUAUGUUUUGGUAUUAUGUAUGUGUAAAUGGUAGCUAAUACAAAGAAGCAGUUUCUUUGACAGCAGCAGUGACGUGAAUGUGAAAAAUCACCAUAAAUAGUAGAAAUGGAAUUAGAGAGUGAAUUAUAUAUGGAAUUAAAGCUUAUCAAGUCUAUUUUUAUAUGAAAGAAACGGUGUAGGCCAAGGAAUUCUGUAUUUUGAGAUAUUUGAAUUUUAGUGAGAAUGGGUCAGAAUGGUUUUUGAAGUCCCCUGUUCUGACUUUUGAAAAUCAUUAUAAAUUGUAAAGAAAGAAUUAUAGGUCAUAAUUUAUAUUUCUAGAUUCCUUAGUGAGUCUAUUUUCAAAAGAAAUAAACGGUAACCUUAUAUGAAUUCUGUACAAAGAGAUAAUUGAUUUUUAGUGGCAAGAGGUCAGAUCUGUCGAGCUGUGAAACAGGGGAUACUUUAAUAAAUAAACUGUACUAAUUGGCUAAGUCAAAAAUUCUGAAAAUUUUAUAGUAAGUAGAAAUAUGAGUCUAGUUUCAGGAAAAAUUUACGGAUUUAAAUUUUGAGUUUCGUAACUUGAGUUAUAAUUAAAUUAGUGACAGUCGCGCAGGUGGACAGUUUUGUUGUAAACAGUGAAAUUUAAUUUUAAAAGCAAAUUUUUAUACCCCGAAUUGGUAAGUUAAAUUGGAUAACAUCUCGUACUCGAUUCCGGCGACGGUCUCAGGUAAAGGUGGUUACAAACUGUAAAAAAAAAAAACAGCAAUAAAGUGUUUGAUUUGAUGAUCUGCUACUGUUGAGAUUCCAUUUGAUUUUUUUGGUUUAAAAAAACCACUGUUUGCCUGUUGUCACCCUGUAAGUUACUGAAAGAUAUAGAAGCGACGUUUCUUUUCUUUCAUUUGAUGCGGGCGUAAAAAUUGUUAAAAGCUGCUCCACAUCUAAUAAUGAAUAUUACGUGUCCAAUCAAUAGAUUCUCUCAAGGAAUCUAUUUUGCAUUAAGGAGUAGCCGAAAAGUUCAUAACAUAGGAUGGUCAUUAUUAAAGUAAUCUCUGUCUUUCAAGGUACACCAUGAAGUAACAAAUGAGAAUUGAUCAUGCAGAUGUUGUUUUAUUAGUUAAAACUUAUUAGGGGGAAAAGAAAAAUGAGAUGGUCUGCUAGAAUGGUCCUUGCUGAUGCCAUUAAUCAAUCUAUAUAUGUGUAAUGAGCUCUUUCCCCUCCAGGAAAACAAUUGUGACCAUUUCUUCGAACUAAAUGCUGGUUAUAUAUAUAUGAGUAGAAAGAUCAAAGGAAAGUGAAAGCUUUUCUUUCUGUUUCAAGGCAUUUGGUAAUAAGUACAGAACAAUAAUCUUGAUGAAACUGUGCACAUAUACCCUUGUUUCAUAUAGGUUUGUAUGAAUAAGCUGAUACGAACAUAACUUUCUGUCUUUUUUUCCUGAGGAUAGCUAAUUGGACUUCUAGAAUACUUAAAAGAGGACUAUUCACUAUACAUGCUGCAUAGACAGCUUCAUAAUAUAUUAUGUGUUUAUCUUCAAGCAGUUGGGUAAGAGGCUUCCAUUGCGAUACCGCAAAGACCUUCUGCAGCAUCAAUGUCUCUCUGCAUUCUAAUGUAUCCAUCCUCACCCCAGCUAGUGCCCCAUGAAUUCUUCACCAACCAAUACUUGGUCCCGUCUUCAGCUUCUCCAUAGCCAACUGCUGUAACCCCAUGGUCAAGGAAGGUGGUGCAUUCGCCAGUGAAGACACCACUUUUGUAGUGUUGGAAGUCAGACCCACCAGCAUCAAUGGCAACUGAAACCGGCUGGUUGGCCACAGCUUUUAACAGUGCUGACUCGCUGUUUGAAGGUACGUCUUCAUAACCAGUGAUCUUGACAGCAUGGUUGGCUGAUUUUUUCUUGUUGCAGCUUCCAUCAACUCCUUCAUAGGGGUAAUUGGUUUCGGUAGUAAGUCCUUUAUUUAAAAUGAUAAAUUCAAAAGCAUCAUCCAUGAGACCACCAUUGCAGCCUUGGUCUUCGCCAUUGACAUCACAAUCAACUAACUCUUGCUCUGAUAGUGAGAUCAAUGUACCAGUUUUGAGCUUGUUAAUACCUUCCAUGGCGGCCACAGCUGAGAACGCCCAGCAGCAUCCUAUAUCAUCCAAAAGAAACAAUUAGCAUUAUGGAAUCAUAAUCAUUUAAAGUUGUUUCACAAAUUGUUGUUACUUACCACAUUGGCCUUGGUCCUUGAUGCCGGUCACAGCUCCUUUCUUUCUCCAAUCCAUUAUAGAUGGAACUGCACUAACAUUUUCAUACCUGAAAGAAGUUGUUUUCAAAGCUGCAACAGUGUUGGAAGAUCGCAUUUUGUACCCAUUUCUCAUGGCUUUAAACUCUUCAUUGGUCAAGUCCGUAAAUUCAUUAACACCUAGCUUGUACUUUUUGUUGGUAUCAGUAUUGUGGGAUUCGAUAUACUCCAUAUUUUCCUUGAAUAUCUGGAAACGUUUCUCCUUCUCUGCUGCAUCCUGAUAAAGUCUGCUAUAGCUAGACACCCAUUGUUCAAACCUGUCAGACAUAGAUACCUCAGGAACAGAACGGGACGAGGCCUGAGAAGCCCAAAUUCCCAAAACAAAGAUUAAGGCCAAACAUUGACUUAUCGAAGCCAUUGUUAGGGAGGAGUAAAUUUCAGGAAUGCUACAGUGAAAGAAUGUGAGCUGUGAGGGAUGCCAAUCCUAAGAUUGUAUGUAGUUUAUAUAGAGAGGAGUUCUCGAGCCACACUUCUCCCAUACUAGCAACAGACAAAAAAAAACCUCAAUCUACGUGCCCUGCAAAAUAUUCUGACGAGGACUCCAUGCUAAUUUCGUUACCCGAUAAGAUUCUAAUUCGUAUCUAACUUAAAUUCUUGGAUUUUAAAACUUCUGGCAAUAAAUUCAAUAAUAGAUUCCAGACAUCUUCAGAUUGCAUUUACAUGUACCGUUCAUCGUAGUGAAACUAAGAGUCACCCAAGAAUAUAUCAAGAAAUAAAUAUAGGAAUAUAUUCCUUUUAAACCUGUUUGUUUUUCUGCAGAGUUUUAACAUAAUUCAAUACUUCUUAUUUUGAUGGAAUUAUUAGUAGUUAUGUUCGUGACAAAAUUAGGAUCCGAAAUAUUCAAUUUUCAUUAAACAAUAUUCUAAUAUGAAACGGAAGAAGUGAUGGCUAAAUUGUGAUAAUAUAACAUCCCUACCUAGUCAUAAUCAAAGUGCCAUUUUUGGCUGUACACCUAGGAGUAGUGUUUUGUCCUGCUUCCUCUACGAUGGUGCCGAGGGGAAUACUAGUUUGUGCCUUGAAAGAAAAGCAUAUUUCAAGACAGAUGCAGUAGCGAAGCCCUUAGUUUAACUUUUACAACUAGUCGUUUAUAGGUUAUGAUUUGGCUUUAAUGAGGCUCCCUAUUUCUAUUCAUAUCCCGCAUAGGACGAGGUUCGUGUUCGCAUUAUCCAAAGGGAAGAUGGAUUAGUGUUCUUGUGAAGCCUGCUAAAAGAGGGUAGAAAAUUGAGUGUUUAAUCAAAGUUUAGUUUAAACAAUUCGUGCAAUUUGAGUUUCAACAUUAACAACUUCUUUUGCACAAAAACAAAUGAAGAGCUAGCUAAAAUAUAAAUUAUUCUCCAUAUCUAUCAAAAUUGAACAGUCAUAAGAUGUUUUUUUUUUAUGCUCUUGGAGUCUUAGUACCAUAAUUUAAGCAAAACAUUCUAGUUUAUAUUUAAUAACUUUUUCCAAAAAAAAAUAUUUUUUAUUUGAAUGGACGGUGAGAUUAACAUUAAAAUUAAAAAUAAUGAUGACAAUAGAAUUAAUUAAUAUAGAGUUGGGAUUGAAUACAAUAAUGAUGGAAUAUGUGUUUAAGUUUAAAUACAACUAUAGUAAUAAGUCGAGGAUAAAAAAUAUCAUUAAAUUAAUAUAUGUGUAGAUAUACUAAAAAUAAAAAAAAAUAAUAUUUCUACUAAUAUAACAUAAUUAAAAUUUACUAGAUUACAAUAAUAUGGAUAAAAUAAAAACAAAUAAAUAAAAAAUAAAAUGGAGGGGACAUAAGAAUAUAUAAUAUUUUUGUAUGUAGUUUAAUGAUAGUUGCCCUGUUAAAAAAACCUUAAGUUUUUACUCAAUAAAGUAUUUUUAUAAUAAAAUUAUUUAAUAAUUUAUUAUAUAAAAAAUUAAAAACCUAGAGAUUAAUGACAUCCUAGUUCAAAAACAGUAUCAAAUAGUUUUACUGGAGCAAAAAUUAUGAAAGGAGCAACUGAGGUUGCAGACUUGCGGCACAGUUCAUAUGCUUUUAGGCAUGGUUGCAAAUGCAUCCAUAUAUGUCAAAAGUUAAGGGCUUAUCUUGUUAUCAGUUAAAGUUUAAUGGUUUACUUCGAUGUACAAAGUGAAAAGUUUAAGAGUUUAUUUAGAUGUAACAAAAGUAUAAGGGCUUAUUUAAAUAAAAUAACAAUGUUUAAGGAUUUAUAUAAUAUAUUAGCCAUUUUUUAAAUGAAGGAAAUGAUAGAAUUGUGUUUGUUUCGCCUCGAAUUUAAAUAUAUAUUUAAUAUUUUACCUUAUGAAUCGAAAAUAAGAGAAAAUUAUAUUUGGUAUUUGAAUUUUUUAUAAUUUAAUUCCAUUUGAAUAAUGUAUUAGAUAUAAUAAUUUUAACAACACCUUUAUUAAUGUUAGCCUAAUUCUCUCUGUUUUUCCCUUUCAGUCAAUCAACGGAUACAUCUCAGCAUUUAAAUUUGGAUUGGGCUCCUCAAAAACACUCUGAAGUUGGGUUUGCAUAAAUCAAACAAGUAGAUAUUUGCACCCACCAAAUCCUCCAAUCCAACCCACCACCACCUCCUCCCUUUGUAAAUGCCUGGUUAAGACUUUAAAGCCUUCUAUAUAGCUUAUAUUUGCACCAUUACCUACCUGACCCCAUUCGUUCUAACAGGUAGAUGCUCUAGGAUAAACAAACAAUGCAUGAUUUGUUGUUUCUACAACCACACCCUUUUUAUUACAUUUUGAUGGAAAAAUAUUCCCCCCAUUCAGAGCAUGCCGCAUGAAGUCCUUUACUUUUGGAGGUAACCGCAAUUGUCACAAUUGUAACACCCCAAAAAUUUGAGUGUUGUUUGUUGAAUUUUAUCUAUAAUUAAAUUUUUGUAUUUGUGGUCAAGUAUCCUACUUGUGUGUUAGAGGGUAAGGGUUCAAACUUUAUUUUUGGAACUUUUGUUAUUUUGUUUACUUGACUUCUAUCAUUGAUCUUUUGACUUAAGUUAAACUUUGUGUCAAGAAUGAGCUUGUUGGUUCAAUGGUUAAGUUUUGUAUAUUUUUUAGUUGUAUUUGAGUCUCUGCGUAAACGAGAAGGGAACGUAAUUAUUUUUCUUUUGCUCUACAAAGGAAGUUAGUUAUUUUAAAUUAUUAAAGUUCUUUCCUCUUCCUUCUUUGAUUCUUUUUCUUUCUUUCUACGUUCUUCUUUUCUUUUUCUUUUGUUUUUUUUUUCGUUUUCCUUUUUCACUAUAAUUUUGUCUUUUACUCGUCUUUGGGACUUGCUAUGGGUUUAAUCAGGAAGUUGUGUUUUUCGUUGUUCAAUUGCAAGAUUUUUACUUUAAGUGUUGCUGUUGAUUCUUUCGUUUUCGCUAAAAUUUGUCUAUUCUCUUUUUGGUUGAAUAAUACUAUCAGUUGUAUCAAAUUCUCUGUUAAUUGUUUAAUUGGGCUUAUUUAGGCGAGAAUCUCGAGAGUAGCAUUCCUCCAACAUUGUAGUGCUGAUUAAACAUUGCUCGUUCGUCGGUAAGAGCAUAACCUUCAUUUCGGAGCUUUCGCGUUAAAGUUUUCAACAUAGUUCGAUUUGACUCUAAUCUAGAUUUUUGACUCGAUUAAUCUCUCUGAAUUGGACAAUUGGUUGUCAUUCCUAGGUUACAGGGUCAUAUCUAAUGCUUCUACAUCAAACCCAUACCAGGUGUGUAACGAAAACCUGAUUUUCUACAAAGUUUGAAUGCUAGAAAACAUGGGUCGACGCCACACGGUCGUGUGCCAGGCCGUAUGGUAGGUUCUGUGUGUCACACGGCCGUGUGUCAAGCCUUGUAACUCACUAUUUGUGAAUUAGGGUCAUACGGGCCAGGGACACAAACGUGUGUCUAGGCUAUGUAACUCACUGUUUGUAAAUUUGUGUCACACGGGCCAUAGACAUGGGUGUGUGUCCAGGAUGUGUGAGUGAUAUUUUAAGAUUGGAGUCACACGGGCGUGUGCUUAGCCUUGUAUUAGACCAUCUAACUCACUAUUUUGAGACACACAGCCGUGUGUUAGGUCGUGUGUGACAUUAAGAGGGCCACACAAGUGUGUGCCAAGCCGUGUGGACUACACGAGCCAAACACCCAAGCUGUGUGAAUCCACAUGGGCGUGUGGGCCAAAAUAUUGAAAUUUCCCUUAGGGUCGUAAGCAUCGUUCGAAUCGAACGUAGGCCUUUCGUAAGGUCCGUAUGAUCUGAAUUAGACCAUAUAACUUGAUAUCCAAUAUUUUGAGGCUGAAUAAUCGAUUAUCUGUACGUAUAAUUAAUGCGAUAACUGUUAAACGAUAAUAAUCUGUAUUAUCUAAUUAUGAAUUGUAUUUGGAUAACUGUAUGUACAUUCUUGAUAUUUGAUAUCUGUAAUAUGCAUUUGUAUUGGGUGGGAAUGGUGUAAAGAAAGAAGUGCCGAUAGUUUAAUGAUCUGUCAAAUUGAGUGGCUAAGUCACAAAUCUGUAUCUGAUUUUGGCGAUUUAUCAUGUACUGAUCUAACAGCUAGUCUGUAAUCACUCCGAAAUGUGUCACACCGACACUAAUUGGUGUGUAGGGCUAGAUGAGUACUUGAUACCCUAUCUGGUGUGUUAGAAUGGUCAGAGAUGGUGUGUAGUGGAUAGGGGUAGGAAACUGCAUCUGAUUCUAAUCUGUUCUGCAUCUUAUCUGAACUAUUACAAUAAUACUGAGUAUCAUCUGUUUAUGAUUCUGUAUCUAAAUUUGGGAAAUUACUUUUAUAUUUAUAUUGUUUUAUUGCCUUUACAUCUGUUACACACAUUGAGUUAUAAACUCAUUCUAUUUGUUACUGAAUUGCAGGUAACCCAUAGACUUAGGAGGCUCGAUGUGUCAGGAGCUCUGUCAUCUUUCUUUUCUAGAUAUUUUAUUGUUUGUUUAAAAUUGAACUAAUGUAUGUUUUAUUUCGGACUACAGUUUGUAAGCUCGGAUUUCCGCAUUGGUUUAAUUGGUUAAAUGGUUUCUGUAUGACGGAUUUUAAAAUACUUAAAAGGUUGGUUUUCCCCUUAAACGUUUUAAUGUAGCCUUCAAAACUUGGUCUUAACGUCUAGGCUGGGUAUAGGGUUUUACAACAGUAGCUUCCAAUCCAACUCCUUUUUGCCACAAUAUUUUCUGAUGCGAUAACACCUUUUGUCGUCUCACUUCGAAAGCAAUGCCGACGUCUCAACGGUAAAAGCAAAGGCCCCAAAAAACUAGGGGAAAAGAGACAACAAAAAAAUGGAAAUAAAUAGCAAGUGGUAAAGACAAAGGUGGUCAAUGGAAGAGAGAACAGGGGAAUUCCAUAUCUUCCAAGUAAAACCAAUAAAUUAAAGUUUUAUUUUGAUAUUUUUAUACAUUUUAAUUUUAAUGUGUAUAUUUUAUUAUAUACAUCAAUUUUAUAUCUAUACUAUUAUUUAAAUCCCUGGUUGAGUUGGUGUCACGAGUCAACCGGACACCAAUUCGGUUAGAAAAAUUAUGAAAAUAUCCUUCUGUAAUUAAAAUAAAUUAUAUUAUAUGAGGGUACUUUAGUCUUUUAUUUUAACAAAAAUCAAUAAAAACACAAGUGUGGUGGGAUUUGAACCAACACCAGUUAAAUUGGUAAAAUAUUAAAAUUACCACUCAACCAAAAUUUUAUUUUAUUAUAUUAUAUACAUUUUUUAAUAUGCACAAUUUAUUAUCUCUACCAAUUAUAUAUAUUAAUAAUGAAGUUAACUGAGUUAGUGUCAUAAGUCAAUUGGACACUAACUCACGAUUGAUGAUAACAUCAUGAUAAACAAUUGUAGUGCAUUUAGUAUUGUUAAUAUUGUAACACCCCUUACCCGUAUUCGACGCCGGAAUAGGGUACGAGGCAUUACCAGAACACAUACACUUGUAAAUGUAUUAAACCGAGACAUGAAACUUCACCCAAAUUAAAAAAUUUCAAAUUUUUAUCUUUGAGUCCCUAAAUAGGGCCUACGAGGCCCAAUACAUACUCAUUCAACCAAGUCAUGCAAGCUUGUACAUCCACAAAAUACAAAAUCAUAAACAUAUAACUUAACUAAUAUUAGCCAACCUUAAUGGCCUUAUACAAAAUGAACUAUCAAUGUGAUAGCCCGAAAUAGGGCCUAAUCGGAAUAGUGGUUUCGUAACCACAAAUCCGAAGUGAAAUAGUUUAAUUUUAUAAAUUUUUAUUAGUUACUGAUUGAUUGAAAUAUUGUGUGAAAAUAUGGAUAGGAAAUUUUAAUGCUUUAGUGCUUAAUUGAAUUUUUAGGACUAAAUUGAAAAAAAUGCAAAGUGUGUCUAAUUAGUGAUUAAAUGACUUAAUUGAAUUAUUGCAUGAAAUUGGAAGUGUUUAUGUGGCAAUUAGACCAUAAAUUAGUGUUAUGGACACAAAAGGGUAUUUCUAGAAAAAUAUCUAAGUAAUGGGUCAAGGGCAUUUUUGUCCAAAUUGAAUAAAAGACAAAAUAAAGAUGAAAACAAGUGUUCAUCUUCUUAAAAUCAGACGUUUGCUGCAAAAAAAAUUCAUGUCACCAUAGCUAGGGUUCUUGAACUUCCUAAGCUCAAUUGUAAGUGAUUUCUUGCCCCGUUUUUGAUUAUUUUCGUAUUUUUAUGCUUAUUGAAGCUUGAAUUUCAUGUUUCUACUAUUUAAUUUAAAUGAAAUUAAAGUUUGAAAAUUUACCCAUUCAUGAUAUAAUUGUAAAUUGAUUAGUGAUGUUAGAUAAUGAAUGUUUGAAGUGUUAAUUACAAGUUUUACUAGAUGAAUUUUGAUGAAAAUGUUGAAAAAGGGCUAAAUUGUGAAAGAUGGUAAAGUGUGCAUAAAGUUGUGAUUUUGUGAAAUUGAGGGCUGUUAUGAGCAUGAAAUAUGAUUUAGUGAAGUUUGAAAUUUAAAAAUUUAGUGAAUUUUAUUUUUACGAGCUUAGGGACAAAAGUGGAAUUUUUGAAAAGUUUCGGGGAAAAAUAUAAAUUUGCCAAAAUGUUGUGUAUGAAUUGUAUUUGAAUGAAAUGUUGAUAAAAUGUAUUAAAUUGUGUUAAUAUAGAUCAAGAAAGAAGAAAUAGUGGAAGUGAUCGGGGAAAAGAGAAAGUUAUCGACUAAAUUACAAAAAAAUAGUCGUUUUGCAUCCGAGGUAAGUUAUAUGUAAAUAAUAGUUAUAUUUGUAUAAAUUGUGAAUUAUAUUUGAUAUGUGAAUUAAUAUUGAAUGUGGAAGGAAAAUUGUUCAUGAAUUAUUCAAGUAAUAAAGUGUUAAGUGUAAAUUCCCGGUUGAACUUAGGAAUAGAAUUGGAUACAAGUGACAUGUCACUAGAGACCAGUGUUACAGUGUUACAGUGAGUCCCGGGUGCUGGGUGAUCUAGCAUGUGUUGCAGACACCUGACAGCUUGUGUGAGCAGGCCCGUGGACAUUUCCAGUGUUAUUGAUCAGUGGUAGCUUCGGCUACAUUUCAGUGGUAGCUUCGGCUACAUAUCAGUGGUAGCUUCGGCUACAUAUCAGUGUGGCACUUAUGUGCUAAAUCUCUACGUAUCCGUGUAUAUUCCAACUGUUCAACGGGAUUAAUAAUGGAUUAAAGUGAAUAUGAAAUGUUAAGUGUGAAAAUGUAUAUGCAAGUGAAUUGGUAAGAUUGUGCAUGUGUAAGUGAUUGAAAUUGCUAAGAAAUGUUUUGAUUAGUUAUAUGUUAAAAGUGUUAAUUAUUAAAUGAGUAAUUAUUGUUUACAUGUAACUUACUAAGCUAUUUAUAGCUUACACAUCUCUUUCUUUCCUUUGUUUUAUAGUGAUUUGAACUUGAUCGAAUAGUGGACCGUCGGAGCUCGUAUCACACUAUCAUAGCCAUCUCGGUAUUAUGUGCUUUUCAAAAUGUUUGAACUAUGGCAUGUAUAGAGUCUUAAUCAUCUUGAGCAUGUUCAAAUGAUAUGGCUAAGAUUAGCUAUUGAAAUGGUUAGUAAAGAUUAUGUUUUGGUAUUAUGUAUGUGUAAAUGGUAACUAAUUCAAAGAAGCAGUUUCUUUGACAGCAGCAGUGACGUGAAUGUAAAAAUUCACCAUAAAUAGUAGAAAUGGAAUUAGAGAGUGAAUUAUAUAUGGAAUUAAAUAUUAUCAAGUCUAUUUUUAUAUGAAAGAAACGAUGUAGGAAAAGGAAUUCUGUAUUUUGAGAUAUUUGAAUUUUAGUGAGACAGGGUCAGAAUGGUUUUUGAAGUCCCCUGUUCUGACUUUAGAAAAUCAUUAUAAAUUGUACAGAAAGAAUUAUGGGUCAUAAUUUAUAUGUGUAGAUUUCUUAGUGAGUCUAUUUUCAAAAGAAGAAAACGAUAACCUUAUAUGUAUUCUGUACAAAGAGAUAAUUGAUUUUUAGUGCCGAGAGGUCAGAUCUGUCGAGCUGUGAAACAGGGGAUACUUUAAUGAAUAAACUGUACUAAUUGGCCAAGUAAAAAAUUCUGAAAAUUUUAUGGUAAGUAGUAAUAUGAGUCUAGUUUCAGGGAAAAUUUACGGAUUUAAAUUUUGAGUUCUGUAACUCGAGUUAUAAUUAAAUUAGUGAAAGUCACGCAGGUAGACAGUUUUGUUGUGAACAGUGAAUUUAAUUUUAAAAGCAAUUUUUUUUAUGCUCCGAAUUGGUAAGUUAAAUUGGAUAACAUCUCGUACUAGAUUCCGGUGACGGUCUCGGGUAAGGGGUGUUACAUUUAGUGGUAUCAGAGCUACGGUUUAGUCGAUUCUCGGACUAACGUAGCGAGUGUAAUAGACUAUCUAUACAUGCCAUAAUUGAAUAAUGAUGGUGUGACGACUCCUGACAUCUUAAAAUGUUUUUUUUUAUAGUAAUGGAUUCUAACCGAGAUACAGCUGAUGAUGCUCAAAGUAAUGUGCCUGUUGAAAGUCGAUUUGAGACUCAGGGUCAAGGAGAUGAGGCUCGAGAAGCUUUUCUCCAAAUGAUGAACAAUUGGUACACUGAGUUUGUUAGAACUAAUCCUAAUGCUCAACCUCCUCCGCCCCCUCCUAUUCCUCAAGCUGUUCCCAUAGCUCCUCAACAAACUGAAGUGUUAAGAUUGUCAAAGCCUCCAGUGGACAAAAUUCGAAAGUAUGGAGCCGAAGAGUUCCGAGCUAAUGUAAAUGAUGAUCCUGAAAGAGCAGAGUUCUGGCUUGAUAAUACCAUCAGAGUGUUGGAUGAAUUAUCUUGUACUCCAGAAGAGAGUCUCAAAUGUGCUAUCUCAUUGUUGAGGGAUUCAGCUUAUAAUUGGUGGAAAACUUUAGUGUCAGUGGUGCCUAAAGAGAAAGUUACAUGGGAUUUCUUUCAAGAAGAAUUCCGAAAGAAGUAUGUGAGUCAGUGUUUCAUUGAUCAAAAGAGAAAAGAGUUUCUUGAAUUGAAACAAGGGCGCAUGACGGUAGCCGAAUAUGAACGAGAAUUUGUCAAAUUAAGCAAGUAUGCCCAAGAGUGUGUAUCUAAUGAAGCUACAUUGUGCAAAAGGUUUGAAGAUGGAUUAAACGAGGAUAUCCGAUUGCUAGUGGGAAUUCUUGAAAUUAAAGAGCUAGUGGUACUAGUUGAAAGAGCUAUCAAGGCUGAAGAAUUGAGCAAAGAGAAAAGAAAGGUGGAAAGUGAAGUUAGAGAUGCAAGAAAAAGAUCAAUGGGCAAGCCAUUUCAGUCUCAAGCGAAGAAGUUUAAAGAAAUGAAUAGUCGAUCGAAUGUUUCUAGUGUAAAUUUUCAAAGAGAUCGAGGAAGACAAUAUUCAAGUUCUAAAGCUCAGGCGACUUCUAUGGCAAGUGUAGGUAGUGUUAAACCUACUAGACCGGAAUGUCAACAUUGUGGAAAACGACAUUUCGGGGAAUGUUAUCUAAUCAGUCGAGCAUGUUUUAAAUGUGGAUCUCAAGAUCAUUUUGUGAAAGAUUGUCCAGAAAGAGAAGAGAUAGAAAAAUUUCAAAAUGUGAGAUCGAGCAGUGUGACUACUAGAGGAAGACCAUCGAGAAAUGUGGGGACUGGAACUAGUGGUAGAGGCGUAACAAAAGACACGACUGUAAGAUCUGAAGUGGGAGCUCCAGCAAGAGCUUAUGCCAUCCGAGCUAGAGAGGAAACAUCUUCCCCCGAUGUGAUCACUGGUAUAUUUUCUCUUUACGACACUAAUGUUCUUGCAUUGAUUGAUCCUGGUUCUACUCACUCGUAUGUAUGUAGGAAUUUAGUGUCUGAUAAAAAUUUGUGUGUUGAAUUGACUGAGUAUGUGAUUAAAGUGUCGAAUCCUUUAGGCAAGCAUGUGAUAGUUGAUAAAAUAUGCAAAAAUUGUCCUUUGAUGAUACAAGGUCAGUGUUUCCCUGCCAACUUGAUGUUGUUGCCAUUUGAUGAAUUUGAUGUUAUUUUGGGAAUGGAUUGGUUGACAUUACAUAAGGCCAAGAUAGAUUGCAGUCAGAAAAUUCUUGAGUUGAAGUGUAGUAGUGGUACAGUUCUUCGGGUUGAAACAUAUAAGUCAAAUGUGAUGCCAAUUGUGAUUUCUGCCAUGUCUGCUCAGAAAUGUUUGAAAAAUGGUUGUGAAGCAUAUCUUGCUUAUGUGUUGAAUACAAAAGUGUCUGAAACAAAGAUCGAAUCAGUGCCAGUGGUAUGUGAAUAUUUAGAUGUGUUCCCAGAAGAGUUGCCAGGUUUGCCUCCGAUUAGAGAAGUAGAGUUUGGUAUUGAAGUAAUGCCAGGUACUGCUCCAAUAUCGAUUGCUCCUUACAGAAUGGCACCAACUGAAUUAAAAGAAUUAAAAGUGCAAUUGCAAGAGUUGACGGAUAAAGGAUUCGUCAGACCAAGUUAUUCUCCGUGGGGUGCUCCCGUGCUAUUUGUGAAGAAAAAGGAUGGGACAUUGAGAUUGUGUAUUGAUUAUCGUCAACUUAAUAAAGUGACAGUAAAGAAUAAAUAUCCAUUGCCCCGAAUAGAUGACUUGUUUGAUCAGUUAAAGGAUGCCACAGUGUUUUCCAAAAUUGAUUUGAGAUCCGGAUAUUACCAAUUGAGGGUUAAAGAGUCAGAUGUGCCAAAGACUGCUUUCAGAACCCGGUAUGGUCACUAUGAGUUUCUUGUAAUGCCUUUUGGUCUGACUAAUGCUCCAGCUAUUUUUAUGGAUUUGAUGAAUCGAAUUUUCCGGCCCUAUUUGGAUAAAUUUGUUGUGGUGUUUAUAGAUGAUAUUCUUAUUUAUUCCCGAAGUGAAGUCGAGCAUGCUGAACAUUUAAGAAUUGUGCUACAAACGCUGCGAGAAAAGAAAUUGUUUGCUAAAUUUAGCAAAAGUGAAUUUUGGCUUAGUGAAGUUGGAUUUUUGGGACAUGUUGUCUCGGGAGAUGGCAUUCGAGUGGAUCCGAAUAAGAUAUCGGCAAUAGUUGAGUGGAAGCCUCCAAGAAAUGUAUCUGAAGUUAGGAGUUUUCUGGGCUUAGCCGGAUAUUAUCGUCGAUUUGUAGAAGGUUUUUCGAUGAUAGCUUCACCGAUGACAAAAUUGUUGCAAAAAGAUGUUAAGUUCGAAUGGACCGAGGAGUGUCAACAAAGUUUUGAGAAAUUAAAGAAGUGUUUAACUGAGGCACCAGUGUUAGUGCAACCCGAGUCAGGAAAGGAAUUUGUUGUUUAUAGUGACGCGUCAUUAAAUGGGCUUGGAUGUGUAUUGAUGCAAGAAGGAAAAGUGAUAACGUAUGCUUCUCGACAAUUGAAACCGCAUGAACGAAAUUAUCCUACCCAUGAUUUAGAGUUGGCUGCUAUUGUCUUUGCUUUGAAGAUUUGGCGUCAUUAUUUAUAUGGUGAGAAAUGUCAUGUUUUUACAGAUCAUAAAAGUUUGAAAUAUGUUAUGACACAAAAAGAUCUGAAUUUACGGCAAAGAAGAUGGUUGGAAUUGUUGAAAGAUUAUGAACUUGUGAUAGAUUAUCAUCCGGGAAAAGCUAAUAUAGUUGCUGAUGCUUUGAGCAGAAAGUCUCUCUUUGCUUUGAGAGCUUUGAAUACGAGAUUAACAUUGACUGAAGAUGGAUCAUUGUUUGCAGAGUUAAAAGCUAGACCAUUGUUUCUUCAAGAAAUUUGUGAGGCUCAGAAAGUGGAUAAUGAAUUGCAAAGAAGAAAGACUCAGUGUGCAGUGGACAAUAAUUCUGAUUUUCAGAUUGAUUCAGAUGGAUGUUUAAUGUUUCGUGAUAGAAUAUGUGUUCCGAAAAAUGUUGAUUUAAUUCAGAAAAUUUUGCAGGAAGCACAUGAUAGUCGGUUGGCAGUUCACCCCGGUAGUGUAAAAAUGUACAAUGAUUUAAAGAAAUUAUAUUGGUGGCCGGGUAUGAAACGGGAUAUCUCUGAGUAUGUGACAAAGUGUUUUGUGUGCCAACAAGUAAAAGCUGAACACCAAGUACCUUCAGGGUUACUUCAACCCAUUAUGGUGCCCGAGUGGAAGUGGGAUAGAAUUACUAUGGAUUUUGUUUCCGGAUUGCCAUUGUCACCGAAAAAGAAAGACUCAAUUUGGGUAAUAGUUGAUCGAUUGACUAAGUCAGCUCAUUUCAUUCCUGUGCGAAUGAGUUUUUCACUUGACAAGUUAGCUGAAUUGUAUAUUGCUGAGAUAGUUCGAUUACAUGGUGUGCCUGCGUCUAUUAUAUCUGAUAGAGAUCCACGGUUUACUUCAAGGUUUUGGAAGAAAUUACAAGAGGCAUUGGGUACUAAAUUGAAUUUUAGUACAGCAUUUCACCCCCAAACCGAUGGACAGUCUGAAAGAGUAAUUCAAGUGCUCGAAGAUAUGUUGAGAUGUUGUGUAUUGGAAUUUGAAGGUAAUUGGGAAAGAUAUCUACCUUUGGUGGAGUUUGCAUAUAAUAAUAGUUAUCAAUCCAGCAUAAAAAUGGCACCUUAUGAAGCGUUGUAUGGACGAAAGUGUCGGACUCCAUUAUAUUGGACUGAACUUAAUGAAAAUCAGUUACAUGGAGUCGAUUUGGUAAAAGAAACUGAAGAAAAAGUGAAGAUAAUCCGUGAUUGUUUGAAAGCUGCAUCGGAUCGACAGAAGUCGUAUGCGGAUUUGAAAAGAAAAGAGAUUGAGUUUCAAGUGGGUGAUAAAGUAUUUCUGAAAGUGUCUCCAUGGAAGAAAAUUCUGAGAUUUGGCCGUAAAGGUAAAUUAAGUCCAAGAUUUAUUGGUCCGUAUGAAGUGAUAGAAAGAAUUGGUCCAGUGGCUUAUCGAUUGUCUUUACCCCCGGAAUUGGAAAGAAUUCAUAAUGUGUUUCAUGUUUCUAUGUUGAGGCGAUAUCGAUCGGACCCAUCACAUGUGAUUUCACCGACUGAAGUGGAAAUUCGAUCGGAUAUGACAUACGAAGAAGAACCGAUUCGAAUCUUGGCACGAGAAGUGAAACAGUUGAGAAACAAAGAAAUUGCUUUAGUGAAAGUGUUAUGGCAACGACAUGGGAUGGAAGAGGCAACAUGGGAAACCGAGGAGGCUAUGAGGAAACAGUAUCCCAACUUAUUCACUGGUAAGAUUUUCGGGGACGAAAAUCCCUAAGGGGGGAGAAUUGUGAUAGCCCGAAAUAGGGCCUAAUCGGAAUAGUGGUUUCGUAACCACAAAUCCGAAGUGAAAUAGUUUAAUUUUAUAAAUUUUUAUUAGUUACUGAUUGAUUGAAAUAUUGUGUGAAAAUAUGGAUAGGAAAUUUUAAUGCUUUAGUGCUUAAUUGAAUUUUUAGGACUAAAUUGAAAAAAAUGCAAAGUGUGUCUAAUUAGUGAUUAAAUGACUUAAUUGAAUUAUUGCAUGAAAUUGGAAGUGUUUAUGUGGCAAUUAGACCAUAAAUUAGUGUUAUGGACACAAAAGGGUAUUUCUAGAAAAAUAUCUAAGUAAUGGGUCAAGGGCAUUUUUGUCCAAAUUGAAUAAAAGACAAAAUAAAGAUGAAAACAAGUGUUCAUCUUCUUAAAAUCAGACGUUUGCUGCAAAAAAAAUUCAUGUCACCAUAGCUAGGGUUCUUGAACUUCCUAAGCUCAAUUGUAAGUGAUUUCUUGCCCCGUUUUUGAUUAUUUUCGUAUUUUUAUGCUUAUUGAAGCUUGAAUUUCAUGUUUCUACUAUUUAAUUUAAAUGAAAUUAAAGUUUGAAAAUUUACCCAUUCAUGAUAUAAUUGUAAAUUGAUUAGUGAUGUUAGAUAAUGAAUGUUUGAAGUGUUAAUUACAAGUUUUACUAGAUGAAUUUUGAUGAAAAUGUUGAAAAAGGGCUAAAUUGUGAAAGAUGGUAAAGUGUGCAUAAAGUUGUGAUUUUGUGAAAUUGAGGGCUGUUAUGAGCAUGAAAUAUGAUUUAGUGAAGUUUGAAAUUUAAAAAUUUAGUGAAUUUUAUUUUUACGAGCUUAGGGACAAAAGUGGAAUUUUUGAAAAGUUUCGGGGAAAAAUAUAAAUUUGCCAAAAUGUUGUGUAUGAAUUGUAUUUGAAUGAAAUGUUGAUAAAAUGUAUUAAAUUGUGUUAAUAUAGAUCAAGAAAGAAGAAAUAGUGGAAGUGAUCGGGGAAAAGAGAAAGUUAUCGACUAAAUUACAAAAAAAUAGUCGUUUUGCAUCCGAGGUAAGUUAUAUGUAAAUAAUAGUUAUAUUUGUAUAAAUUGUGAAUUAUAUUUGAUAUGUGAAUUAAUAUUGAAUGUGGAAGGAAAAUUGUUCAUGAAUUAUUCAAGUAAUAAAGUGUUAAGUGUAAAUUCCCGGUUGAACUUAGGAAUAGAAUUGGAUACAAGUGACAUGUCACUAGAGACCAGUGUUACAGUGUUACAGUGAGUCCCGGGUGCUGGGUGAUCUAGCAUGUGUUGCAGACACCUGACAGCUUGUGUGAGCAGGCCCGUGGACAUUUCCAGUGUUAUUGAUCAGUGGUAGCUUCGGCUACAUUUCAGUGGUAGCUUCGGCUACAUAUCAGUGGUAGCUUCGGCUACAUAUCAGUGUGGCACUUAUGUGCUAAAUCUCUACGUAUCCGUGUAUAUUCCAACUGUUCAACGGGAUUAAUAAUGGAUUAAAGUGAAUAUGAAAUGUUAAGUGUGAAAAUGUAUAUGCAAGUGAAUUGGUAAGAUUGUGCAUGUGUAAGUGAUUGAAAUUGCUAAGAAAUGUUUUGAUUAGUUAUAUGUUAAAAGUGUUAAUUAUUAAAUGAGUAAUUAUUGUUUACAUGUAACUUACUAAGCUAUUUAUAGCUUACACAUCUCUUUCUUUCCUUUGUUUUAUAGUGAUUUGAACUUGAUCGAAUAGUGGACCGUCGGAGCUCGUAUCACACUAUCAUAGCCAUCUCGGUAUUAUGUGCUUUUCAAAAUGUUUGAACUAUGGCAUGUAUAGAGUCUUAAUCAUCUUGAGCAUGUUCAAAUGAUAUGGCUAAGAUUAGCUAUUGAAAUGGUUAGUAAAGAUUAUGUUUUGGUAUUAUGUAUGUGUAAAUGGUAACUAAUUCAAAGAAGCAGUUUCUUUGACAGCAGCAGUGACGUGAAUGUAAAAAUUCACCAUAAAUAGUAGAAAUGGAAUUAGAGAGUGAAUUAUAUAUGGAAUUAAAUAUUAUCAAGUCUAUUUUUAUAUGAAAGAAACGAUGUAGGAAAAGGAAUUCUGUAUUUUGAGAUAUUUGAAUUUUAGUGAGACAGGGUCAGAAUGGUUUUUGAAGUCCCCUGUUCUGACUUUAGAAAAUCAUUAUAAAUUGUACAGAAAGAAUUAUGGGUCAUAAUUUAUAUGUGUAGAUUUCUUAGUGAGUCUAUUUUCAAAAGAAGAAAACGAUAACCUUAUAUGUAUUCUGUACAAAGAGAUAAUUGAUUUUUAGUGCCGAGAGGUCAGAUCUGUCGAGCUGUGAAACAGGGGAUACUUUAAUGAAUAAACUGUACUAAUUGGCCAAGUAAAAAAUUCUGAAAAUUUUAUGGUAAGUAGUAAUAUGAGUCUAGUUUCAGGGAAAAUUUACGGAUUUAAAUUUUGAGUUCUGUAACUCGAGUUAUAAUUAAAUUAGUGAAAGUCACGCAGGUAGACAGUUUUGUUGUGAACAGUGAAUUUAAUUUUAAAAGCAAUUUUUUUUAUGCUCCGAAUUGGUAAGUUAAAUUGGAUAACAUCUCGUACUAGAUUCCGGUGACGGUCUCGGGUAAGGGGUGUUACAAUCAAAUAUUAUAGGCCAACUCAUAAUAACAUAUACACAUAUAAUCAAAUCCCUAUACAUGCCAUAGACUUAAAAAUACUUAAAGAUCGUUGAUACAAUACCAGUCAAUAACUUGUUAGUGUGAUAGAAUCUCCAACGACCUCCAACUCGAGCUAGCAUCUAUGACACUAUAGGAAAAAAGAAAGGAAGGGGGUAAGCAUUAUAGCUUAGUAAAUAGGUACGUAAAUAAUAAGUGAUUUAUUAACAGGCUUUUGUUAAUCUUCACAAUAUGUUCUCAAGAUAAUACAAUCAUAAUUGCACAUAGUUCCACACUAUUUAUUCAUGUUCAUCUCAAGCUAUCUACUCAAGUCAUAGUCACUCAAUUAUUUAUAUCUUGAGCUAUGAAACUCAAAAUUAAGAUCCGCUAAUUUUACCUUAAACUAGACUCACAUAUAUUCUUACCAUAAAAUUUUCAGAAUUUUUGGUUUAGCCAAUAAGUACAUUUUAUUCUUUAAAGUCAUCCCUAUUCUGUUGUCUGUCAGUUUCAACCCUUCUUCACUAAAAAUGAAUUAUCUCCUCAUACAUGAUUCGAAUGAUGUUCUCGUUUGUUUCUUUUCAAAAUAGGAUUUUAAACAUAUAAAUUCUAACCCAUAAUUAUUUUUGUACAAUUUUUAAUGAUUUUCCCUAGUCAAAACAGGGGAUUUCGAAAUCAUUCUGACCCUGUCUCACUAAAAUUCAAAUAUCUCAUAAUAUGAAUUUCUUUUGCUUACACCGUUUCUUUCAUAUGAAAAUAGACUCAAUAAAAUUUUAUUUCAUAUCUUAUUCAACUUCUAAUUCAAUUUCCACCAUUUGUUUUGAUUUUUCAAAUUCACACAACCACUGUUGUCCAAAACUAUUUUAUUUCUAAAUUUCACUCUUUCAUGUUUUCUUUAUAGUAACUUUCAUUGUAACACUUACUCCGUAUCAAUCUUACCAAAGUUCGAUCAUAUAUCGAGUACAUUGCUCAUAAGUUUACACACAUAUACCUGCACUUAUUCAUCACAUGUCAUAUUCUUUUACACUUAGUCAUUUCCCGUUGAACACAUCACAAUAAUAACGGAUAUCCGGUGGUCUGCACAUAGUACCACUUUUGUAGUCAAAGCUACCUUAUUCACAAAGUGGCCCUUACAUAGUACCACACUUGUGACCAAAGCUAUCUCUUCUCAAAGUGGCCUUCACAUAGUACUACGCUUGAGUCACUAGUGACAUGUCACUUGUAUCUUAUUCUAUUCCUAAUGUUCAACCGAUAAAUUUCUCACUUUUCAAUACUUGUCUAUUUCAUUCAAUAUACAGCCACAUUUCAUAAAACAUAAUAAAAUAUGAUAACGUAAGUAAAAACGAUGCAUUAUUUACAUGCAAACUUACCUCGAUAGCACAAUCGAUGAAAAGGACUUAUUUGUCAUAUUCUUUGUUUUUCCCCCGUUCUAAAUUCGAAUCUCGUUUUUCCUUGAUUAUUGAGCUUGGAAGCUUGAAAACCCUAACCAUGGCUUCCCCUUUGCUACAUUCGGCCAAGCAGGAAGAUGGACAAGGGUUUUUAGCUUUUAUUUUGUCUUUUAGUCCAUUUAAUUACCAAUGUACCAAAAUGCCCUUUUUACUCUUCUUUAAAAUUUUACCCUUUCAUGUCCAUUUUUGUCCAUUAGGACGUAGAAUGGUCUAAUUACUAUAUAAGGACCUCUAAUUUAAAAACCCAUUCCAAUCAAGUACCUUUAUGAACUAGUGUAACACCUCUAACCCAUAUCCGUCGUCGGAUUGGGAUUACGAUGCAUUAUCAAAUAAGAUACAACUUUCAAAUAAUUCCGAAUGCAUAUAUGUCAUAUUUAUAACACCCCUUACCCGAGACCGUCGCCGGAAUCGAGUACGAGAUGUUAUCCAAUUUAACUUACCAAUUCGGAGUAUAAAAAUUUGCUUUUAAAAUUAAAUUCACUGUUUACAACAAAACUGUCCACCUGCGCGACUGUCACUAAUUUAAUUAUAACUUAAGUUAAGAAACCCAAAAUUUAAAUCCGUAAAUUUUCCCUGAAACUAGACUCAUAUUCCUACUUACCAUAAAAUUUUCAGAAUUUUUUACUUACCAAAUUAGUACAGUUUAUUCAUUAAAGUAUCCCUUGUUUCAUAGCUCGACAGGUCUGACCUCUUGGCACUAAAAAUAAAUUAUCUCAUUGCACAGAAUUCAUAUAAGGUUAUCGUUUGUUUCUUUUGAAAAUAAACUCACUAAGAAAUCUAUACAUAUAAAUUAUGACCCAUAAUUCUUUCUGUAAAAUUUAUAAUUAUUUUCCAAAUUCAGAACAGGGGACUUCAAAAACCAUUCUGACCCUGUCUCACUAAAAUUCAAAUAUCUCAAAAUACAGAAUUCCUUUGCCUACAGUGUUUCUUUCAUAUAAAAAUAGACUUGAUAAGCUUUAAUUUCAUUUAUAAUUCACUCUCUAAUUCCAUUUUUACUAUUUAUGGUGAUUUUUCACAUUCACGUCACUGCUGCUGUUAAAGAAACUGCUUCUUUGAAUUAGUUACCAUUUAACAUUCAUAACACCCAAAACAUAGUUUUUACUAACUAUUUCAAUAGCUAAUCUUAGCCAUAUCAUUUGAACAUGCUCAAAAUGAUUAAGACUCUAUACUUGCCAUAGUUUAAACAUUUUGAAAAGCACAUAAUACCGAGAUAAUUAUGAUAGUGUGAUACGAGCUCCGACGAUCCCCAAUUCGAUCAAGUUCAAAUCACUAUAAAACAAAGAAAAGAAAAAAAGGUGUAAGCUAUAAAUAGCUUAGUAAGUUACAUGUAAACAAUAAUUACUCAUUUAAUAAUUAACACUUUUAACAUAUAACUAAUCAAAACAUUUCUUAGCAAUUUCAAUCACUUACACAUGCACAAUCUUACCAAUUCACUUGCAUAUACAUUUUUCACACUUAACAUUUAUCACAUAUGCUCAAUUCUUUCAAUUGUACCUGCAUACACACUUCAUUUCAUAUUCACUUUAACCCAUCAUUAAUCCUGUUGAACACUCGGAAUAUACACAGAUACGUAGAGAUUUAGCACAUAAGUGCAACACUGAUAUGUAGCCGAAGCUACCACUGAAAUGUAGCCGAAGCUACCACUGAUCAAUAACACUGGAAAUGUCCAUGGGCUUGCUCACACAAGCUGUCAGGUGUCUGCAACACAUGCUAGAUCACCCAGCACCCGGGACUCACUGUAACACUGAUCUCUAGUGACAUGUUAGUGACAUGUCACUUGUAUCCACUUCUAUUCCUAAGUUCAACCGGGAAUUUACACUUAACACUUUAUUUUAAACACUUUAUCACUUGAAUAAUUCACGAACAAUUUUCCUUCCACAUUCAAUAUUGAUUCACAUUUCAAAUAAAAUUCACAAUUUAUAAAAUAUAUUACUAUUAUUUACACAUAACUUACCUCGGAUGCAAAACGACUAUUUUUGUAAUUUAGUCGAUAACUUUCUCUUUUCCCCGAUCACUUGCACUAUUUCUUCUUUCUUGAUCUAUAUUAACACAAUUUAAUACAUUUUAUCAACAUUUCAUUCAAAUACAAUUCAUACACAAUAUUUUGGAAAAUUUACAUUUUUCCCCAAAACUUUUCAAAAAUUCCACUUUUGUCCCUAAGCUCGUAAAAAUAAAAUUCACUAAAUUCUUAAAUUUCAAACUUCACUAAAUCAUAUUUCAUGCUCAUAACAGCCUUCAAUUUCACAAAAUCACAACUUUAUGCACACUUUACCAUCUUUCACAAUUUAGCCCUUUUUCAACAUUUUCAUUGAAAUUCAUCUAGUAAAACUUGUAAUUAACACUUCAAACAUUCAUUAUCUAACAUCACUAAUCAAUUUACAAUUAUAUCAUGAAUGGGUCAAUUUUUAAACUUUAAUUUCAUUUAAAUUAAAUAGUAGAAACAUGAAAUUCAAGCAUCAAUAAGCAUAGAAAUACGAAAAUAAUUAAAAACGGGGCAAUAAAUCACUUACAAUUGAGUUUAGAAAAACCAAGAACCCUAGCUAUGAUAACAUGAAAAUUUCGGCAGCAAGCUUCAACUUUUUAAGAAGAUGAACACUUGUUUUCAUCUUUAUUUUGUCUUUUAUUCAAUUUGGACAAAAAUGCCCUUGACCCAUUACUUAAAUAUUUUUCUAAAAAUACCCUUUUGUGUCCAUAACACUAAUUUAUGGUCUAAUUGCCACAUAAACAUUUCCAAUUUCAUGCAAUAAUUCAAUUAAGUCAUUUAAUCACUAAUUAGACACACUUUGCAUUUUUCUCGAUUUAGUCCUAAAAAUUCAAUUAGGCACUAAAUCAUUAAAAUUUUCUAUCCAUAUUUUCACAUGAUAUUUCUAUCAAUCAGUAACAAAUAAAAAUUUACAAAAUAAAACUAUUUCACUUCGGAUUUGUGGUUAUGAAACCACUAUUCCGAUUAGGCCCUAUUUCGGGCUAUCACAAUAUUUGCAUAAAUAAAACUAAUGGCUUAUUAAAAUUUAACAUACAUUAUUAUUCAUAAAAAAAACAUACAUUUCACUUGCAUAUAAUCAUAAUUAUAUUUAAACAAACAUGUCACAAAGCCAUACAAAGAAAAUGUACAUUAAAAAUAUUAAGCAAGAAUUAUGUAUUAUCUCAUCAAUUCAAUAAAAAUCCCUGAGUAAUUAAAAUCCUUAUCCACAGUUAUUCACAUCAAUUUAUACCCAUACCUUGCCAGUUACCAUGUACUCAAUUCGACUAACCUAUUUAAGUAUAUAAAGUUAGGUCUAAAACAUGCAUCUUCCAAUUAAUUAACAUUACCUAAAUUUAUCAAGUACAUUACUUACUAACCUUAAGCUCAUUUAAAAGACAAAUAUAUGUCAUUAUAUAAGACCAAAACAGGCUUAUUUACCUAUUUCAAGCUUGCACAUGAACUCCUAAUGAGCCAUUUCCAAAUAACCAUAUUUCAAUAUCAUUACCAAGCUAAGUAAUACAUGUUCAGUCAUUAUAACACAUUACCCAUAACAUAUUUAUACUUUAUUGACAUUCAUCAAUUCACAUGCUUAUCAAUAUAAAUAUGAGCACCAAAACCGAAUCAUAUAAUCACUUAUAUUUUCAAAUCAAACAUAUUUUAAAUGCACCACAUGAAUACACAAUAUUUCUAAAUAUCUAAUUAUUACAUAGCAUAAUAAUUAAAAUUCAACUAACAUCCAUAUUAAUCUUAUUGCCGAAACUCAUAAUUAAAUAUCACCUUAAUAUUCAACUCAUGUAUCAAGAUUUUAAUACUUAGCUUAAACCAAAAAUGUCAUAUACGUGUAACUUCAUUCGAUUGCAAGCUCAAUUCAUGCUCCAAUAUAAUCAAAUUCAAACAUAAAAAUUAGACACAUCAAACAUCCAUUCAAAAUCACAUAAACUCAACUUAAACAAAAUGAUCAUGGACAACUCAUUUUUAAACCAAACCAAACCUGUAUAACCAAGAUACACCCAAAUAUAUUAUCAAUACAACCCGAAUCAAAUUAACUAUAACCAAGAUACACCCAAAUAUAUUAUUAAUACAACCCGAAUCAAAUUAACUUACACUUCCAAAAUUAUAAUCAUUCAACUCAAUUAAUUACCAACUCCAUACAUUCCACACAUAUUAUAUAUAUAUCAACUCAUUCACCACAUUAUCAACAAAACAUAGCUACCGUAUACUACAUAUAAAUAAGCCACAACCGAAAUUAUAAAAUCAAUCACUUGAUCAAGAACCCAUAAAACAAAAACCGAAACAAAUACUAAUGAUCAAGGACAAGCCAUUUUUCGCAUGGCUAUAUAUAUAUACAAGUCCCAAAAUCAAUUAUUUCAUCUAGACUAUAUAUGCCAUAAGCUCAAAAUUCAACUUAGUAAAAUACAGAAGAAAACAGUUGAUAGUGUGAUAGGCUUGCUGGCGAUCCCCGAGCACGUAACAACCUCUAGAAAGAAAAAUCUAUAAAACAAAGACAAGUAAAAACACAAAGUAAGCUAACUUAGCUUAGGAAGUCAUUAGCAAAACACAUAUAUAUGUUUAAAUCAUUUAAUUCCUUAGGUAAAUUUUUAUUAAAACCGAAUAUGCAUUAUACAAUAUCACCAAAAAGUUCAUUAAUCUCAAGACAUUUUAGUCAUAACUAAUUAACAUUAUAUACUUCCAAACUUAUACGUAUCAUUAGCAUAAGGUCGAAGAUACUUACCUUAUACAUAUGCACACAUAAGUAUCUUUUUGUUAUAAAUAAUCAACCAAUGUUCUUACCUAAUCAUCAAAUAGAUAUGACAUAUCACAUACCUAAUUAUUAUAACUUCGCAAUCCCAUUUGAUAUCACAUUGACAUAGAUCUUACUAAGCACAUAUCUUGAAAUGAUACACCGGCACGAAGCCUGCUAGGCCUGAAGCCUGAUUCAGUACACCGACAUGAAGCCUGCUAGACAUAAAGUCUAAAAUAUUUCACCGGCAUUAAGCUUGCUAGGCACAGAGCCUGAAUAUCUCAAAUACGAAGUUGAUCUUUCACAUAAUUCUUUAUAAGAAAUUUCUAAAUGUUCUUUAAGAUUUGUAUAAAGCUUCUCAAAUAUUGUAUCUCAGCAAAAAUCAAAUUCAUACACAAAUAUUCAUAGCAAACGUACAUUCGACUAACAGAUAUAUAAUUCAUAUAAUUACAUUCAACUUAUGAAACUCAACACAUAUAUUCGGCUAAAUAUAUAUGAUUUAUACAACUUGUUUCAAUUUAUAGAACUCAAAACAUACAUUGACUAACACAUAUAUAUACAAUUCAUACAUUUUAUUUUAACUUAUAGAAUUUAAAACACAUAUAUACAUAAUCGGCUAACAUUUAUAUACAACUCAUACCAUUAUAUUUUUGCUUAUAGAACAUAUAUAUAUACUAAUUUAAUGAUGUGUAUUUUCUAUUAGACUUACCUCGGAUGGUGAAAAUCGGAAUAGAGCGGUUAAUCGAUGAUUUUGGUUUUUCCUCGAUCCAGCUUCGAUUUAUUUUAUUCUUGAUCUAAAUAUAUUCAAAAUAAAUUAGUUUAAAUAUUAUUCCAUUCAAUUUGGUCCAAAAACACAUAAAUGGGAAAAUUACCAUUUUGCCCCUGGCAUUUUACACUUUUUGCAAUUUAGUCCCUAAUUCAUAAAACACAAAAUAUACAAAAUUUACACACACUAUGCUAGGGCCGAUUCUUCCUUGUCUUUAUACAAGUCCACACAUUUCAUUUAUUUCAUAUUUUAACCCCUCAAAAUAUUAUUUUUGCAAUUUAACCCUAUUUACUCAAUUUCAUCAAAAAUUCCAAUACAAAACAUAUUAAUCUAAAACAUAUAUUUCAUUAUUCAUCAUCAAACAUCACAUAACACAAAUUUUCAUUAAUGGCACAAAUCAAAAUAUUCAUCAAAAUCAAAAAUUCAAACAUGAGUUGGAUAGUAUUCGAAGCAACGAUCUCAAAAACGUAAAAAUUAUCAAAAACCGAAGCAAUUUCAUACUUUAAUCAAGCUAGUAAAGUGCCGAACCCUAAUAAGCUUUAAUGGUUUUCUUCUUUGUUGAUUUCGGCUAAGGAAGAUGAUGAAAUGACCAUUUUUUUUAUGUUUUAAUUUAACAUAUAUUAUUUAUUUGUUGUUUUACUUCUUUAACAUUUAUUAAUUAAUUUAAUAAACAUAUAAUAUAAGGGUAAUGUUGACUAUUGCCACCCACUAUCUUAGUUUUGGUCUUAUUGCACCUUUAAAUCUCUCAUUUUAAAAGACAACAACAAUUAGGUGCUUUUAGAUCUGACCCCUAAAUUUUCAUUUUACGCAAUUAAGUCAUUUUAUUUAAUCGGUCAUUCAAACGAUAAAAUUUAAACACAGAAAUUUCACACAAUCAAAUCCACACAUAAUAAACACAUAAAUAAUAUUAAAAUAUUUUUUUGACUCGAAUUUGUGGUCCCGAAACUACUAUGUCCGAUUAGGGUCGAAAUCGGGCUAUUACAACUAGAACACACAUUUUUAUCUAUUUCAAUUUAGUCCUAAAUAUUAAUUCGAAUACCCAAACAAUAAAAUUUCGUAACAAAAAUUCCACACAGUUGUUCAAUCACACAAUAAACAUUAAAACUUAAUCGGAAUAAAUUUUUCUUACUACGAAUUUGUGGUUUCAAAACCACUAUUCCGAUUAGGCCCUAAAUCGGGCUAUUACAAAUAUGAUGUAUUUAUGUGUUUAAAUUUCGUUUUACUUACAAUUUAAUCUAAUUUUUUAUUUUAAUAUCGUAUGUAUUUAAUGUAUUAUUAUGAUUAAUACGUUUCAAACCAUACGUUUCAUUAUUUAUUAGAUGUUACUUUUAAACAUACAUUUGUGUUCUAAAUCUAUGGUUUUCACAUGUAUAUGUAUGUGAUAGGAUUUCUAUUAUUAAUAAUGUUGUUAAUUGAGUUGGUGUCACAAGUUAACUUGAACUAACUCACGAUUGAUGACAACAUUAUGAUAAGCAAUUAUAGUGUAUUUAGUAUUGAUAAUUUGAUAUAUUUAUGUGUUUAAAUUUUGUUUUACUCAUAAUUUAAUCUAACUUUUUAAUUUUAAUAUCGUACAUAUUUCUUGUGUUAUUAUAAUUAAUAAGAUUCAAACAACACAUUUUAUUAUUUAUUGGAUGUUAUUUUUAAAUACACAUCUAUAUUCUAAGUUUAUGAUUUCUACAUAUAUACAUGUGUGAUAAGAUUUUUAAUAUUUUUGAAUCAAGUUAAAUAAGGAUAUCAAACCCAAUAUUAAAGCAACAAAUGACAUAUAUUAUUAUUACCACAUAUCCGAAAUAUACUGCUGGGAAGCUGGAAGGAAGAAGGGACGGAGAUCAUCUUGGGUAAUGCGUGGGUUCAGAUAGGCUGGUCGAUGAAGAUAUGGACGGGGUAUAACAUACUUGGCGGCAUUGCUGAAUCAUAUAAUAGGAAUGCAUGGCGGGCUGUCUCAAGAAGCGAUACGAUGUCGUAUUGCCUUUUCUUUUUUAUUUUGGUCAUCUCCAGCUUAAAACGGUCCCUAAUGUCCACCUUAAACUUUUUUGAAGUUGACAAAUACUAUACCUAACUUUUGAAAUGUAUGAAUUAUAUUUAGUUGAUAAUAAUAAGAAACUCAUAAAACUAUAGCUUAGGUUGGAAAACUUUUAAAAGUAGUCUCAUUCAGCACGUGCAUAAAUCCCUCUAUAUUCUUACACUAAUAAAGUAAUACUUUUUUCUUCCUUGAUGGUGGGUAUUAGAAAUUUAAUUCUCAAACAAAAAGAACCAAAUUAAGACGUAAAUCAUGGAGAUGGAGGAGGUGUCGUUUGGGUGCUCUGAAUAGCUACUUCAAGUCAUGAUAAUUAAGACACCGACAAAAGGUAUAAUCACACCUAUUUCUGCCUCUGCAACAUGGUCGUUAAGCUACCCCCUUCUUAAUGGCCCUGCAUAAACACGACAGGUCUGAUCCAAAACCCUUUUUUGGGAACCAUUUGCUUCGUCAAUCUUUAUUUUAUUUUAGCUCAGCUGCUUCGUCAAACCUGUUAACCAGUAUUAUAAUAAAUCUUGAGUUGUUUAUAAUUUUAUAUUCAAAUAGGAAAGCCUUCAUGGUCCAAUUUAUUUUUAAGCUUAUCAAUGACUAUAUUUUCAUAUGAAAAGAUAAAACAGAAGAAAAGCAAAGUUGCUAUAUGUACAGUAGUUGUUUUUCAGCAAACUUUAACCAUCAAGUAUCAACAGCCAUGAGUUUUGCAGUACUAGACUUUUUUAAGAGGUAAAGGGAGCCGUGGGGUUAAGAUUUUUGUCUUUAAUUACUUUUUGCAUCGAUCCUAGUUCCUUUUAUCGACCACAAUGGAAGUAAAUUGUGUGCAGAAAUAUAUAUAUAUAUAAAUUGUCUGCAGUUUAUUCUGUUCAAUUGCAUGAUGUAAGAAACUUGAAUAAAAAGCAGACAGCUGCUUUGUCAUUAUACUUUUUUUUCUCCGAGUAUCUAUUAAAGAACGAAUUCUUCAAAGAAGAUUACACAUCAUAAGGCACCAAAAUCAGACCAAAUGUUAUGUACCACAAAUUAAGACUAAACGUAUAACAGCAAACCAAGUCCACCAAGCCAUAAUCAAAAGCUGCAACCAACUCCUGUAAGAGAAGAUAAGCUCAUCUUGUUCAAGAUGUACCAUGUCAUAAAAUUUAGUGGAUCCACAUCCACCUCUCCUAAUUAGAAUUCAAGUCACAAGCACUGAUGCUAAUUCCUUAUAACCAAAUACGAAACCAAAGCCACUCAAGCCAAAGGCCUUCUUUAACCAUCCAACUUCCAUGUUUAACUUCUUUUUAAAGUUUUGUUUUUCAUAAUAACUAUAUUUUGUAUAAUAUAUAUAUUUAAAUAUGUACUAGAUGAAAUUUUGAAAAUGGAUUUUCUAAAAAAAAUGAAAAUCUAGAAGAAUUCCUGCAAUUAAAAACUACAAACAAACAAGCCUCCUGCACCAUUCUUAUCUUUGCAUUAAUUAUUCUGAUUAACUUAAGUCAUAUAAUUAUUUUCAAAUUUGGCAUUUCAUGGUUACAUCAUUUCAAACGCAUCACGUCAACUAGAAGUUGCUUGAUUUAUGUUUUCACGUAUCAUAUAUAUGUAUAAUUAAAUGAUCAAUUCUUCACCAAUAUUCACGCAUUUACAUUAUUAACCUAUUUAUGCCAUCAAUAUUGCUUGAGGAAGGAGAUCUCCUUCAAGAGUUAGAUGACCAAUGCAGUUUUAGGGUUAAUAUUAAGUACCAAGAAGGAAACUCGAGACCCACUUCAACAUGACUUCCCAUACCCUCAAAGAAGAACCUUAAAUUUCCAAUAAACUAUUGGCAACUGGAAGCAAAGUAUGUUGUUUUGCUUUUGUUAUUUUUAAUUUAAUAAAUAAUACAUUUAUGGAAUUAUCUUUCAUUUUUUAAUGGAGAAAUUAGUUGUUCAGACUUCGCCUUCUAACUUAUUUGUUGUCUUUUGGCUCUACUUAACAAUACAUUUCCAAGAUAUUUAUUUAUUUAUUUAUGAAAACAAAAAGUCCAUUUAAAGAUAAUGGGCUAGGUGGAAACUAAAAAUUUUACAAUAAUAGAUUCUUUAAUAUAUUUUAAAAUUUUCAAAAAUAAAUAAAUAGGACUCGUAUUACUAUUUUAAAUACUAAUUGUGUGUGCCACAAUAAUUUAUUGAUAAUAUAUAGUUAAGGAACAUUUUAUUUGAGUUUGUGGUGAUUUAUUUAUUCAAUUUGAAAAAUAAAGGUAUAUUUGAAAAUAACAUACAAUAAUUAGUGAAACGUAUGGUUUGAAAUUGAUUAAUAAUUAAUGCAUUGAUGGAAGUAAACUAGAGGGCUCCGGUGAUGGUUACAUAUGCAAAGAAGAGGAAAUGUGUCUAUGAACACAAAAGGGUUAGUGGUUUAGUUUUUAGGUUUCUUUAAUUUUCUUAGGAAUUAAGACUUUUUCAUUUUGUCUUUAAUUUUUUAGGAAAGCCCGAGGCACUGUCUCAGUUACCAGUGAGUUGGUGAUAGUUGUUAGGACGGCUAUUGCUAGCCGUUUAUUUUGCGUGUAUCAUGUUUCCUCUUUUAAUUAAACUGUGCAUAUUAAAAUAAAAACUUGGUUGAGUGGUAAAUUUAAAAUUUUACUAAUUUAAUUGGUGUGGUUUCAAACCCUAUAAUAUGUAUAUUUUUAUUAGUUUUGUUAAAAAAAAAUCCUCCAAUAGUAUAAUUACAAAAAAACAUAUAUCCAUAAUUUUCAUAACUGAAUUGAUGUUCGAUUGAUUCAUGACAUUACCUUAAUUAAAGAUUUAGCAUAAAUAAUUUGGGGUAGAGAAGAGAUAUGCAAAUGGAUGUAAAUUCUAAGCUUAAAUAGUACAAACUAAGUCUAAAGUUGAUCUUUCUAGCUUUAGCCUACCAAUUUUGACAAUGCAUAAUAAAGAGAAAAUUGGACAUAUUAAACUCUAUUAAGAGUGGUUAAUAAAUCAAUGAAUAAUUCAAAUAUAACAUCAACGCAUUAUAAAUUCAAAUUAUCACCACAAUAUAAUGAUAAUUUUAUAUGAAAGUUGCAUUAAACAAGUUUGUUUCCAUACCAAAUAGAUACUAAUUUAACCUUUCAUUAAAUCACCUUCUCUUUUCACAGUAGUAAAUAUAUGGAUGGAUCACUUUUUUUCAAAGUACAAAAUAGAUUAAAAAUAUCAUUAAUAAAUAUAAACGUAACACAAAAAUUAUAAUUUUAUUUUAGAAACAAAAUAAAACAACUCUAACUAUGUACAUACACUUGGUGAACAAAUAAAAUAAGAAAAUUAAAUAUAUUUUGAUAUAUGAGUUUAAUUUUUAUGUUUAAUUUGAUAUUUAAUUUUUAUCUGUUCAAUUUGAUGCUUAAGUCAAAUAAUAUCUUAUAGUCCAAUGAACAUUUGACACAUGUAUUUAAUGAAAAUUGAAAUCAAAUUAAUAUACUUAACUUUAGAAAAUAAAAAAAAAAAAACUCAUCUGAAAAAACUGAAAUACCUUCUGAAUGUUAAAAAAAAAUUUAUGAAAUAAUAUAUUAAUUAAAAAACACAUCUCCACGUCGUACAUUAUUUAUACAACCCCAGUUGGAUGCUGAAGAAAUCACUAAAGUAUCACCACUAAACCCAGUUCUCUGUUACUUGGAUUUGGAACCCGGAUUAUUUUUGACUCGUUUGUCCAUUUCCUUUUGAAUAUUCAUCGAGAUCCCAAAAAUCCCAUCAACAACUUUGUUUUUCCUUUCGGUUUUAUUCCGUUUUCUCCACGUUCAAACGUCUCAAAACGAAUUACACAUAUCUCGAAGAAAUGCAGGAAUUCAAGACCAUCAAGAAAAAAAUGUGGAUGUUUUCUUGUUAACCUUUUCAUUUGCUUCAACUAUCUCCCCUACUCCUCUCGCGUAAUGGAAGCUAUCAUCAUAACAGCCAUAGCACCGAUCAUCAGAAACAACGAGAAGAAAGUCGUUAACCAACACAAAUUCCCUCUGCAAAAGCUCUCCUUCUGGUUUGCUCCCACCACUCGUCCACCUGGUCUACUCUCUUUCACUCCCGGCUCCUAAAAUAUAAAAAACGAAAAGGGAAAAAAAAAAAAAAGAAUCGUUGUUUUUGCUUUUUUUUGUUUUUGUAUGGCUGCUUACUCUUUCAACAACAACUUUUCAUCUGGGAAUUGUUAUUCUGGUAUCUUUGAUCCAUUUUCACGCGAUUUGGGUCUAUGCAAUGAAAGCUCCCAUGGUGGGUCUUUGUCGGUGCCACAGUCUUUGGUUUUGGAUCAUGAGAAAGGAGAGCUGGUGAAGGCGCCGGUGGAAGUAAGAAAGAAAAGCGUUUCUGAAGAGAAAAUUAUAGCGGCUUUGAAGAAUCAUAGCGAGGCAGAGAGGAGGAGGAGAGAAAGGAUCAAUGCUCAUCUUGAUACGCUCCGCACCCUUUUGCCCUGCAGACAAAAGGUACUAAUUAAUUAAGUAUUAGAACGAUGUUAUGUUAAAUUUCGGUUUUAUCAUUGCUAUAUGACUACUAUAAUUGAGUUCAUAGAACCUUUUGAACCAAUUCCUGGGAACUAAUUACGGGAGAGUUGGCUUACAUACUGUAUCCUGUUUCGAUGCUUAAUUUUCCUGGAACUGCUUUUUCAAUAGUUCAUAGAUGUUAAUAAGUGGUCUCAUUAGACCAUAUGCAGUAAGCUUUUCCUUUUUAACUGAUUAAUUGCCAAGGUAGAGUGCAUUAAUUUGAUUGCUUAGGAAAGUUGGGGAAAGUAAAGAACUUGAGGUGUUUCCUUAAAGCAACUUAGCUUAUAGAAUGAUAUUUUUUGGCCUAAAUUUUGCUGAGGCAUAACCUUAUUGGUUUUCCUCUCCCAAAUCUUCAAUAAUGAUUAUAACAUCUUGAAAAUUUAGGCUAAUUUACUGGUGUAAAAGUUUCUUUUUCCCCAGUUUCUUUCAUCAGUUAACAUUUUGAAAACCUAGAGAGGUUGCAUAGGACGACUUUGUUGAUAGGAAUGAAUCAGGACAUGAAUGAUGAAAUAUUAAUUAUUUUGUGGGAUAAACUUAAAUCAGAAACUCUUGUAAAAUGAUGAUUAGAACUUUUUGCAAUACAGAGUUUUUAAUAUAAAACUGGCUAUCUUGAAUGGUAUCUGUGUGAAGAGAAAAAAAGAAGUUGCGAGCCGUGAUGUCAUGAAACUGAGUAUUUAAUGUUUUAAUGUCAUAUCACUUAUUGUGAGUCUAGUAAUGCUCUUAUUUUCUUGCAUUAUUCUUUGCACUAGGAAGGUCAAUUCUCAAUUUCAGAAUGCUAGAGUCAACUAGGGGAUGCAUCAGCUAAGGAUUAUUUAUGGUUGAGAGCAUCUUUUUGGUCCCAAUUGCAGACCUUCUGCUAUAUUUAAAUUGUGGUACAUGAGUUGAAUCAUGAUGAAUAUUCAGAGUUGUGGAUGAGUUAUGUUCUGUAUUUUCAAACAAAACCAAUCAUGAAAAGCUUGUUUCCAGGAGUGAUCUGCAUUGCUUUAUAAAAGAAAGCUUACAGAAAGAAAAAUGAAAGAUAGUUUAUUUGUUCGGAUAUGCUCAAUUAAUCGGAAUCGAGUUAAGAUGAACCUGUAGACAUAGCUUUAUACAAUAUUAUUUUUACUGUCAAACCUUAGAGUUGGUCAGUUGGACAGCAUAUAUAAUAUAUCUAUUCGAAAUUGAUGAUGAUGAUAAUGAUUGGAUUGGUGGGGCAAUGUAACAGCUGUUCUGCUAUGGAUCUUGAUGACAUGAGGUAUAUUUCUUCAAUAUAUUAACUACUGUAUGUUGUUUUGUUAUUUUAUUAACUACUGGAUGUGACAUACAUAGUCCUGUCCUGGUUAGAUGAUGGUUUAAACGUAAGCAAGGAUUAGACAUCUUAUAUUAAAUGCAUUUUUUGGUUGCUUUUCUCAUUUCUCAAUUUAUUUUUUCAAUAAUUAACUCAAGUAAUUAUAGGGUUCAUCUGAGUUAGUAUUCUGGAUCAGAGUCUAUGCGCAUCAUCUACUAGGUAGUUCCUGGUUUGAUGCUGAUUCAUCUGACUAUGCUUUAAAAUGAUGUCUUUGAGCUGACAGUAAUGUUUCAAUUUGCUCAUAUAUAGAUGGAUAAAGCGACAUUACUUGGUGAAGUAAUUAAGCAAUUGAAAGAACUUAAGAAGAAUGCAACUGAAGCCAGCAAAGGUUUACUUGUUCCAAUGGAUGACGAUGAUGAGGUGAGAGUUGAACCAUGUAAUGUCAACGAAGCUGACGGGACAUUUUCUUUCAAAGCAUUAAUCUGUUGUGAUUAUAGACCUCAACUUCUGACUGACCUACGACAAGCUCUUGAUGCACUUCCCCUUCCAAUUACGAUUGUCAAGUCAGAAAUAUCUACGUUGGGAAGUCGGUUGAAGACUGAUUUUAUUUUCACUGCCAGCUACAGAAGCACUAGCAGUGUUGCAAAUGUUGGCAACGAUGAUGAUGGUACCGAUGCACGGCGUUUUCUUGCAUGUUCCAUCCGGAAGGCCCUGAAUUCUGUCCUGGAGAAGGCUUCUAUUUCACCGGAACACUCCCCAUUCUUGACAUUUCCGAACAAGAGGCGAAGGAUCUCCUACAUUGAUUCCCCAAGCUCAUCUUGAUUUUCCAAAAAAAGAUUAGCCUUUUCAACGUUUGGGGUAAAUGGACGACACAUCCAUUUAUCUCUGUAUGGAUGUUUGUCUGAUAUGCCCAAAAAUUGGUUUGAAAUCAAUACUAUAAAUAGCAUGUAAUUGUUUCCAGAAGACCAGAACGUUUUCAAAUGGCUUGUAAUAAAACUGUAUUACUACUCGAUGUAUGUAUACUCUUAUCAUCUAAAAUUCAAGUUAUGUUAUAGAUUCCAUAUAAAAUAAGAAUCAUAAGAUUGAGUUUGCUGUGAUAAUAAUAAAAGAUAAAUAGAUAUUACCAAUGAGGCAUUGACACAAGGUGAAGGCAAAAACCUUGGUUUGAAUAAGUAUCUCUAAUUGUACUUUUAUUCUACUAUAUUUGUAGAUAAAAAGAAGAAGAAGAUAUGUUUAAGAAUUUUAAGUCUAAAUAAACAAUCACCAUUAAAAAUAAAUAAUAUAAGUUCUAAAAAGUUCUUGAAACAAUAAUUGAUAAUUUCAAAAGAAUAUGAUAAAGCCAAAAAAGCGAUCCAACGUGGCGUGGAGGAAUCUUUCUUCAAGGUCUUCUCAACGAUAUUCUUACGAUUCCGAAAAGAAUAAAUUAAGAAAAAAAAGAAACAAAGAAGAAAGUUUGAAAAAAAGGGAAAAAUCUUAAAUCGCAGGCAUAUUGAGUGGAAUAGAAAACGGGAAAGGAAAAGCAUGGCAAAACAAGGAAGCGGAUCCAUACUUCAAUUUGCGCCACUUCAGAGUUCUGUUGACGAAGGAUUUUGGCACCGAUUAUCUUCUUUGAAGCUCAACAAGUUUGGCAUCGACGAUUCUCCUAUUCCUAUCUCCGGUACCAAUCCCUUCUCUAUCUUUUUCUUUAAGUCUGAAUUUAACUUCUCACUCUUAAUUCACUCAAAAAUCUCAUAUAGUUGUCUAAAUUUUCCUUUUCAAAAAUUCAUUACAAUUAACUGUUGAUUGGACUGGGUUUGAUCCAAGUUUCUGUUGUUAAAGGCGGCAAUUAAUGCCAAGGGUUUUCAAUUUCGAAGCUUUGAGUGUAAAUUUAGCGUUUUUAUGGUCCAAAUUCGUUGUCCUUUUUUUUACAGGUUUCUAUGCACCGUGCUCGCAUCCUCAAGUAUCGAAUCAUUUAACUCUUUUAGCCGAAUCCCUGCCUUCUGACUCAAAUGAUGAAUCAACAAUGCCGCCUGUUAUUCGGGGUAAUCGAAAUAGGUGCUCCGUUCCUGGCAUUCUUUACAAUACUAAUACAAUGGAAGGUUUUCAUGCUUUGUAUAAACAAGGCUUGCUCAAGGCAGAAGCGAUGAAGGUAAAACAGUUUGAAUUGUUUACUAUAAGUGUGUUAUGCAAUUGUUUAAUUUGAUUGAAAUCUUAUUUGACAAGUUUAUGUUUUGACUCAAUUAUUCUUAUUAGAUUUGGGAGGAUAUUCAUAGUGGAAAAGCUGUGGAGGAUUGUGCAGUAUUAUCAAGGGUCCUUCUUAUCUCAUUUGCAGACCUCAAAAAAUGGAACUUUCAUUAUUGGUUUGCUUUCCCUGCUCUUGCACUUGAUCCUUCUGCUACCUUGGUAGAUUUGAGGCCAGCUUCUCAAUGGUUCACUUUGGAAGAGGUGCUUUGAAUGUGAUUAACACUUGCGAAUUUCUGGGUUAUUGUAUCUUUCUCAGUGCUUAAAAGGCUUUUAUUUGGUACCUUUUUUUACAUGCAGGCAGAGUCUGUAUCAGCAGCAUGUAAUGAAUGGCGGAAUUCAAGUGUGACGGCUGGUAACCUCUCUGCUGUUGCUAGUUUGCAUUGAAAUUCAAAUGUGAUUAUGUUCAUUUUUUCUUUAUCCAUGAUUUUAUGCCAUUCAUAGCCUGACUUUAUGAGUCUACUGCAGAUGUUCCAUUCUUUUUGGUUAGUAUUGAUUCUGAUUCACAUGCUGCCGUCAAGCAUCUUAAGGAUUUGGAAGCUUGUCAACGUGAUGGUCAAAAGGUCUGUCUACCUUUCUCUUAAUGACUUUGAGCAGUAGUUUAUGAUUGCAAAGGAGACUUUUCAAUGAAAAUUCCAUAUGAUAGAUGAUUUUGAUAGGCUAAAAGUGCAAAAUCUUGGACAUCUUUUUCUCAAAAUUUUGACGUGUGUUAUUGGCAGUUGCUAUUUGCAUUUUAUGACCCAUGCCAUCUUCCAAACAAUCCUGGCUGGCCUCUCCGCAACUUCUUAGCACUUAUUUCUGCCAGAUGGAAUCUGAAAACUGUUCGCUUUUUGUGCUAUAGAGAGAAUCGAGGUUUUGCUGAUUUGAAUUUGUCACUUGUUGGUGAAGCCUUGAUUACAGUUCAACAAGGUAGGGUGACCAAAUUUUGGGUGACAGAUUUUUUUUGGGAUCAUUAUUUAUCUGUUCCAAUGGUAUGAAUUCAUUUUACACUAUCUUUGCUGUCUGCUGACAUACCAUCUCUCUUUAGGAUGGAGAGAACAGCAGUGUGUGCCCAAUGCUGUAGGAUGGGAACUUAACAAGGGGAGAAAAGUACCAAGGUGUAUUAACCUUGCUAAGUCCAUGGAUCCAACUAGGUACUUCUUUCUAUAUUGUCACCUCAUUAAGCAUAAUAUUAUUAUUUUUAUAUAUUUUACCAGAGCAUUUUGAGAUAUUUUCCACUUUUUUCCACAGGCUAGCCAUAUCUGCCGCAGACUUAAACUUGAAACUAAUGAGAUGGCGUGCUUUGCCAUCUCUUAACUUAGAAAUCUUGUUUUCUCUUAAGUGCCUUCUCCUUGGAGCAGGUACCCUUGGAUGUCAGGUUGCUAGAAUGCUUAUGGUAUGUAUUCAGAAAGCAGCAACCGCAAUUUCAGAUCAUAUUUCUUCUCUCUUGAGACUGAAGACAGUUUAUGUUGUAGGCUUGGGGUGUCCGCAAAAUUACACUACUUGAUAAUGGAAGGGUGGCUAUGUCUAAUCCGUUGAGACAGUCUCUAUACACUUUGGAUGACUGCCUUAAUGGUGGUGAUUUUAAAGCCACAGCAGCAGUGAGAAGCUUACAACGAAUAUUUCCUGCAGUGGUAAUUAAUUUUCUUUGAGGCCUAUGACACAAGAUCAACACAGAACAGAAAAAUCUAUCCAUUUCCACUCACCAUUUAUCUUAUUAUGUGUUUCUUAGGAAGCUGAAGGUAUUGUUAUGGCCAUUCCUAUGCCUGGACAUCCAGUAUCCAGCCAAGAAGAGAAAAGUGUGCUUGAAGAUUGUAAACGACUCAAUGAUUUGAUUGAUUCUCAUGAUGUAAUUUUCUUGUUGACUGAUACUAGAGAGAGUCGAUGGCUCCCUACUCUUCUCUGUGCCAACAGUAACAAGGUUCAUCUCCUUAAUUCAUAUGUCAAUUGCUUUGAUGUUUGGAGUUUGUUGUGGCAUCAUGGAUUAGGAUUUGUAAAGAUCUGUUUCUGGAUUUUAUUCAUUUGAUGAUGACAUAAUUUCUUCAUCCUCUCUCCUUAUGCAGAUAACCAUUACUGCAGCUCUAGGAUUUGAUAGUUUCUUGGUUAUGCGCCAUGGGCCUGGUCCUUUUAACUCCAUCCCUAACUUGAAAGCUGAAACAGAAAACUCUUUAGCUGCUGGCAUGGACAACCUUGCCCUAACAAAUACAGAUGGACAACAUAGACUGGGUUGUUACUUCUGUAAUGAUGUGGUUGCCCCAACAGAUGUAAGUUACCUGAGUUUCUAGAGUGCAACAAUUGUUAUGUAGCAUUUUUGUAUGUCAAGCUUAACUAUUUUUCUGUGGUGGAUUAUGCAGUCAACUUCAAACCGCACGUUGGAUCAGCAGUGCACUGUUACACGGCCAGGGCUUGCACCUAUUGCUUCUGCACUGGCAGUGGAGCUUUUAGUGGGCAUUUUGCAUCACCCUAAUGGGUAAAUCCUUGGAACCAUAUGAAAAAUGUCUUUCUCAUUGUAGUUUCUUUGAAGAUUUUGAGCAAGCUUUUAGUUCUAAUCAUCAUGAAUUAAUCAAAGUCUAGAUUGUUUCAUUAACCACCCAAUUAUAUAUGCAGGAUAUUUGCUGAAGCUGAGAUUGCCAACUCCAGUAGCGGUGGAAACUUUGAGCUUCCGCUGGGUAUUUUACCCCAUCAGAUUCGAGGCUCCCUCCCCCACUUUCAACAGAUGACCCUUUUGGGCCACUCCUCUAACAGUUGCACAGCAUGUUGUAGCACUGUAAGUUCAGUGCUUCUAUUAGUUUUGGAUAAUUGUGAUUUUAUUAUUCAAGUAAGCAGAAUUCUGCUACUGAAACAAAUAUUUGCACAUCUUAACAUAUGUUCAUUUGACUGUACAACUUUACAAUAAAACCAUACAGAAGUAAUUCCCCUAUCAAUUCAUAACUGUUUGUUCCUUGCAUCAUUAGUGUUAACAGCAACUCCUUGAAGCCUCAUCUAUACAGUUCCUUUAAUUCUACUUAACCAAUCAUGUUCACUAUGACGUUUUCCAUCAAACUGUCUAUAAUUCCUUUCUCUCCAAAUCCAAUAAAUGAAAGCUGACCAAGCCAGCCUUAAAAUGAUUGAGAUUAAAGCUUUUCCCUUCAACUUUGCACUAGCCCACCUCAAUUCCCAAAUCCAACUCAAAGGUUGUCUACUAAGAGAACAUAGCCUUAACACUGACAUCCAAAUCAUCCUGGAAAAAUUGCAUUAAAAGAAUAAAUGUCAGUGCUUCUAUUAUGAUUAUUAUUAUAGCUCUUUGUUUUUCGCUUCCUUUUUUAUCCCGUCUGUUUCCUCAUGCUUUUUAGGUGUCUAGUCUGUAUGAAUCUUUCAGCAAAACUGGUUUUAUGAGUUUACAUGUGCGGGUUUUGAUUUUAGUUGAUAUUGAGAGAUUUGGAAAUUUAUGAAUUUGUUUGAUGUUGGGUAAAUUUAGAGCCCUUUGGCACUAGGGUUUCUUUCCCAAAGGGUACAAUAAAAGUCACAUACCUACAUGCAAUCUCUGAAACAAAACAUGUGCUAUGGAAAGUAUUGUCAUCGAAGAAAGCUUUAAUAAUAAAUUUCAAAUAUUUAUUGCAUUAUCAAAUUAAAUUUCUAGCAUGCAUGCAUAAAGUUAGACUUUAGCUUUCGAUAUUUAGUUGAAAGUUGGAAUAAAUUGAUCAAGGUUCCAUGUCCGUCGUUGUAGCAGUUUAACAUUCUGUUGAUUAUGAACAAUCCUUUUCAGGUUGUGUCAGAAUAUCGAAAGAGAGGUAUGCAAUUCAUACUCCAGGCUAUUAACCAUCCAACGUAUCUGGAGGAUGUUACUGGACUAACAGAGUUGAUGAGAUCAGCGAACUCUUUUCAACUGGACUGGGACGAUGAUAUUGAGGUCGCAGAUGAUGAAUGCGUCGAACUAUGAAGAAACAAAUUGUACUUUUUCAGGUCAUAAUUAUGGCAAUUUAUUCUUUUGUAAUACAUGUUAAUUGUAUAAUAACAAACAGAAAAAAAAAGUCAAAUUUAUGUCCAUGCUCAGUUUCCCACCUUCCAAUUUCAAACAUUUUAACACAAGUUGAUUGGGGAGAUACUGGAAAAUUUUUUUUGCUGGUUUCGUUAUUUAGACACUAUUUUUUUAAAAGGUAUCUAAUAGCUGCAUUUGACAUAUAUUCGAGUAUAUGAUAUGAAGUAUUAUCAUUCAAAUACUGCAUGAAUCAAGUUGACAGAUUUUUGUUGAGCGCAUAACACUCAUCCCUAUCUAGAUAACAUAUUUUGCUGCUGUAAUAUCUUUUCCUAAAAAGUAAUUUGACCCAACAGAAUGAAUCUUGUGGGUGAUGAAACUUGUCCGUUCUGUAAUUGACAAAAACAUGGUCAAAUUACUCAUCAUUCUUCUUUCUUUUUCUUUUUCGUUGUGGGUAUAAUCAUCUAUAUUUCCAAUUAUUUUAUCUCAUCAUCUACAAUGAAGCGUGAAUUUCUAACCACACAAACGACUCUUAGUUCACAAGCAAAGCUUAAAUUUUAUCGUGUUCGUUGAUUGAGACACUCUCACAAGUGUUCUCUUCAUUCUCUCUUUUCGUGAUUGUGCAGUAGUGACUUGAUAGACUCAACAAUCAAACAUGAGAGAGCACAUAAUUUUGCAUUGGAAAUGACCCUUUUUCGCUCUUGUUAGCUUCAGUUUCCGGCUCUGUGAUUCUGCAGUGAAUUAUUCUAGAACCAACAAAGAAAAAGAAGUGGGAAAUAAUUUAUUCGAAGACAUCAAAAUCAUUCACUCUCAAGUCUCAAAUAUUUUAAAUUUACUUUUUCAUUUUACAAGAAUAAAUUGGUGAAAUGUCUCAUCAAAACUCGGGUCGAUAUUUAGCUCAAAACUCGACAACCAACCAUUUCUUCUUUGGGUCCCGGAAAGUCUUGUUUUCAAACCCAAGAUGUUAGGGAGGGAACGCAUUCCUUUUUUCCUGUUGGCUUAAAUUGAAGUCUGUCAGGUCUCAUUUAAAAAGAAAGAAAGGAAAAAAGAAAAAGUGCAGCAAAUAUGACCCAGUUUAACAUUAGGCAGAAUCUGGCUGCCUAAUGCUUCACCCACCACCCAUUGACUCUUCCCUUUUUUCUCUUUCAAAGUUCAGUCUAAUGAAUUUUCGAUGAAAUCCCAGAAGGCAAAUAUUUCUUCAUAUUUGACACUUCUGUGAGAAUAUUCAGUUGAACCCAACAACAAAAAAAGCAAUAGUAAGUCUCCAGUUUCUCGGAAUCUCAAAGCCUUGCAAAAAGGUCUAAGUUUAUAGGUAGUGGCUUUUGCACUUUUUCGUUUGUGUCAAAUUAGGAUUCUGAUUCAUGUACGCCUCCAUGUUUGUACAUUGUGGAUGAUAUAAUCUUCCAAUAAAUUUCUUAUUGCCAUUGUUGCUUGUGGACAUUAAAUUUUGAGCUUAUGUUUAAUAAUCAGUGGGAUAUGCACAUCACUCCAUUAUACACUUAAAUUAAAGCUUAUUUGGCAGUUGCCUGCUGCCAUGUGGCACUACUUGGAAAUCGACACCUAUGUUUUUCAACUUCUUGUGAUUUGUUCAGUUUUGGGGUGUCUCAUUCCCGAUUUAGCAGACAAUAUUGUUCACGCCCGAUUACAUAAAAAAUUAGAAUUGUUCCUCUCUUCUUCUUUUUUAACACUUAAUACAUUACUUUUAUAAUUUUAUUGAAUUUUAAAAGAUAUUUUUAAACUAAAAUAGCAAUAUCAUAUAUUUAGAGAAAUAAGGAGGAUUUACCUUCUCUUGGAGUUGGAAGGGGUAGUUAUUGGUGGUUCAAGCGCACUGAAAAGUUUUAGCAGAUAUUGUUGGACCUAAAGCAUUAAAAAUGAUUCUUUCAAGACUUAUAAUAAUAAAAUAAUUAAUUUGCCCUAUAUAUAUAUUGCUUUCUUCUAAAAAUCAAGUUACCUUUUAAAGUUGAUAAACGUAAAAGGUGUUUUACCUUUCAUAGAACCUUUAAAGAACACUGAUCAUUGGCUUCCAUAAAAAAGGAUUGCUUCAACAACAGACAAACUUGAUAAAGAUGGAAAGAUUGCCCCAGGCAACUCAACAUUUUUCAGGUAUCCAUUCUCCACACACGGCAUAUCGAGUGGAGAGAUUACAAAAGCCAUAAUGUUUUGAUAAUUAUCAAUUGUUUAUAUAUUUUAUUAAACAUGUUAUAUUCGUGUCCUAGAGGUUGAAGAUGGGUCGUGGUACACCUCAUAGAAGCACCAAAGCCAUAAGUUUUCGAGUUAAAAUCUAAUUACUACUCUCUUUUUGAUAGUUGCCAGGUCAAAGCCAUAGGAUUGUUGAGGGGGCCUGUUUGGCAUGUGGGAUAGAAAUUAAAUUUAGUAGUGGAGUCUGACGUGCAAUUUCUACGCCGUCGGAAGAACCCAUCAACCACAUUCUGCCAAAAGUUUUCACCUAGGCUUUUAGAGAUAAGAGAUAAAAGGUGGUGGCGGAGAGGUCAACUUUGGUGUUUAUUAGCCUAAAGUGAUGCACUGACAAAUCUUUGUGCCCCGCACAUUCUUCACCAUAUUGCUAGCCCUUUUUAUUACCCGCUUUUUAAGGUUUAUAAAUAAUUUAAGUGUUUUACUACUGCUCAAAUGGGUAAAAAUUGUAUGCCAAUUAUAGAGGUGCUCAUGGGCCGGGCGGCCCGUCCGAAAUAUGAGAGAGUUUGGGUAAAAAUAUAGGCCCGAAAUAUGGGCUUGGGUAAAAAAAUAAGGUCCGUUUAGAAAAUGGGCCGGGCCUCGGGCACCACUUUUUUGGUCGGGCUCGACUCGACUCGACUCGGCCCGAUAUAAUAAAUAUAUUUAUUUUUAAAAUUUUUUUAAUUUUAAGAUAUUUUUAAAAUACUUUUUUUUUAUUUUUUAAUUUUAAAAUAUUUUUAAAAUACUUUUUUUUUAAUUUUUAAAAUAAAUUGUUGGUAUUUAUUAAAAAAAUGGGCCGGGCCGGGCCUGGGCUUAUGAUUUUUUCCCGGGCUGAGCCUGGACAAAAUUUUAGGCCCAUAUUUCGGGCUAGGCUAAAAUCUUUUAUGGGCCUGGCCCGAACCCGGCCCGGCCCAUGAGCACCUCCAAAUUGCCAAAGCAUAAAUUAUUAGUUUAUUGUAUUGGAAAAUGGCCAAAGUAUUAUUGAAGGUAAAGAAAUUAAAUACUUGUAUUAUUGUCCUUUGUUUAGGUACGUACGUCAAAUUUUUUGGUACGUUUCCAUAAUUGUUUUCUUGACUUUGCUUUCUAGCUUCUUUGUUCUUAUACAAUGUUAGUAGAUACUUUCAUUUGAAGAUGUCUUGGAAAUUUAGAUAUAUAUUUGAAUUUGAAUAUAAGUUUAAAAUGACGUGGACAUGUAAAUAACAUAAAUCAAGGUUUCUUUCUGAUUUUACCAUUCGGUCCUUAAAUUCCAAUUGAAGAAAGUUGAGUUGUGCAUAUACAAUGAACCUGAAGUCCACCAUGCGUGAGUGAGGCCUAGGCCAGCCAGCAGGAAUGGAAACCUAAUUAAUUAAUUAGAGGGCAGAUUAGGUAAGAAUUUUAGCAUUUCACAUGAAUUAUUUAUACAUAUGCACCAUGUUGUACCCAAUAUCUUGAUUUGCCAAAAUUGUCAAAUUAGAACUAAUGUUCUCAAUCCUGUCGCGAACCACUCGUUUCUGCUACGACAGCCAUGGGGGGUAUCAAUCCAGUGCAGAAAAUGAGAUGGUGAAACAGACAAAGCCAUACCUUAAUGUAAUUAAAUAACCUAAAAUUCUGAUGAACAUCUUAGAAGAGAUAAAGCAUACAUGAUUAAAAGAAUCAAAAUUGUUGAAUUUUGUAUAGGAUCGGUCAGGGCUAGAUGCAUAGCGGAAACCCAAAACCAACCAUGCAUUUGAAAUUCAUUGAUACAGAUGAUCAGAUAUUCUCAUAUCAAAUUUCUUUUAAAGUAGUUGAGAUUUUAAAACCUUUUUUAAUUGAAACCCUGUUUCUUAGCACGUAGUCUAUAAAAAUAUAAUAUACGAGUCUGCUGUUAUGGUUGGGAGCAUCUAGGCGCAUUGCUCCCUGAAUCCCACAUGCCAUCAACAUUGGCUCGCAUCAAUACCCAGAUUAAGUUCCUUAAUAACUUAAAAGUAAGAAUUUAAUCUUGGCCCAAAUAUCUAUGAUUCAUUUUAUUUAUUUAUUUUGAUACGUGGGAAGAACUUUCCUGUACCAAAUCCAUGAUUAUUGACCCUCAAUUUAUCACACAUAUUUUCGUUAAACUGUUAAACAACAGGGCAAUAUGGGAAGCAAGAAAAAAGACACAAGUGAAGCAGGGAAAUCUUGCUGUCUUAAAAUAUGCUUGUCAGGGCUUAGGAAAUUUAAAAGGCAGCAACGUUGUUUCCUUUGCAUGUGAUAUAUGCCCCCCCCCCCUCGCUGCUUUUUCUCUCUCGUCUCUUACUCAUCCUUGUAUUUCUCUCUCCUUUUAAUCUCUGGAAAAAAAAAACAAAGAUUAAAACCCAAGUGUUACACUUUUAGUUGUUUUGUUAUUAUAUAAACAAUGAACCUUUAGAACACUUAUUUCAAUUUCCCGUCUUCAACCUUAUGUUUCCCUCUCAAGUUCAAACUCUGAACAUGUCUACUACUACUACUUCUUCUUCUUCUAUUUGGUUACUUUCUUGUAGGAAGCUUAAGUUCUUUACUAGAAUCAGAAGGUUCUUGCAUUCCAAAGCAGCCAGGAAGCAGUACGGGUCAUCAGCAUCUGAUCAUUCGAACAAGUUGAGAAUAGUAAACAAUACUGACGAAGAGGAAGAUCUGGUUGUAGAGAAAACUGAAAGUGAGCUCGAUGGUUCCAUGGCGUUGCAAAAAUCUGUGAAGAGACUUCACUUUGGGAGCUGGGAAGAGAAAGAGAUGGCUGCUAAGGCCAUCGAGAAACUCGCUAAAGAAGACGUUAAGGUUAGGAAGUUGAUGGCAGAGCUCGGAGUCAUACAUAUGCUUGUGUCUAUGGUGGAUACUGAGGUGGUUGGCCGCCGUCUAGCUGCCAUCAAGGCCUUGAUCGAACUUGCUGAUGGAACUUUUACGUAAGUUUUCUAUAUAUUUUUUCUUACUAUUCAUGUUAGUUUCUUUUUCUUUUGAUAUUUCUUGUCAAUGGAAAAGGAUUGUCAGCUUUCAAAGUUUUUAGUUGGUAGAAACAAUUCCUAAUGUUGGAUUAUUCUAACAUAAUCAUAAACGGUUUUUAAGAUGAAUGAUUGAAUUCCCAUGUUAUGAAGCAAUGCCUGAUUAGGAAAGAAAUAUAUUUAGAGGGAUGAGACUUAAUAAGAGGAAAGGGCCCUGUUUUUGUCCUGGAAGCCGUAGCUUAUUUUCUUCAGAAAAAGACGAUGCAAUGAAAAAGAAAGGUUUUCAUAAGGCUGCUCGAAGUGGGGAUAGGGAAAAGGAUCCCCUAUGGUUGAUGAAAUGUAUGGCAUAGAACAGUGACAAGUUUGAAAUAAUGGAGCUCUGAUUUUGGCACUAUGCAAUACGUUUCAUCGGGAUAGGGAAAAGGGGUCCCCUAUGGUUGAUCAAAUUUAUAAUUUAUAAAAUUAGUUGUUGGGAUGAAUUACAGGUAUAUCAUAUUUCAAAAAUGUCAAGAAGAUGGAGAAUUGUUUUCAACCCACAUGAAAAUUAAAUAUUGGUGAUAAUGUUUUAAAACUAACUUCCCCAAUUAGAAUAAAGAAAAUGAUUUUAGGUGGAGGGUACUGCUCCACAUUAAUGAAGAUAUUAUUACCCUGAUAGCCUGAUUUAAUCCUAAAUCUCUGUAAUCAACCGCCCUACAAGCUGCAGCGUUUUGAUAAUCAUAGGCCUUGGGGUUUGUUUCCAGUUAAAUGCUGAGUAAUCAAAAUCAGAACAGUUAUUUUUACUGUUAAAUGGCUUUAAAUAUUGUUUGGUGAGGUGUCAAGCCCUUUCAUGAAUUGACCCUUUUGAAUCUCUGAUGGUGAAACUUUGUCAUGUGACAGUAGAGCAUAACUUUAUCCAUCCGGAACUUUUAAACAUUAAUGGCAAUGAAAGUGAAAUGAAAUUUCUAAAUCUGUUGCAUGAUUUUUGAAUCAUUAAUACUUCCAUUAAGAAAAUGAUUUUAAUGAUCCUCAAAUCCUGCGUCCGCAAGGUACGGUGGCUGUCCACUGUCCACCGGACUCCCAUGGUGGUAGGAGCUGGAAGGGCAAUAAUGAUGUUAGAAGACAGACAGCGUUGUCUCCAAAUAAAAAAAAAAUACAGAUCCAUAUCAUCCAAUGAUAUUAUUAUGGACAAUUAAGAAAAAACAAUAUUAAGUAUUGUUGACCUUCACCUUCCUACCCCGAUUCUAAAUGUCUGAUUCUCUUUGACUUUGUCUGUUUUAUUUUAUAAACUGGUUAGUUCUUCUCCCACAUUUUCUUUGACUUGUAGGGACUCCUAUUCAUAUUUUAUGCAACAAUGGAGGACUUUUGGGUUAUCAACUUAUCUACCCCCAAUAAAAUUAUUGUUCUUUCUUCUAUUAUUCAACUUAAAUUUCGAUUCCAUUGUUGACUUGAAGUUCUGGGUUGAUUUUUCUUUUGUCAAAACUUAAGGUAGAUUCAAAGAAUCAAAAGUCUAAAUCAGUUUAUCAUUUUUUCUUUUAUUCAGAAACAAGGAACUAAUGCUAGAGGCUGGAAUACUAUCGAAGUUACCUAAGGACAUUGAUGCUGUAGACGACCAAACGAGGCAUGAAUUUGCAGAACUGUUAUUAUCAUUAUCAUCUAUAUCAAAUACUCCUUUCUCUCUAGCCAAAACUGAGGUCCUCCAGUUUCUUAUUGCCAUUCUUGAGUCGGCCACCAGCAUUGAAACAAAGGAGACCUGUUUAGGUGUUGCUUGUAACCUGUCUGCUGUGCUAGAAAAUGCUAGACCUUUGGUAUCUAACGGAACCGUGCACACUCUUUUGAAGCUAUCUUCAUUUAAAGAACUUUCAGAGAAAGCCCUUGCAGCACUAGGUCACUUGGUGCUGACCUUGAUGGGAAAAAAGGCUAUGGAAGAUAGUUCAAUGGUACCAGAGAGCUUGAUUGAGAUUCUAACAUGGGAGAACAAACCCAAAUGUCAAGAACUAUCAGCCUACAUUCUAAUGAUUUUAGCUCAUCAAAGCUCCACUCAAAGGGAUAAAAUGUCAAAGGCAGGGAUCGUCCCUGUGCUUCUUGAAGUGUCAUUAUUAGGAAGCCCUUUGGCUCAAAAGAGAGCCAUGAAAUUGUUACAAUGGUUCAAAGAUGAAAGGCAAGCAAAGAUGGGGCCUCAUUCAGGACCACAAACAGCAAGGAUUGCAAUUGGCUCACCUCUGCAUCCAAGGGAGGUUCAAGAAGGAAAGAAAAUGAUGAUGAAUUUGGUGAAGCAAAGUCUUCAUAAGAAUAUGGAAAUGAUCACCCGACGAGCCAAUGCUGCCGGCGAUUCUUCGAAUCUCAAGUCUUUGGUCCUCAGCACAAGUUCUAAAAGCUUGCCUUACUAAAAAAACGUUUUAUGUAAUUCUUUUGCAAGGGCCUGUAAUUAUUGCAAAUGAUGGGAAAGAAGGAUUUCCCAAAGUUAGAUGGAAGAAAUCAGCAACUUUGCGAGAGAAUGCAAUGCUUCUGCAGUAAUUAGCGUAUACAACAACUGUAUAUGAUCAUCAAUUCAUGACCAACAAAAGUAACGAAAAAAAUUAAAGAAAUUGGGGAAAUACUGAAACUUUACCCUUGAUGGCAUGUAAUUGAACACCUCAAGUUUUUUAUUUUAUCCUUUCCUGACAUUGAGUUGUAUAGUUGGAAAUGAAAUAAAUCACGGUAAAUAACCCAAACAGAGUAAUAUCUUUAUUGCUUGAAUGAAAUUAAAUACAAUAUAGUACCCUAAACCAUGUGCUACGAAGUUGCAAGGAAUGCAUAAAUUGUGCAUUUUGCACAAAUUUAUUAGUAAUUGGCAUCUUUUUCCCCCCCUUUCACUAAUAGUUUUGCCUUAGGUAUGUCCCUCGUUUCUGGCUUUCUGCUAAUAAACUUGCCAUUCAAAAGGCAGUCAGCAAAAUGAGCUAAUAAACCAUUCAAAAAUUAGAUUUUAGGUCUACGACUAGGAAAAGAACAUGCAAGAAAAACAGCCCAAAGCGUAUAACUUUGCAAAGAGGUUCAUCAAAUACAAAAACACUUAAACAAAUAAUGCCGAAUUGAACCAACAAAAGCUGGAUUGAUUAAGUUUUGCCUAAAUUAUCCUUUAGACAUCAUAGAAGAAAGGAUCAGAUUAACAGAAUUCUGCAAACGGAAACAAAAGAAAUAGUUUAGCGCUUCCCACUGUUUGGAUUAGAUUUGGUGCAAAGGACCUUCCGACCCUUAGCACGGCGACGUUUCAAUACAGCUCUUCCACUAGUGGUUCUCAUUCUUCGACGGAACCCAUGAGUUCGAGCCAAAGAUUUCCGGGACCUAUUCCUCUUUGUUUGACAAAGUGCAGCCUUCCCAGCCCUAACCACCAGGCCUCGCCUUUUCUCAUUCCUCACCCCAUUAUUUGAACUAAAAUCCAUCCCCAAUGAUAACCCUACGUCCAAAAUUGAAAUUAAACGAAAAACAUUAACACCCAUUGAAGAAACACAGUGAACAUAUAAAACGGGAAAUUCUUUUACCUGAAAAUGAAGAAUGUAAAGAGAGAGAAGAUGAGGAAGAAGAGAGAAAGGAGCAGUGAAGCAGGGAAGAGCAAGCUUUGGGGUUGAUCGCUGCAUUGGAAGAGAUGGAAAUUCUUCUUCUUGAACCUGUCAAAAGAUUGAGAGAAGCUGAAGGGAUUUGGGUUCUUAUGGAUUGAGUAGUAAGCCAUUGAGAUGAUGUUAGUACUGGCAUCGAAGCCAUUGUUUCUGCCACACCUAUCUGUUGUCUCUCACUUACGUUCUUAUCUACUACUCUCUCAGUGGUCAAGCUACACCUACAGGGGUAGAGAACUAGAGAUGGAAUGUGCUGAUGGGAUGGGUUUGAAUUCAACUUCUUGUGAGCCCAAUCUGGGGUUAACUUAACUAGACUGCAGGAUAUUGAUCUUAGAAACCGUGAAAGUUUUCUUCAGUGAGCCCAAACCUCGUCGUCGUAGAAAAGUUUUCAGUUUCCCUAGAGCCUAUGGGUUAUGUCAUUAGCCCAUUUCAUAAUUAUUUAGGUUUCCUAUCUGCCACUGGAAUUUGGAACCGGAACUUUUUAAAGUAAACCCGUCACAGCCCGGAAUUUGAUAACAGUUUUUAUUUCUACUGAUCUGAAGUAGUGGUGUUGAAAUGGUAAUUCAACCCAAUAUUAUUAAUAGAACAAAUCAAAAAUUUUAAAUUCCUUAAUCAUUAACUGAACUGAAUUUUCUGCGAUAAUAGUUAAUAAAGUCCAACUCAUUUCGAUUACUUCGGUGUUAAGAUUUUUGAGUUUUAGUUUUGUUAUUUAUUACAUACCUUACGUUUUAUUUGAACUUUUAGGGUAAAUUACUGUUGUAGUCACUUAACUAUUAGUAAAUUUUUUCGUCAUCUAAUUAUUAAUUUUUUUUGUCACUUGUCGUUAAAUGGUUAAUGAAAAAAUGAUCUGUCAGUUUUUAUGACAUAAUAACAACCUUAACCCUCAAACAUUUAUAUACAUUGUGUCAAUAUAAUUUUAAUUUUUUUUUAAAAAAAAUAGCUCUUAAUGUUUACACAUGACCUAAUUUAUCCUAUUCUUACGUAAAAAUAUAAUUUAAUACAGGAUGAGUAAAUUAGAAAUAAAAACAAAUUUUUUUUAUUAAAUUAGAUAAUCCCAAAUACAUUGAUUUUCUUAUACUUUGAAGGUUGAGAACUUGAUCUCUCUCAAUGACAAUAAACUAAUUUUUUGUAAAAUUAGGAGCUAAUUUUUUUUAAAAAAAAUUAAGACCAAAUUGACAUAGUAUAUGAAUGUUUAAGUGUUAAAGUUGUUAUUCUGCUAUUUAAAAAAAAGUUGUUAUUAUGCUAUUUUUAAAAGCUGACACGUCAUCUUCCUAUUAGCCAUUUAACAGCAAGUAACCAGAAAAAGAAAAUGUCGAAUAGUUGAGCAAUCAUUUUAUAACUUUUCCUAGUUGAGUGACAAAAAAAAAACUUAAUAAUAAUUGAGUAACUAUUAAUGUAGUUUAUCCAAAUUUUUAAUAUAUUUUUUCUUUCACCCACUGACAUAUACAAUUUGGAUUUAAGCUUUUUGGGUGAGUGAACUUUUAUAUACAUAAGAUUCUUAUUAUUUGUUAUUAAUAAUUUUGAUUAAACAGUUAAUUUCACGUUCGAAUUAAAUUAAUUAAUAAUUGAAAUUUUAAAAUAUUUAAUUAAAUUAACUCCAAUUACCGGCUUAUUAGUCAAAUUAUUUUAAUUUAAUUAUUCAAUGAACUAUUCGGUUUUAACCUAACUUUGAAUUGUUUUGAGGUUAUAAUUAAGUGUUUUUAUUAAAUGAAUUUAGUCUUUCUCAAUUAAAAAGAAAAAAGGGGGAGAGCCAGCGAGGGGAGAGACCCUUUAUCCAGAAUAAUUAAGUUGUGGUGCAAAUCUUGUUGAACUUUGGCUCCAAAUAGAGAGUUAGCCCGAAUUGGGAGACUUGGUUAAAGUAUCUAAUCAGAAGUUAUCUUCUUCAUGGUGCAACCAUCCUAUUGUUGUCUUACUCUCUCCUUUCAUGACUUCAAAACAAAGUCAUCUAUUUUAAGGCGUUGAUGAUAACAGAAACAAAACAAAGCUUGUAGGAAAUAUUUGCCUUUCGGUACAUGUCAUAUGGUUUUUGCAAGAUUAAUAAAACUCUCUUGUCUUCUUGGAAGCUUGCUUAGCUAUGCAUGUUUCUCAAUGUUUCUUCUUUGGAUGUCUCCGCCUUUUCCAUAACUGUUUUUAUACUGUUGUGAGUGACAAUGGGUAGUUAAGACUGUCUUUUUUUCUAAUGCUAGCCUAGCUGUCUACUUUUUAGAAAGCUUGCUUACUCGUAACAGAUUUAUUUCCUUGUAUUUCAAUCUACUUGUCUUGUUGCUAGCAUCAUUACUUACGAAAAUAUUCAUUAAGCAGUAUAUAUACUCAACAUUCUUAAGAAGUGGUUCGGUGAGAAAAAGAAAGUGAUGGCUAGGAGCAGCAUAGCAAAAAGAUGGAAGCAGUUGAGCGGGCAGAACAAUUGGGGAGAGCUUUUGGACCCUUUGGACAUUGAUCUUCGGCGUUACCUUACUCACUAUGGAGAAAUGGCUCAGGCUACCUAUGACGCCUUCAACACCGAGAAGGCUUCCAAGUACGCUGGAAGCAGUUUGUAUGGCAAGAAAGAUUUCUUCUAUAAUGUCGGUUUGGAGAAAGGCAAUCCUUACAAGUACCAAGUGACCAAAUUCUUUUACGCCACAUCUCAAAUCCGAGUUCCGGAAGCGUUUAUAGUGAAGCCAAUGUCGAGGGAAGCAUGGAGCAAAGAGUCAAACUGGAUCGGGUAUGUUGCCGUGGCCACAGAUGAAGGCAAAGAUGUUUUAGGAAGGAGGGAUAUUGCAAUUGCUUGGAGAGGGACAGUGGAGACCCUGGAAUGGAUCGAUGAUGUUGAAUUUAAAUUGGUUUCGCCAGAGAAGAUUUUUGGUGAUCCAAGUGAUGCCAAGGUGCAUGAGGGCUGGUACUCCAUCUACACCUCGGAAGACCCACGUUCGGCUUAUAACAAAACCAGUGCCAGAGACCAGGUGAACGCUACCAAUGCCAUAACAAUGCUCCACUAGCAUCGAUAUCUUGUUUCAAUGGAAAAUACUAAGGUUCGUCUCUGUUCUUGGCUAUUGAUAUUUUAGGUUCUCAACGAGGUUAUGAGGCUAGUGGAGCAAUUCAAGAACGAGGAAACCAGCAUCACAGUAACCGGCCACAGCUUGUUGUUCCAAUAGGGUCGGAAGCGUGUAAAUUAUUGUACUAAAAAAUCACACAAAGUUCAAUUCCCAGGGAAGAGAGGUGGAUCACAAGGAUCUCUUAAAUACCAAGUCUUUCCUUAGACAGAAUAUCCCUUCUAUAGUAAUUUAAUAGCACAAUUAAAUACUACUAUUAUACCCUCAAAUAUUGAAAGAAAAAUAGGACAAGAAAGAACACAAGAGUUUUAACGAGGUUCGGUAAAUUAUACCUACGUCCUCGGGCACUAACACCAGAUGAUAACUUUACUAUCUUCAAAGUAUUACAAACAAAUAGAAUUCCUUAAGAAUUCUCAAAUGGGAGAAGAGAGAAAACUAAGAGAGAAAGAUUGGUUGGGAUGAAUUGAAAUGAGAAAUGAGAAGGCCUAUUUAUAGUUGAGGUUUAAGGACCAAACAAUAAAUAGCCCAUUAUCUCAAGGACCAAAAAAAAAUUAUCCCAUGCCACUUUUUCAAAGUCAAAUUUAGGGUGCUAAACUUGCACCACUUUGUAUUGUUUGCCAUUAAUGUUAACAAUCUCCACCUUGAAGAUUUGAUUAGGAUAAUCACAUCUUCACACACUUCCUUCAACUCCCCAAAUUCGAUAAAGCUAUCUUUUGUAGUGCCUACAAAUGCACUCUCGGGCGCCAUACACCUGAAGGUGCUCAAAUUCUCAGGAUGUUAAUCAAGUUCAAACAAUGAUUAAACUUGAUUGUUGUUACCACCUUGGUCAUCAUAUCUGCGGGAUUAUCUGCUGUCGGAAUCUUCUGAAGUAGAAUUUUUCCUUUUUCAAAGACUUCCCGCACAAAGUGAUAUCUUACGUCGAUAUGCUUGGUUCUUGAAUGAUAGACUUGAUUUUUCGCUAAAUGAAUAGCGCUCUGACUGUCACAAUAUAAACUUAUGUGACUUUGAACAACUCCUAAGUCUUUCAACAAUCCAUUAAGCCAAAUAGCCUCCUUAACAGCUUCUGUAACUGCCAUAUAUUCUGCCUCUGUAGUAGACACAGCUACUGUAGACUGUAAGGUAGACUUCCAACUUAUUGGGGCUUUCGCAAGAGUAAACAGAUACCCCGUAGUUGAACGACGUUUAUCUAAAUCACCAGCAAAGUCGGAAUCAACAUAUCCAACUACAAACUGACCAAGUGCUUCAUCCUGUUCAAAAAUUAAACCAACAUCUACGGUUUUUCGAAGAUACCGUAGAAUCCAUUUCACAGCUUGCCAAUGUCCUUUUCCAGGAUCAUGCAUAUACCUGCUCACAACUCCAACAGCUUGUGAAAUGUCAGGCCUCGUACACACCAUCGCAUACAUCAAACUCCCAACUGCAUUAGCAUAUGGGACUUUCGCCAUAUAUUCUCUUUCAUCUUCAGUCUUCGGAGAUAAUUGAGCACUAAGUUUCAAAUGAGAAGCAAGUGGGGUACUUACAUGUUUUGUGUUUUCAUUUACACCAAAACAUUGUAAUACCUUUUUCAGAUAUUGCUUCUGAUUUAAACAGAGCUUGCCUCUCGGUCUAUCUCUACUUAUCUCCAUGCCGAGAAUCUUCUUGGCCUCACCUAGAUCUUUCAUCUCGAACUCUUGAUUCAACUGAGCCUUCAGCUUAUCUAUCUCAUUUUGGCUCUUCGAAGCGAUUAACAUAUCAUCAACAUACAAGAGUAGAUAAAUGAAAGAUCCGUCAUGCAGCUUCUGCAAAUAUACACAAUUGUCAUAUUUGCUUCUUGUGUACUUCUGCCUUCUCAUAAAGCUAUCAAAUCGCUUGUACCACUGCCUCGGGGAUUGCUUCAAUCCAUAUAGCGAUUUGUUAAGCUUACAAACCCAAUUUCUACCACCAGCAUCUGUGUAUCCUUCUGGCUGAGUCAUAUAGAUCUCCUCUUCUAACUCACCAUGCAAGAAAGCCGUCUUAACAUCAAGUUGAGCUAGCUCCAAAUUCAACUGUGCUACCAAGGCCAACAAAAUUCUAAUGGAGGAAUGCUUCACAACAGGGGAAAAUACAUCAUUGUAGUCAAUUCCCUCCUUCUGAGCGUAGCCUUUAGCUACCAAUCUUGCCUUGUAGCGAAUAUCCUUCUUGCUAGGAGAUCCAUCUUUCUUUGCGAAUACCCACUUGCAUCCGAUUGCCCUUUUACCUUUCGGUAAUUGCGCCAACUCCCAAGUAUUAUUCUUCCGGAGAGACUGCAUUUCUUCAUCCAUGGCGCUUUUCCAUUUAUCACUUUCUAAGCUUUGCAUUGCUUCUUGAUAAGUGAUAGGAAUAUCAUCAACAACGGGAAGGGCGUAGGCCACUAUAUCAGUAAAUCGAGCAGGUUUACGAAUUUCUCUCCGUGGCCUUGCAACUGCAACUGGUUCUGGUGUACUUAGUGGUUCUUGGGUCAGAACCUCUUCAACCUCUAAUUCCUCCAUUGUGGCUGGAGAAUUAGACUUAUUAACUGGGCAAAUCCCCAUCUGCUCAAACUCCACCUGUUUUGGAGUACACUCCACCUGCUGUGGAGUAUUGCUCGUCUGAAUAUCUUUAUCUGCUACCUUUUUCAAUGUGGUAGAUUCAUCAAAGGUAACAUCUCUGCUACAGAUCAUUUUCUUUGUGCUUAAGCACCAAAGACGAAAUCCCUUCACUCCAGAAGUGAUUCCCAUAAAGAGAGCUUUCUUUGCCCUCGGAUCUAACUUUGACUCCUUCACAUGGUAAUAUGCAGUGGUUCCAAACACAUGUAAGGAAUCAUAAUCUGUAGCCGGUUUUCCAGACCAUACCUCCAUAGGAGUUUUUCUUUCUAAUGCAGAUGAUGGCAAACGAUUAACAAGAUGGCCAGCGUAUGUCACAGCCUCAGCCCAAAAUUGCUUGCCCAACCCAGCAUUGGACAACAUACAUCGAACUUUCUCCAGCAAUGUUCGAUUCAUACGCUCUGCCAAUCCAUUCUGCUGUGGUGUAUCCCUAACUGUGAAGUGUCGAACAAUACCAUACUCUUGGCACACAUCGAAGAACGGAUCACUUUUAUAUUCCCCUCCAUUGUCCGUCCUAAGCCGCUUGAUUUUCUUGCCAGUCUGGUUUUCGAUCAUAGUUUUCCAUUUAAGAAAAACUCCAAGCACUUCAUCUUUAGUUUUCAUGGUAUACACCCAAACUCUUCUGGAAAAGUCAUCAACAAAAGUAACAAAGUAGUGUUUUCCUCCCAAUGAAGGUGUUUUGGAAGGCCCCCACACAUCUGAGUGAAUAUAUUCCAAAAUACCUUUUGUAUUAUGGAUAGCAGUGCCGAAUUUCACUCUCUUUUGCUUUCCCAGAACACAGUGCUCACAAAAUUUUAAUUUGCAAGCCUUUACACCUUUCAACAAUCCUUGCUUUGCCAGAAUUUGCAAGGAUUUUUCGCUGGCAUGUCCCAACUUCAUAUGCCACAACUGCAUUGAGUCCAAGUCUUUGUUACCGGAAGCUGCAGCGACUGCUCCAAUAACUGUACUACCUUGGUAGUAAUACAAGUUAUUUUUCCUGAUGCCCUUCAAUAUCACAAGUGCGCCAGAUGUCACUUUCAAAACCCCAUCUCUCAUAGUAACAACUGAACCAUUGGAUUCCAAGGCUCCCAAUGAGAUGAGAUUUUUCUUCAAACUGGGCACGUACCGAACAUCAGUCAGAACUCUGGUUGAUCCAUCUUUAUUCUUUAAUUGGAUUGAACCUAUCCCAACAGUUUUACAGGCAUUGUCAUUGCCCAUAUAAACAACUCCUCCAUUUAGUUCUACUAAAUCAGAGAACCACUCCCGGUUAGGGGACAUAUGAUAGGUACAACCCGAAUCCAAUAUCCACUCAUCUGAAUGGAACGACGAUGAUGAUGCAACCAGUGAUAGUUCAGAGUCACUAGUAUCAUGCUUAGCAACACAAGCAUCUACAGCAGCUUUUCCCUUAUUCUUCAGCUUUGGACAAUUUUUCUUCCAGUGGCCUUUCUCAUGACAAAAAGCACAUUCAUCUUUCCCGAGUCUGGACUUUGACUUUGAUCUCCCCUUUUGAGUUUUCUUCCGAGUGUAUGAACGACCUCGGACUAGUAAAGCUUCUGUAUCUCUGAUUGAGUUUUUCUGUUUGUCCUUCUUUCUCUGUUCAUAACUGUAUAAGGCCGCACAGACUUCGCUCAGAGAUAUAUCACUCCUGCCAUGAAGUAGAGUAGUUUCUAGGAACUCAAACUCCUCAGGAAGUGACCCCAACAGCAUCAAAGCCAAAUCUUCAUCUUUGAAUGUCUCAUCCAUAUUCAGCAAAUCAGUGACUAACUGAUUAAAUUUGGUGAUGUGAUCAUUCAUUGUGGUACUUGGGACGUAUGUGAAGCGAAACAGUCUUUUCUUCAAGUGGAGCUUAUUUUGACUGUUUUUCUUCAAAAAUUUUUCUUCAAGUGCCACCCACAACUUAUUUGCAGAAGUCUCCUUUGAAAAAGCAUACCUCUGCUCUCGAGAAAGGCAUGAUCGAAUUGUGCCACAUGCCAACCGAUUGAUCGCCUUCCAAUCUUUCUCCUGUACAUCAUCUGGUUUCUCUUCAUCAAUGGCAAUGUCUAGACCCUGCUGAAAAAGGGCAUCUAGAACCUCACUUUGCCACAUACCAAAAUGGCCCGUGCCAUCAAAGAUCUCCACGGCCAAUCUUGCAUUUGCAAUUGUCGGUCUUGUCCACAUGGACGAUGUUGAAGCUCCUACACCGACCGUUUUCUCCAUAAUCUUUCAAUAUACCUAAGGAAAUCUUUUCUGAUGUGGAAGAUCAGUUCAAACUGCAACCACAGAGCAUACUACGAUUAACCUUCGGCUCUUGAUACCACUUGUUGUUCCAAUAGGGUCGGAAGCGUGUAAAUUAUUGUACUAAAAAAUCACACAAAGUUCAAUUCCCAGGGAAGAGAGGUGGAUCACAAGGAUCUCUUAAAUACCAAGUCUUUCCUUAGACAGAAUAUCCCUUCUAUAGUAAUUUAAUAGCACAAUUAAAUACUACUAUUAUACCCUCAAAUAUUGAAAGAAAAAUAGGACAAGAAAGAACACAAGAGUUUUAACGAGGUUCGGUAAAUUAUACCUACGUCCUCGGGCACUAACACCAGAUGAUAACUUUACUAUCUUCAAAGUAUUACAAACAAAUAGAAUUCCUUAAGAAUUCUCAAAUGGGAGAAGAGAGAAAACUAAGAGAGAAAGAUUGGUUGGGAUGAAUUGAAAUGAGAAAUGAGAAGGCCUAUUUAUAGUUGAGGUUUAAGGACCAAACAAUAAAUAGCCCAUUAUCUCAAGGACCAAAAAAAAAUUAUCCCAUGCCACUUUUUCAAAGUCAAAUUUAGGGUGCUAAACUUGCACCACUUUGUAUUGUUUGCCAUUAAUGUUAACACAGCUUAGGUGCAGCUCUUGCAACUUUGAAUGCCAUUGACAUCAUUGCCAAUGGAUAUAACAAGGCCAAUAAUCCGUCGGGAGAGGCCUCUCCUGUUACAGCCUUUUUAUUCGCUAGUCCUCGAGUUGGUGACUCAAACUUCAAGAAGAAAUUCACAGGAUACAGUGACCUUCGAGCGUUACGCGUCCGAAAUGUUAUAGAUGCUGUUCCCAAAUAUCCUAUGGUAGGGUACACGGAUGUGGGGGAAGAAUUGGAUAUCGACACCCGUAAAUCAAAGUACUUGAGGAGCUCUGGGAACUGGUUAAAUUGGCAUGAUUUGGAAGCCUAUUUACAUGGGGUGGCAGGAACGCAAGGGUGUAAUGGAGGAUUUAAGUUGGUGAUUAGUCGUGAUAUAGCCCUCGUAAACAAAUCCGUCAAUGGAUUAAAGGAUGAAUAUUUGGUGCCAGUGUCAUGGAGGAUUGAGAAAAACAAAGGUAUGGUCCAGCAGGAGGAUGGUUCUUGGAAAUUAAUGGAUCAUCAAAGUCAAGACGAGGAUGAUACUUGAACAUCUCUCCAUGGUUUGAUAAACGAUCUUUAUGUUUUGUUCAAGAUUUUAAAAUAAAAACACUAAUCCGAAUUUUAUUUACUUUAAAAAUAAUUUAAAUUCAAAUCAUUACUAUAUUAAAAAAAUGAUAUUUUAAAAAAAUAAUCUUAAAUUCGAGCCUUUUAUCGAUUUUAAUAUAAUAGUAUAAUUUACUUUUAAAAAAUAAUUUUCCAACAGAGCUAACACCACUAAUUCAAUUAAUGAUUUUAAACAUUGUAUAGAUAAAUAAAUUGCUAUAUGGUUCCAUUUACGGUAUUGGGUAAAAAUCUAUAUGGUAGUGGACUAAGAAAAUUAAUUCAUAUAGUUUAUUUAAAUAAGUGUCAUUUAUUAACCAAAUUACAACUUAGUUGUUAAAAAAUUAAAACCAUUUUUUUAUAUUACUACUAGUUCCUAAGCUCAUAUGCAUUACAUAUUAUUUCAAUUGUAUUAGUAAUGAUGAUUAAAAAAUAAUUAUUAAAAUUUAACUUUCUUUUCAAAAUAAAUCUACAAAAUGUUUUCCACAUGUACCAAACAAAUAAUGGAGAAACAAAAAGAACAGUUUUAAGAGUGUUUACUUCACAUAGUAUAAACAACAUAAAAUACAAGUAGAAAAAAGAUAUUAUAUUAUCUUCGUCAAUAAUAAAAAUAAUCUUCAAAUUUUUUUGGUGCUAUUGUAAUUUGAAUACAAUUCAAUAUUGUCUCCUCAAAGAACCAUUGCUAUAUAUAUAUAUAAUUUAUUAAUGCUAACAACUUCUCAUUUUUUUAUCGAUAAUUUUUUCUUAGAUGUUAAUUGAUCAAAUAUGUCUAAUUACAGAAUGUUGUUUAUAGUGCUAAACUUAAAAUUUUAAUUGGUAUAUAACUCUAAAUUAAUUAAAUGAUAAUUAAGAUGCUUAAAAUUUUGUUCAAGUAAUUACUCUAUUUUACAUUAAUAAAAUUGCACUCCUUUUUUACGUCAAAUGUUUUAGUUAUAAUUAUAAUUAUCUUAGUUUUUUUUCCUAUAUUCUAUAGACUUUUAUUUAAGUAAUAACUUUAUUUUAAAAUUAACACAAUUGUUUUUAAUUAAUAAUUGUAAAUUCAAUUAUAAUUAUCACAAAUUAUAUUUAUUUAUAAUUAUUUUUUUAAUUGUAUAAUCAUCACAAUAUCUAUUUUACUUUAAAUUGUUUAACUAAUAAUUCUAAAUUAAAUACUAUAAUUAUUUUUAAAUGUUAGUUUAGUAAUACGACAAAAAAAAAAGAUAUUCUCCCAAGUUCAAAAGUUUCAAAAGUCAUGUUUUUAUAUAUAUUAUAGAUCAUAGAUAAGAACCAACACCAGUAAGUCAAACUACUUGAAGCAGAAUUCUAUUAUGAUCAGUAGUGUUGGCGACACAGAUUCCACGUCCAUCCCUCCUAAGCAUUUGCCUGCAGAAUAUUUAGAUGAAAACAUCCAGGUUGAAGAAGAACUGGAAAUUUUUGCCGCCACGAAAGGAUAUAAGCGUAGAAACUACACGGAAGAAGAAGAAGAGCUGGAAAUUGGCGCCACCAUCCUAGGAUUUAUGGAUGAGCUUAUGGAGAACUUGGGUGAACUUUUCGUUGCUCAUAGUUUGGAUAUUUACGAUCGAAACUAUUUUUCUUUUGAGUUCGACGUUUUAUUUUAAAAAAUGAAAAUGAAGUCAUCAUCAAUCACUUUCGGGAGGUGUGAUCGAGUUAUUUCAAAAUUUGAUCGUUUUAAUAAGAGAUGUAAUUUGCUAAAAUAAUAUUUUUUUGUCUACAAAAUCCAGAAAAUAAGUUCAGGAGUCGGUUACGCACGAGAAAAUAUUAGCACAAUUGUUAUGCCCAAAAUUGGUACCUAAUAAUUACUUCAUGUAUUUAGUGUUGAAAAAUUGAAAUUUUGAAAAGAGUUUAAAACACAAUCCCACUUAGCAUAAUAUUAUUUUUAAUCAAAAUGUACAAGGGGCCUUUUAUCUCAAGGUAACAAAAGGUCACAUCCCAUAAGUUAGGACACGAUAGCUCGAACUCUCGAAAAUAAGCUUGCUUUUUUUAUUUUACUAUUUAAUUAAAUCUCAUGUAUUUUAAUUUUAAAAGGAUAUUCGGUCAUUUAGGUUCAACGAGGAAGUCGAACCCCAUAAGUUAGGGCAUGACUUCUCGAAUAUCUAAAUAUGGAACAUUGCCUUAUUUUAAAAAAAAUUCCUCCUUUUUUGAAUAAUAACAAAUGUAAUAUUUAAAACGAUCAGUAUUUAUCUUAUUUGGAUACAAUACAUCAAUGAAUAAAUAUAUCUAAACCUAAUAUGUAGUAUAGUGACAAAUGGAAUAAUAUAUAAUAACUAUGUGAGUAGAAUGUUAGAAUAAAUAAAUAGAGGAAUACUAUAAUAAUACUAAUGUAAUCAUAAUAAUAUUAAUAAUCAGAUCAUACUGAUACUAAAACAAAUAAGAUAAAAAUAAAAAUGAAAAAUGCAUAAUUUAAAAGAGAUAAAUAAACGUGACAUGAAAACAUCAAAAUAAUAAAGUAAUAAGUACAAAAAAUAAAAAUAAAAUAAUAACCACAAUAACAAUGCACAAAUAAAAGAGUAUGGAUAAUCUUUUCUUUUUAAGUGUAAAAAAAGAUAAAGAUAACUAAAUAAUAAAUAAAAUUUUUUUAUAGAAAGGUUGAAAUAUAAAGGAUGAAAUAGAAGUUUAAAUGAAAUUAAAAGGAGAAGUCAGAAUAAAUUGAAUAAUAAAGGAUUAAAUUGGAAACAUAACAAAAUUAUCUAUAGAAAUCAUAAAUUAGAAAAAGGCACAAACGGAUUGGAUUAAAAUAGGAUGAAAUAUAUAGGGACUUAAAAGGAAAUUAUCCCAACUCAGGACACGCAUCUUUUCUCUUGGAGAUCAGCAGACUGAUGACUUAAAUGAAAGUGGGACAAAAUUGAAUGGAAAAUUUUAAAAAGAGAAAAUAUAGAGAAAUUAGGACUACAUUAAGAUAACUAAAAAACAGAAGGAUUAAAGACAUAAAUAGACCCCCUAAAAAAUACACGGAUCCUAGAAUGGAUCAGGUCGGGUCAUCGGGUUGGCUGAAACGACGCUGUUUCAAGUGUUCCUCUUUUAAAAUGGUCUAAGGACCAAAAUAAAAAUAAAAUAAAAUUAGGUGGCAAAAUCAAAAAAUAAAUAAAAUAAAAUAGGACUAGAUUGAAACAGACCGCAAAAGUGGAAGAACCAAAUGCACAAUUAGGCUAUUUUUCAAAAACACGUGGAUCCUGUCAAAGGAUCGGGUCGGAUUUAAGUUUUGGCCCCUAAACGACAUCGUUUUGGGACCUUCUGGACUCUUCUGAAACGACGUCGUUUAACAAAAAAAUCAUUUUACACAUACUUUUAAAAAAAACAUUUUUCUCUAUUUUUUUCUCGCUGGGCCGUUGCUGCCGAUCGCCGGCAACGGUGACCACUGUCUAUGGUGGCCGAAAAAUCACCUAAAAACCUAUUUUAACCCCUUUUUCGCAUAGAACCCGAUUCAUAACCGAAAAAUCUCAAACCGAAGCCCAAAACUCCCAAAAAGGGAGAAAACCUUUCUGUUCUUAGCAUCCUCCGCCGUGGCCUCAGCCGAAUCCCCAGGCAUCGGACAGCCUUCAGACCAGAAAAGCUAACGUUGGUGGUGGGAAGACCAAGCGGCAAGUAAAAAAGUCCCCUUUAUAUAUAUAUAUUUGUUGUUAUUUUUGCUUUCGAAUUAAAAAUAAAUAAAAGAAAAAAAUUGACCUUAAGGAUUAGAAUCUGAUUUCUAUCUUUUGGAUUGCUUUUUCGUAUUUUUUUCGUGUGUAAAAAAAAAAACUACAAUAUGGUUAUGGCUUUUAUAACCAUAGAUUACAUUGUUUAUUAUUUUUUGCUAUUGUUUCUAUUGUUUCUGCUUUCGUUUUUGUUGUCCUUGUUUUUGUCUUUUUUCAUCAUUUUGCAGGUAUCCUUGGAGAGUCAACGACAGGGCAAAAAGCCUGCCCUUGCCAUUUUGGUGAAACGGCGGCAAAGGCGCGUCAGGCCUCAAGUGGCGUGCCUAUUCAUGUGGAGAGCAGCAACGCUGAGGAUUUUAGGGUUUUUUUUAUUGAAAACUUUGUUUAGGUUAUUAGGCUUGGGUCAUUAGGGUUUUUUUUUGGGCUUGUAAUUUUGCAAUUGGAUUGUAACAGAUUUUAUUAUUUUAUUUUUGGUUUGUUUUUGUUGGAUCCGAGCUAAAUUGACCUAUUACAUUUACUUGCAUGGAGUUACAGGCGUCCAAGAAGAUAGGUUUUAUCAGGAUUACGAUCAUGAUAUUGCACUGGUAAACAAGCAUUUAGAUUGGCUGAAAGAAGAUUACAAAAUUCUUGGUCAAUGGUAAAGAAAUGAGAAUCGAAAAUAUAUGGUUCAAAUGGACAAUGGACACUAGAAGUUUGUUGAUCAUUCGUAAAUCGUAAUCAUGGAUCAACAUACAAUGUGCUCUCAAAUUGCUUGACCGCAAUCAGAGAUCGCCCUUCAUCAUUAUGGAUUACUAAUAAUUCAAUUCAUAAACAAUUGUACGUAUAAAUGUGUGUUACAUACCAAUUUUAAUAAAUCUUGUAUCGCAUUCUGAAUGUUACUCGGGUUUCCUUGUUUCUUUCUAUUCCAUAGCCUCAUUCAUCUUUUAUUUUCUGCUCUCUUUAUUAUUAUUAUUAUUAUUAUUAUUAUUAAAAUAAAACUAAUUUUAUGCGGCUUAAUGUUGUUAACUAUUAAAAUCUAAAAAAUAUAAAAAUUAUAUUCUUAAAAAUAGAAGUAUAAGAAUUGAAUUCAAAAUUUGUGAGAAUAGAAGGAUGUAUCUCAUAUUUUAAGUUAUUUUAUAUUACUAAAAAGAUUUUCAUUAAUGGAAAUGAAAUAAUUGUUCAAAUAUGGAAAAUGAAGAUACACGAUUUUGUCUUGCUUUUCGUUAUCCUUUACACUUUUAUUUUUAGAUAAAAAAAAAUGUGACAUUUGAGAAAUAAAAUAAGGAUAUAAUUGCCAUAUACAGUCUUUAGGCGGUACAAUUGAUUCUAUUUAUAAUAUAAAUUUGAGAAUCUUAAAAAAGAGUAAGGAGACGAAGGGAAGGGGCCCACUUUGUCUCUAUCGCCACUUAGCCAGAAUAUAUAAUAAACGUGUAGAAGCACCGGCCUGAUAUAUACCAGAAAUAAAGGAAGCAAUGCCCACCUUAUUAUGAAUUACGUAUGAUUAAAGCAGAAAGCAAAAUAUCAAUUUUCCUAGGAAAAAUAAUCAAGAAAGGUUUGUUCAUCAAACCCACAAUAUCCAUUCAUUUCAUUUUCAGGGUGAGGAGAUUGAGUAAAGACAUGCUUCACUCUAACAUCCACACUCAACAAAAAGGAAGCAACAUAACGUGUAUGAGAUAAAAUCAUAAUUAGAUGUUUUCAUUCUAAAUUCAAUUGAUCUGUUUAAUAUGUGUGAGGCCGAUCAUUUCACCUUGGAGGAGAUCUUUGUUAAACGUCUUUUUCUUUUUUCAAUUCAGAAUUAAUUACUUAAAAACAUCUCAAAGAAAUUACAGAUUUUGUAUUUAAAAGAAACUAAUAAAUUUAUAAUCGAUCAAACUUAAGAAACAAGUUAACCUAUAUGCCUGAUGCCUAUACAUUUCUUUUUCAAGAGGAAUUCACGACUUCUCUGUUUUUAAUCAGUCGUGUGUAUAGUAUUUUACGAAGUAAUAUUGCAAUGAGAUAUACUCAGCUAUUCGUGAUUAAUAUUUUUUUUCUAAACAUAGAGGAAUAGGAGGAUUAUAUCCGAUUAUUUUACUUGAAACUAUGGGUUUUGUUUAUGCAAGAUGAUCAAUGCUAACCAAUUAUAUUAUGCAAAAUUUUGCUUUCACGAAAUAGGAACAAGUAUAAUAAUGGGAAGUGUGUGGCAUGGGGCAAAAGAGUUUUAUUAUUAUUUGACCAUGUCUAACAUGUAGUGCUCAACCAUCGUUUCCAUGUUGACAAAAGAUAAGAGAAACUACUAGUCUUGAAAGUUGAAAACUUAAGCACCAAAAAUUCGAAAGUGACACGAAGCGCAUGAUAUUGAGAACCAGGUCACUAUAUAAAUAGGCUGUAAUAAGAAAUAAUUAAGAGCUCAACCUUUUAGAUUGUUUUGGCAGACAAAAGGGGAAAAAAAUUGUUUUUGAUGGGUAGCAUUGCAGAAAGAUGGAGAGAACUAAGUGGGGAGAAGAAGUGGGAGGGUUUAUUGGAACCCCUUGAUAAUGAUCUCCGCAAGUUAAUUAUUCAUUAUGGUGAAAGAACUCAAGCUGUUAUAGAUGGCUUUAUUGGCGAAAAGGUAUCGAGAUGGGUUGGAUUGAGCCGAUACUCAAUGGAGAACUUGUUCCGCAAAGUGGGGUUGGAGAUAGGCAAUCCAUACGAGUACAAAAUAACCAAAUUCCUUUAUGCAAGGUCAGAAAUCCAAAUCCUUGAUUGGAUUUGCCCUGGGGAAUCCAAUUGGAUCGGCUAUGUGGCAGUGACCACCGACCAAGGAAAGGCAGUCUUGGGAAGGAGGGACAUUUUGAUCUCUUGGAGAGGAACCAAGCGAACCUAUGAAAUGAUUAACGAUCUUCAAGCAGAUUUAGUCUCAGCCGCUGAUAUUCUUGGAGACAAUGAAAAUCCAAGGGUGCACCAUGGUUGGCAUUCUAUAUACACUGCUCAAGACCCCAAAUCCAUUUACAAUCAAACCAGCGCUAGAGAUCAGGCAAGUUUAAUUUAUUUUACGUACUUAAUGUAUUGUCCAUAUCGAAUGCUAAUAAUUACCAAGUUAUUUUAUUUCAGGUUCUAAGUGAGGUUAGGAGACUGAUGGAUUUUUACAAAGACGAAGAAAUCAGCAUAACUUUGACAGGCCAUAGCUUAGGUAGCGCAGUGGCCACUCUGAAUGCAGUUGACAUUGUUACCAAUGGAUAUAACAAGCCGACAAGCAGACCAGACAAGGCUUGCUUGGUCACUGCCAUUGUAUUUGCCAGCCCUCGCAUUGGGGACUCAGGCUUCAAGAAAGUCUUCUCAGGACUGAAAAACCUUCAUGUCUUGCGCAUCGAAAAUGAGUUAGACAUCGUCCCUUCACUGCCAUUACCAUUACCUUUACUAAAUUAUACCCAUGUUGGGAUGGAAUUAGUGAUCGAUGCCCGAAAAUCUCCAUACUUGAAAAGCCACGUAGAUUUGAAUAAGAAUCUGAUGAUUGCUCAUCAGUUGGAGAUUUACCUGCAUGGAGUUGCAGGUACACAUGGGGACAAAGGAGAGUUCAAAUUAGAGGUUAAUCGAGAUAUCUCACUUGUAAACAAAUACCUGGAUGCACUGAAAGACGAACAUAAAGUUCCAACUAAAUGGUGGAUGGAGAAGAACAAAGGAAUGGUUCAGCAAGACGAUGGUUCCUGGAUAUUGGAUGAUCAUGAACCAGAUCAUCCUCCAACUCUAACAUAAUCUAUUUUUAGAUAAGCUUCAUAUGAUGAAGGCUUUAUGUUCCAACUUACGGGUUUACUUUUAAUUACUUGUACAAGUAUAGUUAUUAAGGAUAAGAAUUUAUUGCAGUUUGUGUAUAUUUCUUGUGAAAUUAUACUCAUUGGAGUGUAUCAACCAAAUACAAAAAAUGGUAUUAUGUAGAGUCGGGUAGGGUUUUUCUCAUUCUUUUUCUUUUUAAUCUCCUUUUUUCCAAUUGAUUAAGACAAAUAAUUGCCUAGAUUUCCCAGAUGGGUAAUUGAUAUUUUUUCCUUUUGACCAUGGGUGGUAUAUGCUCAGUUUUGCCUUGUGGGAUUGGACAUAAUCCAGUGUUGCCAUUUUAUUUAUCCAUUUCUUUGGAGAAACAUAGAUCACUUUUUUUUUCAAUGUUUAAUAAGAGGACAACUAAGCUUCUUGUUCUUAUAAGAACCCGAAAAAGGAAACGGAUCUUAAUUAGUGUUUUCAUCAUUUUAUUAAGAAACCUUUCUUUGUUUUUAUUAAGUAAUUGCUUUUUAUUUAUCCUAAAUCAGCAGUGAAAUUGAUAUACAACUAAAGUUGAAACUUUUUUGCAAAGCUGAGGUUACAGCACAAUCAUAUAAACAUAGAAGAAUUGGUAAAGCUCAAUUUAACAAGAUGUGAAGAGAUGUUUCUUAACACAGCAGUCCGCAUCUUAUUGGCCCUCCUCGAUUGCUUCAAUGAUAUUUAUCCUAUUCGAAAACUACUUCCCUGUGAAGGUGGCACAAUCCUAAUACUUUCUUCCAUAUAUCUCUUUAAAAACAAGAACAUUCAAAGAAAUAUGGUUUCUGGUUUCUUGAUUUCUUCAUACACAGGGUUUCCUUCUAAACUUUCAUUUUAUUUUUUUUCAACUAUGAUCCAUAUCGAUUUUAUGAUCUAUAAAGAUUAAUUCUUUCGACAUAUAUGAUUGUUUCUCUCAACAAUAUCAUUUUUUCAUAAAAAUAAAACAUGUCUUAACUUUAUACUCAGACUUUUGUUGGUAAGCUAAAAUAUAUGUUUUUUCUAAACAUUAUUUAUUAGUUUAAUGGUAUGUUAUCUUAUGAGGUAUGAUUUGAUAUGGGAUGUAAAUAUGAUAGAAACAACAUUGUUGGGAGCGAUAAUCACGAAUCUCAAACAUAAACCAUAAAAUAGAUAUGAAGAAUAUAAAAAAAAAGAAAGAAAGUUAUAUCACAAGUCACAACCGGGAAAAGAUGAUUAUUACUAUUGUUAUAAUGAAACAUUAGUUUAUUUUAAUUAUUAUUAAUUAUUUUCAUAUUUAAAGUAAUUACCAAAACUUACUUUUUGAUUAUCGAAAUAAUUUUUGAUAUAAUCAAUCAGUUUUAUUUUCUUUGUAGAGUGGAGUGAAGGGUUGAUGCAAGGCAAAGAAAGCCUAAUUUGGUCCAUUGGCAUAGUAGUUGGCCUAACUUAAAUGAAAUAUAGUGGGCCAACAUUAAAUUGGAUCAAAGAAAUGAAAUAACGUUAGUGAUAGUUUCUUUUUUCAAAGCACCGUAUGGUAGGUUUUUUCUUCUUAUUUCUUUUUAGCAAGAAGGAAGCAUAAAUAUUUUGGAGGGUAAAAUUUGAAUUAUCACUCUUUGAAAGAUAUAAAAAAAUGUAAUUCCAUUAUUAAAUUUUAAAUUUUAAAAAGAGUUAAAAUACAAAUUUCGAUCCCAACUUAAGUGAAAUUAUGAAAUUGAUUUUUUUUUGUUGUUAUUAUAUUUAUAAAUGAUGAUAUAUACCUAUUUAAUUUUAGUGCAAUCUUUUUUUUUUAAGAAUAGUAGUGCCAAUCUUAAACUAUUAUCUUAACUUUAACUUUUAUAAUUAGCAAAAUAUAUAUUAAUAAUAUUACUUUUUAUAAAUUAAUUUAUACGUAAUUAAUUAAAUUAAAAAGUUAAAAAUCUCCUAGCGUAAGUGGAGAGUUCAUUCUUUUAUAUUUUUAUAUGAUAUUUAGGAGUAUUCUUUUUCCCUUAUAAAAUUUUAAAAUAUAAAUAAGUUGGCAUACUUUAUGUUAUUUACACUAAAAGAAUAAAUUUCUUUCGAUUACACUUAAUCAGAGAUGAGAUGAGGAUGAUUAAGAAUUUAUAAGAUAAAGAGUAAACUAUGGAGGGGUCGUAAUUUAUGCUCUAAAAGACUCUUUAAUACUUAAAUUAAAUAGUGGAUGAUAGCAAGCUUUGGAGAAUUUUUUAAUAGAGUAUAGUUAAUAUGUGAGCUCAUACCUCUUGCUUAACGAUAGGCCCUUAGGUUGUUAGUUACUUUUGAAGUUGUUGCUCUCAAAGAUUUGUGGGACUAGUUGUAGUCAAUUGAAGUGUAUGUCACAGGUUGUUUGUUACUAUGCCUUUCGCCUGUUUGUCAGCCUUAUCGUCUAACUUCUAUCAAGAGUUGUUGUCUAGACAUGAUAGUUAUGUGUUAUUCAAUUAUUUCAUACUAUCUAUCGGUUUACAAAAGCUUAAGUUGCAGAGAUUGUUAAUUAUCUUAGGCUUAAAACCUAAACUUUGUGUAUAAUAAUAUCUUCUCUCUUAAAAUGACUUGGUGAAAUCCUAUAUAAUGCAACUAGAGAAAAACACACAAGGUUGGAAUUGUUCUGUCAUGAAUGUAUUUAGUGGGUGUGAGGCGAGAGAAUAUCUUGAGGAAACGAUGAUGUGUCCCUUGAAGGAAUAAGAAUAUAUCUCUAAAGAAAUGAUCAGUAGUACUAAUUAAGUGAAAGUAAAGUUUAAAGAAGUCAAUUCAUUUGACUUUGUUGUUAAGAAAUGAAGUUCUAUGGUUUAAGUGAGAACACAACUUGAAAAAAUUAAUUUACUCUAAAAAUCAAAAUUCAAAAUUAUACCAAAAACAUAAAGUUAACAACUUACCAUAAAAUUAUUAAAAUUACAUUAGAAAGUUACCAACUUACCAUGGGGAUACAAAAAUUUUGUAUAUAAUUUUAGCGGGUUAUUAAGAUUUAUUGCUUUCUUAAAAUUACGUUAGGAACUUACCAAAAUUUAACAAUAAAAAAGAUUUAAAGUUUUCAUUAGUAAAAGCUACAAAAUUUAUUUAUUAUUUUCCUUUUAAUAAAAGUAAUUAACAAAACAAUUAAUUACAUGAAGUAGUUUUAAGCUGCCCAUAUGUUGACAUCCACAUAAGAAAUCUUUUAGUUGCUUUAGCUCCACCACCACAUACAUAUAUUAAUUUUAUUCCGUGCGAUUUACGGGUUUUAUUUAUUUAAUAAUUAAAAUAUAUUAAAUUAAUUUACACUAUUUUUUUAAAAAUAGAUAAUUAAAAAUUAAAAUAAAGUAAUUAAACCAUAAUAUAUUAAAAACAUAUAUAUGUGAUAUUAACUUAAUUUUUAAACAGUAUUAGAAUGUUUUUAAAUAUAUUUACAUAUUUAAUUUUGUUUUUCUAAUUUUUUUAAUAGUGUAUAAAAAAAAUUAAACAUAAAUGUAUGUUUUAGUUUUUUUUUUUAAAAUUGAUAAUUUUUUUGUAUAAUUUCUUAAAACCGUUAAUUUUAUUUUUAAAUUUAAUGUAAUUAUUUAUAACUAAAAUGUAGAAUAUUGUAUAUUAUAAUGGAUUAGAUAUUAAUGAAUGAAGAUGUCAACUUGUUGCAAUUUUAGUUUGCGAUAUAUGAAUGUUUCCAUGAUUUUAAUUUAAAAAGGUGCCUCACUAAAAAAUCACUGGUGAAGAUGACAAGUGAAAAAAGAGAGUGCAUCCAAAAUAUUCUUUCAUCUAAAACAUUACAAAUGACGAAUAUAAAUAGGUGGAUCCUUCCACUAAAUUACAAUUGGAUACUACAUUGAAAAAUAAUUUCUAAAUUAAUAUAAUAUAAAAAUAAAUAAAUUGCACACAAUGGUCAAAGUUUAUAUUAAAAGUCAGAUUAAUUCUUUAUUCAAAAAAUCAAUAAUUUAAUUUUUUUACGUUAGAUCAAAAAGUAAAUUAGUAUUUUUUUUUUGCUAAAAAACUAACAUGGCUAAUAGAAUAUAUUAGGGGUGAACAACACUUGAUUCGAUUAUAAAAAAUCAAAAAAAAAAUUAAAUUUCGAGUUAGUCGAAUUGAGUUAUUCAAAUUAUUUGAGUUAUUCGAGUUUCGAGUUCGAGUCUAGUUGCACUUUACAAUUUGAAUAACAGAUUGAUGUAAAUACCCUUUUAGUCCCUAUCAGUUUUGAAAAUAAACAAAUUGGUUCCUCUAAACAAAAAUUACAAAAAAAAUUCAAAAUAUUUAUAAAAAAAUUCCAAAUUUUUAUUUUAAAAAAGUAUAUAUAUUUAAAAAUCUAAAAAAUAUAUAUAAAAAAAUUUAAAAUUUCAAAAAUUUUCUAAAAUAAUAAUUUUGGGAUCUAAAUAAGUUUAUUAAUGAUUAAAUUAUCAUACUAAAGCAAUUUUUUAUGAUUUUGUUUUGAAAAAGUUUUCAAAUAUAUAUGGUUUCAAAUUUAUAUACUUUUUAACAUGUUUAAUAUUUUAAAUGAACUCGAACAAUUUCACUCAAUUCGACUCGAUUUGAAUUUCAUUUUACUCAACUCUAUUCGAAAAAAAUUCAAAUCGAGUUAGGAUAAUAAAAUAAGAUUCGUCAAUUCGAUUAACUCAAAAUUUUUUUACUCGAUUUGAUCAAAUGCUCACUCCUAAAAAGAAUAACUAGAUAGUUAUAUAACAUGCUAUGCAUAUCUCAUAAUGAUGUACAAGAUCAAUUUUUAAAGGUAAAAAAUAAAUGAAAUUUUAACAAAAAAAUAAUUUUUUUUAUCUAACAUACAUAAAUUAAUUUACGCAUCCUUUUAGUAAAAAAGACAAACUAUAAUUUAACUCCUAGUAUCGAAAUCCAUAUACCUACAACCAACUCAUCUGGUAGCUUUUCUAAUUUGGUAGCUUUUAAAAAAUUAACUAGGCGGCCGUUUUUAUCACAUCUUACCAAAAAUUAUGUUAUUUGUAGUAGGUAGAUUUUAUUUUAUAACGUCUCCUCUCCUGGUAUUUUGCAUAUCCAAAAUGGCUUCAUUGUAUUCUCUCUGUUUAUCAAAACAACAAUUGUUUGGCAUCCUUUUGAUCCUAACUUUCUUUUCAAGUUCGAGAGCAAAGAGAUGCUACAAAUCAAUUAUCAGCUUUGGAGAUUCCUUGGCUGAUACAGGGAACUGGGUCAUACUUUUACAACAAAAUAAACCUACACCUGCCUUUCCACCAUUUGGGGGGACUUACUUCAAUCGACCAACAGGCCGAUGUUGUGAUGGUCGUUUAAUCGUUGAUUUUUUUGGUACUGCAUCUUUGAAACUCCAAUCUAGUAACUUUAGAUUUUGGAAACAUGAUUUUAGAUAUGCUUGAUGGAUAAUGAUCUUUUUGAGUGUUUGUUUGUUUGUCGUGGAUUUGUAGCUCAGAAACUUGGACUUCCAUUGGUGCCACCAUAUUUUCGAGAUGCUAAUUGCAGUAAUUGCCGAAAGUUUCAAAAGGGUGUAAAUUUUGCUGUGGUGGGAGCAACAGCGCUUGAUAAUGCAUAUUUGGCACGAAAAGGAAUCAUUAAUGAACUCACAAACGUUUCUUUGGGAGUGCAAUUGGGUUUAUUGAAAACAUUAUUGCCAUCUCUUUGCUCCUCAUCUUCAGGCAAGUAUCUGCAGAUGCUGUUGUUCUUACCUAAUAACCAAAAAUGUACCAUCGUUUUCAAUUAUAUGGGGCAGACAGGCCAAGAAUUUAUAAACUGUCAUAAUUGCUUAGUCAUUCGGCGACGGAUUUUCUAUUGAAAAAUAGUUGAUACCAAUUAUUUUACGUUCACGGUGAUGAUUCACAGCUUGCAAUGAAUUCCUUAAUAACUCGUUGAUUCUUAUGGGAGAGAUUGGAGGAAAUGAGUUCAACCUUGCAUUCAUUCAAGGAAUUUCGAGUGAAGUGAUAGGAGGAUUAGUCCCUGAGGUUAUCAAAGCCAUUUCUGCAGCAAUUGAGGUAACAUUCCUGUCCUCUUCUGCUAAAGUUUUUAGUUAGCACAAUCAACAUGGAUAGUGACACCAAGCUUUUCACACAAAAUUUUCAAAGAGUAAAUCAACUGUAUUGCAUAUAUCUUUAAUAUUAAUGGACGGUUGCUUCAAUACAACGUGUAGGAGUUAAUCGAGUUGGGGGCGAUGACAUUUGUGGUUCCUGGAACUAUACCACUUGGAUGUCUGCCGGUUCUUCUAACGCGUUUUCGGACUUCUAAUAAGCAGGCUUAUGAUCGCUAUGGUUGUUUGAUAUGGCUAAACGACUUCGCCCACUACUAUAAUGAAUAUCUUAAAAAGGAACUAGAAAGUAUGCGAAGGCUUCAUCCUCGUAUCAAUAUUAUCUACGCAGAUUAUUACCAGGCUUCAAUGCCACUUUAUCUUUCUCCAAGAUCGUUUGGUACGUUUUCUGUUCUGACCACGAAAACCUGAUAAAGUUAAAGCAUAUAUGUUGUUAUUUUUCACUAAUAGGUUUGUAUGCCAGGAUUUAAAAGCACUCUGACUGCAUGUUGUGGAGGCGAAGGUCCAUACAAUGUUAACGUGACGUUAAGUUGUGGUGAUCCAGGCACGAAAUCCUGUGAUGACCCUUCCUCCUAUGUUAACUGGGACGGUGCUCAUUUCACAGAUGAAGCCCAUAGGGUGAUCUCCAACGGUCUUCUGGAUGGUUCAUGUACCAUUCCUCGGUUUGAGUUCCCCUCAUGUGCCUCAUAAUUAUAUUAUAAUCUACUCCAAGUGAAUAACGGAAUUAAGAUCAAAGCAAAAUGAUGCUUUGCUUCUUGUAUUUAAAGUUCUUUAAGUGUGCAUUCCUGCUAAAAAUGUCAUUGGCUGUGAAAAUUGAAAAACAUCGAGGCUGGAAAAUAAAGUAAAUUCCUUCUUCUCUGGGAUAAGUAAUUGAAAGAUUAAUUUCUCCUGUUAGUAAUAUGUACCGAGUAGGUCUUGUACUUUUCCAUACAUCGCCUACUUUUUUGGAUGAAAAAAAUAUUGCAUCGUCAUAAAUUUAGUCCUCAACAUUUAUAUUUUUGUUAAAAUAUUAAUUAUUAAUGUUGUUGGCAUGACAAUUCGCAUAGCAGUCUAUGUACACACCAUUUAUUUUAUAUGUCACGUUAAUAAAUAAUUCAAAAAUUAUAAAAUCAAAAUUUAAUAAAAAUAAAGUUCAUAAAAAUUUAAAAUAUUUAACAUGGAGUACACGUGAAUUCUCAUGUAGACUACCGUGUUUAAAAAUUAACUUUUAAUUAGUAUUUUCUUAAAAAAUAUUAUUUUGGGUCUUUUUAAAAAAGAAUCUUUUAAAAAUGUUGAAUGUCAAAUUUAAUUAGAAAAAGAAUAAGGGUCAAAUUGAUAAUGGAUGUAUAUGUUAAGAACUAAAUUUGAUAUAAUGAAAAACCCGGUAUAUAAACAUUGAAGCAUUGAAGUAAUCUUAGCUAACUUUUAACAGGUAGAUAUCAGAAUCUGAGGGUUUUUUACACAAAUAAUACAAAAAAAUUUAAAAAAUAUCAAAAUAAUACAAGCAUUUUAUUAUGUACCAAAAUGGUACAAACAGUAGUGGAGGGACUGCCACAGGCGGCACCAAUGGUGCCAGUGGCAGAGGUGGCACCCCACAUUUGUUCGUAUUUUUCUUAUUUUCGAAUUUUAUUACUUUCAAAAAAUAUAUUAUUUUCGUAUUUUAUUAUUUUAUAUUAUUUUAUUACAUAAAGUUUGAAAUGUAUUAAUUUAGUGUGUUUUUUAUAUAAAUUUUGUAAAAAACCCUCAUUUUGGCCAUUUGUUCAUAUUUUUCUUAUUUUCAGAUUUUAUUACUUUCAAAAAAUAUACUAUUUUCGUAUUUUAUUAUUUUAUAUUAUUUUAGUACAUAAUGUUUGAAAUGUAUUAUUUUAAUGUGUUUUUUAUAUAAAUUUAGUGAAAACCCCUUAUUUUGGCCAUUUGUUCGUAUUUUUCUUUUUUUUUCGGAUUUUAUUACUUUCAGUAAAUAUACUAUUUUCGUUUUUUUAUUUCUUUUCGUAUUUUAUUUUUUCAUAAACUUAUUUUUUCGGUAUUUUAUUUUUAAUACUAUUUUUAUAAAAAAAUCCAAAAAUAAGAAAAAUAUGAACAAAGGAGGGUGCCGCCUGUGGCAGUGGCAUCUUUGGUGCCGCCUGUGGCAAUCCCUCAACUACUGUUUGUACCAUUUUGGUACAUAAUAAAAUGCUUGUAUUAUUUUGAUAUUUUUUAAUUUUUUUUAUAUUAUUUGUGUAAAAAAACCCCAAAAUCCGAAUUUCAUCUUGACGUAGAAGGCAAGCACAGCCGCAAACACAUUCUGACAAUGUCAAAUCCAUUUUUUUAAAAUCCGUAAAUGCCUCCUUAAUACGGGUUUUUUACCUAAAUAGGAUAGAAAAAAAAUACUGAAAUGGUAUGUCAGAAAAAAAAUUUACCAAAAUAGGUUACUUUUUCAUUGGAGCCUAUUAGAUAGGCGCCAAUGAAUAAAAUAAUAUUUUUUUGAAUAAAAUAUAAUUUUAUAUUUUUCCGGGUUAGUAUAUAACCUGUAUAAUACAUAGUAUUGGCACCUAUCUGGAAGGCGCCAAUGGUGGGGCCUAUUUGGGAGGCGCCAAUGGUGGUGCCUAUCUGGGAGGCGCCAAUGGUGGUGCCAUAUUGAAAGGCGCCAAUGUUGUGAUUUUUCUCUAUAAAUACCCCCAACACAGACAUAAAUUUGACUACAGAAACGGAAGAAAGAAGAAGGAAGGAAGCAGAAGAAAAGAAGGAAGGAAAAGAAGAAAAAAAUUAGGUAUUUUGGUUUUUUUUAAAAUAGAAUGUAGAGUCUUGUUAGUAAUUUUAUUAUUUGAAAGUUAUUUUGUCAUGUUAUUAAUUUUGUUAGCUUCUGAAUGAAAAAUUUUGCAUUAAAAUUUUUAUGUAUUUUGUUUACAUUUUGAAACUGUUUUAAGAAAUUUGAAAUUCUUUUUUACAGAUCUAGUAUUGAAAAUGGAGAAUCAAUUUUUUGUAUGUUUUUAUUUCGAUGGGGAAAUUUUAACAACUGUGGGAUGUAUAUUUGAAUGUCGCAAACAAGUAGCAAUGAGAUUUGAUAGAAAUAUCUUGUUUGAUGAUAUGAAGGAAAAAAUUAGUGAAAAAAUUUAUAGACGUUGUGGGAGAAGGAUAUCAAAAGUUUUCUACAAGUUUCCAGUAUCAACAGAUCCAAUAAAAUUUACCGAAAUGGAACUUGUAGACGAUGAAGACGUGGAAACAAUGGUCGCUCUUUAUUGUGGGACUUCGAGUAACAAAAAUGUACCGAUUCAGUUAUUUACUGAGUUAGCCAGUGUGGAGGCAACUGAAGAUCCCACUCCAUUAGGUGAAGAAGAUGGAGUUGAAGCGUCGUGUAUGGUGGUUCCGGUAUCGUAUGUUGAUAGUCAAUCACCUAUACAUGGGAUAAAUAUUGAUCUUAAUGCUGCAGUUGAGACUGAUGUGGUUGGUGAUGAUGUAUACUAUAGUAGUGAUCCUGUUGAUUACGAAGUGGAUAGUGAGAGUGAUCCCGACGCAGACGAGGUCCCGGAUGAUAUUGACGAUGAAGGGGUGAAUGAGGAUGGAAAUGUUAAUGCGUCUUUAGUCGGAAACCAGAUUCGUCGUAUUGUGAUACACAAUAAUCCUGGGGCACACAUGUCUCGGAUAGACCCCGAUGCGGCACGGGCAGUUGAGUUUCCGGAGUACCCUGAAAUACCACAUGCUUACCGAAUAGGUGUAUAUUCUGAUCCAGAUGAGUUACGCGUGGGCCAGAGAUUUGAAAGUAAUGAAGAAUGUAUGUUUGCGAUUAAGCGGUAUAGCAUGAAUAUAUCAGUAGAUUACAAAGUCAUCGAGUCUAAACCAACAUUAUAUAUUGGAGAGUGUUAGAGGUCGGCAGAAGGCUGCAAUUGGCGGGUACGAGCUACAUUUAUGCAGAAGUCACAGAUGUGGGAAAUACGAAAAUUUGUUGGGCCCCACACAUGUACUUCAACACGUAUGACAGAAGAUCAUCGAAAACUUGACUCCAAAACUAUCUGUACAUGCAUCAUGCCAAUGGUGAAAGACAUGCCGACCAUUAAAGUUUCGGUACUGAUUGCUGAAAUACAAGCACGAUUCCAGUAUCGAGUAUCAUACCGGAAGGCAUGGAUAGCUAAACAUAUGGCAAUGGAGCAAUUGUAUGGAGAUUUCAAUGCAUCGUAUAAUGAAUUACAGGGAUGGAUAGCCGCCAUGAGGGAACACGUGCCGGGGACUGUAAUUGAGUUGCAGACAUGAUCUUAUGACGGGCCAAAUGACCAACUACAAUCGAGAAAAAGAAUUUUCCAUUGGAUGUUCUGGACAUUUGAUCAAUGUGUGCACGCAUUUCCCCACUGCAAACCAUUUGUGCAAGUAGAUGGAACCUGGCUAUAUGGAAAAUACACACAGAUCUUACUUCUUACGGUUACUCAAGACGGCAACAGGAACGUACUCCCGAUAGCAUUUGCCAUCGUCGAUAAGGAGAACAUGGAAUCGUGGGAGUUUUUUCUUACCAACCUGGGGAGGUAUGUGAUUAGCAAUGAUAAUAUUUGCAUCAUUUCCGAUAGAGGGAAAGGAUUAAUUGCAGCCAUUAGGCGUUCUGGUGUACCAUGACAAUCUGUUUACUGCAUCCGGCACAUCGCGGCUAACUUCCAGCGAGAUUAUAAGAAUACAGAUUGGAAGAGACAAGUUGUGAGAAUGGGUAAAGAAUUACCUUAUCUUUUAAAUAUAAGUUUUAAUGUUUUAGAGCAAUACUGUAACUUAAAUUUUUUUAAUACAUAUGCAGCGUAUGAGCUAGAGCCACACAUUUUUCGCCAAAGAAUGGCCCGGUUUGAGAGUGACAUGGAGGGUCAAACCAACACAUCUUUCCGGCAGUGGCUGGGUACCAUGGAGCCGUGGCAAUGGGCUCAAAGUUUUGACGAGGGCUUUCGUUAUGGUUAAAUGACUACAAACUUAGUGGAGGGGAUCAACGCUGUGUUAUUAAAAACACGACAUCUUCUAAUUUCAUCUGUCUUUUCGGCAACGUUCUACAGGUUGGCUACCUUGAACUUAGCAGAAUACGGCAUCCAAAUGAACUGCACAAUUAAUAACGUUGUUAUAUUAACGCGGGUCGAGUGAGAUAAAAUAAUAAAAUUAAGUUUAUAUUCGAAAAACUUACCCCCUCUCCAGCAUGAUUCUCAAUCAUUAGACGAUAUAUCGGAACCGACGGUGACUUCCCGAUACCCGGAUUAGUACUCCACCUACGAAAACAAAUUGUUAGAAUAAUAUAUUAUAAAAAAUUCAACUAAUUAUUAUAAUGAGGAAAAAUUCAUCACCUAUUUAUGAGUGGAAAUACAUAUGAUUGAUGACUAAUGGAUGCCAAGAAUGGCAUUCUGUAAAGUGCCCACGACUGCAGCAGUAUGAGGCAUCCGCCUAUGUCAACCGCAGAAGGAUUUGUUGUCCGACAAAGUUCACGAUACAGCAUGGCUAAAACUGCGGAUCCCCAACUGUAUGAACGAGUGUUAUGCAAAUUGGAUAAUAAGGGUAAGUACAUCAAGUGGACCGUACUGCCGUUUGCAUCCGGCAUGAGUACACCCCCUAUAAGGUGCAUGAUGUAAGCUCGAGCAGCCUGCAUCAUCUCCCGUUCAUUAGCAGUACUUGGCAAAUGCUCAAAAUUGGCAUGUAGCCAUGAAAAUCUCAAACUGGUAAAUUUCCCCUGACUUGGCGAGCGUCCAAGUAAUUCAUUGCAAAGGGUAGCUGACCUAGAUAUUGAACUUACGCCCGUGACCGCAUUCCCGUCUAUGGGAAGCCUGAGCUGUACUGCAACAUCCUCUAGAGUGACGGUACACUCUCCGCACGGCAGAUGAAAUGUGUGGGUCUCCGGACGCCAUCGCUCGACUAAAGCGGAAAUCAAGUCGUAUCGCAGAUCAAAAGUCCGAAUCAAUGCCGCUGAUCCGAACCCGGCUAACUCUAAGUAUGGUAUUAGGCGUUCAUCUGACUGAAACCCUACACUAUUAACACGGCCCCUCAAUGCGCGGUACGGACCCUGACAUUAUUAAAUUAGAAAAAUAGUUAAUACAAUAUAAUUUAAUUCAACAAAUAACAUGAAUAUCAAAAAUAAAUUUUAUUACCAUCUCAUUAAUAGUACUUGAUAUGUGAUUAUUAUUAUUAAUUAGAGAACUCAUUUCCUGCAAAUCUGCAAUAAAAAAAUGAAUUCAGUUAAUUUAUUAAAAAAAUCAAUAAUUACUGUUAAAUAAAUACAAAAUCAAAUAAAAUUUAAUUAUAUAAAAGUUACAUUAUAUAAAAAUUAAAUGAGUUAACAACAACUAUAUGAUUAAAAAAGUCAGUUAUAAUUAAACUUUUAAUGAAAUGAUUUUUAAUUUUUUUAUAAACUUUAUAUGUUAAACUCACCAAAUACUAAACUAAACACAACAACUUAUAGCUUAAUCAUAAAUUACUAAUAAAUUAAAUUUUAAAUAAUUACAAACACAAAAUAUUGUGAAUUUUUCCCAAAUUACUAACAAAUUAAUUAUAAAAUAAUUACAAUAUUCAUACAAAAAAUUACAAUAUUACAAUAUAUCCCCACAUUACAAUAUUCAUACAAAAUUACAAUAUUACAAUAUUCAUACAAAAAAAUUGCAAUAUUCAUAUAAAAUUAUAAAAUUACAAUAUUCAUACAAAAAAAUCAUAAUAUUCAUACAAAAUUACAAAAUUACAAAAUUACAAUAUUCAUACAAAAAAAAUUGCAAUAUUCAUACAAAACUAUAAUAUUACAAUAUUCAUACAAAAAAUUUAUAAUAUUCAUACAAAAUUACAAUAUUCAUACAAAAAGUUACUAAUCUAAAACUAUAAAUACAAAUUUAAUUAUAAAAUAAUUACAAUAUUCAUACAACAUUACAAUAUUCAUAAAAAAUUAUAAUAUUCAUACAAAAAAUUUAAAAUAUUCAUACAAAAUUCUAAUCUAAACUAUAAACACUAAAUAUAGAUAAUUUAUAAUUAAUAAUUAAUAAUUAAUAACAAAAAAUUCACAAUAUUUUCUAAAAUAUAUCCUAAAAAAUUCACAAACUAUAAACCUUUUAAAUUAUAAACAAAAUUAUUUAUUAAAAAAAUACAUUACCUUUUUUUUUCUUUCUUCUUCUUCUUCUCCUUCUCUUCUUCUCCUUUCUCUCUUUUUUUUUUUCUCUACCAUGUGGAGUGAGUUUGAGACCAUUUGCUAUUACUUAUAGCCAAAAUAAAAGGUUUAUGAAGAGACAAUUCAAUGGCAGCAUCAGCAGCAUGCAGGGGGCAGAGGCACCAUUGGCGCCUCUCCAUCAGGCUCCUUCAUUGGCGCCUACUAGACAGGCGCCACUCGACCCGACCUGACCCAACCGUAUUUUGACCCCGUAUUUUUUAAAAAAAUAUUAAAAUAUUAAAAUAUUAAAAAAUUAUAUUUUAUUAAAAAAAAUUAUUAUUAUUUUAUUCAUUGACGCCUAUCUAAUAGGCUCUAAUGAAAAGAUAACCUAUUUUGGUAAAUUUUUUGUUCUGACAUCCUAUUUCAGUAUUUUUUUUUCUACAUUAUUUGGGUAAAAAACCCCUUAAUACCAUCCAGGAAUUAACAAAUCUACUGAAUGGAUGUCGGCCAGUUUAUCUAGUCCUUUUUCAGACUUCUAAUAAGCAAGGUUUUUUUUUUCAUCAAUAAGCAGGUUUUAUUAGUAAUAGCAGCAGUCCAUAGAAGCAACAGCACAAAGAUACAACAAGAUCACCUUAGCAAUCAGCCAAUCACCGAGAACAAUUAAAAGCCAAGCAUAAAAGACAGUUCCUACUAGACAUCUAAUUUAGCUAAUGAAUCAGCGAAACCAUUAACUUCCUUGUAAAUAUUCACACACACACACACACACACACACACACACACACACACACACACACACACACACUACCAAUCAAGGCAAUAAGCGCCUGUUCAUGCAGCCAUUGAGAUGUUACAAAGACCAAGGCAAUUUUAAUGGCAUGGACCUCUGCAUCAUUCGACGACAUAACACCAAGAGGGCCUGAGAACAUACACCGAUGGCACAGCACCCCGCAGCAACCAGCAGGGCCGAGUCAGCAAUUGGAGGCAUCCAUUCAACUCUACGCGUCAGGAUCCUCACCCUCAAAUCGUCGUUCAUCAGUCUAGGAGAAAUCCAACAAACAACUUCUUUAAUUAAGUCAGAACCACCCAAAGCAUUAACCCAAUGCAAAGAUCGUAAUUUACGAAGGAAACCAUCCCAUACUUUGUUGUUAAAGAUCGAGUCGUUUCCCAUAAGCUACAAUAUCCAAAUGGUUGUCCCACAAACAUCUAGCAACCUUUUCCUAGUAAGGCCCCAGAACUCAAAAUCAAAUCAUUGAAUCAAAAGAUCCUUAACCGACUUGGGGAUUCGAUUCCUCACUGCAUUCUUCUGUUCAUAGGAAAAAAUUGUAGAAAAGAUGGUUUUCUCAGGAGUUUAUUUAUCCCAUUGAAACAAUAGUAGUAGUUGGUUAAUUUCAAGUGACCUCCAAAACAAUUGACAUAAUUAAUGCAUUCAAGCUUUACCAAUUUUACCCUUUCGGUAACAACUCUAUUCUUAAUCAUUGCAAGGACUCGUUUGGUCUGAUUCUAACAGACAACACUACUAUUCACCAUUUGGUCAUAUCAUUUAGAAAUCAUUGCUCAAAAUAGUUUAGUAAGUGGACCUUAUGCAUCAAAGAGAAAAGCCUCAACAUUUAAUCAAGUUGCUAUGAUUACAAAGUUUAAUGCAGUAACAAGAUUAACAGAAAUCUCAUCCAAGCCAAGCUAAUCUGCCCCAUCUAUCUUAUUUCCAGCUUAUGGUGCUUCCAGUUUGUCUUUCCCUAAACAUUUCAGAAUCAACAGCUCUACUGAGGAUUUGGAGGCCGGCUGUUUGCAGAGGAAACUCUGGAUCCCCAUUCCAGCAACUCUUUGCUGGUGUCAUCUUUGUGUGCAAAAACUUCAAUGAAACACAGUGAAUCUUUCUUUUCUCCUGUUGCUGCCGCAAUUGCAUCUAUCAGUUCAUCCUCGGUCCUCACCUAGAUUUAACAAUGAAAGUAUUAAUCUAUGCAUACCAAAGAGGUACUCCUCAGAGUUAACAGUGGAUGCAUCUAAUUAUUUGAAAAAUGAAACUGUCAUAUGUAGAUGGGAAUUUCUGAUCAACACUAGUUUAUGCUACACGGGCUUUAAUAUUUACUAACCUUGGCUGUCCAGCAUUUGCCUUCACCAUUGUGGAUGGCAUCAACAAAGGCAGUGUAAUUCCAGUUCUUGAUAACAUUGUAAGGGCCAUCAUGAAUCUCAACUUCAAUUGUAUAGCCUCCAUUAUUGAUAAGAAAUAUGAUGCUUUUUUGUCCACAUCGGAUCAUUGUGGAAAUAUCUUGAGCUGUCACCUGAAUAAUAUAUCAAAACAAAAAUAUUAUUUCCUUACCACAUUUUUUAUUUUAUCAUAUACUUGAAAAGAACUAAAUCAGUUACUUCAUAUUGCUUGUGGUUACCUCUAAAUGAGUUAUUAAAAGUUCUAAAUGAAAAUUAUGUGGCUCACCUGGAAACUACCAUCGCCAAUGCAAGCAAUCACACGUUUGUCUUUAGCUGCCUGAGCAUAUCCAAGCGUGGCACCAACUGACCAACCAAUGGAUCCAUACUGCAUCUGGAAUUCAUAACUGCAAGCAAUAAAAAUAAACAUUUACACACUGCAAAACACACAUACACGAGUCUAAUUCAAAACACAAAGAAAUGUACCAUUUGAAAAAAUCUUGCUUACCCGCAGUUCUCCGGAAGAUGGAGCUUCUGACAAUUGAACCAUGAGUCUCCAGUUUCAGCAAUAACCGCAGAGUCUUUGCUUAGCAUAUCCUGUUAAGCAAGGUCAACCAAUGAAUGAAACAAAAUCUAAUGAAGUGCUCACAUCUGGUUACGCAUUGAUAAGUCUAAACGAUUCACAUUUUGCUCUUACAGAUAUCAUAAGAGCAAAGAACAAAGGGUAAGAAUGUUGCAGCAUAUACAAAACCAAUUCUUCCCAGUUUCCAAGACACAGAAAUUAAAGUAGUAAGAGCCAACACUGCAUGUCUUACACACUUAAGUGUGUUUGUUAACCAUACUAAUUAUUCCCUAUGAAGGCAUUGAAGGCUACCUAAAUGGCCAAUAGGUGUCAUAAGCUCAUUCCAUCAAGAAAUCUAUAUUAUAAGCUAAAAUAUUAUAGAGGAGUAUUUAAAGUCAUGUCCCGAGUGCCUACCUGAAUGUGCUUAAAAAGAACAUUGACUCUCAGAGGCUGUCAUUAGAGGAGUAUCUAUAUUAUAAGCUAAAAUAUUAUAGAGGAGUAUUUCAAGUCAUGACCCGAGUGCCUACCUGAAUGUGCUUAAAAAGAACAUUGACUCUCAGAGGCUCGUCAUUCCCAUGCUUCAAAGGCAUGCCUGGAGGGACAAAGAUUCGCCGAUAGUUCUCCACGGCAGUGGUAUUUUUCUUAAGUUUCUUUGCCAAUGCACUUAAGAAGUCGGCCAUGAAAACCCAGCCAAAAGAAGGACCAUUGCCUAUCGUCACACGAUUUGGUUGUACUAUGAUUGCUUUAUCCUUCUUGAUCAACAAAGAGUAGCCUACAGAGCUAUAAUCAUUGAAGAUUGGGCCAACAAAAACAUAGGCAUCAGCAGAUUCCACUAUUUCCCCACAAAAAGCUAGUACUAACCGCACCCCAGUAUGUUCCAAUAAAGUGAGGAUGAUGUUCAGGUACCAAUCCUUUGCCCGAAGGCAUUACAGCAAUGGGAUACCCACAGGCAUCUGCAAGCUCCACAAAGGCAUCUUUUGCAUUUGCAACCCUUAAUUUAGGUCCACCCACAAGGACAGGCUUCACAGCUUUGUUCAGAAAAUUGGCAGUAGCUUCCACAGCUGCUUCUAAUCCUAAUUGAUUGCUUACCCUGCAUAUAAUUGUAGAGAAUCAGCAACACAAGCAUGUAACUUGGUUCCAUUCAUGUCUAAAAAAAAUAUCCUUUUAACACGCCAUUCUAAUGAAUGAAAAUAUCACUCAACAAUCAAGGGUAUUACCUUGCUCUCCCCAUAGUUUGAUACAUGCAUGUAGCAUCAUAUUCUACCUAUAAGUCAUACAAACUUCAGCUAAAGCUAGAAUAGUUACUACGCUAUGCCAGGGAUAGUUUUAACACAAAUUAUGCCUCUGCCUCGGGUUAUGGCUAGCACUAGCUCCUUUCUAAUAGUACUGCAAAAAACAUAACACUUCUGUUACAAAUUUAAAAAAAUUCCAAAAACUUCUUUUAUAUAAACUAAUUCUCUUUUCUUUAGGCCAGGUUCCUUCGUUAGCUUCAAAUAGCCUCCAUUUACCAAGCUAACCAUAUAUCAUUAUCAGCAAUAAAUGAAAGAACAGGUCAUGAUAAUCACAACUCUCACCAGCCUUCUAUAUAUGAAAUGUACAAGUAGCAAUGCAAGGAAAGAUUAAUCUUCACUAAUAAGAAGUCAGAUAAAAACUUUACUUUGGAGCGAGAAAGAAGGGCACUGGGUCUCUAGCAAAUGUUGGAUGAGGAAUCCCAGGCAAAUUACAGCCGAUACUAAUGUAAACGGGCUUGCUUUCCUUCAAAGCUGUGGAUAUGGCAGUAUCAAGAAGCUCAUGCGCAUCAUCCAGGUUGUUCACCACUGCCUGUCAUAUCAGAUCACCACCAAAUUACAUCAUCAAUCUAUCAUUUACUCUACAAGUUACUUACAGUAAAAAAAAUUGCAAAAAAAAAAGGCGUCAUAUUUCUUAUGAAUGCAUAAAAAGGGUUUCCUUCUAACUUACUUGGGCACAGGUGAUCGUCUGGAAACACCUUAAUUCUUGACUAAAAUCUGGCAAGCCAAUAGUAUGAUGCAAGAUCCGGUUGGUCCCGUAAUCAUUGGAAUUAGGCCCUCCAACUAUGCAAAUCACAGGCAAAUUCUCACUGUAAGCACCGGCAAUAGCGUUAAGCACACUCAGGCCUCCAACAGUGAAAGUCACGACGCAAGCUCCCACGCCCUUAGCGCGUGCAUAGCCAUCAGCCGCAUAUCCGGCGUUAAGCUCGUUGCAGCAACCGACUAAGUUCAGCUCAGGUUCUGCUAUUAGAUGAUCCAAGAGGGUCAAGUUGAAGUCACCAGGAACUGAGAAGACGUCCUUGACACCGAUCUCCACGAGCCGCCUUGCCAGGUGGCGUCCCAGGGUGCCACUCGAGGCAUCUCCGCGGACCGGAGGAUGUAAGGAAGUGGGAUGAGCUGUUGAACCGAUUUUAUUACCGGCUUCCAUGCAGUAAAAGUUUUUGCAAUAAAACAACACUUGAAAAGGCAAAUAGAAAGGAGAAUUGGGAAGUUUAUGAAAUGGGAGAAUGGUUUAGAAACUAUUGGAACUGGAAUACAAGUGGUGGGUUUUUAAAGGUUUUGAAGUGCAAAGAUUUUGUGAAGAGAAAGCGGGUUUGAUUAACAAUGGGCUGGUUAGGGUGGGUUUUGAUUAAUCAAGUGAAAACCAGGUUUUGGUUUUGGAAUAUUUAGGAUUUGUGCAUGUGUGGAAGAAGUACGGGCAUGGCUGUUUGUGGAGAAUGAAUGGAGGGGACCAGUAGAUUGAAAAACAGGAGCAAGUUAGUCUGGUUUUCUAUUCCAUUCGGCUCUUAUUGGGUUUAAUUUUUCUUUUUUACAAAGUAACGUGAAUACUUAUUUUUAAAAUCUUUCUCUCAACUUUUUGUUAAAAUGAAUGCGUCAUAUUUUAAGAAAAGUCCGGUGAUGGAUGUUUGCUUCAAAUUCAAAGGGCAAGGGAAAAAUUUACUUUCUGAACCAACUAAUGUCUGCUCUUCUUAAGGUGCCUGCCUAAACAUGCACGAGUUACUUUGCUUUUUAUAGCCCACUGUUUCUUUCAUCUCUUAGGUCUUAAAAUAGGAAACUUUUGUGUAAUUCCUCAUAAUCAUUUAUUUAUUGUAUGUUUGGAAAAUUAAUGCUAUUAACUCAUAUACCUUAAUCUCAUUCCAAUUCUUAGAGAAAAGAAAAAGUGAAAUUUUGAAUAACUACAUUUAAAUCCAUUUAUUUUUUUAAUUUCUCAAAUAUGCUCAUACUUAAUUUAAGUUCUACAUAAUAACAAUAAUACUAUUUUGAUUUUAAAAUAUAUUUAUUUUUUAAAACAUGAUUAUCUGUUAUUUUAUUGACCUCAUUUAAAAAUUUUAUUGACGAGAUAUAAUAAACUAUUUAUAAUAAAUAUAAUGAAAAUUACAUAUUACUUAUUAUUAAUUAUUUAUACUUGGGCAAUAAUUAAUCGAUGAUAAUAAGUGCUAUAUGUUUAAUGUUGAAGAGAGAAUAACCUGACAAAUAUGGAAUGCUAGAGUAAUUAGGUAAAAUUACAUAGGAUACAUAUUUUUUUUGUUAAUUUUAUUAGUAAUCAUAUUACUGAAUAUUUUUUUGUACUAAUGUAUUAUAUAAUGAUUUGAUUUGAUUUUUUUUUUACUUGUUAAGAUAAUUUUUUCUCGAGUAUCAUUGAUAAUUUUAUAAUAAGUAAUAUUAUAAUUUAUACUACCAAACAUUACAAACAAAAUUACAAUAUAAUUAUAUUAUCUAAAUUCAAAUUAAAUAAUAAAAUUAUCUAAAUUUAAAUAUAAAAUAUAUAAAUAUUAAUAUAAAAUAUUUUUAAAAUAUUAUAAAACAUAGACGGUAAAAUUGAGUUAUCAAGUUAGGUUAGACCAGCCAAAUUCGAGAUUUAAUAUAAAAAAAUAUUUUAAAACUGGACCAUGACCCAACUUAACCUACAAAUAAUUUUACUUAUAAGUACAUCAUUAAAAACAUUAUAUGUAGAUUUAAAUAAAGAAAACUAUAAUUAUUGAUGAAAACUUUUAAAAGUAAACACGAAAGGAAAAGAAGAUGGAAAACACUUUUCUUUCUUUUGUUUUUUUUCUCUGUUUUUCCUGUUCAUCAAUUUGAGUUUAAAGGGCACUUAUUGGAUACAUAGGUAGGAUUAGGAACAUCAGUGCUAUCUUGUUUUUAUAAAAUUCAUCAAGAGUAUUUGAACAUUUGAUUUUGAACCAAGUGACCAUUGUGAAGGGGUAUUAGAUUUUAGCACUUCCUUUGCCUGGUUUAGCCCACCGUUUGCGUAUUUCUUUCUCGUCUCCCAUGUUAAAGUACCAAAAAGCAUGAAGCAUGUGCAUAUGGGGAGAGAUGGGCGCUUCAUUUUUAGGGUAUUUUAUUUCUUAAAAAGAUGGUUGUGGAUUAAUUGGUCAAGUAAUAAUAUAUUAUAUUGCAAAAACCAAAUACUGUAUACUAUAUUGUGCAACUGAGACUUUGCUUGAUUAAGUUAGAGGCUUCGAAUAUUGAUCUCACUGUACAUGUUUUGACAUAUAGUGACAUCAAACUUCUAUUUUCGUUUUUUUUCUCUUCAAAACUGUCAAUACUAAUUCAUUAAUCUUCAAAUUAUCUCAUAUGCGACACCUAGUUUCGUUGCUUGAGCUAAGGUCAAAGAUUACCAAAAUGUCUUUCCCUCGUUACCCUUAUUUGACCACCUUUUUUUUUCUUCUCAAAAUUAAAAAACCAACUGCUUGCAUUGACAAUUUUGCUAUACUACAUUGCUAGGCUUUUGAAUGAAGAGCCCAUCAUCUUCAUGGACUGGCUUUUCAAGUAUGAGUUAAAGAGAAAAUAUUACUAAAAAAAAUUGAAACCUGAAUGAAAUAAGAUUUCAUAAUUAAUCCAAGAUUGAGCCGAAAAGGAAGAACAAUCAACAAUGGUUACUACUUUAUAACAAAAACCAUAAAUGAAAUCAAUAUAGAAUUCAAUAGUUCUAACAAGGGAUCUUAGAGGUGAACCACUUCAUGACCAGAACGGGAGCCUUGAUCAAACAGAGUGCAAACUCUACUAUGAUUGUUACGCACAAGCAACACGGACAGAUGCAAGUCAACACCAACCUGCCAUCAUCACCAAAAGCCAACCCAUCAAAUCGAUUUUGCUUUAAACAACUCAUCAAACCAAUCUGAAAAGAAAAGAAGAAGAAAGAAAGAAAGUGAGACUAACCCUACAAUCCAGACGAUUAUGCCGACUAUGGACAUAAGGAGGGAUAAAAACGCAAAGGGCAGACCCAAAAGGAAGCCUAAAGGCCUGCAUUCACAAUCGUCAUCACAGCAGCAGCAACACAUAUUGUUUAUUCCUUGUUCCUAAUUAUGCUCUUAACUUUGUUCUUUGGUUAUCUUUCUGCACCUCUUUUGCUUUCCUUGAUUUCUUCGGAUAUGGUACAAUAAAUAAGACAAGACAAGCAAGGCUAUAAAUAAAAUAAGUAAAUAAAAUCUGGUGCAGACGUAUGUGCCGUUUACAUUAUGCCAUUCCACUAUAUUUGAAAGGGAAGCGAUGACCAACCAAUACCAACUCUCCACCAGAUCUGUUAUCUGGUCCGAUGAUUAACCUGUCUUAGUUUCUUCUGGGCUUACGCUAUUAUCUUAUCUGUGCUGUUUAUCGCCGACGUAUAUAAAAUUCUUCUUUGAAUUUAUUUUAUAUAGAUAGCUAUUAUCGAAGAGAGCAAUGCCAAAUUUGCCAGUUAAAUCUUGAAUUGUUAGCACAGGUGGAGCUGUUGCUAUUCUUUCGUUGAGAACAAAUAUUGGCAAAACAAUAAUUGGAUUUGGAGGGGAUGAAUUUAGUCUGACAUUGUCAUGUGGUGGAAUAAUGGAAAUUACAAUUAAUAAUCCGACAUCGCUUUUCGUCUAAUCUUGAUCUUUAUCAAUAAACAAAGCAGUGGGAUUGAAAUAUUUAGUAAUAUUUUAUCAACUCUGUUAUAUUAUGUCUAAAAAAAUCAAUAAAAUUAGAAAUUCGCCAGUAAAGUUCAACAAAAGUGAAGUGGAAUAUCAAAAUUCAGAGUGUGUAUCUUACUCGAAUACUUGUUAGGACUGACGUUACGAGGUCAAUUAAGGCAUACAUGACAAUUGACAUGACAUGACCCGGCGGCUAGGCUGGCAAGAUAGAUUAGUCUCUUGUAAUAUGGGCUUGAUCGUUCCUCAAGUUGGGCUGGCUGGCAAGGCAAGCCUACUAGGCGGCAUCACUUGAUUAUCUUCAAGACAGCAAUGACAUAAGACACUUGUCAAGGAUUGAAUUUGAUUUUCACGCAAUAAUUUUACAAUCAAAAUUACAUCUCAUCUAAAUGCAUGAACCAUGCAGAGCUUGAGUCGAGUUAUUAAGCAAAAGGACGAGCAAUGGAUUAUACAUGUUUCUGAAGAUUACUAAUUAAGUCGAGUUUUGGUGCAACUGCACUAGGAAAUUUUCUAGUACAAGCACCAUAAUGGCAAGCAGUACAAAACUUCAAAACAUUAUAAACCACCAUCUGUCCCUACCCAACUGCAGGCAGUAUCUUUUGAUAUCCCUCUUACCUUCAUCAUCUCCCUCAAAUCACUCACACCAUCCCAUUUUCCAGCAGCUGCCAAAGUAUUUGAUAGAGCAACAAAUGCCCCUGGCCUACUGUCGACAUUUAACUUAAAAAGUUCGUUGGCAGCUAUGCUAGCCAUUUGUACAUCGCCAUGUAGCCUGCAAGAACUGAGCAAAGCUGCCCAAACAUCAGAAUUGGGCUUCUCAGGCAUCCCCAUUACAAGUUCCCAUGCCAGAUCUAAACGCCCUGCACGUCCCAGAAGGUCAACCAUGCAAGCAUAGUGCUCCAUCUUCGGUUUUAUUGAGUAAUCUCUCUCCAUACUCUCAAAGAUCUCACGGCCUUUGGCAAGUAAACCGGCAUGUCCACAAGCAGAGAGAGCGCUAAGGAAUGUUACAUCAUUUGGUUCGACACAACACUCUUGCAUCACAUAGAACAGUUCCAGUGCUUUAAUUGGGUUCCCAUUCUUCCCAUAUCCAUCAAUCAUUGAGGUCCAUGUGAAAACAUUCUUUUCCGGCAUGUAGUUGAAAACUCUUCUGGCAUCCUCAAUUCUUCCACAUUUUGCAUGCAUAUCAACAAGAGCACUUGCAAUCUUGAUGUCCAUAAAGGACUCAGUCUUCAUUAAUUGACCUUGAACUUGUUGACCUAUUUCAACUACUGAUAAAACAGAACAAGCUCCAAUUAGACUCACAAAAGUUGAAAUAUUAGGCCGGAAAUUCAACCGUUGCAUUUCAACAAAAAUCUCAAGCCCUUUCUUAGCAGUUUCAACUGAUUUACUGUAACCUUCAAUCAUUGCAUUGAAAACUACGAUAUCUUUUUCAACCGUUUUAUUAAACACAUUUUCAGCCUCCUCUACCGAUCCAUUGUUCAUGUAGCCAGUGAUCAAUGCCGUUGAGCAAACCACAUUCUUUUCCAACAUCAUAUCAAAAACAGUCCUGGCAUAUUGAACCUUCCCACUCUUCACAUAUGAGUCAACAAGCGCUGUAUAAAGCACUUCAUCAGGCUCUACAUCCAAUUUCACCAUCAGGGCAUGGGCCAUCCUUCCUAAAAACCGCGGUAACGUCACUGUACUACUCCCACAAGCAGACGCCUUUAAAAUCAUCGAAAAUGUGAACCCAUCAGGCUUUUCACCUGAAUCAACCAUUCUACGAACCAAACCAAGUGACUCCUGAACAUUCCCAUUUUUAAGGUACCCACCAAUCAAAUAAUUGUAUGCGGACAAAGUGUGCUGCGGCAAUUCAUCGAACAUUUGGGUGGCAUAUCUCAAGCACCCAGUUUUUAGGUGCAAUAUAAGGAGUUUGAUGGAAAUAUUCGUAUUGGGAGAAACCCAGAUUUUAUAAUGUGCGCGUGAAUCUUUUGGCCAUGGAAAGGGGUAUCUGAGUUAAUGAAAUGUUGAAUGGCAAUAGAGAAAGUUGUGGAGGUUGGGUUAGAGAGAGAGUUUUGGUGGUUUGUCGAAACAGUAGUGUUAAGCGGGAUCAGCAAGCUUCGAUGGUUGGGUGAUGAUGAGAAAAUGGACGAUUUGAUCAAGGGAAGUCUUCCACUUUUCAUUUUCCCAUUCGAUCAUUAUUGGAGUAUUUGCUGAUUUAUAAAUUUAUCAACCAGGAACUCUUAUAGUUUUACAGUUUCCAGGUUCAACUUAGCCCAAUUGAAGUUUCGAUUUGUGAUAAAAAUGGACUGAUUGUUGGGCCUAUUUCAAUCCACUGCUAAUAAUGCUUUCAUAUCUUAUAUGGCAAGAACCCAUAAGAUAUAGGCUUCCUUUGGAUUCAUUUGCACCACAGUAUGUUGAAAUUUUUUGUCUUGAUUUUUAAUCUCACUGCAUCACACUGAAUUCAAGGGCUGUUUGGGUUAAAUGAAUUCCAGCACAAUGAGAGGUUUUGCUGCACUGGAUGACCUUAUACUCACUGGUGCUAAAAGUUCCAGUCAGCUCUAGUUGGGGCAAUUGGUAUUUUUGUCUAUAUUUUAAUUUAUUAUUUUAUUAUUUUAGCCUUAGAUGUUAAACUAAUUUCUUUCUCAAGCUUAAUUAUCAUUUUAUCUAAUAAAUAAUUUAAAUUAAUUAUAUAAUUUAAUAAAAUAUUGGAAGAUACAUUUUAAUAUUUUAUUAAAUGAAUUUAUAAAUUCACAUAUUUUAAUAAUUUUUAAAAAGUAAAAUAAUUUAAAAAACUUUUAUUAUAUAUCAAUUCUAAUCUGAUGUCCUUAAUAGUCAUUUUUUAUUCUCAGCUCACCGCUACAGCUACGUUUGAAUCCAAACACACACUCCACCAUUGUUUCUAAUCUCACUGCUACAGUAUCCAAUCUCACCGCUACAGUAACUAAUCUCAUCACCACCGCUGUUUUUAAACUCACCGGAAAUAAACACACCGCUUAUCCAAACUAAGCCAUAGUCUCUUUUUUUUUAAUUAGCAUGACAUAUAGUCAAUCGCUCCUAUAUGUAUUUUCUUCGUAACUUUUGUCCUCGAUUCCUGAAGAAACUUUGCGGACCAUAAGUCCAUAAUUGACAUUUGGUUCGGAUAAUUCUACAUUUACAUUUGAUUAGUUUUAGCUUCAAAUAAUUUUAUUAAAUUUUAUUUUUUUUGGUUUAAUGAUAAAAAAGUUAUGUCGAAGGUAACUGUUAUUAUAGGAUCAAGUAAUUCUACGCUAGUUAAACUAAAUAUCAAAAUAUAAUUGUCAAGUUGCUUUUAUCAUGAUUUGUGAAGCUCAAAACCUCAUUUUUAUCAUUUGAAAUGUAUUAAAAUAUUUUAAUAGUUAUAUAAUAACAUAUAUUUAAUAAUUAAAUAAUAAUUUGAAUCAAACUAUCUUGAUUACAAAGAUCUUGCCCUAAAACUGACCUAUAAGCAAGUUUUGUAUUACAAGUCUUAAUGUAAACCUACAAACAAUUUAAACGAUAUCUCUCAAUCAAACUGCCACAUGUUUUUUUUUUUGUUUACAAUAUUUUUCUCCUAAAUUUUAUAAUAAAAAAAAGUUAAAAUAAUAAGAGGUCAAAUUGUUUUAAUUUUGACCAACAAAAGUGAAAAUUUAAAAUGAAGCGAAUAAAACUCUUGCGUGGUAUAUUAAAUGUAGUUAUCAAUAGAUAUCUUACCCACAAAAUAUAGAAGAAGUUCAUGGUAGAAUUAUAUCACUAACUAUUUAGUUAGUAGGGUUAAGUAUAUUGGACUCAAUAUCUAAUACCACAGAAGAAGCUAACAUAACAAAGCUCUCUCUUGCAUUGAAUUAUUCAAAACUUGGUACAAUAUAUAUAACUUGCCAAGUAGGUAGUUUUCUAAGCUAUAUAAUCUUAGCAUGCAGAAGAAAUGUUCUAUUUAUGAAUAUGAACAAAUCUCCAUCACGCAAGUCUCGCGAUUCUUAGUAGAAAUUAUUGAAACUGACAAUUAAUAGAGUUUAUUACUUAUUACCUCAACCACAUUGUCACUUAAAGUGCUGAUGUGUAAGACAAUUCAAUUAUAAUAUGCCAGUGGUUGAUCCGCAAGUAAUAGGUGGAGCUAACUAGUCGUGUUGAGGGUCCGGUCCUCCAGGUGAAAUUCUUGAGACAUCCGUCAAUACCCUCUUCCCAUCAUGCUUCAUUGCAGACAAAUCAUAGCCUGUCAAUGCCUUUAUAAUGGAUCGGCUGUCGAUCCUUUUCUGCAUUGUCUUACGCCCACCAUAACUCUUUGCUUCUAAAAUGCUGAUUGCAUUUCCUGACAAAAUAAGAAAGAUGACUAGGGAAGCUUGGAUGACGGUUGAGUUAAGCAUUGCUAAUUAAUACAAGCUUGAAUAUACUGAAGCCGGUGGGAGUGAUCUGAUGAGUAGUAGUAGUAGUAGGCAAGUGGCAUUUUAUAGUACCAUCUAUAAUCCUAUUCCAUUGCACACGUCCAAUAUUCCACAGCACAGGAAGCUGACAAAUCCUGAAGGGAUAUUAGUUUUUGUUUUUACAUGGAUUAUAACUUUUCCUACCCAUUACCAGAUUACUUAAUUAUCCCACAAAUUGCAUAAAGGCUGAAUCAUUUGUCUUUGGUCCCCACAUGAGCAUACUCUAUACUAUAUUUCAUCAUUCAUUUCCCAUUAAAAGUUGCCUACACAGUCAUCACCGAUAUCAUCGUCCAAGUAGGAUUUGGGGCAUUGCUUAAAAAGACAAAAAAACUUCAACAAAGUUUAGCAACCCAUCCUUGGACUACAAGACAAGAAACAGACAUAUAUUGCCAAAUUCCAUUGAAGUCAUUCUUGCAUUUGAUUUCUGUCUUUUCCUUUAACCCAGAGUACGUGACUCUGAAAAACGGAUUCAUCUUUGCGCGCUUUACAUGUUAGGACAUAGUGUCCUUCCACAUGGUGUUAUAUAUAAUAUAUAAGAUGGCACCUAUUUGAUUCCCAAUAAGUAAUCCAACUUGCAUUUGCUUUAGGUUUUUUGGAUUUUGGCUCAACGCUGACUCGUAACCUUUUUCCUCUUACCUUUAAAUCUUAUCACCACCCUAAUCACAUAUCUCCAUCCUUCUCUUGGACGAAGAUCUUUGCAACUUUAUGUUUGGUUUCGUCAACGGCUGAAUGAUGUACCAGUUUUUGUCUUUUUAAAUUCCUAAUCAAAAUACAUAAUAUAUAUGUCUUUUCAUAUAAUCUAUCAUAUUGCCAAAUAUGCAGUAUCACUUGAUAGAUACACCUUAUUUUCUGGCUAAAGAUUGUCUUUUGCAAUGGGAUAAUUGCAUUCACUCUUAAACUUUCAAAAAUUAUUGUUUUAAGGGAAAAAUUAUGCAUAAACUUUGAUCUAAUAUAUAAUUUUAUUUUGUAUUAUUUUAUACUUGAGAUAUUAAUUUAAUUCAAUUUUUACAAACUAUUAACACUAUUAUCAAUAUAACAUCAUUUUAUGUCUACAUAUUACAUAGAUAAAUAAUAAUAUUUAUCCAAUAUACAAACAAAUUGAAAUUAAAAUGUUUUAUCUAUUUUUUUAAAUGUGUAUAAUUGAAUUAAAAUUAAAGUUUCAUAUUAUUAUAUAUUACAAGGUAGACAACAUAUAAAAAAUAAUCUUAUGUGUCUUCAUAAAAUUUUGACAAGUGGCUAUCCUCAUUAUUGGACUCAUCAACAAAAUAUUAAUGUUAAUAUGCUUUUAAUAUAAUUUUUUAUUAAUUAUUAAUUUCUAUUUUUAUAUGUUAUUUUAUCUUAUUUUAUGUUUUUUAAAUGCAAUUAUUUCAUUUAUUCACUUGGUUUUCUUUAUAUUUUUAUUUUAAUAAAUUUGACUCGUAAAUUUAGUCAUAAAAAUAUAUUUUAAUAUUUAUUUAGAUUAAUAUAAAUAAAUUCUUUAAAGCCAUUGAAAAACAAAAGUUAAUAUUUUAUAUUAAUAUUGAUAUAAAUAUACAAUUUAUAUCUAAUAUUGAUAUAUAAUAUUACGUAUAAUAUAACUUAUAACAUACCAUGCUACUAUAAAUUUAUUACAUAAAAAAUAUUUCAAUUAAAAAAUGUAAAUUUCCUUAAAAAAUUAAAAAAUGUAAGAACUAAUUUUUUUUAACAUAAUAAAUAAAAACAAAUAUUUUUCUUAUCUGUACUAUUAUUUAAACUUUCGACUGAGUUAGUGUCACGAGUUAACUAAGCACCAACUUUGUUAGGAAAUUAUAGGGAUGCCCUUCAAUAAUUAAAAUAAAUAAUAUUAUUUGAGGGCGUUUUAGUCUUUUCACUUAAAUCCAAUUAAAAUAUGCAUAUGAUGGAAUUUGAACCCAUGCCAAUCACAUUAGUGAAACCUUUAAUUUAUCACUCAACUAAAGUUUUAUUUUGAUAUUUUUAUACAUUUUAAUUUAAUCGAAUUGGUGCCGCAAGUUAAACGACUUACUAUUGAUGGCGACACCAUAAUAAGCAAUUUAAUUUAUUUCUUUUUCAUUUUAAUAACGUGCAUAUUUCAUGUAUUAUUAUUAAUUAGUUUCAAAUAAUAUGUUUCAUUAUUUAUUGUAUGUUAUUUUUAAACACACAUUUAUGUUCUAAAUUUAUGGUUUCCACACGCAUAUGUCACGGGCCGCAGUUCAAAGCCCGUGACCAGUGCACCAAAUGCAUCCAAUGGAGGUCUGUUGCUCAGAUGGGGAUCAUUUGGCCCACAAGAACUGGCCCGAUUCAAAGAGAUAUUGGAGAAACCUGUCAGAUUAAAGCCUGGUUGGCCCGAUAGCGAAAAGAUGGCAACUUAGGCUAAUAUGGUAACAAAUCUUAGAAGAUAGAGGAAAUCAUAUCUUGUAAAGAUUAGAUUAGAUUUGAUAAGGCUUAUCUUGUAAAUCCCUAAAAUUAAGGGAUAUGGUUAAAUCACAUCCGUCGAUGUAAUUGUAUCUUGACCGUCGGUUUUGGGGGAGCUCAACUAUAAAUAGAGAGCCUCCCCCUCAUUUGUACUCACUCCUGAAUUGUUUCAUUAUUCUUUGUGAAUAAGAAUUGAGAGCAUUUACUCAAACUUUUCUCUCAAGCGUUCUUGCUUUUGUUCAUCUUUCAAAGAUCGUUCUUAAUUCGUUCUUUCGCUGUUCUUCGUGGAAACUUUAAGGGAAUUCUGUUGAAUCCUUUAUUGUUACGAGUUGAGCUAACUUAGGCGUUUUUACGGUUGAAUCCUUUAUAGGUGGAAGUUAGGCUGACUUAGGCGUUUUUAAGCCAAGAAACUGUCUAAGGCCGCACGGAUGUGUGGGAAAACUCCAAGUCCGUGACACAUACGUGUGUGUUGAGAUUUCUAGUUUAUUUUAGACUAUUUAACAUAAAAAUAAAAGUUAAAUAAUGUUGGAACUUUUUAUGAAUUUUUUUCUGUAAUCUUCAUGUCCGUUUUAAGGUUCAUGUUUGGGAUUCGUUGUAACAUCUUUAGCCCAACCUGACCAUCGGGUCCGAGUUACGGGAUGUUACAGUCGUUGUUGGAGCAACUACGAACAAAUAACAUUCAAAUUAAACAUAAAUCAUAUAAUCAUAACCAUUUUAGUUCAUGAUCACCAUAUUCAACCUUUCUCGGGUCUUAUACAAUCCUACAUAUGCUCUAGAAUUGACUCGAAAUCGAACAAGGACCAAUUUGCAACAAUUUUAAAAUUUCAAAACGACAUCGCGACGUGAAAGGUUUUGUAACGCCCCUAACCCGAAUCAUCGUCAGAACAGGGUUACGAAGCAUUACCGGAGUUUACAAAUUAAUUAUCAGACAUUUCAUUUCAUCUAGCAUUCAUAUUUGAAACCAAUCAAAAUCAUACAUAUUGUCCCUUAAACGAGCCCUUGAGGCCCAAAUUUACGCAUUAGAAACACAUGGGGACUAAGUCAAAAACUCAAAAAAAAUUUCGAAAAUAUUUAAAGUUUCCAACACUGCAGGGGUCACACGAUCGUGUUUCAGCCCGUGUUUGUACCCGUAUGAGUAUACUGACUUGGGUCACACGGCCAAGUCACACGCCCGUGUGCUAGGCCGUGUGAGCAUUUUGUUUUGUGCAAAUUUAAGAUACAGGGGACACACGACUAUGUCACCUGGCCGUGUGUGACACACGGUUGAGACACAUGCCCGUGUCUCUGCUCGUGUGGAUGAAAAUAGACCAUUUUACAAGCCAUAUUUCUCACCCAAUUUUGUGUCUAUCUACAAUCAACAUGACACAUAUCAACAAGCCAUAAUUAAACAUUCAAAACAAGCCAAAAUAAGUGGCUAAACUCAACACACUACAUAUAAGCCAUCAUUAAACAAAAUACCUAUACAUGCCAUUAUAACCAAAAUCAAAACUUUCAAAAAUAUCGAUAGAACUGAUGGAUAGUGUGAUAUAUCUUCGACAAGCUUCCAACCCAAUCAAGUUUCCGAUAAUUUGAAAAGUAGAAGAAAACAAAUACAUAAGCAAUGAAUGAUUAGUAAGCUCGUAUAAAAUUUAAUCAUAAUACUUCCUUUUCAAAUAUGAAAUUUAUACUUAUCAAGAAUAAUCUAAUAUUGCUACGACAAUACUCAUGAAGUUAUAUUUAACAACUCACUAAGUGAAUAAAUAUACAGUAUCACUUAUACAUAAUAUUCCUAGCAUAGUAGGUGUAACAACCCAAUUUUCAGUAGUGUCAGAACAGUGAUUUGAGAUCACUAAAUUUGAUGAAAAAGUUAGAAAAAUUUAUUAAUUAAUAAUUAUAAGUUAAGCGUGAUUUUAGAAAUAUUUUUGAAUUAGUGAAUUUUGUGAUUUAAAAGAAAUUAUUAGGUAAAUUGGGUCGAAAACGAGGUAUCGAGACCUCGAUAUUAUAAACUGAGUCGUAAAUAUUUUUAUAAAUAUUUACGGAGUGUCAUUAGGGUAGUAUUAAAGUUUCGUUAAAAAAUUUUAACGUUUCGAUGGUUAAUUGAUUAAAAAGGAUUAAAUUGCAAUAGAGAUAAAAGUUUAAUUAAAGAUUAAAAAGGGUUAAAAGGACCAAAUAGGAAAUUAUGCCUUUUUCUAAAGUUGAGGCCGCAUAAGUAGAUUUUUUUAAAAAUCUAAAGUUAAAAUAUAUUAAUAUUAUUAUAAUAUUACUUAAAAGUUAAGUAUAAAUAUUAUAUAAUAUAAUAUUAGAUUAGAUUAUAAUAUAAUAUAAUAUAAUAUAUUAUAUUAUAAAAUAUAGAAAAAGAGAAUUGAAACAGAAUUGAAAAACGAAAUAGGGAGAAAGAAAGAAAGAAAAAGAAAAUGGAAAAUUUGGGGUUUCAAAAUUCAAAGUUAAUUUAGUAAGUCAAUUUAAUCAAUUUUCUUGUAAUUUUUGAGUUUUUGGAGUUCUAGAGCAAAAUAUUUCAUGGUUUAUGUUAAAAUUUUGAAAGAUAGUUGAUUUUUAGAUAUGAGUUAUGUUGAAUUAAUUGACGAAUUAGGGGUUAAAUUGAUUGAAUUUCAAGUUAGAAGUUUGUAAAGGGUUGAUUUGUAAAAUAAAUUAUAGGUUUUGAAUUAAUAGGGACAAAAUUGAGAGAAUUUUAAAAUUAAGGAUUUAUGGUGAAAUUAGAUAGUUAAAUUAGUUUAAAGUGGGAAUGGGAUGAAAAUAUGAAAUUAUCGGUUUAGGGACUAAAUUGAAAUUUAGGCAAAUAUUGAGUAAAAAUUGAAAUAUUUAAUGUGAGAUUGAAUUGUGUUGUAUUGAUGAUUUUUAAUUGUUUUAAUUCCGUAGCUAGCGUUGUACCGAAAUUCUCGACUAAAAGGGGAAAAAAAUAUAGUCGACGAGGAAUAACUCGGAAUUCCUGGUUUGUAUUUCUAUAAUCCAAAUCUAAUUAUUAAUUGUUGUAUUUUUAAUUAAAUGUUAUGGUAAGUGAUUGAGGUGAGAAUUAUUAUUUUUUUUACAAUUGAUAAUUCAGUAAUAAAUAUGAAUAAAUACAUAAUAUCAUUCAUCAAUUUAAUAAAUAAAUAUUAAAAUUUAACCAUACAAACUUACCUGAAUUGAAUUGUAAUAAUUGUAGGAGUUCAAAGACUAUUCUGCUAUUUUUCCUUUUUUAUAAGUAUCUACGAAAUCUUAAUCUAAAAUAUAAAAUAACUCAUUCAUUAGCAUAUAUUUCAGUUCCAAUUCAUUUCACUAUUUAUACCCUUCUAUUUUUUGAAUUUACAUAAUUACCCUAACUUUUACAAGUUUUACAAUUUAGUCCCUUAACUAAUUAAUCUAUCAAAUCAACUAAUUUUCCUCAAUUAAUAAUUUAUCCAAAUAUUCUAGGCUAUUAAACAGCCCUUAAUAAAACAAAAAUUUAAUACCAAACUCUAAUAUUUUAACCAUUUUCACAAUUUGAUCCUAACAUCAAUAUUUAACAAAAUCACUUUAUAAUAUCAUCAUACAAAAAAAUUAAAGCUCUAAACCCACUUGAUAUUAAUAAUUUCUUUCAAUAUAUUAAUUUAGAUAAUAAAAAAUUUAUUUUAUGCAAUUCGGUCAUUUUUUAUAUUUUUACAAAAUUACCCUUAGAGUUUUUCUUUUAUUCAAUUUAGCCCCUAAGCCUAAAACAUGCAAAUUAGCCAUUUUUAAUGUAAACCCAUGCUAGUUGAAUAUUCAUAUAUUUUUCUCCUCCUCCUCUCCAUUCCACAUCCUUAAUGUAUAUAACAUGCUUAUAUGUAAUAUUAUCUAUAAUUCUACUAUUUACUUAUGUUCAUAUCAAAGUUGUCCACUUGAGUCAUAGUCAAUAAAUUAUUUAUAUCUUGAGCUAUAGAAUUCUAAAUUAAGAUUCGCUUGAUGUUUUUGAAACUAGACUCAAAUAUAUUUCUACCAUAAAAUUUUCAGAAUUUAUAGUUUAGCCAAUAAGUACAUUAAAAUCUUCAAAUUUAUCCCUAUUCUGCUGUUUAAAAGCUUUGACCUUUGCUUACUAAAAAUUAAUUAUCUCUUAGUACAGGGUUUGGAUGAUGUUUCUGUUUGUUUCUCUUGAAAAUAGACUCAUCAAUAAUUUAAAAAGAUAAAUUUAAACCAUUAAUUUUUUUUUACAAUUUUUUAUGAUUUUCCAAUGUCAGAAUAGGGGAGCCCGAAAUCAAUCUAACCUUGUCUCACAAAAAUUCAUAUAGCUCAUAAUAUGAAAUUAUUUUGCUUACACUGCUUCUUCUAUGUAAAACUAGACUCAAUAGGAUUUAAUUUAAUAUUCAAUUAACCUCUAAUUUAAUUUAUACAAUUUUUGGUGAAUUUUCAAAGUCAGACUACUGCUGCUGUCUAAAACUUUUUUAGUGUAAAAUGUUUAUAACCAAAUUUAUAACGCCCUCCUUUCCUUUCUCUACAAUAUUUCCCAUCACUUCCUCUUAUUUCCCUUCACUAACAUAUCAAGAACAUAGAAACUUAUAUAAUAAAACUCUACUUUAACAUCAUUUUCAUAAUUUUUCAAUAAUAUCAAACUCAAAAAUAUAUUGAAAUCUUGAUAUUCUUACCUUGUGAUCCUAUUGAUUUCAAUCUUUAACUUGAUUUUCUCUCUCCUCCAGCUUCUAUUUCUUGAAUCUAACUUGAUAUUCUAGCUCCCCAUUGUCUCCUUAUUAUUUUUCUCUCUUGGUAUCUAUGGAAAUUCUUUUGAUUUCUAAGUGAAAAUGGUGAAUUUUUUGUAAAAGGACCAAAUUGUAAAGAAAAAAAAUUUUCUUUCUUCUCUUCUUUUCUCUUCUCACGUGGGUGCAUGGAAAGACGAUGAAAAUUCUUCAUCUUUCUUUCCUUUUAUACUAAAUAAAAUAAUAAUAAAAUAUCUUAUUAAAAUAUUAAUAAAAUAAUAUUUAUCUAAUUAAAUAAUUAUAAAAUAUCAUCAAAAUAUCUCUAAUAUCAUCAUUGCCUUCUAGAGUUCUCUCUCUUUCUAAUUGACCAUUUUUCCCUUUAUAAUAUUUUAAAAUUCCAUCAUUUAGUCAUCACUUAAUUUGGUAAAAUUACGAUUUAGUCCCUCAUAAUUCUUCACCUAUUCAAUUUGGUCCUAAUUCAUCCAUUUUUCUCAGUUUCUAGAUCAUUACACCCUUAAAAUAUUUGCACUAUUGGUCCUUAAACUUUUUCAUAUUUACACUUUAACCCUUCAAAAUUUGAGUAUUUACUCUUGGGCAAAAAAACUUUUCUCACUUUUGCAAUUUAAUCCUUUCUUAAAUUAAUAUGUCAUAAUAUACUUCCCAAUAUUGACAUAACUCAAAAUUUCCCUUUUUGUCACUUUAUUUCCUUAUUUUACUAUAUCAAGGAUACUAUCUUACGUUCUUACUGUAGUAAUUUUCAGGGUAUUACAUGUUUCCUCGUUACGACGUGACAUACUGACUUGCCUCGUUGUGAUGGCGAGGUUUCUCAUCACGUCGUGGCUCGAAGUCCAGGUCUCGUCAUGACAACCAUCACUUGACAUCGUGCCGUGGACUCUGUUUUUGACACAAAUAAAGCUUUUUGGUACCUAUUUCAAGGCAACCAUAAAACUGCCUCAUUUGGUGCCUAUUUGCACCUUUGUACCUACAUCAUACUAACCAAAAUACAUUCCAUAACAUUCAUUUAACCAUUUCCCAAAACCAAUCAGGCUAAUAUGCCUCAAUUUGGCACCAUUUUAUACCAAUUCAACCUAUUCAAAUGUCACUUAUACAACCAUGCUUUUAAGCUAUUCAAACCAACAUUUAACCAUGUCAUAUCAAGCUUAAUUAUGCUAUUCAAAAUUUCAUAUACAAUAUCAUGCAAAUUACCAAAUCAAACAUAUACAAACUUAACAUUAGUUAGCACAAAAUCAAGCAUUAACCAAAGUUUCAAAACAAACUAACAUUUUUUAAGUUAAUAUAGCAACACCUAUGUACAAGCCACAAAUCCGAGUCUAAAACGAUUAAAAGACUACUGAAUAGAUGGUAGGAUAAUGUGGUCUUCAAGCUAAUUCGAUCAAAAAAUUUCACAAAUAACGAUCUACAAGGAAAAGGAAAAGUAAAGGAUAAACAUAAUGAAUGCUUAGUAAGUCCAUAUGAAAUUUACUUAACUUACAUUGACAUUUAUAACAAUUUAGCAAUUAAAACAAAUCGGUGCAAACAUGACAUCUUUUGGCAACAUUAUAUUUUCAUGCACAAUUCAAUCACACAAUCAUUAUGUUAGUUCAUUUGCAGAUCAAACCAUAAUACCAAAACCUUGUACAUAUAUAACCAUUUCAUAUUAUAACAUAUACUAUUAAUUAUGCUCAAUUUAUAAAUAUCACAUUUCAGUUCCCAAUCAAUCAUUUCAUUUCCGUUUUUAACUACUAUUUUCAUUUUUGUUUCGCCCGAAAAACUAUAGCAAAAUGAACUCGGAUAUACAAAACUAAUCUGGUCAUACAAGCUAUCAUAAUUAGGUUGCUCACAAGAGCUUAGUUCGAUGAUGCUAACACUAACUUUAGAGAUUCUGCAACAUAUGUUGGAUUUCAAGCCGUCGUAUUAUCUCUGAUCAAACACCCAUUUCCCUUUUUCGAUUGAACCAUUUCCUUUUUCGUUUGGAGCUUAAUGACUUGUCACCAUAUCCUAAUCGUUUAUUAAGUUCACACGAGCUCUAGUACGAUAUUCAAUUCAUUCCAAUCCCUGUAAUAUCAUCAUAUACAUAUCAUUCAAGUAUAUAAACAUUUCACAUCUAUUCCAUACAUCAUGUUCACUUGUAAUAUUAUAUUUCUCAUACUUAGGAUUUAGUCCUUUAGAUGCCAAAAUCGUCAAAAUUGUAAUUGACCAAAACUAAUAAACAUUAUAAGAUACAUUUUAAACACAACAUAAAUAACAUAGUAAGUUUCAUAUGAACUUACCUGGAAAAAAACCAACAAGCAAGAUGUCGAGAACUAAUCUGAAAUUUUGUCUUUUCCUCGAUUAUCCUUCAGUUGGUUCAAAUCCUGAUUUGUACGAUAACUCAUUUGAGUUUAUCAAUUCCAAAUACCUUAUAUCACUGUACUAUAUGCAUAUGAAUUUUCAAUUUCACUUUUUGAAUGUUCCCUGAACUUUUUCAUUUUAUUCAAUUUAGCUCCUAAAAUCAAAAUUGCUAUAACUUUUAAAUUUGAGGUUUGAUUUCAAAACCGAUCUCAAUUACAUCCUUAUAUAGCCCUAUAUUAUCUAUAGUUACAAAAUAUAACAUCAAUUUCAAAUUUUAUGCACUUUAGUCCCAUAAACUAGCAAUUAAAUUUUACAAACUAGUCCUUUUUUAAUAUCUAAGCUUAAAAUCUAACAAAUUAACACUAAUUUCAUCAAGCAUUCAAUAGUAGUAACUUUGGAAAACUUCAACAAAAUUAAAAUUGAUGCACAAGCUAGUUAAGUCAAGCUUCCGGGACCUCAAAAACAUAAAAAUUACAAGAAAAAGACUAAAAAAAUCAUACCUAAAUAAAGGUCGAAUGCUUGAAGUAUAAAAAGGGGUUUUCUUCUUUCAAAUUUAGGUGAACAUGAAGAAGAUGAAGAAAUCUAUCAUUUUUUUUUCUAUUUUGUCUUUUAUAGUUUAAUUAAAAUUCAGUUAAAUUGAAUUAAUCAAAAUUUAACCUAAUUAAUUAUAAUUAAUUGACUUUAAUCAAAUUUAACAAAUUUAGUGGGUUGUAAUCAACAUCCACCACCCGUUUGGCUAAUAUAAAAUGGUUAAUUUGUUCAUUUGGUCCUUCAACUAAUUAAAAAUUUAGAGCGAUUAAUUGUUGCCAUUUUUACAAUUUAGUCCUUGCACCUUAAUUAACUAUCCAUUUGAAAAAAUUAAGGGACCAAACUUUAAUAAAACUUUAUACUAAUCUCGUAAAUAUUAAUUAUUGGAAAUGGGGUUCCGAAACCACCAUUUUUGACACCAUUGAAAAACGAGCUAUUACAUUCAUAAUUGCCUCUCCUAACAAUGUUCUCCAAAAUUUAAAAUUAUAUUAUUUUUAAUUUCAAAGUUAUAUUAAAUGUAUAAAUAUAUUUUAUAAAAAUGUCUUUAUUAAAUAUAUUUUUAUAUUAAAUUCAAUAAAAUUGCGUGGGAUGCAAAUUAAUAUAAUAUGUAUUUAAACCACAAUCAAAAUUUAAUAUCUAUAAUUAUACCAAAUCAGAGUUUAUCUGCAUCAAAAUUCAUGUAUAAUUUUAAUGCUUGUCUGUAACGACCCGAUAGUCAGAGGUGUCGGAAAGUACAUUCUCGGGACUCCAUUUUCGUAAAUCGGAAUAAAUAUUUACGAAGUUAGUUGUGUAGUUAAUUAGGUUUUGGUUAAGUGAAAUUGCAUGAAUUAAGAGCAAUUAGGUAUAAGGACUAAAUUGCAUACAGGGUGAAAGUUAAAUUAGAGAUUAAAGAAAAAUUACAGGGACUAAAGAAACAAUUAUGCCAUUGUUCUUUAAUAGGGCGGCAUAAGGUAAGAUAUUUAUAAAUUUAAUAUAUAUUAUAAUAAAAUAAGUUUACUUAAUAUUUAAGUAUAUAUAUUAUAAUAAUAAAUUAAUGUAUAAUAAAAUAAAAUAAGUAAAUGAAUAAAAAAAUAAUAGAAAGCCAAAGCAAAACGAAAAAGAAAAAGAAAGACGCAAGGCUUAGGGACUUCUGGGGUUCAAAGCUCAACUGGUUAGUCAAUUUAGUCAUUUUUCUUGUAAUUUUUAUGUUUUUGGAAUUCCAGUGUUAAGUGCUACCCGACCCAUGUCAAAAUUUUAGCAAUUAUUAAGUUUUUAAAUGUUGUUAAUGUUGAAUAAUUUUAGUAUUAUUAAAUUGAUAGAUUUUUAAGUUAGAAACAAAAAGGAUUAAAUUGUAAAAUAAAUUGUAAAUUAUGAGGAAUAGGGACUAAAUUGUAAAAAAAUCAAAAUUUAGAGAUUUAAGUGAAAAUAGGGAGUUAAAUUUAGUUUAAAGUGGAAAUUGUAUGAAAAUAUAGAAUUAAUUGUGAAGAAUAAAAAGUUGUCUCGGUUUAGGGACUAAAUUGGAAUUUAGGAAAAUAUUGAAUAAAAAUUGAAAUAUUCAAUAUGAAAUUGAAUUGUGUUGUAUUGAUGAAUUUUAAUUAUUUUAAUUUCGUAGCUAACGUCGUACCGGAAUCCUUAACUAAAAAGGGGAAAGAUAAAGUUGACGUGGAAUAGCUUGGAAUUCCUGAUUUGUAUUUUUAUAAUUCGAAACUAGUUAUUAAUUGUUGUAUUUUUUUUAUUUAAUGCAUAUGACAAGUAUUGAGGUGAAUAUUUGGCACUUUGACAUUGAGUUGAAUUAAAAGUUGAUUGAAUGGAUUGAAUUUAUAUAUAUUAUGAAUAUACUGAUUAUUUGAAUUGAAAUGAAUAUAUAUGUGCAAAUAUGAUAAUUGAAUAUUGGUUGUAUUUGGAAAGUGAAAUUAAACUCUAUUAAUUGUAUUGGACUGAGUUGGAUAUAGAUGGCAUGCUAUAGGAUUGGAAGAGUUCAGGGAUUUCUUCGACUUCGAGUCGAUGAGGCACUGGGUGCCAAUUUACUUCGGUUUAACCGAUGAGACAUUAGGUGUCAAAUUUAUAUAGCGCUGGGAGCAAUUAUUACUUCGGAUUUAUCCGAUGAGGCACUGGGUGCCAAACUGGUGUGUUGGUUGGAUCCGUGUAUCCGUUCGAGUCCGAGUUGUGUUAAUAGGGGUAGUUAAAUAAAAUAGUACUAUGAUUGAUAUUGGAUGAUAUUGUAUGUGAAUGAAAAUGGGAUAGUGAACUGAAACAUGAAAAUGAGACACAUGAAUUACGUAUUCAUGAAUUAGAUAUGAAUUGAAUAAUAUUAUUGUUUAAAUGAUAUAUAUAUUAAAUUGUGAAAAGCUAUUAUAUAGCAAGUGAUGAGAUUUGAGAAUGGUAAAAUGAUGUAUUUAUGAAUUGAAUAUUGAAUGGCUAAUGUCAUUGUAUGAAUAAAAGUGCUUAUAAUUAAAAUAUGCAUAUUAUAUUAUCCUUGUUUUUAAAUAUUCGAAUUAUAGAAAUACCACUAGGUUUUACUCAGCGUACGGUUUUGUUUUCCGUGCACAGAUUAGGUACUUCAAUUUUGAACGCCGAUUUAGCAUCCAACAACGCUCCCGAACUCAAAUGUGGUGAUGUCUAUCUUUUGUGUCGACAUGUACCUAGGGUGUCUAAAUAAUAGUUAUUUUAUGGAUUGAAUAUAAAUGAGAUUAUAAGUUUAAUAUUGGUUGGUUUUAUACAUAUAAAUAUGUGUUUGUUUUUGAAUCCAUAUUAUGGCAUGGUAAAUUGAACUAAACCUAGAUAGGUGAAUGUGAAUUUAAUUCUAUGUUUAAGUGCUCAUGAACUAGGCAAAUUGAUUUGGAUUUAGUAUGUUUAUUAUUUGGACUAAAGUGAUGCUUUGAUGAUUUGUUUUGAUGAUAUGAAAUGUUUGAGAAUUCUGCCUGUUUGAUCGAUAAACUUCGGUAAUACUUCGAAACCCUAUUCCGGCGACGGAUAUGGGUUAGGGGUGUUACAUUAUCCUUUAUUUUAAUAAAAAAAUAUUAACAAAUAAUAAUAUUUUCCUAAUGGAUUAGAGUUAAUUUUAUUGUCGAUGUAUUAUUAUAGAAUUAUCAAAUUUGAGGUUGAAGUUAAAGGAAUCCAUGUGCUUUAGUACAUUUGUUAAUUAUCAAGUUAAAGAAGUGCAUAGUACUUAGAAUAUCUUAUGAUCAUGGUAUAAAAACUGAAAAUUGGAACAUUGAUUUAUGUCGACCGAAAACGGAAACAUAAAAUAUAACAUUCCAUGCCUUGUGUUCCUCAAGUGGACACAUUUUGAUGUUUUUAUCUACAGAUAUUUAUAGUAGAGGAAGAGAAAGAUAUAAGUUUUAAGGAGAUAUGAAUUUUAUUUUACUCUUUAAAGAAGAUAUCACUGUGUACUCGUUGCAUAAGUUAGUAUUAUUCUCUUUACAUGUCCACUUACUUCGUAUUAUCGCUAUUUUAGGACGUGGGUAUCAUGCUCAUAAGUCGGCAUUAUCAUCUUUGGAUGCCUGUUAACUUCUCAAAACUAUAUUAUCUAAACCCGCGUCUCUCAAUAUUCAAACUCAUACCCUGAAGAGUCGGGUAGAUCAAGGCUUGGGUUUGAACAUGGGGAGAUGUACUUUUAGAUAAUAAUUUUGAGAAGUCAAUAGGCAUCCGAUAAAAAGAUAAUACGUACCGAUUUAUGGCUAUUGACAUCGACACCCUAAAAAGGUAGCGGUACCUUGUUGGCUGGUGGGCUGUGAUAAUGGUAUCUUCUUUAAUGAGUACAACGGAGCCACCUCCCAUAAGAAAACUAGAAUCUAGUUAUUUAUGAAGUGGUGGUGGGGGUCAGGUCCCCCAGGACUUGUUCUCUCAGGCUGUUGAUACCCGUUUUUCUCAGCUUCUUUGUUCAGGUACUGUCUCCAGGCCUCGAUGGAUUGUUUUACAUUCGUCUUCUCUAUCAAGAGGCGACUUUCAGAGGCUGCAGACAAAAGUAAAAUCAAGGUAAGGCACAUCAGACACCUAAAGAUAGACAUUGUUGCUUUGACAUGGGAAGUAGAAGAGGCUUCCCGUAUUUAUAGACUUCCGAAUCAACUUAAUCACAAAGUGGAUGAGAGAUCGUUCAUCAAUCAGUCGACUGUAAAAUGUCAUCUGACUGGUAAAGACAAUCGAGAUCAUGAUAGCACAACUAAGUUUAAAAGCCGCAGAGACCAUUCUGACGACGCUUUGCCAAUAAGAUCUCCAUGAGCCAACAUUUAUUUUGGCGUAUUGCAAGUUUUUGGAUUAUUAAACUCGUUGUUGCCUAAUACUGAUUCUGAUUCAUUUACGAGGUUCGCAACUUCACACAUGGAUAAAAUUGAGAAUACGUCACUGCAUGUUAGGCAUGGUCAUUCAUGUGUCUGCCAAGGAGGAUUAGUGGAUAAACCACACCGACCAGUGACAGUUUAUAAUAAAAAGUUCAAUAAAAAAGCUUUUCAUUAAACCAAUUCCAUGAGGUAAAGUAGAAACCCCUUUAUUUGUCACCGGUUAUUCAUUUAUUGGUAAGGGCCUCUCGGGGAUAAGACAAGCGUCAAAUUAAUAUACACAAACGAUGCUUUCGGAUAAUCAAGGAUUUUGCCUUUAGUUUCAAACCCUUUUUCCCUGGCUGCUUUGCAGUUCUAGAUAAGAUCAACAAUCAACAUCAGCACCUACAAGCUAUUUUACUGUCAUUGGUGACACAAAAAGGAUUCGAAAGUUGCCGAGUACUUAGCCAGUUAGUCCAGUCAGACGAAGGAGCAUCAAUUAGAUCCCCCUUGUUCAGAAAUCUCUCCCAGAAUGAUGCUGCUGAUCAGUGAGUGAAAAGAGACAUUAAGCGUUAAAUGAGAGAGACAUGCACUUUCCCCAAUUUGAUAGUUAAGUUAGGCCUGGACUUCCUUUUCUUUUCUUUUUUACUUCCCUAUAUGUACCUGCCCAUAUCAUGUGGUUGCUAUUCGUUGGGAUUAUUAACUCCAAAAAGUACCUAAAAUGAAACAAAGAACCGACUAAUCUGUGAUUAACAAUGAGUUGUCCAUUAGGCUAGAAUUAAUACCAACAAAUGCGGACUAGUUUUGGAUUCUUUCCAUUAUCCAAUCAGAUGGUUAUUUCCUCUCCACAAAAUGCACUCUGAGUAUAUUUCUCCAGUGAGGAGUUUGGAUUAGACCCAGCAACUUCUCAUUUCUGUCAAGGGUCAAGGGCCUUGUUUUCGGCUAAUAGGGUAGAGUAAAGACAAAGCAUUUUUUGGCCUUAAUCUAUGUCCAAUACUUGGCACGAACUUGAGAUUUUGUCCGUAUUGUAUAUUCUUAAGAGCUACCAAACAAACGUAAAACCUUAUUUCUUGCUUUCGUAAUAUUUCUUGUCUUUUCAACUGUUUCUCUUUGCAUUCUUAAUAUUUGUAGCUACACGAGCAUGGAUGCAGCUGUAAACUUUUAAACGAUCUUUUCCAUUAAAAUAUGCAGUCCUGUAGAAGUUUGUGCACUCAAUCUAAUGGUUUAGCUGAAAUUUCUGGUCUUUGAUUCAAGUGUACAUAAUUUACUUGGAGGAUCCUGCAACUAUGAACCCGAACUCAGGAGCGGUCUCAAAUACGGGUAUGUGCCCAAGAAUUAGGUAUAUUCAACUUUUUUUUAAUGUUUUUUUUUUAUAUUUGAAAGAUCAUAUCUCACACGCUAAUCAUUCCAUAAUCUUUUCUCAGGAUAUCAUUCCAUAUAUACUCUCCCUUAUAUUAUCCAUUCUAAUAAAGCACCAAUUGCAGUGCACUUCAAAAAUGGUGUUAUGAGUUUAUAGGAUCACAUUUAAUAAGCUUGAACCUUGUAAUGAAAGAGACAAUAUCUUUUAUCAAAUCAAUUUUUUAUUAUUUUUUCCAUAUGGAGAAGCUAUAGUUAUAUCAUCGUCUUUCCGUCCCAUAAUCUGCAGUGAUAGAUAAGCAUAGAAAUAGAAUAAAGCUCCAUGGUUCAAUUGUUCUUGCUUUAACUCUAUAACAACAAUAUCUUAAAUGUACGUACAUGGCCUUGAUUUCGACACCAAAAGAAAAGUUGAAGGAAUCGUUGGUGGAAGUGGAGUUUGGAUAUAAAUCCUUGAUUUCAAUUCUUAGUGCUUCUUCUGUUAUUUCAGAACGAGUCAGAAGAGGAAUAAAAGUGGCAGAUAUGAAUAUAUAGUACUUGUUAAUAAAUUUGCAUUCGAUACGCGACAACCGCACUAUGUUUUAUUCAAAUCAUGCCGUCAAUCUUUAUAUUUUGAUGUUGAAACUUAAUUUAUGUAUUUAAAAAUUAAAAUAUAUAUUUUUUUAAAUUGUAGUAUAAUUGUUAACAUUAACAAAAAUUCCUUUACUAUCAAGUACGCUCGAAUUUAUACUAAUUUGCUUAUGAAAUUGAUACUAUUGCACGAAUCUAUCGAUGGCAAAUCUUAAUAGAAAUUACCAAACACUAUUAACGAUUGAGUUUAAUUUUUUAGCUAAGAUUUAAUACAACAUUUUACACUUUCAAUUUGACUUUUUUUAAUAGAUAAUUAAUUUUUUUUAAUUUUGUAACUGAACUUGACAUAUUUUCUUAAUUUAGUACCUAAGCUUUUCUUUUCCAAUUGGUAUCUAAACUUACAUUUUUUUUUCUAAUUUGGUACUUAGAUUUUUUUUGUCAAUUUUGGUAUUUAAACUUGUCAAAUGUUAUACAAAUUGCUCCAAUAUAUUAACAAUGUUAUCUUUUAUGAUAUGGCAAAAAUAAUCACUGUAUGACCGACAUGUAUUUUAAAUGUUCAGUUACUUUUAGUUUAAUUUAUUUUUUUAUUUAACACAAUGGAAUUAUUUUAGAUAGGGUUUUUAACACUUUUGAUUUCUUCUUCAAUAUCCAUUUGUUAAGCAUAUCUCAAAGCACAGUUUUUGAACAUGGAUUUUCUUUGAUAUUGACUAUAUUUUUGUGGAAUUGAAAAGUUUGGUGAAGACUAGACCAUGCUUUAAGCUUGUUGUCCCUCUCAAGUCAUUCCUACCAUAAUAUUCAAAGUAAUCUCAACCCCAAUGAAAAAUAAAAUUUGAACAUAUUGUUUAGCUAAAUAGAGAAAACUCCAAAUAAAUGUAAUAUUUUCUACAAUUAAAUUUCAUGUCAUUUUUCACAUGUCCGUUACACAAAAAACUUAAAUACAAAAUUUUUUAGAAAUGUCAAAUUCAAGUAUGAAAUGUUUUAGAAUUGUUUAGACAUUUUUUUACCAAUAAAGCAAUCAAUCCCAUUUAAUAGAUGAAGAGUCUAAGUGAGAUGCAAAUCAUCGAGUCUAUUAGGCAAAACCAAUUUUUAGUGGCUUUUGUCAUGCACAAUACCAUCCGGUUCUUACGAGACUCAAGCCAAACCUCGAAUGUUGUUAAUGAGCUUAGAGCAGUUCGAUUUGAAUAUAACUUUGAUCUUUUUAUUUCUAGUAUUUUUUACCCUAAUUACAUUGUGUGUGCCUCGGUGUCAUGGUCUGACAUUGUGGCUACAUUGCCACUAUGACAACCCACUGGGUGGAAAGGACGAGGCCAAAGUCUAGGGACAAGAGUUCCCCAAUGAUGGAUCCUAAAGGGCAAGUGUUUUGCAAGAAGCAUCAAGUAAGUAACAUGGCAAAGAGCCAUGAGUGGACAAGGUCGACGGGGUGGUGGUCCCAUGCAAUGAGUUGAGGCGAUGAGUAGCCUAAGUGUGGGGCAAGCAUGCUUGGAGAAUGCCCAUAAGAUGGCCCUGGAGUGCCAAAUAAGAAAACUCUCUGUGUUCCCUAGAAGGAUAGUUAUAAAAGCUAUUUAGCUCUUUAGGGGGUAGCGAAAGGUGUUAGCUCUCCACCUCCCCCUCACAUUGGCUAGUUGAUAAGGUUUCUUUAGUGCAAGUGAGUUGCUUCAUGGCAAGCGAGAUGUUAUGGUGUGCGUUCACUGGCAAGUGGAUACUCUAUGUCUCUUCGAGAGGAAACUCGGAGAUGGUUUGGGGCCAACGAGCCUCGUAUCAUGUAGUGGUUGGAAAGCUAGGGUUCGACCAUAGAUUUUAUCUAAGCCCUGUGGGAUCCUCCACCCAAAGUCUAUUGGGUUAUCUUUGGGAUCUUAAGACGAUGCUUUGUAGGAGGAGCAUCAAAAUGCGAUGGAACAUCGGGAUAACUAGUAGGUGAACUAGCUACUAGUAUUGUGGGAACACAUAGAUAGAAAUUAAGCAUAGUGCUUAGAGCUGGGACAGUGCACUAGGGCAAUCCUUGCGUUGAGUGCAUGAUUGUUGAAGUUGGCCUGCAUGCAGGCAAAGAAGCAGACCAAGCUGCCGAGCCAUGCAAUUGCAGCUGAAACUCAUGUUGCUAAUUUUCAUUUUGUUACUUCAAGUGUUUAUUUUGUAACUUAGUUAGAUUAGAACUAAGUUGGUAAUGUACUUGAUGUAAUUAGGUGAUGUUUGAGCUGAUAAAUCAGCUUUACUAAGUGUGCAAGUUAAGUUUAUCAAUUUACUAGGUUAUUAAUGGAGUUAGGUGAUGAUUAGAUGACAUUGUAUCAUUUUGACCAACUGAAAUACUUGGUAUUUGUAAUGGCUUUAUGCCUCAAUUCAAUUGUGAUGAUAUUUUUUAGAAAUUCUUCUUCAUUCUCUGGUUUUUUACUCAAGUUCUUAAGCUAAAUUUUCUUUUUUGUUUAGCAAGACAUCGAUGCUUCUUGCUUAAUCUUCUGUCAAAUUUCUCAUGUUGUUUUCUUAAUUCCAACAAUUGGUAACUAGAGCUCAUUUUCUUAGUAUACCUAUCAUUUUUUCAAUCUUAAAAACCAUGUCUUCAUCCAGAUUCUCUCCAGCUCUACCACCAGUGUUCAAUGGUGAAUGCUAUCAUAUUUGGAUAGUGAAAAUGAAGACCUACUUGUAGGCAUUCGACUUGUGAGAGGUUGUCAACUCUAAUGUUGAACCACACCCUUGAGAGCCAAUCCUACAGUGGCUCAGAUCAGGCAACACUCUAUUGAUAGAGCUAAGAGAUACAAGGCCAUGUCAUACAUCUAAAAUCAUGUAUCUGAUGUAAUUUUCACGAGGAUAAUGGCUUGUGAGUCUUCAAAAUAGGCCUGAGAUAAGUUCAAAGAGGAGUUUCAAAGAACUAAAAGAAGGAGGCAACAACAACUCUUGAAUUUGAAAAGAGACUUUGAAAAUUUAAAGAUGAAGGAAGAAGAAACAGUGAAGCAAUACUCAGACAGGAUUAUGUCUGUUGUGAACAUCAUCAGAUUACUUGGGGACCAGUUUAGUGAAGCAAGAAUAAUGGAAAAGGUUAUUUCAACCUUACCUGAAAGAUAUGAAGCCAAGAUCUCAUCCCUUGAAGACUCAAGAGAUCUGUCAAGCAUCAAUUUGACUGAGCUGAUUAAUGUUCUUUAUGCUCAGGAGCAAAGAAGAGCCAGCAAACAAGAAGAGCAUCAAGAAAGUUCCUUCCAAGCCAAGAGUAGACCAACCUCGAGCUCCUCUGGCUACAAAGGGAAAAAGAUUUGGCCAGACAAGCCUAGAAGAGAUGGAGCAAGAAGAAGAUAUCCACCUUGCCCACAUUGCAAAAGGCUUAGUCAUCCAGAAGUAAAUUGUUGGUUCAGGCCUGAUGUGCAAUGUAAAAUUUGCAAAAAUAUGGGCCAUAUUGGGAAGGUUUGCAGAAACAAAGGCAAAUAGAGGCAAAACCAGCCUCAAUAGCCUAAAGUUGAGGCUCAAGUGGCAGAAGAAGGCUGUGACCAAGAGGAACAAGUCUUUGCAGUGUCCUGCUCAGCUGCCAGAAAAAGAACAACAAAAGGGUGACUGAUUGACAGUGGUUGCACAAACCACAUGACAACUGAUGCUGCUAUUUUCAAAAACAUAGGUAGAAGCUUCAACAUAAGAGUAAAAGUUGGCAAUGGACACUUCACCAAAGCAGAAGGCAAGGGAGAUGUGCUGAUUGACACUCCUACAGGUAUCAAACGUGUUUCAAAUGUCUUUUUUGUGCCUGAAAUUGAUAAAAAUUUGCUUAGUAUAGCUCAACUGCUUAAAAGGGGUUAUUUAGUUGUGUUUAGAUACAAUGAAUGCCUAAUCAGUGAUCUAAGUAGAUCCAAACUCAUGUCAGUAACCAUGGUUGACAGAAGUUUUGUUGUGGACUAGAACAAAAGUUCAAACAGUGCCUACAUAACAAUCUUAGAUGAGUCUAAGAUAUAGCACAAAAGGCUAGGUCAUGCUAACUACAAGUCACUGGUUCAAUUGACCAAAGGGGACAUGGUUGAAAACUUCACCAAAUCAGUUGAGAAAGAGGAUGUUUGUGAAAUAUGUCAGCUAAGAAAGCAAGCUAGACAACCAUUUCCUUUGAAAAAAGCCUGGAGAGCCUUAGAAAAGCUGCAGCUAGUCCACACUGAUGUGUGUGGCCCUAUGAAGGCACAAUCCUUGAAUGUUAGCAGGUAUUUCAUCCUUUUCAUUGAUGAUUUCUCAAGGUUUUGCUGGGUAUACUUUCUAAAGCACAAGUCAGAAGUGGCCUCAGUAUUUUAGAAGUUUAAAGCUGUAGCAGAAAUAGAAUCAGGUUACAAGCUCAAGACACUAAGGUCUGAUAAUGGCAUAGAAUACACUUCAGCAAGAUUUCAUGGCUUUUGUGAUGAAGCAAGCAUCAAACACCAGCUCACCAAUACCUACACACCUGAAUAGAAUGGUGUCAGUGAGAGGAAGAAUAGAACCUUGAUGGAUAUGGCUCGAUGUUUAAUAUUUGAAAGGAAUUUGCCUAAGAUUGUUUGGGCUGAAGCAGUUAACACUGUAGUUUACCUCCAAAACAAGCUACCAACCAAGGCUUUGGUUUAAAAAACACCAUCUGAGGCCUGGUUUGGGUUCAAGCCAUCAGUUGCUCAUCUAAAGGUCUUUGGCUGCAUUUGUUAUGCACACAUGCCUGUAGUAAAAAAGGACAAGAUGGCAAAAAAGGCUUAGUCUAGCAUCCUAGUAUGCUACAUUAGUGUCAAGAAAGGCUAUAAGAUUUUGGACCCUACAUCCAAUAGGGUUUGUGUGAGCAAAGAUGUAGUCUUUGAUGAGAAAUCAAGUUGGAACUGGGAUAAGAAUGAGCCAGAAUGUGCUGCUGAAGAUUGGUGACAGAUCAGAUUGAAGGUGAUCAAGAUGAUCUUGAAAUGGACAUUGAUGAUGAGCUAGUCAGGGGAACCAUACCACUGGCUGAAAUUUAGGCAAGAGCAGAUGUAGCUACUGUAGAACCAACUUGUCUUGAAAAAGUUGAAGCUCAACAAGGAUGGAAACAGGCCAUGCUCGAUGAAAUGAGCAUGAUUGACAAGAAUCAGACCUGGGAGUUAGUUGCAACGCCAGUUAACAGGAAGGUCAUAAGAGUAAAAUGCGUGUUUCGAGCUAAGCACAAUACUGAUGGAACUUUGAACAAGUUAAAGACAAGGCCGACAGUGAAGGGAUUCAAUCAUAAGUAUGGCAUAAACUACUUUGAAACAUUUGCACUAGUGGCUAUGCGACACAAUUAGGCUAUUGGUUGCUUUGGCUGCAUAAAAGCAAUGGAAAAUUUAUCAACUCGAUGUUAAAUCUACUUUUCUCAAUGGUUUUCUUGAUGAGGAAAUCUAUGUUAAACAGCCUGAAGGUUUCAAAGUUGUAGGCAAUGAGGGCAAUGUGUAUAAGCUAAAAAAGGCAUUGUAUGGCUUAAAACAAGCACCAAGAGCCUGGUAUGACAGGAUCAACACUAACCUAGCAAGCCUGGGAUUCGAGAGAAGCAUCAGUGAGCCAACCUUGUAUGUGAAGAAAGAAGGUGUUGAAACACAGCUCAUAGUCUCCUUAUAUGUGGAUGACUUGCUGGUUACAGGAGGAAACAAUGGCAUGUUGAUUGAGUUCAAAGACAAGAUGGAAAGCAUGUUCGAGAUGUUAGGCUUGGGACAAAUGUCCUACUUCCUUGGCAUGGAAGUGUCACAGACUCAACAAGGAAUUUUCUUAAGUCAAAAACCAUUUUCCUUGAAGAUUCUGAACAAGUUCUCCAUGUUGAAUUGUAAAGCAACAAGUACACCAGUUGCUGUUGGAGAAAAGCUGACCAACCAAGGUAAUUUUGAGAAAGUAGAUGAGUCAACCUACAGAAGUUUGGUUGGAUGUUUACUUGACAGCCACAAGACCAGACAUCAUGUUUGCUGUAAGUUUCCUAUCCAAGUUCAUGCAUUGUUGUAAUGUGAGUCAUUUUUAAUCUGGCAAGAAAGUUCUCAGGUAAAUUAGAGGUACAUUGAGCUUUGGAAUGAUGUUCCCCAAGGUUGAGAGCAUGAAACUCAUUGGUUUUGCUGAUAGUGAUUAGGCUGGUUCGAUAGAUGACAUGAAAAGCACCUCAGGGUAUCUGUUUACCCUUGGAUCAAUCAUUUUUUGUUGGAAUUCAAAGAAGCAAAGUGGUGUAGCUCAAUCAACAGCUGAGGCAGAGUAUGUGGCAGCUGCAGGAGUUGUUAAUCAAGCUAUUUGGCUAAGAAAAAUCAUGGCCAAUUUGAAUCUACACCAAAGGGAAGCAACGGAUAUCAAAUGUGACAAUAAAUUUACUGUUGCAAUUGCAAAAAAUACAGCGUUUCAUGGGAGAACCAAGCACUUCAAGAUAAAGUUUCAUUUUGUUAAAGAGAUGGAACAAUCUCAAGAAGUUAAACUGAUUCAUUGCAGUUCUGAAUAUCAGCUUGCUGACAUCUUGACAAAGCCUCUUUGUGUGUCAAGGUUCAAGGAUUUGAGAACCAAAUUGGGAGUAUGCAGCAUGCAAGCUAAGGAGGAGUGUUGAAGUUGGCCUGCAUGCAAACAAAGAAGCAGACCAAGCUGUUGAGCCAUGCAAUUGCAGCUGAAGCCCAUGCUACUAAUUUUCAUUUUGUUACUUUAAGUGUUUUUUUUGUAACUUCGUUAGAUUAGAACUAAGUUGGUAAUGUACUUGAUGUAAUUAGGUGAUGUUAGAGUUGAUAAAUCAACUUUACUAAGUGUGCAAGUUAAGUUUAUCAAUUUACUAGGUUAUUAGUGGAGUUAGGUGAUGAUUAGGUGACAUUGUAUCAUUUUGACCAGCUGAAAUACUUAGCAUUUGUAAUGGCUUUAUGUCUCAAUUCAAUUGUAAUGAUAUCUUUUAGAAAUUCUUCUUCAUUAUCUGGCUUUUUACUCAAGUUCUUAAGCUGAAUUUUCUUAUUUGUUCAGCAAGACAUCGAUGCUUCUUGCUUAAGCUUCUGUCAAAUUUCUCAUGUUGUUUUCUUAGUUCCAACAAUGAUGUUGGAUGUUUAUGCUUGAGACGAGCCUUCAAUGGGGAAAAUGAGCUUGACCCUUGGAGUAGCCCUUAUGGGCAAUGUGAUGAGCUAGAAGCACUCUUUAGUUGGCGAGUGGCCAACAAUUGAGUAGUGCCAUUGGGUUAUGGCACUUGAGAUGCGACAAGCGAGCGUGGAUUUAGUGUUGGGUUCCACCAAGCCUUGAGCCACGAUACCUUGCAUCUUGGAAAAUGAUGGUCAAUGCUCAAGAUCAUCGAUGGAGAUAAUAGUUGAGACGUCUUGCGUAAGGCCAGAUUAAGCGAGAGGCCUUUAAAACAAGACAUCGGUAAGAACUAAUAUAGUCCACGAAAAAAAGAUAUGAGAAAACUUGAUUAUAACUAAAAGUAAUAAUGGUGCCACACGAGGUUGUACUGUUCAGGUCAACGGCGGUUUGUGACACUCAACUAAGAGGGCAGAAGAAGUGUUGGCGUGGACAUUGCCACCAUCAAUAAACCAUAAAAAUAAAUACUAAUAAUUUUUUAUUUUUUAUUUGGUUAUGAAUGUAAUAAAUCGCAUAUUAAUUGUACAGGUUAAAAAAGUGUCCAAAAAGAGAAUAUAGCUUUCCUGGAGUAAGCUUUAGAUGGAUUUAUUUUCUGUUUCUUUAACUUAGAAAGUGACAUAAAGGUGCUUCAAGUAUGAAUUAUCCUCGGUCUUUUGUUAACCGAUAAGACCGAAUUCACUUUGAUUCCGAAAGUGAUGCUUCUUUGUAUGAUAUCAGUGUAAGAUUUCAGCACUAAAAUGGGAUGAUCCAACUUGUAGGUUAGUAGGAUAUUAUAUAUAGGGUUGUUUAUAUUAUCCAUGGAUCAUGAUCAAUCUGUGGAAAUUGUGUAUUUGGUAAAAUUUUUACUUGUAUUUUCAUUCGUUCAAUGAAUGUAUUUAUACAAAUUACAAGAGAAGAAAACUGACUAAACUGACUAUUAACAAACUAAACUAUAGUUUGUUAAUUCUAACAAACUUUGACUAUUUCGACUAAUUAAAUUAGCAAUAUACUAAUUUAAUAUACUAACAUCCCCCCUCAAGCUAGAGAAUGUAUAUUCAACAUGCCUAGCUUGAACAAAUUUUCUCGAAAUGGAGCAGUAGCCAAGGAUUUGGUAAACAUGUCAGCCAACUGAUCUUUAGAAGAACAAGGCAACAAUUGUAUAACACCAGUUGAAACUUUCUCCCUUACAAUAUGACAAUCAAUCUCGAUGUGUUUUGUUCUUUCAUGGAAUGUUGGAUUAGCAGCUAUCUGUAAAGUAGAAUUAUUAUCACAAUACAAUCUUGUUGAUGAAGAAACUGGUUGAUGAAGAUCAUCAAGUAGAUAGUGCAACCAUUGAAUUUCACAAGCUGCUGCUGCUAAUGCUCGAUACUCAGCUUCAGAGGAUGAGCGAGACACUGUGGUUUGCUUCUUUGCUUUCCAACUAAUAAGGGAGUCACCAAGAAAAAUACAAAAACCACUUAUAGAUCAUCUGGUUUCUGGACAACCAGCCCAAUCAGAAUCACUAAAGCCUCGAAGUAGCAAAGAAGAAGUUGCUGAGAAAAAUAUUCCAGGACUAGGAGAGUUCUUUAAGUAGCGCAAUACAUGAUGAGCUGCCUGAAGAUGCAACACAGUUGGUUUAUCCAAGAAUUGACUUAGCUGCUGAACUGCAAAUGAAAUGUCUGGUCGUGUUGAUGUAAGAUAAAUGAGUCGACCUACCAGCUGUCUAUAGAGUAUAUUAUCAGCAAGUAAUUCACUGUCAUCACUUCGCAAUUUUGAGCUUGAUUUGGUUGCCAUUGGAGUUUUUGCUGGUUUACAUUCCAUGAAGCCACUAUCAGUCAAAAUCUCAAGACAAUACUUCCUUUGAGAUAAAUGAAUUCCUGCAGUUGACCUUGCAAUCUCGAGACCAAGAAAAUACUUAAGCUCACCAAGAUCUUUGAUUUCAAAUGCCUGAUCUAGAAAACUCUUAACUGUAAAAAUUUCAUGUUGAUUAUUACCAGCCAAUAUCAUAUCAUCAACAUAAACAAGCAAGGCUGUAAAAGAAUCAUUUUCCUUUUUGACAAAGAGAGAAUGAUCAGAGGAGGAUUGUUUGUAGCCAAGGGAUAAAAGAGAAGCUGUAAGUUUGGAGAACCAUUGUCUGCUAGCUUGUUUUAAUCCAUAUAGAGAUUUUUGUAAUUUGCAGACUUUGCUCUUGUCUGAUCCUUCAAAUCUAAGGGGCAACUUCAUGUAAACUUCCUCAUUCAAUUCACCAUGUAAGAACGCAUUAUUGACAUCUAACUGCUGGAGAAACCAAUUAUGAGAUGCAGCUAAAGCAAGAAGAAGUCGCACAGUAGUAAUCUUUGCAACCGGAGAGAAAGUGUCAAAAUAAUCAACACCUUCUCGUUGUGUGUAUCCCUUAGCAACCAGGCGAGCUUUGUAUCGCUCAAUUGAGCCAUCAGCCUUAUGUUUGACUCGAAAAACCCAUUUGCAACCAAUUGCUUGCUUACCAGGUGGUAACUCAGUAAUAAUCCAGGUCUUAGUUUGUUCAAGAGCAGUAAUCUCAGCUUGCAUUGCCUCUCGCCAAUGUAAAUGUUUUACGGCUUGUGUGUAUGUUUUUGGUUAGGUAGUGGCAGUAAUGGCUAAAGUAUAGUGUAAAUGUGUAGCUGAAAGGUUUGAAUAGGAAAAAGUUUGAGUACGAGAGUAAUUAUUACCUGAGAGAAGAUUGGUACCAGCCUGCAGAGAAGAGCAUUGAUAAUCAUUCAAAUAACGAGGUGGUUGUCUGUUUCUUAUAGGACGGGUUACAUUUGGAGUUGGUGGUUCAAUAUGUGGUUUAUCAUGUGGUUCAGUAUUUAUGGGUGGUGGUUCAAUAUGUGGUUCAGUAUUUGUGGGUGGUGAUGGUGUUUCAAUAGAAGAAGAUGAAUCUGAUAUAGGUUCAUCAUAGGUAGGAGAGGAAGCUAAAACUGGUAAUGAAGGUGAUGAAGGAGACAAGGAACUGUGAAGAAAUGGAAAAUGAUGUUCAUGAAAGGUUACAUUUCGAGAGAUGAAAAUGAUUUUGGUAUCUAAGUCAAAAAGUACAUAACCUUUAACUGUAGGUGAAAGGCCAAGAAAAAUACAUGUUUGAGAACGAGAAUCAAAUUUAUGCCUAUGAGCUGUUAAAGUAGAUGCAUAAGUCAAACAACCAAAAACUUUUAGAAUAGAGUAAUCUGGUUUGGUUUGGUGAAACUUUUCAUAAGGUGUAAAGUUGGAAAGGAGAGGUGUAGGUGUUCUAUUUAUGAGAUAGACAGCAUGUAAGACUGAAUAUCCCCAGAAAUAUUGAGGUGUAUGAGAAUGAAACAAGAGGGCUCGAGCAACAUUUAAAAUAUGUUGAUGUUUUCGUUCCACCAAGCCAUUUUGUUGUGGUGUUUCCACACAAGAUGUUUGAUGUAUGGUUCCUUUAGAAGCAUAAAAAGAAGGCAUAGCAAAUUCAGAACCAUUAUCAGAUCGAAUCACUUUAAUUUUGGCUGAAAAUUGGGUCUCAACCAUUUGGAAAAAAUUUUGAAUAUGUUCUCGAACUUCAGACUUUGUUUUUAAAAGAAUAAGCCAGGUAUAACGGCUGUAAUCAUCAACAAUUGUCAAGAAAUAUUUAUGGCCAUUAAUAGAAACAAGAGGAUUAGGGCCCCAAAUAUCAGCAUGUAUAAGAUCAAAUCUCUUUAUUGAAACAGAAUUGCUUACAGGAAAAGAAAGCUUUUUGUGCCUUGCCAAGUGACACGUUUUACAAGCUGAAUUAUCAAAAAGUUGUAAAGUAGGUAUUUCUGGUAAAAGGAGUUUUAUUCUCGAGUCUGAAAGAUGACCAAGACGAGAAUGCCAUACAUCUGUAGUAGGAGUAGCAGUAAAGGUUGUAGUAGAAAGGGUAAAAGUUUGAGAUGGAUAGUCAAGUAGAUAAAGGCCUCGAUAUGCUCUAGCUGUACCAAUCAUCUUCCAGGAUGGGAGAGCCUGUAUCUUGCAAACAUUAGAAUGAAAGGUAAAAUAACAUGGCAAAGUAGUAGUAAGUUUGGUUACAGAAAGCAAAUGGAAGGUAAAAGCUGGAAUAUAAAGAAUAUCAUGUAAACAUAAAUGUUCAUGAAAAAUAACAGUACCAGAUAUACAUGCUUCAAGUUUGGUACCAUUAGGUAAAGUAACAAGGAUGGGUUUAAAAUGUUUAUAUGAGGCAAAAGAUGAUAAAGAAUAAGUAAUAUGAUCAGUAGCACCAGUAUCAAUGAUCCAAAAAGGAGUUAAAGAUAUACCUUCAGUGGUAGCAAGAGUAAAGUGAGAGUCACGGAUAACAUUGUUGGUUAAAGAGGUAGAAGAGGGAAUGGAUGGAGAGGGUGAUGGUUUGAGUAAAGCAAGAAGCUGAGAAUAUUGCUCUUGAGUCAAAGUAAAACCAGAAUUAUUAGAUGAGGAAUCACUUAGUGUUGAAGUAGGUGGAGGCUCAGCAACAUCAUCAGAAUAAACAUUGUUGACACGAGCCUGACCCUUUGCCCUGUAUCCAUUAUUAUAACCAUUCUUGCGAAAACAUGUUUCAAUUGUAUGACGAGGCCUUUGACAGAAAAUACACAAUCUUUUGUCAACAGUUGAAGAAGAAGCAUCAAAUCGCUUAGUAACAGCAUUCACACUAGAGGUAUUAUCAGAGGAAGACAGAUUAUUAACAAACACCUUUGAACUUCCAGUAUUGAACUGUCUUUCUUGUUGAAUCACCAUAGAAAAAGCCUUAUUAAUGGAUGGCAAAGGAUCUAAAAGCAUAAUCUGAGAUCGCGCACCAGUAAAUUUAUCAUUAAGACCUUUAAGAAAGCGAAUCACAUAGUCAUCAUCAUGAUAACGCUUGAUAGUAGUCAAAACACCACAAGAACAAGGUGUAUUGCAAGAACAGCGAGGAAGAGGCCUAAAAUGUAACAACUCAUCCCAGAAAAUCUUGAGUUCAGUAAAAUAGUCUGUAACUGACCGAUCAUCUUGCUUAAAAGAUGAAAUCUCAUCUUGCAAAUCAGAGAUUCGAUAAACAUCACCUUGAGAAAAUCGUUCUCGAAGAUCAUUCCAGAUAUCAAAUGCAGUAUUAACCCAAAGAACACUGCUAAAGAUGAAGGAACUGAUAGAGUGAUUAAGCCAAGAAAUUACCAUGGUGUUGCAUCGUUCCCAAGCAGGAUAAAGAGAAUCAGUGUCAGAUGGUACUGUAAUGCUUCCAUCAACAAACUGAAGCUUGUUCUUCGAGAGAAGUGCAAGACGCAUUGCACGAGACCAAGAAUGAUAGUUGGAACUAUUGAGAGCUGGUGAAACAAGUAUAAGCGAAGGAUUUUCAUUUGGAUGCAAAUAAUAAGGACUGGAAAUAGGAAUUGUAGGAUCAGAAAGCUCAAUCGUUGAUGAAUUAACAGGCAUAAUGGAAAAAGAAUCCAGGAAAAUGCCAAGAAAAUGCAGAAAAGCAGAGAAAAUGCGGAAGAAUCUUUAAACGUCUGAUACCAUGUGGAAAUUGUGUAUUUGGUAAAAUUUUUACUUGUAUUUUCAUUCGUUCAAUGAAUGUAUUUAUACAAAUUACAAGAGAAGAAAACUGACUAAACUGACUAUUAACAAACUAAACUAUAGUUUGUUAAUUCUAACAAACUUUGACUAUUUCGACUAAUUAAAUUAGCAAUAUACUAAUUUAAUAUACUAACAAAAUCCUAGUUAAUGCAGCCACUGAGCACCGCCCAACAGUGGUUUCAGUUAGGCUAUAUAUAUUUGUAGUGUUUUCUAAUCUUUUAUGUGCCUUUCUUAGUAUAAUAUUAACCAUUCCCUUUGACACUAAGCGCGCCUUUCAAUGAUGUCCCAAAGAAAUAAGUAAAGAAAAGGGUAACAAAAAGUUCAGAAACUGCAGUAGACUACUUUUUGUAAUUUAAAUUAAAAACUAUACUCCUACCAACACUUGAGCCACGUCAUUACUCCUUCAAAUAAGAGAAUCCAAGUACUAAUCCCUCCCCCCAUACUAUCAAAAUUAGGGGGACAAGAAGAACAAUUACAUUCCUCAAAACCCUCCGGUGAAGUCAUCUAACAUGUAGCAGAAGCAUUCAUAAAAUGACUAACUGAGAAUAAGGGGAACUUUUUCAUAUGUUGUUAUUUGAAUUUUAAAUUUAAUGUUAGGAUUAUAUCAUUAAUCACUAAAUUAUAGAUAAGUUUUGUUUUGAUCACUUAAUUAAAAAAAGUUAUAAUUUGAUCAUUGAACUAUUUGAAAGUUUUCCUUAAGUCAUUGAACUAUUCAAAAGUUUUUAUUUAAGUCAUUGAACUUUUUUUUUUAAGUUUCGACAGCGAACUCCAAGUGACAAUUCAAUGAUUGGUACGGUGGAUCAGUACCCAUCGCCAAGUAAAAAAAAUACCUUAGAUCCAAAUCAAUCUGACGGUCAGUGUAGGAGAACGGAAAAAAAACUGUUUGAAUUUUAGUUUGCAAAUUCAUGACGUCCAAAAUUGUUUCAUAAAAAGAAAGUGAAAGAUAGAAAAGAAGAGAAAAGAUCUUUCUAUUGGUGCAAACAGUACGAAUAAAAAAAACCAUAUAACAUCGGUUUUAAUAGUCCAAUGACUUAAAUAAAAACUUUUGAAUAGUUUAGUGACCAAAUUAUAACUUUUUUUAGUUAAGUGAUCAAAAUAAAAACUUACCCAUAGUUUAGUAAGUAAUUUACCCUAACAUUUAUUACAGGAACUAACCGAACUUGACACUAGUUUGCUAAUGAUGGAUGGAGUGAUGUUGGGGAUCAGGACCACCGGGACUAACUCGUUUAGACUGGUCCAGGUUCUUGUUAUCGAUUUCAUUUUGUGUACGCCCAAUCUUAAAAGCUUCCCUGGCACCCAAUGCUCGAAUGGACCUAAUCAAGUCCCGUCCCUCUGUGUAUGGACCAAGAGGACGACCAUCUGACCUUGGAAAACAAACUAGUAGCAGUAACAGGUACAGAUGGAAUUUCGAAGUUGCCAUCUUCUUAGCAAGGUUUGAGGAAAUUUACUACUUGUGUUGCAGCAAUUCCAGGGAGGAGGGAUGGAUAUAUAUAGACCAUCAUAUUUUGUUUUUAAUCGAACUUCCAAGUGGGAUGAAAAGUGCCUUGACAGCAUAAUGUAAUUAUUAUUUGUCCGUUUCUCCUUUCUAUAUUCGGAUCCCUUUCAGCAAUCAUAUAAAUAAAACAAUUAGCGACCAUAGAAGAACCAUAUAGCUGAACUACUUUUCUUUUUGGCAAAAGAAAAACCUAUGAUCUGAUCGAAUGGAAGUGCAAGAAAAGCCCUUGGAUUUGUUUGUUCCCGUCAAUAAAUUCUGAUAGGCUCCCUUGAAUUGAAGGAGCUCUCAACUUGAAACAAUGACAUUGUCCUACCUUGUCUUCUUCUAGAGCACUCCACUCCAGCAUCCUUUUGUUGUCUGUACUCUGCUUUUGAUCUUCUUUAUGGAAAGCUCAACAAGCAAUGUGGUGGCCGGCGAUCCCACAUAGAUAAGGAGUGUUAAAUUUCAUAUAUGCUCUUCUCUAGAAGCUUGAAGGUAACCUAGAUAGCUUGACUAGUUUGUUGGAUCGUGCAGAAAACGAUGAUCUUCUUCAAACAGUUCAGAAUCUGAAUGAAUAAUUAAUGAUACCUUAUUCGUAUGGGGCUAUUAAGAAACAAUAGCAGACAUAAUUGGGCAAUUAUUGACCACCAUUUGGAUUCAAGGAAGGUGAAAUCAAGCAAGUUUUUUGUAUAAAAGACAGAACUCAAACUACUGGCAGAGUUUAGUUUGAUUCAUAGUGAUAUCCAGUGUCGAAAUUACCUGACAAGUAUUCUAUUAUAGGGAUUAGAUCGAUUUAGUCCAUUUACUAUUAAAUGUAUUAAUUUAAUCAUACAACUAGAAAGAAUAAAAUAAGAUUAAAUUGUAAUAGACUUAACAUUUAUUAGGUAAAAUAUGACAUGAAAAUUAUUAGUUUUUCAUUUGCAAUUCAACUUCAAAUAAAAAUUUUCAUUUGCAUAGCAAUAAAAACUUUUCAAAAUAUUAAUUAUGUUAAUAAUAAAUGAUAUCUUUUAAACAAUAAAUAUUAAUUUUUAUUUAAAUUUGGUCUUAUUUAAUUUUUAAAUAAUAUAAGGACUAAAUUAAUCCAUUUAAUAAUAAAGAUAUAAAUUGUCGAUUGAGCCUUAACUUAAUUGACAUCAGUAUUAUUAUCAAUAUAGAAAUUCGUGGGUUCAAGCAUUGAAAUGUAUUUAACCUCAUAUUUAAGGAUUUGAAAAAGGUUAGGAAUAAUUUUAAACAUUAUAUAAAAAUAAUCAUAAAGAGAAUAAUUUAAUAUGGAAUUAUAAUAGAGAGACAUGCUAUCUCCGGUCAAACUAAGUUUUGACUUUUGCCUUUUUGUUUGAUUUUAAAAUUUUAAAUUGGUUUGCUUGAAUUGUCAGUACUUUCAAUAAAAUAAAAUAAAAAUAAACCCAUUAUUAUUAUUAUUAUUAUUAUUAUUAUUAUUAUUAUUAUUUGAAUGGAAACAUCAAACAUUUCAUUAGAGAUUGACAGCAUCAGUUAAAAUAGCUUGGUGGAUACAAGCAGGAUAGUCCUCAAUCCAAUACAAAUCAUUAUCAAGAGUACAGCUAAAUUUUGCAAGCUCAUGGGCAGUCUUGUUGCCUUCUUAUCGAGUACGGUUGACACGAAACUCAGCAAACUGUUGCAGCAAAGAUUUGCCGGAGAAGUCAUCUUCUUUACUAUUUAAUCCUUUCAAAAUCACUCUUACAUCACCUUCAAUAAUAACAUAGGAAAAUCCCAUGUCAGUAGCUGUUUCAAUGGCUUUAACAGCUGCAAUAGCUUUCGCAGUAGCAGUGUUUGCUGCAAUUGGCAAUUUCUAAGCUGUUACACCGACCACAAAUCUUUCAAUGUCUCUUAACACAACUCCCACGCCUCCAUUUUUGUUUGAUGCCUUAAAACUAGCAUCAAAGUUGACCUUAAUAAAAUUGGAGUUUUGUUGAACUUUUGGCCUGCACUGCAACAAAAGACCAGCAGCAGCAAAUUGUACAAGUCAAACUGCUAUACUGUUUAGAAGUGAAGAAAUGGAGCUGGUCCGAUUGAAGCAACCUAUUUUGAAUGAUUUGUUCCUAUGAAACUUUGUCCAAAUCUUUUUGUAUUAUGAUAGCAAAGUUAGUAGGAUAGAUUGACUGAUUUGCCUUGAUGUAAUAGCUGGUAUGCCAGCUUUCUUUUGUAAGCAAGUUACAAUAUUUUUAGUAUGUAUUAAGUAGGAGCAGUUAACUAGUAGGUAACUGUCAAAACUUUUGUAACUUACAUAAAUUCAAAUUUUGAAUGAAAUAUACAUGACUUUCAGUUACAUUUUUUUGCUGAGUUUUUCACUUUCAAGUUUCUUUUUCUUUGCUUCAAUCGGUUUUGUUCUUUUUCUUGUUGAAAGUUCCAACAAAAUGGUAUCAAGAGCUUUCUGUCUUUGAGGGCCUUGGUUGUACACUGUCACUAAGCAAGUUGUGCUUUAAACAAAAGAAGCAAAGGUUGUUUCUGGUUGCUGUGAGAAUGAGUUUUACACCACCUCCUCCAUCUGUCUUUGCUGGAGAAAAUUACAACAUCUGGGCAGUGAAAAUGAGGACAUACCUGCAGGCAUAUGACUUGUGGAAUGUUGUUCUCAAUGACACUGAGCCACCACCAUUGAGAGCCAACUCGACCAUAGCUAAAAUCAGGCAGCAUAGUGAAGACUGUGCCAAGAAGUACAAGGCUAUGUCAUGUCUUCAAACUGGAGUUUCUAAUGUUACAAGGAUAAUGGCCUGUGAUACUCCAAAGCAGGCCUGGGACAAACUCAAUGAGGAGUUUCAGGGGUCUGAUAAGUCCAGGAAACAACAGCUGAUCAACUUGAGAAGAGACUUUGAGAACCUGAAAAUGAAGGACUCAGAAACCAUUAAGCAGUAUGCUGACAUAAUCAUGGCUACUAUCAACAAUAUAAGGCUGCUUGGGGAAGAAUUUAGUGACCAAAGAGUGGUUGAGAAAGUCAUAACAACCUUGCCAGAGAAGUAUGAAGCAAAAAUCUCUUCUUUGGAAGAUUCAAGGGACUUGUCAACAAUCCCUUUGACAGAGCUUAUAAAUGCUCUUUAUGCUCAAGAGCAAAGAAGGGCAAACAGAAUGGAAGACUAUUAUGAAGGAGCCUUUCAAGCUAGAAGCAGAGAAAGCUCAAGUUCAAAUUUGAAUACCAAAGGCAAGAAGCCUUGGACAGAAAAGAAGAAGAAAGAGCCUGCCAGGAAGAAGUUUCCACAUUGUGUUCAUUGUAAGAAGACAACUCACCUUGAAAAAUACUGCUGGUACAGACCAGACAUUCAAUGUAGAGGCUGCAAACAGUUUGGCCACAUUGAAAAGGUCUGUAAAAACAAGUCAAAGGCACAACCACAGUAUCAAAAUCAAGCUCAGGCUGCAGAAGAUGUUGAAAUACAAGAAGAACAUGUUUUUUCAGCAUCAUGCUUUGCAAGCUCGAGCAAGGUCAGCAAAAUAUGGUUGAUUGACAGUGGAUGUACUCACCAUAUGGCUUUUAAAAAGAGCAUAUUUAAUGAGCUUGACACCACCUUCAAGUCUAAAGUCAAAAUUGGCAAUGGUGAGCUGUUGGAGGCAAAAGGCAAAGGCAAGGCUUUGAUAAGUACAAAGUCAGGUAAUAAAACCAUUUCUGAUGUUCUCUAUGUACCUGAUAUUGAUCAAAACUUGUUGAGUGUUGGCCAGUUAUUGGAGAAGGGCUACUCUUUGAUUUUUGAAGGCAAAAUUUGUAUGAUCAAAAAUACUACUAGUGAAGUGUUAACUACAGUGGCUAUGCAAGAUAGAACCUUCAUUUUGGAUGUGAAUUAGCUACAGGUAAAGGCAUAUGCAUCUCAGUCUGAUGAAGCAGACUUGUGGCACAGAAGGUUGGGACAUGUAAACUAUAACUCUUUGAAUAUGUUGCAGAAGAUGAAUUUGGUCAGUGACAUGUUUAAAAUUGAACCAAGGAAGGUUGUGUGUGAGGUCUGUCAGCUAGGCAAACAGACCAGGUUACUCUUUCCUAUUAACAAAGCAUGGAGAGCACAAGGAAAGCUUCAGCUAGUUCAUACAGACAUCUGUGGACCUAUGAAGACCACCUCUUUAAAUGGCAACAGGUACUUUGUACUCUUCAUUGAUGAUUACUCUAGGUUCUGCUGGGUAGAUUUUUUGAAGCAUAAGUCAGAUGUUUAUGAUUUUUUCUACAAAUUUAAAGCUUUGGUUGAAAACCAAGCUAGCUGUAAGCUGAAAUGUUUGAGGUCUAACAAUGGAUCUGAGUAUGUAUCUCAGAAAUUUCAAAAGAUAUGUGAUGAUGCUGGAAUUCUACACCAGUUGACUACUAUGUAUACACCACAGCAAAAUGGUGUCUGUGAGAGAAAAAAUAGAACAGCCUUUGAUAUGGCAAGGUGUUUUUUGUUUGAGGCUAAAAUGUCAAACAUUUUUUGGGCUGAAGCUGUGAAUACAACUGUUUAUCUGCUAAAUAAGCUACCAACUGAUGCAGUCAAGGGUAAAACACCCUUUGAAGCCUGGUUUGGACAGAAACCAUGUGUCUCACAUGUGAAGGUGUUUGGUUGCUUGUGUUAUGUGUUGGUACCAGAAGAGAAAAGAACCAAGUUGGAUAAGAGGUCCAUGCUAGGGGUGUUUGUUGGCUAUAGCAGUGAAAAAAAAAGAUAUAGAGUAUUUGAUCCACUAACCAAGAAGGUAGUAGUGAGCAGAGAUGUCAAAUUUAGUGAAGCAAAUAGCUGGAAAUAAGAUGGAAUUGAGGUAAGUUUGCUUGAAGUAGAUCAGAAUAACAUUGAUAUGCAGCAAGCUGAAAAUGAAUUAGUAAUUAAAGAUAACCAUGAUGAUGAACCUGUUCGAGGCACCAGGACAUUAGCAAACAUCUAUGAAAGAUGUGCUGUAACUCUAGUGGAACCUUCAUGCUAUGAUGAAGCAGCAAGAGAAAGAUGUUGGCAAGAGGCUAUGGAAGCUGAGCUAAGGAUGAUUCAGAAGAAUGACACUUGGGAGCUUGUUAAUAGACCUGAAAACAGAAAGAUCAUAGGUGUCAAAUGGGUUUAUAGAACUAAAAACAAUGCUGAUGGUUCCCUGAAUAGACACAAAGCCAGACUCGUUGUAAAAGGGUAUAGUCAGCAGCAAGGGGUCGAUUUUUCUGAAACAUUUGCACCUGUUGCAAGGUUGGACACUAUCAGACUACUGCUUGCUUUGGCAGCUCAAAAGCACUGGAAUGUGCACCAUUUAAAUGUUAAGUCAGCCUUCCUAAAUGGUUUUCUUAGUGAAGAAAUUUUCAUAGAGCAACCUGAAGGUUUUAAGAUUCCUGGUGAAGAACACAAAGUCUACAAGUUGAAGAAGGAAUUGUAUGGCCUAAAACAGCCUGGUAUGAAAGGAUUGAUGGCUACUUAGCAAGGCUCGGGUUCACAAAAAGUGUUAGUGAGCCUACACUUUAUGUUAAGAAGGAUCAGAAGAAAACCUUGUUAAUUGUUUCCUUAUAUGUUGAUGAUCUACUAGUUAUUGGCUGCAAAAAUGAGCUUAUUGUGGACUUCAAGAAACAGAUGCAAGAAGUCUUUGAAAUGACUGAUCUUGGUCUAAUGACCUACUUUCUUGGCAUGGAAAUAAAGCAAGGAAAUGAUGGUAUCUUCAUAAGUCAGCAAACAUUUGCAUCCAAGGUGCUGGAGAAAUUUUGUAUGUUGAAUUGUAAAUCUGUUAUUACACUUGUUGCACUGGGAGAGAAGUUGUCAAGCACCAGUGAGCAUGAUCGAGUGGAUGAAAAAGCUUAUAGAAGUUUAAUUGGCUACUUGUUUUAUUUGACAGCAACAAGACCAGUUAUUGUCUAUGUUGUUAGUCUUCUUUCAAGGUUUAUGCAUUGCAGUAAUGUGGCACAUUUAAAGGCAGCAAAAGGGGUGUUAAGAUAUGUCAAAGGAACCAUUGAUUCUGGUGUGAAGUUUUGGAAGACAGAAGAGCUGAAAUUUGUUGGCUACUCUGAUAGUGAUUGGGCAGGGUCAAUUGAUGACAUGAGGAACACUUCAGGUUACUUUUUUACUCUAGGCUCGAGUGUUUUUAGCUGGAGUUAGAAAAAGCAACAAACUGUUGCUCAAUCCACAGCAGAGGCAAAGUACAUCUCAGCUACAGCAGCAGUUAAUCAAGCCAUUUGGCUUAGAAAGAUUUUAGAUGAUUUGAAUGAAAUGCAAGUUCAGCCUAAUGAAAUCAAAGUUGAUAAUCAAUCAGCUGUAGCCAUAGCUAAAAAUCCAGUCUUCCAUGGCAAGACUAAGCAUUUCAAAAUUAAAUUGCAUUUUGUUAGAGAAGCUGUGCAAUUGAAGGAGGUCAGUCUUGUCCAUUGCAGUUCAGAAAUUCAAUUGGCUGAUAUUUUAACCAAGCCAUUAGGAGCUAACAGGUUUAAUGUAUUGAAAGAAAAUAUUGGUGUUUGUUGCAUACAGUCCAAGGAGGAGUGUUGAACUUUUGGCCUGCACUGCAACAAAAGACCAGCAGCAGCAAAUUGUACAAGUCAAGCUGCUAUACUAUUUAGAAGUGAAGAAAUGGAGCUGGUCCAAUUGAAGCAACCUAUUUUGAAUGAUUUGUUCCUAUGAAAAUUUGUCCAAAUCUUUUUGUAUUAUGAUAGCAAAGUUAGUAGGAUAGAUUGACUGAUUUGCCUUGAUGUAAUAGCUGGUAUGCCAGCUUUCUUUUGUAAGCAAGUUACAAUAUUUUUAGUAUGUAUUAAGUAGGAGCAGUUAACUAGUAGGUAACUGUCAAAACUUUUGUAACUUACAUAUAUUCAAAAUUUGAAUGAAAUAUAAUGACUUUCAGUUACAUUUUUUUGCUAAGUUUUUCACUUUCAAGUUUCUUUUUCUUUGCUUCAAUCGAUUUUGUUCUUUUUCUUGCUGAAAGUUCCAACAAGUUUGGCUUCUUCAUUGGCAGCAAUGUGAAUAACCAUAAGUUCUUUUGCUUCUCACAUUUGCUUCAAUGAAAUCUUUGUACAAUUCUUGACACUUUCAACAAUUCUCACAUUGGUUUUAUUGGAAUUGCGAAAAAAUGAAACAUUUCUCGAGUUCCAUAAUGUCCAAAUCAAAAAAAACCUGUCAAAACCAUCUUCCUUUGAUUCCCGAGUUACAAAUUCAAUCCAUUCCCCCCAUUGUUCACGUCCCCAUCGUAAGUCUGAGUUGAAAAUCCAGUUAAGGCCAAUGCACUCUUAGCAAUAGGGCAUUCAUGCAAGGCAUGCAUAAUAUCUUCUAACUCAUUUCUACAUCUUAAACAAGCAAAACUCACGCCUUGUAUUCGUGCAUUCAAAGCACAACCUAAGGGGAGAAUAUUAUUGCACACUCUCCAACAAAAGAUCUUGAUUUUGUUGCUCACCUUCGCUUUCCAUAUAAAUUUUCAUGCAAUUCUAUGAGGUCCCAAGUUGUUAACCGGUUGAAGUAAACACCUAUACCCACUUCGAACUGAGUAAUUCCCAUCAGCAUUCCAAUUCCAGAUCAGUUUAUCUUUAGCAUUUUGGUUCACUAACAGAAUCUUGCAAAUUGCCUCUGCUUCCUCUUUAGAGAACUUCCUCUUAAUAAAGUUCUCCCUCUAAACCAUUCAGCUUGCAUCAAUGAGUUCACAAACCUUAGAUCCUUCGUUGAAGUUGGUACAAGGGGAUAGAGACAAGGAAUUUAAUUGGGUUGGAGUCCAAAAAUCUUUAAUUCGUGUGAUGAGACCAUUUCAAUCCACCAUCUAGUACCUUUAUGAAGAAUAGCUUUGCUGUUCCAAAUACUUCACCAAAGGAAAGAGGGGUUGCAACCAACACUUGCUUCCAUAAAGGAACAAUUCGGAAAGUAUCUAGCUUUAAAUAUUUUAUGGCAAAGUGAGUUCUUGUUGAGAAGGAGAUGUCAUCAUUGUUUCGCUAAAAGAGCAAGGUUGAUAAAGUGCGCAAAUCCUAGAACCCCAUGCCCCCUAUACUCUUUGGUUGACAAACUUUAUUCCAUUUGAGCUGAGAUAUUCCUUUUCCUUCAUCAUUGUUAUUCCACCAAAACCUUCUUACUACCUUCGUUAUCUUAUCACAAAGAGAUUUCGAGAGUAAGAAGCAUUGCAUUGUAUACAUUGAAAUUACUUGAAGAACUUCUUUAACAAAUAUCUCUCUUCCCCCGAAAGAAAGAAUUUUUUUCAAUCAUACUUUAAUUCUUGUUCUAACUCUAUCUAUAAUGACUUAAUUCUUGUUCUAACUUGUAACAACCCGGUUUGACUCUAAUCGGAAUAGUGGUUUCGGGACCACAAAUCCAAGUCCUAAAAAUAUUUCAAUAUUAUUUUGUGUGUUUACUUUGUGUGCAUUUGAUUGUGUGAAAUUUUCAUGUUUUAAUUUUGUUGUUUGAGUGUCCGAUUAAAUAAAAGGAUUAAAUCGUGAAAAAUAAAAAUUUAGGGGUUAAUUAUAAAAGCACCUAAUUGUUGUUGUCUUUUUAAAUGGAAAGAUUUAUGAUGCAAUAAGACCAUAAAGUAGUGAGUGGGUGAUAAUGGUCAAAAAUGACCUUAUAUUAUAAGGUUUAUAUAUUUUGUAUUAAAGGUUAAUAUAGUAAACUAAUAAUUAAAUAAACAUAUGAUAUAAUAAAUCAAUUGAAGCCAUUAUUUUCAUUCUUCCUUUGCCGAAACUUAGAAAAACAAAUAGGGUUUAAAAGCUUUGAGGUAUUCGGUCAUUAACAAGCUUAAUUCAAGGUAUGUUUUACUUCGGUUUUUGAUAAUUUUUACGUUUUUGAGAUCGUUGCUUCGUGUUCUUCAAAACCCAUAUCUUAAUUUUGUGAAUUGUGGAUGAUUUUGAAAUGUGCCAUUGAUGAAUGCUUGAGUUUUAUGAUGUUAGUAGGUGAAAUAUGAAAUAUAUUUGUUAGAUUAAUAUAUUUUGUAUUGGAAUUUUUAGUGAAAUUGAGUAAAUAGGGCUAAAUUGUGAAAUUAAAUUUUUGGGGGACUAAAGUGUGAAAUAAAUGCAAUGUGUGGACUUGUAUGAGAACCAUGAAUAUUCGGCCCUUGUGUGGUAUGGGCAAAUUUUGUAUAAAUUGUGUUUUAUGCAAUAGGGACUAAAUUGCAAAAAGUGUAAAUAUUAGGGGCAAAAUAGUAAUUUUCCAAAUUAUGUGUUUUUGGAUUAAAUUGAAUGUGUUAAUAAAUAAAUUAUCUUAUUUUGAAUAUAUUUAGAUCGAGAACCAAAGAAAUCGGAGUUAGAUCGGGGAAGAGCCAAAUUAGUCGAAUAAUCGUCCGACUUCGAUUUUCCAUCGUCCGAGGUAAGUCUAUUAGCUAUUUAAUGUUAUUAAAUCAAUAUAUAUAUAUGUAUGAAUAUCUAUUAUGUUGUUGUUGAGCUAUAAUUAAAAGUAAUUUAAUUGAAUAAAUUCAAAUUAUAAAUGGUAUAAAUAUGUAUAUACAAUGUUCAAAUAUAUAGGUAUAUGCUUAUAUAAAUUUUUGAACUAAGUUAAAGUAUGAAUGGUAUAAAGUUAUAUAUAUAUAAAUUCAAAUAAUUAUAUAUAUGUAUCUAUAUGUAUACAUAUACUUGAAUUUGGUUGGUUGUAUGAGAGUUAUAUAUAUGUGCACUUAAGAUUCAAAUAUAUGUAAGUAAAUACAUGUAUAAAUUCUUGCUUAAAUUAAAGAUAUGUAUAAUACAUAUGUAUACAUAAGUUUCGAACAUAUAGAUGUAUGUAAAAACAUUUGGGUUUGAUUAAAAGUAUGUAUGUUGUAAUUGUACAGAAAAUUUCGAAUAAGUAAGUAUAUGGAGUUGGAACAUCUAUAUAUAUAUGAAUAAGUCUUGAUUAUAUUUUAAGGUAUAAAUGUUAAAAAUGUACUUGGGAGUUCGAAUAUAUCUAAAUGUAUAUUUGUGUACAGAUUCUUGAAUUGAAUCGAAUGUAUGAUUCGCAAACUCUUUUGUGAUUGAAUAUGGACUACAAUGAAUGUGUGUUUGCUGUUAAUAAGUAUUUGAGGAAAUUAUUCUGUAUAUGGGAAAAUUGAGAUUUUCAAGCAUAGUGCUUAGCAGGCUUAUUGCCGGUGAAACACUUCAGACUAUAUGUCUAGCAGGCUUAAUGCCGGUGAAAUAUUUCAGACUAUAUGUCUAGCAGGCUAAGUGCUAGUGUACUGAAUCAGGCUUAAAGCCUAGCAGGCUAAAUGCCGGUGAAUCUGUUUUAAGUAUGUGAUUAGGUGUACAAUUAUAUGAUUUUGGAUAUAUUUAAUUGAUAAGUAUAUUUAUAUAUAUACAUUUGGCUAAGUGCGUUUGAUGAUUAUAUAUAUCCGGCUUAUACAAUUGAGAAAUAUAUAUAUGCUCUGGGAUUAUGCAUUUGAUAAAUAUAUACUUUUAAAUAUUCGGUACACAUAUUUGAUUAGUAACUAUAUAUGCAUUCGAGAUAUAUAUACCUUGGUUUAUAAGUAUUUGAUGAAAAUGAAUGUAUUCGUUCAUAUGUAUUAGAUUUGUAUUGGUUUAAAGUUUAAAAUGAGUAUUCAUACACAUUCGGUUAUGAUAUGUGUAUAAUAUAUAUAUGCUCAGUUGUAUACAUUCGUUGUAAUGUUGUUUGGUAUAAAAAUAUAUAUUCAAUUGAUCGCUUUCGACAGGUAUGCAUAUCUGUCUAUAAAUGAAAUGGUCUGAGUACAAUAAUAUAUAAAUAUUAGUUAUUCGUGUUAAUUGAAAUCUCAGUGAAAUAGAUUAAAAAGUAACUUUAUUUAUAUAUUUAUAUACAUUUAGUUAUGCUGUAGACUUACUAAGCUAUAAAAGCUUACUUUGUUUGUUUUCGUCCAUUUGCUUUUAUAGAUUUUGGAGACGCGUUACGAGCUCGGGAAUCAUCAGCAUAGUCCAUCACACUAUCGACUUCUUUUGGUAUUUUGUUAAAUAUUUGAACUCAAUCUUAUGGCAUGUAUAGGUUUGAGUACGAUGUUAAUUACAUUUUGAUUGUAAAUUAUAAUAGCUACGCGAAAGUAAUUAAAUUUUUACGUUGUGAUCAGUUUGGUUUUAAAAAUGUUGAAUUUGUUCCGUAAUGCCUCGUAACCCUAAUUCGGCGACGGAUACGGGUUAGGAGUGUUACAUAACUUUAUCCAUAAUGUCUUUGAAAACCCUUCUCUUCUUUUUUCCAAUCAUCGUAGGGAGCCCAAGAUAGUAAUAUACCUAACUAUGGUAUGAAAGGAGAAAUGAAUAUACUUUCUAGUUGUCUUGUUCAAUUGAAAUAUCUUUUAUUGCACAGGGUAUGAAGAGACCAACAUUGCAUUUUGUUGAUCUCCUUCUUUCCUUGGUGCCUACAUGCUCAAAUAGGGCCUUUAAAAUGGUGAUUUGGAGACAAAUUUAAUGCUAUCUCAUGACUACACUUGAUUCUCAUGCUCAUGAUCGGAUUAUUCGUACAAUAUGGCUUGACUAAGCUGGAUUUUGGUAGGAAAGCAAAAUUUUGCUACAGGGGAGAACCACCCUGUAGUAUAAGCUACAAAACAACAUACACGCCAACUCAGCACUAUUACGUGUUGAACUUUGGCCUGUAGUGCAACAAGCAACCAGCAGCAACUCAACUCAGAAGCAGCAGUAACACUGCUUGAAGUGCAGCAUUGGAGCUGAACCGAAUGCAACAAGAUGUUUUGUUUAUUUUGUUUACAUGUAACUUUGUUAGUUUACUUGUAACAAGCUGGUAGGAUUAAUCUUUGAUGUAAUGGUUGAUAUGUCAGCUCAUUUUGUGCGUAAUUUAAGUUAUCAAGUAGUCAUGUAUUAGUGGAGGCAGUUAAGCCAUUAGGUAACUGUCAAAUUGAACUUGUAACUCUCAUAUAUUUUAAUUUUUUAAUGAAAUAUUAGUGUGGUUCUUCAAUUACAUUUGUUUUGGCUGCUAUUCCUACUUUCUUUUGCUUCGAUUUAAUUGUUUAUGUUUGUUGUUUUUGCUUUUGUUUAAUGUCAAUGUUUCAACAAAUGGUAAUCAGAGCAUGUUAUCUUUAAGGGCCUCUAUUGUUGGUUGUGUUUUUUGUCAAAACAAAGCUUGGAGAAGAAAGAAAUCGAAGUUGUUGGUUUUGUUUCAACAGGAUGAGUUUAACACCACCUCCACCACCUGUGUUUACUGGAGAGAACUACCACAUUUGGGUAGUUAAGAUGAAAACAUACCUUCAAGCGCACGAUUUGUGGAAUGUGAUUGAAAACGACACCGAACCACCUCUAUUGAGGGCCAAUCCCACCACUGCUCAGAUGAGGCAACAUAGUGAAGAGUGUUCCAAAAAGCAUAAAGCAAUGUCCUUCUUGUAGAAUAGAGUAUCAGAUGUAAUCUUCACCAAGAUAAUGGCCUGUGAUUCACCUAAGCAGGCAUGGGAGAAGCUGAAGGAGGAGUUCAUGAGGUCGGACAAAACAAGGCAAUAGCAAGUGAUAAAUCUUAGGAGAGACUUUAAAAACUUGAAGAUGAAAGAAACUGAGAACAUCAAGUAGUAUUCAGACAGGUUAGUGGCCACUGUCAACAGCAUAAGGCUCCUCAGAGAAGACUUCAGUGAGAGCAGAGUUGUUGAAAAGUUCAUCACCACUCUCCCUGAAAAAUUUGAGUCAAAGAUUUCAUCAUUUGAGGACUAGAGAGACUUGUUAGCUAUCUCAUUAUCUGAGCUGGUUAACUCUCUGUAUGUACUUGAGCAAAGGAAGGCCAAUAGGCAGCAAGAGCAUCCUGAAGGAGCUUUCCAAGCAAAGGCCAAUGAAGGCUGAGGUUCAAAUCAGAAAGGGAAGAAGUCUUGGCUCAACAGAAAAGAGAAACCAAUGAGGGAUACAGCCAAAAAUAGUGUUUCCACCAUGUAUUCACUGCAAGAAGACCACACACUCGGAAAAGGUACUAUUGGUACAAACCUGACAUUCAGUGCAGAAGCUACAAACAGUUAGGCCAUAUUGAAAAGGUGUACAGAAACAAAGGGAAUGAAUCUAUUUAGCAGCAAGCUCGAGCUGCUGAGGAUCUUCAAGCUCAGGAGGAGCAUGUUUUCAUAGCCUCCUACUUUGUUGGCACAGACAAAGUCAAGUGUGACUAGUUGGUGGGUAGUGGUUGCUCACACCACAUGGCAGCUGAUGAGAAGCUGUUUAAGGAUCUUGACAGAACUUUUGCUUCAAAGUUCAGAAUUGGACAUGAGAACCUGAUCGAAGCCAAAGGCAAAAGAAAUGUGAUGAUCAGCACUAGUUCAGGUAACAAAGUAAUUUUUAAUGUGCUUUUUGUGCCUGACAUAGACCAGAACUUACUUAGUGUUGGUCAGUUAGUGGAAAAAGGAUACACUUUGGUCUUUAGAGAUGGUUCGUGCAUUGUUAAAGACUCAUUUGGUCAGAAGCUAGUUACAAUAGUUAUGACUAAUAGGUGCUUUAUGCUUUAUGUGAGUCAAAUUAAAAGAAAGGCUUAUACCAGUCUUGCUGAUAGCACUGGUCUUUGGCAUAAGAGAUUAGGCCAUGCCAAUUUUAGGUCACUUGAUUUGUUGCAUAGGCUGAACUUGGUUGAGGACAUGUCCAAGGUUGAGGUCAGUGAUACUGUUUGUGAAGCUUGUUAGCAUGGUAAGCAGGCUAGAUUACCUUUUCCAGUUAACAGUGUAGGGAGAGCUCGAGAAAAACUCGAAUUAGUACAUUCUGAUGUUUGUGGACCAAUGAAGACUCCUUCAUUGAAUGACAGUAAAUAUUUUGUCCUGUUUAUAGAUGACUUGACCAGGUUUUGUUGGGUUUACUUGUUGAAGCAGAAGUCUGAAGUGUUUGAAGCAUUUAGCAAGUUUAAAGCUUUGGUUGAAAAUCAGAUUGGUUGCAAGAUCAAAGCCUUAAGAACUGAAAAUGGUUCUGAGUAUCUGUUAGAUAGAUUUCAGAAAACAAGCUGGGAUUCACCAUCAGCUGAAAAUAGUGUACGCUCCUUAAUAGAAUGGAAUACGUGAGAGGAAGAAUAGAACUGUGCUUGAUAUGGCCAGAUGUUUGCUAUUUCAGGGCAAACUACCAAGCAAAUUUUGGGCUGAAGCAAUCAAUACCUCAGUGUAUUUGCUCAACAAGUUGCCAACUCGUGCUGUCAAGGACAAGACUCCUUUUGAAGCAUGGCAUGGACUCAAGCCAAUCUUUUCACACUUGAAAGUGUUUGGCUGUGUCUGUUAUGCCUACAUUCCAGUAGAAAAAAAGACUAAGCUCGAAAGUAGGGUUAUUUCAAGGAUCUUUGUUGGCUAUAGCAGUACCAAUAAGGGCUAUAGAGUGUUUGAUCCCUCAACAAAGAAAAUUUUGGUGAGCAGGGAUGUAAGAUUUGAUGAAGAAAAGGUUUGGAGCUGGAAUGGUGCUGAAGCAUGCUUGAUUGAAGAGGAUCAGCUAGACUUUGUUCUUGAACCUGUAGAAGAAUGACCAAAUAAUGAAGCAGUUGAUGAUGCUUCUAUGAGAGGCACCAGAACCAUUGCUAACAUCUACCAAAGGUGUAAUGCGGCAAUAGUUGAACCAUCUGACUUUGAGGAAGCUGUCAGGGACAAGAACUGGAAGAAAGCCAUGGAAGCAGAACUGGAGAUGAUCCACAAGAAUGACACUUGGAAACUGGUAAACAGACCUGAUCACAAGAAAGCCAUUGGUGUUAAAUGAGUGUUUAGAGCCAAGUAUAAUGCUGAUGGCUCAUUGAACAAGCAUAAGGCUAGGCUUGUGGUGAAGGGCUACAGUCAGCAUUUCUGAAUGGUUUUCUCAAGGAAGAGAUUUUCAUCGAGCAACCUGAUAGAUUCAAAGUUGCAGGAGGGGAAGACAAAGUGUAUAGACUAAGAAAGGCACUUUAUGGCCUGGUAUGACAGGGUUGACACAUACCUGUCUAAGCUCGGGUUUGAGAAAAGUGUUAGUAAAGCUACACUUUAUGUGAAAAGAUCAAAAGGUGAGAUAUUGUUGAUUGUUUCUCUCUAUGUGGAUGACUUACUUGUGACUGGAAGCAAAGAUGAAAUGAUCAGUGAAUUCAAGAUUCAAAUGCAAGAAGUGUUUGAAAUGACAAACUUGGGAGUUAUGACAUACUUCCUUGGUAUGGAAGUGCAUCAAUCUGAUCAAAGGAUUUUUAUCAGUCAAUAUGCCUUUGCUUUGAAAAUUCUUAACAAAUUUUGUAUGCAGAACUGCAAAACAGUCAGCACACCUGUGGCUUAAGGGGAGAAGCUGACUAGCAAUGGAAAUUAAGAAAAAGUUGAUGAAAAGCAGUAUCGAAGUCUGGUAGGUUGCUUGCUUUAUUUAACAGCAAAUAGACAUGAUAUCAUGUUUGGUGUUAGUCUUCUGUCAAGGUUUAUGCAUUGCUGUGAUGUGAUUCAUUUCAAAGCUGCAAAAGGGUCCUUAGAUAUGUUAAAGGAACCUUAAGCUAUGGAAUUAAGUUCGAAAAGGGAAAUGAGCUUAAGCUGACAGGUUACUCUGAUAGUGAUUGGGUUGGCUCUGUUGAUGACAUGAAGAGCACCUCUGGUUACUUCUUUACACUUGGAUCAGGUGUUUUUAGCUGGAGUUCAAAGAAGCAACAAAUUGUUGCUCAGUUUACAGCUGAAUUAGAAUACAUUGCAGUUGCUGCAGCUGUUAAUCAAGCCAUCUGGCUCAAAAAGCUCCUAUAUGAUCUUAAUAAAGAUCAAGCUAAACCAACUAAGAUUAGGGUAGACAACCAAUCUGCAGUUGCCAUAGCCAAGAAUCCAGUCUUUCAUGGAAAGACUAAACAUUUCAAGAUCAGAUUUCAUUUUGUUCGAGAGGCUGAACAAUCAAAGGAAGUCAGUCUUGUUCAUUGUAGCUCAGAAGCUCAAUUGGCUGAUAUACUAACCAAGCCAUUAGAAGCUACUAGAUUUGAAACUUUGAGAAGAGAAAUUGGUGUCUAUUGCAUACAGUCCAAUGAGGAGUGUUGAACUUGGGCCUGCAGUGCAACAAGCAACCAGCAGCAACUCAACUCAGAAGCAGCAGCAACACUGCUUGAAGUGUAGCAUUAGAGCUAAACCGAAUGCAACAAGAUGUUUUGUUUAUUUUGUUUACAUGUAACUUUGUUAGUUUACUUGUAACAAGUUCAGCAAAGCUGGUAGGAUUAGUCUUUGAUGUAAUGGCUGAUAUUUCAGCUCAGUUUGUGUGUAAUUUAAGUUACCAAUUAGUCAUGUAUUAGUAGGGGCAGUUAAGCCAUUAGGUAACUGUCAAAUUAAACUUGUAACUCUCAUAUAUUUCAUUUGUUUUGGCUGCUGUUCCUUCUUUAUUUUGCUUCGAUUUCAUUGUUUAUGUUUGUUGUUUUUGCUUUUGUUUAAUGCCAAUGUUCCAACAUUACGUCAAUAUCCCAAGAUUCACAAAGUUGCUUAUCUACAAGAUUACUAGGAAUAUUCCUAAAAUGAAAUAAUCUAUAUAUACAGCAGUAUGCAUUGUUCUGUAAAAAGACUUACCCCUGCCUUGUUAGUCCACCACGAAGUCUUCUAUUCCUUAACCACUUUCUUAUGUUAUGGGGUCUCCAAGAUUGAAUUUUGUUGCCAACCCAAGUAAACAAACCCUUUCUCUAACCUAUACAAGGCCGCCACUUACUAACCAUUGGUUCUAUAUCCCAGCCAUGCAACCAAAGUUGGUACCCUUGCCAGAGAACAUAGAUGUAGGCAUUCAAACCAUUCUUCAAGGUGAGUGAGAUUAAUGCUAUACCCUAAGUAUGGGAUUUCUCAUGGAAGAACCUCUUGCUACCAUCCAUUCCAUCUAAUUGUUAGCAGUUUGCAAUGUUAUUAAUUUAUUUAAAGUUUACAUUGUUUAGAAAAGUUCAAAAUAAAUAAUACAAAAUAAAUUAUUCUUUAUCAAUAAACAAAUAUCAUUAAGUGUUAUGCUCAUUGGAUUAAACCUAUUUAGUGGGCUUUUAUAUAUCAUGUAAAAAAAGAUGGGUACUUGGGUUUGAUAUUCCUAGUGCAAUUAUUUUAUUUUGAUUAAUAUUUUAUUUAUAUUUUUUAAAAUAUAUUUGUACAUUAGAAUAGUUUGGUUGAAAUAAUAAAUUAAAAAUUUAAAUAGUUGUCAUAUAAUGUAACUACACAACUUAUGUCAAUAAUUGUGUUGUGAAAAGGCAUGACAUUUAUGUAGAUAAAAAGUAUGAUGUUUAAUGAAUAACAAUGUCACAUAAUUCAUAACAAUAGUUAAGCACUUAUUACAAAAGCGGUAAUUAUUUAACUAUUUUGUUUUGAAUGUUUUAAGACUUUGUUGUAUCCUCAAGGUAUAAAACACUUUAAAGAAAGUGUGCCAUGCCUCAAAAUCUAUUUUGAUUUUUUUUUCUUGUGCCACAAUUUUAUAACACUAAAGAGAUCACAACAAAAUUAUAUUCCACAACAGUUUAAAAUAUUGCGUAGGUCAAUCAAAUUAUUACAUGUGACAGAUUCAUCAAUAAAUAUAAUUGGUUCAUAGCAUUCAAUUUAACGAAGUUAGAAAAUAGACUAAAAUGCUACUAAUGUACAAAACCAUAUUAUUUACCAAAGGAGAUAUCUACCUUAAAAUAAAUUUACGGAAAGAUUGAAACAACCUCGAAUUAAAAGUUAGAUAAAAAAAAUAACUUAAUCCAUAAAUACCUAAAAUUUGAAUCAAUACAACCCAAGCCGAACUUGCAUUAGCACUUAGCAGAUUGACAAACUUGAUAUGUACCACAGAAUUUUUUAAUGGAAGUACUUCCUGUAAGUUGACCAGGCAAAGAACAAAUUAAUAAAUAAUAACUACAUGAUUAUGAUGGUGGAUUUGGGUCGGUUUUGGUCCGUUUGGAUAUGAUGGGUACAUCUUGAACUAAUUAUUUAAAGGAAUCAUUGUUGAUUAAAAUUUUAUAAUUAUAUUAUUGAAUUUAAAAGUUACAUAUAUACUUACCUAUUUAGUGUUGAUCACGUUACAAAGUUAUAAUUAUACUUUUAGCAUUAUCUAUAAAUGAAUAAUGAUUUGGACUUCACUUUUGUUUCAACUUUCAAGCUAUUGCCAAAAUCCAUAUCUCAAACUUUAGUUACAUUACUGCUAAUUUACCUAACUGGAUUAAUUAUUAGUUCUCCAUGUACCCACUUACUAUCUUAUCCAAAUAUUCCAAUAAACCUAAAUUAGUAGGUCACGCUUUCAAACUAUGCAUGUUCAUUAGAUAAUAUAAUUGAGAUGGCAGCACCUUUCUAGGUUUGAAAAGCAGCAAGAGUCUUACCAUUCUAAAUGGCUCCUUUUCAGCCAUAAAAAUCGUCAAAGAAGAUAGUGUGGAAAGGCUUCUCCAUUCAGUGUUUCCUAAUUCAAAACCCAUAGGUCUCUCCAUUGUUAAGCUGGUUAAAGUAUUCACUUCUCAAGCAUCUCCAGGUUGUAUUAAGAAAAGAAAAAAAAAGAACUACUUUUAUAAGGUUUCCUAAGUGAAUGUUGUACUGUAAAGUCUACCCUAAUUAAGCUAGCAGACCUAAUUGUUUUCUUGUUCUAUUUCUUUAUAGUUUAAUACCUAAAUCCUCCAAUAUAUCACUAAAAAACCAAAUCGCGAGUACCAUAUAUUUAUUUGAUUUUUAAUAUGUUACUAAUAAUUAUUAUUUAGAUUUUCGUACAAUUAUUGUCAAGUUGUGCUUGACUUAUGCUUUGGUUUCAUAUUUUAUAUCGUAUUUUGGUUGUUUUUUUCUACAAAUUGCAUUAUAUGGAAAACUAACCUAGCAUAAGGUUUUUGGUUUAAGCUCAAUGCUGGUCUAUUAGCAUGUUCAGGCCACCAUUGCCUAAUUGUGUUGGAAUCUUCUGCUUUAAAUUAGGAAAAAAUUAGUUUCACAGGAGAUGGGCACUUAUUUGAGUCCCAUUGGAUGCACUUUCAGUAGGGAUUUCAAACACACUCGACCCUUUCAAUUUCACACAAGGGGAGGAGGUCCAAUUGGUGACCCUCAAUGAGGGAAAUUUUCCAUUAAUUCAUUUUAUUUAAUAUUUAUUUUAGUAACUUAUUUUAAUAUAAAUAUCAAUUUUAAUUAAUUUUUUAUCGGCCUCGAGCACGGGAGAAUGAAGACGAUAUAGUUUGAACCCUUUAUAUAAUCUAGAUGUCUAACAAAACCUCUAACCACUGUAACACAUAAAUUGCUAAAAUAUUCUAAUCUAAGUUCUUUGAAUGAUUUUUUUUUAUAUUCUUAUCUUACCUUAAUCUCUAUGUUUGAACUCAAACUUAUAUCUAAAUGCUUGUUUUAAACUUAACACUACAGUAACUAACUUCACCAUCACAACUAUUUCCAAUCUCAACCGAAAUCAAUCUCACUGCCCCCACAAUCUCCUGUACUCAAAUGCAGAUAAAGUUCAUCCUGCUUCAAGAAAGUGAGAAGGCUAGUAACACAGUAGACUGCCAAGAAUUCUACAUUUUCAUUAACCAUCAUAUAUACAUGUAUAUAUAAAUAUAUAUAUACAUAUAUAUUCUUAAUAAAUUGAACUAUUUGUUAUUAAAGGAUAAUCCAAGUUCAGACUCUGCAUAGCGUAUCAGUAAGAUCAGGCAUGCACACUUUCGCAAGCUAGCCAUAUGUAGAUGUGAUGUUGUUUUAUCUUUGAUCAGGUCAUCCAAUAUUGGAAGAGGUGGGGGGUGGGGGUGUACUGUAUAAAGAUAUAUACAAACCAGAGAAACGAUAUAGUUAUAGUUGACCAAUCAAACUGGUAAACAUCAGCCUCCAAAAGCAUUAUAAUCAUGGAAUCCAAUAUGCCAGAUCCAUACUUGCAAAUGUAUGUGGCGCAUAAAUAUGCUUUCAGCAUUUGGUUUAUGUUUCAAUUUGUCUUUUAUUAGAGCGAGACAAAAUCUUCAAAGCGUUUAACAAAGCCAACUAGCCUAGCUUUUUCUCCUUAUCCAAUAGGAAAUAUCUAAAAGUCACGUCUUUCACGUUCGAGUUACUUUUCGAGACAUCCACUACAUCAAAAGUGGCUGCUGAUGAUGACCUUGUUGGGUUCUUGAGUGCUCUAUGACCAUGCAUGCCCAUCAUAGUUUGAUAUUUAAUUGUAGUAAACCUAAGUCAACCCCUAGACCAAGUUUGUGCCAUUUCAUGAUCUUUUGUUCUGAGAUCAGAGCAUUGCUUCGAUAAACUUACACUGUAAUAUUACGUAUAGAUUAAUUCUACAUGUUCCUAAUGAUACAAAAAGGAUGUGAUCCCUAAUGGCCAUAAAGAAAAUAAGCUCAUCUUUCUUCUUCUUCUUUUUCGUUUCUUACUGCAUUUCUGUCAUUAGCACGAACAAAACACAGGUUCAUUCCCCACAAAUAAAUCAGACUUAAAUUGGAAUCCAUUUUCUGAUUUCUGAAAAAACAAAGUAGACAUGUUUUAGGGUUUAUUUGUAUCGCAUCCCACUCUUUGUAUUCAUCAAAUAACUAGUUGAGCUAUAUCACUCAGCAUAUUUUUUGAAAGCAUAAAGAGAAGAAAACCUAAUCACUUUAACUAAAAAGGCUAAUUUUGAAUCGGACAUAUGAUCAAUGUGUCCAGGUGCACCACAUUCAGCUUAAUAUCCUUGGUUAGUAAUUGCCAAACCAAGAAAUCAUCACUGUGUUUUCUGUUGUCCAAGUUUCUCUCUAGCUAGAGAACGAAAAGUCUAGUAAACAGGAGACAGUCAAGGGCAUUCUCUGCUCUAAAUCAUCAUGCACAGCACACUCUUUAAAUAACAUAAAUAUAUAUAUCGAAAAGAAAAGAAAAAAGAAGCAAUGUAAAACCAAAUGCAUUACACAAACAAUAUCCAAACAACAUAAAUCAGAUACUUUGCAUUACUUAAAAAUUGCAUAUGACAUAUCUUGUUGUCAGUACAACCAGGUCUCAAGUCAGUUUUUAUUUCUUUCAUCAGAACAUACAUGAGAUGAUCAGUAGUGACAAAGGGAUUUGCAUCAGUGAUGUUUGGGAUCAGGGCCACCAGGACUAAGGCGUUUUGACUCGUACAGGUCUUCGUUUUCGGACAAAUCAUCUCUUAUCCCUGUGCUGAAACGAUACACCUUCCCUGAACUAGUAGAAAGGGGCAACAUUCGAUAAGAUGUGGUCUGAUUUUCCCCAUUAAUGUUCGCAUUAAGAAGGCGACAUUCAGAUCUUGAUACCGAGUACAAUAUCAGCAUCAAGCAUAAUGCAAGAAAUCGCCAUUGAGCCAUUUUCUUGUUGCGGUUUUAGACACUACAGUCUUCUUGUUCGUCCAUGCUUCGCAUAACAAGCAGUAUAUAUAGGCCACGGGAACGUUGCUUUCCUUAAUCCAAUGAAAAUGACCCCCGUUUCUCAACCAAAAAAAUAAAUGAAAAGGACACCAAAUGAAUGAAAAGAUAUAUAUCAUAAAAAAAUAAUGUAGUUGAGCCCUGAUUCACAUUUGCAGAUUGAUGCAUAUAUGUAUGUGUAUGUAUAUGUGGUACAUAUACAUUUCAGCAUUGGAAGACUUUGAUUAGUAUAAUUGUGAACAUAUGAUAGGCAUUCAAGAAAGCUCGACUUUAACUUAAUUUUAUCAUCACAUAUCCACUAGAUGCAUGAAAGGGUCACGUCUUCUCGAAUUCUUGUAAAGUCGAAAACGUGAAAAAAAAGGCUGCUUUAAUCAUUUUACUUUGUCAUUAUUAGACGUCGAUCUUAUGUCAUCUAAUAUUUUUAUUUUUAUUAUAUGGAAAAUUCUAAUAUUUUUUCUAUUAAAACCUUGAAACACAUGUUAAAUCCACUAUAUAUCAUAGUGCCUUGCUGAGCACACCAUUGAAUUGUUGCCAUGGGAAAUGAAGAUUCAUUAGCUCAUAGGUUGAAAAUAAUAGUGAAAACUAAAAAGUAGAGCUGAUGUUAAAAUAGGCCAAGUUUGUUUGUUUGGUUCCAAAUGGAGAAUGGAUAAAAUAGUGUUACUUUGGGAUUUUGAUAAAAUUAAAAAUAAAUAUGUGGAGAUUCACACUUCGAUUCUCAAAGAUACGAAAAGUGUAGUGAUACAACCAUAGAAGACUACUAGAAUUGCUAAGUGCUAACCCUUGUUUGUUUGUGUCUCAUUGCUUGUCUUUAUUUCUACCAUUAUGGGUCAAAAUACCCAAAUCGUUGAAACAAGCCCACCCAUAACUCAAAACUGGAUUAGGCCUAAAUUCGCUUUGAACAUCAUAAUUUCUUAAAUGGAAAUGAGCUCUUAAUGUAGGACGUGCGGAAAUCACAAAUUCAUAACUUAUGCCGAGCCCAAAACAAGCCUAGUCUAGUCUACGCCCCCGUACAGUAAGAGAUAAAAUUAAGCAUUAAGAUUUAUAACUAAUCCAAAAGCUUAAAAAAAAAGUGUGAAAUGACUGAAUUCGUCUAAUUAUAAAUUAAUUUAUAUUCCUUUUGGUGUAUCUUAUCUCUCUCUAAUAAGAGAAUAACUAAUCAAAAUUUAAUAUUUUUAGUUGAAUUUAAAUUUAUUUAAGAGAAAAAAAUUUGAUUUAAUUUGUCAGUUCACAGCUUGAUACAGUUCCUUUCUCAUUAAUGUGUCUAUCUUUUGACAGAUCCGAAAACAUGAAACGGUAAUAUUAUUAGUCUAAAAAUAAGUUAUAUUUUGAUAUUGGAGACAUACCAUACUAUGUCAUCCAUGAGUAAAUGUAUAAAAAGGUCAAAAAAAGAAAACUCAAUCAAAGAGAUGAAGUAAUUGAGAAAUGAAUGAAGACAGUGCACUGUGAGUAUCGAUGUUUGGAACUAUCUAAGGUUUAUACAAUUAUACACAAAACGAGACUUCAUGCAAUUUGAUUGGUGCCCAUCUGCAGCUCGCCUCUUUCUCCAUUGCGGUUGGUAUACCAUAGCUUGGGGAGAAACCGGAUUUGCAGAGUAGAAGAGAUUUGAGGGAGAAGGAGAUUGGUAAUGUCUUGAAGAGGUUUCCUCGGUCUUGGUUUUUUGGUGGAGGAUGAAGAUUUUGGGAGAAGAGAUAGGAGGGUUUUGGAGGAGAAAGGAGAGAUGUUCUCCUUGUUGUCAUUUUCAGAAAUGGAGAGAGCAGCCAUAGCCAUUUGGUGUUGAGAGGGAGGAGAAGGAUGGAUGGGACAUAAGUAAUGGUGGGUUUUGGAGGGGAGGAAGUGAAAUUUUUUCAAUUCAAGUUGUUUUCGGAUGUUUGCUUCGUUUCUCUUCGUGGAGGGAAUUUUGGAGUGGAAAAUAUUGGUUUUUGUAAUUUUGAGAAAUUUUUUAUUUUUUAUGCUUCCCUUUUAGGUGUCAACUUUGAAUUAAUCCCCAAACUCAAAACGUGCUUGAUUGAGAUCGGAGGGCCGCGCAUUUCUUUUUUAUUUUUUUUUAAAUGUGCUCCAAUUUUAUGUAUUUAGAAUUUAUUUAUUUUUAUUUAACCAUUUUAAGUUUAAUUAUUAAUUUUAUUAAAAAGAUUUUGUUAAAAUUGAUGGUGUGAUAUUUUACUAUAAAAAAUUAUUCAUGUAACAAAAAGAAUUUUUAAAGAAAAAAUUUAAAUUACUAUAAUAUAAAAUAGAUAGAGUAAACUAAAAAUAAUUUAAAAACUUGAACUAUACUUUAAUCUAAUUGCAAAUAGGGGCACCAUCAGAAUAAAAUUUUUAAUUUUACAAAACCUUAUCUUUUUUUUUUUGUAUAUCAGAAAAAUUGUAUUUAUUCACCCGUGGCACGGGUUAAGUCAUCCGGUCUCACAGAUUUGUAUCAUAGGGAAUUCAAUUUAGGAUAAUUUUAAACCAAUCACAUUGGAAAGAAAAUGAUGCCAUGUAUUAAUUUUAUUGCUUAGGUGGAAAUGGUCUGUACAAUAAAUUUUGAUAGUUCUAAUUAUAAUCUAAAUUAGUUUGAUUCAGCUAAAUUUGUUAUAGUCAUUUGAUUAUCAAUAUUUUAGGAGUUAUAGAGAAGUGACUAUUUUAUACCUAUAACAAUCAUGUCGUUAUAGGUUGUAAAUCUAUCAUAAAAUUAAUAUCAUGAAUUUUCAACAAAUCAACAAAAUUAAAAAAUGAAUAGCAUUUGCAUGUAUUAUUGCUUUUAUACAUAUUUUAUGUUACAUGAUUAAUCAUGAUAUUCACAAAAUUUUAAUCAAUCUGAGUUAUCAAAUUAAUUUAAAUUAAAUAAUUUAUAAUUAUUAAAUUCAAAUAAUCAAUUUACAAAUUUAUGAUGUUCCAAAUUCAUAAUAGAAUAUUUAAUUAAGGAACUUGAUAGCUUAUGAAAUUGAUAUUAAGAUUAUUUCAAUUAAUAGAUUAUUUCAAAAUUUGAUAAACAAAUGUAUUUCGUAACCAUGGUUGGUUUUUUUUAUGUGUGAUAAAAAGCCGAUGCUAUUAGAAACAUGAAUAAGAAGUAAUGAGAUUAGGGGUACUCAACAGAAGGAAAUUCGUUUAUCAAACUUUUCCAAAUUAUUGAUGAUUUACAAUCAAACAUGUUUAAUAAAACAGUGAAAAGAUAAGGAAAAAUUGAAAAUGUUAUGAUUUUACAGUACCAAAAAGAAAAUCUGACACUUCAUUAUUAUAUGUAUAAGAUAAACAUAGUAAAGAAUCACCAUUUCUGUUCUGCUCCCGAAACCAAGCGGUUCGAUAAUUUUGCAAGACAUCAACUUCUCACCAUAUACAAAAAGCUAGAAACAAAACCAAGGUAGUAUAAAAUAUAAAUACUUAAGUACAAGAAAAUAGGAUUUUGCACGCUUAUAUAGCCCAUAAGUUUAUUGACAGCAUGAAUUCUUGAAAACCAAAUGGAUGCUCUAUGUCUCGUCUUUGGCUUUGCUGCUAAACCACUCUCUCUCCCUUUUUAUUGUUCUCUUCUUCAGCCUUGGUGCUUUGUUGACGUGCAGUUGGUUUCUCAGCACCAGGGUAAGACAGCCUCCUAGGCUUCAUCUUCAUGGUUUCCUUCUCAUUAGAAAAAUGGGGUUUCGGUUUUGGUUUCGGUGAACUCGAGUUUUUACUAGCCUUGUUUAUCUGUCUGUUCAGCGGCUUCUUAGGGGUAAUAGACUGAGCAGGGAGGCGACUUUCCCAUGGACGAACAGCAAUCCAGCGUUCCACCCAGCUCCAACCCCAAUUAGCUUUAGCAAGCUCGUAAUUGCCAAUCCCAUUAUUGUCAGAAUUGGAGGCCCUCCACUGCAAAUUAUGCAUAUACCAUGGUUACUCAUUGCUCGUACAACUUGCACCAAAUGAACACAAGUUACAGCUAAGGAAAAUGGCAUACUUGAUGGGAAAAGGCAUAUGCCAUAGUUCGUUCCCGCUUAACGGCUGCUUCUUCUCUAUGAUGUAUUUUUGUGAGAAUUUCCUCCAUUGUUUCAGGGCCGCAAGACCAUUCUACCUGUUAUCCAUUUAAACUAGUGUUAAACAUGAAUGAAAGAAAAAGAGCUAAAUAGUCCACUCUCAACCUGGCAGAUUAAGAGGAUGUAGAAAACAAAGAUAUCUGGAAGCAGGAGCAUCUGAGAUUAUUUGAUUUGACAAGCCAAAAUUUUAGACACUUUGCAAAUGAAACAUCAAACCUCUCAAACUAUAAAAUGGCAAUUGGCAAUUGGCAAUGACAAAACAGAUGACAUGAUGAGUCUUCGUCAAUAAUUCCGCAAGCAUCAUACCAUUAUUGACUCUGGAGCAUCAAAUGAGUUUGCAACACACAGGAGCUGGAAUCUCUAAUCAAUGAGUUGCUUAUAAAGUAAAAUUCAUAUCAGGACGUCGAUGGAGGACAAAAUGCCCCAAAGUUACAGAACGAAAGAUUGCACAAAGAGAUAUGAUGGGAAAAAAAUCAGAAACUAUUUAAGAAACAAGUGGAGAGAAUUCAUGAAAAUAGAUUACUAGAUCAGUGCAGACAACAAGGUCAUCAUAGAUUCAAGUCACAAUAGUGCGGACAACAAUCUAGGCCAGAAUAUGCAUGCCAAAAUGACCAUUCCUACAUAUGUCCAGGUGUCAAAACUUCUUUCACUCAAAUCUUGGCAAGCUCUUAAUUUUAUACUGAUGAUUACACGUAUAACAAUGAUCCCGUGGAAAAUAAGGUGGCAGUAAUUGUCCGAGUAGUAAGCUGUUCAAAAUUGCAUUCAUAGAUGAAUUCAAAAUUUUAAUAGCCUUAACAAGGAUUCUGUCAAGACCUUAGUUCAUGCAAGUUUUCAUGAGCCAGGGCUCUUCUAACCUCUAUGUCAUGUAGCUUUGCCUCAAGCUUUAUCUGAUUUGCUAUUUUCUUCUGUCUAAGAUGGCCUUCUGUUACCAUACAGAGUCGACGAGCUCUUAUUUGAGCCUGUAUGAUGCUCCACGAGUGAAGAUAAUUUAAUGUUGUUGUAGCUUGCUUUUUGAUGGAACUAUUUAGGGUUUGAGCCUGCAAUCUUACAAUACCUUUCAAUCGACGUAAUUGUUUUCGAGCCUGCAUCAGGGGAAAAGACAUUAUUAAACCAUUCUACCAACUCAAUGGUGACUGGUGAGCAUAUAUCUUAUAAGAUACCUGCAAGUGGAUUAAAAAGUGAAAGAGGAAAAUUAAAGCUACACUUCCAUUGUCAACUUAUAAAAGAAUUUAGAAACAGGGGAAAUAGUAAGAUGCCUGUUCAUGAUAUCAAUCGAUUAUCACAUACAAUGUGCCUACAUUGCUCCUAUCCUAUAUAAGAAAGAUUUUCACGAAUGCACUUAAUGAUUGCCACUGGUUCUUUUUGAAAAGACCACAGAAGGUCACUUCACCAGUCAUUCCAAUUUGGUGAUUCAAUUAGCUGAGUAUCAUGCAUUACCAUGCAGAACCCAGUUAAUGUGCAAACCAUCUGUUAUCUGGUUCAUGAACUCCGGUAUAAUCAUAAUAGAGGUCAUACAUGUAUUCUCUAUGGUAUAAUAUAGUAUCUGUGGAAGAAUGAAAACUUCACCUCAUAAAAAAAAUAGAUGCUGUUCUCUAAAAAUAACAGAUAUAAUCACAAUUGUAAAAGUUUCUUGAUUGCUCUGUGACGAACAUCAUUGAGACACAACCACCACCAAUGCAAGUAAAGGCAUACGUGCAUAUAUUUAAGUGUUCACAUAUUAUGAUCUUAUUUGUAGAACCUCCAAACCAACAUACUCUAUAGGCCCUGAAUGCAGUUUGAAUCCUAGUAGCUGCCAAGUCCUCAAUUGGCAUGCCAAGAGUAUUAGAAUUUCCACUAAUUAGACCUGGUCUAGUGGAUGCCUUUUGCUGGUGUUUCUUCCAUUUGAAGCCACUGGAUUUUUCAGAAGCAGAAGACCCCUGUGCCAAACAGAUGAGAUCAUAGAUAAUAUUAACCCAAGGAUUCAAAUUGCAAAUCAAUGACUAGAGAAGCAAUCUUAGGUUUAUUUAUAACUGGAAUGUAGAGACUUGCAUAGCUUAGUUUAUGACUGUUUGAGAAUAUACCUUUACUUUCUUUGAGUUGUCAUCUUUCACUAUAUUUAUUAUUGACUUGAACAAGUUUCCAGAACCCAUUGCUGAUAGUAAUUAUCUGUACCCAGCUUAGAACCAACCUAACAGUAUUUUCCAGUGCAAAGAUCAUCAAAAACAACAGCAGGCAUAAACUAGAACACAAAAAAUUCAGAUUCUUAUAAGAACAUGACAGGAAAGUUUCAGAAACUUUGAACUAUAUGCUAUGAAACUGAUUUGAUUUGAAAGUUGGGGACAUUAUUCAUGGAAAGUAAGUAGCAGUUACUAAACAGAACCAGCAAGCAUUUUUACAAAUGAACAAGUAGGUCACAAUCAAAGUCAACCCAGUUAUCAACUAACAGAAACAAACAAGACAGUUUUGUAAGAAGCUGAAAAUUGCAGGAGCAACAUAAACCCCGUAAUAUCCUAAACCAAAGAUUUGAUUUUUAGACGAUAAAUUAGUUUCUAACUUUUACUCAUCCAGAACCCAGAUCCCAGGAUCCCUCCCAAUCAUAUGGGGGCAUCCCCAAAUAGCUCCUUUUUUUUUCUCCUUGCUAAAGCAAACAAAACCAGAAGCAAUAAGAAACCAAACAAAAGAAUAUGAGUUAGCAAGGACAUACCAACAAAGCUGUCAAAAGAGGUACUUUUGGAGGACGACACUGAAAACAAAGAUUUUGGGAGAUCAAAGAAAAAGGCGGAGUUGGUGACAACAACGGUUCGAGUUGUAGUAAAGAAGAAGGAAAGCCUGAAAUCAAAGAAAAGAAUAAUUAAAGGGUGGGUGUGGAAUGUGCAUUGUUAUGGCCCAUUACCAGCUUUUUCCUCUCUCUUGUUAUAAAUUUCUUCUGUUUCUUUUUUGUAUUUUUGUCUCACAAUGAAUAAAAAAGCUGGUCUAACAGAGGAGGGAAAUCAUAUUAAAAAUAUAUUCUUGAACUCUCUCUCAUCAAUCAAGGGUUCAACAACUGAUAUGAAGAGCGGGGGGACUGGGGGAGUUUGUCGUGUUGGUUGAUUUCUAAAAAAUUAUUUAAAAAAAAAAAGUUAAAAAUUUUGAACGCGAGUGAAGACGAAAUAUGUUGAUGUAGAAAGGCUGGCCUAAGUGAAUCUAUGGUUCACUGAUUCCUCCCUCCCUACAACAUGUGUUUCCGCAGAUUUUAUUUUUUUAUAUAUUAAGUCCUUAUAUUAUAUUUCAUAUUGCAUGUUAACCCUCCACAGAAAAAUGAGAAACUUUGACCUUAUACAGUAGAUAAAUGAGUAAAAUAGUGCAUCAGUUAAAUUUUUACUGUUAAAUGCUUAUUUUAGGCCUUUGGUAUUUUAUAUUCAAGGUAUUCAUUUCUCAUUCUUUUGUAUGAUUUUUAUAUAUUAUAUAAAACCAACUUCUAAUUGAGUUUUUAGGAUUUAAUAACGGCAUUUUAGAUAUUAUAAAAAAUUAGUAUCAAAAAUCAAUAGGGAUAUUUUAGACAUUAAAACUUAACAAAGCCAACUUAAGUAUUUUGUAAAAAAACGUUAAUUAAUAAAUUUAUUUAUAAAAUUUAAUUAUUAUUAUGUUUUAGUUUUUUUUAAAUUUAAUGUUUAUCUAUAUCUAUAUAAUCUAUAUAUUAUAUAAAACCUUAAAAGGAGUCUUUAGAAAUUAAUAGGAGCAAUUUUGAAGAUUUGUAAAAAUAGAUAUGGUUAAAUAGACUUUUUCAAAAAUAGGAGUAGUCUGGAAAAUUUUAGAAUUUCCCUAAGCAUUUUAGACAUUUGACCAUUAAUAACUUUAACAUGUACUUUUUUGUAAUAUAUACGACUUGAACAACUAAAUAACUAAUAAGCAAAAAUAAUCCAUUGAUUUUUGUAAUGUUAAUAAAAAUUAAAUGUGGAUGGUUCAAUUUCAACGAUAAAGAUCGAGGUGGCAUUAAGUGGAGUUAUAAGAGAAUUUAGUGAGAGUUAAUUUGUGAAAUUUGGAAUGGUGACACGAUUAAUUGAUAUAUUUCAAAUUCAAAAUUAAGCAAUGCUUGAAGGCUUAAAGAUAACUUGGACACGUAAUUUCCGUCAAUUAAAAGUGGAGAGUGAUAAUGUAAUUGUCUAAUUUGAAAGAAAAUGGAGUAGGGUUUGUUUUAACACAUAAACAUCAAUUAGGGGUAGUGACCGGACUUGGGAACACCAUGGGUACGAGUUUACUUGGAAAAGGUGGGUCUUUGUGGUAUGUUGACCCAAUUAUUUGCUUCGCGUUGCUGAUCUGCAAAAAUUCAAUGCAACAGGGUUCGAGUUCAGUUCAGGCGCGAUUCAUUUGAUCAUACUUUAAACAACUAAACUACAACUCAUAAAUGAUAAAAACUAAAUCUACUUUAAACUGCCAAGUCUCUUAAGUAUAAAAAAUGGUCCCGGCGGGGCUCGAACCCGCGACCUUCGGCUCAUAAGACCAACGCUCUAACCAACUGAGCUACGGGACCUUGUUGAUAUUAGAUUUAUAUCUGUCUUAAAAUAAUUUAAUUUAUAUUUUAAUUAGGUGAAAUGAAAUAAAUGUUUUUAUUCAAAAUUAGUGCAUAAUAUAAGAAUUGGGUAUCAAACUAAAAUAUACAACAAUAAUUGUAUAGGAAAAAAAAAAUUUUGUAUGAGCAAUUCAGAUCGUUGUCAAAUCAAUGUGGAAAAAAAAAAACUUGUAGCUGGCAUAUUAAGAUUUUAAUAUUGUACAUGGAAAUCUAUUGCCUAAUAUUGUUCAUAUAUUUUAGUCUGCACAUGAAAAAUAAUGUCAACUAUUUCAGGCAAUGGCUUAGGUAAACACCAGCAGCAUUUGCCUAGGGUUCGAUUUUAGACCAAAUCGUUGGAAAUUUUUUGUCACAUGCACCUUAGACUUUGGAAGUAUAAUGUUUAAAAUCAUGCUAUAAACAAAGAAAAGUCAUUCAUUCCUUUUUUUUCGAUUGAUCCGCUUAAUCAUAUUAUUAUAUGUACUAAUAACAAAUAUGGAUUAGGAAACAUUAUGUUUCUUGUUUUUGUAUCGCCAAAUGGAUUAGUAAACAAUGUUAGGAGAUAGUAAUUUAAUAUCAAAAGGAAUGCGUGGCUACCUAGCAAGGGUUUCCUGCUCUAAAAGUCCCCACGACCAAACAUAUCAUAGACUUAGAGAAUUGACUUAGAGAGAGAUUUAUUUAUAUUAGUGUAAAAUUUAAGUGGUUUUAUUUUUAUUUUUGUAUUUUUAUAUGAUUAAAUAUUUUAAUAAUCUAAUCGUCAUAUUUUUUAUUUCAUUUAUGUAGAUCAUAUAUAUCAAGUUUGACAUAAAUUAAAAAUUUUUAACUAUUCAUUUUACGUAAAAAAAUUCGAUCCUUAAAUAUAUAUAAUAUUUUAUAUUAAAAUGAUAAAGAUAUCACAUCAAUUCAAAAUUUUAUUUGCAUGAAAAAUAUAAAUAUAUUGAUAAAUUGAACGGUUAAAUUAUUAAAAUAUUAACCAUAUAAAAAAAAUGUAACCACUCAAUAGAAGUGGAUAUUUCCUCAUCUAUAUAUAUAUAUAUAUGUACUCAUUGAUUAAGCUAAAUAAUACAGCUCCCUUCAGAAAAGAAACCAAUCAAAUAUAGGUUCAUCAGAAGAUGAUGAUAAGAGAGAAUUUGCUGUCAGCCGCAAGAUCAUGCUUGCAGCAAUCGUCACAUUGCUUGGAGUUGUGACAAUCAUAUCCUUUCUCCAUCUCUGUUCAAGGUAUCAUCUAAGACGCAAAGAAAGGAGACAGCGUGCUGCCCUUCAUCGCCAGAGAACUCAAAUUGCAGCGACUAAUGAAAGUUCCAUUAACGAGGCACUAAAGUCAGGGCUCGACCCUUUGAUCAUAGCGUCAUUGCCGAUGAUCACAUACAAGCUAACCCCCGGCCAGGUUGAUGACCAUGACGAGCCCACGGAGUGCUCGGUUUGUUUGGGAACCAUUACGGAAGAGUUCACAGUCAGGUCUUACUAAACUGUAAGCACAUGUUUCAUGUGGAGUGUAUAGAUACGUGGCUGGGAUCACAUACAACUUGCCCCAUAUAUAGCAGCCUGGUUGAACCCAGGGUCCAGGCGUCAGAGGACAAAGAGUUGUGCAUCAGGGUUCAACCCACGGCUCCUCCUUUAAAUGAAAACGCGUCCAUUAGUGUUGCCCAAGCGGAAAAGGAAAGUGGACCAUCAGGAUCCUUUACAAGGAUGAAGUACUUGACACUCGAGAUCUAGAGAGGCAGUGAUGGACUAAUAAUUUCACAAUUUGAAGUCUUAAUGAAAUACUGUUUCUUUGAUUCUUUUUUCCCUACAUAAAUGAAGUACCUAAUUUUUUUUUUUAUAACAAGCUCUCAAGAUCUUGUAAUAUAAUCUCCUAACUGAUUAUAAGGAUCUAAAUAUGAUUUAUGUUUACUUUUGCAAUAAUCACAUUUUCUUUUAAAAAUUUACUUUCCAAAAGUAAUUAGAUGUAAAUAUUUUUUGGUGUAAGUAAAUCUUUGUGAUACUAAUGAAUUAAUUGUCGACUAAUUGGAUCAAAUCUUGUUGGAGAUUUUUUUUUUCUUUUAGAAUAAGAAAUCUGACAAAAAUAAUUAAGGCUUGAAUAUAUAUUUAACUAGAAUUACCAUACGUUUUCUAAGGUGCGAUUUGGAUUCACCUUUUAAUCUCUUCCUUUAUUUAGAUUGCAAACUAACGCAUGAAUGAGUUGUAGUUUAUGACUUAAUCCACGGUGCAAUUUAAAAUAAAUAAUACCAAAUAAAUGGAACUUAUAUUUAAUUAAUCCCAAAAACAAAAACUGUGUGCCUGACAUAUGUUCAAUUAUGAGACUUGAGAAAAAUGAUUUAUUAUAUAUUUUUAAUAAUUUUAUCUCAUUUCAGUAUUUUUAUUUUGAAAAAAAAAUUAAAAUAAAAAUACUAAAAUAAUAUUAAAUUAUUAGAAAUAGAUACAAAUAAUAUGAUAUUCCAAUUUUAUAUAAUUAUUUAUCUGAUGAUAUGGAGACUCUCUUGAUAAUGGAAUAAAAUAGAGCUCUCUCCUAACCCCAUGUGUGAUGUGAGCAACAAUUCUUUGCCAAAAAAUUCAACAACCUCUUUCUUUAUUAUAAUCCAUUUUAAUUAUUCAAAUUAGUUAGUGUUACAAACAUCAUUUAAGUAUAUGAGUUUUAGUCUUUUUAUUAAAAAUUGUUUCAAAUUAAUCAUUGUACAUUCAGCGGUGGAGCUAAAAAAUUAUAUUGGGGGUUGGAAUUAAAUUGUAUAUUUUUACGAUAGUAAAAAUGUAAUUUCACCAUUUUAAUAGUUUAUAUAUUUAUAAUUUUUAAAGGAUUAAAUUAAAUUUUUAUAUUUUCGGGGGUUAAAAUAUAAUUUUACCCAUUACUAAUUUAAAAUUUUAUAAAUUAUAAAGGACAUAAAUAAAAAAAAUUCAUUUUAGGGAGGUCAGGGCCCCAGCAAGCCCCGCUUGGCUCCUCCACUGCAUACAUUAAAAUUUUAUUUAAAUCAUGACAUCACUACAAUUUGUAAUUAAAUUAUUGAUAAUUUAGAAUAUAUAUGUAUAUAUAUAUCAUAUCCAACUAGGGUAGUAAAUACACUCUUUUGUAAUCAUAAAGAAUUGGAAUUCCCUAGACGUGCUUGGCUGAUAAAAUGUAAUUACAUCGUAAUUCUUUAUGUUAUGUUUGGUAGUACAUAUUAUAAUUACACGAUUACAUAAUUUAUAUUUUUAAAAAUAUUAAUAUAAGAAAAAUAAUUUCUAAACCCCAUGUAAUAGCCUGAUAGUCAAGGGUAUUUAUCGCCCCAGGUGUGGCCUGAGUUCGGGUCACGCUAGUAGCGUUUGUCAUUCGGGCUUUGCCCUGUUAUUGUAAUUCACCAAAAUAGAGAAAAAAUUCUAAGCAGGUAACCAAAAUUCAAUAAAACCACCAUAUUUAUUAUGUUAGUCUAAAAAAGCUGUUGCUAACAUGAUUAGUUGAUUACUAAAAAAAUAGCAAGAAAAAUAAACAUCAUGUAAAAUUUUAUCUAAUUGUUCCACUGCAUAUUUGUUUAGUUAUUCCCUUUGUAAUAUGUAACAAAUGCUCAUUAUCAUCAUCGGUUGGUCUUUGACCGAGGUCAUCAUCAUCCGAAUUUGAAUUUACAUCAUUAAUAUUAUUAAGAUUUCUUUCUUUCGUGUACUUUGUGAAAUAUGGACUAUCUCAAUUCCACCUAUUAUUGAAAUUAUGAAAUAUGCAACAUGCUAUUAUAAUCCAACCUUUUUCUUAUACUAUGCUAAGGUGAUGUUGUUAAUAUGAGAAAUAUUUUUUUAGAACAAAAAAAAAGUCUUCUCAACCACGUUGUGAAGUCUUGAAUGUCUCAAACUAAAUAGUUCAUGAGUUGUCUAUGGUGCUUGUAUUUGGUAUCAUUCUCUCAAAUGAUAUCAUACCCCACGACAUGGUGCAAGAAAACAUUUUCUAUUUGAAUAAUUAGCACCGACCUUAUAAUAUUUGGGUUCAUAAUCCAAAUACUCUGUAGCUUUAAUUAUAAAAACUUAUAUAAACUUAAUUUGGAGAAAAACUUAUAUUAGGUUAGUUCCCAUUUUAUAAUACGUAAAUUAAAUAAAAAUAACAUAAAAUUUAUUAUAAAUUGUCUAAAAAUAUAUUAUUUUUAUAAUAUAUAGCAUGUACACAUAAAUAAGUUAUGUCCAUACUUGAUUAUAACUUUUUAAAAAUAAAUAUAUUAUAUCACUUUUUGUAACAUGUAAAUUAUCUUUUAUAAUAUUCAACAGAAUGAAAAAUGUUGAUUAUCAGUCUAAGUAAUAUGCAAUAGAAAGACAAUCAUAGUAUAAUUUUUUUUUUAUAAAUAAAUAUAUUAUAACAUUUUUAUAAACAAAUAUAUUAUAAAGUUUUUAUAAUAUGUUAAUUAUUUUUAUAAUAAAUUUUUUUUUCAUAACUUUAGAAUUUUUUUAAGAUUUAAAUAAUAUAUUUUUUUAUAAAUUUAUAAAAUACACAAAUUAUUUUUAUAAUAUAUGAAAAUUUUGGCCAUGACCAUCCAAGCACCCGUCCAUGUUCAUGUUUGUAAUAUAAUUUUUAUAACUUGAAUAAAAAUAUAUUUUUUUAAAUUGAAUUCAGGUGUAAUUAUCUACGUAAUUACUCCAAUUCUUAUGGGAAUGUAAGAAUUGGAAAGUGUAAUUGGGAUGCUCUAAUUGCACCUAAUUCGGUGGAAUCCACCAAUUUAAAUGGUUACCCAAACAUGCUACCUUAGUAUAAUUACAAGCAAUAACAUACAAAUUUAAUUACUAAAUGCUUUCCAAACACUACCUUAACGGUCAAAGUCUAUCAGUGUAAAAUUCAUUUUACUCUCUCUUUUAAAAAUUACUUUAGAUUAAUCAUUACACAUUAGGAAUUUAUUCAAAUUAUGAUACUAUUACAAUUUGUCAUUAAAGAUAAUUUAGAAAUAAAUAAAUAAAUCAUACCCGACUGAUUUAUUGUAACUCGACUUGACUCAUAAAAAAAACUCAAUCCCUCCUCCAAGUUUCAUGUACUUUUGAACCAUUACGUGGUUGAAAAAAAUAAAAACAUAAUGGAAUUUUUUUACCCACACAACACUUCAAAAAUAAAUGAAUUUUCUAGGGAGAUGAUUUAGUUUUUUUUAUUAGGUCGAGUCAUGGAUAAAUCAAUUGAAUAUGAUAUAUUUUGUCCAAAUGAUUAGUAACUUAACGAAAAAUUGUAAUGGUGUCAUGAUUUGAAUAAAUUUCUAACAUUAAUCUAGAGUAAUUUUUAGUAGAGGGAUUAAAAUAAAUUUCACAUAAUAGUGCAAGGACUCCAGGUAAACUUUGACCAUCAUUUAACCGUUACUUUAAAAUUAUUUUUUAUAUUAAUACGUUACUUUUAUUUAAUUUAAAAUUUAAAUUUUCUAUGCAUACAACUCACACAUUUUUGGAAGGAUUCUCAACUUCCACACGUGCCCACAUCAUAAGCAAGUGAUUCAUACAACUCAAACUCGAACAAUUUUUAAAGAGGAUGAAUAUUCAACUAAAUAGUUACAACUUGAAUUUUUAACUUAUAUUAAUAUAAAGUAAUAAAUGUUUUUUUAGGUACUAUAACAAAAACAUACUUACACUAUAUAUAUAUAUAUAUUCGUAUUUAUUGUUUGAGUUUUACGUAGAAAAAAAUAAGGGGAAACAAGAUGAGGGCAAAAAAUUCAAAGGGAAGCAUAUUAAAUUUACAUUGAAUUCGUUUCUAUCAUUUCCUUCACAGCUCACAUAAUUAAUUAGGUAAAUACGUUUCCAUUAAGUAUGCCAGGCUGGGGAUUUUCUUUUUUCCUGCUUCAUUUAUUACUACAAUUUAUUUACGAAUGCCUUUCCCAUGAUUAGCAAGGCUUUCCUCAAUUUGUUGUUUGUAUUUGGUAAGUCGUUCUUUAAUGAAAUUAUUAUUUAAAGAAGGUUUCUUAUGCAAUAAAAUCUUAAUAAAUGGAUGUUCAAUAAAUUUGCGAUUCCGAGUAAAUCAUAAAAUUUCACAAUUUCAUCUUAGAUACAUAUAAUUAAUAUAAAUUAGUAAGUAAGAUCCAAUUUUCAAUCGUGAAAAAAAAGAAAUUUACUAAUUUAAAAUCUUUGAUUGAUAUUAAAUCUAAACUUAUUUCUAGACUGGAUUAAAGGAAGGAAAAGGAAAGCAGGAAACAGGAUCUCCUUUCUUUUAUUUGGAUAAAUAUUUUUAUUUAAGGAAAAUUACGCAUCCUUUACUUUGAAUAAACAUUAAAAUCUUGAUUUAUCUUCAUAUUUAUCAACAUCCAUUUAAUCAUAAAAUAUUUAAAUUAUUUAAUGAGAAAUACAAUCAUAAAAAUUCAUUAUAAGUAUUCAUUUUUAUCUUAAAAAAUCAAUUUUAACCGAUUUUGUUUCUUAUUAUUAAUUUUAAUUUACUAAACGAAAUCUUAUAUUAUAAGUAAGGUUCAAUUUUAUUUUAUUUUUUAUUUUUUAGUUUUUAAACUUGUAUUUUUUGUCAAACCACCCAAAAUAAAUUGAAAAGUUAACUUUUUUAACUUUGCUAACUUUUCAUACAUGUGAAUGACACCUCAACACUUAAUUAAUUUUUAAAAAUUUAAAAAUUCAAAAAACGUAUAAAAACUAUUUUUUAAAGGUUCAAAAACAUUAAAAUAAUUAAAAAAUUAUAUAUAAAUAUUUUUUAAUAUUUUUAAAAUUAAAAAAUAAUUAAAUGAUGAUGUAUCACCCUCGUGACAAUUCAUAUGUAUGUCACAUCAGUAAAGUUAACAAUCGUUAACUCUUCUAUUUAUUUUGAGGUGAUUUGAUAAAAAAAUAUAAAUUUAAAAAUUAAAAAAAUUAAAAAUUAAAUGAAUGGCUAAACAAAUUUUUUAAGGCCAAAAAGGUUUUUAUGCCACUUUUAAGGGUUUCAACACUUGAGCAAAAGGUAGGGUCCAGAAUUUAGCGUUCGUAUAAUGGGGCCCAAAACAAACUCCUUAAAUACCAUGCAAAUAUUUGGCAGUGGCAUUUAAAAAGUACUCCCAACAACUGCUCUGCCUUAUAAAAAUGGCAAAAAUUUGCAGAGGUGUUGAGGCACAUAAUCUGUGGACCUUCAUCAUGAACUAAAACACCAGCAAAGCAACAAAGCAGCAAAUCCCUUGGACAGUUUCGUUUUCAUAUAUACUGACAGGAAAGACUAAAAUUAAUAUAAAAAAUAAAAGAUUUCGAUGAUUGCUAGGUUUUACUUUUUCUUUCUAAUUCUCGAUCCACAAAGGAAACAUUUUUCUCAGAAACUUUCUUACGCUUUUUUUUUUCUCUAAAACAGUGAGUGUGUAUGUUUCCCUCUCUUUCUAGCUUCAAGGCUACAUUAUUUGCUCAAAACAAGGGCGGAUUUCCUUAAUGCCACUUCUUAGUUACGCGUAGGCAGCCUUGUUCAACUUCACAUCCUUUGAGAUUUGGUUUCCUUAUAUCCUGGUAAAUUUUUUUUAAUGAUUUUUUGUUUCUUCUUUUAGAUUUUUUCUGAAUGAUUUUUGUUUCUUAUUUUAGAUUUAUGAUCUUGAAAUGCGGAUUUCUUUUCCAGUUUCAUUUGAUUCUAGUUUGUUUAUUUAAAUGCAAAGAUUUGACGGCCUUUUAAUUCCUUAUCACACAGCGAACCCGAAAGCAAAAAAGAACAAAAGCAACCAAAAAACAACCAAUGUGUAGCAACAACGUUGGUGUGGGAUGGGUUGCCAAUGCGAGUGAAGUGCUGGGCGUUCAUGGCGAGUAUGGAAGUUGUAGUUCAAGGAAGGAGAAGAACCAAAGAAUCCCCAAAAGAGGGCCUGGAGUGGCUGAACUAGAAAAGAUAUUGCGAGAACAAGGGAAAAGCGAUUGUAUAGAGAAAGGAAAUAUAAAUAAUGGUGGGGUCCCUUCUUCAUGCGUAGCUCCCUCAAAUUCUUUACCAAGAAGGGCUACUACUUAUCUUCGUAACGUUCCUAGCCCUAGGACUCCACCACCUCUUCCUCCUCCUUCGAUGACCCUCCAUGUUAACGGAACUGGUGCUGAAAAUAUGUGCGGUAACAGUCGUAGUAAAGGUGUCUAUAUUAGCGGAUCCGGUAUAUUUUUGCCUGAAAAAGUCUUUUUGCCUGUAACGUGGGGCUCCUCUGAGACAAGGGACAGCCCGGAACCUGCUAAAAUGGCUGCUGGUUUAUCAUUUCCCAAUCCCAAACUUGUCUCUAACCGAUCUGAUCAAAACAUGUUUCCUCCUCCUAUGUUGCAAAUGAACCAUGGCACUUGCGCCCAUCCUUCAAUGGUAAAAAGUCUAGGAAACUAGGUCAAGUUCACUUAUGUUCUUUUUAUUAAUCAAAUUUGUGCUUAUUUUUAGUUUUUUUUUUGAAGAUUGGCAUAAAGAAGUUCAAACAGAUGAAUCUUUUUCCUAGAUCAGGAAUUUCAUCUUCUUCAUCAUCCGCAGGGGUGUAUCAGUAUCAUCACGUAGAGCCCCCUUCAACCCAAAAAUCUUGUCACAGCUACAUAUCUACAGUACUGGCUGAGGAACACAAGGCAUGUGUAAAUUUAAUUACCGUCCAAUUUUUAGUUAUAUUUGUAUUAAUUAUAUACUUUUGAUUCUUUUAAAUGGAAAUCAGAAAAUCUGUAUUCCUUAUUAAAUAUACACAAUAUAUUUCUUUCCUUUGAAAUGCCGACGUUUAAUCUAUUAGCCAAAUGCUUGCAUUUUUCACUUUUCUUCAACUGUUUCCAUUACCCAUUUCGAUGUGGAUUCUGCUCUUUGUUUCACUUUAAGGAUGCCUUAAAAAAGAAAGUAAAAAAAGAUAAUUAAACCAACAUUUGUUUCUCAAAAGAAGUAUUGCCUAAAAAUUGUAUAGGUAAGCUAUCUGAUCUGAUAUCGUUUUGCUGAUUGGGAAGGUAGAGCAACUGCGAAUAUAUGAAGUCUUUCCUAAUGUCAAAAUUUACUUAUUUUAAUUAGAUAAUCGAUGGCAAGCGAUCAAGGCCUAAUUUCCCUGUCGAGAACUGGCCCCCACCUCCCCCUUUCUACUCUCAGAUUUCCGGGCUUAAUCCUUCAUCUUCGUCUACCAACAAUGGUGUUUGUGUGUUCAAUGUUGGAAAUAUUUACAGGUUAGCCACUUGACAUCAAUUCCUCAUUAAAGCAUAUUUACAUUGUUCUGUCUUGCUCAUCCUCGCCAGCUCGUAACUUUUAAAUAAAUUUGCCGUUUCUUUUUCUGUUGCUAUUAUCAGAGGCUCAAUCGCAAGUAGCCCUUUGGAGCUGAAAGCGAAACGACGCGGUAAUGAGGAUGGGAAUCCUAAUGACAAUGAUAGUGCCCUCACCUUAGGCCCUCCUAUAACUUCUUCGUCCUCAACCCAAAAUUGUCAACAAGACUUGCCCAAAUACACCAAGCAGUUCACUUUCCAAGUAAGAUGCUUAAAUGGGAAUCUGUUUUUGAUUUCAUUUUCUUUAUUGGCCCUACAUGCUCCCUGGUUUGAUAAGUCUGUUUUGAUUUACUUGCAUGACUUUGGUUCUUGUAUUCUCUUCCAGGAAAUGAAGGAAAACACUGAAGAACAAAGGGGUGCAGCUGCAACAGCGGAAGCCACACGUGAUCUAAAAGAUGGAACAUAUGAUUGUAAAGAAAAAACGGCCGAUUUUAUUGAUCUUAACCUAAAGCUAUAAAUUAGUCAUGGCCUCUUUUAAUUAGCUAGUGAAUGUAGUCCCAAAAUUAAAUAUAUAGUAUUUACUAUCUGCUAGAUUUAGUUUUGUUUUAUGAAUAUUAAUAUUAAUCUAGUGAAAUGUAUAGUUGUCUUUAUCUAUUAUUACUAUGCAUCAUUUUCAUGACUUGGAGAGUAUAUUUUCGCAUUUAUUUUUAUAAAAUUCAACAUCAACUCUCCGCUGGCCUAUCGUGGCACACCUAACUCCAUAUGUUCAGUGAAAAGGAUUGGAUGCUGUGUACGGAGUCUUUCAACUACCAAGGGGCACUGCUUGGGUUUUUAAUCGAGUUUGGCACUAUUUAACUGUCACUCUCCAUCAAUAAAUUUAUGAGAACUCUUCACGUUAAAGUCAGAUAGACAAAUAGUGCUUCUUUGACGGCUAAAAUUUCUGCCAUAGCUGGUGUUGCUAUACAAAUACAUUUAGAAAAAAAAAUGUAAACUAAAAUUUUAUUUUUUUAAAAUUAUGUUUUAGAAAAUUAUAUUUCUAAUGUUUUAAUAACAAAAUUAGCUCGGAACAAGUAACAACAUAAUUUCACUUAUUUUUCUGUUUCAAAAGAAUAAUUUCAUAACUUACAAUUGUUUAAGUUCAAAUUAGGAUUCUAAUUUAGAAAUAAUAAUCAUUUGAGAAUACUUCCUCUUGAGAAUAAUUAAUGCUCGAAAGGACUAUUGUUUAUAAUAAUUCUGUUUUAAGAAUAAUUAUGUUCAAAACAAUUGUUAUUUUUUUUAAAAAUUCUAUUUAGAAUGAUUGUAUUUUUAUAAUAAGAGCCAUUAUUUGGAAUUGAAAAAUAGAACCUCGGUAAUGAUAAUAUAUUGCAAAAAAUGAGAAAUAAAAAUAAAGAGCACACAGAUUUUUAUGUGAAAACCCUUUCGGGAAAAAAUCACGGGCAGAGGAGAAGAAAAUUUACUAUGUCGAAUUCGAAUUAUUACAAGAGGAGUAGACUAUGUCUAUUUAUAGGCUUAUAAAAUCAUAUUCUAAUAGGACUGCAGUAAGAUUGAAACACCUUAUUCUAAUCAAUAUCAAAUAGAUGAAGUUUAAUAAAGUUUUAAAAACCUUAUUCUAAAAUAAAAUAAAAGAAGUGUAGUUCUAUAGGGAUUUUACUUUUAUUUUAUUUUACCACUGUAUUUUAUUUAAAUAAAGAUUUGGGUCACUUAAUUCUAACAAUCUCCACAUUGACACAAAUUCUCAAUGAACAAGUUCUUCAUCGCGAACUCUCAACGAACAAGUUCUCCACCUCUUCCAUAAAACCCCUUAAGGGUUUAACUUCAACAAUGAACACCAAUCAAGUCUAAGUAAUGCUCAAACUUCAUUAUAGGAAGUGACUUAGUCAUCAUACCUGUAGGAUUUUCAUGAGUACUAAUUUUUCUCACAACAAUAUCACCACGAGCAAUAAUAUCACGAACAAAAUGAUAUCAAACAUCAAUGUGUUUUGUUCUCUCAUGAAACAUUUGAUCUUUUGUAAGGAAUAUGACACUUUGACUGUCACAAAAUACUGUAUUGAUUUGAAGGUCUUCAUUGAGUUCACUAAAGAGUCCCUUCAACCAAAUAACUUCUUUACAAGCUUCAGUAAUAGCCAUGUACUCAGCUUCAGUGGUAGACAAAGCAACUGUAGUUUGCAAAGUGGCUUUCCAACUGAUUGCACAACCUCCGAUUGUAAAGACAACCUGUGAGAGAUUUUCUUCUAUUAAGGUCUCUAACAAAAUCAGCAUCAACAUACCCAAUGACUCCAUCUUUAGUUCUUCCAAACUAUAAGCAAACAUCAGUAGUACAUCGUAAGUAUAUUAAAAUCCACUGAAAUGGUUUCCAAUGUUCUUUACCGGGAUUCACCAUGUAUCUGCUAACUGUACUGACUGCAUAUGAUAAAUCUGGACGUGAACAAACCAUAGCAUACAUGAGAGAUCCCACUGCACUAGAGUAUGGAACAUGUGACAUGUACUCAAUCUCAUCAUCUGAUUGUGGAAACAAAACUGAUGAAAGUCUGAAAUGGGCUGCUAAAGGAGUACGAACAGGCUUAGCAUUCUGCAUAUUGAAUCUGCAAAGAACUUUCUUAAUGUACCCUUUCUGCCUUAGGUACAAUUUACUUGCUUUUUUAUCUCUGAGAAUCUCCAUACCAAGUAUCUUCUUUGUUGGUCCCAAAUCUUUCAUCUCAAAUUCUUCACUUAGUUGAGCUUUGACCUUUCUUAUCUCUCUUUUAUCUUUCGCUGCUAUCAACAUGUCAUCAACAUAAAUGAGUAGAUACACAAAAGAACCAUCACUAUUUUUAUUAAAGUAAACACAACUGUCAAAGCUACUUCUUUUAAAAUCAUGAGAAGUCAUAAAGGAAUCAAACCUCUUGUACCACUGUCUUGGUGACUGUUUCAAACCGUAAAUAGACUUUUUCAGCAACCAAACAUAGUCCUCUUUUUCUGAGACUAUAAAACCCUCUGGUUGUUGCAUGUAAAUAUCAUCCUCAAGUUUUCCAUGCAAAAAUGCAAUUUUUACAUCUAACUGCUGAAGCUCCAAAUCAUGCAUGGCCACAAUACUUAGCAAAGCUCAAAUCGAACUAUGCUUCACAACUGGGGAGAACACAUCUGUGAAGUCCACUCCUAGAAUUUGACUGUAACCCUUUGCAACAAGUCUUACUUUAUAUCUGAGUUCUUCAUCUCAUAGAGUCUCCUCUUUCUUUUUAAACACCCAUUUACAACGAACAACUUUUUUACCUUUAGGAAGUUUCACAAGAUCCUAUGUUUUGUUUUUGUGGAGUGAUUUCAUUUCCUAUUGCAUAGCAAACAUCCAUUUUUUUGAGUUUUCACAGCUAACCGCAUCAGAAUAAUUAGAUGGCUCUUGGUUUGCAUUUAUAUCUUCAGCCACAUUUAAAGCAUAAGCAACUAGAUCAGCCUCGGCAUACUUCUUUGGAGGUUUAAUUUCUCUUCUAGUUCUAUUUUUGGUGAUGGAGUAUUGUGGUGAAGAAGUAACUUUAUUUUGAAUUUUUGUACUAGCUUGAACAGUCGACUCUGUUGUAGAUUCUGGAUUAAUCUGAUGUUCCACCUGCUUUUAAUUUUCUUUAUUAGAAAAGUCUUUAAAAGAUAAGUUAGGUAGCAUAGUAGUUUCAUAAAAAAACAACAUAUCUGCUAAUCACAAUUUUUCUAUUUUCAGGACACCAUAACUUAUACCCUUUUACACCAGCUUUAUAACCAAGAAAAACACAUUUAAUGGAUCUCGGUUUUAAUUUUCCAUUAUCAACAUGAGCAUACCCAAGACACCCAAAAAUCUUUAAAUUAGAAUAGUCAGCAGGAUUACCAGACCAUACCUCUUGUGGAGUCUUUUUCUCAAUGGCAACGGGUGGAGAUCGUUUGAUAAAAAAACAUGCAGUAGAGGCUGCUUCGGCCCAAAAUAACUUUGGUAAGUUGGUAUUUGACAACAUAUAUCGAAUCUUCUCCAUGAUCAUUCUGUUCAUUCGUUCUGCAACGCCGUUUUGCUGUGGAGUAUGACGAAUUAUCAAGUGUCUCACGAUCUCUUCUGACUUGCACAGUUUAUGCGGAGGUAUUUUAUUUGUUUUCCCGUCUGUUUUUCAAUCAUAGUUUUCCAAGACUUAAAUGUGGAAAACACAUCGCUUUUCUGCUUCAAGAAGAACACCCACACAUUUUUAGAAAAAUCAUCAAUAAAAGUUAGCAUAUAAUUAACUCCACCUCUCGAAGGUACUUUGGAUGGCCCCCACAGGUCAGAAUGAGUAUACUCUAACGUUUCCUUCGUGUUAUGGAUUUCUCUGUGAAUCGAACUCUAUUUUGCUUCCCAAAAACAUAGUGCUCAUAGAACUUCAGUUUGCAAAUUCCUUGCCCAUCAAGAAGUCAUCUUUUGCUCAAUUUUUCCAUGUCAUUCUCAUUCAUAUGCCCUAGGCGCAUAUGCCAAAGUUUAAUGAUAUCAUCAUCUAACAAUGAAAAGGAUGAGACAGCUGCAUCACUAGUAACAGUAGAACCCUGCAAAAUAUAUAACUUGGCAGUCUUUCUCUGUCUUUUCAUCAAAAUUAGGGAACCUUUAGAAAUCUUUAAAACCCCACUUUCAACUGUGUAUUUGUACCAUUUUGAAUCAAGAGUACUCAAUGAAAUUAAAUUUUUCUUCAAUUUUGGAACAUGUCGUACGCCACUAAGUGUUUUGACAACUCCAUCAAACAUCUUAACUUUAAUUGUUCUAACAACUGUAAUUCUACAUGAAGCAUUAUUUCCCAUCAAAACAACACCUUCAUACACUGUUUCGUAAGUUGUAAACCAAUCUCGAUUGAGACUCAUGUGGAAGGUGCAGCCCGAAUCAAGAAUCCACUCCUCGCUCGCUUUAGAAUUAUUGGCAGAAGUGACUAGAAGUUCACCAUCGCUGUAGUCUUCUACAACAUCAGCUUUGUCGAAAUUUUCUGGUUAUUUUACAUUUUGAUUCGCAACCUCCCUUUUGAUCUUUUUCUGUAGCUUAUAGCACUUAGAUUUAAUAUGCUCUUUCUUCUUGCAGAAGUUACAAGUUUUACCUCUAUUUGAAGACUUCGAUCUACCCUUAGAUUUACCACGAGAAUUCCGUUCCUGUGUCCUUCCACGAUCAUCAUCAGCACUCCGAUCUCGUCUCCCACGAACAAUGAGACCCUCUCCCUAAGAGUCAGAUUUAACCACAAGAUACUUUAUCUUAUAAUACGAAAGUAAAGAAUCAUAAACCUCAUCAACUGUGAGAGACUCACGGUUAUAUAAAAUCGUAUCUCUAAAGGUUGAAUAAGACGGGGGCAACGAACAAAGUAGAACCAACCCUCGAUCUUCUUUAUCAUACUGAACCUCCAUGGCCUCCAAGUUUGAAAGAAUUUAUUUAAACACUGUUAAGUGUUCGUGCACAGAUGCACCUUCCUCUAAACGAUGAGCAUAAAGAUGCUGCUUCAUAUGCAGCUUGCUAGUUAGAGUUUUCAACAUACAUAUUUGUUCCAACCUCUUCCAUAAUCCAGCGGCGGUCUUCUCUUUCAUUACAUCUUGCAAAAUUUCGUUAGACAAAUACAGAUGUAACUGUGUUAACGCCUUUCAAUCCUUGCGCUUCUUCUCUUCCUCCGUCAAUGUUGAAGGCAUCUUAUCUACCCCUAGCAGGGCUUCCUCUAAGUCCAUCUGUGUAAGAACUGCCUGCAUCUUUAUUUGCCACAAUGCGAAUUUGGUGUUGCGAUCUAAUAGCAGAAUUUCAUACUUCAAAGACGUCAUUACCGUGAUUGAGAUGAACAACCCGGAAGCUCAGAUACCAAUUAGAAAAAUAAAACUUCGGUAAUGAAAAUAUAUCGUAAAGAAAAGAGAAAUAAAAAUAAAGAAAACAUAGAUUUUUACAUGGAAACCCUUUCGGGAAAAAAUCACGGGCAGAGGAGAAGAAAAUUCACUAUGUCGAAUUCGAAUUAUUACAAGAGGAGUAGACUAUGUCUAUUUAUAGGCGUGUAAAACCAUACUCUAAUAGGAGUGUAGUAAGAUUGAAACACCUUAUUCUAAUCAAUAUCAAAUAGAUGAAGUUUAAUAAAGUUUAAAAAACCUUAUUCUAAAAUAAAAUAAAAGAAGUGUAGUUCUAUAGGGAUUUUACUUUUAUUUUAUUUUACCACUGUAUUUUAUUUAAAUAAGGAUUCGGGUCACUUAAUUCUAACAGCAAUAAACUCUUCUAAAAGAACAACUUUUUGAAACAAUUCUUAUUUAGAAACAACACAUGUUUUGCAUUCCUAAAGAUUUUUCAUAAAAGAGUUUCACAUGCUAUUACUUUAUCAGCAUAGAAGUAAAAAUAACCUUGGCAUAUAACAGGGAGCUUAGUUUGGUGGAUCGGACAUAGAGAUAGAGACAAUUAAAAGGUUUCCCUUUAACAUUUUUCUAUAAUAUUGAGUGUUUUUUUUUAGAAACAUAGUAAUUCUUAUUCAUCGCUCAAUUUACUAUUCACUAUCACCAAUAAAACUUUUUAUUAAUAAAAAAAUCAUAAUUUCUUUAUAACUGAAAAUAUCAUUCAUUACCCUUUUUAAUGGUCACUUUUGUAACUUUUAUUAUGGGUGUUCAAACGGCCAAUUCCGUUAAUACUCGAAUUGAAUUACCAUUAACUGAAUUACUUGAAAUGUAAAAAUCUUUAACCGUUAACCACAUUGAAGUUUUUUUCAAAUACAUUAACAGAACCAAAAUAUUUCAAUUAAUUCAGUCGGUUAACCAAAUUAACCGAAAUUUAUAUAUUUUUGUCUUUUGGUUAAAUUAAGUAUAAAACAUAUAAAAAACACAUUGCUAAUGUUCAUUUUUUAAUAGUUCAAAGAACUUUAAAUGAAAAUGAAAACAACAAAUAAUACAUUAGAAACACCACGUAAGUAUUGAAAGUUAACAACAAAACACUAUAUUAUAUAUUAUAUAUAUUAUUUAUUUCAUUUAAUUCAUUAAUUCAGUUAAUUGUCUGGUUUCAAACUGAAUCACCCGAUAACUGAAAUUCCAAAAAAUCAUUAAUCAAGCUCCGACCGAACUAAAUUCGGCCACCAACUGAUUAACUGAAUUAGAUCAAUUUGGUCAGUUAAUUCAAUUUUAACUAAACUGUAAACAUCCUAACUUUUAUUACUGAGACACUAUAAAUAGGAGCACUUCGGUUUUUUUACUCCCAAAAGUUAUUUUUAAAAUUCUCUCAACCUAUUAUUAAUAAGUGUUCUUUGAAUCAUUGCUAUUUGACUCGGACCUAAUUCAAAAGAGUUUAGGUAUUCCGAAUUGUAUGUUGACACGGACAAAGUCAAGGGAAACUUAAAAAGAAGAUCUUUUAUCUUAUAGUAGUUAGCUUCAGUCUCCUCACGAAACUUUCAUUAUUGGGUUAAUCAUAUACUUCAUAUGUUUCUAGUUAGUCUUACUGCAAUAAGUGUUACCAGAAAAUUUACUCAAGGUAAAUCCGUCAACGUUAAAUUUGAGAGCGUUUUUAUUUUACCGGACCAAAAGAACUUGAUGAAGAUAUGAUAUACUCCAACCAUGUUACUAUACAAAAAAGUCAAUUUCCUUUUAUAAUUUAUAAUAGGAGAGUAAAACCCUAACAAGCGUGAUUUGAACUUAAGCCAAACCAAAACAUGGGUAUAAAUUUUCUUCAAUGUUUAAGACAUACAAGCAGGUGUAGUAUAUUCGGUGGUGAUUCAAGGUAAAUAAGUACGUUGACUUUUCCUCAAUGUAAUUGAAAUGUAUACAAUUUUUCUUUGUAGUAAUUGUCACAUUCUAGACAUAUGUUAAAUGGAGUUGAAAUAUGCUCGUCUUUUCUUGGCAGACCAAGUCCAAUAAAGGCUGAAUGUUAACAUUCAACUUUUACGCUUAAAGGCUUUUGAUAGUUCAGAUGGUCUUACAUAUACAUAUAUAUCAUAUUAUCAUAUAUACUUUUUAAUAAGCUUUUUCCUUCAUUAGUUAUUAUUUCGUAUAUAUUUUAUGAGUUGUUUAUCAACAUGGACGAUACGUUUUGCUAUGAUGUCAAAGCCCAAAACCCUCGCCCUCGCUGUAUCUUUUUUGCCAAUAGAGUUUUGAAGCUUUGGCUUUUCUUUUUCGUCUUCAUAUGCCUUCUUCUCGUUUUAUCCAACGGGGAAGAGACCACGAACGCUAACAAGCUUAUUAAGAUUGGCGCAAUCAUCGAUAUUCAUUCGAGUACUGGUAGAGAAGAGAAAACUGCAUUGGAUAUUGCUGUUCAAAGUUUCGAUAUAGCAACGAUUCAAACAACCACAAGCUCUCCCUCCACAUUCAAGACUCUGGAAGAAAUCCUCUCCUAGCUGCUACUGUUGGUUAGUCAUUGUUUUAUCUAAAUAAAUUCUGCUUCCUUUUGAGUUGGUUUAAACUCUGAAUAAUCAUAUUGAUAACAACUCGGAAGUUGAUUAAAGAACAAAAAGUUGAAGUGAUCAUUGGCCUGGAGAAAUGGGAAGAAACAGUUGUGGUCGGUAAUAUUGGUACCCAAGCUCAAGUUCCAGUUAUUUCUUUUGCAGCACCGGCCAUCACACCGCCAUUAGCAACCGCUCGCUGGCCGUUCUUGGUAAGAAUGGCUAACGAAGAUUCCAAACAGAUGAAAUGCAUUGCAGCCAUCAUUGGUCUAUUAAACUGGAAAAGGGUUAUAGUUAUUUAUGAAGACGAUGCCUUUGGUAGUGAAUCUGGGAAGAUAGCUCUUUUACCUGAGGCGCUUCAAGAUGUGGGUUCGGAGGUUGAAUUCCGAUUGGUUCUUCCUCCAUUUUCUUCUGUGACUAAUCUGAAUGUUGCUGUCCAUGAGGAGUUGAAGAAGCUACAGAAGAAACAAUCUCGGGGUUUUGUUGUUCUUCACUCAUCCUUCUCAAUGACGAUACAUUUGUUUGAAGAGGCUAAAAAGAGUGGACUUGUGGGACACGACUCAGCUUGGAUAGUUACAGAGACCAUUUCGAGUUACCUCGACUCUUUUAACAGUUCAGUGAUUUCGUCAAUGGAAGGUACUUUAGGUAUCAAGAUCUACUAUUCUGAGGAUACUAGUCUUUACAAGAAGUUUUAUACCAAUUUCCGGACAACUUUCAGAAAUGAAUAUCAUGAGGAAGAUAAUUCCCAACCAGGUAUUAAUGCCUUUCGUGCCUAUGAUAGCAUUGGAAUCAUCACGCAGGCUGUGGAGAAACUAAAAAGUGAUGGAAAGAGUCCAAAAAAAUUGUUGAAAAAGAUACUUUCAAGCAAUUUUACUGGUGCAAGUGGUGAAGUAUGUUUCGAAGAAGGACAGCUGUCGUAUGAUCCUAUACUGAGGAUUGUAAACGUGGUUGGGAAAAGGUACAAGGAGUUGGAUUUCUGGUUGCCAGGGAUUGGGUUCUCAAGAAAUCCUACAGUGAAGAACGAAACUGGUUAUGUUGGUGAAAUAUCUCAAGAUUUGGGUGGUCGAGUCUAUUGGCCUGGUGAUUCAAAGCUUGCUCCAAAAGGAUGGGCAAUGCCAACAGAUGAAAAGCCUUCGAUUAUUGGAGUUCCAGCAAUAACCUCAUUUGAGAAAUUUGUAAAGGUUGUAGAUGGUAAACUUCCAGGCGUAAAGAACUAUGAUGGUUUCUGCAUUAAACUUUUCUAUGAAGUUCUUAAGGUGCUAGGUUAUCAUCUACCUUACCGUUUUGAUUCCCACAAUGGCACAUAUGAUGAACUUGCUAACAAAGUCUACAACAAGGUAAUAGCUCUUUAUUUUUCAAUUCAUGCUUCUCAUUAAGGAUCUCUAUUGCAAAUGAAAACAAACCUUCCAUCCUUCAUUUUUCUUUUAAUAAUUGAAUUAUACUUGAAAUUUCAUAGAUAAGAUGUGUAAUUUGGACUCGGUCUUCUUGACACCUGUGUGGUGAAGAAAAUUAAUGAGAAUAACCACAACGAUUAGGAUUCUCAUUUUUGUUUUCUUAUUUCUAUAAUUUUGUCUCUUAUGAUGUUUUUGUUUGUUUUUUCUUGUGUACCAAAAUCAAUGAAAGACUUAUGACGCAGCUGUCGGUGACAUAACGAUACUAGCUAACAGAGCAGAUCAUGUGAAAUUUACUCAGCCAUAUGCAUGGUCAGGGUUGACCAUGAUAGUUCCAGCAAAGUCGAAGGACUCGGCAGGGAUUUUCGUGAAACUUUUCACCAUAGAAAUGUGGUUGGCCACUGCCGCCAUCUUAAUCUACACCGUGUUCAUAGUUUGGGUGUUGGAGCACUAGUCCAACCCUGAGUUCAGAGGUCUCUGGAACCAUCAGAUUGGAACUACACUUUGGUUCGCUUUCUCCUCCAUUUUCUUUGCUCAUAGUAAGUUUCACUGCCAUACCAAGAACUCUUGACGAGUAUUAAUGUGAGAAUUGAGGGAAAGCUCUUGUCUAAUCAAUGGCAGACAGUAAAACAUGGCAUAAAAUUCAAAGAUCCAAUAAAUGAAUGGUCCCUGCAUUGAAGCUGUUGUUUCUGGAUGGAAUUCAGCCUUAAAAACCAGUUAUUCAUUCAUUCAUAUAUGUUUAUUGUUUGACAAUGACUUGUGCAGGAGAGAAGGUUUACAGUAACCUCACUCGAAUGGUGGUCGUAGUGUGGCUCUUCGUUGUGCUGGUCUUAAACUCAAGCUACACCGCUAGCCUAACAUCAAUGCUGACAGUAAAGCGAUUGGGACCAAAUGUUACAGAGAGUGAAUUGCUAAAGAGGGCCAACUUGAAAAUUGGGUGUGAUGGAGAUUCAUUUGUAAGAACAUACUUGGAGAAUGUUCUUAAUUUUAAAAGUUAUAAUAUUGAGAACGUCAGCAGUGAAUAUAAGUAUGAAGGGGAAUUCAAAAGCCACCGCAUUGCUGCUACCUUUCUUGAACUACCUUAUGGCAAAGUUUUCCUCAGUCAUUACUGCAAGCAAUUUACCACUUCCAUACCUACCUAACGAUUUGGCAGUUUAGGCUUUGUGAGUACAUAAUAUUAUUACCAUAACUUAAUAUGGCAUGUUCCACUUUCAACAAGAAAUUACUAGGAAAAGUUUUUUUUUUUUAAUUAUUAAGAAUGAACUAGAAUCUCCAAAUGUGUUGCAUUUGGAAGAUAUAUACUGAACUCUGAAGAAGCCAACCUACGUACACAUACAUGCUUUGAAUAUUGAAGUUGAACUCCUCCCUCGUAGCAUUAUAGAAUAGUCUUUUAUUCUUGCUCCUAAUUUUAGCUUAUCUAUUAAUUAAACUUGUUCAAAGGUUUUCUUCUUUCCUGGAAUUCUGUAUGCAGGUAUUUCAGAAAGGUUCUCCGAUAGCCAAAGAUUUUUCAAGAGCCAUUUUACAGUUCUCUGAAAAUGGAUUUCUGUUGUCACUGGAAAAGGAAUGGUUUUCUCCUUCGCUGGAGUGUUCAGCCGAUGUAACCGACAGCAGUACAACUGAUAGCUUGAGCUCCGGAGUUUCUAGGGUCUUUACUUUAUAUCUGGAGCUACAUCCACCCUUUGUUUUCUAUUCUUCUCUAUGCACUUGCUAAAGAAAUAUUACCGUCACCGAGUGGAAAAUGUGGAUGAGAGUCAGAGUGUUUGGAUCAAGGCAAUUCGAGUUGCCAAAUACUUUUAUCUGGGAGAUGUGGUUUUAGUUCAACGAGAAGCUUCAGUAGCUCCUGAUCCAGAACCAGAUAUCAAUGAAUGGAGGAGCCCUUCAACCUUAGAUUUUGGUCACACUAACAUGGAGAAUCUCGAUGGCACAUCAUCACCAGCAGAAACUGAGAUUGAAAUGCUACUGCAAACUCAGAAUUGACCAAGGAUCCAUCAUUGCCUGAGUUUUUAUUCAUAGCUUGGUUCCCUGAAAUAUUAAUUAAUCCUUGUGUAAUAAUGGACCUCUCUUAGUAGUAACACCAUAUAACUAGCUAAUUGUAAACUGAGCCUCGAUUUCUCUGUUGUAUAACUAAAUGUACUUUGCUUAUCAUUCUCAAUUCACCUGUAAGAAAUUAGAAUGUACCGGUCACCUUCUACAUCAUCAGGUCUGACUAAUUCACCUUAAGAAAUUAACUCUAAAUCAAUCUUAGGGCUACAAUGGCCGUUGUUAGUCCACAGUGAAUCUACACACUCGUUGGCAUCCAGUAUCAAACAAAAAUUGUUCUGAAAGAAAGUUUUAACACAUCCAUAGCUCCUCUUCGUAUUCUUCAGAUACAAAAAGAUUCUACAAAUUUAGCCAUCAUUGAACUCUGUUUAAUGCAUCAAACUACAGGUAGCCUCUUCCUCUUCGACGUCCUGCCCAACCCCAACUCCUCCCCCUGCUUCUUCUACCACCCCUCCCACUGAAAGAUAUACCGUCCAGUGCUCUAUUAACAAGCUGAUUUUGCAUGCCACCAGCUCCACGACCCUUCUUUGUCACCAAAUUAUUGGAUCCAUUAGCUGCAGGGGUAGUAUAGCAAGAGUCCACUUGACUUACAUAUGAAAAGGAAUUUAGUUAUAUUUGGUUCAGUUUUAUUAAAGUUAAUGUGGCUCACCAACCCUCACAUUACGUUAAACAUGUAGGUCUGGCUAUCAGUAAAGCAAAAAAGAAAUGAAGGGUAAAAAAGAAUCCUGCUAUGAAUAGAAAACAACAGUUAAAGAUCAAACAGGUAACUUACCCAGUUGGAUUUACAGUGGAGGGUGCAGAAGGUUUUAUAGCUUCUUUCCAGGAAAGAUUGACACUCUUAUCUCCAAUAAAUGCUAAUGCAAGGGCUGAAUGGGUAAAAAUAAUAAAAGAUAAGAUGCUGAAGAGUUUAGGCCUACAUGGCACAUGCAAGACCUAGAAGACAAUUUUCACUCCUAUCUACCCUUGUCAUAGCUAAAAUGUUAUUGCAGAUCUGCAAACUAGUUGUGGUAUUCUGCUUUUGAGUUUUCUACGAUCAGAAAACGAAGAGCAAAGUCAAUAAGAAAAAAUGAAAACAAACUAAAAUAUGUUUUAAGAACAAACUCACGAUGCUAUCUUUUGCUUCAUCAGAUUUAGCUGCUGCCAUAGCUUUGUUGUUCUCAGCCAUUCCUAGAGUUAAUUUCUUCACGAUGGCCCUAGUUAGGUCUUCAACACUACUCAAUCAUGACCAGCAUUCACUAGAAAGUUAGUAUGGACAAUAUAAAAGAAGCAUUUAGAACAGUACUGACAACAAUGCAACUGAGGAUGAAAGGUCUAAGGACAUUUCAAAUUUUCCUUUCCACUGGAGCACCCUAGGGCCUAGGCUUAUAUGUGAAGUUGGCUCACAGCCAACCUGGACCUCUACGUUGAAGUUAAACAAUGGAUUACAAUCAUAACUUAGGCAACCAUUAAGCAGUUGCUUGUUCCUCAACAAAUUGUACAACUUUGUUCGGUAGAUCUUUUUGUUUUUUCUUCAAAAAUAGGAGUCAUACAAUAAUAUAUCAAACAAUUCUUUGAUUCAACAUAAUAGUGGUUUUAAGGACUUGUUCAAAACAGGGAACAAAAUGGGAGUAGGGAAGAAACAGGUUAUUGGCAAUGCCUGUCUAAUCUAUUUCAUCUAGUGAAUAGUGUUAGCUAAAUAGCUCACAACAGAUUUCAUUGAUAGAAGUUCCUUUUGCUCAAUUUUUGUUCACACCCACGGCAGGAUAUUUCAAGAUAAAAAGAAAACAAAGAAUGUCUUCAACAAGAUCAAUUUAUUGGUCUGUACAUACACAAAUAAAUAAAUUAGGAUUGGUAUAUAAACAUAGAAAAAAGUUAAGGAAGAAGAAAAACGUAGUUUUCUUUUCUUUUUUUUAAAGUAUAGCAUAAGGGAGAAGAGAGGCUAAUUUAUCUUUCAGUGAAGUCCUUAUAAUACUCUGAGAAGUCUUCCCCAAGCCUAUCUGAUGGUUGACCAGUCACAAUCUAGUAACCCCAUAGACUAUUUGUGGCAUUGGGAGCCUAUGUGACAAAAAAAUUCAAAUAAGAACUUCAGAAAAUAAAUCUAUGCAACAAGUGAACAAGAUAGUGAAGGGGAAAAAACACCUUGUGAGAAAAAUGAUGAAAGACAAAUAGCAAGCAUUCAACAUAGGUAAAGUUUGUUUCUUCCCCCCGUCUUCCUCCUAAGCAUGUACUGCCGAGAAAGGGGAGCAAAAAGAGUUAUAAAUAAACAGAGAUGGUAUAGAUAUAAACAUCUAUGAGAUAAAUAUUAUCAGAAAACUCCAACUAAACAAGAUAUGAUAAGAAUAUGCAUUCUGAUACCUUUAAAAGCUGAACAAUAGAAGGGAGAAUUUGACGUGAAUCCUGUGGUGUUGUGUAAGGCAAAAUUUCUGCUAAAGCUUUGAGCAAAUCUAGCUUUCGUUCCUCCUGGAGCUGUAAGGCACAGACAUUAUGAAAUAUAGUCAUUCCUGUACACAGCACUAGCUAUAAGGUAGAACAAAUAGAGGCUCAUGCGAGAGUAUUCAGAAAAGAGUUCCUCAAGAAUUUCUUGCAAGGAGAAUUUCUAAUUUUCAUGGAGCAUACAGAAAUACAAAAAAUGCCAAGAGACAUCGUAUUUAAGAAACAUUUCAAGAGUUCCCAAGGCAUUAGUAUUUUCAAUUUUUUUUUCUUACUGAGUGGAUGUUAGUAUAUAUUAAGGCGUUCAGAAAUUUUAUACAUGCAGCUCAUAUUAUGGACCAUGAGCAGCUUCCCAGCAAACUCUAUUGCCAUUCAGAAUUAGGUUGGAAGUUGGAACUAUAUAACAUGCAACUUUGGCACGACCACUUCCAUAGCUUCCAGAAUCAAUCAGCAAGUAGCUAAAUAGAAAAAACAAACCUACUUGUGAAAUCAGAUCAAUCCCAAUUUCAGAAGAUCUGAUCAACUAAAAGCCAAAAGGUACCAAGGACAAUAAGGAAUUCAACAACUUCAAAUAGAAAAAAGACAUAUGCCCAAGCUCUGGAGCUCAAAGAAACUUUUAAGAUUCGUCCACAUCCAUGACAACAUUUCAAACCUUCAUAACCACUAAGGACUAGAAAAUUAGCCAUAAGAACUUUUCAUUUUGUAUCAGAAUAACAGUGCUAACUGUAAAGAAGAACGAACUAGAAGUCUAGAAUAAAUGUAAAUUAACUGAACUGAUAUCAAGGUUCAUACAAAAUGAGCUUCGGCUACACGUGUUGCAAUACUUGUGGCAAGAAAUAUGGUAUUUCACCUCAUCAAAAACAGGUAUAAUGUGCUUGUUCAAGUAGUAAAGGAACUUGCAGCCAGAUGCACCCCGCUGUAAAAUUAUUUAACGGUAAGAGACACUAGAGUACUUAAAGCAAGAUAAGUACAUAUAUAGCGCUAUCAAAUAUAGUCCUUACCACAGAAAAAGGAAGAGCCAUGGGCAAGAUAUCAACCUAUCAAUAUCAUCCGCAUCUGAAACCUAUACCAAAAACCAUGUAAAAAGUUAUAAGGUUCACAAUAAUGGCAGUGUAAUGCUACAUCAAGGAGACAAUCUUGAACAGUAAAACUAUUUUUAACUUUUAUGGUCCACAUCCUUUCACCUUUCACCACUAUUCAGAAAACAAGCACUAACAUCAAAUCGAGCAUCUAAAUCAGCCUGCCCUUCAAUUAUUCCAAGUAGUUCCUCCAAGCGUUCAGGAGGUGCUUUCUCCCCAAAUAUGCUCAAACUUUUUGUUAAAAGCAAAUGCAACUUCUAGAUCAAAUAAGAGAUAUUCGUUUGGGAAGAUUCUAGAAUAUAAAAUAAAGAAAUAGGACUAAUAUUCUAGAUGAACAAUUUAACUAUUAGAUAUUUGUAAAAUCAAUGGUAACAAUGUUGACAUUUGUAAACAAUCGAACGACCACUAAACUUUAUAAAUAGGGGUGGGAGAUUUCAUUCUUGCUAUGAUGUAAGAGUGAGCCAUAAGCAAAAGAGUGUGAGAGCUAGAGGUAGAGGUAGAGAAGAGUAGUGAGCUAAGUGUGUGUCAUAUUGUAAUUAUAUUGUAUAUUAAUAAAAGUGUUUUAUUCUCUUGUAAUUGUAAAUCUCGGUUAAGCAUUAGAUUUUUAAGUACUUAGUGCACUUGGAAUGACUUUAAUAUAUGGUUGGUUCUACCACCUGAAUGAUAUAUGGUCAACUUUGCCACCCGACUAUUAUAACACAUUAAAAAGUUAGAAAAAAGGUUAACUGACUUUAGAGAGUUAGUGUAACAUCUUCUAAACUCUACAAUAGAAUUAAAUACAAUUUAUAUUGCAUCUUCCAUAGCAAGUUUUGCAAGUUCGCAGUUCCGGUUGUGUUGUUAUGUUUCAUGCUUCACAGUAUUUUUGAUCAUUCUAAUUAGAUGUUUGUGGAUAAAGAAUAUGCACCAAAACCAACAUGUAGACAACCCAGACCGUAGAUAACUUUUACUGGGUAAUUGAAGAGAACUUAGCUCACAAUACAUAAAUGAAUACAAUCUGAUAUAUAAAGAGAAUGGUUAACUUGUUGAUAUCAUUUAAAUGGGAGACAGAAAAUGUAAGAUCUGUAUCUCUCUAAGUAAAACGAAACACCUUACAAUAAUUUCUCUUCAAUAUUUCUCCCAAGAACACAACAAAUAAUCUCAAGACCAUCCUCUCUUCUGGAGAGGAUUUAAAUAAUUUCUUGAAAAUGGAACACUUAUUCAAAAUGAAGCAUUGCAAUUCAGAAAAAAAUAUCAUUUUAAUAAGUUACAGAAUGGGCAUGUCUAAAGCUUGUAAGACAUCUUUUUUGAAACUAUAUAUUUCGAAAUAAUUACGAAUAUAUUAAUAUAUUUUUAUUUUCAAUAAAAAGGAAUCCAAAAUUCUUAUGAACCAGUUAAUUUGAAAUUGAAUUUUUAUUAAACUCAAAAUCACUAGCUUCUUUAUUGAAACAUUCAACCAGCUUGUAUCUCACAUCAUUAAGAUAAAAAGAUUGAGUGAUUUCCAAGAGCCACUUUGCUUCCUCAUCAGUAAGCUUGCUGGUGAAAACAAUAUCUCCACGAAUAAGUACCAAGUCCUUGCUUUCUGCAAAUUCUGUGUAAAAGGAUGCAGUGAAGCAAGGAGAUGCUUGAGUUCCUCUUGCUUUAUAAUCUUCAAGACCAGUGAAAAGCAUGUAUGGCAAUUGCACUGCAACAAAAUUUUGAAUAAACAUUUAACCAAACUAACAAGUUUGUGGAAGAAUGCAAAAUUUGAUUGUAUACUUCAAUGGCAUAUGCUAUCUAAAAAUCUAAUUAAGGGCUAAUGCAUGACAUCAUUAGUAUUAGUACUGUUCAUUAUAGCAAAUAACUCUAAUUGGAUUCCUGGUUCUGAUGCGUUCAACAGAAAUUUGGGAAUCAGCAUGCACAAGAAUGGCCAAUAGAUAGAAACUCUUGCGGCAAGGCAUUUCCAAUGCUUUUUCCCAACUGCAAAAGCCAUGAUGUUAUGCCUGAUAGUAUCAAAUCAAAAGUAUGGUUGAGAAUAAUGAACUCGUUAACAAUUAUGGCUCUAAACUAGCUUGUUUUUAAUACACAUUUAUUGCCACAACAGGCAUGACUCAAUAAACCAUAACAUGAUUAUGAGCAUUGUAGUAUAGAAAGCAUUUUGCCUAAGUUAAAUCAUCAGUUAUAUAGAUCACAAGCAAAAGAAGUCAACCACCGCAAAAUAAAUCAAUUGUCACAUAAAACCAGUAUGAAAAAGUUCAAAGACUAUCGAUCAAAUAACAAACCUUGAGCAAACAUUGUUGUAUAACCACUUCCUCUCCACAAAGGAAUGACAAAAUACCGGCUGCUAAGACAGAUAGAAGUGAGACUAGCAAGAAUUAUGAAACCCAACAACGUGUAUGUAACAACAUAAACAAUGCCACAAUGGAAUCAAAUGGAUUACCAAUCUGAGCCUCUUUGUUCCAAUAAACGGUAAAGUUUUGCCUUCAUGGUCAACCCAAUAUGACCUCUUCCCAAGUGAUACUGAACAUAAAAAAUUUGCUUAAUCAAUUUGUUCUUUCUUAUUAACAACAUGAAAAUGAAGAGGGAAAGAAAAGUUCAGUAAUUGGGUAUAUUUUACAUCAUCCCAAAUAGAAGCAAGGUCCUCAGGUGAACGGUUUUUUGCUCGGUUCAAAUCCAUGAUGGAAUCCAAUGGCUUGGGUUCUAAAGGCUUGAACCCAGAUGCAAAUCUCGAAGUCCUGAAAAAACCGAGUGAACCCCAUUUCAAUAAAUCUCCUGGGAUUGCUUCUUUUUCCGGGUUUUUGACACGUUGCUGCGAAGAGAAGGCAGAGAAGCAGCGAAUUGAAAGCCAAGAAGAAGAAGAAGAUGGUGUUUCUUUCAGGAUGAUAGUUCUUAGUGACAAGGAAACUUUCGCGGUUGCGGUGAUUCUUGAUGCUAACCGUUGCACUGUUUCGAGUUUUCAGGUGCGGAGUCUACUCAGCUCAAACUCGAUUCGCUGGGUGAUUUUAUCAAACAGUCUAUGUGCAAUGCUACGCAGUACAUUUCCAAGCGAAAACAGAGAAAUGCGUGCUGAGAAUAAAACGCAGCGCUGGGGGAAUGUCUGGAUAGAAAUCGGAAUUAGUUUGACCCAAAAACACAAACUUGGCCUAAAUUCUAUGGAAAAUAUUAUGAAUUGGGCUUUGCUCGAAACUGAUUUUCUUUUCUAUAAGAAUACCACACCGUAUUCAACAAUCAAAUCAUUUUAAUAAACUCCUUUAAUUCACUUUGAAAUUGAUAUUUAUAUUUUGGAUGAAAAAGAAAUACUCAAGUCUUUAUGCAUUUCGUAAUAUUGAUGUGCAUGAAGCUAUAAAUUAUUUUUGUAUUCUUUUAAUGUAAACUCAUAAUGCAUUACAAAUUGCCUAAGAAGGCCAAAAGAUUUAUCUUAUACACACUCUCUCAAUCUCAUGAUGCAAAAGAUAUAAUUGAGUGAAUAUUAAUAGUUUAAUGUGGUUUGCAUAUAAUAAUGGUACCUUAAUUCAGCGGUUUUAUUGGUAGUCCAACAAAAGGACAAAGAUCCAAAAGAUGAUCGUAAUUGUUAAUAAUCAUACAAAAUCUCACCAAACUCAAUGUCUAUGUUGAGAGAGAUAUCCGACUCAACAACUUAUUUUUGUAUUAUUAUCUACAUUAUUAUAAAUUAAUUGGACACCAAUUCAAUAAGAAAAAAAAUUAAAACAAUUUUUUAAAAGUAAAUGCUAUCACGAGGAAAAAAAUUCACAAUAAAGAGACUUGAGCAUAAUAUAUCAAGAUCUCAAAAUUUUAAAAUUUAUCAUUUCAACUAAAAUCUCGUUAAUUUUUUUUAUAAAUAAAAAAUUUUCAAAGACAUCAUAAUUAUGCCAUAAUUUAAGUGUGUUGUUGUCAUUUAAAAUUAUUUUUAAAAUAUUUUUGUGUGAAAUUACAGAAACAAUUUAAAUUUAAAAAAAAAUCUAAAAAGAAAUACAGACUGUGAGAGUGAACUUAAGAAACUUCAAUUUUUUUAGAAUCUCAACUUUAUUGAUUUAAUAAAAAAUUAGUUGUUUUUUUCUUCGAAAAACCUUUUACCCACAAUAUAUCAUUUUCACUCCUAUCGCAGAAAUGACGUAAUCUAAUUAUAUAAAGCAGAGAGAUAUAACGGUUAGAACAUGUCUAAACAGUAUAUGAAUGGGCCGAAUUACAGCGGCGAUAUAAACUAUAAACUGGUUGUUUAGGCUACAAAAUUUUGCAUCUUUGCAUGGAGGCUGCGAACAAGAAGGAAACAAUGGUUCAAUCAACUCAGACAAACCGAAUCCAAUUAAAGGUUCAACUAAUAAGAAAAAAAAAAAGGCCAAACGACAAUGUACUUUGUUUCGCAAACCCUUGGUCUGGGUGACAGUUCUGAAAUUUCCUAUUAAUUAAAGGAAUUAAAAAUGAUUAAAUUUGCCACUGCCAACUUGUCUCUUCGAUAAUCGAGAACACAGUUUUUUUCUUAGACUUUAGCUGCUUUGUUUCUUGACUGGAAAAAGUCCGUGCAAUCUCAGUUACCCAUGAUAUUCAUAAGCUUUUUCAGUUUUUUUGUUUUUGACUUUUAACACAGUCAUCAGAUGUCAUAAUCUGGAAGUUAGAAGUGGAUCAGAUUAACAGGGCAUAAGACAACGAAAGAAAAAGCAACAGAAAUUUGCAGUAAAAAAUUGAUUUUAUAUUUAUACUGCUUAUGUACAAAUUACUUCCCCCACAUGACAGCCACAAUCACAAACCUGAUUUAUAUUUGCAGACAGAUUAUUUCGGCUUCUGUAGUUUCACCCAACUCCCCCAGAACAAAAAUGUAUUUACCAAAAACCUGAUUGGGAAUUGGGACCGAACUUCAGAUGCCGUAAAAUAUGAGUAGGAAGAAACGUCCACCUAACCCGUGUCUUAGUAUUAGCACGAUAAAUAUAUAUCCAUAUUUGAAUUUCAUCUUAAGCUAAAAAGUCCAAACAAUUGCCUAAUUUCCAUAAAUAUGUACUAGUACAAUAACAAAAAGUUAAGAAAAAGGGAAUUUGAGCGUGAGAUAGUGCUAGCAGCUUUUAAUAUGCUCACAAGGAAAAGGUUCCCUUCCACUUCAGACUUGACUGAAAAGGGCAAGUAAAAUAGCAAUUGACGCAUACCCUAGAGAGAGAGGAGUAAAAGCUAAUGGCUCUGAAUCUGAUUAAUCUGUUUGACACAAGAGUUAUUUAUGAUAUGGUGGGUUUCCCUCGUUUCGUUUGCACAUGCAUUGCAUUUAAGAACUCAUGUUUGGUUGGCUAGUGGGUUUGAGUAGUACCCUCCACCCAUUAGCUUCACUGCUUUUUAUCCACCCUUCUGUUUUUCUCUUCACCCCUAAUAUUGCCUGUUUGCUUCCUUACCCUUGCUUAAUUAAUUAAUUACCAAUAGCCCAUUGGCAUUUAAAUCAAACCACUUGUAUAUAAAAAACAAGAUAAUUACCUGAAUUUGUUGUUCGUUUUAAAUCUAAGAUUCUUUUUGUGUGUGUGUGUGUGUUUUCAUAUAAAAGAGGUUAACAUGUAUGUUAGAAUUUUAAUCAUUACACAAAUCCGUGAGGAAUCGUCUUAGCUAUUAUUGGUUUCUAACAUGGCUAUGAUUAGCCAAAUCUUUACCUUAAAUUUCUAGUCAUAUACUUAUACCAGAACAGUGUCAAAGGGAAAGGUCUUAUUAUUUUGUUUCCUAUCAUUCAUGUAGGGAUUGGGUUUCACGGGAGUUGAUUAUCUUCUUUUAUAGUUGAGGCAAUUUGUAUUGUCCCACUUCAGACUUUUUAACCUGGUCUUAGCUCUUUUAUAUUCUCCACUACUAUUCCUGUCUUUGUCCUAAUCUGCCGACCAAACACACUUCACAAUCAUGCCUGUCCUUUCUCCAACUUCUUCUUCUUCUUCUUCUUCUUCCUUUGUUUUCACUUGUUUCUUCAUCAUUCUCUUUAUAACCAUAAACUCCUCCAAUCCUGUAGCCAUUACCACCAAGGCCAAACGCCCCCCACGCCAGCUUUCUGUCAAUUACUAUGCAAAAUCUUGCCCUCAAGUUGAGCAACUCGUCGGCUCCAUCACCUCCCAACAAUUCAAAGAAAUCCCUGUCUCUGCACCUGCCACCAUUCGCCUCUUCUUCCAUGACUGCUUUGUAGAAGUAAUGCAAAUUAUAUUCAAUUACUUAUCAGUUCUUACUUCUGCAUGCAUGCAAGCACAUGUUAGCAUUAAUGCGCCUACAAUGCUCCAUUGAUUUCCAACCAUAUAAAAUUUUAGCUGAUGAUUGAUUCAAAAUUUUGGCUUGGAUUACUGUUAUAUUGUAGGGUUGCGAUGCGUCUAUCCUUAUAGCAACACAGCCUGGAAGUAAAAUAUUAGCAGAGAAAGAUGCAGCGGAUAACAGGGACCUGAGAACAGAGGGGUUUGAUACAAUAACGAGAGCCAAGGCUUUGGUGGAGAGCAAAUGCCCCGGCAUUGUCUCUUGCGCUGAUAUUCUUGCAAUUGCAGCCAGAGAUUUUAUCCAUUUGGUUAGUGCAACCGUUUUCACUUUUUAUUGGUCUCGGUUUGCUUCUCAUCUCAUGCAUUAGAUAUUAUCUCUGUUUACAAUCAUAUUGCUGAGGGGAAAAAAACAAAGAAAUUAAUUUGAUAUCGUUACAUGCAUAUCUUCCAAUUGGGAUGAUGUUUCCAGAGUCGAAGAUUGGAGAAAAAUAUAUAUUAAUAUUACUUAUUUUCUGCAUUACAGCUAUACUUAUCAGUUGAAACUCUCUAAUAAGACAGGAAAGAUAUUCAUAUUUCCAUGUGCCUAUUUUGUCUACAACGAAACUUGUUGAUUAACAGCCAAGAUUCUGCUACUAAGCUUGUCCUACUACCUGAUCUUGACUUCGACCUUAUGUUAAGUCUCCAACAUGUUUGAUUUUAUUAUAUCACUAUCAAUGUUAAGACAGCCGAGACCUUUGGUUUUAAUUAAUUCAUCUUAAGAUAUGUUGGUUUUUAACUAACGAGGAAGUUUAGUAAAUAUUUAAUGGACACUGGUUUUACUGUGAUUUAAUGUGUUUCCAGGCUGGGGGACCUUAUUACGUAGUGAAGAAAGGAAGGUGGGAUGGGAAAAUAUCAAUGGCAUCCAGGGUCCCCAACAAUCUCCCACAUGCAAAUUCAACCGUCGACCAACUGAUCAAACUCUUUAGCUCAAAAGGGUUAACCAUCCAGGACCUCGUUGUGCUCUCAGGUGCGCACACCAUCGGCUUUGCCCACUGCAAGAACUUCGUGGACCGACUCUACAAUUAUAAAGGCACUAAGCAGGCUGACCCUGCCAUUGAUCCAAGGCUACUAAAGGCCCUGAAGAUGUCAUGCCCACAGGUUGGUGGUAAUGCUGACAUUGUGGCUCCAUUCGAUGUCACCACCCCAUUCGUAUUCGACCAUGCUUAUUAUACAAAUUUACAGAGCAAACUGGGCUUGUUAGCUUCAGACGAAGGUCUAUUUUUGGACCCGAGGACCAAGCCUCUGGUCCAAUCUUUUGGGCUAGACAAGGCAAAGUUUUUCCUGGCCUUUUCAGCAGCUAUGGAAAAAAUGGGCUCAAUUGGCGUCAAAAGAGGAAGAAGACAUGGAGAGAAAAGGAAGGCUUGUAGCAUACACAUGUGAAGCUUUUUUUUCCCUUCCCAUUCAUAUCCCUCCCCCUUCCCUUUUUUUUAGUUCUAAGCUUUCUUUUAUUUAUUGAUUGGGAUUUUGUAGGCUUUUGUGAAUGUCUAGAAAUUUAAGUCCCCAAACAACAUGGAACUUGGUAGAUAGGAGACCUUUAUAUCGAUCACUUUUCAGUGGUUCUGUUUUUCUUUUUGAAUUAUCUUGACCGCAAAGUGAGAGAAAAUUUGUAGGCUUACCGUCAAGCUAUAAUUACAUCGCACUUUAUUUUAAGUUAUUAUUUCCUUUCCAUAAACCUCCAAGAAAGGAUAUAUUUGGGCAUGCAAACGAAAAAAAAAAGAAGCAUCUUCAAAUUUAGAGUCAAAGCCUCAAGUAGUCUCUUUAAGCGAGACUUCAGAAAGGGCUCCACACAAAAACAGUGGUGAAUUCAAUAAAUAUUUUUUAGGGAGGUUGGAAAUUUAAUUAUAUUUUUGAUAGAUUAAAAUAUAAAUUUAUUAUAUAUUAAUUUAUAAUUUUAUCAUUUUUGAAGGAAUUAAAAGUUAAGAAAAGUGAAAAACAUAGGCUAAAUACUAAGGAUAUACAGGAAAAUAAAAUAGAAUCAGAAAAUGAGAAAAUGAAUUCCUUCAUUCUCCUUAAUGGAUCAUUUUUUGGUACAUUUAUAGUAGAGAUUGAGAGCAAAAACAGAUUUUAGUAAUGGAGAAUAAGAGGAGCAACGUGGAGCAAUCUGUUGAGGAGAAUGAAAACAGAAAAACAGAAAUUCUUGGCUGCUGUGAAUGACGACAAAGGUUAGGAGCCUUCACUGGUCAUUUGACACCUGUCCAUACUAGUAACGUUUCUUUCAACAUCCUCUCCAUCAUCUACAGCUUGUGGUGAAGAAACACAUAAAGCUUUGCGAAAGUGAGAAAAGUCUUUAGGUAAGAUGGGUUUAGUGAGAGCAUCAGCAAUUUGUUUAUUUGAGGGGAUAUAGUUGACUUGCAAAGCUCCAGAGACAACCUUUUCCCUCACAAAGUAUAGAUCAAUCUCAGCAUGUUUAACUUUUGAGUGGUGAACUAGAUUGGCAGAGAUUGAAACGGCAGAGGUAUUAUCACACCAUAUAAUUGGUGUGUGUGAGAGACUUAUACCAAGUUCUUCAAGAAGUUGCUGUAAUCCAAGCAUUUUAGAGGCACAAUUAGCUAAGCUCCUAUAUUCAGCUUCAGUAGAUGAACGGGAGACAACUGACUGCUUUUUAGAUGACCAUGUGAUAGGAUUUGGUCCUAAGAAAAUACAGUAGCCGGUGGUGGAGCGUCGAUCUUCAGGAGUGGAGGCCCAGUCAGCAUCCGAAUAUCCAACAAGAUUAAAACACCCCUUUUUGAACCGCAAUCCAUAAUCAAGAGUUCCAUUGAUGUACCUCAAUACUCUUUUUACAGCUUUCCAAUGAGUGCCUAGAGGAUGAUUCAUAUAUUGACUUAGUUUAUUAACACAAUAGGUGAGAUCUGGUCUGGUAAUACAAGCAUAUUGAAGAGUGCCGAUUACACUUCUAUAUAAAUGAAUAUCUUCAAAUGGAGUACCAUUAUUGCGAGUAAGAUGAGGGAGACCUACCAUUGGCGUAGGAGUAGGUGUGGCACCAUACAUACCAGUUCGAUGAAGUAGUUCCAGAAGAUAUUUCUUUUGUGAAAGUAAUAAGCCACCAGUCAUAGAGCAAAUCUCAAUACCAAGAAAAUAUUGAAGAGUUCCAAGAUCUUUAAUAGCAAAUCGAGAGUGAAGUUGGGUGACAAUAUCAUCAAUAUCAGAUUGAGAAUUACCGGUUAAAACAAUAUCAUCAACAUAAGCCAUAAGAAACACUUGUGAGCGGGCAGUGUGUCGAAUAAAGAGUGAAGAAUCAAUUUUGGAAGGCUUAAAACCCAAGUUGGAGACAAGGAAAUCCUUUAGAGUGUUGAACCAAGCUCGUGGAGCUUGUUUAAGGCCAUACAAUGCUUUGUUGAGCUUACAUACUAAUGACUCACCGUUCAACCCCUAAGCUUCGAAUCCCGGUGGUUGUUGCAUAUAAAUUUCUUCAGUAAGAAUACCGUUAAUGAAUGCAUUAUUUACAUCAAUUUGACGAAGACUCCAUUCUUUCAUAACAGCAAUAGCAAGAACAAUCCGUAUAGUGUUGGCACGAACUACUGGGCUGAAAGUAUCAACAAAGUCAGAACCGACAUUUUGAGAGAACCCUUUAGCGACAAGACGCGCUUUGUAACGGUCCACUGUACCAUCUGGUUUCUUCUUAACUUUGAACAGCCAUUUACAUCUGAUAGCACGAUGAGAAGAUGGUAAAUGAGCUAAUGUCCAAGUGUUAUUUUUUUAUCAAAGCUUGAAGCUCACUGUGAACAGCAUUUUGCCAGUGAGGAUAACGCAUAGCACUAUGAAUAUCAGAGGGUAACUCAGGGUCAAAGGAAGUUGCUUGAGAAAGUAGAAUUUUGGGGCGAAAAAUUCCAGCUUUGCUUCUAGUUAUCAUGGGAUGGGUGUUUGUGGUGGAAGCUUGUUGUGGUUCAAAAUUUUCAGUUUGGUCAAUUUGUGGUGAGAGUAUAGAAGUAGAAUGUGAUGGUGGGUUAAUUGUAGUGUGGGAAUUGUCAGAUAAAGUAGGAGAGUGGGGUGGUAUAUAGGACAAAGAUGGGGGAUUAUCAAGUGAGCAUUUGGUGGGUCCCAUGGUGUGUGUAGGAGUAGUAGAAGAAAUAUGUGGAGGUGAUGGACUUGUGUGACGUGAUGGAGGGGAUGAGUUGAUAGGUGAUGGCACAAUAUACAAGGUAGUGGUUGAAUUUUUAUUUUGGUGAGGUAAAAGCUGAGAUUGGGUUUGUUUAAAGGGAAAUUGUUGUUCAUUAAAAAUAACAUGACGUGAAAUAAUGGUUUUACCCUCUGAUGUGCGGCACCGAUAUCCUUUAUAUAGAGGAGAAUAACCAAGAAAAACACAAGGCUCUGACCGAAAAUUUAAUUUGUUCCUGUUAAAGGGGCGUAAAUUUGGAAAGCAGAGACACCCAAAUACAUGACAGAAUUGAUAAUUUGGUUUUGUCCCAAAAAGUUUUUCAAACGGAGAAAAGCCAUCUAACGCCUUGGUAGGAAGUCGAUUAAUAAGAAAAAUAGCACUUGUAAAGGCAUCAUUCCAGUAGUGUAGAGGCAUACCAACAUGAGCAAGCAUCGACAACCCGGAUUCAACAAUUUGGCGAUGUUUCCGUUCAACUAUGCCAUUUUACUCAGAAGAAUGAGGGCAUGAUAAACGAUGAAUGAUACCAUGGUACGAUAGAUACCCUUUUAAAGCUUGAAAUUCUCCACCAUUGUCAGUUUGAAGUACUUUUAUCUUGUGACCAAGAAGACGUUCCACCAUCUUAUGAAAUUGAAUAAACACACUUAAAACAUCUGAUUUUCGAGUGAGAAAGUAUAUCCAUGUAUAUCUAGAAAAAGCAUCUGUAAAUGCCACAUAAUAGGAGAAACCAUUUGAUGUAAUCGGUGCUGGUCCCCAAACAUCAUAUAUAAUUAAUUGUAACGGUGUUGUAUACUCAGUCAAGGAAUUUGUAAAAGGCAGUUUACGAGCUUUUCCCAUUUGACAUGCUGGACAACAGUCACCAAUUUUAUUAUCAUGAAAUGAAACAUUACAAUUUUGAAGAGCUUGAACAAGAGUAGAGCGGCAUGGAUGCCCAAGACGAGCAUGCCAUAAAGACAACGGAGUAGCAUGCGAAGCAACAUAACAUUGGGCAGAUGGAUUUGAAGAAGAAAAUGGCAACUUUAAAUGAUAUAAACCACCAUGAACAUCUCCAUGCAACAGAACUUCAUUUGUCUUUAGGUCCCGAACCUUGCACUCCUUUGGAAAAAACUCAAACAUCACUUGAUUAUCACUAGUGAACUUGGAAACGGAGAGAAGAUUUUUAGUAAUGCCAGGAACAUAAAGUAAAGAGCGCAUGACUAAAGGUCGUGUUUGAGUAAUUAAAGACAAUUGACCAGUAUGCAUAACAGGAAGACCACAACCAUUACCAACAUAAAUUGUACCUGGUCCAGAAUAUGAAGCUUUUUCACCCAUGGAUUCAGAAGAGUGAGUUAUGUAAUGGGUAGCACCAGAGUCUGUGUACCAACUUGGAUCACUUACUGUCUCAGGAGUUGCAAUAUAAGUAUUGGCAUUAUUAGGCAGAGUAGUGGUUGGUGGCAUGGAGGCAUUAGCAUUCUGGAGAGGUGAGGUUUGAUAAAUCCAAUACCCAUGUGGUUCAAGUGAAGGAGGUGGGGCCCAUGGUGCUGUCCCACUAUUAUGCACAAAGGAUGACCCACCAGUUGGUGUCCAUUGAUGGGUGUUGAAGGUAGCAACAUAGGCUUGAGGAGCUUGUGUUCCCGGUUGUGAAGAGGGAGGUCUGUAAGUAGAAGCCUUAUAGUUUUGAUCGAAACGAAAGUAGCAUCGAUCUACCAGAUGCCCGGGCUUUCCACAAAGUUGGCAUUGGAGCCUAGAAUUAUUGGAUCGACCCCUUCCUCGACCUCGAAAAGAGGAAUGAUUGGGUGGUCUGUAAGAGGGUGUUUCUCCAUUAUUUUGAGAACUUUGAGUGGUAAUCAUAUUGGCAGCAGCUAGAAUAGAGGCGAGAAGAGUUUGUUGUCGCGCUUCAGUAUCAAGAAAAAGUGUGGAUACCGUUUGAACGCUGUAUGGAAUAGGACUAGCCGAGAUGACAGUAAUGACAGAUUCAAAAUCAGCAGAUAAACCAUUUAAAAUAGCCGUAACAUGCUCAUAUUCACUAACCAUUUCUCCACAAUUUGCUAAGUUAUCACAGAAACUUUUAAUUUUAAGUAAAUAAUCCUUCAUGCUCAAAUCACCUUUGCGUUGAGAGUGAAGUGCUCGACGAUAAAACAUUAACUUGGAGGUCGUUUUGCUGCCAUAGACACGUGCCAAAGUUUGCCAUAUUUGAGAAGAAGUGUUCAUUCCAAUAAGGUGAGGAAGAACAGUUUGACUCACUGAUGAAAGCAACCAAGAAGCAAGGGCACUAUCUUGUUGCUCAUAUCUUGCAAAAUCUGGGUUUGGUGUUGACCCACCACUUUCAUCGGGUAUCAUUGAGGGAGGUGGAACCAGGGUGCCGUCUAAGUAGCCUUGAAGUUUGAAGGUUUUGGCUGCCAGUAAAACUUGUUGCUGCCACAAUAAGUAGUUGUCAUCAUCUAGGAUAAUAUUAAGCUUUUUGGUUGCAAAAAGUCUUCUAUCAAAGCCAUCGACGGAGCUUCCAAUCGCACCGGAGGCAGUGACAGAUUCAGUCGUUUGACUGGUGGCGUUACUGUUGGUGUUGUUCAUAACGAAAGCUUAAUCCGUGAGGAAGAAAGGCUCUGAUACCAAGUUAAGAAAAGUGAAAAACAUAGGCUAAAUACUGAGGAUAUACAAGAAAAUAAAAGAGAAUCAGAAAAUGAGAAAAUGAAUUCCUUCAUUCUCCUUAAUGGAUCAUUUUUUGGUACAUUUAUAGUAGAGAUUGAGAGCAAAAACAGAUUUUAGUAAUGGAGAAUAAGAGGAGCAACGUGGAGCAAUCUGUUUAGGAGAAUGAAAACAGAAAAACAGAAAUUCUUGGCUGCUGUGAAUGACGACAAAGGUUAGGAGCCUCCACUGGUCAUUUGACACCUAUCCAUACUAGUAACGUUUCUUUCAACAUUAAAUAGAAAUUAUUUCAUUUUUUGGAAGUUAAAUGUAAUUUUAUUAUAUAUUAAUUUAUAUUUUUUUAUUUAUAAAAGGACUGAAUUGAAAAUUUAUUAUUUUGGGGCUAAAGUACAAUUUCACUAUAUAUAUUAAUUUAUAGUUUCUCUAUUUAUAAGAGGAUUAAAUUGAAAACUUUUCUCUUUUGAGUUACCUCUACACAAAAAUAAGCAGAAAAUUCUUUUACUGGUUGAGUAAACUACACUAACAGUCAUCUCAUAAUGAGUAAGUUUCUUUUAUGAUCAUCAACUAAAAAAAAAGUUAUAAUUUAGUCAUUAACACUUUCGAGAUUGUUUUUUUUAUCACCAUUAAGUAACGGAAUGAUAAUGUGACACUUUUUAAUUGAUCUAUAAAAACAAAUUUAGUCAUAAGCUUUUAUACUUAUUGUCUAUUUGGUCAUGAUUUUGUAUAAAAAAUUAUAAUAAAUAUAUAAUAAAAACUUAACAUAUAUGUAAAUACACAAAAUGUUAAUAAAUAAUAAAUAUUAUAUAAAGAUUGUUAUGGUACUUUCAUAUAUUAUUUAUGAGGAAGGAUUCAUUUACAUUGGUGCAAAACUAAAGUUGUUUUACAACAUUUAGUAUUUGUUUUUGUAGAAUUAAUAUUUUAACAAUCUAAUCAUAAUAUUUCAUAUUUCAUUCAUAUAGAUCAUGCAUGUUAAAUUUAACAUGAACUAAAAAUUUCUAACUAUUUGUUUUAUGCAAAAAGAAUUCAACCAUAUAAUAAAUAUUAAAAUAUACAAUAUUUUAGAUCAAAGUGAUAGAGAUAUCAAAUUGGUUCUAAAGUUUACAUACAUGACAAGUACAAUUAUAUCAUAAAUUAAAUGGUUGAAUUGUUAAAACAUUAAUCCUACAAAAAGAUAUGAAAGGGUGUAAAAUAAUUUUAUUUUAUAUCAUUGUAAGUAAAUUCUUCUCUAUUAUUUUUAUUAUUUUUUACAUAAUAAGUGUCUUGCUUAUAUAUAAUUUAGAUGUUGGCAUGGUUUUUUUUUUUCAAUGGUCACAUAGUCACAUGGUCAUAUCUUUAAUGUUUGUUUAUCUUCACAUGAUAGGGUUUUUUUUUUUACUUAAUUAUGAGGAUCCUAAUUUAAUGUGCUAAUAUUGGACUGAUCAUGGAAACACUAAAGAGUUUAGGGCAUGACUUGAAUAGGAAGAUGAACAUUUACUAUGUUGAGUUUGGUAAAUCAUUGAGCAUGCGGUUGAGAAUGUUAAAUGAAAAGGAUGCCAUUGUGUUAGAACUAGCAACCCAAUUAGUGAAAGGUGGGUUCUUGACAUAUAUGUUAAACAUUUGGAUGCUAAAAUUGAGCAUGACAUCCCUACUGCAUUGCUUGAACCUUUUGAGGAUGUUCUUGACAUAUAUGUUAAACAAUAGUGUACUAUGUAAGGGUGAAGCAGAUGAAAAUAGUGCAUAAAUGGUGUUUAGGGUAAUGUUGGUAGUGUUUCAAAUGUUAGGGGUAUUAAUCUAGGAGGCAAUUGUUAGGAUGAGUAUAGCAAUAGGGUGAAGGUUUAGGGUGGUAAUAAGUAUUUUGUUUCAUCUUACUUCAAAAAUUUUAAAGGCACCAACAAGGAAUUAGAUGAAAAUUAUGUUAAGAAAGUGAAGUCUUAUAAUACUUAUAAUACUUACUAUAAAUUUGUUCCUUUAGAUGAUUUUUUUAUUAGACUUUUUUUGAAUAGUUUUGUUAUAUAUUCCGAUCAUAUCUGCUCUUUUUGAUACAAUACCUAAAACUACCCAUAGACCCUCCUAACUCAUAAAUAGAAAGAUAAUGCGCUUCAGCGUACUCGAACCCACAUCCUCCUGCGUUGACAAUAAUAUUCAUACGAAUUAAGCUAAUACUCAAUCGAUUCUAUUGCUCUUAUAUAUGGUGUAACAGCCUAAUUUUCAGUGGUGUCGGAAAUAGUGAUUCGAGAUCACUAAAUCCGACCAAUGAGUCUUAAAAUUUAAUAAACUAAUAAUUAUGGGUAAAGUGUGAAUUUAUAAGAAUUUUUGAAUUAAUGAAUUUUUUUAUUUAUUGAAUUUUGUGAUUUAAAAAGAAUUUAAUAGGUAAAUUGGGUCUAAAAUGAGGUAUUGAGACCUCGAGUUCAUAAACCAAGCUAUAAAUAUUUAUGGAGUGUCAUUGAGUUAGUAUAAAAGUUUCGUUAGAAAAUUUUAACGUUUGGAUAGUCAAUUAAUUAAAAAAGUCUAAAUUGAAAAUAAUGUAAAAUUUGUUAAAUUGUGAUUAAAUAGCUUAAGUGACUAAUAAGGAGGGAUUUCAAAGGCAAUUAGGCCUAAAGUAUAUAGGCUGGAUGGUUGGGUAAGAAAAAUCAGCAAGAAAGUAAGGAGAAACAAGGGCAAAAUUGGAAACUUUACAAAUUAAAUAUAUAAAACAAAGACAAAAGUGAAAAAUCUAGAGAUUUCUUCAUAAUUUGUCAGCAAAAACGCCAUAGGAGGUCUGAAACAAGCUGGUUUCUCAUAUUUUUAUAUCAUGUGAGUUCAAUUCUUGCUUUUUCUUUGAAAUUUUUAUGUUUUAUAAAUUUUACAAUUAGGUCCAACUAUUGAAUUCAUUAGUUUUUGAUUACAUGGGUGAUUUUUCAAGUUACUAUGAAUAAUUUCUGGAAUUUUAUUAUGAAUUAAUAUAUAUUUGAAGUUUUAAUUUCAUUAUAUUAUGAUUUUAUUAAGUGAUUUUAGCAUAAAAUGAUUUUUAGGACCUAAUUGUGAAAGAGUUAGGAAUUGAGGUUUUGUACAGAAAUUAUGAAUAUAAAAGGCUUUAUAGUAGUCUAAAAUGGUUGGAUAAGGUGUUAAUUGAGAAAAAUUAGAUCAAUUGAAGGGUUAAUUGAGUAGGGACCAAAUUGUAAAAAUUGUAAAUUUUGGGGGUAAAUGUGUAAUUUCGAAAAUUGAAAGGCAUAAAUUGUGAAGUAAAUUAGUAUUGAAUUAUAUGCUAAUGAAUGGAAAAUUUUAUAUUAUAGAUCGGGAAUCCGAAGAUAAACGCGGAAAAGAGAAAGUAUCGAACUAGUUUCUGAACUUUUACAACUCCUACUAGUUGGCCCAGGUAAGUUCAUACGGCUGAACUUUUAUGAUUAAUUGUUAAUGUGGGAAUGAUAUAAUGUAUCAAUGUAACAACCCAAUUUUGACCCUAAUCGGAACAGUGGUUUCGGGACCACAAAUCCGAAUUAGAAAAAAAUAUUUUAAUAUUAUUUUGUGUGUUUAUGAUGUGUGAAUUUAAUUGUGUGAAAUUUUCGUGUUUUAAUUUUUUCGUUUGAGAGAUUGAUUAAAGAAAAUGGCUUAAUCGCGUAAAAUGAAAAUUUAGGGGUUAAAUCUAAAGGAACCAAAUUGUUGUUGUCUUUAUUAAAUGGAGGAUUUAUGAUGUAAUAAGGCCAAAAUAUAGUUAGUGGGUGGCAAAGUACAAGUAUAGCCUUAUAUAUAUGUAUAUAUAUUUAUAUAAAGGUUAAUAAAGUAAACUAAUUAUUAAUGUUAGUGUAUGUUUAAUAUAUUAAAAUUAAAGCAUUAUUUCUCCAUCUUUUGGUCGAAACUAAGAACAAAGAAGAUUGUUUAAAAGCUUUAAUAUAUUCGGCACUUGCAAGCUUGAUUGAGGUAUGAAUUUUGUUUGUUUUUUUGAUAAUUUUUACGUUUUUGAGAUCGUUGCUUUGAAUACUUCAAAAUCCAUGUCUUAAUUUUGUGAAUUGUUGAUGAUUUUGAAAUGUGUCAUUGAUGAAUGUUUAAGUUUCAUGAUGUUAGUUGAUGAAAUAUGAAAUAUAAUUGUUAGAUUAACAUGUUUUGUCUUUGAAUUUUUGGUGAAUUUGAGUAACUAGGGCUAAAUUGAGAAAAUAAAUUUUUGAAGGACUAUAAUGUGAAAUAAAUAAAAUGCAUGAGCUUGUAUAGACACUAGGAAUAUUCGGCCCUUAAGCAGUGUAGUCAAAAUUUGUGUAUUUUGUGUUUUGAGCAAAAAGGAUUAAAUUGUAAAAAGUGUGAAAUUUUAGGGGCAAAAUUGUAAUUUUCCCAUUCAUGUGUUUUUAGGGUAAGUUGAACAGAAUGGUGUUUAAAUAAGCUUAAUUUGAAUAUUUUUAGAUCAAGAAUUAAAGAAAUCGAUUUUGGAUCGGGGAAAGACAAAAGUGGUCGAGUAGCCGAUUUAGCAAUCGACGACAUCCGAGGUAAGUCGAUAAGCAUUUAAAUGUUGUUAAAUUCAAGAAUAUAUAAAUGAUAAGUGAUAAAUUAAAUUAUUUAUUUGUUAUAUGUUUUGGCCGAAAAUGAUUAUUAAGAUAGGAAUUUUCUUUCGAGUUCGAUUCGAUCGAUAAUCAACGCCUAAAAGCCCCGUACGAACCCUAGGAAUAGAUAGGAUACUUAUGUCUAGGACUCCGAUAUGUGUUUUCGUGUAAGACCACGUCUGGGAUGUCGGCAUCGACUUGUGUUUUCGUGUAAGACCCUAUCUGGGACAGUGGCAUUGGUAUGUGAUUACAUGUAAGAGCACGUCUGGGACGUUGGCAUUGUACUAGCUUUUUAAUUAUCCAUGUAUCCUUUUUAAUUCCGAAUGGUUCAACGGGCAAUGUUAAGUGAAGACCAAAUGUGAAAUUGAAACAAUAAUAGUGUUCAGGUAUGUAUUUAUAUCAUGCUAUGAAAUUAAGGUAAGUUGUAUAUUGAAUUGAUGAUACAAAGUUAUUUGAUAUAUGAACAAUAUGUGAGCAUGUUUGUGCUUAUAAGUGAUUUGUAGUUUGGCUUAUUAUUGUAGUUUUUAAAUUAUAUUUUGAUAAGUAUACAAUAAUUGGAGUAUUUGUACAUUAAGCUAUUAAAGUUAAAUGUUUAUUUAUAUUUGAUUUGGUUGGUUUAAUAUUAAUGUUAAAAUGAAUAAUGUUUGCUUAUGACUUACUAAGCUUAAAUAGCUUACUGUGUGUAUGUUGUUCUUCGUUUUAUAGAUUUUGGAAGUUGGUUACGAGCUCGGGGAUCGUCAGAGAACAUUAUCACACUAUCGACUCCUCUCGGUAUUUUGUAAAUUUUGAAUUCGAUCUUAUGGCAUGUAUAGCGUAGCUGAAAUGCUUGAAUUUAGAUUAUGUAAUAUUAAGCCAUGCGAAAAUGGUUUAAUUUUCUUGUUUGUGUUCGGUUUUGGGCUGAAUUAUGGUUUAAGCAUACUUUAAUCAUGGAUUAGUAUUUUAUGGUUAGUAUUUAUAUGGUAAUGUAUAUAUAUAUGUGUGCAUGGUGAUUUCAUUCAAGUGUUUCGGUAAUUAUGUGGUAGAAGUAAUUAAGUUGUUAUAUUCAUUAAGAUAAGUAAUGUUAAGUUAAGUGUCUAGGUUAUGUAUUAUAUAUGAUUUGGUUGGAUUUAGUAGUUAAGUGAAUAUAGGGGAUGAUUUAUAAAUUGAAGUAUGCUUGUAAAUGUUGGUGAUUAAUUACGUUUGGCUUAUUGAUAGAGUAAAUGAUUGUAUAUGCUGUCAAAUUUUGAUGUACAAAUGCAGUCCAAUUAUAUAUGUAUAUGCUGUCAAAUUUUGAUGUAUAAAUGUAGUCCAAUUAUAUAUGUAUAUGCUGUCAAAUUUUGAUGUACAAAUGCAGUCCAAUUAUAUAUGUAUAUGCUGUCAAAUUUUGGUGUGAAAAAUGCUAUCUAGUUUGGUAUAUAAAUGCUGUUCAAAUUGAUGUAUAAUAAUUGUCCAAAUAGGGUAGACCACCUAUGUUGUAAUAUGUAGUAUAGUUAGUAACUUGAAAUGAAAUAUGUGUACAAAUAAAUGUUUGGAUAUAUGCUUGAAUUUUGAUAUAUAAUCAUAUAUGUUUGGAAAUGUUUUAAGAAUUUGAAUGAUAAUAAAUUUUGAUUAGGUAAAUGAUAAUGAUAUGGUUGAAAUUUUGAGACAUGGUUAGUAUAUGUAAUUUGAUUUAUGAUGCAUGUUUGAUUUUAAUUGGUUAUGUAUUUAUAUAUAUGUAUAUAUAUAUGGAAUGAAAUUUCGUGGUUGAGUUAGUAUAAUUUAUAAUAAAAAAAAUUUGAGUUGGGUUUUGAUCUGUAAAGCCUUGUAACUCUAAUUCGGCGACGGACUCGAGUUGGGGGUGUUACAAUCAAUCUGUAUAUUGUUGUUGAAUUAUGAUUAUGGUAAAAAUGAGAUUAAAAUGAGAUUGUUAGUUCAAAUUAAAGGAUAUGUAGGAUUGAGUACAUACGUUCGAAAACCAGUGAUGAAUUGACGAAGAAGUCCAUGGUGGAUCCAUGGCAAAGUGUGAAACGUAGGUAUGGUAUUCCAGUGAAGAAAACCAUACUGAGCUGUGAAAAGUAGGUAUGGUAUUUCGGUAAAGAAAACCAUAUUGAGUUGUGAAAAGUAGGUAUGGUAUUUCCGUGAAGAAAACCAUACUGAGUUAUAGCCUUGUGAAAUAUUCAAGCAAAUUGUGGCACCGGGCAAACGAUGUACUCAAUUCCGUAAGACGAUCCUUAAUUUGACAGGUAUUUGUAAGUGCAAUUGAAGCUAAAUGUCGAAAUAGAAGUUGACAUCUAAUAUUGAGUUCGACUGGAUAGAUUCAUUGUUUGAGAUUGUGGUUGGCAAGAAAUGUUGAAUUUUUAUUUGUUUAUUAAUGUUGUUAGUGAAAUUUUGGCAAGAUUUUAUUAUGAGCCUAUGAACUUACUAAGCUUUCUGUAAGCUUACUUAUACGUGUUUAUUAUUUCUUGUAGAUUGACGUAUAUAUAUAUCUUCGGAGGAUCGGAUCUACAUCAACGAUCACACUAUCCAGAUUUACUCCGGUAGAUUUUGUUAAACAACUUUUUGAUUUAUAUGGCAUGUAUAGGGAGUUGGUCAGUUUGUGUGUAUUCUUAUGAUAUGGCUAAGAAGUAACAAGUAAAUAUUUGAUAAUGAUUAACUAUUGAAUUGACUAUAUAAGAAUGUGUUUUGGUAUUGUGUAUGCUUAAAUGAUAGUUAAUGCAAAAAAAUUAUAAAAGCGUAAAAAUUUGCAAUGGAACAGUUUUUGGAUAGCAGCAUUGAUGUGAUUUUGAAAAAUCACUAAAAAUGGUGGAAAUUGAAUUAGAAGUUUAGUGAGAUAUAAAAGUAAAGAUGAAUGAGUUUAUUUUCACAUGAAAGAUAUAGAGUAAGCAAAAGAGUAUAUUUUUAGAUAUUUUAAUUUUAGUGAGAUAAGGUCAAAAUAGUUUUUAAAAUCCCCUGUUCUGACUUUAGAAAAUAAUUAAAAAUUGUACAGAAAGAAUUGGGAGUUAUAAUUUAUAUGACUAGAUUCCUUAGUGAGUCUAUUUUCAAUAGAAAUAAACGAGAAUGUUAUCCGAAUUUUGUACAAUGAGAUAAUUAUUUUUUAGUGAAGAGGGGUUAGAGCUGUCGAAUAGUGAAACAGGAGAGACUUUAAAGAAUAAACUGUACUAAUUGGCUAAACCAAAAAUUUUGAAAAUUUUAUUGUAAGGAGAUAUAUGAGUCUAGUUUCAGGGAAAAUUUACGGAUCUAAAUUUUGAGUUUUGUAACUUGAGUUAUAAUUAAAUUAGUGACUAUUGUGCAGGUGGACAGUUUUAUUGUGAAUAAUGAAAUGAAUUGUUUUAAUUUGUUUUAGUAUUUGAAAAAUUAUUAAUGUUCCCGGUUUGGACUUGAACUGUUUUUAUUGCAUGAUUUAGGGUCUCGAGAUUCCUUUUUAGGGACAUAUUGAAUGAACGUGAGUGAAUUAAUUUUUAAAAGCAAAUUUUUUAUGUUCCGAACUAGUAAGUUAGGUUAGGUAAUGCUUCGUACUCACUCCGAUAAUGGUCUCGGGUAAGGGGUAUUACAUAUGGGCUCUUUAAAAAUCAAUUGCGUGAUUUUCCAAUUAGGAGAAAAUUAAAGUUUAAAUAUAAAAAGAGUGAUAAUUCAAGAAUAAAAAGUAUAUGUAGUAUCAAGGGAUACAAUUAUAGGGAGAGUAAUUAUUAGAGGCUACAAUAAAUGGAAUAGAACAGUUUUAACAUUUGUGGUUAGGCUUUAUUAUUUUAAUGAGUUUAUAAAACAUAAAAGAUUAAUUAUUACAAUUGCUUCAAUGGAUGUUUUGUAAAAAGAAAGGCUUAUAAUAAAUUUGACAAUUAAUAUUUAUAUGUUUUGUCAAAAUAAUCUUAAUUAUAUUUUUGAGUUUUUUUAUCAUUAAUUUUUGUUCAUUUUUUUCAAAUUAAUUUUUUUAACAGAUUUGAUGAAAAUACCCUUAAAAAAGUUAACGGGAUAAUGUGAAAUUUGAUAUGAAGAAUAUUUUUAAUGAGAUAUAAUUUAUUACUUAGAUAACUUAAAAAAAUAAUUACAUGUAUAAAAUAAUAAAAUAAAUAAAUAAUUCAUGAAAUUUAAAAAAUAAAUUUUAAUUAAAAGAAAAUAAAUGUAAUUAUCUAAAAAAAUUUCAAAAUGAAGCACAGAUUCAAUAUUUUUUGGUUUGAUUUACUAAUUAUCUUUUUGAAAUCUCUUAGUAAACAAACGUAUGCAUUCAUUUUCAAACCUUUUUUAGAUAAUUAUAUUUAUUUCCUUUAAUUUAAGAGUUAUUUUUUUAUUACAUGUAUGAUUUUUAUUAUGUAAUUAUUUUUUGGGUUGCCUAAAUAAUAAAUUACAUCUCAUUAAAAAUAUUUCAUAUAAUUUCUGUUAAUUUUUUAAACAGUACUUUCAUAAAAUCCGUUAGAAAAAACAGUUUGAAAAAGAAAACAAAGUUUGAUGGUAAAAAAAAACUAAAAAAAUAUAAUUAGGACCAUUUUGACAAAAUAUAUAAACUCUAGUGACCAAACUUGUGAUUAAGAAAAAAAGAGAGGAAAAGUUGAAAGGACAUUAAAGGCAGCCGACAAUUGCAGUCAGAAAUUCAAUCAAAGCAGUGCAUCGCCAAUCAAUGCGAAUAGCUCAAAAUUCAUUAAUUUUCUUUUUCGACAUUUUUUCUUGGAUCACAAAAUCCCCCAAAAAGGUAGCAAUAGCUGUAAGUUACCUGCAAUGAAGACUAAAGGUGGGUUUAGCAUUGAUGUUUGAAAUAAUGUUAACCUUAAAAAAGUUAUUAUAUAAAAAAUUGAAAAUUUUAAUUUUAUUCAGUUGUUCAACUAUAAAUUUAUCCCUUAUUUUUAUAAACAGUAAACUAUAAAUAUGAUUUAUAUAUUCAAAAUAAAUUUUGUAAAUAAAUUAUAUUAAUUACUUAAAGUAUUUAAAUCUAAAUUUUAUAUAUCAUAAUAUUAAUAAUGAAUUCUCAAAAAUUAUUUUACUAUAUUUGUAUUAUAAUUUAAGUUAAAUACUUAUUAAUUCCUAUCAAGCCGAGCAGAUUAUUCGGCCCUUAAACAGGUCUAAUGAUGAUGAUGAUAAUAGUAAUGGCAGCAAUAUGUUAGCUCAAUGACAAAAAUAUUAUGUUGUGGGUAUAAAAACUUGACUUUAAUCCCAAGCAGUUGAAAAAUAAAAAUUAAUUUGCACUAGAUUCAGAUUCAGUUAUUCUAUAACUUAUAAAAAAAUUAUUAAUUUAUUAAAGUUGUUAUAUGUGAUUUUAAUAGUUAAACAUAUAAUUUAUAUGCUUAAAUUAUAUUUUACAAAUAUUUAGAAUUAAAGUUUGAUAUAUCAUAGUAUUAAUUAAUUUAAAUAUAAAAUUUGAAUUUUGAGGGGAUAUGGUAUAAAUUUAUUCACUUAAUUUGAAUAGUAGUGAUGAAAGCUCAACUGUAAUGGACCAAAAAAUAAUUGUAACUGUAUUUUGGUGUGUUUUAUUUUAUUUUUCAUUAUUCAAUUUAUGAAUUAUUGAAAACAUAUAUAGUUUUAUUAAUUGUACUUGUCUCAUUUAAAAGUUGUCAUUGGGAGGAAGGUCGAAGAAAUAAAUACCAACAAAGAUGCUUGUAGUCUUCAUUUACAAGUUCAAAAGCAGGGAUUAAGGGGUACUAAUUAUACCCUAAUAGCCAGAUUAUAUAAGGGCUAAGAAGGGGCUUUUAAUAUAUAUGUACAUGCGGUAGUUGGCCUAGCCAGUUUAAAUCAAUAAGCUAGAAUCUUUUUAGAAUCAAUCCGGGCCUGGAAAGAUGAUCUGGAGGCAGCAUAUAGAUUUUUAUAUGCGCCACCUGGGAUUCCAUUUUAUUUGCUACUGAAUUUAGGGUAAGACAUGAUCAAUCACUUAUAACUAAACAGGUCUAUUUUGAUAGCUAGUUGUCAAUGGGACCAAACUUGGAUUGCAAUUUAUAUCAUAUAUAUUAAUUUGAUGCAUUUUUCAAUAAUCGUUGACAUAUAUAUAUAUUUAUGUCAACCACUAGAUACCAUACAUUUCAAUGAUUUCCCUUUUUUUCGGUGGAUAGUCGUGAAAGUUAAAAUAAUUUAUUGGAAGGGUCCACUUUGAUUAUUUGCCCUAACCCUACAUAAACACUGCAUAUAAUUUAUUUACACAUUAAUGGUGCACACAAUAAUUUUACAUGGUGAUUGGUUGUCUAAUUUGGUGGAAUUUUGCAUAGGGAAUCGGGGAUUCGUUGAUUUUCUUUUAAAUUUUAUUAUUAUAAAUAUUAUACAUACAUAAUUAUAAAUAUAAAGUCAAAACAGUUCAAAAUGAUGUAGAAAAAUUAAAAAGAAGUAAGACAAAAUUUAUACAUAAAAUUCAAGCCUAAAUACUCUUUAAGAUUUAGAAACUCCACCUUAACCAAUAAACUAAAUCCCCAGCCAGAAUCUGAGAACCUGCCUAUCAAAUAGUAUUAAUUACUCACGAAAUCUUGUCAACCAUUUUUAUUUUUACUUGUAUACAGUACAAUAGCCAUAGGUUUAAAAAAUAAAAAUAAAAAGUUUAAGUUUUAAGGAAAUUUAAAAAGUUUUAAGAUGUAACCCUAUAUUAUUUGGAUCCAAUUUAUUAUUCAAUUAAACUUGUUGAGUGUUUUGUUAUAUGUUCUCUCGGGUGAGAGGAAUCGGGUAUUUAUAAGAUACAAUUACUGAUCAUCGAAAUGAUAUCUUAAAUAGGUUCCAUGCAUACAAACACGUAUAUUGUUCUAGACUUAACACGUGUUCAUCGAACUACCCAUUUGACUUCACACCCUCUGUCUACGAACACCCAAGAACAUGCGAGUCUGACUUGAGAGCUCAUCACGUGAGCUCUCCCGGUGAGCCGGUGAUGUCUUUAUCUUGUGGGGCCCAGAUUCCUCUGUAUCUACUCAGGUUAUGGGUUGAUAGUUUGAAGUUUUAUUCGAGUUUCAAAUUAAUUGCAUAGUUCACCACUCUAUUUGAAUAUCAUAAUUUUUUAUUAUUGAAAUAUUGAAUUUUUAUUGAAAAAUAUCAAUUCAAAUUCAAAGAAUUCAAACUUGAAUUUAAGCAUAAAUAUCUACCUACUCAUUGACUGCAACGUGUUAUCCAUGGAGUGGAAACUUGAAGAUUUGGUUAAUAGGUUAUCCAUGAUCAACUUAACAAGUCCUAAACUUUUACGACUGUAACUGUUCAAACUCCAUAUUUAAUGCAAUUAGUUUGCAUUUCUCCAUAACUUGGCAGACGCUGUUAAAUGUUUCAACCAACACAAACCAGCCCGUCUGAGGCCUAUUUAAGAUUUGAAGUACGGCCAUGGAAGAGUAACAUCCAUUCCGGAGUAUAGUAUUUCUAAUAAAUUAAGGACCGGAUUCCCUUUCCAAGCUUCAGCAAGCCAGAUAUGGCUCAAAAUAUGACCAGGAGAAGGGUUGUUUUGGUGCAGAUUUUGGCACUAGCCUUGGCCGCUGUUAUGCCAUUGCUCUCAGGAGGUGUGGAUAUUCAACAAGUUAGGGUGCUGGCUGUUAGUACAAAACUCCGGUAAGGAAAAAAACUCGAACACACGAUCGGAACUCGAAAAGAAAAAGAAGAAAUAGGACAGGCUCCAAGGCGUGUAUCAAGCCACUAUCUUUAAGGUUAUAUUCGCCCCCACUUAUCUUCAGUGUGCAAACGAGUUCCAAGCAAAUUAACCUCGAGGAUACAAUGAAGCCAAUGACUAUUUGCGUUUUGCACUGACGAGAAUAGUCCACUAUGCACUGAGUAAUGUAUAACAAAAACUCAAUUUCUACAAAGGAUUUCUGCAGCAAUACUUUAUAGAAUAAUCUAAUAAUAUUAGAAAAUGAAGGAAGAGAAGAAAUAAUAUUAGAAUUUGAUGAUAUGAUUUCCAAAUGAAAUCCCAUUCCUAUUUAUAGGAAUUUUCAUGUCUCUUCAUAGAGACAUCUUUCAAUAGGUGUCUUUAUGAAUAAAUAAAUAAUAAUAAUUAUUCAUUUAAUUUUGUAACUAUUCAAAUAAUAUUUUUUGAAUAGUUAUAAUUCUUUUUUAAAAAAUCAAAUGAUAUAACUUUUGACCAAUGACCAAAAGUUUUAUCUUUUGAUUAAUUACACCCAUUCAUUUAUAGUUAUUGGGAUACUAUAAAUAUUUGAAAAUAUUCCAACAAUCUCCCCCCAUUUUCAAAAUAUUUAGAUUUUGAUAUUCUUAGAAAUCAAUUUGCAUAAAUAAAGGUGUCUUACGAUUGAACCUUCACUUAGUGAAAACAUGUUAAAGUUAAUCGAAAUUGUAUGGUAGACUAAGCUUUGAACCAACUAUUCCAUUUGAUUAACUGAACACAUCUCACACAAUGAUUUCAACAUCAGUCAAUGCAUAGUAUCUAGGGACACUAUUAUAGCCAUGUGUCUAUGUCCUCUUUUCAUGAGUGCUGUCAGAGCCAAGCCCUUAAGCUCCUAGAAGCGGCCACACUUCCACUCACAUAGGUAGAUCCCAUCAAAAGUGUUCCCGUAAUUAUAACACUCUAACAUAUUUAUGUUAUGGGUCCAUUAAGAGUACAUUACUCAUCCUUCCCUUAUCAUUACGGGUACCUAGCACUUUAAUCUUAGGAUGGAUUUAUUUAUAGUGCUAACAGUCACAUACUAAUGAUGUACUUUGUCUCAUUGAACUCAAGACUUGACGUUAUACCAAGCGUUGAGUCGAGUUUCCAUCAUGGGUGACUCUAAUUAAUAGGCUUGAGUCCCAUCCCUUUUGAGGUCCUUUUUACUGCAUCUCUAGCAAGACUUUUUGUCAAAGGAUCUGCCAAAUUUUCACUUGACCUCACAUAAUUAAUAGUGAUCACUCCAUUAGAGAUUAAUUGUCGGACAUAACUAUGUCUUAAUCCAAUGUGUCUAGACUUUCCAUUAUAUACUUGGCUAUAUGCCUUUGCUAGAGUAGCCUCACUAUCACAACGGAUAGAAAUAGGUGAAAUUGGCUUAAGCCAUAAAGGUACAUCAUAAAGCAAAUUUCUUAACCAUUCUGCUUCUUUAGAUGCAGCGGCUAAUGCAAUAAAUUUUGCUGCCAUGGUGGAAUCAGUAAUACAUGUUUGUUUCUUGGAACCCCAAGAAAUGACUCCUCCACCAAGAAUGAAGAUCCACCCACUAGUAGAUGCAUGAUCUUCCAAACUUGUAAUCCAACUAGCAUCUGAAUACCCUUCUAAAACUGGAGGAUAUCCAUUAUAACACAAUCCAUAGUUAAUAGUUUUCUUUAAGUACCUAAGUACUCUAUUUAAAGCUUACCAAUGCAAACUACUUGGAUUACUUGUGUAUCUACUCAAUUUUCCAAUAGCAUAUGCAAUAUCUGGUCUUGUACAAGUCAUUAUGUACAUAAGACAACCAAUUAGACUUGCAUAUUUCAAUUGAUCAAUUUUCCUACCAGCAUUAGAUACUAAUUUUAAUUGAGGAUCCAUGGGUGUAGAUGCUGGUAUACAGUUGAAAAGAUCAAACUUUUUAAGCACAUUUUCAAUGUAAUGUGAUUGUGAUAAAGCUAUAGUGCUUUCAUCUCGGGUUAUUUUAAUCCCAAGAAUAACAUCUGCUACACCCAUAUCCUUCAUAGCAAAGUUGUUUGACAAGAUUUUCUUUGUGUUUUCUAUUUGUUCCAAAUACGUGCCAAAAAUGAGCAUGUCAUCUACAUAUAAGCAAAUUAUAACACCCUUUCCAUUAUCAAAUUUACUAUAUAUGCACUUAUCGGAUUCAUUUAUUUUAUAGCCAUUAGCUAAAACAACCUUGUCAAACUUUUGGUGCCAUUGUUUUGGUGCUUGUUUAAGCCCAUAUAAAGAUUUAACAAGCUUACAUACCUUAUGCUCUUGUCCUGGAACAACAAAUCUUUCCGGUUGCUCCAUGUACACUUCCUCUUCCAAUUCACCAUUUAAAAAUGCAGUUUUAACAUCCAUUUGGUGAACAACCAAAUUAUAUAUAGAGGUAAGUGAUAUUAAUAGUCUAAUUGUAGCAAUUCUUGCUACUGGAGCAUAGGUAUCAAAGUAAUCAAUACCUUGUCUUUGUGUAAAACCUUUUGCUACCAACCUUGCUUUAAAUUUAUCAAUGGUUCCAUCGACCUUCAUUUUCUUUUUGAAGAUCCAUUUACAACCUAUUGGUUUGGAACCUGGUGGAAGAUCAACUAAGAUCCAAGUUUGAUUUCCCAUUAUUGAAUCUAUUUCAUCAUUUAUUGCUUCUUUCCAAAAAGCAGAGUCUUGAGAUUUCACUGCUUCUUCAAAUGUAAUAGGAUCAGAUUCGGUAUUAUAACAAUAAGGUAUCUUAUUGCAUAUACUUUCACCUUUUCCUUCUACAAGAAACAUAAUGAAAUCUGGUCCAAAAUCUUUGACCUUUUUAAUCCUCUUACUUCUUCUUAAUUCUUGACAAGAUUCAUCAUUAUUAUCAAUUUGUUUCAAUGGAAUCUCAUUCUCAUUUGAAGAAUGAAUCAAUUGUUGUGGUUGUAAUUGUCUUGAUAUAGAAUUAAAUCUAUUUUCAUCAAAAAUAGCAUCUCUUGAUUCAAUAACCGUAUUAAUUGAAAUUGAAUCAUUUGGUUCAAUUACUAUGAACCUAUAUGCCUUGCUAUUAUGUGCAUAACCUAUAAAUAUGCAUUCAAUUCCUUUUUCACCUAACUUUUUACGUUUAGGUGUUGGAACUUUUACAAUAGCUCUACAACCCCAAACCUUUAAAUAAUUAAGGUUUGGUUUCCUUUUAUUCCAUUGUUCAUAGGGGGUUAUUUUAGUUUCCUUAUUAGGAACUCUAUUCAAUAUAUGACAAGCUGUUAGAACAGCUUCUCCCCAAAAACCCUGUCCAAGACCUGAAUAUGAUAAUAUUGAAUUUACCAUUUCAAUCAAGACUCUAUUUUUCCUUUCAGCUACACCAUUUUGUUGUGGUGUGUAAAGGGCUGAAACUUGAUGGAUAAUUCCAGUGAGUUCAAAAUAACUUGGAUUAUAGUAUUCUCCACCUCUAUCCGAUCUUAAGCACUUGAUAAAUGAUUCACACUGAAGUUCAACUUCAGAUUUAUAAACUUUAAAUUUAUCAAGCGCUUCAUCUUUUGAAUGCAAUAAAUAUACAUAACAAUAUCUAGAACAAUCAUCAAUAAAAGUAACAAAAUAUUUCUUUCCACCUAAUGUAGGAGUAUUAUGCAAGUCACAUAAAUCACUAUGUAUCAAAUCAAGCAAUUUUGUUUUCCUUUUAACCUUAGGGAAAGGAUUUCUUGUAAUUUUAGUCAACAUACAGGUAUUGCAUUUUUCAAUAUUAUUAUUAAAAACAGGAAUUAAAUCUAAUUUAUACAUGUCAUUCAAUUUUCUAUAAUUCAAAUGACCUAAUCUAUAAUGCCACAAACAAAAUGAUUCAACCAUAUAAGCAGAAAUAGUAUUUUUAUUCUUAUUAAUAAUAUUAAGUUUGAACAUGCUUUCAUACAUAUACCCUUUUCCCACAAAAAUUCCUCCCUUAGACAAAAUAAACUUAUCUGCCUCAAAAACAAGUUUGAAACCAAACUUAUUCAACAGACUUCCAGACACUAAAUUUUCCCUAACUUCUGGUACAUAAUAUACAUCAUUUAAGGUUAAAACCUUUCCAGAAGUGAAUUGUAGUUCAACAGACCCUUUGCCUUUAAUUGUUGCGGUGGAAGAAUUUCCUAUGUACAAGACAUUGUCAUUUUCACAUUGUGUGAACUUUGUGAACAUACUUUUGUCUUUGCACACAUGUUUGGUUGCUCCGGUAUCAAUCCACCAUGUAUUAUCAUCUUGUGCCAUAUUAAUUUCAGAUAUCAUUGCAACGAACUUUUCGUUAUUAUCAGCCUUAGAAGAUGAUUUCUUCUUUAAAAAUUGACAUUCAUUCUUGAAAUGUCCCGGCUUUCCACAAUGAAGCAUGAGCCCUUUUGUUUCUUUUUGAACUUAGGUGCUCUAUCAGUCUGAUUGAACUUUCUCUUGAAUGGUUUAGUAGUCUGUACUUCCUCCGUAACAUGUACUUUGGCAUUUUCAGAAUUUAGGUUCUGAUCUUGUUUUCGAUACUCUUCUUCAAUACGAAGAUGAUUUGCCAAAGCCUCAAGAGAUAUUUCCUCUUUCUUAUGUUUUAGACUUCUUUUAAAGUCUUUCCAAGAUGGAGGAAGUUUGUCUAUUAUGGAGGAUACCACAAUCAUUUCAUCCAUUUUCAUAUCAUAUUGCUUAAAUUGAUUCAGCAUCUUUUCAAUAUCACGAAAUUGUUCCAUAACAGAACGACCAUCAACCAUUUGAUAAUUAUUGAAACGACUGACAAGAAAUUUCUUACUUGUAACAUCUUCGGUCAUGUAUCUUGCCUCCAAUUUGUCCCAUAAUUCUUUAGCGGUGACGUCGUUUUGGUAGGUGUCGAACAAACCAUCAGAUAAACCAUUCAAUAUGUGGCCCAUGCACAUGUAAUCAGCAUUAUCCCAUUUUUGUCUUUCUCGGGUUGCAGCAACAGAUUCAUUUUCAUUCUCUUCAGGUCUUGGAGUAUCCAAAACAUAAGCAAUCUUCAAAGUUGAUAACAAAAAGUGCAUCUUUUUCUGCCAUCGUCGAAAAUUGCCACCAUCAAAACGAUCAAGUUUAACAAAGUUGGAAGCCAACUCCCUUAGUGUUCCACUUUCAUGUGUUGUGUUAGUCAUCAUGAAAUAUAACCUUAAAAUUGUUAGUACAAAACUCCGGUAAGGAAAAAAACUCGAACACACGAUCGGAACUCGAAAAGAAAAAGAAGAAAUAGGACAGGCUCCAAUGCGUGUAUCAAGCCACUAUCUUUAAGGUUAUAUUCGCCCCCACUUAUCUUCAGUGUGCAAACGAGUUCCAAGCAAAUUAACCUCGAGGAUACAAUGAAGCCAAUGACUAUUUGCGUUUUGCACUGACGAGAAUAGUCCACUAUGCACUGAGUAAUGUAUAACAAAAACUCAAUUUCUACAAAGGAUUUCUGCAGCAAUACUUUAUAGAAUAAUCUAAUAAUAUUAGAAAAUGAAGGAAGAGAAGAAAUAAUAUUAGAAUUUGUUGAUAUGAUUUCCAAAUGAAAUCCCAUUCCUAUUUAUAGGAAUUUUCAUGUCUCUUCAUAGAGACAUCUUUCAAUAAGUGUCUUUAUGAAUAAAUAAAUAAUAAUAAUUAUUCAUUUAAUUUUGUAACUAUUCAAAUAAUAUUUUUUGAAUAGUUAUAAUUCUUUUUUAAAAAAUCAAAUGAUAUAACUUUUGACCAAUGACCAAAAGUUUUAUCUUUUGAUUAAUUACACCCAUUCUUUUAUAGUUAUUGGGAUACUAUAAAUAUUUGAAAAUAUUCCAACACUGACAGCUAAAUUCAACGUGACUUGCGUAGUGGUAUUCGGAGACUCCAGCGUGGAUCCAGGGAAUAACAACUAUAUUGCUACGCCCUUUAAGGGUAAUUUCCUACCUUAUGGGAAAGACUUCUUCAGAGGCCACCCGACUGGACGGUUCAGCAAUGGAAGGCUAGCCACUGAUUUUAUUGGUAAUUUACUGCCUUGUCUCUCAGACCUUGAUAUGUCAACUAGUUUCAUACUGUAAAUAUAAUUUUUACGCUUUCGAGUUUCCAAACGCCCUGCAUCAUCUUAUCAUUGGCAUCAACUGCAGUUAAAAAAUUGUUAGCAAUAAAAUAAGAUUCAAAUUUUAAUGGAGCCUUCAAAUUGUAUUGGAAUUGUCGAAUUUGACUAAAAUAAUCGGUCGAGUAUGGUACAAAAGUAGGUGGCUUAUAGAAAUGUCAAUGGUGGACGAAAUUAUGGUAGUGCAAAUUUCAUUAAUUUUAAAGCACUGGUAAUUGAUAAACCUCUAAUUAUGAAUCUUUUUUUUUUUCUUUUUGAGAAAUUUUCAGUCACAUGUAAGCCUAAAUGGUAUCUGUUGCAUUAAAUUUACAUGUCACCGAGCAUUCAAUGUACUAAACCACCCACACAUGCAAAAAAUAUAUAUUAUUUGUAAAGUAAUAUUAGCUUUAAUUAUAUAUAUAUCUAUAUAUUUAUACAUCACUCCACCAGUCGAAUAUCAAUCCUGGAUCAAUGAAUCGAUGACAGGACGACUAGCCAUAAACAAGUUGAUGUAUGUCUUUUCAGUUGGGUGAAUUGAGUCAAAAAAUACAUAUUUAGAUGCGUCGUUGCACACAAAUGAUCCUGGAUUACACAAAAAUCCUGCUUCUAAAUAACCACUCCCACAGCAGCCAUGGCUAACCUCAUCGAAAUCUGCAGAGAAAUAAUGGGAAAAAUAAAUAUAUAGCAGAUGAAAAACGAAAUCUGGGUUACUGAUAUAAUUACAACGUAGAAAUUAACCACACAUUAUAUUUUAAUUAGAAGAUCAUGCUUACCAUGUUUUCCGAGCCCUUGAAUAAUAUCAACCAAUGGUGUGAAAAUAUCGACGUAAGUGAUUUUUGAAUCCAGAUGAGCUAAUCUACCCUGCAUGGAAUUCAGUUCAUUUUGGAGCAUUUGGUUAUAUUCCAUUCCUACUUGAGAUAACUUUUCUAUGCAACCACGUUCGAGGAUGGCGUUUUCAGAAUAGAGAGUGAUCACAGCCGGCAGACAACCCAUGGGAGGCAGCCCAGUAACUGCGAUUCUCCGAGCUCCUUCAUCCCAUAAAUCCUGCGGUAAACAUAUAUAUACACACUAAUUAAUUAAUCAACGCCUUCCAAGUUGUAGGGCUUGAAGACUGCCCUAGGGCCUAGGCUGUUCUAUUAUUCUUAAACACUGCCCUCCAAUACCUAUCCAGCAAGUUGAUUGCAGUAAGUCAACCAAUGGAAGAAUUGGAAGGUGGUGGUAUUUACCAUGUAGUUAAUGCUAGGACUCCAUACAUUCCUUACAGUCCUUUCUACGUGCAUUACAAAUUUGUUCAGAUUACUUAAAUUCGGCAGUAACUUUAAAUAUUUUAUUUAUCUGUACUGUUAAAAAUUUGUGUGGCUGAAGAAAUAAUCAUAUAAUAACACAUGGCAUGUUAUGCGUGCCUCGUACUGAUGUACAAUAAUAAAAUUUUAACAGUAGAAAUAGUUUAUAUUUUUAAUAGAAGAACUGGUUUAUUUUUUGAUCUAAUAUAUAUGAACCAAUAUAUUUAUUUUUUGAGUAAAAAGAGCAAAGCAAAAUACACCCAACCAUGCAACCUUUUAUGUUAUCCAACAAAUAUAUGAAUGGAGGAGGUAACUAUUUGUAACUCACAUUUGAAUAGUCAAAUUUUGACUCAAGCCCCAUAUCCCUACAACCUUGAUUAGCUAGCGUUUUUCUUAUCCAGAAAAUAUAUGGAAUGUUGUAGCCACUUGUAACUCACAGUCGAAAAGUAAAAUUUUGGACGGCUCAAGCAACCCCUUCCUCUUCAUCAAAAGGUAGAUGAAUAAGUUAUAUACCAUGAAACAUAUAUGGUAAACUAGUAGCAUUUGUAGGUUAUCCCUAGUUAUUAACAAUCUACUCCUCCGUAUCGUUAAAAAUAGGAAAUUAAUUUUGGAUUUGUUAAAUAUAUUAUUAUGAUCUCUUUGGAUAAUUGUAGUAGUUCUAAUUAAGCCAAACCUGUAGGACUUGCUUAAAACUUUGCAAGACGAACUGUUGAUAAGCUGAGACGGUAUAGCUCUUUCGUCGAAUUGGUAAGGUGAAAUAGUUGACUACAAAGUCAUUAGUACCACAACUGAUGAGAAACACAGCUUCUUUGAUAAUAGCUUCCGUUCUUCUAUUUCCAAUGGCAGAUUGCAGUCGGUUUUUAUACUCUUUAAAAUACUCCAGCUGCUUGGAUAAUGAAAUCACGCUCUGCAUUUCAACACAUUAACAUUUAAACUUAGUUAGCUUUUCACACUCUACAUUAUAACGUAUACAUCAAAGAGAAAAAAAAGGGAAAAGGGAGAUCAGAUGCGGACAGAUAUCUGUGGUGUAAGUGGAUCAAAUCCAGAGCCGGCGGAGGCGAAGCUAACUCCUGUCAUCAGCUCCUCAAUGCUAAGGUUGGGAUCCAAAUAUGGUGGCAAAUAUUCUUUUAUGCCUACAUAAGAAACUGCCCAAACGUACCAAAUGAAAGCAGCUCAAGUUUACUUGCACCACAAAGGAUAAUGUACCAAAUAUCAUGUUUCAUUUGAAUGGAUAAUCAACCUACCAAUGAGAUCGGUGGAAAGCUUCCCGUUAGUAAACCUUCCGGUCGGCACGUGGUCUCUAAAAUCCUUUCCAUAAGGAGGAAAAUUGCCCCUAAACAGGGUCUUUACGUAGUUGUUGUUCCCAGGAUCUACCGUCGAAUCUCCAAAGACAAAAGCAGCCGUAAUCUUGUUGUUGAAGGGCCUUGGCGUUAGCGAACCUUCAGCAUGAGCAACAAAAAACAUGUAGAGAGAGAGAAGAGUAAGAAGAGGAAAAGAAAAUUUGUGACAAGACUCCAUGUGAUCCUCUAGUUUGAUAGUGGGAACUGAACAAUUUUUGGACUGAUCGACUAUUAUUGAGUGUAUGGGGGAUAUGCUUAUUUAUUAUAGCCUCCCAUUAGCCAGCGUUAUUUUUUGUCUGUCACAAAGGUGAAAGUGGGACAACUUCAAGCAGCAGUUUAAGUUUCUUGACAAAAAAAAAACAACAACAACAACAACAUCACUAAUGUACAGUGUUUUAUCGCCCUUUCUAUAUUAGUUUGGUUGCUGUAGUUUGGAAGCCUAACCUUUCCUGAUUAGUCUUUAGCUUCUCAACUACCAAAUUACAGAGCAAAAUUUGCCAAAUUAAAAUUAGUCAGAGGCUUUUUACAUAUCGGGAAACAGUAUCCUUUUGACAAAAUUUUGCUUUGGUAAAUUAGCAGUUGAAAACGUUGUACUGAACAUUUUUUAUACAUAGUAGUAACUAUGUUGUGUCACUAAAACUUGUCCAAAACGACUAUUAUUGAAUUCUUGUAAAACGGGUUUUUUUCCCAUUUGAUUACCCAAAAGUGAUUGAGUGUGUUGAAACUUGAAAGUAAGAAGCUUCUGCUACAAAUUUGGUUGUUUCGUGUCCAUGACUUUGGUCGACAAUUACAUGAGACUAUGAAAUGUUAAUCUCAUAGACGUGGUAAGCUACUUAUGGGGUUUAGCAUUUUAGAUUUAAAGUUGAGAUAAACACUCUGCUCUAAUUAUUUCCCUAACAAGUUAAUGCUACUGCGUAUAUAUAUAUACACAUUAAUUAUCAGAAGAUGAGGUGGUUACUAAUUAAUGAAGGGAUGUCCCAACACGGAAUAUAUAAAAUUAUAUUUUACACCCAAUAAGAGAAAAGAUGUGGAGCCACUAUUAAGAGGAAACAGCCACAAGAUUAAAUAAAAUAAUAUAUAUAUAUAUAUAUAUAAACAGUUGAGAUAUAUAUGGUGAGGAUGAAGAUCCAUAAACGUGUUAACAUUUUGCCUUAUGCAGUGAGCUAUGGGCCUAUAUUAUAAAUAUAUAAAAUUUUCACUGUAAAUUUCAGAACUCUAUUUGCUUUUCGAUAUCAUCACACACAAAAAUGGGGGGAUGGCUGGUGCCUGGAGCAGAUUCCUGUUUAUUUUAAGUUGUUUGCAGAGCUAUUCAUCACCAGAAAAAAAGACAAAGUUAUAAACAAAUAAACAGAGAUUGAAAAGUUUUCAAGCCAAUCGAAUUGAAAAUGUGUUGCCAUAAUAGAGGUAUGGAUCAGAGUCUGGACACUCAAGUUGAGGCAGCUUCAAGUGCCCGUUACAUCGAAAGCAUAAUCUAAUGGGAGAAAUUAAUGUGGGUGUCCCAACUUUCCUUUAAAAAAUUGACAGUUUCAGAACAGAUUAGUUUAUCAUUUCCUCUCUCUCCCAGCUCCAAAAUUCUGCUGUAUGGAAAAAGUACAGUGAGAUAGCAACAGGAUGAGCGAAUAAGUUGUCGGAGAAGACACAUUAUGUUUGUGAAAGAAAAUGAUGAUGUGAAUCCACAAAAGUAGAAUUUUAUCGUUCUGGAUACCAUGUAAAUAUUUUAACUUGUAUAGGCAUUUCAUAUUCAUCGUGAACAUAUAUAUGUUAUAUAGCGUGCAGUGUAUGUUAAUUAAUCAAAAUUUGUUAGUAAUGCCAUUAUGGCACAGCUGCAAGUACUCCAAUGGUGACCCCUGGACCACUAUUUGCAACUAAACAUGGACACUUUUCUUUUGUUCUGAAUUUAGGACUCAACCACUUUUGGUUUGUUUUUUUGGACUGGUGACUCAACCACCAAUUUACUUGAAAGCUAAUGUUAUUAGCUUAUUGAGGUAAAGUAAAAUGAGUAUAAAAUUAAAGAAAUAAUCGUCAUAUAAUAAAGCUUUGAAUGGUUGAUCUUUAGUUACAUUCUCUUACAUCAAACUUUUGAAGGAUGGUGAGAUGUGAUAUUAGAAUUUGAACCCACUAUUUCUUUUAUCAUUACAAUUUGUGCUCCUUUUUUUAAAAAAAUUACGGGGUUUGCCAUCGUGGGUGCUUUUAUUUUUGGUAAAUCCUACAAUUGGACAUACAAUUUUCAUAAGUUUUUAUUUUGGAUAUUAAAAAUAAAAAAAGUUGCAAAUUGGCGCUGUCAUUAACAACUGUAUUCAUUUUAGUUGUAACAGCCCAAUUUUGGGCCUAGUCGGAACAGUGGUUUUGGGACCACAAAUCCGACGAGAAUAAAAUUUAUUUUUAUUAUAUUUUUAUGGUCUACAAUUUCACAAAAUGAUUUUACGAAAAUUUUGUUCAAAAAUUUCAACAUUUGGGCACUCAAUUUAGUCAAAAGGACUAAACUGUAAAAAAUGCUAAAGUUGAAAUCUACAUGUUAGAGGUGUCCAAUUGUUAUGAAAUUUUAAAUUGGAGGUCCUUAUAUGGUAAUUAGACCAUUGGUUAAUUUGGUGGACAGUUAGGCAUGUUUCCAAAGUUUUCAUUAAGAGUAUUUUGGUCAUUUAGUUAUUAAAAUGAAUUAAAAACAAAUUUAAAAGCCAAUUUUUGUCCGUCUUCAACCCCUAGGCCGAAAAUUGCAUGGAGAAACCAUGGCUAGGGUUUUUCAAGCAUCCAAGUUCGAUUGUAAGUCCGUUCUAGCCCUGUUUUUAAUGAUUUUUACGUUUUUGAAAUCCUCGUAACAAGAUUUACCUAUUUUUACCAUUAUUUUGAACUAGGGUUUGUGUUUAAAAAUUUACCCAUGAAUUAUAUGCAUUUAUUUUGAUGUUUUAUGGAAGAAUAUGAAUGUUUGGAGUGUGAUGAAUGUCUUUUACUAAGUGAUUUUCGUUGAAAAUGCCUAAAAGGAUUAAUUUGUAAAAGUUAUAAAAUAUGUCACAAGUGUGCGAAUAAGGGAGAAUUGUAGACUGCUAUAGUUAUGAAAAUGGUUCGGCUAGGCCUAAAAUGCAAGGAAAUUGAAUAAAAAUUAUUUUACGAGCCUAGGGGCAAAAUUGUAUUUUUGUGAAACUUUAGGGGCAAAAAUGUAAUUUUUUCAAAAGUGAUUUUUGGACUAAAUUGAAUAAUGUGAGUGUUAAGUAAGUUAAAUGUGUUAUUAUAAAUCAAGAAAGACUAGAAAUUGACUUUGAUCAGUGAAAAAGAAAAGUGAGAAAUUUCUCGGUUGAACCUCCAAAAUAGAAAAGAUACGAAUGAAGUGACAAUAAUGAUCACAUGUGUGGCACAGGCUGUGUGCAAGCCACUAUGUGAAAGAGAUAGUAAUGGUCACGUGUGUAGUACUAUGUGCAGGCUACUACGUGUACCGGGUACCAUUGAUUAUAAAGGUGGUUGCUGUGUGCUGAUUCUGUAACAGCCCGAAUUUAGGCUAGUCGGAAUAGUGGUUUCGGGACCACAAAUUCGAUGAGAAAAAAAAUAUUUUCAUUAUAUUUUUAUGGUUUACGAUUUCACAAAAUGAUUUGCGUUAAAAUUUCGUUCGAAAAUUUUGACGUUUGGGCACUCAAUUUAGUCAAAAGGACUAAAUUGUAAAAAGUGCAAAAGUUGAGUUCUAUAUGUUAGAGGUGUCCAAUUGUUAUGAAAUUUUAAAUUGGAGGUCUUUCUAUGGUAAUUAGACCAUUGGUUAAGUUGGUGGACAAAAAUGGGUAUGGUUAGGCAUGUUUCCAAAGUUUUUCAUUAAGGGCAUUUUGGUCAUUUAGUUAUUAAAAUGAAUUGAAAACAAAUUUAAAAGCCAAUUUUUUUCCGUCUUCAACCCCUAGGCCGAAAAUUGCAUGGAGAAACCAUGGCUAGGGUUUUUCAAGCUUCCAAGUUCGAUUGUAAGUCUGUUCUAUCCCCAUUUUUAAUGAUUUUUACGUUUUUGAAAUCCUUGUAACAAGAUUUACCUAUUUUUACCAUUGUUUUGAACUAGGAUUUGUGUUUAAAAAUUUACCCAUGAAUGAUAUGCAUGUAUUUUGAUGUUUUAUGGAAGAAUAUGAAUGUUUGGAGUGUGAUAAACGAUUUGUACUAAGUAAUUUUCGAUGAAAAUGACUAAAAGGAUUAAUUUGUAAAAGUUAUAAAAUAUGUCACAAGUGUGUGAAUAAGUGAGUAUUGUGGAAUGCUAUAGUUAUGAAAAUGGUUCAGCUAGGCCUAAAAUGCAAGGAAAUUGAAUAAAAAUUAUUUUAUGAGCCUAUGGGCAAAAUUGUAAUUUUGUGAAACUUUAGGGGCAAAAUUGAAAUUUUCCAAAGUAUGAUUUUUGGACUGGAAUGAAUAGUUUGAAGGUUAUAUAAGUUAAAUGUAUUGUUAUAAAUCAAGAAAAACGAGAAAUUGAAAUUGAUCGAUAAAAAGAAAAGUGAGAAAAAGUGAAAAAUUCCUGAAUGAACAUUUGGAAUAAAAAGGGAUACGAAUGAAAUGACAGAAAUGAUCACAUGUCUGACACGGAUUGUGUGUAGGCCACUAUGUAAAAGUGAAAGUAAUGGUCACGUGUGUAGUACUAUGUGCAGGCUACUAUGUGUACCGGAAUGAUAGGUCGCAUGUGUAGUACUAUGUGCAGGCUAUUAUGCGUACUGGAUAGUUUCGAUCACGUGUGUAGUACUAUGUGCAGGCUACUACGUGUAUCAGAUGGUAAUGGUCACAUGUGUAGUACUAUAUGCAGGCUACUAUGUGAACUGAACAUCAUUGAUUAGUAAGGUGGUUGCUAUGUGCUGAUUCCACCGGACAUCAUUGAUUAAUAAGGUGGUUGCUAUGUGCUAAAUCCACCGAGUAUCUGUUAUUAUUCCGAAGUGUUCAUCGGGAAAUUGACUAAGUAUAAUUGAAUAAUGAAUAUAGGUGUGGAAUUGAAUUGAAUAUCGACUUAGAAAUGGAAAAGUGAAUUUUGAAUAGAAUUGUGAUUGAAAGUGAAAAAGUGAAAUUAUGAAAGAGUAUAUUUAGCAAUAAAACAGUUUACACAACAACAGUUGUGUGACUUUGAAAAAUCACCAAAAAUGAUGGAUAUUGAAUUAGAGGCUGAACAAUAUAUGAAAUUGAAGCUGAAUGAGUCUAUUUUCACAUAAAAGAAACAGAGCAAGCAAAAGAGUUAUAUAUUUUGAGAUAUUUGAAGUUUAGUUAGACAUAGUCAGAAUGAGUUCGGAAUCCCCUAUUUUGACUUUGGAAAAUUGUCAAAAAUGGUAAAAAAAUAAUUAUGGGAUAAAUUUCUUAUGUUUAGAAUCCUCAGUGAAUCUAUUUUCAAGAUAAAGAAACAGAAACAAUAUAUGAAUUCUUUACAAUGAGAUAAUUAAUUUUAAGUGAAGAGAGAUCAGAACUAUCGAGCUAUGAAACAGGGGAAACUUUAAAGAAUAAAAUGUACUAUUUGGCUAAACCAAAAAUUCUAAAAAAUUUAUGUUAAGAAGAUAUGUGAACCUAGUUUUCGGGAAAAUUUACGGAUAUUAAUUUGGAGUUCUGUAGCUUCAGGUAAAAAUAAUUUAGUGACUCUGACUCGAAUAGACAGCUUUGAAUAUACAUGUGAGUGAAUAGUGAAAUUGUAGUUAAUGUUGUUUAAGUGUGUUAUACACAUUAAGGAUGUGGAAUGGAGAGGAGGAGGAGGAAAAUUGGAAGAACAUAUGAAUGAUUUGUGUAUAAUUAGCCAUGUGCUCGAUUAUAAUCGAUAAACGAUUGAAAAGAAAUGAUGUUUAUAAUUGUGCAUUAUUAGUUAUAGUUAAAGUUCAUGUGAGAAAAUAAAGUUUCAUAGUAUGUGUAUGUGGUAUACUUGGCAUAUGAUUUGGUAUGUAGCAAUGUCAAUAAUGGUUUAUGAAUUAACUCAUGUUGAUAAGUUUGAUACAUAAAUAAAUGUGGUGCUUAUCCAUGCUUAUAAUGCUUAUACUAUAUGUUUAUUUGGCUAGCAUAUGUUUGGUGUGUAUGCUUAGGCUUUGGCCAAGUUGUGGCUGGAUUACGCCACAUUAAAUUUAUAAAAUUAUGCAUUGAGAUGGUAAAUGUCUAGAUGGAAAUAUGCUUGUGAUCAUAAAAGGGUGGUAAUGUUUAAAGUUUGUAAUCUUUAUUAAGAUGAUUUAUCAUGUGGUUAGUCUUCAAAAAGACUAGCUUGCAACUAUGGUUGAGUGUAAUGUUUAUAUCUUGUGUGAUAUGCAUAGGAAACGGGAGUGGAAAGGAAAUGAAAUACUAGAUUCAUGCUUGAAGUGUAAAAUGAUGCAAAAAGGGGACGUUAAGUUAAACGAUAAAUAUAUAUUAGUAUUGAACUUAAUAAAAUUGAAUUGUACGUGAAUUAAAUGGAAAUUGCAAAUGAUAUGAUUUGAAUUAAAUGAAUUAUUAUGGUAUUGAAAUGUAUAUUAGAUUGAGAAAUUGAAUUGAAUCGUGAACAUGAGAAUCAUGAAUUAAAUGAAAUGGAAAUGAAGUAUUGAAUUGCAUGAGUAUGCAUUGGGUCUCAGAAGCCCUAUUUGUUACAAAUAUAGUAUUUUGAAGUUAUAUCGUGAAGAUUUAUAAAAGCAUGUUAAAAAUUUGAAGAGUUUAAAUUUGAAUGAAAUUUUAUAACUUGGUUUAACAUGUUUAUAAGUGUAUUUGUUCUGGUAAUGUCUCGUACCCUAUUCCGGCGUCGAAUACGGGUAAUGGGUGUUACAAUGUGACAUCGUCAGAUUCGGUCAUAACAUUUAGACCAGAUUUGGGGUGUUACAGAUUCCACCGGGUAUCAUUGAUUAUAAAGGUGGUUGUUGUAUGCUGAUUCCACCGGGUACUAUUGAUUAUGAAGGUGGUUGCUAUGUGCUGAUUCCACCGAGUAUCAUUGACUAUAAGGGUGGUGCUAUGUGCUGAUCUACCGUGUAUCUGUUAUUAUUCCGAAGUGUUCAUCGGGAAAUUGACUAAGUGAAAAUACAUGAGAUCAAGUAAAGACUAAUUGUAAUUGAAUAUGACUAUGUGAUGAAUGAUUGCAGGUAUAACUGUGAAAAUUUAUGAACAAUGUGCUUGAUAUUUGAUCAAACUAUCGGUAAGAUGCAAUGGAGUAAGUGAAAUUAUGAAAGAGUAAAUUUAGCAACAAAACAGUUUUGGACAACAGCAGUUGUAUGAAUUUGAAAAAUCACCAAAAAUGGUGGAAAUCGAAUUAGAGAGUGAAUAAGAUAUGACAUUAAAUCUGAAUGAAUCUAUUUUCACAUAAAAGAGACAGAGUAAGCAAACAAAUUUUAUAUUAUGAGAUAUUUGAAUUUUAGUGAGAUAGGGCUAGAAUGAUUUCGGAAUCCCCUGUUCUGACUUUGGAAAAUCAUUAAAAAUUGUAUAAAAAUAAUUAUGGGAUAAAAUUUAUAUGUUUAGAAUCCUAAAUGAGUAUAUUUUCAAAAUAAACAAAUGAGAACAUUAUCUGAAUUCUAUACUAUGAAAUAACUAAUUUUUAGUGAAGAAAUGUCAGAACUGUCGAACAAUGAAAUAGGGGAAUUUUAAAGAAUAAACUGUACUUUUUGGAUAAGCAAAAAAUUAUGAAAAUUUUAUGGUAAGAAGAUAUAUGAGUCUGGUUUCAGGGAAAAUUAAUGGAUCUUAAUUUGGAGCUUGUUAGCUCGAGAUAUAAAUAAAUUAGUGACUCUGGCUCAGACAGACAGUUUGAAUUUACAUACAGGAAAAUAAUGAAAGUAUGAAUAAUGUUGUUUAAGUGUGUUAUACACAUUAAGGAUGCGGAAUGGAGAGGAGGAGGAGGAAAAUUGAGAAAUAUAUGAAUGAUUUGUGUAUAAUUAGUAAUAUGCUCGAUUAUAAUUGAUAAACGAUGAAAUAGAAAUGAUGCUUAUAUUUGAGCAUUAUUGGUCAUGAUUUAAGCUCAUGUGGGAAAAUAAAGUUUCAUAAUAUGUGUGUAUAGUAUAUUUGGAAUAUGAUUUAGCUUGAAGUAAUGUGUUGAAUGGUUUAUGAAUUAACACAUGUUGGUAAGUUUGAUACAUUAAUAAAUGUUGUGCUCAUCCAUGCUCAUAAUGUUUAUGCUAUAUGUUUAUUUGGUUAACAUAUUUGAUGUACAUGCUUAGGCUUUGACCAAGUUUUGGCUGGAUUGUGCCACGUUAAACUUAUGAGUUAUGCAUUGAAAUGGUAAGUGCCUAAAUGGAAAUAUGCUUGUGAUCAUGACAGGGGUGGUAAGGUUUAAAUUAUGUAAUCUCUAGUGAAAUGGUUUAUCAUGUGGUUAGUUCCAAAAAGAAUUAUGCUUAAAUGCACUAGCUUGCGACUAUGGUUAAACAAUAUGUUUAUGUCUUAUGUGAUAUGCAUAGGAAACGAGUGUGGAAAGGUAAUGAAAUAGUAAUUUCAUAUUUGAAGUGAAAAAUGACGAAAAAGGGGAUGAUGAGUUGAAUUGAUGUUGUUAUUUAAGAUAAAGUGAUAUUUUCAUUGCAAAAUUGAGAAUUUCAUAAAUGUGUUAAUGAAUGGUAUAAUCGAAAAACGUUGAGUUAAAUGGUAAAUACGUAUUAGUAUUAAACUUACUAAUAUUGAAUUGUACGUGAAUUAAAUGGAAAUUGCUAGUGAUAUGAUUUGAAUUGUGAGUAGGAGAAAUUGUGAACUGAAUAAAAUAGAAAUGAAGCAUUGAAUUGCAUGGGUAUGUAUUGGGUCUCGUAGGCCUUAUUUAUUAUGAAUAUAAUAUUUUGAGGGUAUAUUGUGAAGAAUUAUAAAAGCAUGUUAAAAUUUUUUUGAAAGUUUUAAUUUAGAUGAAAUUUUAUAAUACGGUUAAAUACGUUUACAAGCGUUUGUGUUCUGGUAAUGCCUCGUACCCUAUUCUGGUAUCGAAUACGGGUAAGGGGUGUUACAUUAGUCACCAAAUUUUAAUAAGUUUUCAUUUUGGUCACCCCGUUAACUCAAUGUUAUUAUUCACUCAUUUUAGUCACCCAACUUUAAUAAAUUUUCAUUUUGGUCAAUCAUUUACUUUUUAAAAAUUUAUUUUAUUUUAUUAAUUCCUUAUAAAACUCAGGUAAUUUUAUUAAUCCUAAAAAGGAAAAAAUAAAAAAUAAAAUUAAUUUUUAAAAAGAUAAAAUGAGUGACUAAAAUGCCAACGCAUUAAAGUUGGGUAACUAAAAUGAGUGUAUAGUAACAUAGAAUUAAGGUCAGAUGAUCAAAAUAAAAAUUUAUUAAAGUUGGAUGACUAAAAUGAAAACGGUUGUUAAUAGCAGUGCCUAAUUAGUAAUUUUAUUUUUAUUUUUUCUGCCCAAAAUGAAAGCUUAUAAAAGUUGGAUGGUCAAAUGUGUAAUUUACCCUUUUAUUUUUUUUUAAUUAUCAGAGAAAGGUAUAAAAGAACCCAUACAGGGGAAGCCCAUUAUGGGAAAAUAUCGUAAAUUUUUGACAAAUGAAAGUGUCAGCUAAAUACAUCAGAUAAUAAAAUUUAAUAAUUUUGUAGAGCUUAACUAAUAUAUUAAUUACCUUAAAAAGUUAAUAAAUUAAAAAAAAUAUUUGGUACGACAUCAGUGGAGUUUUAAAUUUUAUAAAAUUAUAUUAAAAGAAUAUUUUAAAAAAAAUAUGACAAUUUAUUAAGAUGACUGUAGAAUAAACUAAUAUAGUAAAUACUAACUCAUAUGUUUAUUAAUAACUUCUAAAAAAAUUUUAAAAAAAAUAUUUGGUACAUUAUUAAUGGAGUUUUUAAAUUUUACAAACAGAGUUAGAGAGUCGAUAAAUAUUCUAUAGGGUUAUAAUAAAUUAUUAAAAAAAUAUAUUUUAAAAAAUAAACACAUGUCAAAACUUUAAUGUUGCAUGUGUAAUAAUAACACAUGAAAUAUAUAAUAGUCCUUUUUUUAGUAGUGUCGGAAACAAUGGCUUCAGGGCCACCAAAUUCGACAAGUAAGUUCGUAAAUAUUAUUAUUUAAUAUUUACGAGUCAAAUGUGAUUUUUAAAAGGGUUUUUGAUUUGAUAAUUUAUGUUAUAUAAGUGAUUUAUUAAGUUCAAGUGGCUUUAGAAAAUAAUGUAUCGAAACCUUGUUUUUAUAAACUGAACCGUAAAUAUUUUUAUAAAUAUUUACGGAGCGUCAUUAAGGUGAUAUUAAAGUUUCGUUAAGAAAUUUUAACAUUUUGAUAGUUAAUUAAUUAAAAAGAAUCAUAUUUAAAGAAAAGUGCAUUCCCGGGACUCUGUUCCCAUAAAUCGGACUACGAAGCCAGUUGUGUAGUUAAUUAGGUUUCGGUUAAGUGAAUUUACUUGAAUUAAAAGUAAAUUAGGUAUAAAGACUAAAUUAAUUAUAGGGUAAAAGUUAAAUUAUAGACUAAAGAAAAAUUAAAAAGAUUAAAGAAACAAUUAUGCCAUUGUUUCUUUAUGGGACGGCAUAAGAUAGAUUUUCCUUGUGAAAUCAUUAUAAAACUUUAAGUUAAUAAUAUUUACUUAAGUAUUAAGUAUAUAUUAUAUUAUAUUAUAUUAUAUUAUAUUAUAUUAUAUUAUAUUAUAUUAUAUUAUAAUAAAACAAAACAAUAUAAUAAUGUAUAAUAAAACAAAUAAAUGAAAGAAAAAGAAAUAGAAAGUGAAACGAAACAGAAGGGAAAAAGAAAGAAAAAAAAGAAAAGAAAGAAAGGCUAAGGGUUUCAAUUGUUUAAAGCUCAAUUGGCUAGUCAAUUUAGUCCAUUUUUCUUCUAAUUUUUAUGUUUUUGGAAUUCCGGUAUUAAAUACUAUCCGACCCAUGUCAAAAUUUUAGAAAUUAUUGAGUUUUAAGUGUUGUCUAUGUUGAAUAAUUUUAGUAUUUGGGAUUAAAUUGAUAGAUUUUUAAGUUAGAAGUGAAAAAGGAUUGAAUUGUAGAAUAAAUUUUGAGUAAUAGGGAUUAAAUUGUGAAAAAAAUUAAAAUUUAUGGAUUUAAGUGAAAUUAGAGAGUUAAAUCUAGUUUAAAGUGGAAAUUGAAUGAAAAUGUAGAAUUGAUUGUGAAGAAAUAAAAUUAGCCUAGGUUUAGGGACUAAAUUGAAAUUUAGACAAAUAUUGAGUAAAAAUUAAAAUAUGCAAUAUGAAAUUGAAUUGUAUUGUAUUGAUGAAUUUUAAUUGUUUUAAUUCCGUAGCUAACGUCGUACCAAAAUCCUGGAUUAAAAAGGGGAAAGAUAAAGUCGACGUGGAAUAGCUCGGAAUUUCUGAUUUGUAUUUCUAUAAUCCAAAUCUAAUUAUUAAUUAUUGUAUUUUGAUUUAAUGCUUAUGGUAAGUGGUUGAGGUGAGUAUUUGGUAUUUUGAUAUUGAAUUGAAUUAAAGUUGAUGGAAAUUGAUUGAAUUGGUAUAUAUAUAUAUUAUGAUUGUAUUGAUUAUUUGAUUUGAAUUGAAUUUAUGGGAUUAUAUGAAAAAUUGAUAUUGGUUAUUGGUUGUUUUUGAAAUGUCAAAUUUAAACCCUAUUAACUGUAUCGAGCUGAGUCGGAUAUAGAUGGCAUGCCAUAGGAUUGGAAGAGUUCAGGGAUUUCUUCGACUUCGAGUCGAUGAGACACUAGGUGUCAAUUUACUAUACUUCGGAUUAAUUCAAUAAGGCACUGGGUGUCAAUUUAUUUCGGUUUAACUGAUGAGACACUGGGUGCCAAUUUAUUACUUCGAAUUAUCUAAUGAGGCACUGGGUGCUAAACUGGUGUGUUUUGGUUAGAUUCAUGUAUCCGUCCGAGUCCAAGUCGUGUUAAUAGGGAUAAAUGAAUAAUAAAGUAUUAUAAUUGAUAUUCAAAUGGUAUGGUAUGAGAAAUGGAAGUGAAAUAGUGAAUUGAAAAUAGAAUGUGAAAUAUGUUGCAAAUAUAUGGAAUAUAUGAGUUAUAUACUCAUGAAAUGACUAUGGAAUGGAUAUUGCAAUUGUAUAAUGAAAUGUGAAAUAAAUUGUGAAAAGCUAUUUAUAUAGCAAGUAUGAGAAUUGAGAUAUUUGUGAAACAAAUGAAAUAUGAUUAGGUUGUUGUAGUAAUUAAAUAUAAAUUUGUGUUUAUAUUUCAAUUGUAUAUUUGUAAUUUCUUAUCUUUAAAUAUUCGGAUUAUAGAAUUACCACUGAAUUUUACUCAGCUUACGGUUUUGUUUCCCGUGCACAAGUUAGGUACUUAACUUUUGAUCGCGGAUUCAGCAUCCAAUAACGAUCCCGAACUCAAAUGUGGCGAUGUUUAUCCUUUGUGCCGGUAUGUACCUAGGGUGUCUAAAUAAUAGUUAUUUUGUGGUUUGAUUGUAAAUGAGGUUAUAAGUUUAAUUUUGGUUGGUUUUAUACAUAUAAAUAUGUGUUUCUUUUUUAAACCAUAUUAUGGCAUGAUUAAUUGAACUAAAUCUAGAUAGGUGCAUGUGAAUUUAAUUUUGUAUUUAAGUGUUCAUGAACUAGGCAAAUUGAUUUGGAUUUGGUAUGUUUAUAAUUUGGAUUAAAAUGAUACUUUGAUGACUUGUUUUGAUGAUAUGAAAUGUUUAAAAUUUAUGUCUGUUUGGUUUGUAAACUCCGAUAAUGCUCCGUAACUCGGUUACGGCGAGGGAUAAGGGUUGGGGGUGUUACAAAAUAUUCACGAUAUUAAAAUGUAAAAAAUAGGUUAAAUUGUUUAUAAUUGUGUUGUCAUCAAUCUUAAGUCAGUCUCGAGUUAUUUUGUGACACCAUCUCAAUCAAUAACAUUAUUAAUACUAGAAAUCCUAUCAAACAAGUAUGUGCGUGAAACCACAGAUUUAGAACAUAGAUGUUUGUUUAAAAAUAACAUAAAAUAAAUAAUAAAAUAUAUGGUUUAAAACUAAUUAAUCAUAAUAACACAUAAAGUAUGUACAAUAUUAAAAUAAAAAGUAGAUUAAAUUAUGAGUAAAACGAAAUUUACACACAUAAAUUCAUCAGAUAAACAAUACUAAAUACGCUACAAUUAUUUAUCAUGAUUUUGUUAACAAUUGUGAGUUAAUAUCGAGUUGACUUAUAACACUAACUCAAUUAACAACAUUAUUAAUAUAUAUAAUUAAUGGAGAUAAUAAAUUAUACAUAUUAAAAUGAAAAUACAGAAUAUUAGAGUGAUAAAUUUAAUAUUUUAAUAAUUUAAUUCAUACGAGUUGAAAUCUUUAGGGGAAUUUGAUGCGGCUGAAGCCCUGAACCCCAUUCAUCAAAUGCAUUAACUUGCAUUGGCCUACGAAGCUUUCUACCCGUACCCACUACCCGCCGCAUUUGCAUCAUACUCUCCCAUCUUUCUUUGGUUAAUUUUAAUUAACCCUUUAAUUCGUUUUAAAUGUUGAAGCAUGUGGCCUUAUAAUAACAAAAUGUUGUUAUAGUUGAAAUUGGUUUCCUUAAUUAAGGAUGUCAAUGCUUGGACCUCAAGAAAAAUGGAUUUUGCAUUGAUGCACAUGCAACUCCCGGAUUGAUUUGAAAUCACAAAUCGGAUUUACAUGAAAUAAAAUAAAAUUUCAAUAUUAUAAAGCUCAAAAGGUUGUCAAUUAUCUGUAGCUAAUGUUUUAGAUUCUUAAUUUUCAAUAAUUAAAAUUUUAAAAAAAUCAAUCAUUUUAUUGAACGCCGGUAAUUUCCUUCACCCUAAUUUCUUCGGUUAAUCCCAUUUUUCUUUGUUUUUUUUCUAUUGAUUCUAUUUUUCUUCAAUUUUUAUUCUUUUCUUUCAAUUUUUUGUCAUUCAAGGCGGAAAUUAUUCGCAAUUUCAAAUGAACAGAAAUUAAAGUAUUAUCCACCUAGGAAAGUAUUAUGCUAGUGAAGCAUCUCAAAGAAAUAAUUGAUGAAGGUACCCAAUAUUGACAAUUUUCUCUGGUUGCUCAAUUUCUGGGAUACCAUCGAAUCUUGAAGUAUUAUAAAAUGAUAACUCAUUUAUGAGGUAAAAAAGGGAACUAAUCAUGAAAUCUAUAAGUGUAACUUGUUUCUUCUUCGGUUUUUUAAUAGUGACACUUGAGAACGACCCUAGGCAUUUUUCAAAAAACUCCAAUAAUUUUGAGGAGAUGAACUCCAAACAUGAAGAGUCUAGAUUUCAACACAUCCAAAUCUCAUUUGAGUAGGAUCCUUUUGGAAUUGUUUACAUAGAAAGGACUCAACCACAUCGUUAGUGCGAUUGGGAAUCCGCUCUACACGGAUGUUAUAAUAGCUAGAAGGCAACAAUUGGCAUUUGCAAAGGUGUGUGUAGAGGUAACUACUAGCUCAACUAAGCCUAGAUUUAUUGAUGUUACACUAAGUGAUGGCUCCAAUUCAUUCAUUAAGGUGGAAGUUCCAUAGUUUCCACUUUGAUGUUCUGAGUGCAAGACCUUGGGACAUUAUGAGAAACUUUGUCCUAAGAAGCAGGUUAAAGCUAUUCAAAUUUGGAAACCCAAAGAAUCUUCAGUUGUGAUGACUACAAAUUCAGACUUAGGUGUAAUAGUAGAGAAAUUGGUUUCUGAUAUACUGAGUGCGCUAAAUAAAUAAAAUAAAAAAGAUGAAAGGCGAGUUGAAAAGUAAGAAAGGUAAAGAAGUGAUUGAACAAUGAAAGUUUCUAUACCUGGAUCUAGCAGCAUAUUUUAGAUAUUGUGUUCAACAAGUGAUGAGGAAGUUGUUAUUCAGGAUAGAGUUGAACUUGUGCAAGCUUCUCCUCGCAAGGCUAGAGUUGCAUCAACGGGGGUCGCAAACUUCGCGAAUGCUACGAAGACAAAAAAGAAAAAUCAAAUGGAGGGGUAAGAUUACAAGUUGGGCUGCAGUGCAAUUUGUUAUUUUCAGAUUUAGAACUUUUGAUGCAAGCACUUCAUUCUACCAAAUGCAAUUCUUAGAAAGAUCAACCAAAUGUGCUUUAGUUUUUUUUUGGGAAGGUAACGAAGACCUGCCCAAUGUGCAAUAGUGAGUUAUAAAAGAUACAUACCCCUAAAGUCGAAUGCAGACUUGGAAUGAAGGAUCUUGAAUGUUGGGAUCGAGCUUGCAUUAUCCAACUCAUAAAGGGCAUCUUGUGUUAAAGUAUACCCAAAGAUCAAAUAAUGAGAUAAUUGUAAUAAGAUGCUUGAUUAAUUAAUUUAUUAGUAAAGGUAUUGCCAUUAUUAUUUCCAGUCUUUAUUAUUGUGUUAAAUAAAUUAUAUAAUGAUAUAAGUCCUAAUAACAUCAUGAUUAUUUUUAAUGCCCCUAGUCAAGUAUUAUUGUGGGUUUGAGCAACAAUAAUGCAUUGAAAUUAAUAUGUACUUAUGACAAGUGUUGUUAUAGAUAUGUGAUAUCAAGUUAACACAUAGUAUAUAUUAAAGAACAAUAUAUUGGAUUGACCCAUCAUGAGAAUGCUUGUUGGAUUAUUAUAUAAUAGUCAUAAUUGUAUGUAUGAUUCUUAAACUUGAGAUCACUAUGGUUCCAACAUUGUGAGUUGUUUGUUUUGACACAAUCAAACAUCUAUGUAAAAUGAUUGUACUAUAAAAGCUGGUGUUGUAUAUUCCACAAUCUAUGUAGUGGGUGUGCAUGAUCAAUAUAGUAUUUGUCUCUCCUACAUAAUUGAAGCGAUAUCUUGGACCCAUUGAUCAGGUGAGACUAAAAAUGCAUGAUUAUACUUAAAUGAGUUUAUUUGAGAUAUCACACCUAUUAUAUUUUCACAGUCUACUCGAGAUUGAAGAAUUAAAAUAUUGGACUAUACAAUUGUGAUUGUUUCAUGAUUUGUGUUCAAUCUAAAUAUCACGAAUAAAAAGACAUACUACAUGAUAAUAUUAUCAUAGAAAGAUUAUAUUAAACCACGACUUCCUACAACUUGGAUAAUAGUGAUGCAUUGUUAGAUGCUAUUAACUGUUUGUAACGUUGGAAUUGUUUUAAUAUUACUUCUAACCUUACAAAAUCCUAAAAGGUCUCCCCUUAUAGUUGAAAUAAUCAGAAUAAAAGAAAGUAGGAUUAUAUUUAAUUGUCUUUAAUAAAUUUCGAUUAAAAGAGUAUUUUUAAAGUUUGAAGAAAAUUAAUAUCUUUUAUGGAAGGGAUAUACUUUAUUCUAGUCCCCUGAAUCACGAACUGAGAUUUUGCAAUUCAAUAAGGUAUUUGAAUAUAGACGAGUCUUGAUACCUUCUCCCAGACUUACCCAAAAUUCACUUGUCAAGCAACAUUAAGUAUUUCGAAAUACUCUGAACAAAUUUCGAAGAGGUUUUUUUUACUUUUCUUCUUCUUGGUGGAUACUGUAGAGGUCAGAGCGAAACUUGUUGCGACUACAUUUGAGUGAAGAUCAGAAGCUUUCUGCCAUAAUCAAUACUUUACUCAGAUCGAGAAUGAAUGUUAUCUAACUUUCUAUCAACUCGAAUUCGUUCUUCGCAAAUGGAUUCAUGCGUCAGAAUUUUUUCCUUCCAACCUCUUGGCUAGACAUGGUUCACUUAGGAUUGCUUGGCUCGAAGAGUAUAUGCUUAGAAACUAUUCUUUGAGGCAGGCUCCAAUGAAAAGCAACAUCAACUGGAGUUGGAGGGAAAUACUAAAUUUAAAGAGGAAGAGGUGGUAGUGCUGGAGAGCCCUAAGUUAAAUGGAAAGAAAAUCACCAUAUCAAGAAUCUGGAUAGUGUUCAGGCCAAAGUAAGAAAGGGUUGUAAGGCAAAGAAUAGUAUGGUAUCCUUUACACAUUUCCAAACACUCAUUCAUCGCUUGGAUGGCAAUUCUGAAUAGACUUCCAUCCAAGGAGAGGUUGAUACGACAGGGAAUGAGUAUUGAAGGUCACUGUUUGCUUUGCCAUAAUGAAAAUGAAACCGGAGAUCACCUUUCUGCAGAAUGUGUUUUUGCAAUAAAGAGUGUGGAACAAGUAUUUCUUCUGUGUAUUAUCAACAGGACAAUGGCUAACUGGCAACUUGAAUUCGAUUGGAUUUGUAGCAAACUCAAAGAAAGAGAUUUGAUUAUAGUCAUUUCAAAGCUGGCUUGGAAUGCCUUCAUUUAUGUUAUCUGAAAAGAAAGAAAUAGAAGACAAUUAACAAAUUUAGAAGCUAAUGAUGAAGAGAUCUUCAGGAGUAUUAAAGAAGUAGUUGGCUUGAGGCUUAGAAGUAAAAAGAUUAAUAGAAUAGAUAAUGUAAACAUUCUCUUGUGUAUAGCUUAGAACAUUUUGGAAUAACUAGGCAUUUGUUUUGAUAUUGACUUUGUAACAAUUUUUGUUAUUUCUUUGGAUAAUAAUAAUAAUUAAGAUUCAAUUUCUGACAUCAAAUUUAUUGGAUGGUCAUAGAAUAAUUCAAUAUCCAGAUAUAAUUAGCAACAUAUAGGAUGUAAGGAAUAUCUGGAAAAGUCAAUGCCUUCAAACAUUUAACCAGUAAUUUAUCUCAAUGGGAACAGACAUUUGAAAAAGUUGUGAGUACAAUAUGUAUAUCCGAAGAAACCCACUAGCUUAUUAUUUUAAAACGUACAUAAUCAUUAUAUCAUUUAUCCUUGAUGUUUAAGAAGCUUGGAUUGGACUACAUGUUAAGGGGGUGAGCCUUUAGCUGGAAAAUUGGUGUUUUUUUUAAGUAUAAAACCGAGGCAUUUUAUGUCAUUGAAGAAAUAUGUAAAAGAAAUUACGAGAAUAAUAUAAAAUGCCAAAAGUCAAUUGAUUCUUCAGCCAUUCCCCUGUUUCCGCUAGCUCUUGGUCAUGGAUUAUAGGACGGACAAUAUGCAGGUAUCUCCACAAAUUCAGCCGCCAAAUUAUUAGACCAACCGUAUGAGCCUUAAAACGCACAAAUCCACUUAAUUCUUUAUUGUUUGAAUUCGAAAUCCUUCCCAUGAAUUGAGCGGCUCAGUUGAUUAAAGAACAAGUUUCUAACUGGAGUUUGUGAAUUGAGUAGGAUAAAGGUUGAAAUUAACGCGUAUUUAUAGCUUUAUAUACAUAUAUAUAUUCUUAAUUCUCAAUACCAUAUAUAUUUGGUCAAACUCUAAGAUUAAAAUCUGUAGCUAGCAAUAUGGCUGUAGAAAGCAGUCACCAUGCAGCAGCUGAAGAGUCAAUACUAGAGAAUGUAUGGGCCAACUUCAUUGGUGGGGAAGAAGGUGAUAAAGCAAGGAAACCAUCGUUCGGCUCCUGGGAAGAACUGCCUAGCCUGGAUGGUAGAGACGGGUCUAUGGAGAUUUUACAAAGGCUACCAAGUCUUGGGAGAUGGAUAUCAAUGGGAGCUGACGCCUGAGAGGAUCUUCUCCAUGGAAUUAUUCCUCCAGGGAAUAUACCUCAAUCCUGUAAUGAUGUUACAGCCAAUGAUAUUAUAAGCACGCGAGGGCAUAAGGCGAAUUCCAUGAGAGUAGAGAAACUGGCAACAAGACACUACCGGGGAGUCAGGAGGAGGCCUUGGGGCAAGUAUGCGGCAGAGAUAAGGGACUCGUCAAGGAAAGGAGCUAGAGUAUGGCUUGGGACGUACGACACAGCUGAGGAAGCAGCUAUGGCUUACGACAAGGCUGCCUUGAGAAUUAGAGGCCCCAAAGCAAAUCUUAACUUCCCGCUUCACACAGUUGCUAAGGCUAUGGGGAUCGACGAUACGAAAACUAACUUCAACCGUUGUUUGUCUACAACUAAUGGUCAAGGCACUGAGGAUUUCACAGAUCAUCGGAAAAGAGAGUGUAGAGCUUGGGAGCAAAACAGUGAGGUUGUGAUGGUUGAACAGCCUCAACUAAAGAGAAUGGCUAGUAUUGAAGAGUGUGGAUAUGAUGUAUUUUGGUUUCAGGAUUUGGGGAGUGAUUAUUUAGAGAGUUUGUUGUCUUUGUUUUGACACAGAGAAUCUAAAGGGAUACAAGAUCUGAAAGAUUAUUGCUGUACAUUGAGAUUGGUUGAUUCAUAGGCAUAGUACUAGUUUAAUUGUAUACAGUUGUUUGUUUGUUGGCAGGAUUACAUGUAUAAGUCUAAGUUUUUAUCAAUAGAAAUAUGUAUUAAACUUGAUAAUAUAUUUGUUUAAAACAAUAGUCAAACCCAAACCCGUAACAAUCAUAUGAUCUUCAAAAUAAAAUUAACUUGGAAGCCAAAUCCAGGUCAUAUUAUCGGUGCAAUGGACAUCUAUCUAAUUACGAGCAAGUCUUGUCAAAGUUUACGGGCCAUAUUCUUAAGUGGAUUAUAAAUUUGGAGAAAAGGAGAUGCAUAUAAUAACAUUCUUAUGAUGGUGAGAGGCUACAGUAGAUCCACACUUUCUUCUUGGUGUGCCAUCAAAAAAGCUUUUGAAUGAGUGGCUAAAGUUUGGUUUGGACCGCCUAUUGUGGUUUACAAAUCAUCAUAGGCUUCAGGGCCCAUGGACGGCCAUAUGAAGCUUCUCUGCAGAUUCUUGUGUCACGGGCCAAAGUGCAAAGCCCGUGACCAUGCCGUAAGAAGCGCCCCAUGGAGGUCUAUCGAUUAGAUGGGGGACAUUCAGCCCACAAGAACUAGCCCGAUUCAGAGAGCUACUAAAGAAGCCUAUCAGAUUAAAGCCUGGUUGGCCCAAUGAUGAAGACAUGGCAACUUAGGCAAUUUUGGUAACUAAUCUUAGAAGAUAGAAUAGAAUCAUAUCUUGUAAGAUUAGAUUAGAUUUGAUAUGGUAAAUCUUGUAAAUCCCUAAAAUCAAGGGAUAUAGUGAAUCUCAUUCGUCGAUGUACAUGUAUCUUGACCGUCGGUUUUGGGGGAGCUCAACUAUAAAUAGAGAGCCUCCCCCUCAUUUGUAAAGCAUCCAUUGUAACUUGAAUUCUUAAGAGUAAUAGAAUUCUUGAGCAUUUACUCAAACACUUUGUGUGCUUUCUUUCUUUAGCUUUCUGUUGUUCUCUUGUGGCUUCUUUUGGCACAAUCGCUUCCGCUAUAUAAAUUGGUGCCUUGGAGGAGUUCUAAAAGAAUCCUCUCUUUUGGGAGUAAGGCUGACUUGGGCGAGUUUGGACGAACGGAUCACCUAAGGCCGCACGGUUUGCGAGACGAAAGGUCUAGCCCCGUGACAAGAGGUAUCAGAGCCAAGUUUUGAACCAAGUUAUUCGAGUGGUUCGAAGGCACUGUUGGGAUGUCGAAAGAAGUCGUUGGUCAGAGUGAGCCAAUGGAGACCCGUGGGAGGGCUAGAAAAGCCAGUCGCUCGAGGGAAAUGCUGACAGCCUUGGAGAAUCGAGUGGUCAAUCUUGAGGAAUCCGUAGGGAACGUGAAAGAGACGCUUGAAUUGGUCGAGGGACGCACAGAUGGGUUAGACUCAAUGGAGGAGCAACUCAGAGAUUUUGUGUUGGAUUCUCUCGGUGCAAAUAGGGAAAAGAUAACGGAAUUACUCGAGUCCACUGAGGUAAAGCUGGCAGAGAGGGAUGAAGCUCUCGCGGAUAUGGUGCUAGCCAUGCAAAAAGAAAUGAAGGAGCUCAAAGGGGAGCUCGCGAUUUACAAAGUCGCUUUGAGUAAUGGGAUGUUGUCUUCAAGGCCGAAGCAACAUGCAAUGGAUGUUCCCAAACCGGAGAAGUUUAAGGGUGCACGAUCCGCGAGGGAUGUGGACAACUUCUUGUGGGAAAUGGAGCAAUACUUCCGAGCGAUGGGCAUCGAGGAUGAUGGCAUUAAGGUAAACACUACUUCGAUUUGCUUUUCUGAUGUUGCUCUCUUGUGGUGGCGACGUAGGUCCACGGAUGAGAAACGUAGAGGAACGGCUAUUGGAACUUGGGAGGAGUUUCAAGGAGAGUUGAAGAAGCAGUUUUACCCUCAGUUUGUCGAGAAGGAGGCUCGAGCAAAGUUGCGUCGUCUCACGCAACAAGACACUGUUCGGGAGUAUGUGCAGGCAUUUAGCGAGUUGAUGCUUCAAAUCUCCGACUUGAGCGAGAAAGAAGCAUUCUAUUAGUUCGAGGAUGGGUUAAAGCCGUGGGCAAAGCAGGAGUUACGAAGGCAAGGAAUCACCGAACUUACUGUAGCCAUGGUCGAAGCAGAGUCCUUUGUUGAGCUUGAUCCGGCGAGAGACAAGAUUGAGGCAUCUAAGCCCAAUGGAAGGGGCAAUGGUGAGAGAAACCAUGAAGAAGAUGAAAGGGGACAUAGCGAUGGGGGCAACAGUACUGAUAGCACAAGUGGCAACGGGAAACCACGAGAUGCGAAGCGGGGAUUAGACAACCCAAGGGACAAGAGGAAGAAGAUGAAAUGCUUCCUUUGUCAAGGACCACACAUGGUGCGUAAAUGUCCAAAUAAAGUGAUGAUUUCGGCAAAGAAUGAUGAGCCGAAGGAGGAGGCGAAGCCUACCGAGGGAAACACAUCGAAAGUCAAUUCAAUGGUGCUCAUUCCUGGGAAGAGGAAUGGAAAUGGGUUGAUGUUUGUGGACGUCAACAUUGCGGGUCAGAAGCGGAGUGCUCUUAUUGAUACGGGAGCAUCGGCCUUGUUCAUGUCGGAAAAGGCUGCGAAGAAGCUUGGUCUGUCGAUUAGGAAAUCGAAUAAGAAGAUCAAGGUAGCAACUUCUGAGAAAGCCCCAACUGUAGGAGUAGUUCGUGAUGUGGAAAUACAAAUCGGCGAAUGGAAGAGCAAGGAAGAAUUCGAGGUAAUCCAAUUAAGUGAUUACGAUUUUGUGCUUGGCUUAAACUUCCUUGUUAGGAUUCAGGCAACUCUGCAACUAGGGGCCGAUCAAAUCCAUAUUGCCACCGGUCCAUCAACAAAGAGUAUUGUGCCGGUGCAUCGGGAUGUGAAAGUUGGGACUAAGGUGUUAUCGUCAAUCCAACUAGUCGAAGAUGUUUCGUAUGGGAGAAACAUUAAAUCGGCAAAACAGAAUGCUACGAAAGCCUCUUCGGAAGUGUUAGUGGCGCAAGGGACCGAUAUGAAGCCUGCGGGAUCGACUGUGGAGCUGACACCUUUGGGAAAUGUGGGUUGUGCAUCGGGCUUCAAGGGAAAAGGAGCGAUGCAAGGACAGUCGAGACGAGUAAAUGCUACGAGUAAGGUACAUUGCAAACACUCUGAUAGUGUUUUGAAUUCUGACUUGUUGGCUUGGCAAGGUCGUAGGGGCCCUUUCAAAGUUCAUAAGCGAGGAGGCUAAGGAACUGUGGGCGGUACGAAGCCGAGGUAUGAGAAUCGAGGGGAUUCCAACAGAAACAAGUCAAAAUUGGGGCAAGUUAAAGCGGAGACUACUUGCCAACAGAAUGUACCAACGAGUGGAAUGGUUCAAGAUAAGAGGCGACGGAAUUCGAAGCAUAAGUUUCGAAGGAAGGGACAACCCGAUCGCAAGACGAGUCGGGAAGAAGCCGAGGCAACGAGAAAGUUUCACAGUGAAUCAAGUCAGUGUCAUCCAGAAAACGCAACGAGGGCAUUGCGAGAUUGGGUAGGGGAGAAUGUCACGGGCCAAAGUGCAAAGCCCGUGACCAUGCCGCAAGAAGCGCCCCAUGGAGGUCUAUCGAUUAGAUGGGGGACAUUCAGCCCACAAGAACUAGCCCGAUUCAGAGAGCUACUAAAGAAGCCUAUCAGAUUAAAGCCUGGUUGGCCCAAUGAUGAAGACAUGGCAACUUAGGCAAUUUUGGUAACUAAUCUUAGAAGAUAGAAUAGAAUCAUAUCUUGUAAGAUUAGAUUAGAUUUGAUAUGGUAAAUCUUGUAAAUCCCUAAAAUCAAGGGAUAUAGUGAAUCUCAUCCGUCGAUGUACAUGUAUCUUGACCGUCGGUUUUGGGGGAGCUCAACUAUAAAUAGAGAGCCUCCCCUCAUUUGUAAAGCAUCCAUUGUAACUUGAAUUCUUAAGAGUAAUAGAAUUCUUGAGCAUUUACUCAAACACUUUGUGUGCUUUCUUUCUUUAGCUUUCUGUUGUUCUCUUGUGGCUUCUUUUGGCACAAUCGCUUCCGCUAUAUAAAUUGGUGCCUUGGAGGAGUUCUAAAAGAAUCCUCUCUUUUGGGAGUAAGGCUGACUUGGGCGAGUUUGGACGAACGGAUCGCCUAAGGCCGCACGGUUUGCGAGACGAAAGGUCUAACCCCGUGACACUUGGGCAUUGCUAUGGGAGUAAGACAUGUUUUAAGCAAAACCCCGAAAAUAUAUAACUUUGUAUGUACAUCGAGUAAACAUUUACUUUCCCAUCAAACUAAACGUUUUUAAAAGCACAAGGACCACGCCAAGGGUGGAAUUCAGAACAAAACUUUGAAUUUACUUUCUAUUUUAAAAGCAAAUCCCACUUUAAAAAUUCAAGAGAGUAUUCUAGAUAUGUAAAUUCUUCUAGAUCACUUGACCCUUUAUUAGGGUAAAUUAUCACAUGGGUUGAACUUUAAUAAAAUCAAGUCUUUUGUUGCAAUUUGUUCUUUACAUUCAGUGGUUAUUGUUAUCAAAAUUAGUACACUUGUAAGAGGAAGCAAACCUCCAAUUUACUACCAUACCACUUAUUCAGAUGCAAUGGAUGAAAUAAAAAGUAGAGGUUAGUCAAUUUCGUCGUCCACGAUGAAGUCAUGUUAUUAAGAAGAAUAAAACAUCACCUUGAAAAUGAUAACACACUCAUUUUUAUUAAACUCGAAUAAAUAUAGUCAUACAAUAGUACUAGUAUUCUAGUUUUGUUACCAAAUUUAAACAAUUUCUGUUCAGUACCAUUCAUUUGUCCUGGAAUAGGUAAACCCAUGUCUUCAACCUGUUAAAUCUAUUUGUAGUAAUGAUUUCUCCACCAUGCUAAUCAAAUCUAUUGUGCCACCCCUGUUAUGAAACAUUAAGAAAUGAAAUAUGGUUCUUAAAGGUGUAGUUUUGCACUUGUAGCAAUGAGCAUUGAUUAUCAUCCUUGAUCUUAAACCUAUUAUUAACUCCUAUACACAAAAAAUGCCAAGGACACCAUGAAGAAAACAAAAUAUCGAACGGCAAAAUGUAAACCCGAAAAGGGGAGAUGAAGACUUUCUCACAUCUGAACCCUAGUACUGGUUUUUAGGUCUUCGAGGUAGAUAUUGAUUCCUGAAGAACUGUUUCAAAAAACUUUCAAGAUACUGUUCAAGUGAUCAGAUUCUGAGCCUUUACUAUGGGACUUCCCAGUUGUGCUGCUCUCUGAUUCUGAUUCUGAUUUCGAUGUCCCGGUCGAAACGGUGCGGGAACUACUUCCUGAAUCCAGAUCAGUUUUUGCCAAGCUUUUUGAGCUUGAAUUUGGCCUUAAUAUUCUUUGGACCGACGAUGCAGCCAAUUCGGCUGGGAAAUUGAGUAAAGCCUUGGAGCCACGCAUCUUGAAAGCUGCCUUGUCAUAAGCCAAAGCAGCCUGUUCGGCUGUUUCGAACGUGCCAAGCCACACCCUUGCACCAUGCCGAGUGGAGUCACGGAUUUCCGCGGCGUAUUUGCCCCAAGGGCGACGCCGGACACCCCUGUAAUGCUUCUUGGCGAUGGUCCUGGCUGGCUCAAGCAUGCUGCUCGCAACGGCAGUUUGGUUUCUUUGGGAAGCAUGAAAAUAAUGAAGGUUAUUGAUUCCCAGGCCGUGAGCGUUUGCUUCGUUCAACACUUGAUAGAUGAACAUGUCUUGGGAGUCAUUCUCAUUAAAUGGCAGCACAUUAUCACUGUGGGAUUGCAUGUUUGUUUCCAGGGAUACUUCUAUCUGGAUGAGGCCUGAAGUUUGUAGAAAGUAGCUCUGGACUUGUAUUUAAGGAAGAAGAAUGGUGGGUCCAAGUGGGGCCUUUCCUUGGAAAUUUAUUGUUAGGCAAAACGAAGGUGAGAGGAACCAAAAACUUUUGUCUAUUCUACACCAUAAACUUUGCCCCGUAGUUUGCUAGUUAUUACAAGAACACACUUCUUUUCCCCAAAAAAAUUAUUGUAGCCUUGUAGGUGAUUUGGAACAGCUUUUCUAGUUGAUACUUGGCUUAUAAAUUAUUAUAGAUAAUAGAUAAGAUGUUUGCUGAAAGCAUUUUUUUGGGGGGGGGGGGGGUUAUCUGAGCCUCACAAAGGGAUAGAUGGUUUUAUUUGGGGAAAUCGGGAUUGUCUUAUGCGAAUAAUUUACAUCAAUUAUAGCGAAAAUUGGGAACAGAAAAAGCAACGUUUGGUUUGAUGUCAAUUCUGAAGACGUGCAGAGACGUGGUAAAUCAAAAUGGGACGAUGAAAAGUGGGAUAAUUUUUGCAAUUGAUGGUCAAAAUAAUGGCAAAUGGGCUGACUUUUUAGUCUUCCGGGUGUUAUUGAAAGCGAAGAACAAGGUUGACCUGCUCCUAUCUGGACGUAAUGAAUGACGCAAAGAGUUUUGGCAUUCACUGGGAUCUCUGACCUCAUCACCAUCGUCAUAUUUCUUCCUACAACACCCUUGGCAACAAGAUUACAAAAUUGCAAUUCAAUAUCUUCGACUUCCCACAAUAAAAGUUGAGCAUAUGCACCAAAACUUCUGUUAUGUAAUUGUAACUCAGAUAGGAAACUAAAGAUAAUAUUAUAAUCACGAAUUUUAAAUAUAAAUCAUAAAUUAAACAUAAAAUAUCUUCCCAUGAAAAGAUUUUUUUCUUUGGUUUAAUUCACCAUUGGGCUCUUAAAGUAUACAUGUUUUCUUCAUUUUGAUACCUACAUUUUUUUUAUCCCAAUUUAAUACUUUAGUAUUGAUCCAUAUGGUUUUUGUUCGAAUUUCUAACUAAUGUUUUAAAAAAAAUUGAUGGCUAAUCAAAUAAAAUCUAUAUUUUCAUAAACUACUUUUUUUUGUUAAAAAGAAAAAAAAUAUUAUUAAUAUAAUGUAUUUCUUAAUUAAUUUUUUAUUAAUUUGCUUUUUUACCCUCCCUUUUCACCCCUUCUCGAUCCUUCAACGAAAAUCCAUUUUUAAGAAAACUCGUAUUUGCUUCUUUUUUUGCAUUUCUUAUAUUCUCUACUUCUAAUUUUACUAGAUAUCAUAUUCAAAUAUCAUUCACUCUCCAUAGAUCUAUUGUUGCUGAGGGUGUGAAAACAAAUGGAGAGGGUCUCCAUCCUUUUUAAAAUAUUUGUGAAAGGUGGUUUAAUACUUGGCCGUUGGUUCUUGAUUUGAAGCUGUGGAAUCUUUUGGAUGUAUAGUAUAAUGCAUUUUGUGUGUGUGUGUGUGUGUGUUUGAAUUCGCAUUGCAGACCACAGGUUUUAUCUAUGAGUUAGUCUGAAAUUUUCCAUGUGCUGAUGAUGAGAUAUAUCAUUUUCAGACAAUAGGUUACAUGUUAAAUUUAUAUGGUGAAGCAAAUGAGAUACUUCUGGCUUUGAAGUUACAUGGCCAAAAGCUUUAGUGGGUAUAUGAUGGAGCAUUAGAUUAUUAAAACUGUGAGGGCUCUUAGGAAUUAGUAAACCAUAACAGAAUUUUACUUUUGUGAUUUGAGAUGCUUGUCGCGCUUAUAAUUUUCAGAUCAAUGGAUUUUAUGAAUUAUGAUGAUCUGAGGUUACAUUUGGUUUUGCGUAUUUGAAGUGAGUUGUAUUCAAGUAUUCCAAACAUAUUCAUUAAUGUGCUUCUUCUAUUUCCAUCGUUUUCAAUCUCAAAUUUUAUUUCUUCUCUUUUGUUUUUGUUGUUGAAUUAAGUUUCAGGUUACACAACUUAUUUAUACCUGAAACAAAUAGUAGCAACAAAGAUGGAGUAAGAAGAAAAGGGUGCAAAAAGAAAUUUAAUCAAAAAGUCAAUUAAGAAAUACAUUUUUCAUUUAAAAUAGAUUUUAGUUUUUGAAAAUAUAAAAAGAAAAACCAUAGACAUUAUUCGAUUGGCUUCCGAUUUUCUUAACAUCUGCUAAAAUCUGGACCAAAAAUUAUAACAAAUAAAUAUUUUAGGUACCAAAUUAAAAUAAAAAUAAAUAAGUAUACUUCAAAAGCUAAAUAAUAAAUUAAACCUUUUUCUUUUACAAAUUUGAUCCAUAGACUAGACUAAUGUAAAGCACGUGGUUUUGAACGAAAACUGAAAAGUACUAAGACAAUCGGAGGAAAAUGAAACGGAAUUUCUUGUGUUAUCACAAACUACAGUUUACUUGUUUGAAAUGAAAAUUAAAAAUUAAAAAGCAAUUGAAAAUAAAUAUUAAAAAUAAAUUAUUCAUUAAUAAAAUUUCACAAAUACAAUUUAUCAUUCAACACAUUUAAAUAAACAAGAAGCGAAUGCGACUUUAGCUCAGUUGCUAAAAGCGGAGGCCUUUAGCCUUAAACAUUCAAGUUUCAAGAUUUAUCAUGCGUAAUUUUAUAUGUAGGUCUUCAAGUACCUUCAUGUGCGGUUAUUAUAGGUGGGUUUUAGUUUGUCAGUCUGGAUUGUACUAGUUUUUAAUUUAUCUGUUUGCAAUAAUUUAAUACUUGUAAUAACUCGUUCUUGUAUUUAUAUUUUUUACACUUUAAAAUAAAUAAAUAGGGAAAAAAUAUUUCAUACAUUAAACAAUUGAAUAAUCUUAUUAAGUGUUAUGCUAAUUCAUUUUACAAAUUAAAAAUAUAAAAUAUUUUUUAAAAUAUUAAUAUUUAUGUGUGUAAUAUUCAAAUUUAAUUAAAAUUCAUUUCUUACUCUUAUUCAAUAUUUUUUGGACUCAACUCUGAUUCAAACGAUUGCUGAUGCACUUGUUGGUAUACAUCAUUGUAGCCAUUACGCACAAUCGAUGCAAAUCGAAUAUUAGUUGGAAUGAAAAGGAUAUUUUGAACUUCUAUGAGAGAUAUGAAUCGAUGCAAUCAAUAUCAAUACGAAAGUUGACUAUUAUGAUCUUUGUAAUUAAAUGAACUUAGUUAAUAAAUUAAAUGAAAAUCUUGAUAUUGUAUUAAUCAAAUAACAAUACAUAGUUAUGUUAUUUGAAAUUGUUAAAUAAUAUAUGUUGUAUAAAAAAAUACACACUUUAUUAAAACUUAUUUAAAGUAAUUGGUUGAAGUUGUUGUGAGAGAAACUCAUACCCAAAUGAGAUAAAUUCAUUUCCUGUCGUCUCGAUAAAAAAAAUACAACUCUUUAAAAACACAACCACUCCCUUAAAAUAUUUUUUAAGGUUUUCUUAUUUAACUCCAUGUACAGGAUGAAAAUUUUAUAAUAAAAAAUAAUAUAAAUUGAUUUUAAAAACCAAAUAUAACUUUGGUUAAAUAAUGGUAUAAAUAUAGAUAUUGUAAGAGGCAAGAGAAGAAUAUAAGGAAUUACCUAAAAGCUGCAUUAAUUGGGCCAACUUCAUGGGCUUAAAUUGCUCCUCAAUCCUAUAUUUGUAUGCAAUACUACCGGAAUCAACAAGUUCAUUUCAUUUUGAAACAGAAAAUCGAAACAAUCAUGUGUUUAAAUACAAAUAAUCCUAUACAUCUGUGUUUACCCUUUUUUUAAGAAUGUUAAAAAUAUAAAUAUAUACUAAAAUUAAAUCAGUAAAAAAACACAACGAAUGAAAAAUUAAAAAUAAUCUAACUAAAUUAAAAAGAACUAAAAAUAACUCACACACGACACACGCGCAUAAUGUGAGACAAUAACUCACGCAUGAUAAGACUUAAAUCUAAUUAUUGAAGACUCGGCCCUAUGCUUUGGGGUGUUUAAAAGAUUUCGUGUUCUCAAUGAUUUCAAAUCUACCCAUUCCCUCCUCUUAAACAAAAACAAUAAUUGUAUUAUAUUCAUAACUACAUGAUUAAUAUAACAGAACCAGAAUAAAAUGCAAGUAAAAAGUGUAGUACACUUAGUAUACUAAAAUUUGUUAUUAUUUAGCAUAAAAAAAAGUAUAUACUAAUCCUUAACGAAAAUACAGAACUGAUAAUUAAUAAAAUGGCAUUGUGUAAUUUCAUUGUUAAUGCAAACCUCUCCCUUGAGAUUGAGAAGCAGGUCUUUGGAGAACUCCAUAUUGAUAUCUUUGUUGGCUUCCUCUUCGGUGAUUCCGUAGAGGAAAAUGAUUAUUAGUGAGCGGUCUCCUUGAAGGACCCCAAAUUUGGUUUCUCUGAGCCAUCGUCUCUUGUUUCGGCGGCAAUGUUGGACUUGGAGUAGAUGUUUGAGCAACAUUAUCCACACCGCCACUUUCUCGGAAUACCGCUAACCUGUCCGGGAUUCCAUAGUAACCUGGAAAAUAAUUAUUUACCACUAAUUGAUUUUCGUUCAAGCCAUCAGAUGAAAUUGGCGGCACUCCAUCGUAGUUAUCGAUGGGUGGCACAUCUAUUCCUAAAUAUGGGUUACUACCAUAACCAAUAUUUGUAGCAUUGAUGUUGGAAUUAGGUACAAUUACACGACCAGUUACAGAAUUGUGGUUGAACCCAUUCAAGCCUGCAGAGUUAAUCUGGUUCUGCUGGUAAGGCUCAACCAAUUGAUCGAGUAGGUCAUUCAAGUGUUGAAGCUCUUCCUCGAGCCGCCUGAAGAGCCCUAGAGGCCCUCGGACUGGAUCUUGCGUCCAUGCCAAGGCUUCCCAUUCAAGGGACUCCACAGCUGUUUUCCUCUCGUCAGGAGUACGAGGCGUCAAUAUCCCUGUCAUGUUUUUCACACCAAAAAUCUUGUGAACUUCACGGAAAGAUUCUGCUCUGCUUGCAGGGAAGAAGGGAGCAAAUACACAGUUGCUUUCGCACUUUCUCCUUUGAUGCUUGCAUGCUGCGCAUGCGUGGCGAGUAUUUGGAGCAGCUUCUUCACCGUUCGACAUUCUUCUUCUUUCCUCGGACAAACAAACAAGAAUUUAGGGUUUGUUGAGACAAUCAAGUAAAGUGCUCCUCCUUUUUCUCAAGGUUAAACUAGGUUUUCAUAAAUUCGGCUUGCCCCUAGUAGUUUUUGUCCAUCAAAUUCCCAAUUACAUAAAUAUCAUAUAUCUUUUCUAUUUAGGGUUUUAUUUUUUUUACUUUUUAAAUAAGAGUAUUAGAUUUUUUUUACUUCUUAAAUUAAUUAUUAGUUAAAGAAAUAAGUAGUCCAAAGAAAUAUUUUAUGUUUAGCAUAAUUAAUACAAGUGUUCUAAUAGAAAUAAAUAUCUACCACUCAUCUUAACAAUUAAACUGAUAAAAUAAUAUGAUUGAUAUAAUAUUAAUAAUUUUAUAAUUCGGUAACAAGGUUUAAAUUUUUAUAAACUAUCAAUUAUAUGCAUAAACUUAACUGGACUUGUCAAGGGCCAAGUAGUUCACCCGACUCAAUAAGCUCAACUCAACUUGGACAAAUAUUUUUACACUUCGUGUUGGUCCGAAUUUAUUUUAAAUAGUAAAAAAUACUUCAAAUUCAAAUUUAAAUAUAAAAAUAUAUUUUAACGUUUUACUUUUUUUUGACAGUGAAAUGAGCUUUUGAGCAGGACGAGUCAAAAUCAGGCCUGGGUUGAAAAUUUUUUGAAACCAGAAUAUAAGAUUUGGGGUUUAUAAAAAAAUUAAUAAAAAAAUCAUUAGAUGCAAAUCUUGAUAUUGAUUUCUUUCUUUGAUUGCAAAGAAAAUUGAAGAAGAUGAAUGAUUUAGUUGUUGUAUGGUUUAGGGAUUACCUUUUGAAUAGAAAAGGUAAAUUUCUUAUUUUCAGUUAUUAAGUUUUGUGAAGAAAUUCCUAAAAUAGAUUAAAGGAAAUUAUUUUUUUAAUUUAAAAUUUAAAAUUAAGAAUUUUUAUGUAUUUUUCAUGUAUGAAAUUGUAAUGAUGUCAUAUGCAAUGUGUCGAUCAUACAUUUGUUACGUGCGCCACCUCAUAAAAAAAUCAACAUUAUUAGUGUUUUGGGUAAUUUAUGUAACGGUUGGCAAGUUUAAGUACUAAAUUACACACACAAAAAUUAAAUACUGAAUUUUAAAAAAAAAAUGUCACGUUCAAAUAUCAAAUCUUAUAUUAAGUCUAGAUUUAUUUAUUGAUUUUGUACAAUUAUUUCAUAGGAUGGGGGUGUAUGCCAAUCCAUAUGCCACUAGAUCUCAUUUUUGGACAGCUUGAAAAUAAUAUUUGUUCUAUAUACAAGUAUUCAAACUUUAAAAAGCAUAGAUGGUAGUAUUUUGGAGGAGGAUCCAAAUUAAUUUAUAAGGAUUAUGCUGAGUGUGGUAAAGACUAAAGAGAGAAAAAACACUCUGCUUUGUAGGUUAUGAUAAAGCUACUACCGACGUACCAGUUCUCCAUUCACAUUUUUCUUUAAUUCAAUACGCUUAGGUUCACCAUUCAUUACCAUAAAUACUGCAUUCAUGGCAACAAUAGAUCCUCGAGCUAAGACAUUAUGCUCCUCAUGUGUCCACUGUGCUUGUUGGAACCAAACUAGCUUAGAUAUGAUCCCAAUAAUAAAAUUAUUAAGACAAGCAUGAUUGAGAUUGCGUCAAAGCAAAAUUAAUUAUAAUUAUCUUACAGCUAACUCAGCAUAUCUAAAACCUCGUAUUUUAUGGUGGCUAGAAAGUAUCUUAAUUUUACAUUUUGACUCUAAUUGGAUGCAGAUUUGCUAUAUAAGUUUAAUUACUUGUCAAUUUUGAUUUUUUUAUGUAUAAUGUUAGUGUGAUAUAUUGCAUAAUUAAUUUAUAUCAUAUCAUAUUUUUCUUUAUUCGUAUUUAUUUGUGUAUCUAGUAUCUAUUAUAAAUAAGUUACAUAACUUGAUGCAAUAUUUUUCUUCCACACAAAAAUUCAUUCCUCCUCCUUUGGCCUCUUGUGUAUUUAAGUUAUAUAAAUUUUUUUAAUGCUACUUAUAAAUGUCUUCAACCUUUUUCCUUCUUGAACAACCACGACAAUACUCGAGCUUUAGUGACUUGCUUUGUUUGAUAACAACCCUUUGUUUUUCUUCUAGUAAAAAAACAUUAUUUUAAAUAUAACAUCAACCCAAUUACUGAAUUUCAGUACUUUUUUAAAUUUUUCAAUCUCUCUUAAUCUUACGUGAAAUAAUAGAAUUUAUACACGUCUUUAAACAUUUUAUUUUGAAAUUUCUCAAAUCUUUUUUUAAAAAUUUCACAUGAAAAUAAGUUGAUUUUUACAAUUGAACCAAUUGACUAUUAUAAGAAAAAUAAAGAUGGACAUCAAAAAAUUAUUUAUCCAAUUCUAAAUCUCUUCCUAUAUCUGGUGGUGUCUUGUUAAAGAGUAAUCCAUUAUGAAUCAAGUCUUGAACCUCUUCUUAUAUGCGUGGGGUCUUGUCCAAAAACUAAUCUACUAUGAAUCGACAAUACAAUAUGUGUGUUAACUUCAACUCUCUUACCAAGUAACAACCUCACUCAAAUACAUUCAAAAUCACUCUUUGACUAAGACUUUUUCCAAUAAAAGCUAUGUUAGAACAGGUUGAAUAUAUCCCAAAAUCACUCAAAAAUGUUCCUUACAAUGAAUAAAUUGAGUUCUAUAUAGAUCCACACCUAAAAAAAUACAAAUUUUCAAUAUAUAGACCCUUGUAAUCAAAGUAAUUCAAUUAGUGUGAUCUGGUUGAACCAUUAGGGUUUUUGUCCAUAUCAAACAUGUUUAAUGAAAAAGAUAAUCUUGAGAUAUUUUCUUCAUAUUUUCUCGAUCACAUAUCUCUUUGUUUAUGGAAAGACAAUCACACUAAGCUUCUUCAAACUAUCCUUAACUGAAUAUUAUACCAUGAAAUAUACAAUAUAAUAUCCCUUAAGAAGAUGCACAAAAAUGCCACAAUAAUUGGAUCAAAAUAUACCAACAAAAUAGGUAAUUUAUAAUGUUCGUCCAACUUUUUCUUAUGUUGCAACUAGUCUUUUAAGGUUAAACAAAGCUUCCAUAAAGAGUUAGAGUUCAACUUCACAAAGUAAUCUUCGAUCCAUCUAGAUCUGUACAAAUCGCACUAAAUCAAUUACCCUUAACAUAAAAGGAAUUAGAUAAAUCUUCACAAAGUCAACUCACAUCUUCUUGUAACUACAUAUCUCAAUAUAUGUGUGUGUAUAUAUAUAUGUUAGAGUUGUGUGACCCAAAUUCUAAAAGAUUGUUUGCAAUUCAAGUUAAACAAAAUAUAUCUUCUUUCUAGAAGAUUUAGUAUUUAUGAGUAUAAUAUAUUUAGCAUUUAUUAAUAUAAUAUAUUUGACUUUGAUUAGAAUUAGAUUUUUUCAACCUAGAUGUAGUCGAAACUCAUUUUGAAAUCAUUCAAAUUCAAUAUAAUGAAUUUUCUUCUCCUCUGCCCGUGGUUUUUUUCCCGAAAGGGUUUCCACGUAAAAUUUGUGUGUUCUUUAUUUUUAUUUCUCUUUUCUUUGUGAUAUAUUGUCAUUACCGAUGUUCUUUUUUUUUUAAAAUAUAUAUAAGGUAAGUUAAUCACACUAGGAGUCUUCAAAAUUAACCUUGCUUAAUCCAACUUCUUCUCCAAUUAAAUGAGAAGUCAGAAAAGUUUUUGAAGGGGGCCAAAACUAAGUUGUAUAUUUUUACGGUAGCAAAAGUGAAAUUUCAUUAUUUUAAUAAUCUAUAUCUUUAUCAUUUUUAAAGGAUUAGAUCAUUUUUUUCUCAUUUUUAAGGGGGCUAAAGUGUAAUUUUAUCAUAUAUUAAUUUAAACUUUUUAAAAUUAUAAAAGGACUAAAUGUGAAAAUUAGGUGGGAUAGGCCGAGACCCCUACCAACCCCUUAGCUUCGCCCCUAUCUCUAAUUAUAAUCUCGUGAUUGAGUACUAAAAAAAUACAAGUAAAUAAUCAGUCAAAUAUUCCAACAAAGAGUUUUAAUUUACUACUAGCUAUGUCUUAAAUUGUAACUGGUACUAUGGUUGGUAAGUAAAACUAGCACUAACAUCAUGUUCUAACAUUAACACGAUUUGAAAGAGGAAUCAAGUUUAUUAAAAUAGAUACCUCUUUUUAUGCUCAACGAAGACUAUUUUGAGCCUAAGACCUUGUUUGUAACACCCUCUAACCCUUAUCCGCCGCUAGAACAGGGUUACGGAGCAUUACCGAACUUUUCAGAUCAACUAUGAACAUUAUAUAAUCUUCUAGCAUACACAUCAUAAUUUAAUCAUAUUGUCCCUUUUAUGAGCCCCCGAGGCUCAAAAUAUGUGUUAGAAACAAAUCGGGACUAAAUCAGGUACUCCAGGAAUUUUUUGCAAAAUUUCAAAAAUUUUCCUAGGUGUAGGGGACACACGCCCAUGUGUUAGCCGUGUGUCUCACACGGUCCAGUCACACUCCCUUGUGUCUUCCCGUGUAGACUCAAAAUGAACCUUAAACAUCAAGUUUACCCUUCCCUGCAACCUUGAACACCAAGCAACUCAAAAACCAAUCGUUCAAUCACUUUAAAACACGAUUUAAUACCUUUAAAACAUGUCAAAACAAUCAUCCUAGUUUUCUAACCAAUGUACCCUCAUAGGUACUUCACAUAUAUUAUCAAAACAAUCAAAUAAGACAGCAUCUAAGCCAAUUCAAAAUUCAUACCAAUUUCAGCCCAAAUUUGCCUAUAUCACUCUCACUUAUGCAUCAACUUAAACAUUCCAUAUUAAACCUCAACUUAACACGUAUAAUCAUGUAUAUAAGUAACCAAUAUCAUCUUAUAACAUCAUUUACAUUCACUUCCCAAAAUGACAAGCAUAAGACAUCCUAGGUACAUGCUGACACAAAAAGAAAUAUACAUCACCACGUUUUGAGUUCGGGAUCGUUGAUGGAUACUGAAUCGGCAAUCUGACUUUAACCUAACCUGCGCACGAAAAACAAAUUGUACGCUGAGUAUAAACUCAGUGGUAUUUCUAUAAUCCAAAUGUUUAAAAGUAAAAUAAUAUAAUAUACAAUAACUAUAGUCAUACAAUUAUUCAAUUCAUAAAUAAGGUAUUUAUAACACAUUCAAUUUUUAUCAUUUGCUAUCUCAGAUAGCUUUUCACAAUACAAACACAAAUCAUUUGAACAACAAUGUUGUUCAUUCAUAUUCAAUUCAUAAAUACACAAAUCAUAUGUCUCUAACCAUAUUUCAAAUCACCACUCAAUAUCAAUCAGAACACUAUUUUAUUCAAUAACCCCCAUUAACAUGACACGGACUCGGACGGAUACACGGAUCCAACCAAAACACACCAGUUUGGCACCCAAUGCCUUAUUGGAUAAUUCGAAGCAAUAAGUUGACACCUGGUGUCUCAUCGGCCAUGCCGAAGUAAAUUGGUACCCAGUACCUCAUCGAAUUUAUCCGAAGUAAUAAUUUGACACCCAGUGUCUCAUCGACUCGAAGUCGAAAAAAUCCUUGAACUCUUUCAAUCCUAUGGCAUGUCAUCUAUAUCCGACUCAGUCUGAUACAGUUAAUAGGGUUUAAUUUCACUUUUCAAAUACAACCAAUAUUCUAUUCAAUUCAAAUAAUCAAUAUAUAUAUCAAUUCAAUCAAUAUAAAUUUAAUAAGUUCAUCACACUUAUCAUAUACAUUAAAUUGAAUUAUAGCAAUUAACAACUAAAUUUGGAUUAUAGAAAUACAAACCGGAAAUACCGAGCUAUUCCUCGUCGACUUUAUCUUUUCCCUUUUUAGUCGAGGGUUCCGGUACGACGUUAGCUACGGAAUUAAAAUAAUUAAAAUUCAUCAAUACAAUACAAUUUGACAUUGAACAUUUCAAUUUUUAUUCAACUUUUGUCUAAAUUUCAAAUUAGUCCCUAAACCGAGCUUAACUUUAUUUCUUCAAAACUAAUUCUCUAUUUUCAUUCAAUUUCCACUUUAGACUAAAUUCAACUCUCUAAUUUCACUCAAAUCCCUAAAUUUCAAAAUUUUUACAAUUUAGUCCCUAAUACUCAAAACUUAUAAUUUAUUUUACAAUUCAAUCCCUUUUUCAUUUCUAACUUAAAAUUCUAUCAAUUUAAUCCCAAAUACUUAAACUAUUCAACAUGAACAACAUCUAAAAAUUCAAUAUUUUACAAUUCACAACAUCUAAAAAUUCAAUAUUUUACAAUUCAAUCACUUUUUCAUUUCUAACUUACCAAUUAAGUUUUGAACCUUGAAACCCUAAUUUCUCCUUUCUUUCUUUCUCUUUUUCUUUUUUCUUUCCUUUUCUCCCUAUUUUGUUUCUAUUUUGUUUCUUUUAUUUAUUAUAUUUACUUAUUAUAAUAUAAUAUAUAUAUUUAAUAAUUAAGAUAUAAUAUUAUAAUAUAUAUUUUAACUUUAAGUUUUAUAAAUAUCUAUCUUAUGCCGCCUCAUUUAUAAGCAAUAGCACAAUUGCUCAUUUAGUCCUUUUAAUUUUUCUUUAAUCUAUAAUUCGACUUUCACCUUUUAUGCAAUUUAGUCGUUAUACCUAAUUUCUCUUAAUUCAUGCAAAUUCACCUAACAAAAACCUAAUUAACCACACUACGAGUCCGAUUUACGGUAACGGAGUCUUAAAAAUGUACUUUUUGAUGCCCGUGACUAUCAGGUCGUUACAUUGUUAGCAUUGUUUGUCUUGUUAAAUUAGUGUUUUAUGCCCACCAAAGCAAUGGUUAAAUUUAAAUUAGAUUUUUGACUUGAAUAAGAAAGAUGGAUUUGAAUGUGUUUAGGUUUUUAGAAAGCUAGUUUCUAUGUGAAAUUAUAAAAUCAGUGUCCUUGUUUGUGUGGGGGUACUGUUAUACAACUAAACUAAAUUGUAUAUACAAUUCACUUUAAAUUGCAACUAUGUAAAAUUUAAAUUGGAUAUACCAUUAUUUUCCUUUCUAAAUUUUAUAUAAAUUGUAUAGCAUUAUAUAUUUUAAUUUAUAAGGGUUUUAUUUGUAUGUGAUUUUAAUCUCUCAAAUAUAGUUAUAUAUUCAAAUUAAAUUUUACAUAUAAUUUAUAUUAAUUACUUAAAAGCAUUUAAAUUUUAUAUUUAAUAUAUUAUAAUAUUAUUUAAAUUAUUUUUUUUCAACCUUGAGUUUAAUAUUAAAAAUUGUAUAUUUCACAAUAUUUUUUUUAUAGUAAUGUUAAACAAUUAAAAUUAAAAAAUCACUUCACCGUACUUUUUCAUAAAACUUUACAAGAGCAUUUCCCCCCUAAAAAAACACCUUUUAAUGCAACACCAAACCAUUUGAAUUAGGUUCAUGUAUAGAGGUGUUCAUAGCUAGACAGAGUUUGAGUUGAGCUUAUAUAUAAUAUUGAUAUACUUUAUAUUUGCCCAAAUUCAGCUUAGUAAAUAUGAGCUUAAAAUUUUGUUUUAGUCUACACAUCUUUAUAAAUGACUAACCCAAAUUCAUUUUAGACCUAACAUCUUUUUGCUUAAAAUAUAUUUAUUUUUAAUUUCACAUUUAACAUUUUAGAAUUUUUUUUUCUUUCAUUAAAUUUUUAAAUUUUAGAAACUGCAUAUUUUUUUAAUGUUUAUUUAGUAUUAUAUUAUUAUAUAUUUAAUUUUAUGUAAUGUAAACUACAUAACCUAUAAAAAAUAAAAUUAUAUUAUAAAAGUACAAAAUGAGUUGAAUGGAUUAAAGUUAAAACUUAAGAAUUUAAUUUUUUAAAAAUCCAAUUUCCAGACCUCUUUUUUAUCUAAACCUAAAGUGGAGGGAGUUAGAAAAUUUAUUGUGUUUUCCUCCCUUUUCCCCUCUUUUAAAAGUUGUUAUUUUUUGGCCUGAAAAGUGGGGUUAAUUGCCUUAAGGGCUUUCCCAGCAUGCUCUUAAACAGUAUUUAGAUUAAUAAGUAAUCAUUGAUUAUUUUAUUUAGCACUAUCCAUGAAUUAUAUCCGGUAAUCUUAAAGACCGUCAACAGAACAUUAAUCAGCAAAAUCUUUACUUUAAUUAUUAAUAAAUUAACUGUUCUCUCAAAGUUGUUCCCUUUUGUGAGACAAGUAGAAAGAUUCAGUAUUUACUAAGAAUAUUAAGCACUAAUAAUAAUAUUCAAGUACAAAACAUGUUUGCUAUUAACAAAAAUACACUUUCAAUUAAUAUAGUACCAUAAUUUGACAUUCCUCGUUACCCCCCAAAAGAAAGAAUUUGACAUUCCUUAAUAUAAUACUGUAUUUCAUUUAUAUAUUGGUAAUAAUUAAAUAGGGUCAAUGAAAAUUUGGGAAUUCCUUCAAUUUCCCAAGAUGAUGUUGUGCCCCCCAUUAAACUAUGUUUUAGCUGUAGUGGGAUUUAGAGGUUUUCAAACUUUGAUUGAAAUUAUGUGCUUAACAUAAUUUUAUUAUAAUUGAAUUUUUAUUGAUUUUAUGGAAGUGUAAAAAAAAAAAUACCCUCAUCACAUAUAGAAUGAUAUUUUAAUGAUUUCGCAGUCGAAUAAAACAAUUAAAUCUAUGACUGCCCUUCAAAUCAAUGCAGUUCUUGAGAUAGCUAGGAAUCUCACGUAAGGAAUAAGUAAAAUGAUGAUGAUUAAGUGGCACCUAUUUCAGUACAAAAUAAAAAAGGUAAUUAAGAAGUAGAUUCAUUCAUAAUUUUUUUCUCACAGAAUAAAUGAUGUUGUUGGGCCACUAAAAUUUGCAAACAAAAGCAGUCCUCACAAAUUUUCUCUUAAAUUUUCUGUGCCAUCGAUAUAAAUAUAAAUCGGUUAAAGUGGUAUAUUAAUAUAUAAAAAGAAAUGAGUCUAUGCUCUAUUUAUAAAAGCAAAAGUUGAGUCUGGAAAUUUUAAUGAAAACAAUAUACUAAAUUCAAAAAUAUAUAUAUUAAGCAGCUAAAUUGAUCUACUUAUAAAAGCAGAAGUUGAGAGUGGAAAUUUUUGUUACAAAAUGUAGGAAUAUUAUAUGAUGAAUUGCAUGUGCACCUAAAUUUAGGCAUUUAAGCAUAGUCAUGUUCAGUAUUUACUACAACCAUGUUUGCUUUAAGUGAUUAUUCUCUUAAACCGCAUUUCUAGCUAACAUAUUCUCAUUUUCAUUGUUCAUGUUGGCUUUUAUUGAUUCAAAGUACCAACACCAUUUAUUGUAAUAAUGUGCUUUCAAGUUUCAACUUCUACUCUUUUUUAUAUAUUUUUUUUGAAGUUUUGCUUCUUGUUUUAUUGUGAAUAAUCAUGAAGAAAGAAUUGGUCUAUUUAUUAACGAUGGGUGAGUACAAUUUAUAUUUAUAAAAGAUUUAGUGCAAGUGAUAAAAAUUUAUGUAUACAUCUAUCAAUCUUUAGUUCAAUCUAGGGGUGAGCAAAACUCGAUUCGACUCGAAAAAAUCGAAAAAAAUUUGAAUUUCGAGUUAAACGAAUCAAGUUAUUCGAGUUAAUCGAGUUAUUCGAAUCAACUCGAAUUUUUUUUUUCGAAUUUCGAGUUCGAAUCGAGUUAAGUUUUCGAAUUCGAAUAACUCGAAUAAUUCGAAUAAUUCGAAUAUCAAACUAUAUAUUUGACAGUUUUAUCCUAAACUCCCAAACUUUUUUACUUUUCCCUCAAAACUUUUACUCCUUCCCACUUUUCUCCCAAAACUUUUACUCCCCUCCCCUCCCCUCCCAAUCCCCCAAUCUACCCAAAAUUCAUUUCCCACCAAAAUUUUACUCUCCCAUUUACUUUUUCUCAAAAUUUUACUCCCAAAAACCCUCAAAACCUUUUAUUUUCUCUCAAAAUUUUUACUCCUUCCCACUUUUCCCCUAAAACUUUUAUUCCUUUUCCAUCCCACCUCCCACCUCCCAUCUACCCCAAACCCUCCCCCCUCCAAUUUUUUUUUUUAAUAUUUUCCCUCCAAAAUUUUACUCCCCUCUAUUUACUUUCCCUCAAACUUUUAUUCCCCAAAACUUUUUAUUUUCCCCCUAAACUUUUACUUCUCACUAUUUACUCUCAAAUAAAAAAUCAAAAUUAUCCAAAAAAAUCACUAAACAUAAAAAGUAAUAAUUUUAUUUAUAUUUACUAUUUAUAUUAUUAAAUUAAAUUUCACAUUUUAUAUUCUUUAUAUUAUUGAAUUGUUUAGUCAUAUUGAAUAUUUAUAUUAAAAUUGAAUUAUUAAUUAUGCCAUAAAAUAUUCGUGUUAAAAUUUUAUAUUGGUAUCAAUUUCACAUUUUAUUUUUGAAAUAACUUUUAUUAAAAAAUCAUAUUUUUACAUUUAAUAUAUUUUUUAAUUCCAAAAUACAUAGUGACAAGAAUCUGAAGAUAAUUGAAACAACUAAGCAAGAAAAUAAACUAAUCAGUAUAUAAAAAAUUAAUAAAUAAAUUAUGAGGUGAUGAAAGUUAAUAAAAAAUUUGAUUAAGGUAGCCAAAUUUUAUUACGAUGGGUGACAACGGUUAUAAUGACCCAAAAUUAUUUUUUUAAAAUUUAACUCGAACAAAUAUAUUCGAUUCGAUUCGAUUCGAAUUUCAUCUCACUCGACUCGAUUCAAUAAAACUUCAAAUAAAUUUAGGAUGAUAAAAUGAGAUUCGAAAACUCGAUUAACUCGAAAAUUUUUGAUUCGAUUCGAUUUGAUUCGAUCGAAUGCUCAUCCCUAGUUCAAUCUCUAGAGAUUUGUAAUUUAUAUGUAAUUCUUUUAUUUAAGUUUUUAUAAAAGAACAAUAUGAAAAUACAAAAAGAAAAAAAAAUAUCAUUACAGUAUUAUUGAUUUAACCACUACUCUGCUACGCUAUUUGCGUCCACAUUAUAUGUGGUGUGAAUAAUCGAAAAAGUUUCAGAAACUAAGAGGGGGAGUUAAUUCAUUUCAAGAUUUGUCACAGCCAAAUUGGUAGGACCACACAGUAUAAAAGAAAGAGCAGAAAGGGAAAAAUAACACAAAAAGAGAAAUUGAGUCUUAAAAUAAUAAUGCACGUUUUGCAAUGUGCGAAAUUGCAGCAGAGAGGCAGAGAUCCCCUCCCCCAUAGCCACAGUUCGUCCUGCAAAGAUAAUUUAAAGGAAGUGAAUGGCCUUGGGUUGGGAAUGGUUCACUUUGGCUUGACUCUCAGUCAUUCAUCAAUAAAUAACGAAGGCUAAGCCCCUACACACGUUUGCAAUGACGGCGACAUAAAGGCCAAAGCUAGUGCCAAAACAAGCACUUUCCUGUGUAUACUUCAGUUUGCUAAAGACCUUUGAUGGGAUUGUCUUCCCAACUUUCUGUAAACUUUCGUCUCUGUCUGCCCCUAAACAGAGACUGAAGGAAGACUUGCUUUAUUACAUUAUUUGAAACAGAGCCAUGGUGAUGGUCCCCUCGGUCCCAUGUGCUCCCCUUGUAGUUGUAUCAGACUUCCUUCCACCACUCGAAUAUUAUGUAUAAUUUUAACUUUUUAAUAAACACGUAGCUUUGGAAAGAAAUUCGAUGUAAAGAUAAUCCUACCCUUAAAAAGCUUCCAUACAUGAGCAUACAAGUAUAGGCGAAGGAAUCAUAAAAGGGAAAGGAUUUAAUAUGCAAUUUAUGUUAAAAUAGCACAAUCUCACAUUUAAAAAAUAUAAGAUUGUGAAGUGCUUGUCUUAUUAUAAAUAGAGUUGGUUUCUCCACCUUUAAAUCAUUUCAAAAUUUGUCAUUUGCGGUGAAUUAUAUUUGAUAGUGUUCGAUGGUGUAGGUGUAAUGUAUUGAACUCGUUAAAAAUUUUUGGUGUUCUUUAUUGUUUUUCUUUCAAUAUUUUGCAAGUACAUUUAUAGUGAUAUAUUGUGUUAUUAAAUUAGAUUAGAGGGAGAUUUUAUCUAAGAGAUUGGAUUUUAGGAGGUGAAACAUUUUCAUUCUUUUAGAAUUAAUUCUUGUAAGUUGUAAUUAAAAUAAUGAAGAUUUUCAAACUAAUGAAUUAACGGUAUCACAUCAAUCAUGGCAUGUCAAAACACAAAUGAUUCAAUGUAAAGAAUAAGGAUAAACAAUAAUUAAUUUUAUAUAAUUAAAAUUUAUAAACUAAACAAUUAGAAUGGAUGGAACAUAUCAGAAUUAAAGAAAAAACCAAACUUUUGUGAAUCAAUUUAUGAUGGAAAUAGAGCAUUCCAACCAGUACUAGAACGAAUCUAACCAUGGUUCCAAGACACUUUUUCAAAAAUAAAGUUAAAAAAUGUUAGAUAAAGAAAUCAUACCUGAAAUACAUAGAACUAAACCUUGAUAUCUAUAAUUGAUUAUCAAGUUGCCUUUUUUUUUUUGGCUGAACAACUGAUCCUAUUUGUUAUUUAUGGUUGUUGUCUGCUCAUUUUGCAUGUUUACUUGCUGGUAGAACAUUUCUCUAUGAAGGAUAAUGGAUAUGCCUCAUAUGGGCAACACGUUUAUUAGAGCAUGAGCUCCUUUAAAGCUCUUUUAUUUUUGGUAGUAAGAGAAUUAAUAGCAGGAACAGAGUUGGAAAGUAAAAAUCACCUAUCUAUCCGAAUUUUAUCAUCAACCAAAGUAGGGGCAAAAUGAAAAUUUUUUAAGUCAAUGGGAAUACUUUUCAUCAGAUCAGUUAAAGUUCACAUCUCUAGGUAUUUAUUUAAAUAGUACUCUCCACUUACGGCUGCACAUGUCUUGGAUUCACACAAUUAAUAUCCUCAACAAUUUCCAUUAAUACCUUUGAUAACUAGACCGUAAUCAAUCUCAAUAAUAACGUUUAUCUAAUCUAUUUUUAAUCCUUGGAGUCCAUCUUAUGUGGUUAUAGCAAAAUUAAGUUUUAGAUCUUUCCAAUUUUAUGUUCUGCAUUAAUGUUAUUUAAUUGUAUGCACUAUUUUUUUAUGCUCGAUUUGAUAAGAAUGAAAGCAUAAAAAAAAUCUUUUAAUCUAAUAAUUACACUAUAUAAUAUAAAAAAAAACAUAAAGCUAAUUAACGCAAAUUUAAGAUUAUCCAUAUGACGCCUCGGUAAUUUUCUUAAGAUCUGUUUGAUUGACGAAAUUGACUUUCCGGAAAAUCAUUUCCAACUUUUCCAGCGUUCGAUUAGAGGAAAACAUUUUCCAUUUGGAAAAUGAACUCCAAAACAAGGGAAAAUGGGUUACAGUUUAGGGAAAAUGUCUUACCCUUUCAAUUUCCGUAAGACAUUUUUCGUGCUAUCCUCUCUAUCGUCUCUAUCGUCUCCUUCAUUCAUUCCUUCAUUUCCGGUAGAAAACUGCUUCUGUUUAUCGAUUUUCCAGUAACUUGUUUUUUUAAUUAUUCAAUACUUGUUUUUUUAACACAAUUACAAAUAAUUUAUUUGAUAUUAGUUUUUUUCAAUUUAUAACGAUUAAUAUUGUAGCUUAAUAAUUGAGUAUUAUUAUAAAUAAAUCAUUGCAAUAUAUGUAAAAAUAAUUUAAAAUAUAAAAAUUUAUUAAUAUAUAUUAAUAUAUGUAAAAACAACUUUUCCGAAAAAUAUUUUCAAAAAAUCUGCCAAGCAACAGAAAAUAUUUUAUACAGAUUCAAUCAAACACCAGAAAAUAUUUUUCAAUAAAUCAUUUUACAGAAAAGUAAAACAUUUUCCAGAAAUCAUUUUACGGAAAAUAUUUUAUUGGCAAUCAAACAGACCCUUAGUUAGCCAAGUAAAUCGAGAGAGAGAAAAGAAAUCCGAUUAACCUUUUCAUAUUAUGUUCAGAUUUUUAAAAGAAAAAAAAUAAAUUUUGAUAUAUUUUACUGACAAAAUAUAAUUUGAUAUAACAUCCACACACUAAACACACUCUUUAAUUUGAUAAUUAAUUUUCAAUUUAAUAAAUUUUAAAAAUUACGUAAUUGUAAUUGGGUCUUAAUGUAAUUUAUAUUGAAAACGUGGGAUUCAGCGUUUCUCUUUUUAUUCAAGCAUAUAAGAAUUCUACGUGAUUAUUAUAUAAUAUUACAAAAAUUAAAAUAAGAAAAAGCUUAAAAAUAAAUACUUAGAAAUAUUGAAAAGAGUUUGAACGUCAAUGCAUGUUUGGUGCUAACCUCUAACGCCAGUUAAGAAAAAACAAGGGAAUUUGGAGGAUAACCAUUGACCUGACCGCCAUGAUAAUCAGCAGCUAAUUCAUGCCAAGGCCGACAAUUCCCCCAUAUUCUUUCAGUACCAAAUGCAAAUAUCCCUCGGAUAAGUGCAGAAAUGUUUUGCCCUCUUCAGUGUACUGUUUUAGAUAAGUAUGGAACUAAUCAAUUUAAUUCACUAGGAAAGUCCUCGGAUGGGAAAGAUUAAGUUUUAAUGUCAAAAAAAAGAAAACAAAAAACCAUGCAGAUAAACAAUAAAUAAAACCCUCGAGUCAAUCCAUAAAUAAUAAGCCACCACUCUGAUACCAAAUCAAAGUAUGAAAACCCUACAAGCUAUACAUCCCUUAUUGACUUUCAAACCCCCCUAUUUAUUCUUCAACAACCUAAUUUUCCAUUAGAAUAAUCCAACACUUACAUCUGCCCCCCUCCACCCUUUCAUUAAUACACUGCGAGCAGAAACCGAAGAGAACCCCAAAAGAAAUAUUAGUAUAUAUAUGUGAAACAUAAAAUAAGAUAGACAAGCUGGCCAGAAUAACCCAUUUCUCUAAAGCAAAAAUACAAAGAAAAAGCCUCUCUCUCUCUCUCUCUCUCUCUCUUCUCUACUCUUUGGAACCUUACUCCACUUUCUCCUUCGCAUUAUGAGCUUUCUAUGUCACCAUUGAUGGAAGAUUCUAGUUAAGCACCAAGCAUGUAUCUAUUUCCUUGUUUCCUUUGUUUCUUGUCUGGGGGAAUUAGCUUGUACUUUUGAGUAGAAAGCAAGUACUUUAGUUUUAAUGUAAAAUGGUAAACGAUAUGGGAGACUACUUUCAAUCUUCCCUUUUUCAUUUAUUGUGAUUUCCUUUCUUGUUUAUGUUUUUGAUGGGGAUUCCUGUUGUGGUUUUUGCCAGUUACAUGGUUUUUUUUAUCAAAGAAAGGAAAUUUAUUAAAUGUUCUUUUUUAUUAUUUUAUUUUCUUUGGGAGAUGGGAAUGACUUUUUAUUUAAUUGAGAGAAAAAUAUUAUUAUAUUAUGAAACAUAAAAUAAGAGAGACAAGCUGACCAGAAUAACCCAUUUCUCUAAAGCAAAAAACAAAGAAAAAGCCCUCUCUCUCUCUACUUUUUGGGGUCUUCAAACCUUACUUCACUUUCUCUGUCACCAUUGAUGAAGAUUCUAAUUAAACACCAAGCAUGUAUCCAUUUCCUUGUUUCCUUUGCUUCUUGGCCGGGAGAAUUAGCUUGUACUUUGAGUAGAAAACAAGUACUUUAGUCUUAAUAUAAAAUUGUGAACGAUAUGGGAGACUACUUUCAAUCUUCCACUUUUCAUUUAUUGUGAUUUCCUUUCUUGUUUAUCUUUUUGGAGGGGACUCCUGUUGUGGGUUUUGCCAGUUACAUGGUUUAUUUAUCAAGAAGGGAAAUUUAUUAAAUGUUUUUUUUUUAAUUUUCUUUUCUUUGGGAGAUGGGAACGACUUUUUAUUUAAUUGAGAGAAAAGAAAAAUAUCACAGGAGUAGGUGAGGAGGCUAUAAGAAGAGAUGUUAUAUAUGUCUGCCUAGUGCAAAGCAGUAGCAAAAACUAGAGCAACAAAAGGGCAAUUAUAUUUCUUAUUCCUCUUUUGGUUGGCAACUUUAGAUUAGAUAUCUAACUCAGAUUUUGGCCAUUAUCAUCAGCACCAUCAUGUCUUCAUCAAACAGACACUGGCCUAGCAUGUUCAAAUCCAAGCCCUGCAACACUCACCACCAAUGGCAGCAUGACAUCAACCCAUCUCUCAUGUCAAGUGCUUGCCAAAAAGCCCCUUACACUUCAGGUAAAUGACAAUUUUUUCAGUAGCCAUGACAAACUUCAUUCAAGGUUUCUUUUGUUCUUGAAUAAGGGACGCCUAAAGUCAUCUACUUCACCUGAAAUCUUCCUACGUUAGAAAUCUCGGAUUUGUCUUUACCUACAUAAAUAAAUCGUCAGUUUUCUCAUUAAUUUGCUUCUUUUAAACUGAUACUUCCAAUAGUUAUAGUAUUACUUGAUAAUUUUAUGUAAUUAAGAAAAACAUCAUGUUUGAAUUCUUCACAAGUUCCAAUUGUAUGCUAACUUCUUGAACAACUAUUGCAGGAUGUGAAGAGCGUAGUCCUGAGCCUAAACCAAGAUGGAACCCGAAGCCUGAACAAAUUCGCAUACUGGAAGCUAUAUUCAACUCCGGGAUGGUUAACCCACCUAGGGAUGAGAUAAGGAAAAUCAGAGCUCAACUGCAAGAGUAUGGCCAAGUAGGCGAUGCCAAUGUCUUUUACUGGUUCCAGAACAGAAAAUCAAGAAGCAAACACAAGCUGCGAAAUCUCCAAAAUUCUAAACAACAGUUGCAGCAAAAUCAACAAACUCCUCCUAUCACUAAUAUGACCACCAUCUCUGCACCUUCCUCUUCAUCAUCCUCAUCCGAGAAAUCUUCGCCAAAAGGAGCUAACAAGAGUACCUUCUCUUUGAGCAGUACAAAUGUCGUUGACGUUUCCAGUUCUCCAACUGCUUCCGUGAACCAGACCUACUUUCAUCAGCCUCAGAACGAGUUCUUGAACGAACCGUUUUUCUUUCCCAUGCAACAGCCUGCUGGAGGAUCCGGAUUUACACAAGCGUUUGGCUUCUCAGAACUGACCAAUGUGAUUCAAGUCCCUGAACAAACAGUUGGACCCUGUACAAGUCUAUUGUUGAGUGAGAUCCUAACGCACGGAGCUUCAAGGAAAGGAGAGGAAAAGAUGGAUAUGCAGCUCCAGCUUAGUUACAGUACUAUGACAACUGCCCCUAGUACUAACCCUAUUGCUCCUCAUACUGAUUCCACCAGUGCUACAGUUACUGUUCCAUCUAAUACUCACCACAUUCAUGGUAAUUUUCACACACAAAAAAAUUCAGAAUUAAGGAUAUUAAUACAAGAUUUAUCUUUAUUAGUAGGAAAAGGGUUAGUACAAGAAUAUAUAGAUGUUCCAGGAUGAGGAUAAAAGUGUCAUUUAGGACCGACACGAACGUGUGCAUGGCUUGUUCUCUGUGGAAAUUGACUACUGCCUUGGUGUUUUUAAUAUGUUGAGUGAUUGGCAGGUGUUGGGGAACCGGCUGCAGUGGGCCAUGGAGAUCUGGGUAGAUCAACGGUGUUCAUCAAUGAUGUUGCAUUUGAGGUGACGGUGGGUCCGUUCAACGUGCGGGAGGCUUUCGGAGAUGAUGCAAUCUUGAUUAACUCCUCUGGUCAACCUGUCCUCACCAACGAGUGGGGCUUGACCCUUCAGUCCCUUCAACAUGGUGGAUUUUACUAUCUGGUUCGCUCAUUAAGCCCCUUUUCCAUCUAAGGAAGGUGACUAGCUUUGAAAAAACCUUCCCCUAAAUUUUGCUUUACUGCAUGUCAUCAAAUACGUAUGUGUACAAUAUUUAUAUCGAUGUUCUACAAUGGUAUUACGCAUAUAUAUAUACUAGUUUUAGGUAAGAUAAUGUUGAUCGCAGCUCCAGCUUGUUUAUUCAUAAAAGAGAUCACUUGGGGCCCUUUUUCUUUCUCGUGUAAGCGUUGGAAGCUUUUGCUUACCAAUUGAACUCGUUGAUUUGCGUGUUAUUUUCUUGAAUUGCAGGUUUAGGGAUGUGGAAAUGGAAGCUUUUUCCUCUCUCUGAUCUCUCCCUCAAUCUCUCUUUAUUAUCAAGGUUGAACUUUCGCUUUAGCUUUAGCUAGUCCUUAGGGCUCUCUCUCUAUAUAUGUUAUGGAUAUGUAGUAUGAAAACUUUGUGAACCAAUGUGUUCUCUAAUUUCGCGUUAAGCCAAUGCGUAUGAAUUAUAUAUGCUAUUUUACUUUCGAUAUGCAUGAAAUAUUGCAAACUAUUAUACCUACAUUUAACUUAAUUUUCAGUUUUACUUUGCACAUUUUCUCUGGAAAGUAAAGCUAAAAACUCAGUUUUCCAUAUUAUAUAUAUCAUGUACUUUACACUCGGAAAUGCAGCCCUCUUACAGGCUCAAUGAACUGCUGGUAAUUUUUUUUCGAGUGAUGAUUUACUUGUAUAUCUAGGGUUUAGACUACUUUGCCUAGUUAAAAUGAGCUGAUUUGAAAAUUUUCUUAAUUUAGGGUUUAUGGUACUUUUGCAAGUUAAAAGGAUGUGAUGUAUUUUUAAUUUGUUUCAUACAUUCUCCUAGUAUAAAUACUUGCCAAAACUCUAAUCUCUAAUAUAACCUCUAGUUUAAAAUUUUAGUAGUAUUUUGUACAAUUGAGUGAUAAUAUCUUGUAAUACAACGUGGGCAUAUGACCUGCUCUUAAUUGUUUUGGUUGGAAGUAAAUAAUCUGGAUCUAUAAGCAAUUAAAUUUGGUACCGAACCAAUCGAGAUUAAUUAUUUCCUCGAUGGCCAUGAACAAAAUUUGAAAGCCGCUUUGACUUUUCCUUAAUUGCUAUACCAUUCAGCAAGCCAGAAAAUUAUUGAGAUUUGAGAAUCUAAUAACUUGAGAGACAACCUUUUUGUCAAUGCCGGGCAGCUGUACUUCAUGCAUGCAAUGCAGGAGGACUCAGUUGAAAUGCUGAAUACUAUUUUAUUAUUUGAGGUUUUAAAUGAUUAAUUACCGACCAACCAGGCGCAGGGUCCAUCGAGUUUAAUUUAUGAGGAUGGUUUGAAAGGAUCCAUGCUCUAAAGAGACAAAUAAAAUAGAUGAGAGGCAUGCAGGGUCAUCAUAACUAAUCAAAUAUUGUGUAUGUCUUGUAGGCUUCUAAGUUUGUCUUACUUGUUGUACACGAUAAAUUUUGCAAUUCAUUUGUAAAUCUGAAAUAGGGUUUUACUUAGGAUUCAUCCAAACAUGAAAACAACCUAUUCAAAGCCAGCCAAUCUGUUAUAUUGUAUUGUUUAGAGCGUCGGCCAUGGAGGUGGUGUUGGUUUGUCUCAACGUUCAAACCCCCCCCACCACACCAUUUCGUCACACACGAAUCUUGAAAAGGCUGAAAACCCUGAUGGGUUGGUCGAUCUGUCCGAACAUUUUACUGUUGUGUUUUCCGUGUUGCAACGAGGAGUUAAAAAGGAUGAGAGUCAAAUGUGAUGUUCAGUGGUGCAGAUAUUUGACGUGCACUUUGGUGAGAACAGUUUUAACCCCCUCUCACACUCUCGAUUUGACAUAGCAAGUAGUGUUGGAUAAUGUCAAAAAAAAAAAAGUGAAUCAUUUCGCUAUACCUAUUUCUGGUUGCUUCCUUUGCAGCUACGUCACAAAUUGCAAAAGACACUGGGGGUUUUCCAUGAAGCAUCACCGAUGAUAAUGAUGACUGAGUGAUGACAACUCCUCCGAACCCCACAAAAUUCAAACAUGGAAUAAUUAAAUUCCAAAGUGGAUGGAGAAAGAAGCAAUGGAGAUGGAGUGACGGUGCAACAGCUAGCUCAAGAACUUGAAGGGCGAGGGGGGGGGGUUCAGGAGGGCUGAGAAAUGGGAGAACAGUUCAUGAACAGAAAUCGUGGCAUGAUAAGAGUGGACAGAUUAAUGUAUACAUGUGGGUCAACAGUAGGUUUGAUUGGAUAGAGGACUUUUCUCCAAUCAUACUGCAAAGUGCAAACAAAACAAAGAUUUGUAGGCUGCUGCUAAGCUUAGGCAGGCAGGUUGGCUCUCACAAUCCGCCAUGGAGAGCAGGCAAUGCGUAACGGGACUGAAGACAAAGAUUAGAUUUGCAUUUUUUCAUCAUAAGAUUUUGGUUAAAUGGUUUUGCAUUCAAAAGUAUAUAUUAUUUUUUGUGUAUUAAGCCUAAAUGACAGUAUUUAAUUACUUUAAAAAGUUAUUUAUGUUUAUAUAUUUUUAUAAUUAUUUUUAAAUAAAAUAUAACUUUAAUUAAUAAAUCAUAAUUUGUAUUAAACAAGUAACCCAACUUUUUUUAAGGGUAACCCUAUUUUCUUUUUUUGAAUAAACCCUAUUCUUAAAUACAUCUAGUUGUAAAUAGUUGUAAGUUAUACAUUUAAAUAGCUAGACCAUUAAUGUUAUACUUGCUCAGAUUAUGAGCAUUGAAAAAAGAUGUUAAUAUUAAAUAGUUUUGGUAUGUGAAUCAAAAUACUCAAAUAGUUAAUAUUUUUUUUAGUAUUUCAACAAAAUUUAUAAAUAAUUUUUCAUCUUUUGAAUUUAAAAAUUCAGAUCCAAUUAUUAAUACCGUUCAAAUUCUUCUAUUAAAUUCAUUGAUUUGAUAUUUUAAAAUUUUUAAAAAAAUUUACUCAUCUGGUAACUAUGUGUAGAAAAAAUAGGAUGGCAAUGAACUUAAAUCUAACAAAAAAAUUUUAACAAUGUUAACAAUUCUUAAAACUUACAUCUAAAUUCUAAUUGGAAUAAAUUGAUUGAUCACAUUAUAAACGUUGAGGUAUCAAAUAAUGUCAAAAAUUAAAAUAUAAAGACUAAAUCUCAAUUAUAGGUGUAGUAUAGAGAUCGAAAUAGAAUUUUGACAGUUUAUAUAAUUUAAAAAAUAGAGGGAUCAUAAUUGAUAUUUAACUGUUAUAUUAAAUAAUGUACAGAAAAAAAGGGAAUGUACUUGAGAGGUCCCUCUAUUAUAGGACCUGAUCAAAUUAUUUCCUCUACUAUUAAAUGAAUCAAUUUAAUCCUUAUACUAUUAAAAAGAAUUACACAAGGCUAAAUUGGAAUAGAGUCGAUAUUUAUGUUUGGAAUUAAAUUACAAUUAAAAUAAAUAAAUUUCAAGACAUUUUUUAUACAAUAAAUGUUAACUCUAUUAUAUUUUAGACUAAUUUAAUUUUUUUUAAUUCAAUUUAGUUCUUAAAUAGUUUCAAAAGGUGAAAGCCACCAAUCCAGGUGUCCAUGUGUAAAACCCCUAAAACUUAAAUGGUUAUAGAUAAAUUUAUUUUGUUAACUCAAUAAUUAAUAUUAAUAUUUAAAAUUAUUUUCAAGUUCAUAAUACGGAUCAAAGUUAUCAUGAACUAAAACACUUUCACCCCAUAAUAAGGAACAAGAUUUGCCCGUUAUAAAUCUAAGUUGCUGGAGUUAGGCAAAUAUAUAAACAAUAAAUCCCUGGAUGAAUCUCUAUCUAUUUGUCCCUUGGCAUUUUUCACCCCUCAUCACUCGAAAAAUUCUGUAUGAGGAAGCUUGUUGAUACGAGAUUGAAGUUAAGAUUGAUGGAUAAAAGCGUUUCAAACCAUGGUUACAGAACAGUGCGGAAAGCUUUAGAGGGAGAGUGUAAGGAAGAAAGCGAGUAACGAGGGGUGAAGAAAAUCUAAAGAGGGUUUUUUAAGGAAUCAAUAAGAUGUGAUUAAAUCAUGUUAAGAGGUUUAGUAUUGAUUUACGGAAGGUCCUGCAAUAUGUCUGUCGAAGGUGAUGGAUGGUUAAGUAAAUCCCUUGUGGGCGAGCCUGUAUUGGCAUAGAUCACUCUGACGGAAGAGUAGUGCAUAACGAAGCUAAAUACACAUUUACAAGUUACUGAAAGCAUAGAACAAGUUAUAACGACCCGAGAAAUGUAUUCCAUUCAUAUAUACCCAGUUACAGACUGAGAUUAUCUUUCAUGAGCAGCUGAAAGAUUUAGCAUACAAGUAUUAAAACCCUACAAAUAUAAUUAGCUUUAAGGUUUUCAAAUGGUCGGUAUGAAGAAAAAACAGCCAUUUCUUUUGCUUGUCACCCUCUUCCAGAAGUUAGCUCAGGGCAUCAACCCCGAAAAUAUGAGCACUGUACAAAUUUAUGGCCACCAAAAAUAAGAGCUUGACUUGGUUUUCUAGUAAUUAAGAACUGCAGAAAGGACCAGUAAAAAUUCAGAAUCUCCCACCACUUUCUUUUGAGUAAAAAAGCUUCAGCAGAUUUAUAUAACUAGAUCAAUGGUUGUGGCUAUUUCACCUUUUAUCCAUUUUCUGACUAUGUUAGAUAAUAGCCACUUAAAUCGUCGAUGAGAUAGUCGUACUGCAAACCAUGCCCGUAAUCGAACUUCUCACUGGUUGGUGCCACCGCAUUUUGGGUGGAAUAAGUAUUUCCAACAGUGACCUUUGCAUUAAUCUUUGCCCGUCCUUUGACAUAGCGUUUGUUGUCAGUUGGGAACUCUGCAGUGAGCCUUCCCAUCUGCUUCUGCAGAUCAGCAACUGUAUCGUUAGCUGAUUUCCCCUUUGCACUUUUCUUGCCGUCAAUGAGCUUCAACUCCAACCUAUACAAGGCACAAGCAUCACACUUGUUGAUUUCAUAUUCAUAAAGGUGCCACUCAAAAUGGUUCAGUGGCUGAGGAUCCAUGUAGUAUGAUCUCUUCAGUCCUCCAAAUUCAUUCAUAACUUGCUUCCUUGACUCAUGCCAGCCACGCCCGCUGUAAUCUGGCAAAGACCUCUGCUUCCUGUUCCCACUUUCAAAUGCUCUUCGAGGCUUAUCAAAAAAGAGCCACUCCCUAAUUGAUUCACCGUCAAGAACCGAAAGAUCAAAGAGCUCUGCAAUCACAGCAGACAAUUAAUUAAUUUCACAAAUCAUAAAGAAUAUCAUGUCUGAUUAGAGAAUAUAUUCUGGUCCCACUCGUAAAAGUUGCCACUAGAACCAAGCAAUAUUGAUAAGACGUACCAGGAGCAUUCCAUGGAGACUUCGCAGUUGCAGCCCCCUCGCAUUCUGGUAUACCCACAUCUUUUCCUUGUGCCUUAGCACUGAGAGCAGCAAAGAGCAGCCCAUCCUUGAGGCCUAUGCCACCAGGUCGCAGAAUCGGGCCCAUUCCAGGUGGCCCUUCAUUCAUUGCUAAAGCAGCAUGAAAGCUACUACAGUAGUCUUGAGACCAGUCCAACGCUUGAGCUGGCCUUGGACAAUCCCAAAGUGCACACUUUGGACCUAGGAAUGCAGAUGGUGGCAGGCAUAUACUUGGCAGAUAGCUAGAAGUAUGAAGCAUGGCAUCCUCCCCAGAGAAACCAGUACCAUUAAAACCUGUGUAGAAGUGCUCAAAAUCCUGAUGCAAAUCAAACUGGUGGUAUUCCAAUUGAGUAGCUCCAUCCAAGUUGUUAAUUGGCAUGGUACGGACUCCUGAAGGUGAGUCUUUGCAAUGAUCAACUAAUGGAAAGCCACGCUCAUGUUGCCCCUGAUUCACUCCAUAAACCUGUCAGAACAUGUUAAUUAUAAAACUUGCCAGUGAAUGCCUUUUCAACAUUAUAGCAUGCCAAAGAAAAAUGGAAACAAUUAACUACAAAUAUUCAUGAAAUAUAAUUAGAGAAGAAACAAAGGAUGCUCUAAGGAAAGAUAGCUUUAAUUUAAGAGUACAAACAAGAAAAAUAUGACAGCCCUAGUAAACUCAAAUAAAAUUCUACGUACAAAGCAUGCAUAAUGCUGAAUACAAGGGAGAUCAGCAAUAUUGAUGCUGUGAGGAGAUAUUCUGGAAUGAAGUUCACUGGUUGCACCUGUCCUAUUCAAUGUGUGUGCAACGGAUGAAACAUAUUUGAUACUCUGGCCACAUCCUAGGAUAUCAUAUAUCCUCCCAUAGUUGUCACAGAAAUACCCACUUAGUUAUUAGAGAGACCAAUAAAUAUUCCCUUAAGGUGGCCAACUUAACCUGAAGCUCAUGUUGGCCUAAGCAUAUACAAUAAACUUGAUUUCAGUCCAAACAUCAUGCGAACUCCAAAAGAAAACAAAUAGUAAAAAAAUCCAAGGACAAAGAGAAACCACCUCUUGGAAAGCAGCAGUAUCUCCUACUUGCAGAUUUUGGUCAUCAGGCUCAGGCUUUGGAGCUGCUAGGACACUAGUUGCAUCAUCUUCCUCCUCGCAAAGCUGCAGCAGCCGGCAAAUGUCUGAUGAAAAUGAACCAAGACUCCCUCCCUGUAAGUCACAUGAAGAUCACAAUUCUCAUUCACAACAUUUUAGAUAGUUUUUUCAACCCCUUUACGAUCAAAACUAACAAGCAUUUAUCUUGGGUACUAUUCAUAACAGCCAGACCACUUCAAGCAACAUACAACCUAAGAAAAUACACAUUCCCACAAAUUCACACAGACAUGAAGUUAUAAAUGUGAUUCAAAUGAAAAUUAUAUGUGCAGUACUAACUUGUUGCAAUGAAGAUGCUGGAGAAGGUUCAUUGAGUUCUGCUUUCCAUUCACGGAGCAUCUGAUGGACUUGCUCCUCAAGGACAGCAACAUCGACACUGCGGCUCUCCUUCCUGGCAAAUUGCAGAUCCAAGAACAUCCCCUGCAGGUCAUCCACCCGGUUCUUUGCCCUGUCCUUGAAGAGUUUGUGGGAUGCAGACUUGCAGUUGCUUCUCGAACCCUUCCCCAUUAAAAUAAACAAUCCUCAACAACUCCAACCAAAACCCUGGAAUCCAAAACGCAAUAAGUCACAAACUUAAGAUCAACCCAGAUGAAAAUUUACUCCAUAUUUCACUACUCUUAUUCCUAAAAUUUAUAACUAAAUCUCGGUUCACAAAUUACAACUAACAAUAGUGGGCAAAAAGCAACUCCCAAUUUGCAAUCAAAGCAACUGAGAUUCCCAUGGUUAUAUAACUUAAAUAAAAAAGAAACCAAGCUAGAAAAAUUCACUAAAAUCUUGAUAAAUAAAUUCAAAUCAUAACCAGAUAAACUGAAGUCCUAUAAAUAAAGAAAUAUCAGAAAAAAAGUGGAAAGCAACACCAAAUCUGAAUUACAUCUAAAAACAAAGCCAACCCAGUUUUCCAAGUACCUUAAGAUUGAGAUCAAAGGCAGAGAGCAUGAGGUCAAAGGCAAAUUGCAGAAUCAAAAGAGAUAUAAAUAGUUAUCUUAGAAAGCUAACCAGAGAGUGAUCAAAGACACAGAAGUUCCUCAAUUCGUAUGGAGAAGGUCUGAGACAAAAGUAGAUUAAAGUGCUGGGAGUGGCAACCAAGAUAGGAAAAGUAAAUUAUUCGAUGAGAAAAAAAACUAAAAGAACAGAUGCUCUUUACUCCUUAAUCCUUAAUCCUUACCUCCAUGUUUUUUCUUUCUUUUUUGGUUUUUGGCCUUUUGAGUUUUUAUGUUUUAUGUUUUAUUUUUAAUUUUUAUUCCCGUACGGGAAAUAUUAAAAAAAAUGGUUUAAAUUAUAAGAAUUAUUUUGGUACAAAAUAAUAUAAAAAUUGCCAUUUAUGUUAAUUUUUUGUAAAAUAAAUAUUAUGUAGUUUUCAAUUUAAUUUAGUUUAAGAAAUUGUAAGUAAGUUUCUUCAAAAAAAAAGUAAGUUUGUAUAUUUCAGGAUGUGUUUUCUAUAAAACCAUCGUGUUUUAUUGUUAGGUUUAAUAAUUUUCCAAUUAUUAUUAAUUUUCUUUAUUUUAAUUUAAAAAAGGAAAAAGAAAGGCCUUAUUUUCAGUUGAAGGAAACAUUACACAUAUUGUUUUUCUAUAUUUUUGUUACAGACGAUUUGUUUUAUAAAAGGAGAUUUGUAAUAUUUGUUAUAAAAUAUCUUAGGCCAAAAUAAUUAAAGGUAAAAAGAUUUUUAGUUCACUAAGUAUUAAAUUUAAAGUUAAUAAAUUAGGACUAACUCUCAAAAAUUUAUGUAAAUAAUUAAACAUUCAAGAUUUAGGACUUCCACAUUUACCAACUAAAUCAAAUAAAAACAAAAAAGGAUGACCCCUUUUCUAACGGUGGGGUGAGAAAGCAAAAAAAAUAAGUGGGGGCAUGAAAGGCAUAAAAAGAAAAGUCCCACUAUCACCCACCACCAGAUUCCUUUUAUAUCUUUGCUGGUGUGGUAACAUCAAAGAUGCCCUCUUUCAUUCACAUUUUAAGAUAGCGGUGUUUAACAUGACAAUGAUUCUCUUCUAUUCUAGAUAAGCACCAUAAGUUUUCUUACCCACUUCAAUCCCUCCCAACCCAAGGAUGGUUACCUAACUUCAAUCACUCAUCUAAUUCAUAAACAACAUGAAAGUCUCCAUAUUAUACGAUCAAAAUCAGUACAAGUGGGUCUACCUCCCAAGAACCAGUACAAAACGACGGCACGGGCACCAACAAUGUUUAAAUCAAAAACAAACCAGGCCUCCUCAACAAUUCUCCCCGGCAGAUUAGCUCCUGUCAUUUCCCUAACAACCCAUUACUUAUCAGCCAAGUUUUAAGCACACAAAUGGACCUAUAUUACCAACCCUCCACACUUGGCAUAUGCAUGCAUAUAUUCUUUGUGCGAGUGUCAAAGUGUUCUACACAAGGCUGGCAAAACUAGUAAACAUUUCAGUUCAUAUAAGGUAAAUUAGCAGACCAUGCCAACCCACAUCCUUGAUUAUAAACUCUUUAAAUCAUCAUUGAUAUAAUCUCUAUCUUUAUAAUCUUUUUAAUGAACAAGUGAAACCAGAAUACAGUCCAAAAAGAUGCCUCGAUGUUGAAAAGAAUGAAAAAGAAGAAUGAUUCCAUUAAUGGAGGGGUUGAUCAGAGAAACUGUAUAAAUAAAUUAGUGUUCAACUUAUUUGUCGAGUCUCCCGUUUACAUCAAGCUGCUUUGGCCAAUUUUUCCCCCUCCAUAUUAGCAGGUUUCAAUUUGAAAAUACCACUGAGUCCCUGUCGCUUAGCAAGUUGCUCCAGUUCUUCAAGUUUAUGCCUGAGAAGUUCUACUUGUGUUGCUAGUUCUUCAUUUCUUUGCUUCAUUGCCUGAAAUAGUAAUGAAGAAUUGGGCUUGCGAAUUAGAGGGAUUAGAAAUCAAUAAUUAGAUGCAAAAUACUAGAUCACUGUGCUUCUUUCAUGAAUAAAGUCAUAGAUUAUACCUAUGUUACUCGAACUCAGACGAAGAGUAUCAGAUAUAGGUGCAUAUCUAACAUGGGUAUGUUCAAAUUCCUUUAGAACUUUUUGUAUCAUUUUCCGAGUAUGUGUUGGAUCAUGAACAUAGAUGUCGCACACGGGUAUUUCAACAAAUAUGAAGAGUUAGAGCAACAUAGGACUAAACUCCAUCUUGGUUAGCAUCAUGUUUAUCACCUUGAUACAAAAGAGGAAAACAAUAAAAAGAAAGGAGACUGCUCAAUGAAUACCUCCAAAUCUUUUCGGCGUGCUUCCUCCUUCUUGGCUUCCGACCUAGAACUUCUUUGAACUUCAAAGAUCAAGACAGCUCCAGCAACCUAUAUGCACACUCCAACAUGUACAAAAUCAGAAAUAUUCAUGUAUUCAACAGAGUGCAAAGUAUGGUAAGUUUUGGCAUUUCAUGCAAUACCAGCUAAAGGGGAAAAAGUGCUUCAUGAUAACCAGUGAUAUAUCAAGAAUCUAGUUAGAUUUGCAAUUCACUAAUGAUGCUAAAUAUUUAAAUGCAAUGUAACUCAGGUGAUAGAUUAUUGCAUUCCAAAUGAUUAUUCCUAAAAAGAAGAUAAGACAUCUACCAAGUGAGCAUAUGUCUAAUACAAGGUAUUGGCUGGUAGACUAUCUGCAGUAACACUUUUUGUUCCGGUAGAUACAAAUAAGAAUCAAAAUACAUGCAAAUAUGUGUCUGCGCGAUUUUAGCAUAUUUCCAGUUUGAUUUCCUUUUCUUCUCUUUUCUUGUUCAUUUUCUUUAUUUCAUUUGGAAGGCGAUGACAAGAAGCUUUAAGCGACAGCAUCAUCAAAUUAGUAAUCCAUACCAUGCAAAAAGAAUAGUUCUGAAGACUACUAGAAACAGUAACAGGAAGAAUGGCAGGGACAACAAUACCGUGAAGACAAAAAGCUCCCCCAUAAGAUCUACAGCAGCCUGCACAGCUUUCUCCUCAUCCAAGGGGCGUAUCGCAGCAUCAGUUGCAUGACUGUAAAUGCGCCUUUGCAUUCUAGUUGUGAUUCGAUGGUUUGCCUGGUUUCAUACAUUGGCACUAGGUUUACAUUUAUGGAAUCUAUUAAUUUACAGCAGAAAAUACAGUUGUUGUACUAUACAGCAAUCUUGAGCAACAAGUUGUGGAAAAUGUUGGCUCAAAAAAGAAACAUAACUUCAUAGCAUAAAUUAAACACAAGUGUCGAGCAUUGAAGGGAAAACCGAAAAUUGUUAAAGUGAGUAUCAGGAGAAAAUGAACUUAAGGAGAAAGAGACAGAUCACAUCAUCUGAAUCAAAUCUAUCAACGCUAUGGAAAUGGAUACUUGAACACUGGCAGCAGUAAGAAUCUAAAAAUGCAACAUCACAGAUUCCUAGUGAUUCAAUUUGCUAAAAAGGGGUUAAUAAUCUAAUGGAAAUAUAUGAUUGAUUCCAUUCUUCAACCAAAUGGAUUAUCAAGUUAGUUAAUAGUUCUGGCUAAAUAUAUUAAGAUCAAGAACGAUAUACCCAUAAUUUAUUAUCCCAUUCUCUAUGCAUUUAAUUGCAAUUUUUUUUCUCUAUCUUCCAGAAAAACAGAAUAUGGGUGAUCUUUGAUUUGCUUUGCAUAAGCAGAUUUUACAGAAAUGUUACGAUAUUAUCUAGUAUGCCAUCAGUGAAAAUGCUGGUUUCUUGAUGUAUCAUAAGAUUUCACUCACAGAAAUUUAUCUCCAGAGCAAACGGCAAAGCUUGGUUUUGGAAUAUUAGAAAAGCAAGCAAACCCAUUUUAGCAAACAAAAUUAUAAGAAGAGGGAACUUAGCUUUAGCCUCCCCAAAUCAAAGUGUGAAGAAAUCAAAAUUAUAAGAAGCAAGCAAGCAAUUUUGUACCUGAGCAAUGGCGACGAUGAACUCGCGGAACCUAGGGGCAUACGCAGCUUGUUUCUUGAGCCUAGCGGCCACAGGCUUACUCAGAGUUUUUAAGGCCAAAGUUCCUAACUUCAACAAUGGCAGUACCAUUGGUUAUGAUCUGGGUUUUUUUUUCCCCAAUUCAAAGGAACUAAUAAUCAGAUAAAGGGAACGCGAGAAUGAAAUGAGAAAACGGGUGAUCGCUGCCGGGUUUGACUUCGUCAGGGUCAGAGUUUCUUGAUAAGCAAGACAAUUAGACUUUGCUCUAUUUUUAUUUUCCUUUUUUUUUCAUUUGAUUGCCGCUGGGACCGUAGAAGAGAGAAGGGUAAAGGAAGGAGAUGCCAUUACUGAGUCUGAAAUGGGUAGCCCUUUUAAUAUUUAUAUAGUUUUUAUAUUACUGUAGAUAUCUGGGAUGACUCCCACCAAACUGGACUCUAAGGCGUAUGAGCAUGCGACAGUUGGAUCACCAUGGUUGGGUACUGCAAACUCGCAGCCAAGGCUUUCUUGGUUAAUAUAUUAUUGGCUUAAGUGACCUUUCAACUAUAUACUUUUAGUAUUUGAAUUAUAUUUUUAUCUUAUUUUAUCCUCAAGUAUAUCACUUUUCAGCUUAGGACAAACUAAGACGCAUAUGAUAAUUAAUAAUGAAAAAUAUAUAUACAACCCUUUUCCGGAUAGUCAAAAUAUACAUAACCCUUUUCUGGAUAGUCGGAAGCAUUGAAGUUUCAAUCUUCCACAUCCCCCUCGAUAUAAACAUAAUAAAGGAAAUAUAUAUACACCACAUUAACCACAAUUAAUAAUACAACACGACCGAACAGUCGCACGAAUACAGGGUUGCUGUAUCUAUCUUCUACCUCCGAGAGGAUUGAACAAGUUCUCAAAUAUUGCAAAACAUAGUGCACAGAUAAUGGUUCGAACUCGACGCACACCAUAAUUGCGAAUCAGAAACCGUUAAGCUCUAGCGAUAGACAAAAUACAAAAAGUCAUAACAUUGCAAAAGAGAAUUAAACAAUUAGAAGUAUACAUAUACAUAUAUCCCUGUCUUACAUAAUCCUAAAUAAAGUUCAACAAUUUCACAAGCACAGAAGAAAAAUGCUUUCUCCAUUCAGCAUGUUCCAAUCAUCGUUUAUUCAACACUUUGACAUCACACCAACCAACUCCUCUAUGUUCCGCAGCUCCCAUGGUUAUAUCCAAAUAUCAGACUUGUGUAUAACAAUCAGAAGACUAAGUGAGGAAGACCAGAAUGAAUAGAAUAAUGAACAAAACUAGCAAAAAUAAUAUCAUCAUAAUCUGGCCCUUAGCACUUGCCUUCUUCAUAACCAUAGCCACUUUUUUCUGCAAUGGAAAAAAACAUGAAUUUUUCAAAACAAAGUAAUCAUUCAAGACAAGCUAUUAUGUAAUUAAUGGGCAGCAAACUCAGCUCAAGUUAAAACGUAAGCACAAAAGGCCAAACAAUUCACUCUCAGAUUGCAGAUAGGAUUGUUUCGCAUCUACGAAACUGCCAUUAAAGGGAAUUACCUGAACAAAAUCCAGUCGGUUUGUUGUACUGUCUAUUUCAGAACCCAAGUCAUCUAUUAUUUUCUCCUGAAACACCAAAGUAUUAGCAUAUGAAAUCGUAGAUAUUGAUCCUACACUGAAAUUGAACAGAACAUAUUAAAUAAUUCAUGCAUGACUAAGUAAAGAUUAAAAAGAGAACAACCAGGUAAACCAUAGAGAUUAUACCGUUACACACUCACCUGUGCAAGAAGUUCUUCAUGUAUUGUAAGGCCAACACCUCCAAUUCUCUCAACACUUGCACUAAGUUCAUCCAACUCCUCAUCCUGCUGCCUACAACCACCAAUUAAUAAGCAACCGAAAACUAUUAAAAUUGGAUGACGGAGUAUGUUAGUGAAACAAACUCAAGGCAGUGUAGUCAAGGACACUCUACUUUAUAAGAAGCAUUUGUCUAUCUGAUUCUGAUGCGAUAAAGUCAUCAUUAUCUUCUGCACUAUACUGAUAUGAUCUGUCCGAUUGAUGCGAAAUUGGCAGUUUCAUUAAUUCACGGCGCAUUGCACUUGUGGAAUUACCAUUUUCUUUUCGAGCUACUACAGAUUUCUUCACAUCUCCUACCUAAUUCAACAAAACAAUCCUUAAAAAGGGUCCAUGACAUUAAGACUAAGAAUCACAAUAAGUUACAAUUAUAUUAACAGGACAAUGCCUGCAAUGCCCCAAUCAGCAAAUAAACAUUAUUAAUAUAUCUCCAGUCCUUAAUUAAAAAAAUGUAGCAACUAUAAAGGCGAUAUACCUGAGUACGAGCAGUGGUGGUCCAUCUUCUCCGGCUUUCAAGUUCUCUAUCAUCAAUGCCAUACCAAGAAGGAUCUCUUGCUGCCACAUCUAUUGUUUUGUUCAACUCAUCUACCUUCCUAUCAAGAAAUGUAUCUUUUUCAGCAGUAGCAAAUUGGAUUAAAAUUGUUCAAUUAACCCAACAAAGAUGAAGUAAAACACAGCAUCACAACAUAGUCUUUUCCCCCAUCUCAAGGAUCCAGUUCAAUUAAGGAGGAAUACUUAAUUUGAGUACCUGCCAUUCGAUGCUCUCACAAUUAGCAAGUAGCUCUUUCGUGAGAUGUACUUGUUCUCCAGUGUCGGGGAGAAUUCUUUCCCAUUGAUGAAAACUUGAUUGCAACUUAUCAAUCUAUACCAACAAAAAAGAAACACCCCAAACGUCAUCUAACUGAAAAUCCUAAACAAAGAAGAUCAAGCAAUCUCUCUCUCUCUCUCUCUAACAGGGUUCAAAAAAUAAAUAAAGACCCAACUUACAGAUUCUUGAAUCUCUUCUUUGACGAUGUAAAAUGGAUCUUGAGCUUUAGACAUCUUGGAAGUAACUUAUAUCACGUAAACAUGCAAAGAACAAUUCUUUAGCAAUAAUUCAGAUUAAACAAAAAGAAGCAUAAAGUUGUAACAUGGUUUCUCACCUCUGCCGCCAAUCUGAGGAAAACCAAGUGGUGAAGAUCAGUGGUUUUCCACAAUUCGGAAGGAUCGGGAAAAGGGGGGGGGGGAGCGUGCAGUUCUCUGAAAUGAUGUGAAAUCCCAAAAACAGAGUGCAAUGGAUUGAUAAUCAUAGACGUGUUUUAGUUUAAACUUGAGGGCUGUACGAGGCCCUCUAUCCUUAUCCAACAUUUGAGGCCUUAGGCCUAGCGUUAAACAUUUGGUCUUUACGGGCUUUGGGGGUUAAAUAAAGGCUAACAAUCUCUGAUUAAGGGGAAUAGGCUAAUGCAAAUUUCAAAACUAGAUCGGGAAAAGGAUAGCUAAAGGGUUGGUAGUAUUUUCUAAUCACAAUUAGUUGAUUUGAGUUGUUAAUGAAUGAAGAAAUAGUUGAAAUUUCUGCAUCUAUAAUUUAGCUUUAUCACUAAGCAAAGUUAAACUAUUCAAUAACUCAACUCCCAACUAAUUUAACUAUUGCAAAAAUGAGAAAUUAGUACGUAAUAUUAUUAUUCAUCCUCCCAAUAGAAAUACCAGGAAAAGAUUAAGCGCAAAUUAUCAUUAACCAGAUCCUGGGCUCAAAUAGGCCCGUGUUCUUAGUUAUUUUGUUGCAUUCGCAAAAUUGGAAAUUAAAGCGGUGCAUUUUUUAGGAAAUAGAAUAAUUCCAAAACGCAUUAAUAUAUGCUUAAGUGCUUCUUUUAAAAGGUAACAACCUUUCAUGAUGAAAAGAUUAUUUAAUGGACAUAAUUUUCGACUUUCAUUUCACCAAAUGGACACAAUUAUUCAGAUUUGAAAGGCUAUCUGACAAACCCAACCAUUACUCAAAUCAAUAUUAUUAAGAUUAUGAUUUUUUUAAGAAAAAUAUUAUGAUUAUUAAAUAAAUAAUAAAUAUAUUUUUAUACACAUAAAUUUUAUACAUAUAUAAAGUUUGAGUUAUCUAUUGGCUAAAAGUACCAUCGAGACAUUUAUACUAGAAUUUGGAAUACAUUUUACCAUUUCUACUUAGAAACUACACAAAUUAGUUAAUGUAUAUUAGAUCAAAGAUCAAACUGAUUCUUUUAUUAAAAAUUCUAUCUAUUUUUAUGGUUAAAAACUGGUCAUUGUAUGUUGACAUGGGGUACAUGUAGCAUGCCACGUGCGACUGUUUGGUUAUUUCGUCAACCACGUCAAUUUUUAACAGUGGAAAUAAAUAAAAUUUUAACAGAAAAAUCAAUUUACUCUUUGAUUUAACAUACACAAACUAAUUUAUCAUUUUUAUGAAAAAAUAAAAUACAAUCUAACUCUUAAUAGAAAUACUUCAUAAUACUUUUAUCACAUCCAUUGUUUUAAUUUUCUAUAUAUCCAUAAAUAAGUCACAUGUUGGAACCAUAACAUGAAAUUUGCAGUGUACUUUAAAUCUAGGCUUAAUAUCCUUUUAGCCCAUGCAGUAUAACUAAAUUAUCAUUUUAGUAAUUGUACUAUUUUAUUUUAUUAGUUUUGCCCUGUACUUUCAAUUUGUAUAACCCCAUUACCUACUAGAUAUUUGUCGAUAAAAGAAUUUAAAUCAGCCAAUGACACAUUGACACGUGUUAAUUAAAAUUAAAAAUUUUAUUCUUUUAAUAAUAUAUCAAAAUAUUUUAAAAAUCAUUAAAAAUCUAAAACAAUCUAAAAAAACUCAAAAAUCUUAUAACUUAGAAAUUUAUUAAAUAAAUUUUAAAAAAUCAUAAUCUAUUUUUUAAAAUUAUAAAAAAAUAUUUUUAAAAUUAUAAGUAUGUUAAACUUAAAAAUAAUUAAAAUAGUUUAACAUUUUUCAUAAAAUGUUAAAAAAAAUUCGUUUGUUUGGAAUUCUAGGGUUUUUAGAAAAUUUUAAAUAAUUUUAUGAUAUUUUUUGAAAAUUUUAAAGACUUUUUUUUGCAUUUUUAAAUCAAAUAUUUUAUUUUUUAAGGAACUUUGAGUUUUUUUAAUAAAAUAAUAUCACAAAAUUCUUUAAAAUUCGGCUCGGUGGGAUAGAUGUAUUUAAAUAAUACUCCUUAGAAAUGCAUAAAAAGUUUUCUCCUCUAACUUGAGAAAAAAUAAUUAAUUAAAUGUUAUGUCUAUGUAUAAAAUUAGAAUGUCAAAAAAAAAAUUCAUACUCUUAUAACUCAAGUUAAAUAAUUCUCAAAAUGUUCAAAAAACAUCUUUAGGCAUUCUUUUAUUGAGUGAUCUCUAACCCUUUUAAAGAAUUUUAUGAUUUUUUAGCUAAAAAAAUCAUAAUUCCUUUAGAAUAUAAAAAAUCCAAAAAUAUCAUAAAAUUAUUUAAAAAUUUCAUAAAUUUUUAAGAUUGUCUAAAAAAUAUAAAAUUCCAAACAAAUGAUUUUUUUCUAAAAAAAUCUUAUGAUUGUCUUUUAAUUUUAUUUUUAGAUUUCUCAUCCUUAUCAUUUUAAAAAUGUUUCUUUAUAAUUUUCAAAAAUAGAUUAUGAUUUUUAUUUUUUUAAUAAUUUUCUAAAAUUUAAGAUUAUUUGGUGGGUUUCCAUAUUUUUAUGAUAUUUUUGGAUUGUUAAUGAUUUUUUUUAAAAAUUGAUAUAUUUUUAAUAUCUAAGUUUUUUUUUACUUUCUUUAACACGUGGCAACAUACCAUUGGUUGAUUUAAUUUUUUUAACAGAAAAUAUAUAGAUGGGUAACGGGGUAUACAAAAUAAAGUACAAGGACUAAACUGAUAACCAAAAUAGAAUACAGAGGCCAAACUGAUAAAAAAUAGUAUACGUACUAAUGUAAGGAUUUAGCUAUAGUGCAGGGACCAGAAGAGAUAUUGAGCCUUAAAUUUAUUUUUGAAGGCAUCCAUAUGAUAGAAGCACCAAUUUGGGUAAAAUAUCGUAUUGUGCACCCAUCCCGGGUAAAAACUGCCCCGUCAGGGCCCCUUCCUCUCACCCGAGUCUUGGCCGUUGCUUUUUGAUUCUCUGACAGACAGACAGACACUUCAAAUGUAGUUUUUGUUGUUGUUCCUUAGAUAUACGAUGGACAGUAUAGACAGCUUCCGAUCAGACGAAGACCAGUCUAGUUUCUCUUACCAAGUUUCAUAUGGGUCCUACAGUUAAUAAUCUUAGCCAGGUCUCCCGUCAAACGUCUUGGGAUAAGAGAAGUAAGAGACCAAACGGUGUUGAGGUUGAGAGGCCUUGGUUAUUCUGGCGACCGACAACAGCAAGCACCGUCUCACACUUUGAAGCACUCGUACAUACUUAUACUCUUUUAAGACUGGGCACAAUGAUCUGAAGGGCAGAGCCAAAUGACCCAAAAUUUCCUAAAAGAAAGUGCAGCAGGUCAUGCGAGAGAGGAAUAGGAUUUACUGUUGGUAUAAAGCCAUAAACGAGUGGCCAAGGAUCUAAAAUUCAAAGCGCAUAGGUAGCCAUCGAUUGAGUUUUCUCAACGGGGAUUCAUGCUCAAUGAACAAUAAACUAGAACACAGGUAAAAUCAAGAAACAAUAAAAAGAAGAUUGAUCUUCAUUGAAAUCACUUGACUGAAUUACUUUCACAAAUUAUCUGCUGAUGGAUAUUUACUACACGUGACUGCUAUAGCUAAGCUGAGUUAGCUAGGUUAGCAUACUGCUAAACUUAAGCUUGGUUAGCUUAAUUCGCACUAUUAUGAUUACAAUAAUAAAAAAAUAUAAAUUUGAGUGUAAUUAAAUUGUAUUAUUUUUUAAUUUAAAAAUAUAGAUAAUAAGAAUUAUAUAAAAGAAAAAACUUCAAAAACAUAAUGAUAACUCUUUGCUGCAAUUUCAAAAUUGCAUUCAUAUCUUGAAAAAAAACAAAUCGAUGACUCUGGCUUUACAGCGCCAUUAGAUCAAAAUGUCGUGAUAAAAAAAACUUUUAUUAUAUAUAUUUAUUAUAAAAGAAAAAUAUUUGAUAUAUUGUGAAUACAUUUUUUUAGAUUUUACAAGUGUGAAAAUUUAAUAAAUAUAUUAUAGAGUGUAAUAAAAAAAUAAAAAAUAUAUAUAUAAUAUAACAUUUAUUAUAUCUUUGACUCGCUUAUGAAGUUUAAAAAUUUUCAUUAACCAUGUAUCUAAUAAAUAUCUUAUUAUAAAUUUAAUUGAAUCAAAUUCAUCUUUAAAAAAAUAAGAGAGAGACAGAGUUGGACUUAUACUAACCUGCCCAAACUUGAACAGCUAUAAUGAAAAAUCAAGUGGGGAGAUAGAUUUUUUUUUUGACAAAAAGUGGGGAGAUAGAUAUUUGAGGGACAUGGGGUUGUUUUAUAAGAUAAGGUUAUGGCAUUGUUCGGGGGCAAAAGCAAAACGAAGGCAGGCAGCGGAAGAUCGGUACUGAGGUAGGGACAUAUAGAUUGGGGUAAGAGAUUACUCAACUGAAAAAAGUGUACACUCCGUAAUUAAGAGAGACAUAAUCUAUGGAUGAUGCAUUGCAGCUUCUUCAUCUCUGUAUUUUUAUAAUUUAUCCUUAUUUGGUCCUGGUCCUGAUCCUGCUUCAUCUUAUUAUCUUCCAAUAGAAACUUGCAACGUAAAUAAUUCUACAAUUCCUUACACAUACAAGUGUCACGGGCCGCAGUUCAAAGCCUGUGACCAUCGCACCAAAUACAUCCAAUGGAGGUCUAUUGCUUAGAUGGGGAUUAUUUGGCCAACGAGAAUUGGCCCGAUUCAAAAAGCUAUUGGACAAGCCUAUCAGAUUGAAGCCUAGUUGGCCCGAUAAUGAAGAAAUGGCAACUGAGGCUAAUAUGGUAACUAAUCUUAGAAGAUAAAUGGAAUCAUAUAUUGUAAAGAUUAGAUUAGAUUUGAUAAGGUUUAUUUUGUAAAUCCCUAAAAUUAAGGGAUAUGGUUAAAUAUCAUCCGUCGAUGUAAAUGUAUCUUGAUCGUCAGUUGUGGGGGAGCUCAACUAUAAAUAGAGAGUCUCCCCUCAUUUGUACUCACUCCAUUCCAUUGUAUUCUGAAUUCUUAAGAGUAAUAGAAUUUUGAGAGCAUUUACUCUAAGUACCUUGUGUGCAAUUUUUUCUGUGGCUUUUUGUUGUUCUUUGGUUAGCUUCUUUUGGCAUAAAUCGCUUCUACUCUUCAAUUUGGCGCCUUGAAGGAGUUCUAAAAUAAUCCUCACUUGAGUUAAGGUUGAUUUAAGUGAGUUUAGACGAAUAGAUCGCCUAAAGCCGCACGGAUUACGAGACGAAAGGUCUAGCCCUAUGACACAAGCACACACAUAUAAGCCAUAAGUAAAUAUACAAGAUUGAAAAGAGAAAAAGCUAAUGGUAACAGUAGUUUGUCCUAAUGAGUUGAAGACAAGUGGUAAUGGGUAAGGACUAAGGAGUGUUGGUAUCCUAAAAAGAUAAAAACAAUAAUGGUGGGGAGAAGACUGAAGAGGUUUCAAGUAAAAUAUAUAUACAACACUGAUAUGAAACGAUUAUGACUGUCUUCCACCUUUAAACCUUUUGUUUUUUCUUUUCCAUUCAUCCGAUGUGAUAUAUAUGAUUAUUAUUGGGUAAACUACAAAGAGUUGCGUGUGAAUUAAUCUGGGUAAUGAAAUCCAUGUCAUAAUCAAGAAAGCUUGAUACGUUUUGUCUGCAACAUGACAACAUCGCUUUUUCGGUUUCCUUUUUACGUGUUACCGAUGUUUUAAUUUGCCUCCUUUUAAUUUCUUUUCGCUUACCAUAAAAAUUCAUCAAAAUAAAUACUUGAACUUGAGUAAAGAUGGUAUAAAACAAAAUUUCCAUCCUUUCUAAUUACUUAAUAAUAUUUUAAUAUUUUUUUAUGUUAUUUAUAUAUAAUUUUGAUAAAUUUUUAAACUUAAAUCUUAAAUUUUAAAUUCCAAACCUCAAACUCUAAAUAUUGAAUUUAGAAUCUCAACUCUAAACCCUAAAUUAAAAUAUUAAGUUUAGGAUUUAAGAUUUAGAGUUCAAAAUUUAAGUGUUUGGGAUUGGGUUUAGGAAUCUAAAUUCGAGAUUCAGUUUUAAAAAAUUAUUAAAAUUAUAUAUCAAUAAAAUAAAAAAUUUAUUAAAAUGUCAUUAAAUAAUUAAAAAGUGAUAUAAAAUAAUGUGACGCUCUUAUUUGAUUCAAUGUUUUAUCCUUGAAUAAAUAAUAAUUUUGUUGUGCUAAUAAAUUAUAAUAUAUAAAAUAAGAUAAAACUCUUCAGGACGUAAUUAAUUACAUUUUUUUUUCUUUCUCAUUUGUUUGAAAUUGUUGCAAUUAUGCCAAAAAAAAAGGGAAGGAAAAAAAAGAAAAAAAGAAGCUUCUGUUUACAAGAAAAGAUUCAACAUUGCGUACGACAAAAUGAAUUACAAACAUCUUUGCUUUCCUUCUCCUUAAUUUUUGGUAAUUUCACAUUUUCUUUCCUUUUUUUUUAAUACUUUGCAGUGAUUUAUAUAAAAAGAAUUUAUCCACAUUUUUAUUUAAUUAUAAUAUAAAAUUAUGUUUCUUCCAUAUUGUUUUUUUGGUGGACUUUACAAAACAAAUUGCAUGACAAUAAUUGUAACAUAAUAAUAUACUUUCAACUUUUAAAAUGUAAUAAAAAUAAAAUCCUAAAUGCAUUAACUCAAUUUAAAUAAUAAAAUCGCAUAAGAUGCCAUUAAACUCAAGCAAAAACACAUAAAGACAUCUUUGAUGGUGAUUUUUUUUUAAAGGAUGCUUUAUAUAUUAAUCGGCCCGGAAUAGUAUUCCCUUUUUUUAAAAAUUUUGGUCUAAUUUCAACAAAGUGGAAGUACAUUAUCAGUCUCAAUGUGAAUCUAAGAACGACUUUGCGGUACCCCCUUUGUUGUCUCAAAUGACAAUUAUUAAAUUUGGAAAAAUUAAUGGACAAGUAAUUAUUUUGAUGUUUCUUAUGUCUUAAAGUAAUGAUUAGUACCUAACUUAUAAGAUGCUAUAAAAAUUAACAAAUUGUCUUAAAACACGGUCAAAAAGGCAUCAUUAUAACUUAUAGGAUUGGUUAAGAUAAGAUUUAAGUUAAAAGAAUGAUCCUCGUGAUUUAGCACAACAUUAUGAUAGUAUCAAGCAUAAUCAGAUUUUUAUUUUUAAUCUUUGGGGUUCCUUUUUAUCGUAUGGUGCACGUGAGACUGAGCACCAUCAUUUCUUUCCUUAACCCCCACACACAUAUAUGACUGCUAAAAGGCUUUGCUUUUGGAUUUGGUCUCUUUCCAUUUUUGCCAUUUUUUCAAAACUAAUUUUCGGAUACCAUGAAUAGGAAAAAAAAACCCUGCCACGUUGAAAGACGAAAGAAAAGUACAUUUUUUUACUAAUUACAUAUACUGAUAGCUAGGAGUGAAAAUUAUAUACAGGUAACUUUUUAAAGAAUAGUCGGUAAUUCCUUUUUUUUCUUCAAUAAUCAGGAAAGUUACAAGAAGGAAGAGAGUUGAUGAAGUGGUGAGACACUCCAAUUACUGAGGUGUCGUUGAUGUAACGUUUCAAUCUACAACUUCACAUUUGAGCAAAAAGAGAGAAUAUUAAAAUAGUAGAUGAGAGCAUCAACUUGCCAAACAACUCCACAACUAGGGUAUAGAUGAGGCCAAAAUUUUAAGGUUGAACUACCUCCAGUUGUCAAUCCCAACUCAUUUAAUUUAGAAUUAAGCCCUAAUGUUGGAUGCUUAUAUAAAUAAUAUAAAAUUAUAGUAAGAGAAAAGAAAAUAUUUUAUCACUACUCGUCUUUUCCAAGGAAACAAUGCCUUCAAAACGAGGCAGAAAAUAGCAAUGCCUAACCAACUCCGUAUUUUAUGGAAGAAGGAUGUUUUAGGUUUCCCAACAGAGCAACUGCCUCACAAUUUCACUCCGCUCCAAAAAUACCCAAUUUCAUAAAUAUAUUUUAUUUGGAGCACUCCCCUUUUUUUCAUUACACCUUCCUCCUAAAUCAUCACAUGUUUUGGCUCCUUCAAUGCUUUCACUGAAAGGUGCUUAUAGGAUAUUAAUGUUUAUAUUUUUUUUUUGUUAUUUUUUUAGUUAAAUUUGGUCCUUGGAUUUUUAAAAAUUUUGAAUUUAAUUAUUAAUUUUUUAAAGGGAGUCAAUUUGUUUUUUAACAGAAAUAUAAAUUAAAAUGUUAAAUUUUGAAAUAUAGCAAUCUGCAUACCAAUUUAUAUAUACUUCAUGCUAUCUUUUAUUAAUUUUUUAACAUUUUUUUAUAAAUUUUAAUUUUUUUAAUUUUAAAUUAUUUUUUAACAUAACAUAUAAAAUAUUUAUGUUAAAAAUUUAAUGUAUUAGAAAGCAUUUACCUUAAAAAAUAUCUUAAUUUAUUUUGUAAUAUUAAUGAUUAAAUUUAACUAAAAAUAUGAAUAAUAAUUUAAUUAAUAAAAAUAUAAGUAUUAAAAACUAAAUUUAUCGUUAUACUUAUAAACGUUAAAAUUUGAAUUUCUAAAUUACUUAACGGGUCAUCAAUUAAACGUUGGCGCCUUAAUUACUAAAAUUUAAAGUUUUAUAUAUUUUUUAAGUGUAGUUUGCAGUAAAAAAGAAAGAAUUUUUAAGCCUCACCAAAUUUUAAUUGAAGAACUAAUGAAUUCAAAAUAAAUAUUACAAAUUAAUUAACAAUAUAAUUUUCACCAUUUAUAUGGUAAAAUAUUAAUUUAUAUGGUAAAAUAUAUAUUUUACAGUAAAAAAUAUUAUAUAUAUAAUAUAUGGUAACAUAUAUAGGGAAACAUUCUUGUAACUUUCUAAUCAAUUUAAUGACUUGAUUGAGAGCGACAUCAACUUAAUUAAGAGCUUAAAUAAUAAAACGGGAAUACUAUAAAUGAUAUUUUCUAGAUUUUUUAUAUACUAUAACAUGUUGAAGCAAUUUAUUAGAAUUUGAUAAUCACUAUAUUACUAAUUAUUAUAAUUAGGGCAAUGACUUAUUUGAGUCUUUAAUUUUAUAAAAAAAAUUAUUUUAGUUUUUAGUUUAAUUUUUUCAUCUAUUUUAGUCUUUAAAAUUGCAUUGUUUGUCAAGUUAGCCCAAAAAUAGAUGAAAAGGUUAUUGUUAGCUUUGCUGGUGCCACAUACACGUGGAUGCUACGCUAGCAAUUAAUUUUAAAAUUUAAAAAUUCAAAAAAAAUUAUUAAGAAACUAUAAGACUUAUAAAUUUUUUAAUAUUUUAAUUUUAAAAAGAUAAUUAAUUGCUAACGUGGCAUAGACUACCAUUUGGGUGCCACAUCAACAAAGUUAAUAAAUAUUAAUUUUGUCGAUCAUUUUAGGGUGAUAUGAUAUAAGUUUAAGGGUUAAAAUAAUCAAAUAAUUAAAUAGAAGAUUAAAAUGAUUAUUUGUAUGGAGGACUAAAUAAGUGAUUGUACCUUAUAUUAUUAAUUUUGACGAUUUAAAUAGUGUUGUAAAAAUAAUUAAUGGAAGAUUAUAUUAAAAAGGUGUUUAGCGCCUAGUUUAUCAAAAGUAGAGUGAGCGCUCUAAUCAACAGCCGGUCUAAUAACGAGACAAUCUUAGUGCGGUUGGUGGGACUGACGCAAAAGAUUAAAGUGAGGCAAAAGGGAAAUAUAUAAACAUGUUAUGUUAUUUCUACGCCUGUGCACCUUCAUUCUGUUUUAAAUAGAUUUUCAUGUAAGUAUUUCUUUUACUAAAACAUUAUGGAUAAAGUAGAUCAAUAAUCACUUAUUUUUUAUUUUAAUAAUAAAAUAAUGACUUAAUUUUUAAUUCAGUGACUCGAUUUUAGAAAAAUAACAAAUCAAUCUUAGUAACCAUUUAACCGACCGUGUUGAAGUGCUUCCGGUCAUUUAAACAACCACAAUUUAUGAACCAUAACUGGUAGUAGAAGAAGAAUAAGAGAAAAAAUGGUGAUGCCACUGUAAUUCCGGUGACAAUAAAAUAAAAAGAAGAAGAAGAAAAGAAAAGUGAUGCUAAUAGGGGUGUAGCUAGGGGGCUAACACCUUAAAAUAGAAAAAAUUUCACUUUAAUCCUUUAAAAAAUUAAAAAUUUAAAAUCGUAUCCCUUAAAAAUGAUAAGUUUUAAUUUAAUCUUUAAAAACUAUAAAAAUAUAUUUUUGUGCCAUAAAAAAUUAAUCUAUUUUGGAGUGAUGCUAAUACUAGUUUAUGCUUUUACUGAAUCGAUAAAAUAAUCAUGAAAUAGAUCCGUUAAAAAAUGAAGAGUUGUUUUAAAUUAUUUUUUAUUAAAUAAAAUUGAAAUGUUAGGUGGCUAAUAAUUGUUGUUGUAUGAAAAGAGGUAAUGCUCAUAAUUAUUAUCACACUAAACAGUUUUGGAGUGAAAACCAAAUCAAAAUUGGUUUCAUGCGCUUUAACUUUAAACGCGGUAUACAAGAGAUUGUGGUUAUUUUUAUCCUAUCAACAACAAAUGUAUACUUUGAUUUGUAAAUGAGAUGCAAUAAUAAAAGUUUGUGAAACAACGAACAUGCUAAGCCCAUUCUUUUAUCGCGUCUAAUUAAAUUAUAUUUAAAAUAUAAAUACAUUUUUUAUUAUGAAAGACAUUUACAAAUUGAAAAGAGAUAGAGAAUGAGAAUAUAUAUAAAGAAAGAGAGUUGGUGAAAUGAAGAAGAAGAGAAAUAAUAGCACCGUUGCUGCUGGGCAAAAUGAAAAAUUUUAAGAUUUUGGAUUGAAUUUAUUAAGGUAAAAUGUUUAAUAUGAAUUAAAAACUUCCAAGACGUGAUAAAUUUAUAAUUCUAACACCAAAUAAGUUUAAAGAAGCAAGUAAUGAUUGAAUGAAAAACGCUCGUUGGUAUGUCUCUUACAAGUAAAAUAAUAAAAGAUAAAAAGCUUAAAGGGUUGUAAACCCGUUUGGUCCGGGUCAUCUGAUGCAUUCAUCAGCUAGGCUUUUAAGGCUUGGGUUUUGGGUCAUUUACAAACAAUUGAUGGCUCUGAUAAAGACCUGCCCCUUUUUCCAUUACUGUGACACCCUUUGUCCUUACUUUCCCAAUUUCCCUUUUCUACCCCUCAGAUACAGCCACUCACAUCUAAUGCUAACAUAACACACCCCAUUCAUCUCAUAUUCUGAUACACCACCAAUACUAACAAGGUUGGUCCUAUGGCAUCAUUUCUCUGGUUUGCACUUUUAUGCAUAUAAAUGAAUGCUGCUUUGCCUUCUUUGAAAAAGUGAAAGAUAUUAUUCUUUAAUUUGCACUUUUCUUUUGUUUGCACUUUUAUAAAUCUAUGUACUAUAAAGUCAUGUUAUUAAAUAACCAUUGCAUUGCAUGCACCUUUUUGUUUUAGAACGAUGGGUCUCCAAAUUUUCAUUUAAUUUCCAGCUACCAUAAACAAAGAUCACUGCAUUUAGUGAAUGCUUAUUGUUACAUCAUGUUCAUCUUUAAUUAGAUUAAUGCAAUACAAGCUACAUGGUAUAGGCUACCUCUCUCUGUAUCCUAGAGUUUUUUCCUGCAUAUUUGAUCCCCCCCCCCCAACAAAAAAUUAAAGUUCAUGUUUGAUCUUUAUAUAUAUAUGAUAGAAGAUUACAAAUUAGGGCAUCACGGUUGAUCAAAUAUGAUACGAAACAGUACAAAAUAAGCAGUGGAUGUAGGGGCUAUUCAAACAGAAUACUGUCUCUAUAAUAGAAAGGGUUGCUAACUCUGGUCUCUUUCAGGGUUUGGCUAUUUUAGAGUAAAUUCAUUUCCCAUCCUCCUUUUUUAAAAGUAAAAAAUAAAAAAAGUCAAAUGCAGGAAGAUUGGGGAAAUAAUGGUUAAUUAACGCAAAAGAAAAUACAGAUGAAAUUAAAGACAAGUGGGGGAGGGACAGGAGUGAGAAUUGGGGAUGUAGAUGGGGACAGAAUAGACAUCCACCCGCAAAUACAGGGGACCUCGUACACAAACCCUCUGCAUUUCGUAUUUCUUCCUCUCUUUUUUUCUUAUUUUCUUAACAUUGUUUUUUUUUAUUUUAUUAUUAAAAUUUAGAAUUUAACUAAAAGUACAAACCCAGUUAAAAGCUCAAUUAAUUGUCAUCACUUCAUAUUUUUUUCUCUUUUCUGCCACACAUCACCACCCAGCGGUCGCAGCAGCAUUGCAGCAGUAUCAGUUGCAGCACUCUGCUGCUUGCAGUCGACGAAAACCCACAAAAACAGAACUUCAGAAUAAAACUUCUUUCUAUAAUCCCAAAAGCAAAUUUGAAUAUGUAAAAUUCCAAUUAAUUAAAAGCUCAUAAAAGCUUUGAUUUGAUAUCUAAGAAAAAGACUAAAACUCCAUCACUCCCUAAAAGAAAAGAGGAAAAAAAAAGGGGUUUUGUCUGUGGUUCUUUUUCAGGGCGUGUCUUGAUGACUCCAACUCUGCUUUUUGUAAUGCCAAUGUUGAAUUUUUAGUCUUUACCUUGAAAACCCAUUCUCUAAAAUGCAGUCAUGAAAUAUCCUCUCCUUCAUAUUUCAUUUCUUGUGCACAUAAGGCCCAAACCUUUCCCUUACUUCCUUAAAGUUACCAUUUUUUUCUAAGCUUCUUUUCUGGGGGGCACUAAUGGGGGGUUUAAUCGAUCUGAACACAACAGAAGACGAGGAAACGCCAUCAUCUGGUUCUUUAUCCCCUUCUUCAUCUUCAGCUUCCGUGUUAAGUGCUUCUGGCUCUGCUUCAAGUUCUCCCGUUUGUUUAGAACUCUGGCAUGCGUGUGCCGGUCCACUUAUAUCUUUGCCCAAGAGAGGAAGUGGAGUGGUUUACUUCCCUCAGGGCCACUUGGAACAAGUGUCCGAUUUUUCCGGCGUAGCUCCAGCACAUGAUCUCCCUCCUCACGUGUUUUGUCGGGUUGUUGAUGUCAAGCUCCAUGUAUGCUAACCUACACAUAUUUUCGUUGACUGUCCCUCUUAUCUUGUGUGUUCUAUAGAUUGUCUUCGUGUCAUGAAUGUUUUUUUUAUUAAGGGGAAGUUCUGAGGAUUGGGGGUUCUUUUUUCCUCCUUUUUGAAAACAUGGAAUUGUGGUUGUGGAUUCAUGGGUUUCAAUCCUUCUUUUCUUCUUUUCUCGGUUUUUGGGUUUUGAAUAUAGGUUUGAUUCGGCUUUCAAGAGAAUUGGGUUUAAUUUACAGCUAAUUCGAAGUCUCGGGGACAAAGAAGAGUGCUGCAGCGUGUGUGAGUGUGUUUAAAAUGUGAAAUUUGCUAUUGAAAUGUUUAAUUUUGUUGGCAGGCUGAGGGUGCCACAGAUGAGGUUUACGCUCAAGUUUCACUUGUUCCUGAAAAUGAGGUGGGGUUUAUUCCAUAGUUUCUUGUUACAUCUGAUUAACGGUUGCUUAUAAAGGUAGUAACCGACUGACUACUAUGAUCAGUACGAACCAAGUUACUUUAUUUAGGUGUUUCAGUUUCUUAAAACCAAAGAGAUUGGACAAUGACAACAUUCUGAACGAGAAUCAUUGCUCAAUGAUACGUUGAAAUUAAUUCUAAACUUUGGGUUAUUAUCUAGGUUAAUGUACUUGUUCAUGGUGCUUUUUUCUGGUUACCUCCAAAGUUGAGUCUUAUUUUGCUUACAUUAUGCUGUAUGUGGCAAAUUGAGCAGAAGUUGAAAGAAGGGAACAUAGAAGUAGAUGGUGAAGAGGAUGCCGAAGCAGAUAUCAAGUCCACCACGCCCCACAUGUUCUGCAAGACUCUUACGGCUUCUGAUACCAGUACACAUGGAGGCUUCUCUGUUCCUCGUCGAGCUGCUGAGGACUGCUUCCCUCCCUUGGUAAUCCUCAUGCACUUUUCUCCGUAUUUCGUUUUGUUGUUUUCCUUGUUUUCUUAAUAUAUGUUCACAACGAUUGAUUAUGUUUUGUUAAAGCACUCUUCUAUUUGUAUAUAGUUUUGAGUUUUAAGUAGACUGGUAUUGUAGGAUUAUAAUCAGCAGCGGCCCUCCCAAGAGCUUGUUGCUAAAGACCUGCAUGGCCUGGAAUGGAGAUUUCGACACAUCUAUAGGGGUAUGCACUAAAUAUUGAAUGCAUUUUAAUCCAACAUUUUGCUAAUGAUGGAUUUCCUUUCAUGGUACAAAGGCAUGUCGAUCAGAUCCUUGAUUAGCUGUCCAUUUCUCAAUUUGCUGCUAAAGGUAUCUUUUUGGUUUGAAUAGGACAACCACGGAGGCAUUUGCUUACAACUGGAUGGAGUGCUUUUGUAAAUAAGAAGAAGCUUGUCUCUGGAGACGCUGUGCUUUUUCUUAGGUUAAAAAUUUCCCCCUCUUGUGAAAUUUUAAUCAAUACCUCAUACGAAUCUUAUUUAGUGUCCAUAGCAGGGGUGAGAAUGGAGAACUGAGGCUGGGAAUCCGAAGAGCUGCUCACAUUAAAAAUGGCACUUCUUUUCAUUCUUUGUGCACCCAGCCGUUGAACCGCAGCAAUUUCGCAGAUGUGGUCCAUGCUAUAUCUAUGAAAAGUGUGUUCAGCAUUUACUACAAUCCAAGGUAUGUUGCUGCUCCAAUUAGAUGCUUUACAGCCAAUAUUAUGGGGUUUCUAUUGGAAAUUUUAUGAGAGACCGUGCAAUGCUGGCCUUGGAGAGGGAAAAUAAUUUGACCUGAGUGAAUAGCAUGCAUAAAUGUUUAAAUGGUAAAUUUAGUGCUUGUAGAUGCAACUUGGUUUUUAAGUGGGUGAUUUUGGGUUGCAUUUUUCACUUGUUUCCUCAUUUAAUUAAAGCCUGAAUCGCACUGUACCGUAUUGGGACAUCCUUUCUCUAUCCCGAAAUAAUUCACGUCUUAAUAUAUAUAAGAAGUUUGAACAGCUAUCUUUAGUUUAAAUGCAUUGUGUCAUAGAUACGAAUUGAUAUUAUUAUAGAAAAAUAAUCGCAAGAUUGACCCUUCGUCCUCAAUAUCGUCAUGAAUCCAAACAGGGGGAAGUACUGUGUCCUUUUUCACGCGGAGAAAAUAUUUAAAUUACUAUUGGUCCUAUAUACCAUUGGUGGUUAAGUGCUUGUGACCCAUUUGUGCUUAGUUUUGUGCAUGUUCUACUUGUUCGGAUGCUUCCUCAGUCAUAUUUUUGUUGAUAUCUAGCAGGGCCAGUUCAUCAGAGUUCAUAAUACCAGUGCAUAAGUUCUGGAAGAGUCUUGAUCAUUCUUUUUCCGUUGGAAUGAGAUUUAAGAUGCGGUUUGAAUCUGAAGAUGCAGCAGAAGGAAGGUCUGACCUGAUCGAACCUUUCAACUCUUCAGAUAUUAAAUCAUAUUAUAUUUAGCCUAAAGAAGGGAUGAAAGACCUACUCAACCAAGCUAUCAAAGCCUUAAUUCAACUUUUCAUUUUGCAGAUACACAGGAGUUGUAACCGGAAUUAGUGAGAUGGAUCCUGUUAGAUGGUCUGGUUCAAAAUGGAGAUGCCUGCUGGUAUGGUUGCAGACAUUGCUUAUACAUUUCCAAAUAUUAUACAAUUUAAUAAAUGAAAUAUGCCUUUCUGCUUUUAAUACUGCCAUAGCUUGUAAUAAGGCUCCAUUCAAACCUUAAGGUUAUUAUUGUAAAAGGGCUAUAUAUGUUUAGGCUUUGACAAAAGUAAUUACACAGGACAAUUCUCUUUUAAUGAUUUGUCUUUCCGUCCUUGAAAUUAAGCUGAUAUACCUAAAUGGAUAGUGUUCCUCCAAUUAUUUGUUUCAUUACAUAAUUCAUGUAGAAUUUUUGCUUUUUGUCUACGCUUGUUUAGAAGCAGUGUCGAGCAAUACUGCUUUAUCCUGCAAAAUACUUCUCUUGUAUUAUCAAUAAUUAACCCUCAUUCGUCCAGCCUAGAUAUGCAUUAAGCAGAAUGAACAUAACAAAAAAUGGCCUUGUUUGGUGGACCUUAUUUUCUCGAGGAAGCGCUGUACUCACUCUUAGUUAGAUGCCAAUUAUUUAGGUUUGCAUAUUUGGAAGGUGCUUGCACUUCAGAACUUAAAAAUAAUGUUUCGAGUUCGUUCGCCUGUCGAGCUUCACAUGGUUGUUUUGAUUGCUUUGGUUUGGUCUUGCUAAUUAGUUCUUUCGUAGGCAAUGUUUUGAAUACCACCUCAUUGGUUUAUGAUUUUAUCAAUAAAUUACUCAGGAGUUAAGCUAGUAGAUUUUGGGCUUAUUUUGCAGGUAAGGUGGGAUGAUAUUGAUGCCAAUAGGCAUAAUAGGGUCUCUCCCUGGGAAAUUGAACCAUCCAGUUCAAUAUCUAGUUCUAACAGCUCGCUCUCUCCUGGUUCUAAAAGGAACAGGGUUGGACUGCCUUCAGGGAAACCUGAAUUUAUGGUUCCUGGUAGGUGCUUCUGCAUAACUAAUUCUCUUUCAUCUGUCAUGCAACAUUGUUUGACAUAGUCCUUUACAACAGAAGGAAUUGGAGCAUCAGACUUUGGGGAAUCUUUGAGGUUCCAGAAGGUCUUGCAAGGUCAAGAAAUUUUGGGUUUUAACACUCAUCAUGAUGGUGCUAAUAGUCAGAUAAUGCACCGGUCUGAAAUAAGUCGGCGCUUUCCUUGUUCUAAUGGUUCUGGUAUUGCUGCUAUACGAAAUAUUGGUAGAGACACAUUGGUGAAUCCUGAUAUUUCUUAUAAAGGUGUAGGCUUUGAGGAAUCUUUCAGAUUCCAAAAGGUCUUGCAAGGUCAAGAAACUUCUGUAAGCCCUCCAUGUAGAAGAGGUCCAACUGCAGAUGACACUCGAGAAAGUGACAGUCCUGGUGCUCCUGAUGUUGGUCAGUUGUCAGGAACUAGAAGUGGAUGGUCUUCUUUGAUGCAGAGCUAUAAUACUCAUAGUCAUAUAGGACCAUCUGCACAAGUGUCCUCACCUUCUUCAGUGCUAAAGUUCCAACAUGUAAGCAAUCCAUUUGCAAACGUCAAUCCUAUACAUAACUUGAAUAGCCAGGAAAAGGAGCGAAGAGUUCAUAAAAGUAGUUCUUUUCAUGCUCCCGAAACAUAUGGGGAUAGGAUACCAUCUUCAACUGGUGGACAUGGUUCCCGUAGGAGGCAUCUCGGAAGCCUGGAUUCAUUUGGUCCUUCAGCUGAUACUGUUCAGCUUGGUGAUUCUCAACCUCUGUCAGCACAACCAACAUUUAGGACAAGUCAAGAAUUAGCUUCUUCAUGUAAAAGUAGCUGCAGGCUUUUUGGUUUCUCCUUGACUGAGGGAGGACACGAUGCUGCCAAGGAGGACAACAUGGUGCAAGCAACCUCGUCAUUGGGUGCCGGAGCUUUCUUACCUCGCAUUGGGGAACAGUUUAACACACAACCUCCUGCAGUGACAAACACAGUUGGAAGCAGUUAUACCAAAGUAAGCAACCUCUACGCCGUCAGAGAUAUUGUUUAUGAUAUUGCAUUAUAGCUUAGUGAUGGAAUAGAAUGCAGGUCCCACCAAUAAGGAGUUGUGUGUACACAGGGUUUUGGAGCUUGAUGAAUAUGAUGUUGUGAUGGGAAAGUAAUAACUUUUAUUAGGUCUGCUUAUUAUUAUUAUUUUUUUUUGGGGGGGGGGGGGGGGGGGCUCGUUGUGGAGAUUAACAUCUGACAUCUUAAAUUUCUAUCAAGAGUGAAAGUAUUCAUUCUAGAGUGCCUUGGGCGGCACGAAAAGUGUUAUUUGGUGUUACACGAAACGAGGAUGUUGGGUUUGGUGUGGUAUGCUAUCUGGUUUGAAGUGCCUUGGGUGUGACUGUGGUUGAAAAUGGCUAUGUUGGAAGUUUGAACAGCUUUCAGUAGUUGGUGGCAUUUCCUUUUACAGGGAAUCCUGCAACAUUGUCUCAAAAAUUAUGAUGACAGAGCAAGAAGAUGCAUGCAUGCCUAUAGUCUGCUUUAGAUGCAUGCGUGUUUGGAUUGCCUCCUCAUCGCCUAAAUUUGAUGAAUUGUAAUUACUUUUAAUGAACUACUUUGUUCUAUCUUUUUAACUGACUUGUGGCUAUUCUUGUAUUAACCUUCAUGCUUAUAUGGUAUCAAUUCUAUAGUAUUACAAUGUUUUGGUUAGUCAACUGAAUGUUAAAGAAUAUAAUAUUGAAAUUAAGUUCUAGAAGGAGAAUUAAACGUCGUUAGAUUGAGUUCUUUUGAAAUAUAAUAAUAAUAAUAAUAAUAAAAUCUUGUCCAAUCUUUUAAUAAAUAAACACUUAGUUACAUAUAAUUAUAUGUGGGCCAAAAAAAAUAAACACUAUGAAUUGUAUUAAAUCUUUUUAAAAUAAUUUAAUUUAAUUGUAUUAUUUUAAGUCUCGGCGCGACCUUUCGCUGGAGACCUGCCCCUAGAACUUGGGCUUUCUGGAUGAAGUCAACGCCCUGCCGGCCAAGCAAAUUGCCAUUGAUAAUGCUACUUGAUGGCCGGAUUGCAGCACUCCUUUACUUGCACGAUAAAACCAUUAAACGAAAUGGUUGGUAAUUACCGUCUCCGUAUUCUUUGGUCACUCUCUCUACGUCUACGGCACACAUAUCAUUGGCUCUUCCGUUUAGGUUGGUUUCUCUGUAUAAACCGUCUUGCUGCUUGCUGUGACUUGGGUAAUGACCAAAAACUUGAUGUUGAAUCGAACGGCGAGAUCGUUUAAUAAAUUUAUUUUUAAAUUCGGAUAUAAAUGCAUUUUAAAGUGAUCCUAUGAAGUGAUUGGCUUAUUUUUUGGAUCCCAUCUUAGAUAUGCAAACUUCUGGUUUUGAAGCAUGGAGGAGCAUGAUGUAAAAAACUCAAAAAAACUUAAUUAAACUGUUGUAUAACGAAAGAAGAACAGAAAGUGGUGUCCAAAUGGAAAUGUAGGGGAAGAAACUGACUCAUCAAGCAUACCCUGCAAUUGCAUGCAGCUUUGAACAUUGCUUUUGUUGAAUGAUUUGAAAACGGAAGGGUGUUUGAUUAGUGGGUUAAGAAAAUGACCACUUCAUAACUGCCUUCCAUCAAUAGUGUGUGGAUGGACCGGCCACUUUCAUUUUUUCAAACUCCCCCCUCCUUUUGGGGUCAAUUUCCUUUUCUAUUAUUUAUAAUAUCAUUGUGACCUCAUUCUUUACCCCCUACUUUACUCUUUCUUUAUCUUUAAUAUGACUAAAAACAGUAUUCUCUUUUGGGACAAAAACAACCUCCCAUAAUUCUUUUUUUUUUCUUAUUAAAUAAGUAAAUGCACAAUGUGGGGGAUAUUUAAACAUUCAUUUGUUUGUUUUCUUUUCACAUAUUCAAUUUAAUCAAAUGUUAAUGAAAAUUGAACCAUAUACAAAUAUCUCAUAUUAAAAACUGAACCAUAUAUAAUUCAAAAUCACUUGAUCUUGUACGGAAAUAAAAUCAAAAUGAAAUAUUCUAGAUGAUGCCAUGUGAUUUACAGUUUAAACGUUUUAAAUAUUUUAAAAAAUUAGCAAUAACUUAUUUUUCAAUUUUCAAACCCUUUUUUUUUUUUAAUUCAUGACCCUAUCUUUUGGGGUAAAAUAGAUUUUAAAACUCAUUAGUAAAUUUAUAUUUUGAUAAUUUAACUUUAAAAACUUACAAAAUAAUCAUUAAAUUAUUUGAAAGUUUUUAAUUAAUUCACUGAACUAUUCAAAAGUUUUCAUUUUAGGCCCCAUGGUGUUAAUUUUUUUAAGAAAAAAGAGUCGAGCUAGUGAGCUUCAAGCAACGAUUCAAUUGGUAUGGUGGAUUAAUACCUUUUGGUAAGUAGUAGAACUAGUGGUGAAGCCAAAAACAAAAAUUUUAUUGGGGGGCGGAAUUAAAUUACAUAUUUCUACUAUAGUAAAAAUAUAAUUUUACCAUUUUAAUAGUCUAUAUCGUUAUAUUUUGGGGGCAAAGUACAAUUCUACCAUUACUUGUUUAAAUUUUAUAAAUUAUAGAGGGCUAGAUAGAAAAUUUUCCAUUUUAGGGAGGUCGAGGCUCUUGCCAACCCCUGGCUCCGCCACUAAGUAGAACAUACCUUAGAUCCUAAUCGAUUUGUCGGUCAAUAUAAAAAAUUAGAGAAGAAAGCUAUUUUGAUUUUGGCUUGCAAAAUUGUUACGUUUAAAGUUAUUUUAUAAAAAAAAAAUUGAAUUGUAGAAAAGAAGAGAAAAGAAAUCUUUUAAUUGAUAAAAGUAGUAUAAACAGAGAAAAUCAUACAAUAAUAAUUUUAACAGCCCAUUAAGAAUAAUUUAAUGAUUAUUUUAUAAUUUUUUAAAAUUAAAUGAUAAAAACAUAAAUUUAUUAAUUAUUUAGUUUUGAGUGGUAUAUAUAUAUCUUGGCAUCUUGUUUUCAAUAAUGAAUCGAUGAUGACGAUGGUAUGGUGAACGUGGGAAUAAACAAACGACCACGUCGGGAUGGGGCCCAUCUCAGUUCUCAAAAAUCAUCAAUCGUCACGGUGGAAGACAUGGUGUAACACGUGGAUGAAUGUGACAGGUAGGGAGUAAUGUUGUAAGAAAAGGCCGUGGUGGAUCCUUUAAUGUUAUCCAUAUAUAUACCAUGUGUUGUCCCAUGAGUCAGUCCAAGGCGAUUAUUAAAUUAGCCAUUUAACCUUUCGUACGUUAUCUUUCAGAAAAAAAAAAAUCAUACGUUAUCCGACCAACAAAAUUAUUUUAUUUUUUAUUUAAUUUCAUACUUAUCCCUUGACAACUCCAACAUUGUGAUUAGAAAACUCUCCCAAAGAUUAAAAAGAAAAAUAGAUUUUUUCAAUAAAAGAAUAUUUUUAAAAAUUGUUUAUACUUAAUGCACAAUGUGUUAAACUAGUGGUCUUCAAUUAUAUUUGAAUUAAAAUAUUUAUGUUAUUUUGAAGAUGGAGAUAUCUAAAAUGUUUAAAAUAAUAUAAAAAAGGAUUAUAUAUUAUCAAUCAAGAUUUUUUUUUAUCAGAUGAAUUUUGUAUUCAUGCUGACGUGUUAUAUGGCUUGUAAAUUGGACCAUCUGUAGUAGGUAACAUUUUGAUCACUUUGUUAAAAGUAUUUAAUCAAUAAUUAACGAAUGAUGUUUAGAUUUUUUUUUUUUUAAUCUUUGGCCAUCUGAAUCCAAAAGUUGACUUGAAGACUUUGUUAAAUUUUUAAAUAGAAAAAAAUGCAAUUAUGCAUUAAACUUCCCUUGGAAUGGCCUUCUGCAGCAGUACAGCGCUUUCCUGAUCUUUUCCAACUAUUAAUUUGGUAGUGCGGGAGAAUUUGGUAAAAACAGUUUAUGAAAUGUUACAAGUGUUUAAUCCCAAUUAAAAUCUUUUACCUCUGCGCCGGGAUAAUUUAUAGUUUGAUCCUUAGGUUAGGUUAUGAAGAUUAAAUUGGCCCACGUACAAUUCAAGCGAAUGCCGAUGGGAAAUAAAUGACUUUCCUUUCGGUUCUUCUGCUAGACAGAGUGUAAAUGAUGAAAGGGAAUGUGACGUUCAAUUUGGGGACCUAGCAAAUUGCAGUUGGCUAACAUAUGGCAAUCCAUCUACCAAACGGUCACGUAGGCCGACAUCACCCUCACCACCCCCUGACGUACUAGAGUGCGUAACUGGCGUUGACGUUAGAGUCUUCUCCGCAUUUCCCUAUUUAUAUAAUCUCAUAACAACAAUAGAAUACCCCCCCCGUUCCCUUUCUAAGCAUAUAUUAUAUAUGUUCCAUGCAAGAAGCAAUCCCUUAUAAAUCAUACAUGGCUGCCACCGCCGGUGGCCGUUCGCGGCUUCACAAUUUUCUCGAAGGCGCCGGUAAUGGCGGGGAACAUCGACUCGUUGCCAACGGCUGUGAAAACAAUGUAACGAAAUUGGUUGUGGAGAAUGCGGUGAUAGUAUUCGGUAGACGUGGUUGCUGCAUGUGCCAUGUCGUGAACAGGUUGCUACUGGGGCUCGGAGUGAAUCCGGCGGUUUGUGAAGUGGACGAAGAGAAGGAAGAGGCGGUGCUCCAUGAACUGUCAGUAACAAACGGGGGUGGAGUUCAGUUUCCGGCUGUUUUCGUGGGAGGGAAGUUGUUCGGCGGUUUGGAUAGGGUCAUGUCUACGCAUAUUACAGGUGAAUUGGUGCCUAUUCUGAAAGAAGCAGGGGCUUUAUGGCUAUGAUGACUUAUAAUCAAUCUGUGUUUAUACUCAUGUUUCUUCUUCUGGCUUCCUCUUUUUUUGCUUUUAGUUGUAGAAAUGCAGCAAAUUUAACUUUUAAUCAUGUCUUUGAGGGAAUAGAUCGUGUAGUAAUUGUAUGGAUGUUGAGUAUUGAGACAGAGGCAAGGGUUUCGGGACUUGUAAAUUCCUUCAUCAUAUCGAAAAGCUCUUUCGGGAGAACUCAGAUUGAAUGUAAAAUUCUUGCCAAUUUUCUCUUCUAUUGAAAUCAGAGAUGGAGGCUAAAAUUAUAUUGGGAUUUUUGUAAUGAAAAAUCAUUGAAGAUGAAGGAUUGAAUGAUCAUCUGGAUCUGGAUUUCUACAUGCUAAACCUCAACUCCUUCAAUCUUGCUUUGUUUAAUCUUUUUCCAGAAACUAACUAAAAACCGAUUAAAACCAAACAAUCAGCCACCGUACUUGUAAAAAUAUGUAAGCAGAAUUUUUACCUAAUUUAUGCAAAGCAGGUACAUUUUGUGCAGAAUUGAAGUUCAAGGAUGUAACGGAAGUUAUCUAGAUCGUUUUAGCAUCAGACCUCAUUAUUUCUUUCAAAUAACAAGCGAUUUUGGGGUUCGUUUGACGAAGAUGAUCAGGUUAAAAAAUUAUUAAUUUAAUGGGUAUAUUAUAAAGAAAAAAAAUUCCUAAUUUUCUUAUACUCAUUAUUCAUCUUUCUUCUCAAACAAAGUCUAAAUACCAAAGCUUUGGAGAGAAAAGAAAUCAUGGCGGGGCCAGCUAGAUCCCUCAGCCGUUUGAUGGUCAACCAAAUUCGGCCUUCUUUUCUCAUCUUCUCCUUUUAAGCCCAAAUUAAUUUGAUGUUGGCAAUAAAUGAAAUUUGUAUUUGAUUAAGGGUGGGAUGUACCAAACAAAUGAAUUAAAGUUCAUAUCGACAGGACUUAGAUUUCCUUAGCUGGGUGAGGCGAAGGGACGAUAGGCGUGCAUGUGAGUUGAGGACCGAUGAUAUUUAUCCAGUAGGCCACCUGUCGCACACAUACUUGCUAAACAGGAAAGUCCACGAUUUAGGUAAAAAUGAAAAUGUGGUACACAGAAUCCAAGCUGUUAGUUCCUCGGUUUAUCAAAUCUGUUGUACGAUGAUAUUAAAUAAAUAAAAAAAUCCGAUCAGUUGCUCAAAAUUUCAAAAUUGAAUAUGAUAAUUAAGAAAUUAACUACACGUGUUAGCUUCAAAGCCUUUACCUGAUCAUAGUACUUUAGAAACUUCCAUUAAUCAUUGACCGUUUCUACUUCCGAGAAAGAAAAAAUAAAUUAUGGUAUUCGUAAAUUGGAUGGUCAUGCAGUGGUGGGCUGGGCUCUGGCUGAAUGGUUAAUGUCCAGUUUCAUAUCUAAUAAUAAUUUCACUGUAUUUGGAAUGCACGUAAUUCUUGAAUCCCAGGACGUAUUUAUUGAUGGUACUUGCAUUGAACUUGUGGGUUUAAUGUCCCACGUGACUGCAUUGAGAAUAAGCGUUAGGACACUAACGACAUUCGGAGCUACCUAUAACGAAUUCAUUCAUUUCUUUCCACAGUUAUAUUGGUAUCUGUGUUUAGGUCAUAUAGCUUAUAGCCACAGAUUUUCAGGAUUUGGCGUUUGCCUUGUCUGCAAGACAAGAACAUAUGAUGUGAGCUUUUUUUUUUUUGGAGAAAAGGAAAAUUCUUGUUUGUCUUUUCGUUUUGUUUGGUGUUGUUUUGGGGGUCUUUCAAUUUGUUAAUUGGAGCUAAUAAAAGUGGGAUAGUUAUGCCAUUGAUUGUAAUGUGUAACUGAGUUUCUUACCAUUUUUUUUUUAAAUAUGCGGACCACUACGAAAAUCUUCCUUCACAGUUGACGUACAAAUUGAUGUUUAAUUCUUACCAUGUUAUUUGUCUGCGCCAAAGCCUUUUCCUGUCUUGUUAUGCAAUUGCUUCAACUGCAAGCAAAUAGAAAAAAGAGAAAAUCCUCCCAAUGAGUGGUGAGAUUAAGACAUAAAAUUUUCAGUUCCACUCCAAAAAUUAAUUUGGAAAAAAAAAAUGCAAAAUUAUGUACAGCAAUUUGAAAACAAGAAUACAAAAUCUGGUGGGUGGGCAGAAGCAACUUGAGGGGGAAAUAAAUAAAUAAGCCAAAAUAGUAACUGGAAGUGUAAACAGAUAAACCUUCUUAAUUAAGCUUUAUGCCUGUUUGCGAUAAUGACAUUUCCUAAUUGUCUAUUAUUUUAUAACAACCCACCAAGCUUUCUUUUCUUAAUCCAUUUGAUGGAGUUAAUGUCUAUUUUAAGCUUUUAACUAUACCCCCUUUUUUAUUUUUUCGAUUUAAUAGUUUCUGCGAAACUAAAACUCAGCAUUAAAUCUCCCAAAUUUCCAAUCCAUCAUGAAAAAGACAAUGUAGAUUUCCUGGCCGGAACAUGAAUUCUUCGUCCAGCCGGCGUUGGUCUGUCUAUUCAAAUCCAAAUCCAAAAUUCUUGCAUUACAUUUUACACAUGCCAAUAAUGAGAUAUCAAUAUUUUUUCAAGUCCUUGUUUGAUAAAAAAAAAAAAAUCUCUUGCACUUGGUGUUUCAAUGAUUAUGGAGGAAUUCAAGUUAGUUUGGGUUACAAUGAUUUCAUAUGCUUGUCUAGGGCUGUAUGCUUACUAAUAAGAAAUAAGUUGGAUGUUGUUUAAAUUAAGUCAUUACUUGAAUCUUCAAAGAAAUGUUAUUAACAAUUUUAGGUGCCAACAGUAUCAAAAGUUCACGAAAGAACAAAAAAAGAAUCCAUAUAGAUAUAUGAUUAAUCCAGAAAUGGGGAUGAGAACAAACUCAGGAUGGAGGAUUCAGAUUUACAAUAACAAAAAAAGAAGAAAAGAAUCCAUGAUAGAAUGAAAAAGGAGUACAUAUACAUAUGAUAAUGAUAAACCUAAUUAUUAAUCAGUAGGGACUAUUACUAGAAGUUUUAUGGCAGUCAUAUCUGUGCAAUCCUACUAUAUAUAUAUAUAAGUCAUCAAACCUUAUAAGUGGAUAAAAUAAGGUAAAAAAUAUAUAUAAAUAUUAUGCAAAUGCCAGCAAUCUCCCUUGUUUAGUCGUUUGCGAUCAAGAGCGUGGUCUCAUGGGCAAAUCUUCCCAAAGCAUCCGACUCUUUAAUUUAUUUGACUGUUACAUGGCAACAGCAACAACCGCAUAAGUCCUUGUCGUAGCUGCUCAUCUUUCCAUUGCUAUUUUCUUUCAACUCUCCCUUUGCUUGUAUCAGAGGUUAAUCGAAUAAUCGAGGAUCCAUCACCUUGAACAACCAAAUUUGGGAUGAGCUGAGGUGGGCUUUCCCUAUUAUGGUGACUCCCAUCAUCGUAUGGAAUAAAAGGUGGAUUGUUAUGCUCAACAAGACCCCGGCUGCCACUGCUCUUAGCCAUAGGAUUAGGACUUUGGUGCAGCCGGCUUCGGGUUUUAAGCUUUCGGUCGAGCGUAUACUUGACACUACUGGGACCGCAUUGUCUCGGUUGAGUUUGGUAAAAAACUUUGGAAACCACCAACUCUCCAUCUUUCUCUUCUUCAUUGUUGCCGAGGUGAUAUUGAUGCAUCACCCAGUUAGUCUUCUCAGGCUUCCUUUGCCUGCCAUAGUUGGUGUAGAGCACUAAGAUCUUUUUGAAACCCUUCACUGCCCCACCAACCGAAACUGCUCGGGUCUUGCCUGUUUUAUGCCACCUUGUUUCGCUUCCCUCUUCAUCCGUGUGAACUUUUCUUCUCUUCCUUGUCCCGGUUGUGUACGCCUUGGAGGGUCGAUGGAAGAAGUGUCUAAUUUGGCCAUCUUUGCUUACUCCUGCAGAUCGAAGUGAUCAAAUAUAAAUUCAUGUUUUAUUAGAUUACGGAAUGUUAAUAUCAAGUGAUCAUAAGGUUUAGCAUCAGCACUACUUUGAAACUUUAGUAUUAAUUAGAUCAUUGAAUGAUGAAGGGCAAUGCCUAAAACAUAGGUUUAAGCUAGCAAGGUGGGAGGGGAAUAUCUAAGCCUAAUCACAUGUCUCUAAGAAAACAUGUGGCGAGAGUAGAACCAAAGGACCUCACGUAAUCAAGCCACCUAAGAAACACUGCACACAAGCAAUGCUUGGCAGCUAGUAUUAGCCAACUUAGGUACUUUCCUUACAGUACACUUAACUGGAUUCUAAUAAAAAGCUGUAAGGUUUUACGUUUUCAUCUAAAAUUCUUCAUAGAUCAUUGCUAGUCCCCAAACCAAAUAUACAUAUGUAUUUAUAGAUAGAUAGAUCAUUGAUAUAGCUAACCCUACAAAAGAGAAAAUUCAACACAAAAUGAAAUACUAAUUGUAUACAAUUAGAAAAGCAAAGAAGCUAAAAAUGUUGAGAAAGGUAAUAAUUAAGUUUGAAUUUGGAGCUAAAAUUAAAGCAUCAAAGUGUACCCGGCAACUUCUCAGGAUGAGUAUAGCAUAUCCCAUUUUCUCCUUCCAGUGUUGGAAUAAACUCAUCAAGCAACGGAUGAAGCUUGCGCAGAUCAGAUAUUACUUUGGCCUCUAAAUGCUCUAAAAUUUCUUGGUCAGUUGGAUCAAACUUCACUCCGGCUGGUAACCCAGGCAAAUCAUGAAUUCCCGUCUAACCCCACAAAAGAUCAUAGUAUUUUAGUGGAUCAAACCAUAUGGAGUAAUACUCUAGCAAAACAAUUAUAUUAGGAUUAAAAACAUGUAGUACCUGAUCUUGGUAGGGUAUGUUAAAACCACAUGAAGGGCAAAUAAUGGUUUGGAUUUCAUGGAUUUUGGUGUAGGAAGCGGCUGAGGUGGCAGCGACGGCGAGAGAGGGUUCUUUAGUGGCUGCUGCAACUAACUUUAUAGCUCUAGCAUCAUCAUCUGGGUUAUUGCACCAUGUCAUCUCUCCUGUUGUUGUGGUGAUGGUCUUAUUCCCAUCACAAAGCUGGGUUAUGGUUCCACCGUCUUCCCCACUUGUCAAACUCCCCCACCACACGAAAUUCUAGCGAGAUUUACACAUACAAAAAAAAAAAAAAAACAAGUAAAGCAAAACUUGUCUCCUUUAGAGCACGUUUCCAGUUCCCCCUACUUUAUUUUUCUUGAUGUUUGGCAAAGGAAUUUAAUUCUUACACGCUUUUUUUCUAUUUCUCUUUUUCUAAUUUUCUGCUUAUGAUUGAGAGGACAUAGCUGCUGUGUGCUAUAUCCUCCUAUAUCUUGGAAAACAAAGAAAGGGAGAGAGAGAGAAAGAAGGUUAAAGGGAGAAGGGUAUAAUAGAAAGGAGAGAAUGGGAUUUAAUUCUUUUUAGAAAAAAAUAAUAUAAAAAAAUUUAUAGGGUAAGAAAUGUUGCUUGGACGCUAAGUUUGGUUAUGCUAAUGUAGAUACGAUCGUAUGAAAGUAUAAAUGUAGUCUUGGACCUUGAUCUAAACAUUAAAACCCUUUACAUUGUUUGAAUUAGUUAAAGAGUGGAGUUCAAUUUUUAGUAAGAUAUAAAAUAAAAAUCUCAAUAUUUAUAAAUACGAUUUUGUGUAUACCAAGGGUUGGGUGGUAUUUUUCCCCAAGACAUUUGAUCUAAUUAGCUCCAAUGUCAUACUGGAGUAUUCUUAAAGCUAAUAUAUAAGACAAAAUAAAUAAAUAAAUAACUAAAUAGCAUACAAUAUCGUAACAUAGAAAAUACGAAUGUAACAAUAUUGGUGUUUUGCACCAAACUUGUUGUGUAGCAGCAAUUUAUCCAUUUCUUCACGUAAACUUCUCAUGUGUUAACCAAGCUCCAUCCUCUCUCUCUUUCAGGUUUGGAUGUUUAUUCUGGGACAAAUUGGAAGUUCUUUUACAGUUAAAGUCUCUCUUUAUUAUUUAUUUGGUUUUAUUAGUAAUUUUGGAUAUUAAUGGUUUCGAAAACUCCUCCCAAUGAGAUUAAUGUGAUGUGAAGAUUCUAACUAUGUUUUUCAUAUGUACCAUACAUAAUGUAAUUAAUUAUUAGAAAACCAAUUGGACAGAGUUUCAUUUUCUCUUCAUUAAUUUUUAAAUGGUGCACCAAUAAAUAAAUUAAAAACUUUAUUUCUAGGUUUUACAGUUAAGGGCUACCUAAUUCGAAUUAAUUAGCCCCAAACUCCAAAGUGAUGAUGUGAUGAAUGAUCAAAGGGCUGGGAGAGAGUUGAAAAGUAGAUGAGCGUGGGAAAUCACACUCCUUCACGUAAUUAAAUAUAAAUGGGCUUUCUCUUUUUUCAUUUCUCGUGUUAUCUGUUAGUUUGAGACAGCUUCUCCGAGAAGCCACGCAACUGCAUCAAACUUCUUUCUUAAGCUUUCAAACUUUAACGUAUGGGCUUUAGGGUUUUCUUUUUCUUUUGUUUUUAUUGUUCGAACCAAAUAUGAAUAUUUUUAUUUGCGUCCAUUCAAAUAAUUGUCCCAUUCCUCAUCAGCUUUUGGCUUCUUAUUUGUUCAUACCAAAAUUUAACCCCAUUUUCAUUUUCAUACAACUCACCUAAUCAUUGUUUCCUUUACUUACCGAAGGAUUAAUGAGCAACCCAAGCAUUAAGUUAAGCUUGGGGAUACUUGCAGGCAAAUAAUGUUCAUUCCUACUCGGGAUUCACACUUUUGAAUUUCAACAUUCAGACCGAAUGGUCACUUCUUUGCAAUUUCCAGCUUUUUCACAACCCAUUAUUUAAAACCGAUGACUACUCUAAACCUUUUGCAUGGUCCCUUCAAAGUUGACACAAAUAUCAUCAGUUUGUAAUUUUGCGUCUAGAUAAAAUAUUACUAAUACCAUACAUCUAUUUUCCAAUUCCUACAUCUCAAAAUAUUAGUAUUAUAUUAAGUAAAUCCUUUUACUAAUUAGGGCAACGUUAGCUUAGACUUGAUAUUAAAUAUUGGUUAAAGGGUAAACACGUAUUUUCAUAUUAUAUAGAUAACUUGAAUAUUGCCUGUAAAAAAAAAGAAAUUAUCAAUCUUAAGUUUUAAUGAUACUUUUUCGGCUUAAUGGUCCAUGAAGCUAUUGAACUUUUCAACGACAAAAAAAAUUCAAUCAAGUCACUUCAAAAAAGGAAAGUAAACGUUAAAACGAGUCAAUUAAUUCAUUAAUAUGCUGAUGUGGUCAUUGAGAAAAUUUAAAAUUUUAUUUAAAAGAUUCAACAAAUGGAUGUCCAAGUUCAUUUACCAUAUUCAUUAUCAAUAUAAUUUUUUAAAUGAUACGUAGGAAAAUUAUCUUAUACGUAGCUUGUGAAAUAGAAUAUUUUAGACUUCACAGAUAAAUUAAGAAUAUGACCUCCAUCUUAUAGCGUAUAAUAAAAAAAUAAUAUAUAAAUAAAUGGAAUAUUUGUUACACCCUCACUAAUCUAAAAAAGCACCACAAACUAUCUAGCUAAUAAUUACUUUUAUAAAUAAAUUUUAAGAAAUAUUAAAAGCAUUACAAAAAUGAAGGAGAAACGGUGGCGGUUGCUUUUCUUACUACGUCACAACAAGUAAAUCCAGAAAUGGUGUUGGUUUUUUUUUAUAAUAUUUGUACAACUUUUUAAUAUUUUUCUAAUUUCUAAUUUUUUAUUUAUAAUUCAAAAUUUUAUAUCUAUAGUGAAUUUGGAUAAGUGUAUGUUGAUAUUCAAAUGCACUUAAAUGUUUUUUUGUUCGAUUUUAUUCUUAAACUUAGAAUUUUUAAAUAUUUAUAUUUAUGUAAAUUAUCACGUCAACAUUAUAAUAGUUAGUUGAUAAUCAUUAACAAUUAGAAUAGCACAGUAACAGUCAACUAUACAAAACGUUAGCCAAUGAUCCUAAUUAAUGCGUUUCUAAUCUUUAUGGUUUAAUUGGGUUUUCUUCAUAGAGGGACUUGGUUUUUUAAUCUUAAAGUCAACUUUUUUUAGUAGAUAUGUUAGAUUCAUGUUAUCCAUUCGUGUUUAAUUUUUAAUCCAUGCAUUUAAAUGUCAUUUACAUCAAAUCUAAGUUGACAUGGGAUUAUGAGAACUCAAUUAGAAUGUUUUGAAAUUUAAGGGCUAAAUUACAAUUUGGACCAUAAUAUGAAAAUGUUUAGUGCAAUUUAUCUUAUAUAUAUAUAUAUAUAUGCCUCUCCUAUUAUUAAAUAUCUGAUUGAGUUGGUGUCAUGAGUUACUUGGACAUCAAUUUAAUUAGAAAAAAUAAAAAUAAAAAUAAAACAAAAAUUCUAUUACAAAUGAAUUUUAUAUUUAUUUUAAAAUAAAUAACUUAAACUAUUAUUAAAAUAAAAUUUUAAUAUUUUUGGAGUACGGAUUCGAAUCUUAUUAUAUAUAUUCUGAUCACUGAAUGUUACAUAAUCUCAAUAUAUGUGAUGUGAAGAUAGCAUAUUUCUGGUCUGUCAUUAUAUUAUUUUUAAUGGAUUGAAUUUUUAGAUUGUUUUUGGGGGAAGAUAGAAAUCAUAUCAUUAAAGAGAAUGCGCAGGAGAUACACAAAGGUUCUGCAUCAUAACAAGCAGUGGUGGUCGAAACCAGAUAACCCAACCCAAUAGGUAAUUUAGCCACAACACACAUGCUAACUUGAAAUUAAACACUAAUAGUAAUAAAUUGAGUCAGGUGGAGGUUUAAUUCUAAAAAUUUCUUUUGGUCCCAGCCUAACUUCGCUUAGUUUGACGUGUUUUAUUAUUUAAAAAAUAAUAAGAAUUAUUUUAUUUAAAUCUAAUAUAUUAAUGUAAUUUUUUAUAUUAUUUUAUUAUUUUAAAUUAGUAAAACAAAACAGAUUGGGUAUAUUUUAAUUAUGGUUCAUGAUUUCAUAUUCUAAAUUAAUUUUCAUACAUUAAAAUAUUAUAAAUAUUAGUAUUAUAUCAAUCAGGGCAUUAAAUGUUAGUUCAAAUGUGACAUAGAACAUAUAGAUCAAAAUUUAAAUACAUAUCUAUACAUUGUAUUUAGAAUUUGAAUAUCACAUGUUAGAAAAAAAGAUAUAAAUAAAUAGCCCUCAUAAGUUUUAAUGAUUCAUUUUUUUUAUUGACAUGUUAGAUGUAGACUAGUGUUUAAAAUUUGAUCCAUGCAUUUAAAUAUCCGCCACAUCAAUCCCAAAUUAACAUUAUAGUAAUGGAAGAACUUGAUUAAUUUGAUAAUGAUAUUAUGAGAAAAUAUUUUGAAAAUUAAAGAAUUCAUUAUUUAGUUCAUGGUUUUCGUGUAUCUGAUGUAAUUAACCAAUGUUUUUAGAAUCAGAUCGUUGUUAACCAGUCUAAUUAAAAAUAUUAAAAAUUAAAAACCCAAUUCAACCAAUUUGUACCCAAUACAUCAUUCUCUAGACCAAUAGAAAAAUGAUAUCAAACAACUCAUUGAAUUAGAAAAGUAUACAAAUAAAGAAAUAGAACUAAAAAUAAUCAGCAAUACGAUACAUGUUACGCAAUGCAUCUUGCCUGUCUGUUAUAAUGAAAAUAGUAAAGAGGUGAGUUUUAUAUAUUUGUGAAUAUCGUUUUACAGUUAUGAUGUAGAAGUUGAAGCAACGACACCCAACAAUCACUCUUGACCCAUUUAUUUCUUAUGGCUAAGGGAUACAAAACGAACCUAUCAACCAUAGCAAGGUUUUCUUUUUAAGAAAGAUUUUAUUUACAUUUAUAGGGACCAUUUUGUUUUUCUUCUGUUCAUUUAAUUUUCCAACUUUUAGAGUAAAGUGGGCUGUUAUAUCACCCCCAAUGGUGGGCUAACCCUCCUCUGGGCCUUUCUAAUUUACAACAUUUUUUCCAAGCCCAAUUCAUAGCUGCAUCCCCUGCCUGUACUCGACAAGCGAAAUUACGACUACCAUUUAUAUAUUCUUUUUCAAUAAGUGUGUGUACAUAAUAACUUGUUCCAAUGAAUGUUUGGUCCUUGCAUACACACUACAGGGACCCGAAUUGCAAUCCUUGUGGAAAUCUAACACUUGUUUUAGAAUUUAGAUGGAGCAGCUCCGGUUUGUUGGGUAUAUACUAUUAUUAACAAUUUAAGCAGAACAUUGGUUAGAUUCACUCCACUGCCUUGGGCUACUUUUUCCAAUCCAAUAUGAAUAAUGUAGACUUAAUUAAUAAUGGGCAAAUUGUCAAAACUGAAUAUUUGCUAAUUAAAAAAAAACACCAAUGGCUAUAAUUUUACUAUAUACAGACAAAGCAAACAGAAUCUAAUGAAAAUUAAAGAUGUAUUACAUUGAAUAGUAUGUUGGAAACAAGAAGAAGAAUAAUUGGAGAGAGAAUGAAAGUCCAAUCAACGCAAAAUUGGGUCCCCAAAACCAAUUUUUUUUAUAUGAACAAAAUUGUAGAAAUAUUGUGAUUGAUUCUAAACACAAAUAAUUGGGUAAUGAUUAAUUUACAAAACGAAGUUGUAGUGAAAUGAUGGAGCCAUAGCAAACCCCCCAAAAUCUGAUAAUCAGAUUGAGAAAGGCAUAAUAUAAAAAAAAUUAAGGGAAAUGGGUCCCUUUCACCACCAAUGUAAGAAAAUCCCCCCUAUUUCCACACGGAAACAAUGAUUCCCCCAUCACCGCCCCUCUCCCACCUUUAUAAUCUUUCAUUUCAAUAUUUUCCCACACAGUUCUUACCCUCGUUGGCCAACUCUAUCUUGCAUCCAUUUUGAGGACAACCCACGUGUACAAUCUUAGCUUUAGCUUUUUGAUGAUCAAAGUCAAAUAAAAUAAAACAAACCCAAUAUUCAAAUUUGGCACUCUAAUGACAGACCUCAAUCUCCAGAUUGUUCAAAAAUGGAUGCCACUUGAGAAAUGGAAGGCCUGUCUUUUCUGUAAUUACCAACACAAGCUGAAGCAACUUUUGCCAGUCUAAGAACAGGUUUUAUAUCAGAGGGAAUUACGAGUCUAGGGUCUAAAAGUUCACUAAACCUUUUGGCUUUGAUCAAUGGCAAUGCCCAUCUCACAAGCAACCCUUGCUCACUUCUCCUCCCCGUCAAAAGUUCCAACAACACCACCCCAAAGCCAUAAACAUCGCUUUCCUUGCAAGCACCGCCUCCCUUUUCAGCCCAAUACUCGUCAUCUACAUGCCCCACAAGCCCCGUCAUCUCUUUGGGUGCCAAAAACGAUAGCCCGUAAUCACAUAACUUUGCAACAAUUUUCACAUCUAAUAAUAUAUUCGACGCCUUUAAUGCACCGUGUACUAUAUUGGGUGCUAUCCCUUGAUGCAAAUACUCGAUCCCCCUAGCCACCCCGGCAGCAACCCUCAAACGCCGGUUCCAAUCUAAUAACGAAGCACCAUCGGAGUUUUCAUGCAAAUAAAAAUCCAAAUUCACCAUGCCGACAAACUCCAUCACGAUGAUUCUCUCACCCGGCGCUUGUGAAUACCCUAUGAUUGGGACUACGUUAGGAUGCUGAGCCAAAGAAAGUGUUUUUAUUAUCGAAGCAAACCCGAAUCCAGCAUUGCUUAAAACAAGCCGUGGAUGUAUCCUUUUCACCGCAACGAGCUCCCCGCUCGGCGAUAUGGCUGCAUAAACGGUACCUAAGCGGCCUUUCCCGACGAUCCUUCUAGGGUUAAAGCCAUCUGUCGCUGCAUCUAUGUCGGUUAACUGAUAGGAGCUGGCACAAAACUUGGCGGGGAGCUCUAAUUGUUUCUGAUCGGGCUUUUGUGGUUUCUUCCUGCAGAUGAUGAUGAUGAGGACGACACCAAGAAUGAAAAGAGAGAUGGAGAGAAGAACCAAAAUCGAAUCGUAAGCAAUAUCGUCCGUUUGGGUCAUGUUUUGUGAGCUAAAUUAAACUCUAGCGUCUGAAAUGGGUUGGGAGAAAUGGAGAAGGAAGGAGAGGGAGAUUGGCGGGGGAGUUGUCUAGUCCAUUCCAUAUACUAACGUGUUGAAAAGGGUUAAUCCUAGAAAUGGAUGGGUUUGGACUUUGAAGUUUGAAGUUUAAAAGAGUUGAAUGAAGGGAAAAUGGGAGAGGUUAUGAUAGUUUGAGUAAGUGCACAGACUUUGAAAAAAGGGGUUAGAUUUGGUAAAAGAGUUGGUGUUCCGUUUCUCCAAGUCUAGCAUUUUUUAUUUUUGUUGGCCGACUCUAGCUUUAGAGGCUAUUAUUAUUAUUAUUAUUAUUUUAGGGUACCAUACUUAAUCAUAUUUUUAAUUGAAAAUUUUAGCUAAGAUAACCUAAUUCAGUAAGGAUUAGGAGUGAUUUGGAUUCCAAUAAAUUCAUUUCUAUUUAUUUCGUACUUCUCAUAAUACUUCGGUUUAAUUUUUAGUUUUUUUUAUUUUUAUAUAAAGUUGGAUUUUGAAUCUUAUUUUAUUUUCUUGACAAAAUAAAUACUGUUUUAAUAGUUUCUUAAUAUUUUUUAGAAAAUUUUUAAAUCUUUUGAGAAAUAUUUCUAGACAAAUAAAUUUUCAAAUAAAUAAAAGAUAAUAAAAACUCUAUUUUAAAAAAUAAUUCCUACAUGAUAUUUUUAAAAAUAUAUUUUAUAUAGAAUUUUUAAUUUAUUUAUACUAUUAAUUAUAUAAAAAUUUAAAUUAAGAAAUAAAAUUCGGUCAAAUUUGAUUAAUUAUAAUUUUUUUAACUUAUAUUCCGUUAACCGUUUAAAUAAUUCGACUCAAAUUGAUUUUCAAUUGUAAAGGUCAAAUCACAGAAAGUUAUUAACAGGGAUACUUAAUGACAAAACCCGAACUCUAAUGAAUUUCAAGAUGUUAUGUGAUACCCAACUUACGAUUUAGGGAAAUUUUAUAUAAAAAUAAAUAAAAAUUAACUAUUUAAUUUUUUUUAAAAAAAGUAAAAUUAUUUGAAAGAUAUAAAUAUAUUAAUAAUAAAAAUUUUGGUAUUUCGAACAUUUUCAAACUGCGUUGGUAUCGACUUGGCAGCUCAUAAAUUAUGGAGGAUGACUAAUGUAACAUUGUUUUAUAAAAUAGAUUAUAUGAGAAUUUAAUUUUAUAUAAAAAAUUUCAUAAAUCAUAAAGGAGGAUAAUUUGUUUUUAUAUUGGAUGUGUGUUGUAUUGUGAUAUAAUAUUAUUAUAUUCAAAAUCUGAAAUAUACAUUUCAAAUGCAAAUUAAAUAGUAAUGUGAGUGAUGUAGGCAAUAAAUUUGGAGGGAUUAUGGAGAUAAUGGAUGAGUAAAAGAUCUUUGUCAUUUGCAUUGUCAUGAGGCUUUGAUGGCAAGUUCUUAAACUCUAGAUUUGCCAAGUACUUGUCAAGGAUUCAAAAUGUGAAAUGUUGUUGUAAAAAAAUCUCAUGUUGAUUAAGAUAUGGAUAACGAAAGUUUGGUAAGUUCCACUUUGAAUGAUGUAUCUUCGUUAUAUGUAUUUCCAAUUGCAAAUAAUAAUAAUUAAUGGACUAAUUUAACAUUUGGUGCUUGGAAUAAAGUGAAUUCCUUUUUUUGUACAAAGGUUUGAACCAAGGUCUUAAAACACAAAUGCAGGUACCAUUUAGACAAGCUCCAUGCCCACCAAGAUAUAUGGGCCAAACGAAGUGGUUCAGAAUUUGGUGGAAGAAGUAGGUGGGUCGGUCCACGGCACGUAUAAUUUUAAAUCACCCAUGUUUACCUAACAUUUUCAUCUCUAAUUUUGUUUUUGAAUAUUAUAAACUUGGCACUCUCUUGCCUCAUGCUUAAUUAGUUCUUGGGGAGCUUUUAUACAAGCCCUACCCACCAUGGUUUAUGGAUAUUCUUUCCAUAAUAUAGCAUUAUAACAUUGCAUUUACUACUUCGGAACUAAAGAAUACUAGUCCCUGGGGCCUGAGUUUCAGUUUUAAUAUAAUGAAUUGAAGUGAUAGAGAAUAAAAUCAUAUAAUUUAAACUAUUAUAUUCAAGCAAUUUUCUUUUGUUUUUCUAAAAAAGUGAGUGUGCAAAAUAUUAUUCAACAUUACUAAAUAUAAACUAAACAUGACUUAAACCCAACUAACUAAGCAAAGACAAAUUAGGGCAUAGUCACACAUAGAUCAUAUAGGAUAGGACUUAAACCUAAACACCUAAAGUUCGAGGAUCUCAACCUUGCCAACACAGUCAAAGGUUAAUUGAAGGGUGCUAUGUUUUAUUUUCAAAUUACAUUAACAAAUUUAGAUUUUGAAACAAUAUAUAAUAAUAGGACUCACCAAUAAUCUAAUAUUACUAUAUUUUCAAAUUAAUUAAAACUAUAUUAUUACAUUUUAAAAAUCAUUGCACUAAGUUUAAAUUUUAUCAUAAUAAUAUUUUAUAAAAAAUAAAAAAUAAAUUAUUCUCAAAUUAAUAUUUAUUACAUUUUAAAAUAAAAUAAAAAUCCUUUUUCAUAAAUAAUAGUAUAGAUGGUAGAGAAUUGGUAGUAUAGUAGAACCCAACUCGGGGCCUUAUUAGAGGCAAAAAGAAGCCCAGAAAAAUGAAAUACUUUGGGUGGUAAUUUAGUGCGGCUCAAUAACAAACGACCCACGUGGGCUUCUUGAGUGGAGCUUUGCUUUGAGUUUGACUUGUUACUGGGUAAUGUAGGAAUCGACACAGCCGAAAAUAAUGAAAACAAACCCAAAUUGAUUCCCGAAAAAGGGCCAUAGGUUCACACUAGUAGACACUAUACACUAUAGAUCCAAAAUGCUUGUCACUAUGAUUGGUUGUUCUUCCCCUGAACAAAAAGGAAGGUAGAUAAUUGGAUAGGUUUCAAAAUGCUCAAUUAUGUAAGAAUUCAGGGGUUAAAAAAAAAAAGGAAUUUCCUUACUACUACUAGUAGACCAAGACUAUAGAAUAUAGAUCAGGGACCCUAAAAUAAAAGAAAAAGGCGGACAAUUUAAUUAUCCACAGAAAAUGAGAUUUCAAAUAUGGUCCCCCUCCCCUUCCCUGGAUAGGCCUAGGCUAAUGCCAAAGAGCUGCCUUUAAUGCGUGUCAGUAGUGUUAGAGAAAGGGCAUUUUCAGCCCCUUCUAAGUUUAAUGCACCCCUGCUUGCACUGGUUCCUGCUUUUACGAUUUCCACAUUUUGGUAAGAGCUAUAGCUAACCCACACUUGGGAUUUUCCCUCUAUUAUCCAUUAAAUACCGGUGAUCAUUUUUACUAGUUUUGGAUCACCCUUUUUUGCAGCUAAAUCCUGGCUACCUCAAGAAAUUUCGGCAUGCUAAACAUUUGGUUUCCAUUGGACAUCAAUAAUUGUUUAGAAAGAGUUACUUAAACUAAAUUGUUGUAAUUAUCAAUCCAUGUUCCUUGUUUGGUAACAAAAUCAGCGUGAAGUAACGAAACACAAAGCAUCUAAUGAGCUGCCAUGAAAACGACCUCCAAAUUUUGUUUUUAAUUAGAAAGGACAACAUGUACAGAGCUUUUCUAAAUCAUAUGUUGAAAGUAAAGCCUGGCCUAACUCUGAAACAAACAAAAAAUGCCACUGCCCCCUUUAUGUUGAAACUUUGGCUUUAUUCACAGGCAUUUCAAUUUGCAGCAAAAGCCGAUGCUGAAGAAAAAGCAUUAAGAAUCACUACUGCUAAUGUAAGUGAGAGAGCAGUACAAGUAGGAGAUUUGGUGUAUGCUUGUUUACUGUCGCAUUAAAACAGUUGAAUUCCUCGGAAAUGCUUUUUUAAGGCUGUAAUAAUAAAUUUGAGAAGAGGUAGAUUUUGGAACACGACCACUUAAAAACAGGCUUAAGGCCGCCUGUCUAAACAUACCUAUGGGUCUGGUCUUGUCGUUAUCGUCGCUUUCCAAAAUGAUGUAACGAUUCACUAAUAGGUGAAAGAAGCCACUGGCAUUGUGGACCUACGUUAGUUGCCCCACUCAACUACUUCAUUAACGGAUUUAUAGCUAUUUGAUUUGAUGAACAAAAGGUUAAAACCACUGUAAAAGCAAAAUCUUAUAGCAUGGAGCAGUGAAACUAAAUGGGUUUGACUUGGGUUGAAUGAAGAUUAAUACGGUAGUUGGUGAUUUAAAUGUCACCUGAACCAUACGCUACACAUCAGAUUCAGGGUCCUAAUAUUCAUUCAACACUUCAUCAAUAUCUCUAGCUGUUUUUGGAGAGGUGGGAAUAUAACUUUGAUUUUUAAGAAAUUUACAGUGUACAUUAAACUCCAUAGUAAAUCUGCCUCUGCUUUUUUCUCCCUCUUUCUCUGUCUUUGAGAAAAUUCCAAACCCUACUACUCUUCCCAACCCCACACCCCCAGUCCCCCACUAAACCAACCUGUAAAGCAAAACAGCAAGUGGGAUCAAUGAUUGAAAACCAAAACUUGAGGGCAAGAAAAAAAAACUAGAGGCGUAACACACUCGCACAAUCCUUCUAUUACUCUUUGUUUAUGGGACAAAUCUACGAGGAAAACCUUUUCUUUUCUUUUCGUUUUUCUCAAGCUACACUUCCUUGAUCUGAGCCAUCUUCGUAGUAGUAAGGAGUCAAUUUCCCAUCCUUUUUAGCAGCAGUUUUUGGCAGGCUAUCAGCGCCAGCUUCUUGCAACAUUUUAACCACCCUUCUCAUUGAUGGUCGGUUGAUUGGGAGUGGACUAGUACACAGGAGGCCAAUGUUGAGGAUCUUGUAUAUUUCUUCUUUGAAACAUGGAUCGAGCUUGGAAUCGAGAACAUGGUCCACUCCUUUCUGAUCUAGAGUGGUGCAGACCCACCUUACUAGGUCCUUCUCUCCGAACUCUGGGUCAAUUGGGAGUCUGCCUGUGACCAACUCUAGUAUAACUACACCGAAGCUGUAUAUGUCACUCUUCUCGUUCACACGCAGUGUAUAUGCAUACUCUGUACCAAAAAAUUUCAUAGAAAGAUCAGUUCAGACUGAGUGAAAUAUGCAACGACACCAGUUAAAAGGCAUUUUAUCAGUCAAUGUACUAUUAGUGGCAAUUUGUUUUAGAAUCUAAAAACAGCUAGAGGUAUUGAUGAAGUGUCAAAGAAAGCAGUCAAAAUAGAGAUUGUCCGAAUAUUCAUUCAACACAAAGGCUAGACAUGAAUACUAACUGAUUGCAGUAGCUAAUCUAAGGUCAUUAAAAUAGUUUCCAGAUGAUUUCUGACUGAGCAUUCAAAGAGCAUGGCGUAACCAAAUAGCAGUGAAGUAAAUAAACAAAGUGCAACAUUCAAUUAUAAGAAUGAUGAUAAUGAUUUCAGCAACUAACCUGGAGCAAUGUAACCACAAGAUCCGGCAAUGACAGACAUUGAUUUAACAACCUUUCCAGCUGCAUCAACUACCUUGGCAACUCCAAAAUCAGCCACUCUAGCACCAAAGUCCCCAUCCAACAAGAUAUUGUUAGAUUUGACGUCCCUAUGCACAAUCGGAGGCAUGCAGUCAUGGUGCAAAUAAGAAAGCCCCUCAGCUGCAUCGACAAUAAUCUUGUACCUGGUCGGCCAAUCCAGCAAACCACCUUUACUGCUAUGCAACAAGUCACCCAAGCUACCGUUUGGCAUAUACUCAUACACCAAAAGCUUGCAAUCCCUGGUAGUACACGAGCACCACAACUUAACAAUAUUCUUGUGCCUAAUUUUCCCCAAUGUCUCAAUCUCAGCUUGAAACCCGUCAUCCUGAGCCUGACCUUUCUCGAGAUCUAAGCUAUUGCAACCCUUUUUCACACCUCUCCAGAGUUUCUUCACCGCAACAGCCUCUCCAUUACUAAGCACAACCUUGUAAACUUUCCCUGAAGAUCCUCUCCCUAUCACAUUAUCCUCAUCAAGACAAUCCAAUAUCUCAUAUUCACUAAAACCCAACUUAUGAAAAGACAUCAAAGUCCACUUAGACUUGUCGAUAGCCUGAGCUUUCUUAUAACUCCUGUAUUUGAAGUAAAACCAAACCACACCAACAACAAACACCAAAGCAGCUAAGAUAAAAAUGGAUCUAAGCAACCAAACGUAACCUUUAUGCUUGUUUCCAUCCCUCCCAACACACAAACCACUGAUAUUCCCACACAAACCUGGGUUCCCCAUGAAGCUAUAUUUGUACAUUUCUUUAUCAAACAAAGGUGGUAACUCACCGAAUAACAAGUUAUUCGACAAAUUAAGCUGAUUAAGCUUCAAAUUCUGCAAACCCAAAGGAACUCUCCCAGUUAACUGAUUAUUAGACAGAUCAAGAUAGUUCAACACUGACAAACUCCCUAUUCCAUCAGGAAUCUUCCCUGAAAACUUAUUAUCAGCUAAAUUCAACUCGUUUAGCUUUUUCAAGGACUCAAUCCCACUAGGCAACUCCCCUUCCAACUCAUUCCCAUGAAGAUCAAGAAUCCCUAGCCCAUCAAGCUUCACUAUGCUUUUAGGCAAUGACCCACCGAACUUAUUGCCGCUAGCAGAAAGUUGAACUAAAUUAUCAACUAAACCAAUUUCUUCAGGCAGUGAACCAUUGAACUCGUUCCUAGAUAUAAUCAAAAGAGAUAAAUUCGCUGCUUUUGCGAUUGAUUUCCCAAUUUGACCAGAGAAGGAAUUAUUAACGAGCUCGAGUAAGUAGACGUGAGGGAGACCCCAGAACCCGGCGGGUAUGUCACCAGAUAAUUUGUUGUAACCGAGUCGGAUCCGGUUCAGACUCCGACACUCUGCUAAACUCGAUGGUAUUUGACCCGAAAACGAGUUGUGUAUCAUUAGAAGCUCUUCUAGGCUCCUUUUUUCGCAUAAACUCGGCGGUAUGGGACCAGUAAAUUGGUUGCUGGAGACGUCGAGCCAUAUAAGAGGCGAGUUUUUGCCGAGGUUCUGGGGCAACUCCCCAGUGAGUCUGUUCUGAAAGAGCCUGAGUUCAUACAGAGCUGGGGAGUCGGCGAUACUCGAUGGUAAAGUCCCUUCAAAGUUGUUCUGGUAAAGGUUGAGACUUUCAAGUGGCAGCUGUGUCAACUCGUCCGGAAUCGUUCCCGUUAACUGGUUCAUCGACGCAUCAAGAAGUCUCAGGUUGGUCAAUUUCGAGAACCCGCGAGGUAACUCACCGGUCAACGAGUUGUUGUAUAGCUCAAUCUGAACGACACUAGCCAACUCAGUGAGCGAGCUCGGGAUGUUGCCCACCAAGUGGUUAAGGGCAAGGUCCAAGUCUGUGAGUUUCUUGAGUCGACCCAGCGAGUCAGGGAUCUCGCCAACCAAGUUACACUCCGUGAGCCACAAAAUCUCCAAGUUAGUUAAGUUGCCAAGCUCCGGCGGGAUCCGACCCGGACUAAGCGGGUUGUACGAUAAAUUGAGCAUUUUGAGCGUACUAAUGUUCCCUAAAAAAGCGGGGAUUGUACCGUCUAGAAGGUUGUAAACGAGAGACAGAACCUCGAGCUUUUGGAAUCUCCCGAAAGACUCGGGAAAAUCUCCCGAUAUAUUGUUACCGGUUAAAUCAAGGUACUUGAGGUUAGGGAGGUCAGCCAAAGUGUGGGGGAGCUCACCAGUGAGUAGGUUUUGGGCGAGAUCAAGGUGGACGAGAUUUUGACACGUGGAGAUAUCGGAAGGGAUGGUGGAAUUGAUGUUGUUGUAGAAGAAGUUAACGAAGGAAAGGUUUUGGAGACGGCAAAGGAGGGAAGGGAAAGGGCCGGCAACGUUGGCGUAGGAGAGGUCGAGGGAAGUAACAGAGCCAGUGGCAGAGUCGCAGGAAACGCCACGCCAGUUGCAUGGGGUGGGAUCACGAGGAUUCCAUGAGGAAAGGACAGAGUCAGGGUCUGAAAGGGAAGCUUUGACUUGGAGAAGGUAGAGACCUUCUUGGUUGAGAGAAAGGGACGGUGAAGGGAAGGUGAAGAAGAGAAAAGAGAAGAAAAGGAGAAGCAUUGUCGUUCUUUUUGUUUCUGUGUUUUGCAGAGAGGGAAAGGGACGAGGAAGGAAGUGAAGAGGUUUGGUGUGAAUAUAUUUGAGAGUCAGCCUCAGGGGAAUGAAGAGUUAUAGAGUAAGGCUUUUGAAGGAGGAAGAUGAUGUUUCGCCAUUUGAGAGACAGGGAAUGAAUGAGAGAGAAAAAACGGAGGAAGAGGAAGAGUGGGGAUUGUUAUGAUGUGGUUUAACUAUUAUUGUUGUCUAUGGUGAGUUUUAAACAGAAUCAUGGUGGGAAAAGAACACUGAAAACUGAAGCAAAGGGGGAUUACUGUUACCGUUUAAAAAGCUAAGAAAAUGAAGGGGAAGAAAGAAAAGAGAAAGGAGUGUAAAAAAUUGUAAUUUCUGAAAACAGAAUCAAUGGGGGUUGAGACAGGUAGAGGAAGCCAAGAAGUUUUAUCAAAUCGGUGUCAUCACGGGGAGUGGGGAAAUGAUCUCGAGGAAGAUUAAAAAAAAGAAAGCAGAAGAGAGAUAGAGGGUGGAGAUUUUGAGAGAGAAAACAGAGACGUAGUAGUAAAUAAUUAUUAAUGAGUGUAUGAAAAAUAAUAAUUAUUAAAGAGACAAUGACACUUUUAGUUUAGCCGUGGUUUUAUUAUGACAGCAUGCAUAGCAGAGAGGCACACAAAAACACCAACAGCAAUCCUUGCGUAGUGUGUUUUUUCUUUGUACUGCUAGUAAUAGUUUGUCGACUCUUGAGUCACGCUUCAAAAGCUCUCUUUAUUGGCUUUGCCAUAAGAAAACGUUUAGCCGACGGUUUAAACUUUGCGUCGAGUAAUGAGUGAGUGCUUCCUUUUCUGCAAUUAGAAAGGGUAAAUGUAGUUAUAAGGUCAAAAUAGUGGAUGUCAUUUCAAAGGAGAGUCAAUUUCUAUAACCAAAUUUGACAUCAUUUCUUUGUCUCGCUUAUGUUUCUCUUUCUGUGGAAAAAUGCAACCCCAAUGUUUUAGUCAUUAGAUUUUGUUUGGAAGCCCCAAGUCUUUGUUUUGUUUUAUACAUCUUAUUUAAUUUAAAGUUCUAAUUCUAUUGGAUUCUUUAUUAAUUAAAAUUUUAUUUUGUUUGAAUUUAAUUAUAGACAUAAAUUGAUUUUUUAAUUUCAAGUAAAUUUUAUAUACAUAUAAAUUUUGUUUGGACAGAUUAAUUUUUUUGGGAGAAAUUUUCAAAGUUUUGUCGGUUAGGAGUUAGUAGAUCUUUUAACUAAUUGGUAUUGUUCUUGCUAGAGGUUUUGUCUCCUAACUAUAUAGAAGAAUUAAAAUGCCUAAAGAGACGACGAGUUCAACAGAAUGUGAGUGCAUUCACCGAGUAGCUAAAAAGGUGAGCUAUACAUGUGACAUAACCAUCUACAGCGGAAAUGUCAACAUUUGUGCUUGGUAAGAUUUAAGCUUGUACCUUACAACAUAUAGGACAUUUAUGGGCAAGAAUACUACCACUUGGGCUAGCUAGUCUGCUCUUUUGAAUUGUUGCCUCUUUAGGUGCCCAAGUUUUUCACAUAGUUGAGAGACAAAACUCUCAUUGAAAAUAAUACCAACCCGUUGAAGGGUUCAUUGACUUUAACGGAAUACAAAAAAAACCCUAAACAAUUUUUUUUGCCUAAUCAUCAUUGAUUUUGUUCUUUUUCUUUUAUUUCUAAACAUCAUUGAUUAUGUUCUUCGACUACAAGGGAUAAGUUCAAUGAUAGUGGCGAAUUAAAGCUACCCAACAAGGAUAAUAAACAAGGAAUGUGUGUUAUUGAAUGAAAAGGUAAGAAUACUUUGGUAAUAAAUUUCAUUAAUAAUAGGGAAUGUGACUUUAUUGUUUUAACUCUACAUUAAGAUGGGGAAGUUUAGGUGUAGGGGGUUCCAUAAAACAAUAUACAAUGAACAUCUUUAAAUCUUUGCACUUUGUACUAAAAUUUUGAACCCUAAGAAUGGGUUGGUGUAGUGAUAUAUAUUUCUCUCUCUCUCUCUAAUAUAAUGGUAAAAUAAAGUUUCUAGAACCAAUAAUUAAAAGAAUCAUGGGAUGGGAUGAAUAAAUCUGAAACCCUCAAUAAUUUGGAUGCACCCACGCUUUAACAUUUAAUGCUUUCAACUAAGUUACACAUAUAGAUCCAUCUGCUUUGAAUUUUAUAAGCAAGUAGCCAUCCAAUUUGGUUUCAACGUCAACUAAAACACCAUUUGAAUUAUAUCUAUUUAAGUUUAAAGUUAACUUAAAGAAUGGGCCAAGUAAAUGAAAUCUUUAACCAAAUUUCCCAUUUUCCAACCAAACUGGGUAACACAUCAAUUAAUUAAGUUUAUAAACAUCUUUUGAUUGUAAAUGAAAGACAUAAAGCAAGUGGCUGUAAAAUGGUGGAAAGCCUAAAGCUGAGAUGUCGGGAACAAGCGCAGUGAAUGCAGUUCAGAGGCAAACACCAUGACUUGGAUUCAGAAAAAUUUUUUUCCAAAUGUCGAAAUCCAACAUUUACACACAGUGGACCCAAUGUGUGUGCGUGUAUUUCUAAUAACUUGAGCUGGGCUGGCAUUGGUGAAGGAACUUUUUAUUUCUAUUUUUUAUCAUCAUUGACUGCUAUUUUUCGAUUAUGAAAGGAUAUGGAGCUAUUCAUCAAACGUGAAAAUCGUGAACCCAGUAAAUGGUUUCAGCACUUAAAUAAUUUUCAUGUUGGUAACCCAACCCUGACUAAAAUAUUGUGCCAUAAGCAGCUUUGAUGGGAGGAAAUGACAGAAGAGAAGUUUGAUUGGUGAGUGGAAACAGAAAAUUAGAAUCUCUUAUCACCACAGUACCUGCAAAAGUCGAUUACAAACAGUGAAAGAUGUUGUGUAGAUUCUCUGCAAAGUGGGUGAGAUUUAAACCACAACCCCCCCCCUGAAUCACGACAGUUGCCAUUUGUUCUUGUUUGGUCUAAAAUACUUCUUAAAAAAAAAAUCUAGAAGAAUAAGUGAAAUCGAAUAACUGCAAUCUUAAAAAUGACAAUUGUACUGUCUCGUAUAAAAUGUUUGUUUGUGAAUUGUAUGAUCAAAUAAAAUCACGUAUUAGCAAGCAAGUUUAAAUGACAUUGGGAAAUUUCUGGAUUCUAGAUAUUAAGGAUGAUAAAUAAAAGAUAUAAUUAUUUAUUUCUCUUUUUAAUUUUAUAAAAAAUUGUUUUAAUUUUUUAUUUAAAUUCUUGUCUCUUUUAAUUUUUAAAUUUAAAUUAUUUAUCAAAUCACUCAAAAAUAUAUAAGAAAAAAUGAAUGUAGAUUAAACAUUGUCAUGUUAAUAAUUAAUUAAUUUUUAAAACAUGUAUUCCAAAAAAUUCAAGAACUUAUUAUAAUUCUCAUAAAAUUAUAAUUUUUAAAUUUUAAAAAAUAACUAUUUGCUCACCGAUCAGUAAAAUUAAAAAAUAUUUUAUUUUGGAGUGUUUUGAAAAAAAAAAAAGCUAACUUAUGAGUAAAAAGGACAAAAAAAUAAAUAAAUAAAAAUAAUUUUUUAUAAAAUUAGUGGUGCAAAUAAAUUAUUAUGUCCAAAUAAAAAUUAAUACUACUAAGGGUGAAACAGACAUUGUGAAACAAGUCCUGGACCAUUGCCAUUUUAGCGGCUACCCCAUGCUUACGCAUACAAGCCUUGGAGGCUUUCACAAUCCACACGCUUAACUAGUUGAUAAAGUGCAGUCGUUUUCAACAUUAACUUUAGAGGUGGAGUAGCUCAAAAAGGUUAUUAAAAAAAGGAAGUGCCCAGUUUUGCAUGUUAAACUUGUUUGGUUUAAAUGUUACAAAGUAGGUGCCAAAUUUGAAAUUAAUUAGCUUCAAUGCGGGUAUUUGUUGUUAAAAGGCUGUUUAAACACUUAUUAUCAUCAAAGCUAGCCUUGCAGCAGUACAAUAUUACUGUAAUAAUUUAAUUUUAAAUGAGCAUUCGGUUAGUUGCUAGGAUUUAAAAAGACUUCCACCAACCAAUAUCAAAUUAAAUAUAUACAUAUUAAUCAUUUCUGAGCUAAAGAAUAAAAAUGUAACACAGAGUUAGGUAAACUAAUAAAUAAGGGUGAAUAUUAACCUUCUAAGCUCCCCAUGCUGAGUUUGCAUAUAUCUGUUGUUCCAAUAGGGUCGGAAGCGUGUAAAUUAUUGUACUAAAAAAUCACACAAAGUUCAAUUCUCAGGGAAGAGAGGUGGAUCACAAGGAUUUCUUAAAUACCAAGUCUUUCCUUAGUCAGAAUAUUCCUUCUAAUGUAAUUUAAUAGCACAAUUAAAUACUACUAUUAUACCCUCAAAUAUUGAAAGAAAAAUAGGACAAAAAGAACAUAAGAGUUUUAACGAGGUUCGGUAAAUUAUACCUACGUCCUCGGGCACUAACACCAGAUGAUAACUUUACUAUCUUCAAAGUAUUACAAACAAAUAGAAUUCCUUAAGAAUUCUCAAAUGAGAGAAGAGAGAAAACUAAGAGAGAAAGAUUGGUUGGGAUGAAUUGAAAUGAGAAAUGAGAAGACCUAUUUAUAGUUAAGGUUUAAGGACCAAACAAUAAAUAGCCCAUUAUCUCAAGGACCAAAAAAAAAUUAUCCCAUGCCACUUUUUCAAAGUCAACUUUAGGGUGCUAAACUUGCACCACUUUGUAUUGUUUGCCAUUAAUGUUGUCUCCCAUUAAUGUUAACAAUCUCCACAUUGAAGAUUUGAUUAGGAUAAUCAUAUCUUCACACACUUCCUUCAACUCUCCAAAUUCGAUAAAGCUAUCUUUUGUAGUGCCUACAAAUGCACUCUCGAGCGCCAUACACCUGAAGGUGCUCAAAUUCUCAGGAUGUUAAUCAAGUUCAAACAAUGAUUAAACUUGAUUGUUGUUACCACCUUGGUCAUCAUAUCUGCGGGAUUAUCUGCUGUCGGAAUCUUCUGAAGUAGAAUUUUUCCUUUUUCAAAGACUUCCCGCACAAAGUGAUAUCUUACGUCGAUAUGCUUGGUUCUUGAAUGAUAGACUUGAUUUUUCGCUAAAUGAAUAGUGCUCUGACUGUCACAAUAUAAACUUAUGUGAUUUUGAACAACUCCUAAGUCUUUCAACAAUCCAUUAAGCCAAAUAGCCUCCUUAACAGCUUCUGUAACUGCCAUAUAUUCUGCCUCUGUAGUAGACACAGCUACUGUAGACUGUAAGGUAGACUUCCAACUCACUGGGGCUUUCGCAAGAGUAAACAGAUACCCCGUAGUUGAACGACGUUUAUCUAAAUCACCAUCAAAGUCGGAAUCAACAUAUCCAACUACAAACUGACCAAGUGCUUCAUCCUGUUCAAAAAUUAAACCAACAUCUACGGUUUUUCGAAGAUACCGUAGAAUCCAUUUCACAGCUUGCCAAUGUCCUUUUCCAGGAUCAUGCAUAUACCUGCUCACAACUCCAACAGCUUGUGAAAUGUCAGGCCUCGUACACACCAUCGCAUACAUCAAACUCCCAACUGCAUUAGCAUAUGGGACUUUCGCCAUAUAUUCUCUUUCAUCUUCAGUCUUCGGAGAUAAUUGAGCACUAAGUUUCAAAUGAGAAGCAAGUGGGGUACUUACAUGUUUUGUGUUUUCAUUUACACCAAAACAUUGUAAUACCUUUUUCAGAUAUUGCUUCUGAUUUAAACAGAGCUUGCCUCUCGGUCUAUCUCUACUUAUCUCCAUGCCGAGAAUCUUUUUGGCCUCACCUAGAUCUUUCAUCUCGAACUCUUGAUUCAACUGAGCCUUCAGCUUAUCUAUCUCAUUUUGGCUCUUCGAAACGAUUAACAUAUCAUCAACAUACAAGAGUAGAUAAAUGAAAGAUCCGUCAUGCAGCUUCUGCAAAUAUACACAAUUGUCAUAUUUGCUUCUUGUGUACUUCUGCCUUCUCAUAAAGCUAUCAAAUCGCUUGUACCACUGCCUCGGGGAUUGUUUUAAUCCAUAUAGCGAUUUGUUCAGCUUAAAAACCCAAUUUCUACCACCAGCAUCUGUGUAUCCUUCGGGCUGAGUCAUAUAGAUCUCCUCUUCUAACUCACCAUGCAAGAAAGCCGUCUUAACAUCAAGUUGAGCUAGCUCCAAAUUCAACUGUGCUACCAAGGCUAACAAAAUUCUAAUGGAGGAAUGCUUCACAACAGGGGAAAAUACAUUAUUGUAGUCAAUUCCCUCCUUCUGAGCGUAGCCUUUAGCUACCAAUCUUCCAUUAUAGCGAAUAUCCUUCUUUCUAGGAGAUCCAUCUUUCUUUGCGAAUACCCACUUGCAUCCGAUUGCCCUUUUACCUUUCGGUAAUUGCGCCAACUCCCAAGUAUUGUUCUUCCGGAGAGACUGCAUUUCUUCAUCCAUGGCGCUUUUCCAUUUAUCACUUUCUAAGCUUUGCAUUGCUUCUUGAUAAGUGAUAGGAAUAUCAUCAACAACGGGAAGGGCGUAGGCCACCAUAUCAGUAAAUCGAGCAGGUUUACGAAUUUCUCUCCGUGGCCUUGCAACUGCAACUGGUUCUGGUGUACUUAGUGGUUCUUGGGUCAGAACCUUUUCAACCUCUAAUUCCUCCAUAGUGGCUGGAGAAUUAGACUUAUUAACUGGGCAAAUCCCCAUCUGCUCAAACUCCACCUGUUUUGGAGUACACUCCACCUGCUGUGGAGUAUUGCUCAUCUGAAUAUCUUUAUCUGCUACCUUUUCAAUGUGGCAGAUUCAUCAAAGGUAACAUCUCUGCUACAGAUCAUUUUCUUUGUGCUUAAGCACCAAAGUCGAAAUCCCUUCACUCCAGAAGUGAUUCCCAUAAAGAGAGCUUUCUUUGCCCUCGGAUCUAACUUUGACUCCUUCACAUGGUAAUAUGUAGUGGUUCCAAACACAUGUAAGGAAUCAUAAUCUGUAGCCGGUUUUCCAGACCAUACCUCCAUAGGAGUUUUUCUUUCUAAUGCAGAUGAUGGCAAACGAUUAACAAGAUGGCCAGCGUAUGUCACAGCCUCAGCCCAAAAUUGCUUGCCCAACCCAGCAUUGGACAACAUACAUCGAACUUUCUCCAGCAAUGUUCGAUUCAUACGCUCUGCCAAUCCAUUCUGCUGUGGUGUAUCCCUAACUGUGAAGUGUCGAACAAUACCAUACUCUUGGCACACAUCGAAGAACGGAUCACUUUUAUAUUCCCCUCCAUUGUCCGUCCUAAGCCGCUUGAUUUUCUUGUCAGUCUGGUUUUCGAUUGUAGUUUUCCAUUUAAGAAAAACUCUAAGCACUUCAUCCUUAGUUCUCAUGGUAUACACCCAAACUCUUCUGGAAAAGUCAUCAACAAAAGUAACAAAGUAGUAUUUUCCUCCCAAUGAAGGUGUCUUGGAAGGCCCCCACACAUCUGAGUGAACAUAUUCCAAAAUACCUUUUGUAUUAUGGAUAGUAGUACCGAAUUUCACUCUCUUUUGCUUUCCCAGAACACAAUGCUUGCAAAAUUUUAAUUUGCAAGCCUUUGCACCUUUCAACAAUCCUUGCUUUGCCAGAAUUUGCAAGGAUUUUUCGCUGGCAUGUCCCAACUUCAUAUGCCACAACUGUAUUGAGUCCAAUUCUUUGUUGCCGGAAGUUGUAGCGACUGCUCCAAUAACUGUACUACCUUGGUAGUAAUACAAGUUAUUUUUCCUGAUGCCCUUCAAUAUCACAAGUGCGCCAGAUGUCACUUUCAAAAUCCCAUCUCUCAUAGUAACAACUGAACCAUUGGAUUCCAAGGCUCCCAAUGAGAUGAGAUUUUUCUUCAAACUGGGCACGUACCGAACAUCAGUCAGAACUCUGGUUGAUCCAUCUUGAUUCUUUAAUUGGAUUGAACCUAUCCCAACAGUUUUACAGGCAUUGUCAUUGCCUAUAUAAACAACUCCUCCAUUUAGUUCUACUAAAUCAGAGAACCACUCCCAGUUAGGGGACAUAUGAAAGGUACAACCUGAAUCCAAUAUCCACUCAUCUGAAUGGAACGACGAUGAUGAUGCAACCAGUGAUAGUUCAGAGUCACUAGUAUCAUGCUUUGCAACACAAGCAUCUACAGCAGCUUUUCCCUUAUUCUUCAACUUUGGACAAUUUUUCUUCCAGUGGCCUUUCUCAUGACAAAAGGCACAUUCAUCUUUCCCAAGUCUAGACUUUGACUUUGAUCUCCCCUUUUGAGUUUUCUUCCGAGUGUAUGAACGACCUCGGACUACUAAAGCUUCUGUAUCUCUGAUUGAGUUUUUCUGUUUGUCCUUCUUUCUCUGUUCAUAACUGUAUAAGGCCGCACAGACUUCGCUCAGAGAUAUAUCACUCCUGCCAUGAAGUAGAGUAGUUUCUAGGAACUCAAACACCUCAGGAAGUGACCCCAACAGCAUCAAAGCCAAAUCUUCAUCUUUGAAUGUCUCAUCCAUAUUCAGCAAAUCAGUGACUAACUGAUUAAAUUUGGUGAUGUGAUCAUUCAUUGUGGUACUUGGGACGUAUGUGAAGCGAAACAGUCUUUUCUUCAAGUGGAGCUUAUUUUGACUGUUUUUCUUCAAAAAAUUUUCUUCAAGUGCCACCCACAACUUAUUUGCAGAAGUCUCCUUUGAAAAAGCAUACCUCUGCUCUCGAGAAAGGCAUGAUCGAAUUGUGCCACAUGCCAACCGAUUGAUCGCCUUCCAAUCUUUCUCCUGUACAUCAUCUGGUUUCUCUUCAUCAAUGGCAAUGUCUAGACCCUGCUGAAAAAGGGCAUCUAGAACCUCACUUUGCCACAUACCAAAAUGGCCCGUGCCAUCAAAGAUCUCCACGGCCAAUCUUGCAUUUGCAAUUGUCGGUCUUGUCCACAUGGACGAUGUUGAAGCUCCUACACCGACCGUUUUCUCCAUAAUCUUUCAAUAUACCUAAGGAAAUCUUUUCUGAUGUGGAAGAUCAGUUUAAACUGCAACCACUGAGCAUACUACGAUUAACCUUCGGCUCUUGAUACCACUUGUUGUUUCAAUAGGGUCGGAAGCGUGUAAAUUAUUGUACUAAAAAAUCACACAAAGUUCAAUUCCCAGGGAAGAGAGGUGGAUCACAAGGAUCUCUUAAAUACCAAGUCUUUCCUUAGUCAGAAUAUUCCUUCUAACGUAAUUUAAUAGCACAAUUAAAUACUACUAUUAUACCCUCAAAUAUUGAAAGAAAAAUAGGACAAAAAGAACAUAAGAGUUUUAACGAGGUUCGGUAAAUUAUACCUACGUCCUCGGGCACUAACACCAGAUGAUAACUUUACUAUCUUCAAAGUAUUACAAACAAAUAGAAUUCCUUAAGAAUUCUCAAAUGAGAGAAGAGAGAGAACUAAGAGAGAAAGAUUGGUUGGGAUGAAUUGAAAUGAGAAAUGAGAAGGCCUAUUUAUAGUUGAGGUUUAAGGACCAAACAAUAAAUAGCCCAUUAUCUCAAGGACCAAAAAAAAAUUAUCCCAUGCCACUUUUUCAAAGUCAACUUUAGGGUGCUAAACUUGCACCACUUUGUAUUGUUUGCCAUUAAUGUUGUCUCCCAUUAAUGUUAACAAUAUCGGUAGCUAGUAUUAUAAAUAUAUGGUAGGAAAGUUUGGUCGGACAUAUUCAUAAUCAUAUUAAUUCUGAUGUUAGAAUUGGAGAAAUAGGGACCCUAGGGAAUUUCAUCAGUAAACGCUUGCUUAAAAUGCAAUGUUUAGUCAGCAGUAGAGUGCAUUCCCAUGGUUGAGCAUGGUGGGCUGGCCACUAAGGUCGAUUUAGCACCGCGUUGAUUUGAUUGGAUUCGCCACUCGCACUCAACAGUGGCGGUGCCACAUGCAAGGUGGGGGGACCGUGGUCCGUCCAAGAAUUUUGAGAUGAGUGGAACGGCGGUUACGGAUUUGGGAAAUUGGUUGGACCGUGUUAAUAUACUCGCUAUAGGGUCUUGGUUCAUUCUUUUUCAAAGUUAAUAGUUUUGCUUUUUGUUUUUUCUUUGAAGAUAUUUAGAUUAGGACAAAUUCACUAAUAAAUUUAUAAAAGAAAUGAUAUCAAAAUUAAAUCUACUCUUUGUUAAAAUGAUAAAACUGAAUUAGUGGAAAAUAGGAUGAUUUGGAUUCAAAUUCUAUAAUUCAUAUUAAAUCUUAAAUUUAUCAAAAUACAAAAACUUUCAAUAUAAUAUUUUUUUACUUUACAUACAUUUAAAAUCUGAUCGAUUAUUAAUUAUUAGUAAUUAAGCCGCAUGUGCUUCAGAAUAAACGAUUUAAAGUUUUGCUAACAAUUAAGAAUAAAAUGAAAAAAGAAAUUCAUGUUUAGAAUUCUAGAAUUGAAGUAGACAGUCGUCUCGGGGGUUCCACUUCCUAUAAUAAUAAUUGCAGUUGAAAGACUAUGAACACUGUGUGGAAAACAAUGUUUACCGACAAAAGACAAACAUGUUAUUUUCAAUAACUAUUCUCUUUACAAUUAGCAAUAAAAAGCUCUUCUCCUGUUCUUAUAGUAAAACUAAAAAUAUUGUUCUCCCAGUAAAAAAACAAAACAAAACACUAAGUUUUCAUUUUUUGUAAUGAGAUGGAAUUCAUAAUUCAAACUUACUACUCAUUGUACAAGCCAAAGUUAAACUUGUAAAUUUCAUUUAUCUUGUUAAGAAAACAACAAUUUUUAAAACAAUUAUAAUGAAAUAAGUUUAUUUUUUAAAAUCAAGUCAUAAAUUUAGUGGAUGAAAAAGAGAAAAUGGAGGAUUGGUCAAUGGUUUGAAUGAUGGCGUUUUGAAGUGGGUCAAGCAUGGAACUUAUAUCAACAUUGAAGGGGAUUAGGGUCCCAUGUUGGUGGUGGUUGUUCCAUAGUUAAGAAUGCUACCACGCAUCAAGGGCAAAGGGUCCCAAUGCUUUGCCUAGCCGGACCACACACCCCCGCGCACCUUGUUACAUGAAAUUUAAGGAUACCGAAAAGGUAAAAAUAAAAUAAAAUAAAAUCUAGAUAAUAGUUAUAUAUAGCUAUGGACACAAUAUUACGUAAUUAUUUUGUGAAAACCUUGUCAAGUAUGUAGAUCCACUCAAAGGAUAGAUGUUGCCUACCGCCAAUAAAAUGUACCUAUUAAUCAUCAUGUAGAUUGAGAAUCAGAUUUUGAUAUACAUAUCAUAUGAAUCAAUUUCAAAAUUAUAAUAAACAAGCACUUACAAAUAUGUAUGUAUACUCUCAUUCAUCACCAAAUGUGACAUGAAAUUUAAGAGAUCAAUCUCCUUUUUGAACUCUUUACACAAUUUUUGUGUGAAACAUCACAAACCUUCAAACCUUCUUCCUAUAAACCUUCAAGCUUCCUUCCUUGCAUCAAAAGAUAUUAUCAUAAAUUAAUGAUGCCUAAAAGUAAUGUUAUUAAAAUUGAAUUGACCGAUUGGACCAAAAAUUAAUUGGUAUACUGAUGUAGGCAGAGGAGGUGAAUUGGUUUCAGAGUAAAUUACUUGGAACUGAUAAAAUUUUAAAAUUUAAGACAAAAAAAUCAACAAUUGAACCGAUAAAAAUUUCAAGCACUGAGACAAAAAAUCAAAAUUUUUUAAUAAUUUUUAAUAAUAUUUAUAACAAACGAUUACAUCAAUUAAAUAGGGAAUUGAUAUUCUCAUUGAGUAUAGUAGUUCACAAUUUGGAUGGGAAAAUUAAGAACACUAUUAACUAUAGGAAUCUAUUCAACGAGAUAAAAGUAAUUAGGUGGGAGUAUAUAAAUUUAUAAAUUCACCAUGAUGAGAAGUCACCUUGCGUGAAAAAAAAAAAGAGGCAUCAGAGAGUUGCGGGGAAUUGCCGAAAUGUGCUUUUCAAAAGCUUUGGAAAUUAGAGCAUAUGAUAUAAUUUAUAAAUUGGCCAUAUCUUUUUAACCAUAAGAUUUAUAAAUUGUUGAAAAAAAUAGAUUUAUAAUUACCCCUUUUUAGAUUGACAAUCAAAUGUGUCUUGCCUUGAGUUUUGGCGACCAUUCUGAUGUUCCAGGAUGAUGCUGCAAAAUUAUGGCAUCCAUUUUUCUUUUAACUUGAAAAGGUUGUAGUUUGUCAUGCAAUUUUGUCAAGCUCAUCAUUAUGGUCAAGUUUUAAUUUUUUUUUUAAAUUUUAAUGUAAAAUAAACAUUGAAUUCAAACAAAUACGGUGGAGAAAUGUUUGUUGAACUUUUAUGAGACAAUUUAUGGUCGAAUUGUACAUAGUUUUGUUCAAAGAUGUAUGAACAAUUAUCAUGAAUAUCAUUCAAUGAUCACUGAGCAUCAGCCCAUAAUUGUGCAAUUCCAACAACUAGGCAAGACAAUUUAUUUAUUUAUAGUUUUUGCUCAAUAAUUAUGUGCCUACUUUCUUACACAAGGAAGAUCCAUGUAAUAAUGAGCUCCAAUGCUUUUUUCUUUUACCCAGUAGCUCGUGCCUUUACUUAUGGUAGCUAGCAAUCACAAUCCUACAUCCUUGUUAAUUAAUUUUGUUUUUUUAAUAAUAUUCAAUUAUAUAUUCUACUUAACUCGUGAUUUGGUCAAUUUGGUUCGUUGGGUAAUAAUUUUUUAGGCUUACAUAAAAGACUGGGAGUAAAAUUUGUGAAAGUACUUUAUUGUCCUUCUACAAUGCGACGUUGGAUUAGAGUUAGACAAUAAAAGGUGAGGUUGCUUUGAUUUAGGAAAGGAAUGGUUGUCAUUGAGCCCAAAAAGCAGGGGAGACAACAGUCAUUUGGACUUCAUAGUACUAAUCAUUUGUCUAGUGCAAAGAGAAAGAUAUGGCACGAAAACAAUGAAACGAUUGUUCCAAAUCAAAUGUUUCCAAACCAUGCAACUUCUUUUGUUAAUAUGGAUGUAUUCGUUAGACUCGUCGCAAUCAUUAAGAUUUAAUUCUAGUUAGUAAUUUAAUUUUAUAACUAGUAUAUAAAUAUUAUUAUUAAUUUAAUUUUGAAGUAAUGAUUAAAGUUCACUCCUUUGGUACUGAUCAAAUCCUAUUAUCCCAUCUUCACUUUAAUAUUAUAUUAUCAAAAUAGUUUAUUCUCAUUCAAGCAUUUUAAAGAAAGAAAAUUCAUUUUUUAAGAGGUAAAUCUCAAAAUUAUAUAUGAACUAUAAUUUGGUGCAAUUAUAUACGUAAAAUUCUAAUUGUGGUUCAAAUGUAUACUUGAAGCUUUAAUUUUAAUUUAAUCAUACACAUUUAAAGAAAUAAAUACAUCAAUUUAUUUUAUAUUGAAUAAAUAUAAUUAUUUAUAUAUACAAUAUAUAAACAUAAAAUGAUGUUAUAUCAAUAAUUGUGUUAAUAAUUUACAAAAACUUGAUCAAAUCAAAAUUUUAUGUAUAAAGUUACACAACCAAAAAUUACGUAUACAAUUACACAUUAAAUCAUAGUUCAUAUAUAGUUUUAGGAUUUAUCCCUCUAUUUAAACGUGUAACCUACUUGUCAGCUCUCAAUUAUUACGUUCUAAAAUUAAUCACUUAUAACUUAAUUCAAAACAAUCAAAACUCGUUUGCAUGCAUGUUUAUUACAAGCAAAAACAUGUUUUGUGAUGGCUUUCGAUUUCUCGGACAGUGUAGGAUUAAACAACUUUAUUUUAAGUUUUAAUAAAAUUAUUCAUAUCGAAUUCAUUAUUUGAAUAUCUAUAUGAUUGAUUAUCAAUUUACAAGUUUAUAAAGAUAUGAAACAAAAGAAUAGAAAAAGAAAUUUACAAAUGAUUUUGGAAAUACAUCUAAUUGUAUAUUGUAGUAUGCGAUAUGGUCAUAAUGUUUGACACAAGUAAGAAUAUUGAGUAAAUAAAUACAAAAAAAUUAAUUACGCAAUCUGUAAAACAUUUCCAAAAGAAAAAAUUUACUACUAAACUUAUAAUACAAAAAAUAAUUUAAACUCAAUCUAACCCUAACCCUUGAACUACUAAGUUCACAGUACAACAAGCUCAAUCUAACCCUACCUCCUGAAUAUUUGAGCCUCACCCUAAUAAUUCUCCUCAAAUAACUUCUGAAAGUUGUUAACUAAUAACUUAAAGAUGAAUAAAACAUUCUUACACAAUUUCUUACAAUGAACAUAAAAUUACCAUCAUAAAUCUUUAUCAAAUCUCAUAAAUAAUUCCGCUAUUGGCUACUCUACAAAUAAGGUUGCAAAUGUCUACUUUUCAUGCUCAAUUUAGUCAUGUAUGGUAGAUAAAUUAGAGUAUUAACUUGGUUAAUAUUGACAAUCACAAUAGUUAGGAGGGUCGACAGGAGUCCCGACUCCCCUAAAAUAGAAAAUUUUCUAUUUAGAUCCUUUAAAUUUUUUAAAUUUUAAAUUAGUAAAAAUAAAAUUACACUUUGGCCCCCUAAAAAUGAUAAAAAUUUAAUUUAAUCAUUUAAAAUUAUAAAGAUAUAGGCUAUUCAGAUGGUGAAAUUGUAUUUUUACUAUCGUAAAAAUUACAAAUUAAUUUUAGGCCCCCUAACAAAAUUUUCUGACUUCACCUCUAAAAGAUUAAAAUUUAAUUUCGUAAAUUUAAGCACACUUAAGCGCAUUUUAUUAUCCUAUUUAUGAAAUACAUUAUACAAUAUAUAUAUAUAUAUCUUCUAACUCAAUUUUCAAGCCUCCGACUUGGACUAAACUACUAGAGUUUUCAAAUACAGAACUAAUAAUAUUGAUACACAAAUGAGUUAUAUUUGAUCACGUGAGCGCAACUUAUUUCACAAUUCAGUGGACGUUGUUGAUCCAUCAAUCUAGAUUUUUCUUUCCCAAUUUUUUUACCAAAAUAGAUUUGUUUAUUACUAAAGGUAGGAAAAUAAAUUAUAUAAAAACAGUACAAAAAGACAAUGCACCCUAUUGCUAGAACUGUUUUAGCUAACCCCAUGACAGCAGAUCACACAGCCUUUUAUUUAAAAGAUUGGGAGCCAUUUCCUUAUUUGGACCCAUUAGACAGGAUUUGAGUGGGACCAAAAAAUCAAACUCCUUUUACAAACUUUGAUGCAGGUAGGGAGCUCAUCUAUUUUAUUCAUAAAUAUAUUAUACUUUAAGCAUAUUAUAAUCUAAAAGAAAAAACUAAUACCAACAUGAAACGAAUAGAUAUAUAUUACAUAAUAAAGUAGGAGGUAAGUAUAUGCUCAGAUUGAUUAUAAUAACGUUGAUAAAAGAUUGCAAAAGUGUAGUAAAAUGGCAAGCGUGGCUCCAACCCAUUUGAGCCUCUUUUUUAAACCACAAUCAUAAUUUUCCUCUUAUGCUUCAUUUCAAUAUUUAUUGCAUUCCCACCAUGCCAUUAUCUUUUGUAGCAAAAAAAGAGCAUUUGUAUCUUCUCUGUAACUUUCUCUUCUUUUUUGGUACAAACUUGAAACCAUUUCUUUGCUAAUACAUAUCAAAGAUUAGUGGGUUAGAGAUAAGCAUCAAAAGUAACAUAUUCUAGCCUCAUUCUUAAUGUAUAUUUGGGUGAUUAUGUGGUGUUAAUUGUAAAUUAUAUACUCCUAAUUCUUUAAAUUCAUGUUUUGAAGCUUAAUACCACAUUUGAGAGCAAUAGGAGCCAAAAACGAGUGAAAAUUAGAACAUUGGAGCUGUCUGAAAGUUGUACAUAGGCAGUAGAGAACCACACGACUAGACUAGACGACCAUGUGAGCCAAACGAGUUGACCACACAGCCACGUGAGCCACACAGGCGUGUGGCCAGCGAAUGUAACUUUUGGGAACCAUGUGCGCUGACAGCUAAAAGUUCCGUUUUUUAAGUUUUUUGUGCACUUUAAAAACGUAUAAAUAAGGAGAUAAAGAGGGGAAUAGACAACCAUCUUAAUUUAGCACAAAAUUAAGUUACCCAAAAGAACCCCCUAGAAGUUGAUUCUGAAGCAGUUCUCCAUCCAGAUUGAAGAUUUCAAAUUGGUUUUUGAGGAAGUUAUCAUGGGUUUCUUUUAUUUUAUUGGUUAUAUUGUAUUUUUUGUGUUUCUUCUUAUGAGUAUGAACUAAUUUUUUAAAUACCUAGGGGAGAUAAAGUGUAGGAUGAAUUCUAUUAUUUGAUUUCUAAUCUUAUGCAAUAAAAUCUUAGUUUUUUUUUUGUUUUCGACUGUGAAUUCUAAAUUGUUCUUGGGUUAUUAUUUCUAGGAUUUAAUUCAUGUUUGAGUGCAUGAGUUUGAGGUUGAACAGUCUCAUCUUAUGGCUAGAUCUUGUGUCGUCGAAUGGAGUUGCAUGCAAUCCUAAAAAUAGGAUAACAUAAAUAUACCAUAUUAGAGUCAAAUCUAAUAAAGGAAUCCAUAGAGCGAAUUAAUGUGAUAAUAUGGAUUUUAAUUAGAAAGAAAUUUUAAUUAAUCAACCUAGAGUUAGUUGCUUUUAUACUCGAAAGAGAUAUUAGCAUAAGUUAGGGAUUUGUACGGAUCAAGGAAACUAAAUUGCAUAAAUUAGAUUGAGAAUUGUAGAUGAAUUCUAGGUGGAUUCUUACCUGGGUAUUGUUUAGUCAGUCAGUUGAUAUUCUAUUAUUUCUGUGUUUGGUUCUUUGACGCAUUAGUAGUUAACUUUAGUUUUAGUUAAUCUUUUGAAUUAUUAGAUAAUUACUAAAAAUUGUAGUUCUCAAGAAAACGAUAUUUGUGCUCGCUGUAAGUAUAUAUACUAUUAAAUGAUAAGUGCACUUGCCUUAAUCGAUUUAUUAAUUAAUUUAGUGGACAUUAAUUAAACUACUUGCAAAGAAAUGAAAUAAAAUUGCUUCUGAUUCUUUUGUUUGUUUUUCUUUUUAAGUUUGAUUGUAAAGAUGUUUGAUGGUGUGAUAAUUAAUCAUUAGAUUCAAAAAAGGAAAAACAAAAAGAACCAUUUAACUUAGCUGAUGAUUCUUUGCGUGAAUUGAAAGAAUUUAUUACAUUGCUUGUUGAUGAAGCAAAAUACUUACAAGUAAUCACUCUUUCAAGGGAAGAACAUUAAUUUGUUUCUACAAGUCAUUAACUGAUGAAAACAUCAAUGACAAGUUCAUGAUUUCCGUACAAUUAAUCACAAGUAUGGUCUCUAUGCUUACCUUAAACAGACAUUAAUUUAAUUAAUAAAUAAUUUAAAAAAUUAUGUUUUUUCCAAAGUAAGUUGAAUUAUUAAUAAAGUGCCUUUUAUCGCUUUUUUAUAUUUUUAUAAAUGAAUAAAAAAUUAUACUUAAUGAGAUUUAAUCAAAAAUAUUAUACAAUCAAAACCUAUUUUAGUUUUUAUAUAAACUUUUACCCAAUACAUUUGUUAUAUAAAAUUUUUUUCAUCAAGUGUGCUAUAAUUUAAUAUUUAUAAAUCAUCCACAAGAGCAUAUGUAAGAAUUUGCAAUUAAGUUUAGCUUACUGUUUAUAGAAUGGUUAAAAUAUUUAUGGUUGAUAAUUUUAUUUUUUAAGAAAAAAUCGUUGAGUUACAAUCAGCAUGUUGGAGGAGAAGAAGAACUUUUGAUAAUUGAUGAAAUAGAGGUUGGUACUAGGUCGAGUAACGUUCCGAGGCUUGUCUAUGUAUCCAAACCUAAUAAAAUUAAAUCAAUGGCAACUACAAUUGAUUUAGAAAAGCGUCCAAAGAAUUUACAAUACGAACUUCAUCAAUAUAAGACAAAUCUUAAAAUGAUUCAAGCUCAAUUUAGUUAAUGUCGAAAUCCCAACGCCUUCACCACAAUUUUUAGAUAUACAAUAUCAUUAUUUUGAUUGAAUAGUUUACUAAACAAUUAUUAAUGUUUAUUGCAAUGAUUAAUAUAUUUAUCAUUUCUUGCGGCGACACCAUAAGCUCACCAACGAUGCAAGGUUUGGAUUGAGAAGCUCGCCACAAGUUGUUCUACAAAAUCUAUUAUGAUCAUAUUCUUUUUUAUUUAUUUUGAUUUAAUUUUAGUAUUUUUCUUUUACCCCAAGCAAUAACAAUUAAGAAAAUAAUUGAAUUUCAUACCAAGACCAAUUAAGAAUCAGUCAAAAGCAAACAUGAUUGCACCAUAAGACUUAUUAACCACUCUCUAUCUUACCCUAAUAGAAUCUCAUUCUCGAUCAAACACCAAUCUCGUAUACAUUAAUCUUCAACAUGAAUAAUCCUUUUUACCCUUUGCACAAACAAUCAAUCCCAAAUGGAUUUGCAGACAACAACUUUGACCAAGUUUCACCAUACAGCUUCUCUCGAUUCAGCCUUAGUGUCCAGGUAUAUUUUCUCUCGAUUCUCAAUGAUUUUAGUUACAUAUUUGAUAAUUAACUCUUCAUUGUCACUUGCAUUCAACCUAAAUAUAUAGUUUUACAAAUUGAUAAAUCACAUAUGUAUGUCGGAACCAUGACUAUAAUUAUUAAAUUCGUAGAGAAUCACGUACUUAAAUAAAAAGGUGGUAUAGGUUAAAUGAAAGGACUAAUCUAUUCAAUUUGAUUUUGAUAUUGGUUUUUAAAAAUAUGGUUGAUUGGACUAAAUAGCCUUCUUUUUCUUCCUUUCGGUACAAAAAGAUAAAAUUGAGGACUAAUUGUCAAAAACCUACUCUUUAUAGAUGGACAAAAUGACUGACUUACAGCAAAUUGGCAACUACUAGUACAUAUCGUGGAUUGAUUUUGUUGCUUGAGACGCUCCUGGGAAAACCAUGUCCUCUUCUGCGAAUUGAAACCAUACAAAGUGAGAAAAAUGUGCUAAUAAAUCGGCAUUAACAUCACUCCAAUCCAAGGUUUUGACCCUAUGUACCACCUCAACAGAGGUGUGUGCAAAAAUGGUAAAAGAAAUCAUAUAUGUUGAGAUUAUUCCACAUUUAUUGAAUGCUAUUUUUAUAAAAUAAUCAUAUUAAUCAAACUUUAAAUUGGGAAGAAAUUAGUACUCAUUAGUCAUGCAUGUAUUUGUGAUAAUUAUUUUUUUAAUCAAAAUUUUUUAUUAUAUGAUCAAUAUAUUAAAUAAUUACUAACUCUAUCAAUGUACUAAAUAUUAAUUAUUCAUAUACAUAAUUUUUAUUAUAGAUUCCAUGAUUAGUUUAUAUGAUUUUAUUUUAUUAAAAAUAUUUUAGGUAAUUAAAAAUAUAUAAUAGCUUUGAAACUUACCUAAUAAUCUAGGUUUAGAAGGUUACUUUAAUUUUAUUUUUUUUUGCAAGCCCCAAAAUUACAAGUUAUUUGUUUUUUUUCUUUUUGCUUAAUGUACACUUUAGUCUUUAAAAUAUAUCAUUUUUUUUCUCUUUGAUCUUUAAAUUUUUUUUUGGCUCACUUCAAUUUUUAUCGUUAUUUAAUGUUCUCAAUUUAAUCCUUUGGGUGUUAAAAAGAACCAUAGCGAUAUCCACCUAAUCACAAAUUGUCACAUGACAUUAGCUAAUGUCACAACAACAUCAUCAUCAUGAAAAACCUAAAAAUCCUUUAAAAAAUAAAAAAAUACAAGCAAUAUAAAUAAAAUUAUAAAUAAAUAAUUAUUUAAAAAUUUAUGGAAGGGUGUAAAAUCAUUUUAGUUUUACAUUAGUGUAAAUGAAUUCCUCUCCUUAUUUGUUUAUAUGAAAAUUGCUCGGAUAUGAAUAAUUUUAUAUUAUAUCGUCAAUAUACCAAAUAAUUAUGGUAAGUCACAUUAAACUUUUAAAAAAGAUUAUUGAAAGGGAUAAACAUAAAUUUUAAACAUGAACUAUAAUACGAAUAUAGAAACCAGCAAGUAGAGAAUAAAUAAAACCGAAAAAGGGCUAAAAAUUCCUAAGGUAGACUACUCUAGGAAAGCAGGAAUAAUUGGUUUGAAAUUUCACAAAAGAUGGAAUUGGCGUGAGACUUGUUCAAUACAAAUCAUUGUAACAUUCUCUUGUAGGACUGAAUUGAAGUUAUAAUAGAAUUAAUCAUUGUAUACACUAAAUCGAAUAAUUAAUGUAAUAAAUUUUAAAAUAAAAUCUUAUUGUUUUUAAAAAUGAAAAGAAAAAGAGAAAUGGAACGAGGAUUGAACAUAUUACGCAAAGAAAGGCAAUUCAGUUGUUGAGAAGGUUAGUAUUUGUUAAAGCCUUUAUAAAAGUGAGGUCAUGGCUUCCUCAUCAUUGAUACUUUUCCAAGCAGAUCACCUGAAUUUGAGGGGGGAAAAGGGUCUGAUAGCUAAUCAAUUUGGUACCAGUAAAAAAAAAAAAAGGCAGAAAGGCAGAAACUGGAGUGAGAAGGGGAAUCUCAAUUAUUAGACUGAGGUUUUAAAAACGAAAAUCCACCUCAUAAGUAUCAAGUAUCACAGUCUUUCAUUUACACACAUACAUACAUACAUACAUGCACGCAAAAGUGUGGUUCAUUUUAUUGGAAAAUGGAGAAAGUUCAUCAUCACGACACCGACUACUAUAGCCUUUAAAGCUUUCCCCUCUCUCUUUCUCAUGAUUGGAGUAGUUGUAUGACGGAAAACCUUUUGUGCUGUUUCAACAUGGUUGAGCAAGAAAAAUAUUUAAGGGUGUUACAAUUAGACAGAUCCUAUCCGAUUAACCACUAAUUUGUCUUUUGUUUUCAUUGUUUUUUGGUAAUGAAGCCAUAAUCAACGCAUUAGUGCAAAACAAUAGAGGAUUAGACAUUUGACAACUUCCCAUCUAUUUUUGACAUAAAUUCUAGAUGGAAACAAAGUUAUAAUUUAGGGUCCAUUUUGAUUGUGUUACUAUUUUUGCAUCUUCAUCUCAUAAUUAGAAGCAAUAGCCAAUGUUGGGAAUCAUGAUCAACAAAAAUAUUUAUCAAUUUAAUUUUUGUGAAUAUUAAUAUGAAAUUAAUUUAUUUUCGUAUUUUUUUAAUAUCCACCUCUCUUUUUAUUCUUCGCAAUCUGUGUUUUUAUUUUUUGUUAAAAAGGAAAGUAAAUCUAAACAUUAUAAUUUCAUCUAACCCAAAAGGAAAUUUUCUUAUAGGGAUGUUCAUCAUGUGAAGUAGGCAUGCAUGGCCUCUUCAGCUCAUUAUCAUGUUAUGGAAACAGCCACAUGAUCAUUACACUAAGCAAAUUAAGUAUGUUUGAGGUGGACAGUAGUGGCUGUGGGAGUUGUUAAUUUAAUGCUAAAUAAAAACUUGAAUUUGGGUUAAACUACACAGAUUCACAUUAGAGUGAUAACCCAAUGGCCCGCACCAAAAGAGAGUAGCUGCUUCUUUUCUUGAUUUAAAUGGUGGUUAUGAUUAGAUUAGGUUAAUUUAAUCCCGAAUUCCUUGAUUUAUAAUAAAUUGCAAGCACCUUCCAAGCUCCAGCUUGUAGACAGCUACCUAACCAUUUUGGACCAGAUUCUGCAUAUCCUAAUCUCUCAAGGAUUUUGCAUUCAAAAAAAUAAUGCAUUAAUUUGUGGGGGAAAACAGAUGGAUAAAUAAACAUUAAUUCAUGGAGAAUCUUUUGAACUGUUUGUAAACAAAAUUGUGUAACUAAGUUAGCUUUUGGCCUACAUUUCAUUAAUUAAGAAAAAUGACAAUUGCAAAUAGAUAUAUCUCUAGUGAUUCAACCUUCCCUUUAUAUAUUUCGCUGUCAAUCAAUUACAUAUGGUAACGGGAAGAGUUAAGAGUAAAAGGGAAAAUAAAAUACUAUUACUUGAAAGCUUUGUGAUAGCAACAUUGUAUAUAUCCACCCCAAUUUGCUCUUCUUUACCAAAUUAUUUAUGUCAUUCACCUCCAAAAUAUUAAAAUAAAACCUCCUUUUUUUAUGUCACUAAACUGAUAAAGUUGGCACCCUGCCUUGGUGAUGGGAUUCUUCGUUCUUGCUACUAGCUAGUAUAAUUAAUGUAUUUUGGUGCUAUAUGCCAAAUAGUCGAGUCAACAGAACCUAAUUUCUAAGUUUUUAUUGUAUUGUUUAUUACAUGUAUCAAUUUUAUAUUUGACAACAGGAACCCAAGGCAUGCAAGAAACAUGGCUUAGUGUGUCACUAUCCAACGGUUUAUGUUUACCAUCCAUCGCCUUCAUGGCACAUAUAUAUAUAAUUAUUGAAAUUUUGGUGCAUUGCAAUGUAGACAACAAUUAAUGGUAUACGAAUUGCAGCGAAGGUCGACUAAUUGCUAUUUACAAUCUGCUUUCAAGAACCCAUAAAAAAAUUUGAUUAAUUAGUGCAAAAUCCAAGACUUGACAUCAUCUUUAUGUAACUAAUACAAACAACUUUGUAUAAAAUCAAGAUUUGGGCAAAUGAAUGAAGUAAUUCAAUUUCUAAACAUUGAGCUUAUUGGUUAAGGAUUUAUUUACUUUUCAUCAUCUGUAUUUUUUUAAAAAAAAUAUCAACCUAACCAGCAAUAUUAAAUAUUUCUUAGUAUUGUUCCUAUAUCUUUUACUAUUAGAAAUUGUGAAUUAAUAAUUGGAAAAUCCUUUUCACCUUUACGAUUACAUUUGUUGAAAAGCAUGUUUCAAUUUAAGAGUUGGAUUUGUAGUCCAUCUUGAGCAUACCAUCUAAAUUUGACCUAACAGCCUAAUCCUACAGGUAAAGCCACUUUACCUACUAAAUUUUUUCAAGACAACUUUACCUACUAAUUAAUCAAAUUAUAUAGCCUUCAUCUACUUGCUCAAUAACAAAAAAUAAAUAAAUAAAUUGUAUGCUCUUGGGACCCCCCCAAAAGAACUUGAGAUAAGAUAAAUUGGGCUUGAUCUGAACUUUUGGGCCCUUAAUGUAGAAGGCCCAAACCUUCAAAUGCUGUUGAAUUGGACUUUCUUAGGAUCCUUUGCAUUACAGAUCACAAUCUAGGAGUUGGGCUUUAUGGAUGCACUGAUUGGCAUCCACCUCAUGAAUUCACCAUCGAUCAUCUCAAAGUUACUAGUAAGGACUCUCCCUUUUUGCAAACUAAGUGGCUUGAAAGUGCUGAGACAGUAAUUUGUCGUAUGAAACUAACAUUGAAACAAACCAAUUGAGAAAUGGAAAGUUCCCCAAUACCCAUAGUAGAAGAGAGCCAGUUCCCCCAUAACAGGAUAAUAGAAUUCAGAAAACUUCAGCUCCUGCAGGAUUUGGCUGUAGAUUAAGGCACAAGGUGAAGAAAAAUUACCCCUCCCACAGGAUUGGAUAUUGAAAAGAAAAGCCUCAUACAAUGCACUUAGUCAUUUCAACCCAUAGCGCAUUUGACUGAUCUAUUGUUCACUGGAUGGCGGCUUGGCAAGCGGGUAGCUCAAAAUGUUUCGAGAAAACAAGAUUCCGAGGAGUGUGUCAAGCCUACUAGGGAUGAGGGAAGUGUCUAGAAGGUUGGAGAAACAUGUGGAUUGCAAGGGCUGUCUGGUGUAAUAUUAGCCGUAAGAUGCUUAAGGAGUUACCCAUAAAUAGGGACCCUUCAUUUGUAACCUGCAAGAGCUUAGCAAAGCAUAGCAUGAGAACAACUAAAAGUGUGCUGUUGUACCCUUGAUGUAAUAUUUGGUUGAGCAAUAAAACAGCAAAGCAUUCUCCCAUGUGGUGCAAGGGCCAAGCCAAAGACCGCAAGUCUCGGCAUGGCAAGACAUAUGACUAUCAUCCCAUGAAAGCUGGCUUCAUAGGAAUAAGUGGAUUAUCAUGUUCCCGAAUAAGAUUCAUGGAUAAUUUCGGAUACCGAACGGCAACUUGGCAAGGUUUAUUCUGAUAGAUUGAGGGUCAUUGAUGGUUUAUUUUUUCAAUGAUUAUUUAGGGGAAUUUGAUUAUGGUGUUUGUUAUCAUCCUACCACACACAAAACCAGCUUCUUUCUUGUUUGUCAAUUAUUUAUUUUUGUACAUUUUCAAAAUCAUAAAACAUUUCUACAAAAUUAUCAAGUCUAUUCGAAAGUAAGGCCAAGCCAGAAAUAUGUAAUUAGAAUAAUUAACAACAAAACUUGCAUACCAAAUCAAAAGGCUUCAUCUUGAAUUGUAAUGUCAGCUUCAGCAAGUUCACUCAUCACCUCAGCCUGAAACAACUCAACAGCUUCUUGAACCGUUGUUUGAUUCCAAAAUGCACCAAGAAGCAUACUCCAUUCUCCCUCUUUUGGAGUACAUCCAUCAAUCAGCAUUUCAUCAACAAUACGAGCAGCUUUGUGUAGGUCUCCAUCCUUAAAGAAAGAUUUCAUAAGAAUCUCGAAAGUCGCAAUCUCAACAGAGAUGGCCCUAGUUCUCAUGCUUAGAUACAACUUGAAAGCUCGACUUAAAUCACUCUUGGUGCAAAGGCCUUGGACCACCAUAUUAUGAAUCCUAACAUGAAGACUCCAAGUUAAUCGGUUUGGCAAGAUUCUGUCUAAAACCAUCUCAUCAAGGAAAUGUGCUGCCUCCUCAAACUUGUUGACAUCACAGAAUCCGCUUAUGAUUUUCCCGUACAAUCCUGCAUCUGGUUGCAGACCCUGAAGUUUCAUCCUGUCAAGAAUCUCCACAGUUUGUUGAAGCCUUCCCUCUUUACAUAGUCCAUGAAUUAAGCUACUAUAAGUUAUCAUGUUUGGUUUACAACGUUUGCUAACCAUUGUCUCCAGUAGUUCCAUCGCUUUGGAAGAACGACUAUCCUUGCAGAGACCAUCCAUUAAAGAACUAUAAGUAAACACAUUUGGCUCCAUACCAUUGUUUUUCAUUUCCUCAAGCAAAUCCAAAGCUUCAUUUAUAUUAUUUGACUGACAUAACCCAUGUAUCAAGGAUGAAUAUGUAAUAACAGAAGGAGAACAAUCUCUCAUUUUCAUCUCUUCAAAUAAAACCUUUGCAUCCAUUAACUUUCCGAAUUUACACAACCCAUUAAUCAAAGUUCCGUAAGUAUAAGAAUCUGGAGGACACCCACGAUUGGGCAUUUCACGAAAUAUAUGAAUAGCAGAAUCCAAGGUUCCACUAUUCUUACAGAGUGCUUUAAUCAAAAUAUUCAGGGUGACAACACUAGUUUGAACACCUACUUCUCUCAUAUUCCUGUAAAACCUAAAAGCGAGCUUUAACAGGUUCUCAUCAACCAGAAUAUCAAACAUAGUAAUAUAAGAUCUUUUACUGGGUUCACAUUGGAAGUCCUUCAUCUUACCAAAGACCCUCAUGGCAUCUAAUGGUCUAUGAACCCUUCCAUACCCUCUACAAAUAGAAAGGAAGAUAUCUUCUCUUACAUCACACUUUUCUUCUUUCAUUCUAUCAAGAAGAUCUUCAGCUGGUCCAAAUUUGUUUGCAGAAACUAAUCUAUUUAUUAUAACACCAAAAGUGCUGUGAUCAUGACGAAAACCAUUGGCAUACUCAGCUGUUGCCAAAUCAAAUAUAGCAAGAGCCUUGUCUACGUUCCUCUCUGCUUUUAUUAAGUGCACCACUUGAGAAGAAGUUAUUUUUUUCGACCAUUUAAAUGCAACCUUGGUGCCCAUUAUAGCCAACUCCCUAGGUUAACAGUAAAAAGCUCCCAAUUCAAAUAAUGUAUCAAAUGACAUGCUUCAAUCCUAGUCAGCAAUUCAUACAGACACCUAGACAAGAUUAUGAUAUAAAAGUUCAGCAAAUAUCUAAGAGGUGAGUAUAUAAUAAAUAUAUGAGACCAAAUUCGAAAAUGGAUGCCUCUAAAUUUAUUAAACAUGCCAAAAAGGAGAACCAAACGAUACAAUAAUGAACUGUUAAUGCAUUGGAUUGCUGGUGUGAGCAUUUUAUCGAACAUUUGGAGGGUGGAAAUCAGAAGAUUGCCAAAAUCAAUACAUGAGAAACCAGAAAAUUAAUUAGCAAAAUAAUCAACGCAUGAGUAAAUUCCCAACAAAUUUAACGAGAAUAAAAAAAAAUCUUCAAAAAGAUAAUUGAGCAAACAAGUGGCUUACUAUUCGCUGUGCUGACGUGAAGCGAGUGAUCCUAAUAUGUUUGAGAAAUCAAACUGCUAGUGCGGCUUGCUUGCUUGUGCCGUCGCAAUUCCUCAUAAACCAGGCUGUUGCAGGCCGAAUGCUGCCCAUAUUUCUGGCCCAAAAAGGGGUUCGAAACCGUAUUCUAGUAAGAAAACGAUCCAGCCCAGAAUUUGUGUAACAGAACAUAAUAUCUUGGACAUGAUAUCCCUUGCUUCACGAGACUUAUACUGGGGAAAAUAACUUGUCCCAUACGUCCCCUCUGCCCCAGUCUCUCGCCUUCCUCGGUUCUUCCCCUCCCUAAGCUAAAUCCUCAGCCACAGGCCGCAUUUUCCCUGUUGUCUAUUUUUUAGUGCAUUAUAUCACUGUUUCGUUAUUCGUCGUAUUAUUUGCUUACUGUCAAUGACUUAAAUAACUUUUUAUUUUGUUGACGUUUUUAAAUCAUAAGGUAAUAUGUUAACUUUUUUUUUUUUUUUUUUUUUUUUUUUUGCUUCUAAUACAUUUUUUGGAUUAGCCCAAUACAAACGGUAUGUAACCGUUAACAGAUACAAUUGAAACAUAACAUAAACUGGUACCAUUCAAACACCACCACCAUCACAACAACCAAAUAACUUAACUAAUCAAAUAGUUGUGACACGUAAUUGUGUUUAUUUAUACUUAUUAUAAAAUCUUCGAACUAGUGGAGUACCAACUUGAUUGAGGAAAGAUUAAUGUAUCAAUUUUUUUAAAUGAUAAUUAAUAUUCUUAUUUUUUCAUAUUUUCAUAUAAUCUUUAAAUUAAAUAAUUAAAAAUUACAUAUUCGAUGAUUAAAUGCAUGUUUAAUAAAAUUUACAUACAAAUUUUUUACCAUUUGAAUACAUUUCACUCGCAACAUAAGUGAAAUAUGAUUUAAUAUUAUAUAACCUUUUUUUAAAUCCUGAAUCUUGAUCACUUGCAUGAGCUUCUUUGAAUUAUAACCAUGUAAUUAUAGAAUUGUUAUAGAUCUACAUUUAAUAUAUUUUCAAUAUCUACGCUAUAUAUUAAGAUUUCAAGUUUUGAUUAAAUUAGUGCCAUUCACAACUAGAUUUCAAUUGUAAAAUUACUUUUACAAAGCAAAUAUUAUUAUUUUGAAAGUAUUUAUGCGUUGUUUAUUUUUAUAUAAAAUCCGGGAAAACAAAUUAAUCCAAUAUACUAUAAAAAUCAGUCUCUCAACCUUACCAAUUCAAUUAAAACCCAUAUUUAAUUUUUAUACUAAUUUUUUUUAUAAAUUCAUUAUAUAGUUAUUUUCUCUAGUUAAAUUAUUUAUAUCUAUAUUUAAAAUUUUUGCAAAGAUAUUUUAAACAAUGUAUACUUGAGUGAUUUAUGCACCAUUUCCUAAUAAAAAUUAUGCAGUAUUACGUAUCGCAUACAAUAGGUAAAAACAACAAAAGUCAUAUUUGUUCAUUCCCCCCUCCCCCUUAUUAAAAGAUCUCACUCUACCUACCAUCCACGCACAUUUUGUUCUUGAGAGAGUUAUAAUUAUUUUAUAUAUCAAUUGCAAGGUUUGGAACUUGAAUUCCACAUACGAAAAUAUUAAAUUUUUUAAUAGGCUUUGCAUGGAUCUAGACUCUCUAACCUUAAUAGUUAGCUUUUGGGGUGUGAUUCUCUAAAGGUCUAUAUCAAUUCAUAUUAGAGCCAACCAUCAUGUCUCUCAUUGCAAUUGUAUGACAUGGGUGGUGAUGCCAACAUUGUAAUGUUCACCUGAGAUUACAUUAAGCUAGUGCAAACCCAGCUAGUAUGGGCACAUAACUGCAGAGCCUGGUGGAUGUUAUGUACCAAUUGCAAUAUAUGAGACUUAUGUAACAGCCUAAUUUUUCAGUGGUAUCGAAAACAGUGGUUUCGGAGUCACCGAAUUCGGCAAGUAAGUUCAUAAAUAUUAUUAUCUAACAUUUACGAAUUAAAUAUGAUUUUAAAAAAAGGGGUCUUUGAAUUGGUAAUUUGUGUUUUAUAAUGAUUUAUUAAGUCAAGUGGUUUUAGAAAGUGAGGUAUCGAGACCUCGUUUCUAUAAACCGAGCCGUAAAUAUUUUUAUAAAUAUUUACGGAGUGUCAUUAAGGUAGUAUUAAAGUUUCGUUGAAAAUUUUAAUGUUCUGAUAGCUAAUUAAUUAAAAAGGACUAAAUUAAAAAGGUACAAAACUUGUUAAUUAUAAGAAUUAAGUGAUUAAAUGGUUUAAUUAAUAAAUAGGGAAGGACUUAAGAAAUAAAUAAACCUAAAUUAAAUGGAUGAGGCGGGAUAAGAGAGAAAAAAAAUAAAAUAAAGCCAUUAAUGGUAAAAUUGUAAUUUUGGUUAAAUUAUAAAUAAAACAAAUUGAAUUUGGAUAGUUUUCUAGACAAUUCCUCUUCAAAUUCGGCCAAAACAGCCAUAGGGGAAAGAGUUUAAGCUGGUGCUUUAUAUUUUGGCGUAAAUACUCGUGAAAAAGGAAAAAUAGUGGAAUAAUCCUUGAACUUCUGCAAUUAUUACAAUUCAAUCCAAGUAAGUUCGUACAGUUAAAAUUUAAUAUUUUGUAUAAAUUGAUGAAUGGUAUUAUUUAUUUAUUCUAUUUUUGGAAUUGAACUAUUGUUGAAAUUAUAAUAUUGAAUUGGAUUUCGGUUUGAAUGGAACGCGAGAUUUGAGUACAUUCGUAUUUUGGUGUAUGAUGGUUUGGAAAGAGACAACGAUAUUUUUUCAAAGUAAAUCGGGGUUCAGCAUUUGUUGCGAACUCUCGUGUUUUACUUUUUGUUCAGCUCUUAUGAGUUUCUGUUCAGCUCUUAUGAGCUUCUGUUCAGCUCUUACAAGCUUCUGUUGGUGUAUUCAGGAAGACUAACUCUUGUGAGCUUCUGUUAACGAUGUACUAUUAUCCGUAAGUUGUUAUUCGAAUGGAAAAAUUUCGGUAAGGUGAUUUAUCUAAUGAAUUUGAAAGAUAUGUUAUUCAUUUUUACAUUGAUUUGAAAACGAAUGUAUUUAUUAAUAGAAUUUAUGGAUGAUAGGAAAUUGUCAGUGAAUGAUAGGGAAUUGACAUGAAUGAUUUUAUUUAUUUGACUUGUUAUAGUAGGUUCGGUAAGAUUUUGUUUAAACCAUCGAACUUACUAAGCUUCAUUAAGCUUAUUUGUAUUGUUUAAUGUCUUUGUAGAUUUUUAGAAGGUUGGACGAUAGGAUCAGCACUCAAGUCACACUAUCCAGCUUAUCUCUGUAGUUUUUAAAACAUUAAAUACGAUUUAUAUGGUAUGUAUAGGCUUUUGUUCGAUUUUGGUCAAAAUUUAGCUUAUGUAAAUGUUAUGAAUAAUAUUUUGUUUAUAUAACCAACAUACAUAUUGAUAUGAAUUUAAAGUAUGAGUGUGAUGUUAGUAUAAGUAAUAUAUAUAAUUGAGUUAAAACGAACUUUGGUAACUUAGUUAGGUAAAUUAAAUAGGUAAGUUUGGAUAUUUGUGGACUUAUUUUUAAGUUGUCAUUAGAGGUACUUAUGAGUAUAUUGGUUGUAGAAUUACAUGUAUACGGCUUGAUUUUAGCUUGUGUUGAAUGCUUUGUUAUGGCUUAUUGAUAUGUAAAUUGUUGAGGCUAUGUUGGUAUCAAUUUGGGUGAGAAAUAUGGUUUGGAAAAUGACCUAUUUUUGUCCACAGGGGCGUGUGUCUCAAUCGUGUGCAAUACACGGCCAAGUGACGCGGCUGUGUGUCCCCUAUAUCAUUUAAAUUGCACAAGUAAAUAUGCACACACGGCCUAGCACACGGGCGUAUUGCUUGGCCAUGUGGCCCAAGUCAAAGAGUUAUACGGGCAUGGACAUGGGCUGGAACACGGCCGUGUGUCCCUAUUUUAAAUGCCCACACGGCCUGGCCACACAGCCGUGUGUCCCCUGCAGCUUUGAAAAUUUCAAUAUUUUCUAAAAAAUUCUUUGAGUAUCCGAUUUAGUCCCGGCUUGUUUUUAACACGUAAUUUGGGCCUCGAUGGCUCAUAUAAAGGACAAUAUGUUUGAUUUUGAUUAGUUUAUUACAUGAAUGUUAUAUUAUAUGAAAUGUCUAUUUAUUUGAUCUGUAAUCUCUGGUAAUGCUCCAUAAUCUUGUUUCGGCGACGGAUACGAAUUAGGGAUGUUACAACUUAGGGUCUGUUUGAUUGAAGGAGUUGAUUUUCCGGAAAAUCAUUUUCAACUUUUCCAGCGUUUGAUUGGCGGAAAACAUUUUCCAUUUGGAAAAUGAACUCCAAAACAAGGGAAAAUGGGUUACAUUUUAGGGAAAAUGUCUUACCCUUUCAAUUUCCGUAAGACAUUUUCCGUGCUCUCCUCUCUAUCGCCUCCUUCAUUCCUUCCUUCAUUUCCGGUGGAAAAUUGCUUCUGUUUAUCGAUUUUUCAGUAACUUAUUUUUUUAAUUAUUCAAUACUUGUUUUUUUAACACAAUUACAAAUAAUUUAUUUGAUAUUAAUUUUUUUCAAUUUAUAACGAUUAAUAUUGUAGCUUAAUAAUUGAGUAUUCUUAUAAAUAAAUCAUUGCAAUAUAUGUAAAAAUAAUUUAAAAUAUAAAAAUUUAUUAAUAUAUAUCAAUAUAUGUAAAAACAAUUUUUUCGAAAAAUAUUUCCAGGAAAUCUGCCAAACAGCCGAAAAUAUUUUACACAGAUUCAAUCAAACACCAGAAAAUAUUUUCCAGUAAAUCAUUUUACAGAAAAGUAAAAUAUUUUCCCGAAAUCAUUUUACGGAAAAUAUUUUACUGGCAAUCAAACAGGCCCUUAGAUUCCACAUAGAAAAAUAUAAAAAUAUAAAAGAAGGAUGCAUUGGAUUUUGAUUCAAAUAAUUUACAAUUCAAAUAAAAAAGUUGAUUGUAAAUGAAAUAUAAAUCUACCUCAAGAUGUUUUAUUUUGCUUUGCAAAACCAAACGUUGACUAUGAGAUAUGGCAUUUUAACUAUCACAAAAGAAUUUUGAACAUUGAAAUAGCAAAAGUUUGAAACUCUUUUACUAUAUUCAUAACCCCAAAAGUUUCAAAAGUAAUAAUUGUGAUGACUUGAUAUUUAGUUUAAGUGGAAGAGUGGGCAAUGAUUGGUUCUCCUUUGAAGACCAACUUGUUAGUUGUGGAUCAAAAUAAAGAAUGUAAUCAAUGUUAAACUGUGAUUAGUGUGAUCACUUGCCUAAUCCACGUUUGAAUACAUAUAAAGAUUUAGUCAAGUAUUGAAGAAUGCAUUUUACUUCUUUGGAGCAUGCAUAAACUUAAAAAGUUUGGUUCAUUGGAAACAAUCAAAUUUUGUGAAGGAAAGAAAUUAGAGUUUCCCAAUAGUUUAUCAAUAUAUAGUGACAUCAAUAUGGUCAAAUGCUCUUGAAGUUUGUAAGGAUAAGAGGAACUAAUUGAAGUACAAACUCAUAUACUGUAUUGCAUCCCUCUAUCAUUGAUAACAUGCUGAAUGUAUUUGCUUUGCGUCAUUAGGUAUAGUCCUAUCGAAUGUGCAUUUAUAUUUAUAAAAAAAGUCGGUAUGUAAAGCAAAACUCAUUCAAUUUGGAAUUGAAUAACUGGCUUGCGAUAUGGAGAAAGGUUCUUAACAGAUUUCUUUCACCCUAAUACUCAUGCAAGGGAGGGAUUUGCACGGUUAAAAUCCAAAGAAUAUGACGACAUGAUCUUUAACAUAGAUCCAUCUAUUAACAAACUUCGUUGGAAUUAUAGAGUCAGGUUGAUGGUCUUAAAAACUUUGCUCUCUUCUGAGCAGUACAAAAUAGACUAAAAGUUCUUUAUUCUUCUCAAAUGACAAAUGCAUCACUAUUAAAACCACACACUAACAGUAAACAAAACACUAGAAAUCAGGCAUCCUUUUCCAUACGAGUGGUGGAAUGAUCACAAGCAGGUAUUCCCAAGUUCCUACUGAUCAUAUCUUUCAUUUUUCCUAAAUCAAAGCCCACCCGAUGGUCCCAAUAACUUCUUGAUUCCAGAUUUCUGCUCUGCAGUUAACCUUGUUGGGAACUUAAUGUUGAACUUGAUUCUGAGGUUACCUCUUUUCGAUGGGUCUUUGGGAAUUGGCAUACCUUCCUUCGGGACUACCUCCUCAUAAUUUGGAUGGAUCACACUGUUGAUGGGGAUGUUCAAGCUCCUUCCAUCCAAUGUUGUAAGAUGAACGGUGUAGCCUGUUAAUGCUUCGGCCAGCGAUAUCUUUUGCGUGACAACCAGGUCAUUGCCAUCGCGUGUGAAUGUGCUGUGAGGUUUUUCAUCGAUUAUGAAAACAAGAUCUGCAGGGAUUGUGUUUGGUUGUUCGUUUCCUUUCUCAGGGAAGGUGAUCUUUGUUCCCUUUUUCCAACCAGGUUUGAUAUCAAUGGUCAGGAUUUCCUGCACUGGCAAUGUCUUCCUGCAACACAGUCAAAUUUUUAAGACAACCUUGUUAGCAAGCGAACCAUCAUUAUCAGGCAUGCCACGAUCUUAUCUCGUAUAGGUAUGUUUCUAAAUAACAUGUACGAAAUAUGAUCAAGAUAAACUCUUCAGCUCUCUUUUACUGCUUACUUAUAGACUAAAACAGAUCAAUUAGGAAGUUAACAAAUACGUUUCAAUAUAUCAUUGAAAACCAAUAAUUGAAUGAUUAAUAGUACUGCAAACAUAUUUCAAUAAAUAGAUACUUCUUGUUACUUCAGAAAGAUAUCAACCAAAUUCAAUGAACGUUCAGCUGGAAACUCGAGAACACAUACAAAAAGGAAGAUAAAAAGUCAAAUUAGUAAAGUGAGACAUACCCGCUAGCAUCUGCAAUUUCUCUAGAAAUCUUCAUCUUCUUUGUGGUUCCUUUAUAUAAAUCUUCAAGGCUACAAGGCAACGUAUUUUCAAUAGGAGGAGGUUUACGAGGAUUCUGACUCAUUGGCCUUCCUUCACCAAACGAACUGAAUAUAUCAUCACCAAACAUACCACCGAAUGACCUCGAGCUACCUCUCAUCCCACUGCCGCCCAUUCCCCCAAAGGGGCUAGAAUACCCAAAGAACUCGGCAAAGAUGUCAUUAGCAUUUCUGGGGUUGAAUCUGAACACAUUUGGACCAUCUCCGGUUUGGAAAAAUGUUGCUCCACCAGGUCCGCCAGCAUCUUGCGGUGGUACUUGGCCUUUUAGCCCUUCUUCACCAUACUGGUCGUAGAUAGCUCUCUUCUGUGGGUCACUCAGAACCUGCAAACAUGAAAGUUGGUCAUAUUUUCCUCUUAAAUUUUGACUUCCUGUAGAUGUAAAGAUCAAACUUUCAAUUGAUGAGAUGGGCAAUCGCAUAGUUUGAAUUGAGGAGACCUAGGUGAUAAGCAUGUGAUUUUGAAGUCUCAAUAACCAAAGAGAAACCACCAAACUUGAUCGAUGAUCAUCCUGAUUAUUAAAUAAAAGCAACCCAAUUUUUCCUUUGAACUUUAAGAAUCAACAACAUAAAUGAAUUUAUAAAAAAAGAAAAAGAGAUAAGCUAACCUCAUAAGCUUCAGAGAUUUGCUUGAAUUUGGCCUCAGCUUCCUUUUUGUUAUUUGGGUUCUUAUCAGGGUGCCACUUCAUGGCAAGCUUCCUAUAAGCUUUCUUCAAAUCAUCAUCUUUUGCAUUCUUGUCAACUUGUAGAAUCUUGUAAUAAUCUACACCCAUCUUCUUCUUACUCAACCUCUGCUUUUUUUCGCAGAGCUUCUUUAUUCGUUGCUGUAGCUUUGCCGCAGAAAAGAUAAAAAAAAAUGAAAAACUUGUGAGCACCUAGAAGAUAGAGUUGUGUUUGAAGUGGUUUAGUGUUUGAUUUAAGGGAAAAGAAGAAGAUAUGUCUGGAAGGCAAAUGAAAAUGACGAGAAGGGUGUCGAAGUUUCCAGAUAAGCCCAAGGGGCUACACGAUUUCUCCCGAUUUUGUGUUUCUAAUUUCUAAAGCAAACAAAACUACCUCUUCCUCGCCUCAUUGAUUAGUUUUUACAGUUACAACCCCAAUAGUUGGACCUGUUCUUGGCCCUCGCCUCUCCCGCGGGUAGUAACUAUUCCUACACCCAUACAGACGAAUCUUUCUAAUUUAAACCUGAUCUACUCAAAUUAAAUAUAAUUUCUAAAAUAAAAUUAUAAAAUAAUGUAAAUACUAACAACACGUUUGGUUCGCUGUAUUAGAUUAGAGGCAUAAUGGAAUAGAGGUGUAAUGGAUUAGAGGUGUAAUGGAAUAGAGGUGUAAUAGCAAAUCAACUGUUUGGUUGAAUGUAAUGGAAUAGAGGCGUAAUAGUAAUCUUGUGUUUGGUUGAAUGGAAUAGAGGUGUAAUAGCAUAAUGGAAAAAACUAAAAUGACUAGAAUACCCUUAGCAUAAAUUUGUUUUGGUAAAUGAUUAUUGUUAUUGUUAUUUAAAUUUUAAUAAGAUUAUUAUUAUCAAUAUUAAAUAAUUUAAUCAUAUUUAAACAUAAUUAUUAUUAAAUAUAUUAUAAUUAAAAUAUAUAAUUUAAUAAAAUUCUUAAUAAUCAAUAUUCUUAUAUGAAUUUACUCAAAUCAUAAUAUAUGAUACUAUAAAAUUUACUAAAAUCAUAAUACAUAAUACUAUAAAAUAUAAUUUAAAAUAAUUAUUAUUAAAUAUAAUUUAAUAAAAAUAUAUAAUUCCCCCCACGUUAUUUGGAGAUACAGGAUACGAAACGAAUUAAUUGUUUGACUAAUCAAGGGACUGAUUUUGUCUAGCCAUAAAAUAUAUCAAUAUAUAUAUUUAUGUAAUGAGAGUUUUUCAUUUACAUCCGAGUUUAAACUUUUAAUGGGAGAAAAAUUAUCAAAUUUAAUUAAACCAAAAAAAAAAAACUUUAAUGAGAAAAAAAUUCCAAAAAGAUCUAACUCUGCAAAAAGAAAUAAAAUAUCAAACUGUUUUACUUAAUUAAUCAGAUUGCUUUGCGUUGAGAUCUUAUUUAUCUUUCAAUUUCCAGAGCUAAAAUAGAUCAAGAGUGCUGAAUUAAAUUCCUCGUUCAUGAAAAGUAUAGCAGAGAUUACUGAAGUUACCAAAAACAAUUAAAUUAAAAUACAGUAUUUAAAACAAAUGGCGACAAUAGAUCAAACGAUGCCAUUAACUAUUAAGUGCUUAAAGAACACCAUAUCCCUCAGAAAACAAUACAUUAGAAAAACUAGAAUUCCAUACUGUCUUAAAAAGUUCCCAACAACAUGACAUGACAUGAAAUGAAAUGAAUAAACACCAUUUAGAAAAGAGAUGUUCCCUUCCCCUUCUUGUCGCCACCAAUUUCAAAAUGCUUGCACCUCUGCAACAACACAAGACACAAACACCAACACAUUAGCUCAUCAAGCAAACACAUUGGUCAACAAAGGUUUUUUCUCAAUGCACAAACCUUGAUUGGAUGCUAGGAUACAUGCUUGCAACCCUGGCAUUGCAGCCUCAGCACAAUCUUCUUGGUGGUCUUGGCCUAUUCAAACCAUACAAUGCCAUUAAUAUUAUAUAACAUGCUAGGAGUCUUGACAAAUAGCAAUGAUCAGAAUGACAAAAUGAGUUAACACUUGGUACUAACUAGUACCAGAAGAUGCAACAUAAGAUAUUAGAUCCUCUCUCGGUGUAUCAAGAAAUAGCAAUAGCUAAACAUCCUUUACUAACUAGUAUCAGAAGAUGCAGCAUAAGAAUUCUAGAUAUUUUGGUUAUAUAACUAAACACCAAGCAAGAUAUAAAAGACAAGUGAAGAGGAAUUACCUUCUUGUGGAACACUGGUUUGGUCUGACCACCAUAACCUGAUUUUUUUAAGAAAAUUUCUACUGCAUUUUUAAUGCCAAUUUGAUGUUCUUAACCAACUUCCAUUAAACAUUUACAAGAAAAAGGGAGAGUCGGCUAUUAAUUAAUAAUAACCAAUUAAAUAAUCAUGCAGAGCUUAGUUACGCAAUAUUUAUUGCGUCAUUAGGGAAUAUAUUGACCUAAGCAAACCUUGUAUUCAUCAAGCUAAGGCUGAAGAUAUCUAUGCAUUAAUUUCAACCCCAUAGUGUGGCAUUGAAAGGGUUCUGAGCAUGUUAACAGACUGAUUUGAUUAUUGAUGCAAGAACGAAAAUGAUAAGAAUCGGGUUGAAAAACAGGUAGUAUAAUCCAUGAACAAGCAACAGAAUGUGAAUCCCAUGCUGCGAAAUGUAAUAAGACAUGUUUUUGCAUGGGAUAAGCAAACCAGAUAGCAUACAUAAACCUUAAGACAUAACAUUGCAACAAAGUAUAAUCAUCUAGGCCUAUUGAAUAGAGGUUUGAUUCUACAAGAAUGAAUAUGGUGCAACUUUACGACAAAAACUUGAUUGCGAUUUCAAGCUGCAUAUAAAGCAAGCAAAGAAGCAGAAUUGGGUUCUAACUGACCAUAGUGCAGUGUCAUAGUGAACAUGUAGAAAGCUUCAUAGCUUCCAACUUCAUCCGGGUUCGAAAAUUAACAGCCUUAGCAUAAAAACAUGCCUAAUAUGCCACAAAAGUGAGAACCCUAUAGGCCUAGACUAAGGUCAUGCAACUGAAAGCUGCAAUAGAAGAAGCUGAAACCUAUACUAGAUGAUAAGAUAAAACUGAUAUACAAUUUGUACGAGCAACGGUAUAAACAAGUCAUCAAGUGAAAGCAUUACAAAUUGUUCUCUAUCAGCAAACAUGAAAACUUGCUCUAAUGAAAGCAUUGUUGCAAACGGUUUAAACACGAAAAUAGAAUAUUCGUUGCAACCCCAUGGUACAAAUAUGUUUCAAACAAAACCGAAUAGUAAACGGGGAACAAAUUCUGUCUUGCAAUGAACAUGUAAGGCAUAUAUCGAAUCGACGUAAACGACAUAAUGUAUGAAUUAUGAUACAAUAUAACAAAGGAUAAGCAAAACAAAGGAUAACCAAAGUAACAUGAAUACAAACAAGCAAAAUAGAAGCAAUUCAUUCAAACUUAAAUGGAAAUAAUUUAGCAUAUAUCAUCUAUGCUAGUUGAUCAAAUGGAAAUAAUUUAGCAUGUCAGAAGAGAGGACCUAACAUUCUUUAGGGCCUAAGAUGAAACUUAAAUGAUAUAUGACUAUGCAUGCCUGGAAUUUUAACAUUAUUUCUACUUUUAUGUUACUAAAACCUUGUCCCUCAGAGAAUUUUGCUCUUUUGAUCAGGUGACAGAAAGCAAAUUAGAUCAGUCCCAGCCUUUAGAAGACAAUUCUAACUCAAUUUCAAACAAUGGAAUGCACUAAAUCGAAAUUUUAAACUAAAUAAAUUUAAAACACUAAUCAGGAAACAUAGAUAAACAUCUGAAGCGUAAAAAUUAAAGGAAAGGAGACAAGGUAUUCUCACUGGUAGUAGAGGCGCAGGCGGCGGUGCUGGAAGUUCAAAUCUGUGAAAGUGAUGAAAUUUUUGGGUCCUGAUAAAAAAAAGAGCAAAAACGUAUGAGAAGAUGGAGCUGAAGGCAAAAAUCAGUUUUAAGUUUACCUCUGCAAUCAAUGGAAGGGAAACGUCGGAGAGGAUGAAGCUUGAUAAGGGCAGAAAAAGAUUACCUCCCUUCCCGCUACUGUUUCUCAGUCGUUGUAAGAAGCGGAAGAAUGGUGAAGCCCUUUGGCUGUCAGCGUACCUUUGGCUGGAAGAAGAUGAAGGCGAAUCGAUUUGGCUGGAAGAAUAUGUGAAAACGUGAAGGUGAAUCGAUUUGGCUUGAUUUGAGGAUAUGAAAUCGACGGGAAAUUUUUGGGGAGAAGAAGGCAGGUUAUUUUGAUCUCAAAAUUAAAGAAGAAAACGGUGAAUAGCUAUUACAAACUAAAACCCAGGAAUACCUAUUACAGCUGCUGAGGGAAUAGGCAAGGAAUAGCAAAACCUCCGAUUAGGUAAACGGCGAAACCAAACGGCGUAUUAGGUGGGGCCACCGAAUCGGGGUGUAAUGGAUUAGCCAUUUCACCCAACCAAACAUGGUGUAAAUACAUAUGGUACACCAACUUAUGGAUAAUAAGAAAAUUUUUAAAAAUAAAAUUUCAUCAAUGAAUAGAUUUCUUUUUUGGUCAAUUACGAAGAGGGUAAAGCCCUAACAACAACACAAUUAAUACAACUUGAACUCAAGUCACACUUAGGAUGAUGAACACCUUAACUAUUAAGCCAACACACAAGGUUCUCAAUUGAUAGAUUUUUAAAAUAAAAGCAUUUGUAAUCAUCAAUAAAUCAUAAUAACUUUUCUCUUUUUUCUUCAAGUCAUUUGUUUUUUUGUCUAGUGAUGGUGUCGGCUUCGGAGUUAACUAUCGUCCACUUUUUUUUCCCUCACAUCAAUCAUUUUUUUCUUCUUUCUUUUUUCUUUUCAUUCACAUCAUGUGUGUUUUCUCUUUUCAAUUUGCAGAUCUAUUUUGUGGUAUAUUUGCUCUCUUCACAAGUUGUGAUGGACAAAUGACGGUGUUUGUUGUCAUUGAAAAUCCAUCGACUACUAGCAAUUUUUCUUGAAAAGUGAGUGACUCUCCGUCAAUUUCAAAAUAAUAAAUGAUUUCACAAAUCGGUUUGGAUCCGUAAUGUCUUGAGUUUUAUAUGUUUUUUUUCGUUGUUUAAUUAGUUUUCACGAAGUUUUUGUUUGCUCUUAUAACACAUUUUUUACUCUUGCUUAUGCAUAUAGUCUUACUUUUGCAAGUGAUUUUAAGGAUGGUUUUGUCGCUGUCCUCUUCUAUUUGGUGAAUGCUUGGGUAUUUUGUUGAUUUUUGUCCACCGCUUUGGACCAUCCGGUUGAUUUCCUUAUCAUAUUAAGUGCUUACAAUCAUAAUUUGUAACACCCCUUACCCGAGACCAUUACCGGAGUCGAGCUCGAGGCAUUACUUUACUUAACUUAAAAAUUCGGGGCAUAAAAUUUUACUUUUGAAAUUAAUUUCACUAUUCACAACAAAGCUGUCCACCUGCGCAGCAGUUACUAAUUUAGUUAUAACUCGAGCUACGAAACCAAAAUUUAAAUCUGUAAAUUUUCCCUGAAACUAGACUCAUAUGUCUUCUUACCAUAAAAUUUUCAGAAUUUUUGGUUCAGCCAAUUAGUACAGUUUAUUAGUUAAAGUCUCCCCUGUUUCACCACUCGACUAUCCUGACCUCUUGUCACUAAAAAUAAGCUUUCUCAUUGUAGGAAUUUCAUAUGGUGUUAUAAUUUAUUUCUACAGAAAAUAGACUCAAUAAGGAAUCUAGAAAUAUAAAAUAUAACUCAUAAACAUUUUUGUAAAAUUUUUAAUGAUUUUCUAAACUCAGAACAGAGGACUCCAAAAAUAGUUUUGACCCUGUCUCACUAAAAUUCACAUAUCUUAAAAUAUAAAAUUCAUUUUGCUACACCAUUAUUUUUAUAUGAAAGUAGACUAAAUAAUAUUUAAUUCUAUAUAGCAUUCACUUUCUAAUUCAUUUUAUACUAUCCUAUGUGAUUUUUCAAAUUCACGUCACUGUUGCUGCUUGAAAUCUGUUUCUUUGCAAAUUUUUCUCUUUCAUGAUUUCUAUGCAUGAUUUAUCACCUAAACAUUUAUAACAACAAACACCUUCAUACUAGCCAUUUUAACAAUCAUUCAUCAUCAAAUACUUACAUAUCAUUCUUUAGAAAAAUCAUAAAUACUAACAUUCAAAAUAACUAAGUCCCUAUACAUGUCAUAACCCAAACAUGGUUCAUCAUAAAAUACCGAGUUGUUGUCGUUGAUAGUGUGGACAAUCUCCGACGUAUUUAAGUUCCCGAAAGUAGCUCUACAAUACUAUAUGAGAAAGAAAAAUAAAAGAAGUAAGCAUAAAGCUUAGUAAGUUUACUAGCAAAUAAAUAACAACAUUUAACACUAAUAAUUAAACUCAAAUGUCAAGAUCUCUAGUUUACUCUUUAUUUAAUCUCAUUCUCGUUCUCUUGCUGGUUUACUAAGUUAACUCAUGAUCGUAACUUAUUCUUCUCUUGCUGAAACAUUGAGUACCAAUUGAUAAUAUAGUAAGUUCUUAACUCUUAUAACUCAUCUGAGCUUGCCAUUUAUGCUUUUAAAUGAACUUUCAUUAACAUGAUUCGUUUACUAGCCCGUUGAGCCACGUUGGAAUAAUAAGGAUACUUGGGUCUUUUCUGAUAGUAACAUGUUAAAGCCAUGUCCCAAACAUGGUCUUACAUGGGAUGUUCUUAUAUCGGUGCCCAUGCCAUGUCCUAGACAUGGUCUUACGGGGGACCUUUCAUCUCGGUGCCAAUGCCAUGUCCCAGACAUGGUCUUACAUGGGACCUCUCAUCUCGGUGCCAACGCCAUGUCCCAGACAUGGUCUUACAUGGGACCUCUUUACCCAAAUGUCAUGGCAUUUGUAUCUGAUACAUUCAUCAUGUUUCAACGGGGCUUUUUAACACCGAUUCACUGUCAUCUCAUACUUGAGUCAACAUUAAAUAAAUUCAUAAAAUAAAUGCAUAAUUGCUGGAAAAUAACAAUAUUAAUAAUAAUUAUUGAAAUAUUGUAUUUAUUUACCGUAAACUUACCUCGGUACAAAAUAUAGCCAAAUUCACCAACUUAGCCUUCAACUUUAUUCUUUCCUUUGUCUAACCUCAAGUUUCAUUCUUCUUGAUCUAAAAUAGCAAAUUUAACUCAUUUAAUACUCACAUUUAUCAAAACAGCCCUCAACUCUAACUUUGGAAAAAUUACAAUUUUACCCCUAAACUUUUACAUAAUUACAUUUUUUCCUCAAGGCUCGGAAAUUAAACUUCAUCUCAUAUUCUUAUGUUUUAUGACAUGCUGAACAUUUUUCCCUUCUAUGGCAACAUAAAAUUUCUACUCUAACACUUAUAAACAUUAGGUAUUUUUACUGAUUAUGUCAACUUACUCGUUUUCACUUAAAAUCGCUUAGCAAAAGUUGUUUAACAUAAUUUCUAGUUUCAUAUUCCACCAUAAAACAUCAAAAUAAACAUAUUUCACCUAUGGGUAUUUUUCCAAAUAUGAACCCUAGGUUAAAUUAUUGCUAGAAUAGGCUAAAUUAAGCUACAGGGAUCUUAAAAACGUAAAAAACAUUAAAAACGGGGCUUGGGAUCACUUACUAUGGAGCUUGGAAGCUUGAAAACCCUAACUAUGGCUUCUCCCAUUGCUAAAUUUGGCCUAAUGAAGAAGAUGAUCAAAAAUUGUCUUUUAAUUUUGUUUUUAAUUCAUUUUAAUAACUAAAUGACUAAAAUGCCCUUAAUGAAAAACUUUAGAAACAUGCCUAACCAUGUCCAUUUUUGUCCACCAACUUAACCAAUGGUCUAAUUACCAUGUAAAGACCUCCAAUUUAAAAUUUCAUAACAAUUGGACACCUCUAACAUAUAGAACUCAACUUUUGCACUUUUUACAAUUUAGUCCUUUUGAUUAAAUUGAGUGCCCAAACGUCAAAAUUUUUGGAUGAAAUUUUCAUGAAAUCUUUCCGUGAAAUUGUAGGCCAUAGAAAUAUAAUAAAAAUAAAUUUUUCCUCAUCGGAUUUGUGGUCCCGAAAUUACUGUUUCGAUAACCUUAAAUUUGGGCCAUUACACAAUCACUCCAAAUAUGUCGUGAAAGUAGUGACAGGGUCAAUUGUCAAUGUGUCUACUGAUGCUGAUGUUAAAGCUUUUGUUGUGUUGAUGGAGCUUAUCCUUAAUCAUCUAAGACCAGUGUUUAUUUUUUUUCCUGAAUUGUAUAGUUCCAGUCAUUAAAUGAAUUAAUGAAUUUUCCUUUUAAAAAUAAACUAUUUGAUUUUUUAAAUAUUUUUAUUAAAAAUUUAUUUUAUACUAAUUUUAGGGAAAACUACACAGAUAGUCACCCAACUAUAAAAAUUUUCAUUUUGGGCAUCCAAAAUAAAAGUUUGCAAUUUAAGCACUCAUGCUAUAUAGUUCAGUCAUUUUGGUCACUCCCGUUAAAAUCACAAACGACAAGCUAACUUGAUUGUUAAAAAAUCGGUAUAAUAAUAAAUUUAGCCCUCAACUUUUAUAUAUUAUAUCGUUUUAAUCAUAAUUUUUAAAAAAUUAACCAUCGAAAUUUAUAAAUAUUCUCAAUUUGAUCCUAAUUCUAAAAAUUUUAAAAAUAUAUAAAAUACAUAAAUAUUUUUAAAAAAAUAUAAUAAUAAAUAUAUAGAAAUAGAAAUUUGAUUGUUGACAAAAAAUUAUAUAUAAAAAUAAAAAAUAUAUAAAAAUACAUAAAUAUUUUUCAAAAAAAUAUAAUAAUAAAUUUAAAAUUUAUAUUAGCAUUAAUAUUAAAUAAAAAUAUUUAUAUUGAUAUUAAACAAAAUUAAAAACCCUACCUCACCCCAUCCUUCUUCCCCACACCCUAUAUAUAUACUCCACUAAUCUCUUCAUUUUUUUUGUCCCUUUCCUUCGGACCUCUCUUUCCAGCAAUUGAAAAACAAAUAAUUUCCAUGUUGGUUUUAUUUUUUAUUUUUCGAAUUUUUUUUAUCUUCUUCUUUUUGUCUUGAAAGGGUAGUCUUUAGUUGGAGUCAUUAGAUUCCUAUGUGUUCAACAAGUGCAAAAGGAAGAAAGAAAAUGAACUAGUGAUUGUAGAAUUCAACUAAAAGUGUUAUCUUGGGUGUUCAUUAAAUGUUCAUUGUUAAUUAAUAUUCUUGGAAUGAUGCUUUAUCUAAAGCCUGAAGCUUUGGAUGAAGACCAUCAUCCUCAAAGUCCUAUUGUCCUAAUAGUAAUACCAUUAAUGACAAUGAGAAUGAGAAUUGCAAUGGUGGUAAUAAUGAGGUUUUAUUCUACCAAUCAAUUGGUAUGUCUUUAUUUAUUUUUUACUUCUUUAUUUAUGCUCAUGUAUUUUUUUUUUAGUUUUGUUAUGUUGAAUGCAAUAUGGUUGAUAGUUUUGCUGUGGUAGCUCUAUUAAUAGGUAUUUAUAAUGAAAAAGUAGUAAGGUUUGGAGCAAGUCAAUUUCACCUGGGGAUGAAUCUUAUAACUUUUGUUCUUAGUUGGAGGUAAUUUGCAAAAACUAAUUUUAUGUUCCUUAAUUUUCAGCAAAGAGAGAGGGGGGGGACAGUGGUGGGGCAAGGUUCGGUGGGGGAGGGGGAGGCGGGUUUUUAUUCUAUUUAAUAUAUUACUUUUUCUUGUCAACAGUUUAAUAUUUUAUCUUUAUAUUUAUUUAGAAAAAAUAUUUAUAUAUUUUUUAUUUUUUAAAAUUAGAAUAAAUUUGAUAUUAUUCGUAAAUUUUGAGAGUUAAUUUUUAAAAUUAUGACUAAAUUGAUAUAAUUUGUAAAAAUUGAGAGCUAAAAUUUUUAUUAUACUAAUUUUGUUAAUUGCUACGUCAACUUGCCGUUUGUGAUUUUAACAGAGUGACCAAAAUGACAAAAUUAUAUAAUAUGGGUGCUUAAGUUAUAACCUUUUUACUUUGAGUGCUUAAAAUAAAUUAUUGAUAAUUAAGUGACUAUUCGUAGUUUACCCUUAUUUCUAAACACCAAAUUAAUCAAAUUGUUUUUUUUUAAUCAUAGAAGAAGAAACACAUAAACAAAAUAGAUGCAAACACAUAAAUAAAAUAGAUGCAAUUUUUGGUGUUAUAACACCAAUAAUAUCAACACCAAGUUGAUCAAGAAGAUAAUAAUAGAAAACACUUUGCAAUGUUUGUCCCCAAGCCAUCGAUUCUAAAGAAAGUUUAUUACCCUCCCUGUAAACAUGUUGGAUAACCACAUCCCACUCCUUUAAAUAGUCCCAAUCUUUUCAAAUUAAAUUGAUCUCCCCAUCUUUAGCAUUGUUGGUUAGUACGUUUACAACAUCAAUACUGUCCACUUCGAGAAUCAGUCGGCGUUGUCCACUCCUCCAAGCAAGUAUUAACCCUUCAACCACAUCCCACAUCUCUGCUUCCCAUAUUGAACAUGAGCAAUGAGUUUAGAAAAUCCAACAACCCAUUCUCUAUUCCAAUCCCGUAUAACACCCUCAGAAGCAGACACACCAGUAAAGGACUUAUGAGCACCAUCAAUAUUCAACUCGUACCAUCCCAAAUCAGGUUUCCUCCAGUUAGCUGACUUCACAUUCCUCGAGUAGCUGCUUAUAAUACUAUUAUCAGCAUACUCCAUCGCACCAAUACAUUGUUGCUGCAAUCACAAACUCCUUUCCGAUACCGAUUCAAGCUCUACAAAAUUACCAUAAAAAAUGAAUCUAGUCAUACGCUUCCAUAGGUUCCAACAUAAUACUCCAACUAGCACUAUCUCGAGCAAAGUAACUAAUAUUAGAAAGAUUCUGGUUCACCCAUUCAAGAAUCUGCAUAGUUAUGAAUUCAACAAGUUUCUUCUUCCAAACCAACCAUUUCCAAAUGACUGACGCUACGAUACAUCCACGAAGCACAUGGUCUAAAGUUUGAUGGAUGGGUAAAUAACACGCUUCUUGUGUUGAUACCAAAGCUAAAGAGUCCAGAAAUUGUCCAUCAACUAAGGCCUAUUAGUUUGUGCAUAGUUCUGUACAAGAUAAUUACAAAGGUAAUUGUGAAUUGAUUGAAACCGUUUAUACUGAAAUGGGUGUUACCAAACUAAGUGAGUUUUGUGCCGGACAGGAACAUUAUAUAUAAUAUUAUUAUUGCUCAGGAAAUUAUACACACGAUGAUGAGUAAGUUUGGGAAGAGAGGAUGGUUGGUGAUAAAGGUUGACUUGGAAAAAACCUAUGACCGGUUAGAGUGGAGAUUCAUCGAGGAUACUUUACUCGAUAUUGGGAUUCCGACCAAGUUAAGAACUGUUAUUAUGCAUUGUGCUAGCUUGGUCUCAACUUGGGUGGUAUGGAAUGGGAAGGUGACGGAUACUUUUGCUCCAUCUCGAGGUUUUCGACAAAGUGAUCCGUUAUCCCCUUUUCUUUUUGUUUUAUAUAUGGAGAGGCUAGUUCAAACUAUUUGUAAAUUGAUGGAUUUGGGUCUAUGGAGAUAAAUUUUUUUACUAGAAAUAUCACGAGCAUCUCACAUUUAUUGUUUGUGGAUGAUCUCGUUUUGUUUGUUAGGGCCUCAAUGGAACAAAUGAGUAUUAUUUAUCAAAUUAUCAAUGAUUUUUGUGCUUGCUCGGGCCAUAGAGUGAGUGUGAAAAAGAUGAAAAAUUUAUUUUUUGAAGAAUGUUGAGGACAACCUCAAACAAUAAUUGAGUGAUAUGGUUUUGCAUGAGUGAAUGAUCUUGAAAAGUAUUUGUGUAACAGCUUAAUUUUCAGUGGUGUCGGAAACAAUGACCUUAGAUCACUAAAUCUGACCAGUGAGUUUUAAAAUAUAAUAAAUAAAUAAAUAUGAGUCAAAUGUGAUUAUAGAAGAAUUUUGGAUUUGUGAAUUUUGUGAUUUAAAAAGAAAUUAAUAAGUAAAUUGGGUCUAAAACGAGGUAUCAAAACCUCAAACUCAUAAAUUGAGCCAUAAAUAUAUUUAUAAAUAUUUAUAGAGUGUUAUUGAUUUGAUAUUAAAGUUUCGUUAGAAAAUUCUAACGUUUGGAUGGUCAAUUAAUUAAAAAGGACUAAAUUGAAAAUAGUGCAAAAUUUGAUAUAUUAUGAUUAAAUAGCUUAAGUGACUAAUAAGGAGGGAUUUAAAAGGUAAGAAAAUCAGCAAGAAAAUAAGGAGAAACAAGGGCAAAAUUGGAAAUUUUGCAAAUUAAACAUAUAAAACAAAGACAAAAUUGAAAAAUCUAUAGAUUUCUUCAUAAUUCAUCAGAAAAAACGCCAUAGGAGGUCUGAAACAAGCUUUUUUCUCAUAUUUUUAUACCAUGUGAGUUCAAUUCUUCUUUUUUCUUUGAAAUUUUUAUGUUUUGUUACUUUUACAACUAGGUCCAACUAUUGAAUUCAUUAGUUUUUGAUUCCAUGGGUGAUUUUGCAAGUUACCAUGAAUAAGUGCUGGAAGUUUAUGAUGAAUUAUCAUAGAUUUGAAGCUUUAAUUUCAUUAUAUUAUGAUUUUAUUAAGUGAUUUUAGUAUAAAAUGAUUUUUCAGACCUAAUUGUGAAAAAGCUAGGAAUUGGGAUUUUGAACUGAAAUUCUGAAUAUAAAGGGUUGUAUAAUAGCCUAAAAUGAUUAGAUAAAGUGUUAUUUGAGGAAGAAUUAGUUUAAUUAAAGUGUUAAUUAAGUAGGGACUAAAUUAUAAAAACUAUAAAUUUUGAGGUAAAAGUAUAAUUUUAAAAAUUGAAGGGUAUAGAUUGCGAAUUAAGCAUACAUUUAUAUAUAAAGUACUCAGUGCUUAGUAAGUUCGUAUAACAGAAAUUAACUUACCAUACAUUUAUACAUAAAGUAAGCAUACAAAAUGCAUCCAAAGCAAUUUGGCCAUUUGCCUAACACAUAACUUCACCAGGCAUGUUAGUCUUUCAUUUCAUGUAAAUAUCAACAAUAAAAAUGAGCUCAUCAAAUAUAAAAAUAUAAUCUGAUGUAAUUAAUGUAUAUACGGGUAUUGAUUAAUCUUGAUUUCAUAUGUUCUUAUAUCAGAAUUUCACCCGUUAAUUUAUUUGAAAUCUUGAUGGAUACUUAGGUAGUACACCUGAAGUGUACAAUAAUAUAAACCCGUCAAUUCAUAUCCAAGAGUGCUUUUAUGAACACUUAAACAGAAAGCUCUCUCUCAAGAACUAUAACGGGAAGCUCAUUGAGCCUUGUACAGGAAGCUUAUCCGGGCAAUAUAAUGGGAAGCUCACAAAGAGCCUAUAACAGGUAGCUCCGAAGAGCAAUUAAAGGGUAACACCGGAUAGCCAUAUAACGGGAAGUUUAAGCGAGCAGUAACGGGAAGCUCACAAAGAACCUUUAAUCGGGAAGCUCACAAAGAACCUUUAAUCGGGAAGCUCACAAAGAGCCAUAUAACGAGACACUCAUAAGAGCUGCAGUGUGCCCACAACACAUGUAAGGUCACAACCGAUCGGGAUGCUCCGAAGAACAUUUAACAGGAAGCUCGCAAGAACACUAUAUAAUGGGAAGCUUGAGAGGGCUUAUAACGGGACGCUCUUUAGAGCUACGAUAUGUGACACCCCCAACCUGUAUCCCUCGCUGGAACUGGGUUACGGAGCAUUACCGGAGUUUACAGAUCAAACAUACAGAAAUUUCAAACAUUUCAUAUCAUCAAAACAAGUCAUCAAAGCAUCAUUUUAAUCCAAAUUAUAAACAUAUCAAAUCUAAAUCAAUUUGCCUAGUUCAUGAGCAGUUAAACAUAAAAUUAAAUUCACAUGCAUCUAUCUAGAUUUAGUUCAAUUUAUCAUGCCAUAAUAUGGCUUAAAAAACAACUACAUAUUUAUAUGUAUAAAACCAACCAAAAUUAAACUUAUAACCUCAUUUACAAUCAAACCACAAAAUAACUAUUAUUUAGACACCCUAGGUACAUGCCGACACAAAGGAUAAACAUCACCAUAUUUGAAUUCGGGAUUGUUGUUGGAUGCUGAAUCGGUGAUCAAAAGUUAAGCACUUAACCUACGUACGAGAAACAAAACCGUACGCUGAGUAUAAACUCAGUGGUAUUUCUAUAAUCCGAAUAUUUAAAGAUAAGAAAUUACAAAUAUACAAUUGAAAUAUAAACACAUAUUAAUAUUUAAUUAUUACAAUAAUCAUAUCAUAUUUCAUUUGUUUCACAAAUAUCUCAAUUCUCAUACUUGCUAUAUAAAUAGUUUUCACAAUUUAUUUCACAUUUCAUUAUACAAUUGCAAUAUCCAUUCCAUAGUCAUUUCAUGAGUAUAUAACUCAUAUAUUCCAUAUAUUUGCAACGUAUUUCACAUUCUAUUUCCAAUUCACUAUUUCACUUCCAUUUCUCAUACCAUGCCAUUUCAAUAUCAAAUGCCAACUCAUUUACCCCUAUUAACACGACUCGGACUCGGACGGAUACAUGAAUCCAACCAAACACACCAGUUUGGCACCCAAUGCCUCAUCAGAUAAUUCGAAAUAUUAAUUUGACACCUAGUGUCUCAUCGAUUAAACUGAAGUAAAUUGGCACCCAGUGCCUCAUCGAAUUAAUUCAAAGUAGUAAAUUGACACCCAGUGUCUCAUCAACUCGAAGUCAAAGAAAUCCCUGAACUCUUCUAAUCUUAUGGCAUGCCAUCUAUAUCAGACUCAGCCCGAUACAAUUAAUAGGGUUUUAAAUUUACUUUUCAAAUACAACCAAUAUUCAAUUCAAUUCAAAUAAUCAAUAUAUUCAAUAUAUAUACCAAUUCAAUCAAUAUAAAUUUAAUAAAUUCAUCACAUAUUAAAUCAAUCCAUUUCAAUUGCAAAACACAAUAAUUCUCACCUCAACACUUACCAUAUACAUUAAAUUAAAAAUACAACAAUUAAUAACUAGUUUCGGAUUAUAGAAAUACAAACCAGGAAUUCCGAACUAUUCCACGUCGACUUUAUCUUUCCCCUUUUUAGUUUAGGAUUCUGGUAUGACGUUAGCUACGGAAUUAAAACAAUUAAAAUUCAUCACUAUAAUACAAUUCAAUUUCAUAUUGCAUAUUUCAAUUUUUACUCAACAUUUGUCUAGAUUCCAAUUUAGUCCAUAAACCGAGACUAAUUUAUUUCUUAACAAUCAAUUAUAUAUUUUUAUUCAAUUUCCACUUUAAAAUAGAUUUAACUCUUUAAUUUCACUUAAAUCCCUAAAUUUUUAAAUUUUCACAAUUUAGUCCCUAUUACUCAAAAUUUACAAUGUAUUCUACAAUCCAAUCCUUUUUCACUUCUAACUUAAAAAUCUAUCAAUUUAAUCCCUAAUAAUAAAAUUAUUCAACAUUAACAACAUUUAAAAACUUAAUAAUUUCUAAAAUUUUGACAUGGGUCAGGUAGUAUUUAAUAUCGGGAUUCCAAAAACAUAAAAAUUACAAAAAAAGGAUUAAAUUGACUAACCAAUUAAAUUUGGAACUUUUAAAACCUUAAGGCCCUUCGUCUGUUUCUUUCUCCUUUUUUUUUCGUUUUGCUUCUCUGUUUCGUUUCUACCUUUCUAUUUCUUUUUCUUUCUUUCUUUCUUUUUGUUUGUUUUAUUAUUAUAAUAUAUAAUAUAUAUACUUAUAUAUUAAGUAAACUUAUUUUAAUAUAAUAUAUAUUAAAUUCACAUAUAUUUAACUUAUGCCGCCUCACCUAAAGAAAAAUGACAUAAUUUUGUGAAACUUUAGGGGUAAAAAUGUAGUUUUUCCAAAGUAUGAUUUUUGGACUAAAUUGAAUAAUGAGAGUGUUAAACAAGUUAAAUAUGUUAUUAUAAAUCAAGAAAGACGAGAAAUUGACUUUGAUCAGUGAGAAAGAAAAGUGAGAAAAAGUGAAAUUAUGAAAAAGUACAUUUAGCAACAAACAGUUUAGACAGCAACAGUUGUGUGACUUUGAAAAAUCACCAAAAAUGGUGAAAAUUUAAUUAUAGGCUGAAUAAUGUAUGAAAUUAAAACUUAAUGAGUCUAUUUUUACAUAAAAGAGACAGAGAAAGCAAAAGAAUUUUAUAUUAUGAGAUAUUUGAAUUUUAGUGAGACAGGGCUAGAAUGAUUUCGAAAUCUCAUGUUCUGACUUUGGAAAAUCAUUAAAAAUUGUAAAUUAAUAAUAAUGGGAUAAAAUUUAUAUGUUUAGAACCCUGAAUGAGUUUAUUUUCAAAAGAAACAAACGAUAACAUUAUCUGAAUUCUGUACUAUGAAAUAAUUAAUUUUUAGUGAAGAAGGGUCAGACCUGUUGAGCAGUGAAACAGGGGAACUUUAAAGAAUAAACUGCACUUAUUGGCUAAGCCAAAAAUUAUAAAAAAUUUAUGGUAAUAAAAUAUGUGAGUCUAGUUUUAGGUAAAAUUAUCGGAUCUUAAUUUGGAGCUUGGUAGCUCGAGAUAUAAAUAAAUUAGUGACUCUGACUCUGACUCUGACAAACAGUUUGAAUUUACAUACAAGAAAAUAGUGAAAGUAUGGAUAAUGUUAUUUAAGUGUGUUAUACACAUUAAGGAUGUGGAAUGGAGAGUAGGAGGAGGAAAAUUGGAAAAUAUAUGAAUGAUUUGUGUAUAAUUGGCCAUAUGCUUGAUUAUGAUUGAUAAACGAUGAAAUAGAAAUAAUGCUUAUGUUUGUGCAUGAUUGGUCAUGGUUUAACCUCAUGUGGGAAAAUAAAGUUUUAUUGUAUGUGUGUAUGGUAUAUUUGGAAUAUGAUUUGGCUUGAAGUAAUGUCAUGAAUGGUUUAUGAAUUAACACAUGUUGGUAAGUUUGAUACAUGAACAAAUGUUGUUUUCAUCCAUGCUUAUAAUGCUUAUGCUAUAUGUUUAUUUGGGUUCACAUAUUUGGUGUACAUGCUUAGGCUUUGGCCAAGUUGUGGUUGGAUUAUGCCAUGUUAAAAUUAUAAGUUAUGCAUUGAGAUGGUAAGUGCCUAAAUGGAAAUAUGCUUGUGAUCAUGACAGGGGUGGUAAGGUUUAAAUUAUGUAAUCUUUAGUGAAAUGGUUUAUCAUGUGGUUAGUUCCAAAAAGAAUUAUGUUUAAAUGCAUUAACUUGCGACUAUGGUUGAAUGAUAUGUUUAUGUCUUGUGUGAUAUGUAUAGGAAACGGGUGUGGAAAGGUAAUGAAAUAGUAAGUUCAUAUUUGAAGCGAAAAAUGACGAAAAAAGGGAUGAUGAGUUUAAUUGAUGUUGUUAUUUAAGCUAAAGUGAUAUUUUCAUUGCAAAAUUGAGAAUUUCAUAAAUGUGUUAAUGAAUGAUAUAGUCGAUAAAUGUUGAGUUAAAUGGUAAAUAUGUAUUAGUAUUGAACUUACUAAUAUUGAAUUGUACGUGAAUUAAAUGGAAAUUGCUAGUGAUAGGAUUUGAAUUGUGAGCAUGAAUAAAUUGUGAAUUGAAUAAAAAGAAAUGAAGCAUUGAAUUGCAUGAGUAUGUAUCGGGUCUCGUAGGCCCUAUUUAUUAUGAUUAUAAUAUAUUGAGGAUAUAUUGUGAAGAAUUAUAAAAGUAUGUUAAUAAUUUGAAAGUUUUAAUUUAGAUGAAAUUUUAUAACUCGGUUCAGUACGUUUACAAGUGUAUGUGUUCUGGUAAUGCCUCGUACCCUAUUUUGGUGUUGAAUACGGGUAAGGGGUGUUACAAAAAAAAUAUUUACGAGUCUAAUUUACGGGAACGGAGUCCCAGGAAUGCACUUUUUUUAGUUUGAUCAUUUUUAAUUAAUUAACCAUCGAAACGUUAAAAUUUUUUAACGAAACUUUAAUACCACCUUAAUGACACUCCGUAAAUAUUUAUAAAAAUAUUUAUGGCUCAGUUUAUAAAAACAAGGUCCCUAUACCUCAUUUUCUAAAACCACUUGAACUUAAUAAAUCACUUAUAUAACAUAAAUUAUCAAAUCAAAAACUUUUUUUUAAAUCACAUUUUACUCGUAAAUACUAAAUAAUAAUAUUUACGAACUUACUUGUCGAAUUUAUUUGCCCCAAAACCACUAUUUUUGACACCAUUGAAAAAUGAGCUGUUAAACGGUAUGUCCGCAACAUAUGCAGGACCACUACCUUUUCAGGAAACAGAACCUUGUAUCCAAUCGAAUUUCAUUCAUUCAAACGUGAUUUAACAUUUAUCGGGUAUUUUCCGGAUAUAUGAUUAGAUUUCAUAUACAAAUCAUUCAAAUCAAUUCGAACAUAUAAUUACACAAUUAAGUUACACGAACUUACCUCGACAAUGUUCAUGAGUCGUAAUCUACCAAUCCGUUACUUUUCUUUACCUCGAUCUAGCUCCGUAUUUUGUCUUUUCGGAUCUAUACGAGUAAAUUAACUCAAUUUAAUACAAUUUCAUACUCAUUUCAAUCCAAUUUACAUCUUAGGAAAAAGUACCAUUUUGCCCCUAUACUUUUGAUUCAUUCCAAUUUCAUCCCUAGGCUCGAUAAAUGAAAUUCAUGCAAUUUAAUCCUUAUUCCAAGAUCAGUCAAAUUUUACAUGUAUCAAUAGCAGCCCAUGUAUUUCACAAAAAUUAGAAUUUUUCCAUGAAUUUUACUUUUUUACAAUUUAGUCCCUAAAUCACAUUUUCAUCAAAAUUCCUUUAAGAAAAGUUGUUUACCUAUCAACAACCUUUCAUUUUCUACCAUCAAAGUUCAUAAUUCAACUAUAUUCAUCCAUGGAAAAAUCCUAGAACUUUGAUAACUUUGCAAAUUAAUCCUCAAAAUAGCUUAAUUAUGCUAUUACAAUCUCAGAAACAUAAAAAUUACUAAAAACGGGACAAGAAUUCAUACCUAAUUAAGCCAAGAAAGCUUGAUUGAGAUAUUUUCUCUUAGCUAGGGUUUCCAUAAAAAAAUUUGGGAAAGGUGAUGAUAAAUGAUGAUAUUUUCUUUAUUUAAUCAUUUAUCAUCUUUUAAUAUCUUUUAUUUCCAAUUUCAUCCUUUUCUUUAAUUAAAUUUCCAUGAAUGAAUCAUCAUCCUUAUCUAUUAACUUCUCUUAAUGGUCUAUUUGUCAUAUAAGGACCUCAAACUUUGAAUUUCAUAGCUAUUUGAUACUUAUAGCUACUAGAACCCAACUUUUGCAUUUCAUGGAAUUUGGUCCUUUUAUCAAUUAAACAUGUAAUCGGUAAAAUUUUCUUAACAAAAUUUUCAUACGAUUUUCUUAUUAUAAUUUAGACCAUGAAAUAAAAUUAUAAUAAUUUUCUUUUCGUAUUCAAAUUUGUGGUCCCGAAACCACUGUUCUGAUUUCACUGAAAAUGGGUUGUUACACUAUUAAAGUGUUAGGGUUUUUCCAUGGAUGAGUACAGUUUAAUUAUGAAGUUUUAUGGUAGAAAAAUGAAAGAUUGUUGAUAGAUAAACAACUUUUCGAAAGAGAAUUUUGAUGAAAUUAUGAUUUAGGGACUGAAUUGAAAAAAUGAGAAAUUUAUGGAAAAUUUUUAAAUUUUGUUAAAUACAUGGGCUUCUAUGGAUAUGUAUGAAAAUUAAUUAGGCUUGAAAUAAGGAUUAAAUUGCAUGAAUUUCAUUUUUUGAGCUUAGAGAUAAUUGUAAUUAAUUAAAAGUAUAGGAGCAAAAUAGUAAUUUUGCCAAAGAUGUGUACUAGAUUGAAUUGAAUAUGAAUGAUAUUAAAUUGAGUUAAAUUCAUUCGUACAAAUCCGAAUAGACCUAAUACGGAGUUAGAUCGAGGAAAAGAAAAAGUAUUAGAUUAGUAGCCUACGAAAUUGUGAACAUUUGUCGAGGUAAGUUCAUGUAAUUAAAUUGUAUAUUUGUAUUAUUUGAAUUGAAUAUUGUUGUGUGUGUGAUUUUUAUAAAAAGCCAUAUAUAUUAUUGAUCACAUAUUCGACAAGUACAGAAUCCCGUUUGAACCUUAGACAUUCAAUGGAUACAAAUGAUAUGUCAUUAGGUUUCCGGAUUGGUUGUGGUCCUACAUGUGUUGCGGACACACCACAGCUCUUAUGAGCAUCCCGAUAUUUGGCUCUCACGAGCUUCCGAUUAAUGGCUCUUAUGAGCUUCCCGAUAUACAGCUCGAUUGAGCUUCCUGUUAUACAGCUCACAUGAGCUUCUCGUUACAUGGCUCAAAAGAGUUUCCCGUGUACAUGCUCGUAUAAGCAUACCUGUAUAUGAAUUGAUGGAUUACAUAUUUGUACACCUCGUUUGUAUUACCCGUGUAUCCAAUGAUAUUUUAAAUGGUUCAACGGGCUAAGUUUUGAUUUGAGAUAAUAUAAGUUUGAAACGAACUAUUACCCAUGUAUACAUGAAGUACAUAGAAAUGAUAUUACUUGAUAUACUGAAGCAUGAAAUGAUUGUUACAUGUAUGUGAAACUUGCUUGAUGACUUUGUUCAUCCAUGAUGAUGGGCUAUUAUAUGUGUUUAGGCUUUUGUCCAAGUUGAUUUGAAAUAUGUUUUGUAUGCUUACCUUAAAUGUAAUUGAAUGGUAAGUUAAGUUGUUAUACGAACUUACUAAGCGUAAAUGCUUACUCUAUUUUAUUUUCCCUGUUUUAUAGUAACUUGGAAGCUCGUUUUGGUUGGAAGUUGGUCAGAGGUGAUUCGCACUAUCCAUAGGCCUUUUUGGUACAUAUAGUAAACUAAUUUUGGUUAUAAUGGCAUGUAUAAGUUAAUUUGGCCAAUGUUGGCAUAAAAUUAUCUUGUUUAGACUAGCCAUUAGAGUGGCUUGUGUUUGAUAUAUUUUGAGAUGUAUAUAUAUGGCCUUAUCAUGAUUAAUGUGUGUUUGGUAUGGUUGAGUGAUGAAUAAUUUAUAGGCAUAUUGAAGAUUGGUUUGAGAUAGUAUGUUUGGUACAAAUUUGCAUAUAUGUGUAUUUUGUUAAUUUGGUAAGUUUGGAUACUUGGAUAUAUGUGUUGAAAUGUCAUGUAUAAAACUUGAUUUUGGCUUGAUUUGAAUGUCUUGUUAUGGUUUGUUGAUGUCAAAAAAUGUUGAGAUGGGUUGAUGACAAAUUGGGUGAGAAAUGUGGCUUGAAAAUGACUUAUUUUUGUCCACACGGGCAGAGACACAGGCGUGUGUCUCAGCCGUGUCAGGUGACACGGUCGUGUGUCCCCUGUAUCUUUUAAAUUUUGCAAGUCAGUAUGCUCACACGGCCUAGCACACAAGCGUGUGGUUUGGUCGUGUGACCUCAGUCAGAGAGUUACAAGGGCACGGACACGGCUGUGUGUCCCUAUUUCGAAUGCCUACACGGCCUGAGACACGGAUGUGUCUCUUGACCGUGUAAACGACACGGCUUAGCCACACGGACGUGUGUCCCCUGUACCUUUGAAAAAUUUUAAUAUUUUUCAAAAAAUUCUUUGAAUACCCGAAUUAGUCCUGACUUGUUUCUAAUGUAUGUUUUGGGCCUCGAGGGCUCACAUAAGGGAACAUUAUGCUUGAUUUCGAUUGGUUUUUGAUAUGAAUGCUAUAUGAUAUGAAAUAUCUAUUUAUUUGUUCUGUAAAUUUCGGUAAUGCUCUGUAACCCUGUUCCGGCGACGGAUACGGGUUAGGGGUGUUACAGAAUAGGCCAAGUAUGGGAGAUGAUUCAUCAAAGAAUGGUUUGGAAUAUUCAAACGGUGAAAAUUUUAAUUUUUGGAGGGAUGCAUGGAUGGUUGAUGUAACAGCCAGAUUUUUAGUGAUGUCAGAAAUAGUGGUUCGAGGCCCCUAAAUCUGCGAGUAAGUUUGUAAAUAUUAUUAUUUAAUAUUUACGAGUCAAAUAUGAUUUUUAAUAAAAAAGAUGCAUUCUCAAGACUUCGUUCCGGUAAAUCAGAUUCGUAAAUAUUUUUAAUAAAUAUGUACAAAGCUAGCUGUGUAGUUAAUUAUGUUUUGAUUAGGUGAGUUUGACUUAAUUAAGGUUAAUUAGAUAAAAGGACUAAAUUAAAUUGAUUGUGAAAGUUUAAUUAUGAAAUAAAAAAAUCAAGGGACUAAAUUAGUAAAUAAACCAAAAAUGUGACACUUGUGUGGUAAUAAUAAAAUACAUGUGUAAUAAAAUAUAUACAUACAUUUGUAAUAAUAUGUAUAAUUUACUUAUUAUUUAAGUAUAAGAUAUUUUAGAUUAAAAUAUUUUUAUAUUAUAUUAUUAUAUUACAUUAAUUAAUCAAAACAAAAUAAAGAAAUGAAAUAAAAAGAACAAAGGAAAGAAACAGAGAAGCAAAACGAAAACAGGGGAGAAAGGAAAGAAAAAGAAAAAAAGGGAAUGAAAGAAAGAAAAUUUGGGAUUUUAAGGUUCAAGGUUUGGUUGGUAAGCUAAUUUAGUCUAUUUUUUUAUAAUUUUGAUGUUUUUGGAAUCCCAGAACAAAAUACUAUUUGAUUUAAGUUGAAAAUUUGAAAGUUAGUAAAUUUUUAGAUGUUGUUCAUGUUGAAUUAAUUGAUGAAUUAGGGGUUAAAUUGAUUGAAUUUUUUAAAUUAGUUUAAAGUGGGAAUGGAAUGAAAAUAUGAAAUUAGUUUUCAGAAUAAAAGUUAGUCUUGGUUCAGCGACUAAAUUGGAAUUUUGACAAAUAUUGAGUAAAUAUUAAAAUAUUUAAUGUGAGAUUGAAUGGUGUUGUAUUGAUAUUUUUAAUUGUUUUAAUUCCGUAGCUUGCGACGUACUGGAAUUCUCGACUAAAAGGGGAAAAAAUAUAGUCGACGAGGAAUAAUUCAGAAAUCUUGUUUUGUAUUUCUAUAAUCCGAAUCUAAUUAUUAAUUGUUGUAUUUUGAUUAAAUGUUAUAGUAAGUGAUUGAGGUGAGAAUUAUUGUGGUUUACAAUUGAAAUGGAUUGUCUUGGUAUGUAAUGAAAUUAUAUUGGUUGAAUUGAAUUUGAAUAUAUAUAUUAUGAAUAUAUAUGUGUAAAUGUGAAAUUGUGCAAAUAUGAUAAUUGGAUUAUUAUAUAUAUAUAAAAUUCAGUUUUAAUGCCCAAGUAGACGGAAUUUAGAACUACUGGGAUAUUAGUGGCAUGUCAUUAAAGAACUUUAGCGCACUCUCUUAUUAUUAGCACGUUGGUGCUCUCUGAUUACUAGCACGACAGUGCUUUCCGUUUAGCACAUCUGUGCUCUCUGUUCAUUAGUGCAUAAUAAUGCACCUCUGUAUUUGUUCCGUAUAUCCGGUGUGUUCUAUAAAAUCUACUUUGGGAUAAGAAUAUGAGAUAGUAAACUGAAAAUAGAAUGUGAAAUAUGUUUUAAACACAUGGAAGACACGAGUUAUAUAUUCAUAAAUUGAUUGUGGAAUGGAUAGUGCCAUUGUUUAAAUGAUACGUGAAUAAAUGAUGGAAAUGUAUUACAUAUAGCAAGUGAUGACAAUUGAGUAUUGUGUGAUUUUAAAUGUUCAAUUGUGUUUAACAUUUUAUUAUACAUAUUUUAUUGUUUUAUUUUUUUAAAAAAAUUUGGAUUAUAGAAAUACCACUGAGUUUUUACUCAGCGUACGGUUUUGUUUUCCGUGCGCAGGUUAAGUACUUAAGUUUGAUCGCUGAUUCAGCAUCCAACAAUGAUCCCGAACUCAAAUAUGGUGAUGUUUAUUUCUUUGUGUCGGCAUGUACCUAGAGUGUCUAAAUAUUAGUUAUUUUGUAGUUUGAUUGUAAAUGAAGUUAUAAGAUCUAUUUUGGAGAGUUUAUAAUUUGGAUUAAAAUGAUGCUUUAAUGACUUGUUUUGAUGAUAUAAAAUAUUUGAGAUUUCUAUCUGUUUGAUCUAUAAUCUCCGGUAAUGUUCCAUAACCCAAUUCCGACGAGGGAUACAGGUUGAGGGUGUUACAGUUGACAUUAGACCACUAAUUGAUUAAUUGGGUUGAUAAGAGGAAUAGUGCCAGAAUCAUAUAUGGGUCAGUGGCUUCAAUGGUUACACCAAAUGGUGAUUGAAAUUGGAGUUUAUUGGAAAAUGCUUUACCAUGUAAUAUUUUGCUUAAAUUAGCAAUAAUGCUUUCGCCGGACAAGGGGGCAAUGUAGAUUAUUUGGCUUGGAGAUAGGAUGCUAAUAGGAGAUUCACUAUCAAAUUGACCUACUCAAUGGCGUCAAAUAAUUUAAUGGAAGGGUGCAAGAAUGGUGGAAACCAGUAUGGCAUUUCAGAGAACCCUAAAGAAUUCGAAUUUUCUUAUGAUUAAUGUGCUUGAAUAAAUUGUUAACAAACAAUGAAAAGAAGAAAAAGCAUAUGAUCAUUCAGGUGUGAUGUGUGCAAAAUCAAUUUAUUUUCUAAUAUAAUAUUAGAUAUAGAUGCAAUAUCUAUAAAAGAAACUAUAUAUUAAAUUUUAUGUUCAUAUAAAAAAUAAAUAUGAUAAGAACAUAGACCUAAAAAUUAAUAUAUAAUAAAUUAUAAAACAAUUUACUACAUUUAUUAUUAGUAUUUAACAACAAUGAAGGUAAAAAGAAAUUACUUAAUUAAUCUCUCGUACUAAUAGCAUCCUUGAAUUUAGUGCGUCGUGAUUAUGGGACAAAUCCAUCCAUCUUGGAUUGGAUAACCCCCCCCCCCCAACACAUCAACAAAAUUUGUUGGAAAAAGAUAAAAUGAAAAGUGGGCAUGGCAUGCAGUGCACGUGAUAUUUAAAAUGUUAAAUUUACUAACGUGGCGUAUAUUUAAACUAGAUCUCACGGUUAUCAACUCACCUCGUUUUCGCUUCCUACCAUUUUUAUUACAUUUUCACGAAUCUGUAAUUUUAACUAAUUUUCCUCCAUCUUCUUCAAUGAUUAUGUAAAAGCCUGCAAAAUCUCAGUUGUCCAGUACAAUGGCUACCCUCUCCUUUUCUCCCCUCAAACCAAACACGUUAUUUUCUUCUUUUCUGUUCCCUUCUAAAAACUUAUCCUCCCGACCAAUUAUCUAUACUCUUCCUCAUCGAAACACUCCUCCACUCACUUUCUCUGCUGCCAAACGCCCUCCCGCCGCAUCCGCAACCAAUUCAUCCUCUUCCGUUACCGUCGAAACCGUCUCUCCUGAAAAUGACGCCAACUCAACCGUUUUCGUCAUCCGUGCGCGUAACCGUACCGGUCUCCUCCAAGUUAUCACGCGCGUCUUCAAUAUCCUCGGUCUUAGCGUCGAGAAGGCCACCGUAGAUUUUGAAGAAGACUAUUUUGUCAUGACGUUCUUCGUAACCGAUUCCCGCGGCAACAAGAUCGAUGAUCAGAAGAGCUUGGAAAGUAUCAACAAGGCCUUGAUCGACGCAAUCGACGGUGACGAUGAUGCCGCCUUGUCUGUGGCUCCGCCAGAUAGAGGGGUCGUGGUAAGGAAGCCUCGGUUGGAUUUUGGGGAGAGGAAAGGCCAAGCUGAAAGGAUGCUUGGAUUGAUGGAUGUUUUCUUGAAGAACGACCCGAUCAGCUUACAAAAGGAUAUUUUACAUCACGUUGAGUACACGGUGGCUCGAUCGCGAUUUAGUUUCGAUGAUUUUGAAGCUUAUCAAGUAAGAUUAAAGUUUCGUUGUUGGGUUGAGAACGAAUUUUGACUUCCUUUUUAAAAAUUUGGCGGGAAUGUAUGGUAUAACUUAAGUGCGAUUGUUUAACAGGCUUUGGCGCACAGCGUAAGAGAUCGGUUGAUUGAACGUUGGCAUGAUACUCUGAUACAUUUCAAGAAGGAAGACCCAAAGCGAGUUUACUUUCUUUCGCUUGAGUUUCUUAUGGGUAUACUUUCUUACCGUUAUGAGCCUUAUAAUGUUUGGUCUAAUUAAAAUGAUGGAUAAGUUUAAGAGCUCUCGAGAAGUUUGGUUAUGCUUUCUGUUACUCUCCUAGCACCUAUAGUUUAUCAAAUCUAGAGGAUCUGACUUUGGUUUCUAUUACAAGUAGAACUAGUUUUUGAAUUCACAUGUUAUUCUGGAUUUUCUUCAGUGCUUUAAAUAUCAUUCAUGCUAAACAACUGUAUGCAAUUUAUAUUUUCAGGGCGUUCGUUGUCAAAUAUUGUCAUCAACCUUGGAAUUCGCGACCAAUUUGCAGAUGCUUUAAGCCAGCUUGGUUUUGAUUUUGAAGUUUUAGCUGAACAGGUUAACUUGACAUUCGAUUUUCUUCUGUCCUCCUUUAUUGUCCUAAUCUUAGAUUAUUAUUAUUAGCAUAUCACGAUCCGGAAAAGUAAUUGUUUGUUUGCGAGGAGAAUUGAAUACAUCAAGUAUAUUUAUUGGAGAUCAUGUUGUGUGGUAGUCGGAGAUUUGAAACUAGGUGAAUCCAAUGGAUGGCCAUAUUCUUGGGAACCUAGAGCCACAAAACUGUAUGAUGUUAAGGUGUGCUCGUCCUUUCGAAACAGCCUCUCCUUGGAAUUAGAGCUCGAGGGAGAUCUCUGUUUGAACAAGUUAAAACUGAAUUCUUAAUCAUGUUGGAAGAAAGCUUUUCUUAUAUAUAUAUUGUACACUCAGAUAAUUAUUUACUUUCCUCUUUAUCUUAUUCAUUAUGAUAUUCUAAGGAAGGAGAUGCUUGCCUGGGUAAUGGAGGCCUUGCUCGUCUUUCAGCAUGUCAAAUGGAUUCUCUAGCAACUUUGGACUACCCUGCAGUGGGGUAUGCCUCUAUUCUAUAUUUUUCUUGUAAGAUUUGUGGAAGCAUUUCAAGUUAAAAGUAAUACAUAUAAGUCUUCCAUUAAGUAGGGGUACUGAAUCAUUAUCCAUACUGGCUUUGAAACCAAAAUGGAUUAUGGACCGUGAAGUUGACUGCUUAUCUUCUAAUUAGUAUUAGCUUAUUUAUAAUCUAUGCUAGUUUUCCUUUUUCAAAAUCAUUUAGCGAAUUCUUGCAUCAAAAUCAUGUCAUUUAGUUCAUGCAUAACUUGUAUAUCCUCAAACGAGUAUUGGCUUUUAUGUUUAAUAAUCUAAUUCUAGGGGAUUGUUUCUGCAGCUAUGGAUUACGCUACCAGUAUGGGUUGUUCCGUCAAGUUAUAGUGGAUGGAUUUCAACAUGAACAGCCUGAUUAUUGGUUAAAUUUUGGAAACCCUUGGGAGAUUGAGCGAGUUCACAUAACAUAUCCUGUAAAGGUUUGUAAGCACUUAGAUGUGUUCAAUUAUCUGUGGGAAUAUUGGAUGUUUGACUUUAUCUUUCUAUUCUUUUGCAAUUCUGUAUUGUUUACUAAACUUCUGUUCACUAUGUUUUUGGAUGGUAAAGUUCUAUGGGACGGUCACAGAUGAAUUUUUGAAUGGAGAGAAAUGUAAAGUUUGGGUUCCUGGAGAAAUGGUAAGGCUGUAAUUCUUUUCAUAAAUUGAAGCCUAGACAUUUGCAUAAAACUCUUUAUCCAUUAUUUAUACUCAUGGGCGAUGCAUGAUUUAAAUGAGUGCUAAAUUUAAGUGAAUGUGGUUGGCUUUUUUUAGCUUAGCAAUAUCUUCAUAUUCGUAGGUUGAAGCUGUGGCAUAUGACAAUCCAAUACCUGGUUAUGGAACAAGGAAUACCAUUAAUCUUCGCCUUUGGGCUGCGAAACCAAGUGAUCAACAUGAUAUGGUAAUUUCGACAAAGUCCAAUCAGUUAUGCAUGAGUUCUAUGCACACUUAGGUGGAUUAAACUAAAGUACGAAGAUCUGGCACAUAAAACUAAUUCUUAUGAUCUAGAUUCGCUAGAAAUGCUAUAGUUGGACUGAGCUAACAAUGCUGAUUUGGUAGCUUAAAACAUAGUCAUAUAUGCAAUCAUGUGUUUUUUUCUGUACGGAUCUCUUCUAUAUCCUACCCAUCAAGCUCUGCUUAGACAGCGAGGGAUUUGGAAAUCUUUUUGAAUAAUUUCUUUCAAUUGUUUUGGCUUAAUUGUUUUGAAACAUGCUUAAUCCAACUGAAGUGAUAUCAGUUAUUUGCUGUUUCAAUGUGCUUGUUUCUUUUAUCUUUCUUUUCUUUUUUUUUUCUUUAUUUCACUAUUUGCAUUUUGGAGAAUUAUAUUUUGGUGAGAGCUUAUGUUAGUAAGGUUAGCAUCUAUCCUGUCUUGUAUAGUCUUUGAGGCAGGUAUUUGAUGUCGGUUCUAGAAAGAUUUGUUAAUUAGUAAGAAUUUUGUAUAUUUCAGGUAUUUUGUUACUUUUAGUUUUAGAGACUUUAAUUUUUUGUAGGUGUUAUUUUGGAAAAUUCUUUAAGAUUCUGAUUUUUGGUUUUGUAUGAUAUUUAUUGCCAUACAUGCUUAUGGAUUCUUGUUAGUAUGCGACCUUGUUAUGUCUCAAAUUCUUGGGUUUGGAGCAUGGCAAUGCAGGAGUCUUUUAACACUGGGGAUUAUGUUGAUGCUGUAGUCAAUAGACAGAGGGCAGAAAGUAUUAGUAGCAUACUAUACCCCGACGAUCGUUCUUAUCAGGUGUGAUUGCUUUUCCUUAACUUGAUUGGUUACAUCAAGAUUAGAGUCUGCCUCAUCAAUUUUUUCAUGCUUCGUCUUCUAAAGUUUUUACUGCAAUUGUUUGAUUUAUGGGAAAUUAAAGGUACUUAGUCGGAGAUUAUUAAUGUUGCAUUCACUGAAAACUUGGUUGAAAUGUUUGCUAGGGGUUGAACAAAUAUGUUUCUUUGUCUUUCUGUAGAUCUACAUUCAUAUUUCUUUUUGGUGGUUUCUUUCAGGGUAAAGAAUUGCGGUUGAAACAGCAAUAUUUCUUUGUAUCCGCGUCAGUACAAGACAUCUUCAGAAGAUUCAAAGACACUCAUAAAAAAUUUGAUGAGUUUCCAGAGAAGGUUCUUAGCUGCAUGUUUCAUGUGUCUAUUAGUGCAGAAGCAUAUGUAGAGACACCUCAAAUCGGAUUAGUUUGUACUGAUCUGAUCAUGUAGUGAGGUGACAUGCCUUGGUUCUACCCUCCUGAAUCUUGUGUAACAUAGCUGUUCUCAAGGUUCUCUCAGGUUCUCAAUGUCACAUCCUUAACAAUUGAUUUGCUUUCAGAUGAUGGCAGUUGUGAGAUUUGAGUGAGGAAUCUUUCUCUAUACUGAGAAGGAUUUCUUUCCACUUUUAUUAUCAUCCCUAGGUUGAGUGCUGACUGCUGCUUGACUCCUGUUCUGUCAACUCCAAUUGCAUUUUAUAUAGGUUGCACUGCAGCUGAAUGACACUCAUCCAUCUCUUGCAAUAGCUGAGGUGAUGAGAGUGCUUCUGGAUGAAGAGCAUUUAAGCUGGCAUAGAGCAUGGGACAUCAUAUGCAAAAUAUUUUCGUUCACAACUCAUACUGUAUCACCUGAAGGACUGGAGAAAAUUCCUGUGGAUCUACUGGGCAACCUUCUCCCUCGACAUUUGCAGGUGUGUUUUGUUUGAAUUUUGCAAUGUACUUUCUUCUUUGAUAAAGUUUACCCGUUUCUUUGAAUUACUUUAUGUGAUUGAAAGCCUAAGUAAUUCUACUGGACAAGAUUCAUCUUACAAUAUUCUUUCAUUUAUAUCUGAUGUCAUAUGGUAUAAGCUUCAUCUUAAUAAUUUUCUUAACUACAGCAUCGUGCCUCCAAGGUACAGAAGCAUGCAUGUGGUUAAUUAUUAUUUUCCGCAUAACUCUUUCCUGUAUUACCACACUCCUUUAGAUUGUAAUUUAUUAGUUUGAUUGGUUGUCAACUUGUUUCGUACUAUUUUAGAAAAUUGCUCUUUUCAGAUUAUAUAUGACAUAAACUUCAACUUUGUGGAAGAGUUAAAGAAGAUGAUUGGUUUAGAUUAUGAUCGGCUGACCAGGAUGUCAAUUGUUGAGGAAGGUGCUGUGAAGGUAUAUAUCUCAAAUUUUAUGGGUUUCUAAAAUUUAUAUUGUGUUGAUGGAUUGCUAGAAUGUUAUGAAAAUUGAAGUCCAUAACCAUCCCUUUUGUCAGAAUAUUCGAAUGGCAAAUCUAUCAGUUAUUUGUUCUCAUACCGUGAAUGGUGUCUCCAGAUUACAUUCAGAGUUGUUGAGAACAAAAUUAUUCAAGGUAAAACUUAUAUUUGUUUUUUCCUGCUUAAACGUUGCCUUUCCUUGUAACAAGUUUGAAAUAGAACUCAGCUUCGAUGAAUGUCUUUAAUUAGUUGAUCUUAGUUGUUGUCUAUUAAUGCUUUUCAGGACUUUUAUGACCUAUGGCCGCACAAGUUUCAAUACAAAACUAAUGGGGUGACACAGGUUUAAAAUAAGUAACAGUUUUUUCAGUACAUUAACUUACUGAUAGGUUAAGUUGUUUCCUACCUGUAAAUAAAUUUUAGACUUGUUACUGUGAUGCUGUGAUGCAUCUUGCCCUGAUAACUAAAAGUACGCGAAUAAUUUAAAUUCACCUGCUGUGUAGUUAUUUUGAUCUCUUAAUAUUUGGUUUCUCAGCGUCGCUGGAUUGUUGUUAGCAAUCCUAGUUUAUGCGCUCUUAUCUCAAAAUGGCUUGGAACAGAAGCUUGGAUCCGUGAUAUUGACCUUUUAAUAGGCUUGAGAGACUAUGCAACUAAUGCUGAAUUGCAUCAAGAAUGGAAGAUGGUACUUUCAUAGUUGGCAUGCUUCACCUUUGAAACAAAACAUAUCAUUGGCUAUCUCAUUCAUUUAUUGUUAACUAUUAUCUCAUAGGUUAAGAAGGUCAACAAAAUAAGGCUUGCCGAGUACAUUGAAGCGAUGAGUGGUUUGAAGGUUUUGAAGAAAGCUAUAGUUUUUGCACCUACAUUUCUUUUUCCAUUUUUAAGGAGCUCUGAAAUGAUGUAAUGUUGGUGUGCAUUAUUUGUAAUGGGCAGGUCAGCUUGGAUGCAAUGUUUGAUGUGCAGACAAAGCGAAUACAUGAAUAUAAGCGGCAGUUGCUUAAUAUACUUGGCAUUAUCCAUAGAUAUGAUUGCAUCAAGGUUAACACCAUCUUUGGCUGAAAGAGCCAUGAAAACUUGUGGAAUUUAUCAAAUGCUUCUUUUUAUAUGCGCCUUUUUGAAUUGUCCGUGUAGCAAACUAACAACAUAGGUUUAAGUUAUUACCAUCCUGUUGCUGGAUGUUUGCAAGACCAACAAUUCCUUACUCAUUGUAAUAUGAGUUGAUUAACCAUUUCCUUAACCAUCAUCUUUUUGGCUUUGCAUAAAGAUGUUUAAGUAUUAGAAAUUGUACAUAUUUUCGAACAUUGUAAAAUAAGUUAAAAGAAUGUGUAACUCAGAGGUAUCUUUGCUCAUGCUAUUCUCAUUUGGUGCAGAAUAUGGACAAGAAUGAUAGGAAAAAUGUUGUACCACGGGUCUGCAUAAUUGGAGGAAAAGCUGCUCCAGGAUAUGAAAUUGCAAAGAAGAUUAUAAAACUCUGUCAUGUUGUGGCUGAAAGAAUCAACAAUGAUAAUGAUAUUGGAGAUCUUUUAAAGUUGGUAAGCUAGUAUUUAUUUUAUCUAGAAGUUCAAUGGAACUCUGAAGCGUGUAUUGUUUACUCAGAAGGGUGAGUAAUUUACCCUUAAAACAGAUAUAAUCAGCAACCAUGAUGAUGAAUUAAAGCUGCAAGGACCUUUAUAUUUGUCUUCUAAUAACAAAUCUGUCUUUCUAAGUCAUUAAGUAUUAUUGCAGGUCUUUAUCCCUGAUUACAAUGUUUCUGUUGCUGAGAUGGUAAUACCAGGGGCUGACCUUUCUCAACAUCUAAGGUAGUAUGCAUAAGUUUUGCACAUUAGAUGAUAUUAUCAAUUUCGUUAGCAGUUACAUUAUGUUUUGUAGUGAUUGCUGAUUGGGAUUUUUCUGUGGUCAACUAUUGGCUUCACUUAUAUAGAUAGAUCUAUUUGUCACUCUAAAGUUGUAUGCCUCCAUUUUACCAUUAAUUUGGGUCGAAAUAUUUUGGAAUCUUUUAGUAUUAAUUGUCAUUAAGCUUAUGUAUGAGCAGUUCAGAAUCACUAGGUUGAUGGAAUAAUAUAAUAUAAUAUAAUAUCCAGGUGAUUAAUUGGGGCAGAAUUAGUCUCUCCACAUUCUGAGCCCCGUUUUCCAGAAUUAAAAAAAAAAAAACCUGCUUCCACUCAACUUGUCUACUUCUGAUGUAUACUUCUUUUACUUUCUGAUCCAGCACUGCAGGACAUGAGGCAUCAGGAACUGGCAGCAUGAAAUUCUUGAUGAACGGAUGUUUACUUUUAGCCACAGCAGACGGUUCUACAAUUGAAAUGGUUGAAGAAAUAGGUCAGGAUAACAUGGUAAGUGCUAAAUCAACAGUCAUACAAAUGAAUCAAGGUAAAAGUACCAUGAAGUCCUCUAUAUUAGGAGUCAGAUUGUAUUUUACCUCCUCUACUCAAGAAAUGAGCAAAUUAGUCACUCUACAUUAGAUCAAAGAGCAAACUGGUCCUUUUAUAGAAAAUUUCAUCCAUUUUUGCUGUUAAAAGUUGGUCUCUGUACGUUAGCAUGAGGUACACAUGGCAUGUCACAUGUCACUGUCUAGUUAUUUCAUCAAUCAUGCCAGUUUUUAAUAGUACAAAAGAAUGAAAUUUUUAAUAGAAAGGACCAAUUUGCUCUUUAAUCUAAUGUAUAGGGACUGGUUUGCCUAUUUUUUUAGUAGAGGAGGCGAAAUGCAAUCCAACUCUUAGUACAAGAGCCUCCAUGGUACUUUUACAAUGAAUUAACAAUAUUAGUUGGAGUAGAUUUUGAUAACAUUUCUUUCAGUUCCUGUUUGGAGCAAAAGCGCAUGAAGUUGUUGCAUUGCGCAAGAAAGGACCCACUCUUAAAGUUCCUCUUCAGUUUUCGCGUGUUGUAAGGUAUUAUACCCCUUCAUUCUACGUAAUGUAUAGCUUUAUCAGUACGUUGCAUCUUAGUUUCUCUGUAAAGGAGAGUAUAUGUAUCCUUGCUUUUCUUAUACAGAGGUAGAGUUGAUUUAGAUAUUAUUGGUUUAAAUUUCAAGUGAUUUGAGUGGCAUUGUGUAACUAUUAUAUGUAGGAUGAUCCGAGAUGGUCAUUUUGGAUUUGAAGACUAUUUCAAAUCUUUGUGCGACAAGAUAGAGGGCACGAGUGACUAUUUUCUUCUUGGUGCCGAUUUUAUGAGCUAUCUAGAGGCCCAGGUAAAUAGUUGGUUUUCCAUCAGUUAGAAAUAAGAAUGCCUUGUAAAAGGGAAUUGCAUUUUAAUUGUGGACUGUGUUGAGAUGAACAGGCAGCCGCCGAUAAAGCGUUCGUUGAUGAAGAGAGAUGGACAAAAAUGAGUAUACUUAGCGCAGCUGGCUCUGGGAGAUUUAGCAGUGAUAGGACAAUCCAAGAGUAUGCUGAAAACACUUGGGACAUUCAACCUUGCAGAUGUCCCUUUUGAUUUGGGAAGUGAGAGCUACUCGAAAUAGAAUGAAGCUCUCGCAAUGUCAUGUGCGGGGCUUCUCUAUUUAUUAAUAAAAUAAAACGAAUUGAAUCGAAUAAAAUUACAAUGAAUAAUAACAAUGUUUCUAAAACUAAUAAUAGAAAAUAAUCAAAGCAUUCAAAAAUAUUUGAGUUGGAGCUUGACAUAAAUAUUGUUGUUGAUAGGACCUUAUAAAUGUUUAUUUAAAAAAAUUCAGACGGAAACCUAUUGCAAACUUUUUUGCCCAUUUCAAACAAUUUUGAUUUUGGACGAAUUAUAAUAAUUUCUUCUCUUUUCCUUUACCAGAAAGAUAUACCUUGUCUUUUUCGUAAAUAGAAUUAACUUUAUUCAACUGAUUUUUGUUUGGUUGUUCAUACUUCAUGAAAUAACAAUUUUCUCCUGGAUUCUACAAGCUUCGAUUACCCGCCACUAUUUCUGUUUACUUCUUCCGAGAAGAAAAAAGGAGGAAAGAUAGAAAAAAAAAAAAAGGUUGUUUAGAAGAGGCAGUAAUGGCGGUUAAUAUGAUUCUCCUUCCCUCCAUUUUCAGUUUUUUCUUCUUCCUCUUCUUCUUCUUCUUCUUCUUGUCACUCACAUCUCAAGAUGAACAAAGUAACAACCACAAUCUCUUGAUCCUUGAAUUGCGCGACUCCAAGCUCAAGAUCUCUCGUUUGGGUAAAAUUUCUUUUUUAUUUCUUCAUUGAUAAAUAAAUACCUUACUUAGAGUUUCCAAACAAACACUGAUCUUAACCUCGAUUCCUUGACUAUUGUAAAAUAUGGAUGCAGAAUCUGUUCUUGAAGAAAGAAUUCAAAACCUUAAUGCUAAAACCCUUUCUGUUAAGGAACACGGGAAAUCCCUCGAGGACAUGGCAAACAAGAGCACUUAUCUGCAGUCUGCUCUAUUUGAUCUUAAGGUUCAAUUCUUUCCUAAGAAGCUUUGCUUUUGUUUUUAGCUUUGUUUUCAUUUGUAUGUUACUCGGGUUUAUUUGGAUUGAAUGUCUUCUCCCUAUUGAUGUCUCAAAAUGAAAAAAAAAAAGGGGGGGGGGCUGCUUUUGAAAGCAGAAAAUUGAAUUGUGGUACGGUUUAUUCACUUAGUAAUCUUGUUCCAAAAAUACAUAGCAUAUUGACAUGUGAUUUUGCAAUUUCUAAAUGUAUAUAGCAUAUUGACAUGUUAUUUUGCAAUUUCUAAAUUGUAGGAUUAUUCAUUUCUUGCUGAUGAAAAAAGCUUAACGCUCUGGAAGAGGAGGUUCGUUUUAAAUGCUUCUAUAAAUAUAAUCGCUCUUUCAAACUUUUUUUCGUCCUAUUUGAUUCCUUGUCAUGUUUGUACGGGUGAGUGGCAAGAAAUAUUUGCUUUAGUGCAAUUCAACUUAGUACCAGGCUUCAUGAUCCUAGGUACACGGCCUUUGGGCUGUUUCGAGAAAGAACAAUUUUGAUCUUCAUGUUUUAGAGUUGAAAGCACAGGACGCCGAGGAUAGACUGGAAGCUGUUACUUCAUAAGUUGGAAAGGUUAGCAUUUACAUUCGUUAAUUUUGUUUCUGUAUAGAGACUCUGCUUGUAAAUGAUGAGGGCUUCGUCUUUGUUUUUUUUUUUUUUGGGGUACUAUUAUAAUAUGAGGUGAACCCUAAACCCUGGGGUGUCAACAAGAGAGCAUCAAUCACUGCUCCAAGGGGAUGUUGGUGAGGGGUUUUUCUUGUUUGUCAUACACCAUGACCAUCUAAUGCUGAAUGACUAAGCAUUUCUUCAUAUUAUAACGUUAUAUAAUCUAUAAUAAACUUUAAUGCCUCGUUUAGUUAUCUAGUGUAUUAACACAAGGAAAAGCUUACUACAUAAGUAUUAAAGUAGUUUGUCAUAACAUAUAGUGUAUAUUUAAACUUGAAAUUAGAAAGAUAAGUAGAACUCUAGUAAAAAAUAGGACCUCUUCAAAAUAAGAAAAAAAAAUUCUUUCUCAUUGCUCAAAACAAGUUGUGCUAGUGGUUAAAAAUUACCAUCUGAAGUUAGUUAGUUUGUAACUCAUGUACUAAGACAUGAAGAAAUAAUAUUCCUACCGAACGUAGCAUAAGAGUUUCAUCAAUAACUGCAAGAAUGCUUUAAGCACCUAUUUGCUGCUGUUCCAAUUAUUGAAGUUUGUGUUGCCUCAUUUCUAGAUUUAAAUAUCCUUGUUGGGUUGGGAGAGGUUUUGUUGGGUUGGUCAUCAGGUAUUAUGCUUUAGGUACCAGUCACUGGCUCAACGCUAAGCUGUAUUUCUUUAAAUGGAAGAGAAAUAUUAUAUCCUCAUAUUCUUUCUAAGUUGUUAAUGAAAAUGACCAUAUUUUAUCAGAACUCUUUCUUGGUUAUUUGAACUUUCUUUUGAUUGUUGAUGUGUAAAAGGCUUGAAAACUUGUUUAUUCCCUAUUGGUUUUAUUAUCUCUUGAUAUAACUAAUAUUGAAAUAAUUUGUAUUUUACUCACUCAAAGUUCCAUUCCCUUGCAUUUAGAUGGCAGAAGUUGUUACAGAACAAUGGGUUCAAAUUCAACAUCUUGAGCAGGCACUUCAAAUUGCUAAAGUAUGGUCUUAGGCCCUAAUGAUAUCAGUUAUUUGUUAAACUCAGGGAAAUUUGAAAGAAAAUGAAGAUAAAGGUUUUUCUCAUUAUAAUUAUCCUUUAUUUGCAUCAUUUCUUUGUGUUACAGAUGAGGGCAUUGCAAGCUCAAAAGCAAAGGAAUAUGAGAUGCACAUUCUUGAAGGUAAGAUAAUAAGUUGACAGUCUUUCAGACCUCUUCUUUUCCUCAGUCUCUGUCCCUUUAAAUUACUGUAAAUUUUAUCUUUGUAUAUCAAAGCAUCAGCAACAGUUAUAACUUUUAUAGUUCCUUUUAGUUAAGGAAAAAAUACUUUGUCAUAUGCUCGUGUUUCAUGUUAGUCAUAAGAUAAUCUAAUCUUGUAUGUGAAUAGUUCAUAGAUGGCAUUUCUGGAAGACAUCUCCCGAAGCCGUUCAAGGCCUUGGAUUCUUAUUCAUUGGGAAAAGGACCUAUCAUAAGAUACUACGUGUCUUAAGCUCUGCAACAAUUGAAAAGAUUUUACUCAGCAAUUAGAAGGUUUCACCCUGAGGUAUGUUUGAUACUGCAUGACUUUCUAGAUUCUUGUCUGAAAAAUAAUGGUGUCACUCUUGAAGGUCUUCACAUGUCAAAACUUACUUGACAUUACCUUUGUGAAGUUUCCAUUAAAAAAAAGUGGUCAAGAAACAUUUGAAUUUCAGUAUUGCGCUUGCCUCUAUCAACACCUCUUCCACUCUCCUUAGCAAUUUGACACAGAAGACUGUAAGAUAUAAUGGCUUCAAGAUUGCAGAAUCUCUUUCUUUUACUAAGUUCUGAAACUUAUUAUGGAAACUUUUGGUCUUUUCCAGCCUAAAAAAUGGAAAAUCGGUGGGUUGAUUGGUCAUGUAAAUAAGACCGAGUAUUCGUGGAAUUAUAGUUCUAUCAGCCAAGAAGAGUAUAUUAUGAACCUUAAACUAUGUACCUACAUAGACUUUGAACCUUAAUUGGCCCGUUAUCAGAUGUGAAUGUUGCCUUGAAUGAUAUUAACCAUACUUAACUUUUAUUACCAAGGCACUGAAAUUGCUUGUAAGAGAAGGAUAAUAAUUGUCUUGCACUUUCAACUUGAAAUUCUCUGCGUACAAUCAUCUCUGUUGGAUGUAUGCAGACAUGAAUUCUGCAAUCUUGUGCUUUAGUUCAGAAUAUUAUUUAGUAACAAUUCAAUUUCCUCCAAUGCACAGAAUUUGGCCUGCUUUACAAUUGAAGGAGUUAAAUUAGCAGCAUGUUAAAUUUCUUCCAUCUGUCUCCUUUGUGCUCAUCAGAGGUUCCAGUUUACAAGUUAAUAUGCAUUAGUUUUAGAAAAUAUUGGCCAAGUACAAAGAAGUAUAUCCCUUCCCUAGGAACCUCUGGCUUUCCAAGAAAUAAAUGUUUUCUGUUUGUUUGCAGUUGCAAGCUUUCAUCAAAUAGGAGAUGCAAAGAAAUGAACUUACUGCUGCUUUUGUCAAUGAUGAACUGGUAUUCUUUCUGGUAUGUUCUUGAGUACCAGCUGCCAUCUUCUGUACAUGAAGAUUUACUUGAAUUGCUGGUAUAAUUCAUUUUAUGGUAUUUCAGGCUUCUGCUUUCAUUACCUUCCCUAUACUGGGUUCUUGGAUGCUGCUUUUAACAUAGUUCAGCUAGGUGAAGAAAUCUUCUUUUAGGGGGUAGUGUCUUACCCUGAAAUAGUAGGUGACAUCCAAGCUGUUGCACUUUGUUUUCUCUGAUCUCUUUUACAGAUUGGUUUUUGAUAUUAAAAGGUGAAAGAAGAGUUAGACACAUUACUGCGUACAGCACCGGGUCAUUUUGUUGCCAAUGAGUCAAUUUUACAUGGAAGUAUUCCAGGGUCCAGAUCAAUACAGUAUGAUAUUCAUUGACCCAAAUGUUGAUUUUUGAGGCUUAAGAUAUUUGCAUCUAUUUGUAGCCUAAUCAAAAUUGGAGUCGAUCAUUGAAUUGAUUGUGUACAAAGAUACGCAGACAUUUACACACUGGGAGCGUUUCACGUCCAUGACAAUUUUAGUCAUUUUCUUUAAAAAAAAAUGUUGGGAUUUGAAUUUUAAAUCUUUUUUUCUUAAAAAGUUGGUUUCGGUAACGCCGUUGAUGAAACUAAAGAACAGCCGUGGCAUCCAUGAGUGAAGAUUAACUAUUAAACAAAAACAAAUGAGGAAAGUGGUGAGGAGGAAUCCCAGAUUUUUGUUAAAAGAAAAAGGAAAACGUGAAUUCAUUCAUGAUUCAUCAUCUCUCUGUAGUCGGUCAUCAUGAAAUCAACGUAAAGAAAGGCAAAUGGCAGGCGAUAUGGCAAUUCCUUGAUGAAGGUAUUUCAAGCCUUGCAAAAAAACAAAAACUUCCUUUGUUUCUUUUUCUUUUUUUUGUCUCCUUCCGAAGUCACAAGGCUAAUCCAUAAUUGAGACUGAAAAAAGCAAAAAUGGAAGAGUCGACAUGGGAGCAAAAGCUCCAGGCUCUAACCCACAUCCUAACAAGCCCCACAACCUCACCGCCUCUCCACUCUCAACUCUUCAUCUCCACACAAAUACCAUGUUUCCUCAACUGGGAUUUCCCUCCAAUUCUCUGCAAUAAACCCAACUCCCAUACCUUCCCUUCUCUCCACCUGAAAUGGGGAAUCUCUCUUUUCCUCAGAAGGGUCUCAAGAUUGGGUGUCCCCGAAACUUCCUGGAGGUCCAAGUGCCCUUACUAUCAGCCCCCACCACUGAUUCUGGCCAAGGGAGUGGAUGAAGCACAAUGGGUCGAUGCGCAAAAGCGAGAGUAUGUUAGGAAGAGGCUGAGAAGGAAACGCCUAGAAAGCCAUGUCCACCCUUUAAUUCCGAUUUUGAUUCCCGAUUUAUUAUUGUUCUCCCUGCUCUGGUUCAAUCCAUUUCCUCUUAAUGAUUCCUGACAAUUUUCCUUGUCUCAGAAUUGUAUAAUAAUAAGUACAUAACUCUUAUGUCUUAUCACUUCUCUUGUCAACGUUGGAUCAUUUUAUUUACUUUGGUCGAUUUCGGAUUUCUUUCUCGGUAGCACUGUUGUUUGCCUUAUCAAAAUCUCUACUCUCAGAAAUUUUUCUUUCUUUUAUAGAAGAUGAUGAUGAUGAUGAUGAUGAUGAAAAGGGGCUUAAAUUGAGGCCCCAAGUAAAUUAAUUAGAAGCUACAACAUCAUAAAGCAAAAUCAGUAAUAAAGAGUUCUGAUUCACUUUGCUUAAUAUAGAAUUUACCUUUGCCAGUUAAGCCCGCCUGUAAUUUUGGUUAACGUCUAAACAUGCAUUUAUUUAUUUAUUUACAACUUACCUCAUUAAUUUUCUCCCCAUGUAUAACCCACCAAACUCCAACUGCACUACCUGAAACUCUUUAUUCGGUUUAGUUAAAUCUGGCCUCCACUUUACCACAACAUAGUGGGGCUGGCCAUCGCCUCCACUUUAUUCAAUACAUUCAGCUUCUAGAAUUCCAAAAACAAUACAUCAUGAUUUGUUUAUUAUGUUACUUUAAUUUUUUUUCCCCUUUUCGUCUAGUCUUGUUUUAUAUUAGCAGUGUUGAUCGUUGAUAAAGGUUGAAGUUUCGGAUUUUAAUGUUUGAGUUUAAGUUCUACCAUCUAUAAUUGCAAUACGGGUCUCUCUUACCUUGUGUAUAUGCGGUGUGUUUUAUCUAAUUAUUUUUAGAUUUUACUAUGUUUUUGUUCAGUUCUUCAUCUAUUAUGAAUUGCAUCAGUUGAAUUUUACGUUAUAAUUUAUUGAACAUAUAUUUAUUUUUGUCUUCUAAUUGUACAAUUUUUAUACCAGUGAAUUUUUUUAAAAAAAAUCAUGUGAUUAUGGAAUAUACGACAUAUAUUUAUGAAAUUUUAAGAAAAGAAAAAAAGAAAUGUUAAGUAUACACCAUUUUCAGUCACAUUAGAAUCCUGUUAAUACAUUAUUUCUACGGCUUCUACAUCACUAAACUGAUGAUCACAUUGGAUACUACCUUUUCUUUUCUUUUUGACUUAAUAGUAUUAAUGGUUUUCGAGUUUGGCAAACAUUUUUUUUCAAAAUUGGGUAGGAUUCGAUGGCCAGAUUGAUACAAUCUUUGUACGGCCGAAACGCUUCCCUACCGUUAAUCAAGCAACCAAACUUCACUUAAUCCAAGGAAAAGAAGAAAAGCAAAAAGUAAAAGCCAAAAGAAAAAUUAUUCAAUUGAUUGGUCAAACACUAACGUUGACAAUAAAGCUUCUUUUUUUUUUUAACUCUCUACCAUUGAUCUUUUAUUCCACCCCUUCCUUACAGCUUUUUGUUGUUGUUGUUUUCUAAAACAGAACCUCAUAAUAUCAGACAUAUUGGGACUCUGAAAAUUCAACCUUCAGGGAGAAAAAAUCCUUCUUGUUUCCAUUAUGUUUAUUUUGUUAUAGAUGGAGGCAUCGGUGCUUGAGUUGUGAAUGCAUAAGCAUGAACCAUAAAGUUCAAUCAAGAUAUGAGGAGAAUCUUCUUUUUCCUUUAUCUUUGCUUUUCUGUUUUUCCUUUGUUGAUGGCGCCAAACGUAGUCUUAAAGUAUAUUAGAUACAUCUGGUGACCAACAUUCAAUUAUAAUAAAGAGUAUAGAUAGAUACAUCAAUACUAUCCAGCCCUCUUUCAUGAUGAUGUUGCAAGUUUUGCACUCCACCCCCAUAUUAUUAUGAAGAGGAGAAAUUCCUGUUAGUUGAGCUUUAUUUUCUAAGAAAUGACUUCUAACAUUAAUAAAUUUGAAUCAUGAUAUAUUUAUAGCUAUUUCUCUUACUCUCUCGUAUUAUAGCUUUCUUUAUAUGCUAAAACAGGAGAUGAGUAGGAAGAAACAAUUUUUGUUAAAAGACGUGAAGUUGUCUUAAGAUUGACAAGGCAGUUAGAUGCAUUUAAAUUGGUAUUUAAGGAUAUGUCUGUAUAUAACUAGAACUAAUUAAGAUUACAAUACACUGCAAAAUGAUUCCACCUUUUUUUUUGGGGGGUUCUCUCUUUUAUAUGAUCAAAUACAAUGUUGAUAUGAACAAGGUUUUGCAGUUGUAGAAAAUCGUGGAGGACUUUUUUUUUUACAAAAAAGAAAGAUAAAAUUCAUAAAAAAUGUGAAGUUAAGCAUAUUUAGCGACGGGUGGGGUAUGGGGUGGUUUGCUAACAUGGAAUGCGCAUGGCAGAUUGGCACUUUAAAGAAGGGAUGGGGCCGAGGGGGCGGGAGUUGUUAAAUCCUCGGGGUAGAAAAAGGUAAGUAAGCGUGUCCCUGGCAUUAGACAAGGAGUAGAGGGGGCAGCACAUGCACAGCAUAACUAUAUCUCUUUAUUUUAUGUCCCACUCCACUCCCCCUCAUCUCUGCCGCAACAUUAAAUACCAUAUGCAUCCUUACUAUUCAUAAUGGUUUUUUGUUGGGUUGAUGUUACAAAAUUACAAUUUUACUAUAGAUGUAUUUAUAAUAUUUAAGAUUUUUUUAAGUAGGAGUUUAAUCUUUGGUGGUGAUGUUGAUUUUAGAUAUAUUCCCCACCCGCAAGUAGAUAUCAUACAUUCUAAUAUAAUUAAAAAUGGUAUAAUUAAAAUAUUUUUAAUAUUUUUAAUAUUAUUUUUAUAUUUUUGAAUUUUUAAAUUUUAAAAAAUUAAUUAAAUGUUGGUGCGUCAUCUACAUGUAUGCAACGGCGAAGCUUAAAAAAUAUUAAUUUUUUUCAUUCGUGAUUUGACAAAAAAAAGUAAGUUUAAAGGCUAAAAAAGCAUAAAUUUAAAUAAAUAGCUAAAAUAAUUUUUUUACAAAGUUAGAGAGCCAAAUAAAUUAUUAUUUUAUUUAAAAAUAUUUUUUUAAUAAAUUAUUAAUUUAGUCACAUAAUCUAAUAUAAUUUAAUUCAAACCCGUUGGUUCCAUCAACAAAUUGAUCUGCAUGAGACUUAAGGGUUAGAAUUUGGUGCGUAACUCUUUUUCCUCCUAAUUUUUACUUUUAAAAAGAAAUUGCAAUACAAUUUUUUUAUUAUAGAAUUCUCCAAUUUUUAUUUAUUUAUUUGAUCAGGAAGCUUUAUUGACACUGCUUUUAUUUUUCCAUCAAUCCAAUUUAAGAGACAAUUCACUUUUUAUAAUUAACAAAAAACAAAAAGAAAAUAAAAGAAAUUACUUUUUCCUUUUUCGUGUUCGAUACAAGAUAGAUGAAAUAUGGAAAAUAAAAUGCAAUGAAAAUAUAUUAUUAGUGAUAUAUCACCUCCAUUAUGUAGGGGAAAGAAAUAAAAAUAAUAUUAAUUUAUGAUACUUUCAUAAUGUGGUUAAAAAUAAUUAUCUAGUAUUUUUUUGUAAAAAAAAAGGAAAGUUGAUAUCUAUGCUACUAAUGAAGUUUCUUAGUGAGUUUGUUACUAAUCAUAUUCGAAUUUUAAAAAUUGUGAAUUUUUAAAAAAUAAGUUAUUUAUAUAACUAGUAAUAUACUAUUUUGACUCUUUUUUUAUCCGAGUUAAUGUUAGUUAUCUCGUGAUACCAAUUCAAUAAAACACUUUAUUUAUAUUAAAUUAAUAUAGGUGAGAAGUAAAAUUAUUUAACAAAUAUAUUCUUAAAAAUACUAAAGGAGGUUUUGGUUGAAUAGCAAAAUAUAAAUAUUACAAAUUAUAAAGAUGUAGGUUCAAUAUUUUUACUAUUUUUCUAUAUAAAAUGAUAACCUUAUAAAAGUAGUUUGUGGUUGAUGGACUAAUUUUUUAAAAAGAAUUAAUAUUAGUAAAGAUAUAUAUGGUACUAAACAUAAGGAAAUAGGGGAAAACGUAUCAUAUUUGUAGUGGGAGAAUGGGAUCAUUACAAGGAAAAAUGAAAUAUAUAUCAUUAACAACAAACAUAAAAGAAAGCGUCUUUUGAUAAAGUUGUUAUUGGUGUAAUGUGAAGGGACCACAAUCAUCACCAUUCACCACUUGCUCCUAAUUGAGUUGAAAUCUUUUUACAACAUAGAAAACUAGAACAUCUCCCUUUCUUGCUUCCUAUAUAUAGAUUUUGUAUCAUCGCAAUUCCACAUCACACACGCAAGCAAAGCAAAGCAUUAGCAACCAUAGCCAUGGCUUCCUCACCAAAACUCUUCUCUAUGUCUAUCCUCUUCCUUUUUGCCCUCUUCUCCAUGCAAAUCCAUGCUAGAGAGUACUUCAGCAAAUUCCCAAGAGUUAACACCAAUGAGAAAGAGACAACAACCAGAGAGCAAGAGCACGAGACCUUCGUUCCCCAGACCACCCAAAAGCCAGAAGAGCAAGAGCCAAGGUUCAUCCCUGAAACCCAAAAUGGUUAUGGCCUUUACGGCCACGAGUCAGGCUCAGGCUCAAGCCGGCCCAGUUUCACCACCAAAGAAACCUAUGAACCCUAUGUCACCCCUGUUAGAUUCCACCCUGAUGAACCCUAUAACAGCAUCCCCGAAUCCUCCAACAAUAAAGACACUUACUACUACAACAAGAAUGCCUACAAGUCCACUAAGCAGCAAAACUUGGGCGAGGCCAUUUUCACCGAGAAAGGAUGGAGCACCAAGGAAAACCAGAACAACAACUACUACAACGGCAACAUUAAUGGCGAGAAGCAAGGCAUGAGCGAUACUAGGUACUUGGAGAAUGGAAAGUACUACUAUGACGUCAAGAGUGAGAACAGCUAUUAUCCAAACCAGCUCGACAACUCAAGAGGAGUUGCUUCCAGGAACGAGUUCGAUGAGAAUCGUUACAACAACAUGGGAAGGUACCACCAGAACCAAGAGGAGUUCGAGGAAAGCGAGGAAGAGUUCGAACCCUGAUCACCUGUCGUACAGUAUUUCUACAUUUGAUGUGUGAUUUGUGAAGAACAUCAAACAAAACAAGCACUGGCUUUAAUAUGAUGAUAAGUAUUAUGGUAAUUAAUUAAUUGGCAAAAACAACAAUGAAGCUAAAAUUUUAUUUAUUGAGCCUUGCGGUUA
rnacentral:lncRNA from 1 species